UACCAAGCUUCUCACUGGCUCUGAUUGUUCUGCAGAAAUGGGUUUUUGUCCUGUUAAAAGCUCAAUAAGAACAACUCCAAAGCUAUAAACAUCACUCUUCUCUGUGAAUUGACUUGAUCGAAAAUAUUCCGGAUCCAUGUAUCCAAAAGUUCCUUGCACCCGAGUGGUUAGAUGUGUUUGUUCAAGUGCAACUGAUCUUGAAGUUCCAAAAUCUGAUACUUUUGCCCUAUAUUUAUCAUCCAAAAGUAUGUUACUAGAUUUGAUGUCUCGAUGAUAAAUAGGAGCAGAAGCAGCUGAAUGCAAAUAGAACAAGGCAUUGGCAAUUUCAAUCGCAAUUCGUAAACGCAUUUCCCAUGUCAAUGGUAAUUCUUCAUUUUGGUUAUGAAUCAGAUCGUAUAAUGUACCAUUUGGGAUGAACUCAUACACCAAUAGAGGAACUUCAGCUUCUAAACAACACCCUAAAAGCUUAACCACAUUCCUGUGAUUAAUUUGAGAUAAAAUAAUUACCUCGUUAAUAAACUGUUCAACCUUCUUUUCAUCAAAUUUCAUUCCUUCCACCAUUUUGGACUUCUUAAUAGCCACAAUGCUUCCAUCUAUUAGCAUUCCUUUAUAAACAGUUCCUUGACCUCCUUGACCAAGGAUUCGAUUCUCAUUAUAAUAAUUGGUCGCCUUUUCCAUCUCUUUUGAAGUAAACAACUUUAUUUUGUCAACAUUACCUUCAUUGCUAGACAAAUGUUGUUGUAGUAGCAAACCUCCAUUCCUUUUGAAGUAUUUCUGCUUCAGCGUGAAUUUUUGUUUUCUUUUGAGAACUUUGUACAUACUCCAUGUUGCGAGUAGUAGAAAUAGUGUCCCAACACUAGUGCUGCAACCUAUAUAAAUAUAAGAAAAAUAGUUAAAAGAUAAAUUUGAAAAAUAACGUACUUGUUAAAAAACCAUGAAAUGUUUCGAUAAAGUUUUAUUCAUAUUUGACAACCCUUCAUUUCAAAUGAACAAUGAGUGCACCUUAUUGCACCAUCCAUUAUUUUGAUAUAACUUUUACAAAUGUACUGAUAAAUAACUAUUACUGCAUCACACAUUCAAAGGUAAAUAUAUCACUAUUUGAAUUGACAUAAUUCAAUAACCAUAACGAUUCCACUUUAAAAUCAAACACGUACCUACAAUAAUGCUUGUCAAGCUAUAAUUGUUUUUAUUCCGUAUUCUGCGCUCACAACGAAAUCCCGUACUAUUGAAUUUAUAAUGAGGAGGGCAAGACUCUGGGAAGCAAUAGUUGCUAGGAGUAUUCAAACAAAGCAUGCUGCAAUACUUAUAAAAUCCACAUUCCCGAACUGUCAUUUAUGAAAUGAAUAAAAAGAAGGUUAUAAUCAUAUAAUUCAGUUAAAGUAUAUGAGAGGUCCUUAUAUUAUAUGGAUUGAAUCAAAUUAGUUCCUCUAUUAUUAAAUGGAUCAAUUUAGUCUCUAUACUAUUAAAAAAAUCAAACAAGUUUAAAUUAUAACAACUUAACAUUUAUUAUAUAAAAAAUAUCUUGAAAAUUAUUUUUUUCAAUUUCUAUGUUCAAUUUCAAACAAAAUAUUUCAUUUACAAACCAUAAAAACUUUAAAAAUAAUUAAUUAAGUAAAUAAAUUUUUAAAUAAUAAAUAAUAAAUCUGUUUCAGUUUAUUCUUUCUAAUAAUAGAGAAAUUAAUUUAAUUAAAUCGUAUAAUCGAGGGACUCUCAUAUACAUUCACCUAUAUAAUUCAGUAAAUAUUAAUUUAGUAAUGCAUGCCAAAAUAGAAAAAAUUAUAUAUUUAAAACAUGAAAAGGAAAAUUCAUUCAGCUUUAGUUUAAUUGCAUUAUUGCUAUUGUAACAAUUAAAACCAAUUAUUUCAAAUGUGAUUAAGUGCAUUCAAAUUAGAAAGAGAUUUAGCUGUAUAGAAACAUAAAACAAAUAAGUAUAGUAGUUUUGUAUAAGAGGGAUGGAUAAUUUUUUAAUAUAUAUAUUAAUAUAUAUUGAAGGUUAAUAUUUUGAAAACUCAACCGUUGAAUUUAAUAUUUUAUUCAUAUAAAUUAUGCAUGUCAAAUUUGAUGUAAAUUAAAAAUUUUCAAUUUUUUGUUUUAUGUAAAAAAUAUUCCGUCCUUGAAUAUAUAUUAAUAUAUUGAGUAUUGUAGAUCAAUAUGAUAGAAAUAUCGGAUCAAUUCAAAAAUUUAUAUGCAUGACAAGUACAAUUAUAUCGAUAAAUUCAACGGUUGAAUUGUUAAAAUAUUAAUAGUAUAAAGAGAUAUGAAAGAGUGUAAAACAACUUUAAUUUUACACCAGUAUAAGUGGAUUACUUCCCAUAUUUUUUAUGUAAUUGUUUUUGUAUAUAUAUAUUCAAAUUUUACACACUUUAUUGAAUAUGAUUUCGUAUGUCCAAUCUUCAACUUAUUAGUAUAUUUUAGUCAUGAUAUACCUCAACCAAUAAUAACUAGAUUAUGGCACAUUAAUGAUGUAAGUGAAAAAAAAAUUAUGUAACAAUUUAUUUAUAAAAAAAAUUGAUAUAAAAAAUAGGAGUUUAUUGAAAUGGUAAAGUUAAGAUAUUAGCUAUCAUGGUGCCUUCGUUCAAAUUUUAUUAUACUCAUUUUUCUAGAUUUUACAUAAAAUGUAAAAUGACAAAAAUACUUUCAUAAAAAUAUUUGUUGUUUUUAUAAAAGUAACUGAUUUUCAUAAUUUUUCAUAAUUUUAUUUAUAAUAGUACUACUUUAAGGCACACCCGUGAUGUGAGCAGAAAAAAAUAUGUAAUAAACAUAUUUAAUUAUAGCUUAUAUAAGAAUAGAAUGAAUCAUUAGUUGAAAUGAUAAAUUUUAAAAUUAUUGUGUGAAAUGUUCAAAUUUCACCAUGUCAAAUUUAUUAUGAAUUUUAUAUAAAAAUAUAAAAAGAUGAAAAUACCCUUAAAAUAAUAUAACUUAAUUUGUAUAUAAAAAUAUAUUUUAAUAAUUUUUCGAGGUAUACAUAUAAGUUAAGGCGAAGGGAUUGUAUGAAACCAUGAUUCCACGCCAUCACUAUCCCUUUUCAUUAGGAGAAUGACAAAUCAUAUUUUCCUCUUCAUUUUGAACAUUUUUAGUUGGAUUCAAAUUUUUUUAGGGGGAAAAACCUGAAAAUCAAGAGAAAAAAAUAUGAUUUGUCAUUCUCUUAUUGGAAAUGGAUAGAGAUAAAGUGGAAUCACAGUUUCUUAUAAUCCUUUCUCAUAAGUAAAGAUAAUAAAUAUAUAAGAAGAAAAGUUCCCUAAAAAAACAUUAAUUCGUACCUUCGCAUAACCUUGAAUAACAGAUAUCACCGAUAUCCUUGAUGCACACACAUAGAUGAUUAGAGCUCAACCUCGACCAACAAUAUUCAUCAUCGGAUGUACAAGAAGUGUCCAGACUAUCAUUCAAAUAGCACACUCCAUAUAUUGGUGUGCCCCAUUGCAGUUGUGUUGGGAUAUGCGUCCAAUUGCUUAUAUUAAAAUCGUCUAACACGGAGGUCAGAUAAUAGUCUGAAAUUAUGGAAGCAAAUCCGCAUGAUCUUUUCCUCUUAUAAUCACUAGAAUCAACCCUACUAGUCAUGUUUAUGUAGAAUGAACUAAGACCCCAAGGAAUAUUAAUAUGACAACCAGCAAUAGAGGAAGUCUCGUUAUUAAUCCUAUAACUUGGUUGCAAACAUCCGCUUAUAAGAGUAUCCGUUUCAUUGCAAAAAAAUAGUAACUAAAUUACCGCAACCUAAAGACCAAAAAAUGUUGAAAUGUGAGUAGUAAAAGCGGGUGCCAGUUAGGUUGAGACUCAUCCCUUUUUUGUGAUGGUUUUUUCAACAGUUGAAGUAAGUUAUUGGAUGAUUGACCACGACAGUGCCAUACAAAUAAUCAAAGUCCAAUAUUUGUAGAUUCAUGCCAUUUAUAGUUAAGAAAGGCAGUUUUUGCCCAUUGGCAGUUUUGCGGCAAUUUACUUUAAACCAGUCAUUGGGAUUAUCUUGAUCCUUCAUUCUGAAAGGGUAAUGAAAAGUAACAUAAUUUCCACAUGCCUCUAUCAUGUAGGGUUUGAAGUUGAUACGUCCUAGUCUUGGUCUUUCGCAUCCUGUUAAUAAAUAGGGAGUAAAUUGCAAAAUCUACUAAAUGUAAUAACAUCCAAUGUUUCUAAGAAAUAAAAGCAAUGUCGUUAUUCAAAAAAAUAUAUAUAAUGAUCUAAAUUGAAGUUACCAAUGAAAAGGGUUACUCUUAACUAAAAUUUUUAAUUAAAUUUGUGUAUUACUUGUGACAUUAAAUUCUAUAAAGACUUUCUUAUUAUCAAUAUUUCUAAUUAAAAACAGUUGCCUUUAAAAAAAAAUGAAUUCCACUUAAAAGAAAAUCUGUGUUGCAGUUUUUUUUUUCACACCCAUCCUCUCUUUACAUAAUACACUGUAAAUUUUAUUCUAAAUAUUAAUUUCUUAAUUGAAUAUAAUACUUAAACUAAUGAUUCCAAAUUUUUUUAAGGAACUAAUAUUCAAUAUUUAAAAAAAAUUAGAUUUAAAAAAGAAUCAUUAUAAACAAAAUUAUGUAAAUUAUGAAAUGAAUCUACACAUAAUACAAAAAUUUUAAUAUAUAAAACAAACCAACAUGAAGCCAACGGUGUCCUUAAUCUCCCUGAUUAAGUGAAAAUUUUAGUAAACUACACCUUUCUGCCUAUCCCAAAAGAAAAAAAAAUUAACAUAAACAUUUUAACUCCUCUAAAAAAUUAAUAAUUUAAUUUAAUCUCGUUUAAGUAUUAAUUCUAGUUUUUAAAAUACAAAACUUUUAGGUGUAAAUUUUUUAAAAAGAAAAAUAUUAAUAUACAAAAUGAAUGAUCCUAAAAACUUUUUUUCGUACUUAUAUUAUUCUAAAGACUGAUUUUAAACAAGUAGCAAAAUCAUUAUAUUAACUGAACUAAAAGACGAAAAAUAAAAGCCAAGCAAUUGAAGUGACAGUGCGUGACUGACCUGUGUCUCCGCAAUUGCUGGAUUUCCAGUUGAGCACGGCGGGAACAUGCGUGGUUCCAAUAUUGAUGCCACUGAGUAAUCGGUGCGGGCUAUAGAUGAAAGCAGAUGCGCAUCUGUUGCUGUCAGGAUACAUGGCCGUCAUGUUUACAGUAUAGGAAGUGAGAUUUACAGUAAUAUAAGUAAUGCAGCCAGAUUCAGAAGCACCAUCAUCGUCACACCUGGAUUGAAUGCAGCCGCCAAGUGAGUCAGCUUCGUUACUUAAAAUAGUAGCUAAAUUUCCACAACCUACUGACCCGAAAUAAUUCCUCUCACUUGAGAAGAAAAAGGGAGUGCCUGAGAGAUUCACACUCACACUAGCCUCGUUUGUAUGAUCACAAUUAAUGUAAGCAACUGGAUUGCGGAUGAGAAUACCGUUUGAAUAUAAGGAACCAAGUACCUCCAGAUCGAUGCCAUUUACGUUUAUGAAAGGCUUUUUCCCAUUUUGGGUUUGGUUGCAAGUUACUCUAAGCCAAGAAUAAGUAUAGCAGCUGCUAUGGCUUCCAAAAGGGGAUGAAAUUGUAAUAUUUCCACAUACUUCUUCUCCACAGGCAGGUUCUUGAGAUUCUGCUGCUUGUAAUAUUGGGCAUAACAGGAACAGGAUCAGGAGUAGGAGGGCGAAGUAAAGCGCUAACUGAAAACCCAUUUCUAAUUGUUAUUUGCUUUGAGGGAAAUGAAUGAAGAUUUAGGUUGGGUUACUGAAGAAGUCAGGAGAGCAGAGUUAAGUAGCACCAGUAUAAGCAGACGAUAUUUGAGUAAGAAGCAAAUGAAAAGUCUUUGCUCACACUUUCCUUGAAGUUCCAGUGUAAGUGCAUUUGAUUUGAGAAUAAUUCAUUAUUUUGUAAAGACUUUUAUUGGACAAUUUUCGGUCUCCAUUUAUUUUUUUUAAAAAAUUUAAACUAGAGUAGGUUACGUACAAAGAGUUAGUGUUAAAAGGUGGCAACAAACAGCAUAUGUAAGUUAGCCGGAUGAAGUACAGCAAUAUGCAAAACAACAUAUGUUAUCCGGAUGAAGUAUGUUUUUGUACCAGUUGACCUAUAUUUGUUCUGACAACUUUUUUUGUUUUGUCUGUUUAAAGUGAGUCAAGGACUAAGCAGCUUUAGACUGUCAGCAGGUUACUAUUGAACUAUUUUUGUGCAAGCUACUUUUCAGAAAAUUUAUUGCUUUUUCAAUGUAAUAGCUUAAUAUAUGUACAUUUUAUCUUUAAAACUUUCAGAUGAAUGAGAAGAAGUCAACUUAAGUUUUUUCCCCUUCAACCUUUGAGUUCUGCUUCUGUUUUUUGAGCUUUCAAACACAAAAUUUGUUUGCUUUGUUUUCAUUGAUUAUUUGGUUGAAACUUAACACAUAUUUUACCUGGAAUUAUUGCUUUGUUGCUCUAGCUUCAACAAGAGCUUCAUAUUUUACCCGGGUAAAUUAGUUCUGUUUUUUCUUCCUGUGUGAAAAACCCAACAAAUGGUAUCAAGAGCCUGUUAUCUUUGAGGGCCUUGGUUGUGUUUUGUUUGUGAGUGACAAGUGUUUGAAAGAAAAGAAGCAGGAGCUAUUUUUUGUUGGCUUGUUUGGUUGCUGCAAAGAUGAGUUUUUCACCACCACCACCACCUGUUUUUGCUGGUGAAAACUACAAUAUUUGGGCUGUGAAAAUGAAGACAUAUCUGCAGGCACAUGACCUGUGGAAUGUUUUUCUAAAUGACACAGAGCCACCUCCCUUGAGAGCUAAUCCGACCAUAGCUCAAAUCAGGCAGCAUAGUGAGGACACUGCCAAGAAGUACAAGGCCAUGUCGUGUCUUCAGAGUGGAGUUUCAGAUGUUAUUUUCACAAGGAUAAUGGCCUGUGACUCACCAAAGCAGGCCUAGGACAAACUCAAGGAGGAGUUUCAAGGGUCAGACAAGACCAGGCAGCAACAACUGAUCAACUUGAGGAGGGACUUGGAGAAUCUAAGAAUAGAGGACUCAGAUACCAUCAAGCAGUAUGCAGACAGGAUUAUGGCCACAGUCAACAACAUAAGACUGCUUGGAGAUGAGUUUAGUGACCAAAGGGUGGUUGAAAAAGUCAUAACAACCUUACCAGAGAAGUAUGAAUCAAAAAUCUCUUCUUUAGAAGACUCGAGGGACCUAUCAACCAUUCCCUUGACAGAGUUGAUAAAUGCUCUCUAUGCACAAGAGCAAAGAAGAGCAAACAGAAUGGAAGAGCACUCUGAGGGAGCUUUUCAGGCUAGGUGUAGAGAAAGCUCAAGCUCAAGCUCAAGUUACAAAGGCAAGAAGCCUUGGCUAGAAAAGAAAGAGAAAGGGAAGAAGGAUGCUGCUAAAAAGAAGUUUCCACCUUGUGCUCAUUGCAAGAAGACUACUCACCUUGAAAAAUACUGCUGGUACAGACCAGGCAUUCAGUGUAGAGUUUGCAAACAGCUUGGACACAUUGAAAAGGUGUGCAAAAACAAGCCAAAAGCACAGCCACAGCACCAGAACCAAGCUCAGGCUACUGAGGAUGUGGAAGCACUGGAAAAGCAUGUCUUCACAGCUUCUUGUUUUGCAAGCUCAAGUAAGGUCAGCAAAAAUUGGUUGAUUGACAGUGGAUGUACUCAUUAUAUGGCUUCAGACAAAAGUAUGUUCAGGGAGCUAGACACCAGUUUCAUGUCCAAAGUCAGAAUCGUCAAUGGUGAACUCAUAGAGGCCAAAGGCAAGGGCAAGGCUGUGAUUGGCACAAAGUCAGGUAACAAAACCAUCUUUGAGGUUCUUUAUGUACAUGACAUUGACCAAAAUUUGCUGAGUGUUGGUCAGCUACUAGAGAAGGGGUAUUCUCUCAUUUUUGAAGGCAAGAUUUGUGUGAUUAAAGAUGCUGCUGACCAGGUGUUAGUAACAGUAGCCAUGGAUGAUCGACGCUUCACUUUAGAUGUGAAUCAGCUAGAACCAAAGAUAUGUGUAGCUCAGGCUGAUGAAUCAAGUUUGUGGCAUAGAAGGCUAGGCCAUGUGAACUACAAGUCACUUAGCCUGCUGCACAAAAUGAGUCUGGUAAAAGACAUAUCUUUUCUUGAACCAAAGAAGGAUGUGUGUGAAGUAUGUCAACUUGGCAAGCAGACCAGAAUGCCCUUUCCAGUCAAUAAAGCAUGGAGAGCUCAAGAGAGGCUCCAACUGGUCCAUACAGACAUCUGUGGACCUAUGAAAACCACCUUCCUGAAUGGCAACGGUAUUUUGCACUAUUCAUUGAUGAUUGCACCAGAUUCUGUUGGGUAGGCUUUCUAAAGCAAAAGUUGCUGACUUCUUUUGCAAGUUCAAAGCACUGGUUGAGAACCAAGCCAGUUGCAAGCUGAAAAGCUUAAGGUCAGAUAAUGGAACUGAGUAUGUGUCUCAAAGGUUCCAAAAGAUAUGUGAUGAUGCUGGAAUUCAACACCAACUAACAACCAUCUACACACCACAACAAAAUGGUGUUUGUGAGAGGAAGAACAAGACAGUUCUUGAUAUGGCCAGGUGCCUUUUGUUUGAGGCUAAAAUGCCUAACAAAUUUUGGGCUGAGGCAGUAAACACAUCUGUUUACUUGCUGAACAGACUGCCAACUAAUGCAGUGAGGGGUAAAACACCCUUUGAAGCCUGGUUUGGACAAAAACCAACAGUGUCACACUUGAAGGUAUUUGGUUGUUUGUGCUAUGCACUGGUUCCAGCAGAAAAAAGGACUAAGCUUGAAAAAAGGUCUAUGCCAGGGGUGUUUGUAGGCUACAGCAGUGUGAAGAAGGGUUAUAGGAUCUUUGAUCCAUUGACCAAAAAAAUUGUAGUGAGCAGAGAUGUGAAGUUUAAUGAAGUAGGCUACUGGAAAUGGGAUGGAACUAAUGCAAGUUUGCUUGAGGAGGACCAAAAUGAUCUUGACUUGCAGCAUGCUGAGAUUGAAGCUGAAGCUGAAGGUGAUUAUGGUGAUGUACCUGUCAGAGGGACUAGGACACUAGCAGACAUCUAUGAAAGGUGUGUUGUAACCAUAGUUGAGCCUUCUUGCUAUGAUGAAGCAGCAAGGGAGAGCUACUGGCAAGAAGCUAUGGAAGCUGAACUGAAGAUGAUCCAUAAGAAUGAUACUUAGGAGCUGGUUGAUAGGCCAGCAAAUAAAAAAGUUAUUGGUGUCAAAUGGGUGUUCAGGACCAAGAACAAUGCAGAUGGGUCACUGAACAAGCACAAGGCCAGGCUAGUUGUGAAGGGCCACAGUCAGCAACAAGGAGUUGAUUUCUUUGAAACCUUUGCACUUGUUGCAAGGUUAGACACCAUAAGGCUAUUAUUUGCCUUAGCUGCUCAGAAGCAAUGGAAAGUCCAUCAAUUAGAUGUUAAAUCAACAUUUCUGAAUGGAUUUCUCAAUGAAGAAAUUUUCAUAGAACAACUUGAUGGAUUUAAGGUUGCUGGUGAAGAACAUAAAGUCUACAAGCUUAAGAAGGCUUUGUAUGGUCUAAAGCAGGCUCCAAGGGCCUGGUAUGACAGGAUUGAUGCAUACCUGUCAAGGCUGGGAUUUGUGAAGAGCAUCAGUGAGCCUACACUUUAUGUGAAGAAGGCUGAGAAAGAAACCUUGUUGAUAGUCUCACUUUAUGUGGAUGACUUGUUAGUUACUGGCUGCAGAAGUGAGUUAAUUGAGGAUUUUAAGAAGCAGAUGCAAGAUGUGUUCGAAAUGACUGAUCUUGGUUUAAUAACCUACUUCCUUGGUAUGGAAGUGAAUCAGAAUGAGCAUGGCAUUUUCAUAAGCCAGCAAGCAUUUGCACUAAAAGUUCUAAGCAAAUUCAGCAAGUCAAAGUGCAAGUCUGCUAACAUUCCAGUUGCACUAGGAGAGAAACUAUCAAGCACCAGUGAGCAUGAUCGAGUGGAUGAAAAGGGGUACAGGAGUUUGGUUGGUUGCCUACUCUAUUUAAUAGCAACAAGGCCAGAUAUUAUGUAUGCUGUUAGCCUUCUCUCGAGGUUCAUGCAUUACUGCAACAUAGCUCACUUCAAGGCUACUAAAAGAGUCUUAAGGUAUGUCAAAGGAACCUUAGGCUAUGGUGUGAUGCUUGAGAGAGCUGAAGAAUUGAAGUUGGUUGGUUAUUCAGACAGUGAUUUGGCUGGCUCAGUUGAUGAUAUGAAGAGCACAUCAGGAUACUUCUUCACUCUAGGUUUAGGAGUUUUUAGUUGGAGUUCAAAGAAACAGCAGACAAUAGCUCAAUCCACUGUAGAGGCUGAGUAUAUUGCAGCUGCUACUGCUGUUAAUCAAGCAAUUUGGCUUAGAAAGCUGUUGGUUGAUUUGAAUGCUAAUCAAGUAGAAGCAACAGAGAUGACAAGCGUCGUUUUUCCUAUCAAAGUAAAAUAAACCUCUUCAAAAAUAAAAUAAAUAAAUAAAAAGGUAGAAUAGUGGAAGAGGGUCGAUCCACAGGGAGAUUAAUGGAAUUUUUGAUUAAAUUUCUUGUUCUCGACUUAGGAGCUGAAAUGGAAAAUAAAAAAAAGGUGAUUUGAGAAGUAACAAGAAAAUAAAAUAAACAAGUAAAAGUGCAAAGAAAGAUGUAUUAAAAUAAAAGCAAUAAAGUAAAGAAGAUGAAAGAUUAAGUUGAAUAAACACGAGUAUAAGAAUCACCUCGAGCUAGUUUCGUCAAUUCCCACGAUCAUCGAAAAUAGAUUUUUGCUCCGGGAUUCAUGUCGGUUACAGUCUACGAGGCCCAACCCAUCUUAACUUACUUUUCUCUCAUGUAACCGAUCUUCCCAAGUCUAUCUUCGAAAGUCGAUUCUUAAGUAAAUCAACCACGUCUAUCGCCGUUAAAAUACUUAGUUUUAAAACAGGAAAAGCCCAACUCGGAAGUUGUCUUAUCAAGAAUCAUUUCCGAUCUCGUCUUUCCUUAGCAGACCGCCGCUAAGAGUGUUCAUAGGAAGUCGAAAUGCCACAGGCUGAUCCUUCCUCCCAACUGUAAAAUUAAACGAUUCCAGACCAACGAAUCCUUUUUGAUUUGAAAAACGUUUAAAAAUUUUAGUAAGGCCGAUUGCCAAACUAUCUAAGCAGAAAGACGAAAAUGUAUCCCGAAGGGAUUUAAGCAAUAUUCAAUUCUCACGUGAGGAAUUGAUUCGUACUAGCUCUUGGCUUGAGAAAAAUUAGCCAAGCAUGAUAUUGAUUAUCAUGCUUAACAUGUUUUGAUAAUGUAAAAACAUAAAAUAAAAUAAAGUAAAGUAGAAAUAAAACAAAAGAAGAAAAUUUUAUUAAAAAUGAAAACAAAGUAGCAAUAAGGACAAACGACAAGAGAUCCCCUUAGCCUUACCCAAAGGUGGGUAUUUAUAGGCUUCAAAUUCCCAAAUCAACAAGGAAAAUUAAUCAAAAAAAGAUAAGAUAAUAUCUUUAAAAUUAUGAAAAUGAAAUCCAAAAUCCCUCAAAUCACGUCAAUAGAUCAAGAUAAGUUGUUUCCAGAAUAUUCCCGUGUUGACUUCUGAUUUGCCACGUCAGAUCCGCGUCGUGCCCAGCGUCGUGCCCACGACUCCAGCCGCGACAGAAUAAGCGUCGUGCCCACGACUCCAGCCGUGACAGAAUAAAAAGAAAAAAAACUACAGAUUAUGUCUUUUUGUUGCCAUUUCCAGUAUUGGGUUCACUACACAAGAAAUAAAUCAAAUACAACGAAUUAAGUAGUGAAAAAUUCAUAAGGCAAAGGAAUUAACAAGCAAAAAGUGUCAAAUGUAAGAGUACAUCAAGUUCCCCCUCACUUGUCUCAUACUUGCCCUCAAGUAUGUUUGAAAUAAAUUAAUCAAAAGCUUAAUCAUCUUUCUCCUAGACCGUUGCAAGUCUUAAACAAAGUUAUGAAAGUUCAAGUGCACAAAAAAAUGACGUGAAUAAAACAUGAAUCAAAACGAAUAGGUGCAAGCAAGAACAAUCAUUCAACCUUACCAUUGUCUAUCAAUUAUCAAUCAAAUUCUAACCUUAGCUCAAUUCUUACCAAGAUGCACUCAAAUCACUAAAAGUGUUUCGGGUGUAGAAAUCAAAUUCACUCAAAGUCAAAAUUUGAAUAAGGGUUUCCAUAGGCUUGUGGCAAGAUCAAUUCUCCACUACUUUAAAGAAAUGAGAUGCAAAAAUCAUUAGGACUUUUAAUAAAGGGUGUAAUGGGGCUUAGGUAAAGGUGGGGAAUAAGGCUAAAAUGAGGCUAAAGAAAAUCAAGACAAGAGUUUCCCAACAAGUAACUAUAUCAUGUCCACAACCUUAGAAAACAUAGGCAACAAUAAUAAGCAAACUAAGUAGAGGUAGCUAUAAUGAACAAAUCAUCAAACUUUUUUAUUUUUAUUUUUUAACUUUUUUUUCUCUCUUUUCUUUUUUUUUUCUUUUUUUUUUCGAAUUAUUUCUUCUUCUUCUUCUUUUUUUUGUUUUUUUUUGUUUUUUUCUGUUUUCUGUUUUACUUUUUUAUCUUUUUUUUGUCUCUUUUUUUUGUGGAACAUGAUCUCACAACCUUAAACUUAUGCUCUUUGUCUUGUCAAGGGUGGAAGAGAGGAAUAAAUGAAAAGGCUCGGGUUUAAAAUCUUGUGAAAAUAAAGAAAACGGGAUUAGGUUUCAACUUGGUUCAUUAAGGGAAAAGAAAGGGUGAAUCCUAAUGCCUAAAUCAUAUUAAUGCAUCAAAUUCCAAUGUAAUCUCAAAAUGCAUACAAGCCACAAGUUCUAGAUUCCAAUGUCCAAAUUGACACUCUCAGGCAAGAAAAAGGAGCAUGAAAAUAUAAUCAUGCAUGCUAAAGGCUCAAGUUCUCACAAAAUGGGCUAAUUAAUUAAGCUAGGUGAGAAAUUCAACUAACAACAUCAAGACAAAUUGUAAGGGUUGUCAAAUUGGACUUACUCAUAUUAUUUGAUUAUCAAACAUACUAGAAUUCAAGUAUCUUUAUGAACUAAAAUAAUCAUAACAUGCUUAGCGACAAGCAAUGACAAAGGAGUUGUUCUUCUAAUCAAUUCAAACAAACAUAUCAUCAAACAAAUAUGACAAGUAAGGCGAAAUUAAUGUCAUCCUUUACCCUCCCCCUCACUUAAUCGUAUUGUCCCAAUACAGAAAAAAAUGUAAAGUACAUUUAAGAACAAAGAAAGGUAAAGGAUACUCCCCGUGAUCAAUGACGACAGCGGCCACGGUUGAGGUAAAGGAAGGAAAGUUUUUCCGUGAUGUUCUCUUCUAGGGCCUGGAGGGGUCUGAACAAACGACAAAUAGAAAUAACAAAAAAUAAAAUUGAUGAAAAGUAAACAAAUGGGUUGCCUCCCAUUUAGCGCUUUGUUUAACGUCGUUAAGCUCGACAUUUUCCUGUCAGAUUUUUGGCUCUUCCAACCCGAUUUCUUCAAUUAGUCCGAUUGGUGUGCUCUCGAAGAAAGGUUUUAGCCGUUGUCCAUUGACUUUAAACUGUGCACCUGAGCUAUCCUCAAUUUCUACGGCUCCAUGAGGAAAAACAUUGAUCACGGUAAAUGGUCCGCUCCACUUGGACUUAAGUUUUCUUGCAAAAAUUUUUAAUUUUGAGUUAAAUAGGAGAACUUUCUGCCCAACGGAAAAUGAUUUAAAUGAAAUGCGCUUGUCAUGAAAUGCUUUUGUUCGCUCUUUAUAAUUUUGUGCGCUAUCGUAAGCGUUGCGGCGAAUCUCCUCAAGCUCUUGGAUAUGAAGUUUCCGUGCUUCACCAACAACGUUCAUCUCCAUAUUACAUUCCUUUACCGCCCAAAAUGCCCUAUGCUCGAGUUCGACAGGCAAGUGGCAAGGUUUGCCGAAAACAAGUCGGUAAGGUGACAUUCCGAUAGGUCCUUUGUAGGCCGUGCGAUAUGCCCACAACGCAUCAACUAACUUCAAGCUCCAAUCUUUCCGAUUUGGUUUAACGGUCUUCUCUAGGAUUGACUUGAUUUCUCGAUUUGAAACCUCUGCUUGUCCGUUGGUUUGCGGAUGAUAAGCUGUUGCUAUUCGCUGAGUCACGCCAUAUUUCUUCAUCAAAGCUUCGAUGAAUCGAUUAACGAAAUGUGUUCCUCUAUCGCAAAUGAUCGCUCUCGGAGUUCCAAAUCUUGAGAAAAUAAAAUCACGUAAAAAAUUAGUUGUGGUUUUCGCAUCAUUUUCUCGGGUGGCUUUCGCCUCUACCCAUUUCGAAACGUAAUCAACGACCAAAAUAAUGUAUAAAUUUCCAAAUGAUGAGGUAAAUGGCCCCAUAUAAUCGAGCCCCCACACAUCGAAAAUUUCACAAAUGUGUAUAGGAUUUAAUGGCAUCUCACUCCUUCGACUUAGAUUUCCGACUCUUUAGCACCUGUCACAUGCUUUGCAAAAGUUGUAAGUGUCUUUAAACAAGGUUGGCCAAUAAAAUCUGCACUCAAGAAUUUUGUGUGCAGUUCGUUUAGGGCCGAAAUGUCCACCGCAAGCGUAGGAAUGACAAAACUCAAGUAUGGAUUUUACCUCGCUGUUACUUACGCAUCGUUGUACGAUUUGAUUCGAGCAAUUUUUCCAUAAAUAUGGGUCAUCCCAAAUGUAGUAUCGAGACUCUCUUUUUAUGUGUUUGAUCUCAGAUUGAGAUAGAUUGUUCAGAAAUUUACCCGUAGCUAGAAAAUUCGCUAAAUCGGUGAACCAUGGGAAUGAUGUGUGUGCUUCCAUCAAUGUUUCGUCUAGAAAUUGUUCUCGUAGGGGAGGUUCGACUGGUGAAGUAGGCAAACGGCUUAGGUGGUCAGCUACUAAGUUUUCGCUUCCCUUUUUAUCCUUGAUUUCAAGAUCGAACUCCUGCAGUAAGAGAAUCCAUCGUAUCAACCUCGGCUUUGCUUCUUUUUAUUCAUCAAGUAUUUCAGCGCUGCAUGAUCGGAAAAAACAAAAAAUUUAGUUCCUAAUAAAUAAGAACGAAAUUUUUCUAAUGCAAAAAUGACAGCAAAAAGCUCUUUUUCCGUUGUCGAGUAGUUGCGUUGAGCCGAGUCGAGAGUCCUAGAGGCAUAGGCUAUCACGUGUGGUCCUUCUUUACUCCUUUGGCCGAGAAUGGCUCCCACGCUAAGGUCAGAUGCGUCACACAUAAUCUCAAAUGGUAAAGUCCAAUUUGGUGGUUGUACAAUUGGUGCGGAUAUAAGCCUUCCCUUAAGCUCAAAGAAAGAAUCUUUGCAAGAUUGAUCAAAAGUAAAAUUCACGUCCUUUUGUAGUAAUCGGCAAAGAGGUUGCGCCAACUUAGAGAAGUCCUUUAUGAACCGUCGGUAGAAACCUGCAUGGCCAAGAAAACUACGAAUUUCCCUCACCGAAGUGGGGUAUGGAAAUGAGCGAAUUACAUCAAUCUUUCCCUUAUCAACGGCAAUUCCUUGGGCCGAAACUGCAUGACCGAGUACCAAUCCUUUACUUACCAUGAAAUGGCAUUUCUCGUAGUUUAAAACCAAUUUAAAUUUAAUGCAUCGAUUAAGAACAUAAGAAAGAUUGGAAAGGCAUUGAGAGAAUGAAUUACCGUAAACAGCAAAAUCAUCCAUAAAUACCUCUAUUCCUCGCUCGAUGUGAUCAGAGAAAAUGCUUAACAUGCAUCGUUGGAAUGUGGCCGGAGCGUUGCAAAUACCGAAAGGCAUUCUUCUAUAGGCGAAAGUUUCGAAAGGGCAAGUGAAUGUUGUUUUUUCUUGGUCUUCAGGUGCCAUCGGAACCUGAAAAAAUCCAGAAAAUCCAUCAAGACAACAGUAAUGUGUUUUUCCAGCUAGUCUUUCGAUCAUUUGAUCGAUAAAUGGUAUAGGAAAAUGGUCCUUUUGGGUUUGUGAGUUGAGUUUCCUAUAAUCGAUACAUAUUCUCCAACCAUUUUGUACUCUCUUCGGAAUCAUUUCUCCUUCGGCAUUUUCGACCAACGUAAUUCCAGUCUUCUUUGGCACAAUAUGGACUGGACUUACCCACUUGCUAUCAGAAAUGGGGUAGAUAAUGUCAGCAUCUAGCAACUUUUGAAUCUCUUCCUUCACAAUCUCCAUCAUUGACGGGUUUAAACGUCGCUGGCCUUCUCUCGUUCGUUUCGCGUUCUCCUCUGUUUUAAUUUUAUGCAUGCAAGUGGAUGGACUUAAGCCUUGGAUAUCAGCUAAUGUCCAUCCAAUUGCCUUUUUAUAGGUGCGCAAAACAACAAUCAAUUCUUCCUCUUCCUGUCGUGAUAAUUCACUUGAAAUGAUAAUUGGCAAGGUUCGGUUAUCGCCCAAAAAUUCGUAUUUGAGAUGCGAUGGAAGUUGCUUCAAUUCUAGUUGUGGCUCCUACAAAAUUGAGGGAAGGGGUUUAGGUGGAAUUAAUCGAGAAUCAGAAAUGGAGGAAAGAGUUGAAAUGAUUUCACUUUCAUCAUCGAGAUCCUCCAAUUUCCUACAAAAAUUAUAAAACAAAUCAGUUUCGAUAAAAUCAUCAGCUAACGGAUCUAUAAUAUCAACAAAAUUUAAACUUGCGAUGGAAUCAGGAUACUUCAUAGCUUUGUACACAUCGAAUUUAACCACUUCCCCAUCAAAUUCCAUGGUUAAGAUGCCGUUACGGACAUCAAUUUUUGUAUGCGCUGUUGACAAGAAAGGGCGUCCAAGCAAGAUUUCUGAUCCGUUGUUGCUGCGGUCAUUUUCCAUGUCAAUAAUGUAAAAAUCAGCAAGGAAAAUGAGAUCGUUUACCUUUACCAACACGUUUUCUAGUACCCUUUCGGGGUAGAUAACUGACCGAUCAGCUAAUUGAACCGUCACUCGCGUCUCUUUUAAUGGUUCUGUUGAAAUUUUAUUGUAGACGCUUAGCGGCAUGACAUUAAUAGAUGCGCCUAGAUCGCACAUCGCCCUUUUUAUUCUGACUUUUCCUAUUUUGCACGGAAUUGCAAACAUCCCUUGGUCCUUGUAUUUCGGUGGUAGGCGUCUUUGAAAAAUGGCAGAAACAUUCUUGUUGAGGUUAGCUCUUUCAUUGUCGGAUAACCGCCUCCGAUUUGUGCAUAAGUCUUUCAAAAACUUUGCAUAUUUUGGCACCUUCCGAAUGACAUCAAGGAGUGGAAUAUUGAUUUCCACUUUUUUGAAUAUAUCCAAAAUUUGCUUCUCCUCUUCCUUUUUGUCACGCCUUGCAAGCUUUCUACUUGACUCUUCAAAGAAGUGUCUUCUUUGUCUUUCUCGAUUUUCUCGGGCUCCUUUGUCGGCUCUGGUGAAAUUACGAUACCACUUCGUAAAGUAAUCGCGCUCACAUUUUCCCUCGAAUUUGUUUCGAUUUGAGAGGGCAAUCGUCCUUGAGACUCUAGGCGACCAACAGUUUGGGCUAGUUGGCUUAUUUGUUUGUCAAUUUCUUGGAGAUGAGAUUAUGUUUGGGUUUGGAAUUUCUCUUGUGAAAUGGCCAACUUUUCAACAAUGGUCUCAAGAGAGGUUUUUUAUGGUGAUUGAUUUGGAAAGGGAGGUGGUCUCGGUUGGUAAUUUUGGUUUUUGUUUCCAUAGCUCAUAUUUGGAUGGUCUCUCCAACCGGGAUUGAAAGUGUUACCGUAGGGAUUGUAUGGCCUUUGAGGAGGUCCUGGGAAAUUAUUUAUGGCAUUGACUUGGGCGCCCGUCUCAUCUUGUAGCAUUGGACAUGAAUCGGUUGGGUGGUUCGGCAUCGUGCAGAUUCCACAAACCUUCACGGCUCCUAUCUUACCUAUGACAAGAGAAUUGACAAUAUCAGUCAAUUUGUCUAUUUUAUUUUCCAAAGAAACGGUACUUACUUCGUGAACCCGUCAGCUAGGUUCACUUGAAGAGCCAAACUGUUGCGAGUUUGCGGCCAUGGUAGAGAUUAGAGUUCUAGCAUUUUCUGGUGUCAUAUUGACGAGUGCGCCACCACUUGCAGCAUCCACCAUCUUUUUGUCCAUCGGAAGCAUCCCUUCAUAGAGAUACUGAAGAAGGGUCUGCUCGGAUAGGCCAUGCUGCGGGCAACUUGCGCAUAACUUUUUGAACCUCUCCCAGUAGUCGUAGAGAGAUUCAUCGCUCCUUUGCUGGAUUCCCAAAAUGCUUCGCCUAAGCUCGCUUGCCUUUGCCGCUGGAAAAUACCUAUCAAGGAAAACACGAGAUAGUUCAGCCCAUGUGGUUAUUGAGUUAGGCGGAAGGUAAAAUAACCAUUUUUUAGCCAUUCCGGCUAAAGAAAAAGGAAAUGCCCUUAGUUUGAUUUGGUCUUCCGAGACUUCUUGCGGCUUCAUGCUACUACACACCAUGUGGAAUUUGGCGAGAUGUUUAUGUGGGCUAUCGCUAGGAAGACCAUUGAAUGUAGGGAGGAGAUGAAUUAACCCUGUUUUGAGUUGAAAAGGGGUAGUGCCUUGAGGAAAGGUAAUGCAGAGCGGUUGUUGUACGGCGGGGGCGGCGGCAAGCUCUCUAAUGGUUUGGUUCGCCAUUGGCUCCGGUUCGAACGUGGGAUCUGUUAUUGGAGUAGUGGUGUUGGGAGGUGGUCCUUCGUUGGGAGUUUGUUCCGGUUCACGUGGUGGUGUCGCAGAAGUAGAUUCCAGAUUGGAUUGUCGUUCUCUUUGCUCUUGCUGCUUCUUUCGUCGAAGCGUUUGGCCUUGAUUUUUACGAGCGCUUGCUUCAAUUUCCGGGUUAUAUUGAACUAGAGUCCCCGGGUUUCUCCUGGUCAUAAAAAUCAAACAAAAUAAUCAAUAAUUGCUGAAAAUAAAACUCCCCGGCAACGGCGCCAAUUUUGACAAGCGUCGUUUUGCCUAUCAAAAUAAAAUAAACCUCUUCAAAAAUAAAUAAAUAAAUAAAAAGGUAGAAUAGUGGAAGAGGGUCGAUCCACAGGGAGUUUAAUGGAAUUUUUGAUUAAAUUUCUUGUUCUCGACCUAGGAGCUGAAAUGGAAAAUAAAAAAAAAAGGUGAUUUGAAAAGUAACAAGAAAAUAAAAUAAACAAGUAAAAGUGCAAAGAAAGAUGUAUUAAAAUAAAAGCAAUAAAGUAAAGAAGAUGAAAGAUUAAGUUGAAUAAACACGAGUAUAAGAAUCGCCUCGAGCUAGUUUCGUCAAUUCCCACGAUCAUCGAAAAUAGAUUUUUGCUCCGGGAUUCAUGUCGGUUACAGUCUACGAGGCCCAACCCAUCUUAACUUACUUUUCUCUCAUGUAACCUAUCUUCCCAAGUCUAUCUUCGAAAGUCGAUUCUUAAGUAAAUCAACCACGUCUAUCGCCGUUAAAAUACUUAGUUUUAAAACAGGAAAAGCCCAACUCGGAAGUUGUCUUAUCAAGAAUCAUUUCCGAUCUCAUCUUUCCUUAGCGGAACGCCGCUAAGAGUGUUCAUAGGAAGUCGAAAUGCCACAGGCCGAUCCUUCCUCCCAACUGUAAAAUUAAACGAUUCCAGACCAACGAAUCCUUUUUGAUUUGAAAAACGUUUAAAAAUUUUAGUAAGGCCGAUUGCCAAACUAUCUAAGCAGAAAGACGAAAAUGUAUCCCGAAGGGAUUUAAGCAAUAUUCAAUUCUCACGUGAGGAAUUGAUUCGUACUAGCUCUUGGCUUGAGAAAAAUUAGCCAAGCAUGAUAUUGAUUAUCAUGCUUAACAUGUUUUGAUAAUGUAAAAACAUAAAAUAAAAUAAAGUAAAGUAGAAAUAAAACAAAAGAAGAAAAUUUUAUUAAAAAUGAAAACAAAGUAGCAAUAAGGACAAACGACAAGAGAUCCCCUUAGCCUUACCCAAAGGUGGGUAUUUAUAGGCUUCAAAUUCCCAAAUCAACAAGGAAAAUUAAUCAAAAAAAGAUAAGAUAAUAUCUUUAAAAUUAUGAAAAUGAAAUCCAAAAUCCCUCAAAUCACGUCAAUAGAUCAAGAUAAGUUGUUUCCAGAAUAUUCCCGUGUUGACUUCUGAUUUGCCACGUCAGAUCCGCGUCGUGCCCAGCGUCGUGCCCACGACUCCAGCCGCGACAGAAUAAGCGUCGUGCCCACGACUCCAGCCGUGACAGAAUAAAAAGAAAAAAACUGCAGAUUAUGUCUUUUUGUUGCCAUUUCCAUUAUUGGGUUCACUACACAAGAAAUAAAUCAAAUACAACGAAUUAAGUAGUGAAAAUUUCAUAAGGCAAAGGAAUUAACAAGAAAAAAGUGUCAAAUAUAAGAGUACAUCAAGAGAUUAUGGUAGACAAUCAGUCAGCUGUUGCAAUAGCCAAGAACCCUGUGUUCCAUGGCAAAACGAAGCAUUUCAAGAUCAGAUAUCACUUUGUGAGGGAAGUAGAAUUAACUAAGGAAAUCAGGUUGGUCCAUUGUUGUUCGAGGGAUCAACUUGCUGAUAUUUUGACCAAGCCAUUGGUUGCUACAAGGUUUGAGUGUUUAAGGAAGGAAAUUGGAGUUUGCUAUUUUGUAGCCAAGGAGGAGUGUUAAAAGGUGGCAACAAACAACAUAUGUAAGUUAGCCGAAUGAAGUACAGUAAUAUACAAAACAACAUAUGUUAUCCGGAUGAAGUAUGUUUUUGUACAAGUUGACAUAUAUUUGUUCUGACAACUUUUUUUUUGUCUGUUUAAAGUGAGUCAAGGACUAAGCAGCUUUAGACUAUCAGCAGGUUACUAUUGAACUAUUUUUGUACAAGUUACUUUUCAGAAAAUUUAUUGCUUUUUCAAUGUAAUAGCUUAAUAUAUGUACAUUUUAUCUUUAAAACUUUCAGAUGAAUGAGAAGAAGUCAACUUAAGUUUUUUCUCCUUCAACGUCUGAGUUCUGCUUCUAUUUUUUGAGCUUUCAAACACAAAAUUUGUUUUCUUUGUUUUCAUUGAUUAUUUGGUUGAAACUUAACACAUAUUUUACCCGGAAUUAUUGCUUUGUUGCUCUAGCUUCAACAAGAGCUUCAUAUUUUACCCGGGUAAAUUUGUUCUGUUUUUUCUUCCUAUGUGAAAAACCUAACAAUUAGAGACAAAUCAAAUGGCUAUUCAAGCCUUAACCCCUAAUUAUAUAUAUAUUCAAAUUCCUUAAAAUAUUUUUACAAUAGUAUUAAGAAGUAAGGAUAAUUUAUGUUUUUCCAUUCAAAACUUUAAAAUAUUUUAAAUCAUAUUGUACAAUAGAAAGUUUGAUAUUAUAGAUUAAAUAUUAGUUAAUAUUAAUCCUAUUAUACUAACAAGUGGAUGAAUAGAAGACCUUUUUCCUGGUAUUUAUAUUGAGUUGCAAUAUUAAAAUCAUAAUUUUUUUACCUAAAUAUUACUUUUAUUUUAAACAAAAUUAAACUGAAACUGUACAAUAGACAAAAAUAUAUGUGAUUAAAGUUAAUUUUAAUUAAGGGUAAAUUACACCAACAGUCACUAACUUUGGGGUAGCUAACAAAAUAGUCACCUAAGUUUCAUUUCAAUCACUCAACUUUUGAAAAAUAACAAAACAAUCACUAAUGUUAUAAAAAAGUUACAAAACAGUCACUGAUUAACAGUUUUCAUUAGUGUCUUAGCGGUACCGCUAAUGUGGCAAGUUAACUUGCCAUGUUGGAUGUCCACAGUGGAAACCCAUCCAAUUUAAGAAGAAAUUGAAAAAAAAACCUUUAUAAUAGAGAAGAAGAAGAAGAAGAUUCUGUGAGUAAACAAUAUUCCUUUGCGGAAGCCGUUCAAACAAUGAUUCAACAUCCGCCAUCGCCUCACACUUGCAAUACAUUGUCAAAAGUGCAUUACUUACAACUAUUUCUGAUAAAUACUACAUCUUUACAACUUAGGCAUGAAGCUAUUUUCCUUAUUCGGUAGCCGAAAGGAUUCCACAAACAGACUUGAGUAUGUAUAAGUAUUAUGCUUGUUACCCCAGCUUUCAUAAUUCAUGAACAACCUAAAAGCUUCUUCAAAUAAUCCACAAUUAGCAUAACCAGAAAUUAAACAAUUACAUGAAGCAACAUCUAGACGAGGCAUAUGAUUAAAUACCAUAACUACACUAUCUAUGUCUCCGCAUUUAGCAUACAUAUCAAUUAGACUGGUAUUUACAAACUCAUCUCUAUCAAGUCCAGUCUUUGCAAUCAAACCAUGGUAAGGCCUUCCAAAUUCUAAACAUCCUGCACCACCACAAAACUUUAGAACGCUAAUCAAAUGACUAAUGUCCAAAUCAUUUCUAGCGUAAUCACCAUUUUCCCCAGUUCUAGUUUUACGACGAUAUGUUGACACACCAGUACUAGUUCUUUCAGGCAUUCGAGCAAAUACCUUGCAUUCAUUCUUUAACAGAACUUGUUCUCUUAAUACGCAUGUUGCUUGAAAGUUACAUCUUUAAAGCAAGGUUUGCUGGUUUCUUCUUCUUCCUCUUAAAUUGGGAGGGUUUCCACUAUGGACAUCCAACAUGGCAAGUUAACUGGCCACAUAAGCUAGUUAACUUGACACAUCAGCAGUCCCGUUAAGACACUAAUAGAAACUAUUAAUCAUUGAUUGUUUUGUCACUUUUUAUAACGUUAGUGACUGUUUUGUUAUUUUUCAAAAGUUGAGUGACUGAAAUGAAACCUAGGUGAUUGUUUUGUUAACUACCCUAAAGUUGAGUGACUAUUGGUGUAAUUUACCCUUUAAUUAAUUUUGUACUUUGUUUUUUAAUCAAUCAAGUAGGUAUAUAGGUAUAUUUAUAGUAUUUGUUAAGUAUAUACAGUCGAUAAAGCUAGAAAGGAGGAGAUAGGAAAGAGUGUUAGCCCAUUGCCCAAAGUAAAGGUCAUUAUCCUUAAUGAGUGAUACCAAAGGUGAUUGUUUUUUACAACAACUUGAGAAGAAAUUUCCAAGAAUGUCACUCUUGACCCUGUCCAAUGACAAGAGGUUACAUAUUUUAUUUUAAGUCAUUCAACAUACAAGGAGAAUUAAUAUCACAAGUCUAAUAAUUAAUUAUGCUAUUAAUACAUGUGAAUACUUUUAGACAUUUGAGUGAAAUAUCAAAUGAAACUUUCAUAACAAGUCAAGUUAUAUUUUAUAAAAUUUUGAAAUUUUUUAAUAAUUAUUAAAUUUUUUUGAACUUCCUGCAGUUCUGCCUUUGUUCUAUUUUUCUUGGUUUUAAUUUUUGUGAUUCAUAAACUUGAAGAAUAUUGAUGAAUGAUUUAAUUUUGGAUUUCAAUGCCCAACCCAUGAGCUAAUUUUCUUUGGGGUUGGAAUUAUUUGGGUGAAUACUAAAUUAUCUGUAAUGCACAUGAUAUGAUUUUGAUUAAAGUCUUUGUUUCAUUCGAUAAUUGUUUAUUUGGAAUGCAUGCAUGCAAGCUCUAGACAUAGUUGACUACAUGUUAUGUUCUUAUAUUUAGAUCUGAAAGGAUUAAUUACAUCAGAUUAUUAAUCAAUUGAUAUAAACGAGUACUCGAAAGAAUAUUUGCAUCACUCUAAACAUAGAAGGUGCGAUCUAUAUAGGUGAAGAAUGUUAGUGUGAUUAUCAUUCAUCCGUCUUGUAGACAUGCAUAGACUCUGAAUAAUAACUAAAGUCUAACUCUCAAAAGAAGUAGACUAUAGUAGUAAUUCUCUGGGCAGUAGUUUAUUCAAAAUUUUGCCAUAGCAAUAUUAUGUUAUGAACAUAUUUACCUGAGUAAUUCCAACCUUUAUCAUUAAUCAACAGAAAUACUCACUACUUGUUUUUCGUGAAUUGCCACAAAAUUUUGAUUAUUUUGUCAUUUAUCAUUUAUAAUUGAUAUUAUUAGUUCAUCCAUUAAUUCCCUUCACCAAUUUAUACUUUGCUUCUUCUGCACAGGUUCAUUAGUUAAAUCUACAGUAAUACUUACCAAUUCUAAUCAAUAUCCGAUCCCUGUGGAGAUGAUACUCACUCAUCAUUAUAUUACUUAAAUCGACGUGUAUACUUGCACAUUUUCAUUACACAAUCACUCUCAACAAUAACUUUCCCUUUAUUAUUUUGAUUCUCCAUAAUUAAAUUCCUAUAAGCCAAAUCACCGUCUUAAUUAGAAACUGUGCUAUUCAGAGCCCUAAAUCUAGAACCUUUAGUGUUUUUUGCCGAAAAUCCAGUACCUUUUUUAAGUAACCCCCUUGAUUUUCACAGUGAUUUCCUCUCAACCAACAUCCAUGGCCCAAACAAUUGGUGCUCCUCCCUCGUUGUAACAACGACCAUUUUUGCAAAUUUUGACGGCAGUGUUUCCUUUACCAUGUUGACAUCGUAGACUUUUCCAAGAAAACUUCCUUAAGAUGCCUAUAAUGCCUAUAAUGAAAACAGACCUUAGGUAAAAACACAUACUCUAUUUUUUGUAUUUUGCCAUUGAUGAGGACUUGAGAAACUAGAGGUUUGUCAAGAUUAACAUAUACAAGCAUACGGGCAAAGUGCCUUUUUACCUUAUUAUUUGUAUUCAUAUCCAGUUUAGCAACUCUCUCGAUUAAACCUCUUAUUGCCAAAAGAAAUUUCCAUUUAUACAAGUAUCCUGGCAGUCCGAGGAGCUUGAUCCAAGAUAUGAAAAUGCUAGGAAAUUGUUGUGAAGGAUUGAAGGACAUCGUCCAAGGUUGAACAGUCAGGUAUUCUCCGAAUAUGAAAUAAGGACUUUCAAAGAGAAUCUUUUCACAAUCAAGUUUGUUUUGAAAUUUGGCCAGAAAAUAGCCAUUUUCGAUGUCUAUCAAUUUAAACUGAGAUGAUGGCUUCCAAAUGCUGUAAAUUUUACUGUGAAGAAUAGAGUAACCAAUAUUUCGGCCUAGAAGUUUCACGACAACUAUAUUUUCCAUGUCCCUAAUGAGCAAUUAGUGGAUUCUGUUUGAAAAAUCUAUUGAAGGUUUACUAGUAACAAUAGAUUUUUGUAUAUCUCCGUUCAUUAUAUCAAAAUCUUUAUCUUCGUCUAGCCCACUUAUAUUAGCCUUGGAAGGUUGCCCCACUAAUUGUUUUUUCCAAGAGGGUAAUGUUUUAGUAGAAACAUGAACGUCCAUAUUUGUAUCCACCUCUUCAAGUUUAUCCCUAAAACAUACCUUUUUAGGAAUCAAAACCUCCAUGGGUGAGUUUCCAAUACUAUCUUCCUAACAGAGAGAGUUUCCAGAAAGAGAAUCCAUAUGAGAAUGUCAAUUCUUCGUCCACAAGUUAAUUUUAAAUGGCAACUUAUGAAAUAAAAAAAAAUCAUACUCAAAUCAACUUUAAAUUUUAGAUACAUGUUACAGACAUCCUCGUUGGUUACGAAAUUUGUUAAGAAAAGAUGAGCUGAUGAUAUUGAGUGGCACUCAAUCAUGUUAAUUGUAGAUUUCUAUUGAGGCGAUUAAAUAUUUGUUUUAUUUGAUUUGAAAAUUUAAUGAAGAAAAUUUUUAGAAUUAAUGUAUUAUUUUAUUGAAGAUUCUACGAUCCAUUUAUGUAAACCAAUUCUUAGCAUUUGAAGAUUGGAUUGGAUUCGUGUGAAUAAAUUAAGUUCUUGAAAUGUAGUGAUUUGAUAAAGAUAGUAUUACUAAUUUUGGAGAGUAUAUCUUCGAUUGAUUUUACUUUGAUUAUUGUGAUUGUAAGCUAUUUUCAAGGAGUUACUUUGUAUUUACUUAGAGUCUAUAUUAGGAAGCUGAGAUUAAUACAUGAUUUAAGACUUGUUUAGGUUUUGUAUGAAACAUUAUUGAGUGUAUUCUAAUAUUUUCAUUGAGGAACUAUAUUGUGAUAGAGUGCAAACUGUUAGGGGAAGAUUUGGAGGUGAGUGUUCUAGUCUCUAGGUACAAAGGUGAGGUCUCUAUACUUGUAGAGUGAUAAAGUGUUAAUCACUUGUUGUAUUUACGAAGAAAGAUAGGGAAUUACUCAUUGAGAUAGGGAAUCACUUGUUGUAUUUAUGCAUAUUGUAUUGUUACUAAUUAAAGUAAUGAGAGUUGUCAUUUUUUCUCUCAACCAAUUUCUCUUUUUCUUCUAUUUUUCAUCUUUCAAAGAUAAAUUUUCGUUGUUUUUUAUCUUUGAAUGCUAAUAUAACUCAACAAAUGGUAUCAAGAGCUUGUCAAUUUGAGGGCCUUUGCUGUGUGUUGUUUAUUUGUGUGUUAUAUACUUGAAAGAAAAAAAAAAUAGAAGCUAUUUUAUUGGUUUCUUGGUUGCUGCAAAAAAAUGAGUUUCUCACCACCACCACCACCACCUCCACCUAUUUUUGCUAGUGAAAACUAUAACAUUUAGACUGUGAAAAUGAAGACAUACCUACAGGCUCAUGACCUGUGGAGUGUUGUUCAAGCUGACGCAGAGCCACUACCUUUAAGAGCUAAUCCUACCAUAGCUCAGAUUAGGCAUCAUAAUGAGGAUUAUGCCAAAAAGUAUAAGUCUAUGUCAUGUCUUCAAAAUGGAGUUUCAGAUGUAAUUUUCACAAGGAUAAUGGCUUGUGACUCUCUAAAGCAGGCCUGGAAUAGGUUCAAGGAAGAGAUUUGAGGGUCAGAUAGAACUAGAUAAGAGCAGUUGAUCAACUUGAUGAGGGACUUUGAGAAUCUUAAGAUAAAAGAGUAUGAAUCUCUUAAGCAUUACUCUGAUAGGAUAAUGACUACAGUUAACAACAUUAGGCUUUUUGGAGAUGAUUUCAAUGACAAAAGAAUAGUUGAAAAGGUCAUUACAUCCCUUUCAGAAAAGUAUGAGCAAAAAAUUUCUUCCUUGGAGGACUCUAGAGACCUAUCAACAAUAUACUUGACAGAGCUGAUAAAUGCUCUUUAUGCACAAGGGUAAAGAAGGCAAACAUGAUAGAGGAGCAUUCUGAAGGAGCCUUUCAGGAUAGAUACAAAGAAAGCUCAAGCUAUAAGGGAAAAAAGCCUUGGUCUGAAAAGAAAGAUAAGCCAAAGAAGGAUGUUGGAAAAAGAAAGUUUCCACCAUGCACUCACUUGGUUAAGAACUAGUGAGUAGCCAUGAUCAAUAGAUGUUUUGUUUUGGAUGUAAAUCAGAUGGAUAUAAAAGCCUAUACUAAUAUACCUGAUGGAUCAUGUUUAUGGCACAAAAGAUUUGAGCAUGUGAACUAUAAGUCAUUUGGUUUGCUGCAUAAAAUGAGCCUAGUUGAAGACAUGUCCAAGGUUAAUGUUAAGGAUAAAGUCUGUGAAAUCUGUCAGCUAGGAAAGCAAGUCAGAUUGUCUUUUCCAGUAAACAAGGCAUGAAGAGCUCAAAAAAGCCUUCAAUUGGUCCAUGCUAUCAUUUGUGGACCUAUGAAGACCUCUUCAUUGAAUGACAAUAGGUAUUUUAUGUUGUUCAAUAAUGAUUGUACCAUAUUUUGUUAGGUGAAUUUUUUGAAGUAGAAGUUAUAAGUGGCUGAUUUCUUUGUAAUUUUAAGGCCUUAUCUGAGAAUCAUACAAGUUGUAAGUUGAAGGUAUUGAGAUCAGACAAUGGGACUGAGUAUGUGUCUCAAAAGUUUCAGAAGAUUUGUGAUGAAGCUGGAAUUCAACAUCAGUUAACCACCAUGUACACACCACAACAAAAUGGUGUUUGUGAGAGAAAGAACAAAAUUGUCCUUGAUAUAGCCAGGUGUUUGUUGUUUGAAGGCAAAUUGCCUAACAAUUUUUGGGUCAAGGCAGUAAAUACCUUAGUUAUUUACUCAACAGACUGCCAACAAAUGUAGUCAAAAGCAAAACAUCAUUUGAAGCCUGGUUUGAACACAAGCCUACUGUCUCACACUUGAAAGUGUUUGACUGUUUAUGCUACACACUUGUACCAACUGAAAAGAGAACCAAGUUAGAAAAAAGGUCAAUGCCUAGAGUUUUUGUUGUCUGUAGCAGCACAAAGAAAGGGUACAAGGUCUUUGAUCCAUCCACUAAAAGGAUUGUUGUUUGUAGAGUUGUGAAGUUUAAUGAAGGCAGCUAUUGGAAAUGGGAUGGAACAGAUGCAAGCUGGUCUGAGCAAGACCAACAAGAUCUUGAUUUGCAGCAUGUUAAGAAUGAAGCUCAAAUUGAAGGAAAAUAUGAUGAUAUAUCUAUCAGAGGUACAAGGAUUAUCACAGACAUCUAUCAAAGAUGUGAUAUGACCAUUGUUGAGCCUUCCAAUUUUGAUGAGGCUGCAAAGGAGGACUGUUGGAGAAAAGUAAUGCAAGCAGAUGAAUAUUGAAUUAUCUGUAAUACCCAUGAUAUGAUUUUGAUUACAGUCAUUGUUUCAUUCGAUUCUUGUUUAUUUGGAACCCAUGCAUGUAAGCUCUAAACAUAGUUGACUACAUGUUAUGUUCUUAGAUAGAUUUGAAUCUGAAAAGAUUAAAUACGUUGGAUUGUUAAUCAAUUAAUGCAAGCGAAUACUUGAAAGAAUAUUCACAGCACUCUAAACAUAGAAAGAGUGAUCUGUACAUGUGAAGAACAUUAGUGUGGUUAUCAUUUGUGAGUCUUGUAGACAUACACAGACUCUGAAUAAUAACUAAAGUCUAACUCUCAAAAAAAGUAGACUGCAGUAGUAAUUCUCUGGGCAGUAUUUUAGUCAAAAUUUUGCCAUGGCAUUAUUAUGUUAUGAACAUAUUUCCCUGAGUAAUUCCAACCUUUAUCAUUCAUGAGCAGAAAUACACUCUACUUGUUCUUUGUGAAUUGCUACGGCAUAUAGAUUAUUUUGUCAUUUAUCAAUUAUAAUUGAUAUUAUUAGUUCAUUCAUUGAUUCCCUUCACCAAUUUAUACUUUGCUUCUUUUUUUUUGCACAAAUUCAUUAGUCAAAUCUACAGUAAUACUUACCAAUUCUAGUUAGUAUCCGAUCCCUGUGGAGACAAUACUCACUCAUCAUUAUAUUAUUUAAAUCGAUGUGUACACUUGCACAUUUGCAUUACACAACACGCAACAAUAUAUUUCCCUUUAUUGUUUUGGUUCUCCAGAAUUAAAUUCCUAUCAACCAAGUCACUAUCUUGAUUAGAAAUUGUGCUAUUCAGAGCCCUAAAUCUAGAACCUUUAGUAUUUUUUGCCAAAAUUCUAGUGCUUUUUUUAGGUAAGUCCCUUGAUUUUUGUCGUGAUUUCCUCUCAACCAACAUCCACGGCCCAAAUGAUUGGUGCUCCUCCCCUAUUGCAACAACAAAACAUUUUUGUAGAUUCCGAUGGUGUUUCCUUUGCCACGCUGGACAACGUAGACUUUUCCGAGAAAACUUCCUUAAGAUGCCCAUAAUGCCUAUAAUGAAAAUAGACCAUAGGUAAAAAAUAAUACUCAGUUCUUUGUAUUUCACCAUUGAUGAGGAUUUGAGAAUCCAGAGGUUUGUCAAGAUUAACAUAUACAGGCAUACGGGCAAAGUGCCUUCUUACCUUAUUAUCUAUAUUUAUAUCCAGUUUAGCAACUCUCCCGAUUAAACCUCCUAUUUUCAAAAGAAUUUUCCAUUUAUACAGGUAUCUUGGCAGUUAGGGGAGCAUGAUCUAGGACAUGACAAUGCUAGGAAAAGGUUGUGAGAGAUUGAAGGACAUUGUCCAAGGUUGAACAGUCAUGUAUUGUCCGAAUAUGAAACAAGGACUUUCAAAGAGAAUAUUUUCAUAAUCAAGUUUAUUCUGAAAUUUGGCCAAAAAAAUAGCCAUUUUCGAUGCCAUCAGUUUAAACUGAGAUGAUGGCUUCCAAAUGCUGUAAAUUUCAUUGUGAAGAACAGAGUAACCAAUACUUCCGCCUAGAAGUUUCAAGACAACUAUAUUUUCCAUGUCCCUAAUGAGCAAUUGGUGGAUUUUGUUUGAAAAAUCCGUUGAAGGUAUACCAUUAACAAUAGAAUUUUGUAUAUCUCCAUCCAUUAGUUCAAUAUAUUUAUCUUCAUCUAGCCCACUUCUAUUAGCCUUGGAAGGUUGCCCUACUAAUUUUUCUUUCCAAGAAGGUAAUGUUUCAACAGAGACAUCAAUGACCAUAUUCGUAUCCACCUUUUCGGGUACUAUAUUGUGACAGAGUGCAAACUGUUAGGGGAAGAUUUGGAGGUGAGUGUUCUAGCCUCUAGGUACAAGGUGAGGUCUCUAUACUUGGAGAGCGAUAGAGUAUGAACCACUUGUUGUAUUUGGGUAGGAUUUGAAUUUGAAUGAGAUACAAUUUUGUUUUACAUCUUGCAUCAGAAAUUUGAGAGUAAUUAUAUAUUUUGGGGGAAAUUAUAGAAAAAUUUGCUCUCAAGCGUGAAUGACAAAGUCAGUCAACCAUGGUGUUGCUCCUCCUUCGCCUUUCUUAAUGUAAUUUUGUUGCAAUAUGUGGACACUAAGUUUGGGAUGAAAAAUCAUAAUUUUAGUAAUACCAACUUAAUAAAAUAUAUUAAAUUUUAAUUUUAAUUUUAAUUACUUUAUUAAAAUUUAAAUAAUUUUUUUAUAGUUAACUUGUAAUAUAAAGUCAAUAAAAUAUAUAAUAUAAAAAGAAAUUAUUGAAUAAAAGAAAUACAUUGUUAAUACAAUACACCAAAUGACAAUAAAGAGAACACCAUUAAUUUGUGAGAAGGCGCCUUUUUGGAUCUUGAUUUAAUAUGGUCAGAUGAAAAAUUUCGUAGAUAAAACCCCAACUAUGUGAGAAUCCGAGUCAUAAUCUUGUGGAAAAUUCGACAAUUAAUGGAAAAGUUUGUCAAAAUACUAGAAAAGUCUUGGGGCCACAAAUUAAAUCAUCUUUAAAUUGUUAAACCAAAUUAAAGAUGGAACCGUCAUUGUCAUGGGAUCAACAUCUUGUUACUAAUACUCUAUAGGGAAUAACUUCAAGUCAACGCCAAUUUAUAAUCUUGGUAAUAUAUAUGAGUAAUAAUUUUGUUAAUUAAUUACUACUUUUAUUAUCGACAAUUUUGCUAAUCAAUUUUAUAUUAGCACUUAAUACACCUGCACCAUCUUUUAACAUCAUGCAGUUUUGGAUUCAAAUUAAACUGAAUUAAAAAAAAAUUCAAGCAAUGCAAAGACUUUUAACAAUGGCAACAUAUUAGACUGAUAAUUACAGAUAAAGUUUAGGUGAAUUUUUUUUAGGUAUUGUUUCGCUUCAUGGUUGUUUACUCAGUUAUUUUCUUGAUUUGUUCUUUAUCGUGUUCUUUAGUUAAUUUAAUUAGUUAAUUUAUUAAGUUAAUUUUAGUUUUUAAUCAAUCACUCGAAUUUAUUGGUUAAAUAAUAGAAAGACGGUAAUUACUAUUACUUUUAGUCUUCGUGGGAAUGAUAUUUUUGCUCACCGUAACUAUACUAUUAAUUGAUAGGUGCACUUGUCUUUGUCAAAUUUUUAGUUGGUUUAUGACUACAAUCAUUAUCAUAUGUGUAAUGUCAUAUUAACUAAUUAUUUUCACACAUUACUGACUAAAAAUCCAAUUGAUGAAUUAAUGAUUGUUAUUAGUGUAAAAACUGAAAUUUGAAAACAUGAAAAGUAUAGAGUCUUAGAAUGACCCAAUUGAAGAAUAUAGAUUAAAUCUAAAACCAUACAUAUAGUAUAGGACUAGUAAUUGAAUUUAACCAAACGAAUUUAACUGUUAUUGUUUGGGUUAGGACUAAAAUUUCAAAAUUCUAAAAGCACAAAGAUUAAAAUCAGUGUUAUGAAAUAUUUAUGUGGAUGUUAUUAUCAACUCCAUAAGUUAUAAAACUCUUCCUAUACCCCAUAAGUUAUGAGAUUUUUCCUAUACCCUAUUAACAUGGGAGAUAAAAGGUCAUGACCCUUUACAUGCCCUAUAAUAAUUAGAGAGUUACUUUUAACCCCUAUAUAUAUGGGGCUUACGUACUCAUGAAAGAUAAUAUAUAAAAAAAGAAGAUACACUCUCUCUUCUACAUUCUCUCUACACUCUUUCUUCUAUCACAUUUUAGUUAAUUCUUUCUUUAUUAUUUCAUAACACGUUAUCAGCACGAGUCUCUAAUACAAGAAAUCAAGGCCAACAAAUUUACCUUAAAGAUUGCCGAAGAACGCUUCGGUGAAGUAAGGGUAACAAGUUGAUCUAUUUCAUUUGCAUAUGUGUUAUUUCAUUUGCAUGUUAACAUACUUUAUUUUACAUUAUUGACUUGUAUAUUUUGUCUUAUAGUUUUAUAAUGUAAAAUCUUACAAAACUCGAAUUUGUGGCUUUGGACAUUAUUGGAAAUAACUAUUUAUCAUGGGUACUAGAUGCUGAAAUUCACUUAGAUGCAAAAGGUCUUGGUGAGACUAUUAAGGAGGGAAAUGAAGAAAGUACACAAGAUAAGGCCAAGGCCAUGAUUUUCCUUCGCCAUCACCUCCAUGAAGGUCUAAAGACCGAAUAUUUGACUGUUAAGGACCCUUAAAUUCUUUGGGCCAAUCUAAAGGAAAGAUAUGACCACCAGAAAACUGUGAUUUUGCCUAAAGCUCGUUAUGAGUGGCUGAAUUUAAGAUUGCAAGACUUUAAGUCUGUUAGUGAUUAUAACUCGGCCAUGUUCAGAAUCACUUCAAAAUUUGAAAUCAUGUGGAGAGAAGAUUACUGAUGUAGAAAUGUUAGAAAAAACAUACUCAACUUUCCAUACAAAUAAUGUUGUCCUGCAGACACAAUAUCGUGAAAAAGGCUUCUAGAAAUAUUCUGAAUUAAUUUCUUGUCUCCUAGUGGAGGAGCAAAACAACGAGCUACUAAUGAAAAACCAUGAAUUACGCCCAACUGGAUCUGUUCCAUUCCCUGAAGCGAAUGUGAAUUUACACAAUGUGCAAGAAUUAAAAGAAACACACCAUGCAAAUAGUAGUGUGCGUGGCCGUGGUCGUGGCCGCGGACAUAGAUAUGGAUAUGGUCGAGGUGGUCAUUUUAAAUAUUCACAUUCCUACCAGAAGUGGGAUCGGAAAAAUGGUAAUAGGGAAGAGAAAGAAAAAGGUGAAAAUGUGACUAAUGUAUGCUAUCGUUGUGGAGGAAAAGGACAUUGGUCUCGUGUGUGUCGCACACAAAAGCAUCUAGUUGAUCUUUAUCAGCAGUCCAUAAAACAGAAGGGAAAGAAAGUAGAAACCAAUCUUGUGUAUAAAGAUGGCGAAGGUGAUUUUGAUGAUGGCAAUGCAACCCACUUAGAAGUGGCUGAUUUUCUUUCUACCCAUGAAGGAAAUUAUUAAGGCCACAAAUUUCGAUAAAUAAUAAAAUAAACCUCUACUAUUCUAUAUUUCAUUUAGCAACUUUAAUAAUGAUGUUAUGACCUUUACUAGUGCUAUGUUUUAUGUGAUAAUUUUGUUUUAUAGACCUUUUAGUAAUUUGAACUUUAAAUACAUGUUUUCACCAUUAUGUGUGACAUUUUGUGGUUAUUUUGUUUCUUUGAAGAACAUUAUCUCACAAAGGCAAUCAGCUAUGAAUGGUGAAAAUAUAUGUCUAGCAGACAGUACAACUACUCACACCAUAUUGAAAGACAAGAGAUAUUUUUCUCAUUUAAUAAUGAAAGAAGAAAGUGUGAGCACUAUAUCUGGUAGUACAACUAUUAUAGAAGGCUCCGGAAAAGCAAUUAUUUUAUUACCAAGGGGAACAAAAAUUGAAAUUAUUAAUGCAUUAUACUCCCCUAAGUAUCAAAGAAAUUUAUUGAGUUUUAAAGAUAUUAGCCAAAAUGGAUAUCAUAUUGAGACUUUAAACGAAGGAAAAUGUGAAUUCCUUCAAAUUACGAGUAUUGCUCAAGGCAAUAAACAAAUUGUUGAGAAAUUUCCUGCAUUCUUUACUGGUUUGUACUACACAAAGAUCAGUUCUAUAGAAACACAUGCUAUAGUAAACCAGAAGUUUACUAAUGACUUUGUUCAUUGGCAUGACCGGUUAGGCCAUCCCGGUUCAAUAAUGAUACGAAAAAUAAUUGAAAAUUCAUGUGGACAUUUAUUGAAGAGCCACCAGAUUCUUCAAAACAUUACAUGUGCUGCAUGUUCACUGGGGAAAUUAAUAAUCCGACCAUCACCAGCUAAGAUAAAUAACGAACCACUUACUUUUCUUCAGCGAAUUCAAGGGGAUAUAUGUGGGCCUAUACAUCCCCCAUGUGGACCAUUUAGGUACUUUAUGGUUUUAAUCGAUGCAUCGAGUAGAUGGUCUCAUGUAUCUUUAUUAUCAACUUGCAACCUAGCGUUUGCGAUAUUGCUUGCUCAAUUGAUUCGAUUACGAGCCCAUUUCCCAGAUUUUCUUAUUAAGACCAUCCAUCUUGAUAAUGCUGGUAAAUUUACUUUUCAGUCUUUUAAUAACUAUUGCAUAUCCAUUAGAAUAAGUGUUGAACAUCCUGUAGCUCAUGUUCACACACAAAAUGGUCUAGCAGAAUCUUUAAUAAAACAACUUCAAUUGAUAGCAAGACCAUUACUUAUGAAGUCAAAACUCCCAAUCACUACUUGGGGGCAUGCAAUUUUACAUGCAGCUGCAUUAAUUCGCAUCAGGCCAACAAGUUAUCAUAAAGUCUCCCCCUUACAAAUAGUUCAUAGUCAAGAACCAAAUAUUUCCCAUCUAAGAACAUUUGGAUGUGCCGUAUAUGUUCCAAUUGCUCCAUCACAUAGAACUAAGAUGGGACCUCAAAGAAGGUUGGGUAUAUAUGUUGGAUUUGAAUCCCUAUCCAUAAUUAAAUAUCUAGUCAAUUUUUCCAACAUUAGGGGGAGAAAUCAAACAGCUGGAUAAGAAAAUUUGUUGGAAAGAGUUGUCAUUAGCUCAUCUUGAUCCUCGAACUAAGCAAUGUGAUUUAGAAGUUCAAAAGAUUAUUCAUUUACAAAAUAUAGCUAAUGAAUUGCCAGACGCAUUUUUUGACCCAAAGAAAGUGACUAAGUCACAUAUACCAGCUAUGAAUGCUCCAAUAAAACUUGAUGUCCCAGAAGGAAAAAAUCUAGUUGCUACUGAGUCUAAUAUACACCUGAAGCGUGGUAGACCAAUUGAUUCCAAAGAUAAGAAUCCUCGAAAAAAGAAAGGAGCAAAGAUUAAUGAUGACGAAAUCAAAGAAAAAAUGAUUAUACUGGGAUCUUUAGAAGAGACUAUAGACAUGACUGGAAGAAUAGUUUCAGAAGAAAAUCAGGUACCUGACAAUGAAGAGAUCUCUAUUGAUUAUGUCAUGUCCGGUAGAAAAUGGAACCGAAAUCAAAUCGACGUCGAUGAUAUUUUUGCAUGCAAUGUAGCACUAGAUGUUAUAAAUAAUAAAGAGGAUUAUGAACCAAAAUUGAUUGAAGAAUGUAAACAAAGAGAUGAUUGGCCAAAAUGGAAAGAAGCAAUUGAAAAUGAAUUGAAAUCGCUAGCGAAAAGAGAAGUGUUUGGACCUGUAGUCCGUAUACCUACAGGUGUGAAACCAGUGGGAUACAAAUGGGUUUUUGUGCGUAAAAGAAAUGAAAAGAGUGAAAUUGUAAGGUAUAAAGCACGUUUAGUUGCACAAGGAUUCUCACAAAGACCUGGAAUUGAUUAUGAGGAGACAUAUUCUCCUGUGGUGGAUGCAACUACAUUUAGAUUUUUGAUAAGUCUGGCUAUAAGAGAAGGGCUUGAUUUACGCCUAAUGGAUGUAGUAACAGCUUAUUUGUAUGGCCAACUGGAUACUAACAUUUAUAUGAAACUCCCUGAAGGAUUUAAACUGCCUGAAGCAGUGAGUUCAGGUUCUAGAGAACAUUAUUCGAUCAAAUUGUACAAAUCCCUUUAUGGAUUGAAACAAUCCGGACGCAUGUGGUAUAAUCGCCUAAGCGAGUAUUUGUUGACAGAAGGAUACAAGAAUGAUCCAAUUUUCCCAUGCAUUUUCAUUAAAAAGUUUGGAUCUGGAUAUGUAAUUAUUGUAGUAUAUGUUGAUGAUUUGAAUAUCAUUGGAACUCCUGAAGAGAUCCAAAAGACUGUUGAGUGCUUGAAAAAAGAAUUUGAAAUGAAAGACCUUGGAAGAACGAAAUUUUGUUUGGGGUUACAAAUUGAGCACCUAAAAGAAGGAAUCCUUGUGCAUUAAUCAACGUAUAUUGAAAAGGUGCUAAAGAGAUUUUAUAUGGAUAAGGCACAUCCAAUAACUACCCCGAUGGUUGUAAGAUCACUUGAUCCAAGUAAAGACCUUUUCCGUCCUCGGGAAGAUAGUGAAGAUUUUCUUGGUCCUGAAGUGUCAUACCUCAGUGCAAUUGGGGCAUUAAUGUAUCUUGCUAGCCAUACCUAACCUGAUAUAUCUUUUUCUGUAAAUUUUCUAGCAAGAUUUAGCUCAUACCCAACUCGGAGACAUUGGACUGGAGUAAAACAGAUAUUUCGUUAUCUCCAAGGCACAAACAAUAUGGGUUUAUUUUUCCCUAAUAAAUCCAAGACAAAGUUGAUUGGUUUUGCAGAUGCAGGAUUUAUGUCAGACCCUCAUAAUGGAAAAUCAAAAACUGGAUAUGUUUUUACAUAUGGAGGUACUGCAAUCUCUUGGUGCUCAAUGAAGCAAACAAUUGCAGCAACCUCGUCUAAUCAUGCAGAAAUCUUAGCAAUCCAUGAAGCAAGUGGUGAAUGUGUAUGGCUAAGAUCUAUGAUCCAGCAUAUAAGGAAUAAUUAUGGAUUAUCAUCUGGAAAGGAAGCUACAACUGUCUUGUUUGAAGAUAACACAGCAUGCAUUGAUCAGCUCGAUAGUGGAUACAUCAAAGGUGACAGAACAAAACACAUUGCACCAAAAUUCUUCUUCACUCAUGACCUCCAAAAGAUUAAGGAGAUAAAAGUUAAGCAGAUCAGUUUAAGUGAGAAUUUAACAGAUUUAUUCACUAAGGCACUUCAUACAUCAGUAUUUCAGAAGCUUGUUUACUACAUUGGAAUGCGUCACCUUUGAGAUCUCAAGUGAUGUAGCCAUUAGGGGGAGUUAAUACGCGCUGUACUCUUUUUCCCUUAACCUUGGUUUUAUCCCACUGGGUUUUCCAGGUAAGGUUUUUAAUGAGGCAGCAUGUAACACCCCAAACCCAGCCUGAAAGUUUGGCUCGAAUCUGGCAUGUCACAUUGAAGUGUUUUUUGAAAGCCAUGUUUCCAUUAAAAACCCUUCUUAAUAAUUAAAAAUUUAUACCAUUUUUAAACCUUGUUAGAAAACCUCAGCUGAAUAACAUUCUUAACAACCUUGUAAAAAUCUGGGCAGUUGCGGAAGCUUAAUUUAAAAACAAUUGCGGAUACGUAAUGUUUUGAACAACAGUAGUUGCUUUAGAAAACCAUGUUCUAAUACUAGCAAUUAUGAGAACAAUAAAUAAAAUUCUAAAUUUGAAAUCCAGAAAAUUAGAAUGGCUUUUCUACAACCCACAUAAAAACAUUUAAAAGUAAUAAUCAAAACUGUAACAUAAACAGUGUAUGUGACUUCCUCCGAGCCCCUCGUAGCUUCGAUCCGUCUAAGGCUAGAAAUUACCUAAAAGGUUAAUAAACGGGGUGAGUUUACGAAAACUCAGUGUGAAAUCCCCUACUAUAUAAGAGGAACAGUCAGUCAUAUAAAAGAAUUAAAAGUCUGGCCCCAGCCUUACUUACAGUUUCAGUACCAAUUCGGCCUUAGCCCAUUAUAACAGAUAGUACCAGAUGGGCUUUAGCCCAUUACAGAAUAAAAAAAAUAUUAUCAGAACUAGAAUCAAAAUGAGAAUCAGAAUCAGAAUCAAGUGACAGAAUCAGAAUCAGGAUCAGAAUUAGAAUUAGGUGACAGAAUUAGAAUCAGAAUGUGAAUCCAAUAUCUUUUACCAUUGUACCCAAUACAGACUUCAGAAUUAAGCCCACAGGCCCAUAACAAAGACAAAACAUAUAUUUCAUGUAUGCAGAAAACCCAACCCAUAUCCAUCUGUAUACACCCCUGUACCAACCUUAUACCAUGUGGGGAGACAAAUCGACCCACCCAUCCGCUACACGCCACAAAAUUUGCAGCAUGGCUGCCAAAAUAGAUAUUGUGACAAAGUUAUCAGAUACAAAUAUUUGUGGUAGAGCCAUCAGAAUCAGAUAAUGUGGCAAAGCCACUUAACAGAAUACGUGGCACAAAGCCAUCGAUAACUGUAAUAACUUUGGCUCAUAGCCAUCAGUGACGGUAAUAUAACUGGCGCACAGCCUUCGGUAAAUAUGAUCAACACAGAGUCGUCAACAAAUAUGUUAGGCAUAUAGCCACAGGUAAAUACGUUUGGCACAAAGCCAUAGUCAAGAUGGCACAAAUCCAUAUUUAGGUUGGCACAGAGCCAUCAAUAAUUGGUCUAUAAUCGGCACGAAGCCUACAAUAACGGCACACAGCCUUCGGUAACAUGAUCGGCACUCAGCCAUCGAUUGGUCAAUAGAUAUUGAGACAAAGUCACCAGAUACAGAUAUUGUGGCAGAGCCACUAGAACAGAUAUUUGUGGCAUAGCCACCAGAAACAGAUAUUUGUGGCAUAGCCACCAGAAUGCUUCCUCUAUCAAUAUAACCCAUAUCCCAUGCAACAGAUACACAUGUCAUGGCAUACAACAUACAGAAUCAGAAUAUCAUGCUCAUAUUUGAAUCAAACAGUCACAGUCAAGUCAUUUAUAUCACCAACAUAUAUUCACAAUCAAAUCCGUCAACCACACAGUCCAAGUCAGUCACUUGCGCACAAGGGCAAAAUAGUCAUUUAACACCCUAGGGGCAAAAUGGUAAUUUUACCCCACAAGGGUAUCUCGAAAAUUUUACCCUACAGGAGUAUUUUAGUAAUUCUAUCCUACAGGGGUAUUUUAGUAAUUCUACCCUACAGGGGUAUUUCAGUAAUUCUGUAAAUCGAGGGUAAAAUAGUAGUUCUGUAAACUAAGGGUAAAACAGUAAUUUUGUAAACCGAGGGUAAAAUAGUAAUUUUAUAAAUCGAGGGCAAAAUGGUAAUUUUGUAAAUCGAGGGUAAAAAGAUAAUUCUGUAAAUCGAGGGUAAAAUAGUAAUUCUGUAAAUUGAGGGUAAAACGGUAAUUCUGUAAACCAAGGGUAAACCAAUAAUUCUAUAAAUCGAUGAUAAAACAAUAAUUUUAUAAAUCGAGGGUAAAACGGUAAUUCUGUAAAUCGAGGGUAAAACGGUAAUUCUGUAAAUCAAUGGCAAAAUAGUAAUUUUGUAAAUCGAGGGUAAAACGGUAAUUCUGUAAAUUGAGAGUAAAACAGUAAUUCUGUAAAUCAAUGGCAAAGCGGUAAUUUUGUAAAUCGAGGGUAAAACGGUAAUUUUGUAAAUCAAUGGCAAAACGGUAAUUUUUUAAAUCGAGGGUAAAACGGUAAUUCUGUAAAUUGAGGGUACUUUGGUAAUUUUACAAGUCGAGGGUAUUUUAGUAAUUUGGUAAACUAAAGUAUUCUAAACAGGGAUAACAAUACGAAUGGGCCUAAAGCCCAUUCUCGACCCAAAUGGUCCCACACGCUUGUGUGGCCCUUUUAGCCCAAAUCUAGCUACAGAUAUGAUAUUCACCUAGCCUAGUCCAAUAUUUACUACACAAUCAAACAACUUAUCCAAUUAGGCUCGUAGGCCCAUUAGGCCCACAAGGCCCCUUUCGGCCCAUCGCGGCCCGAAGUAGCCAUGCUACAGCUAGAUUAGUGAGAAAUACACACCUGAUAGGAGACUGGAGUUAAUCCGCGCUCCGAGCACUCUUAGCCGAUGCCCAACCCAAACGAGCACGCCAUAAAGUGAAAGGGAUCAGCCAAGAAAGGUACCUUUACUCUCCUCGUGGUUCUCUCUAUUUAAAGCUAGCUUCGCAUCCACUCUUAUGUUAGUUUCCCGAUAUGGGAUCCCUCCAUCAUCAGAGUUUAAAUUCAACACCAACUCUUGCCGCCCCCCUGUUAGCAAAAUAAAUGCUCUUUGAUUGCCAUGAGUUUCGAACCCUGGACCUCCUUUCCAACUCUAUGACGCCACCUUCCUGCCUCUUAUGUGGCGCUACUUUGCCACUAGACCACAAUGCAUUUUGUGGCACAGUUUCUCCAACAAUAUUCUUAAGGCCUACAUACUACACCUAGGGUUUGAUUCACCUUGAACCAAAAUUUUUGCUAGAGUCUAGGUUUGAACCCAAGACUUCUCCAACACUUCUCAGCACACUUAACCACUAAAACAAGCCUUCAUUAACGAAAUUUACAUGCACAAAAAAAUACUAUAAGCUGCCUUCAACCGCUCCCAUGCUCAAGGCCCAGAACUUCUAGGCCCAAAUUCAAGGUGUUAUACAGCAUAUCAAGCGUAUAUGUCGAAACCAUUUUUAAAUCGAGUUUUGGAAAAUGGGAAUCGACUUUAAGAAAAACAAAAACGGGAGUCGCCACCAAUCUUUUUAGGUGUGAUUGGAUCACCUUAUAAAAUGUUUUGUUUUAAAACAUUAAUUUUGGUCUACGAAAGUCGAGAAAAUGGAUUCAGGAGUCGGUUAUGUACAAGGAAGGGUUAGCACCCUCGUAACGCCCAAAAAUUGAUACCUAAUUGAUUAUCAAGUGUCUUUAAUGUCGGAAAUUUGAAAGUUUUAAGAUGCAAACCUCUUUUAAUUAGAAUGUCUCAAUUUUGAAAAUUAAGGCUCACUUAUUUCAAACGAGUCAAAACAUCACAUCUAGUAAGUUAGGACGCAACAUUUUAAAACCUUCGAAACUAAGCUCGUCUUUCAAAAAUUUCUAUCUCGAAACAACAGAACGCCAUAUCCAGUAAGUUAAGACACUAUGUUUUGAAAUCUCGAAAUAAUUGUUUAAGUUUUGAAAACUCAAAAUCACUUAGAAGGGUGCUUGACUAUUCGAAUUCAACGAGAAAAGUCGCAACCCAGUAAGUUAGGGCACUACCUUUCUCGAAGUUUCCAAACAUCAAGCAUUGCCUUUUAUUUUUUUUUUAAAAAAAACCUUGCAAUAUUAUUUUAAAUGACGUUUUAGGAUGACAUAUUAAUGCAUCAUGAAGCAUAGAUGUACAAAAUAUUCUAACAUUUCCAUACAAACAUAAAUAAUAUCAUUAAGACAAAACUAAAUAACAUGAACAUACGUUUAAUGAAAAAAAUCAUACUAGGGUAAAUAUAAUAUAAUAAACAAAUAAAAACAUGAGUAAACUAAAAGAAAAACAUAAUACAUGCAAAAAUUAUACAACAAUAUAUAUCAUAAAAUAACACAUAAAGGAAAUAAUUAAACAUAGCAUAUAAAAAAAAUGAAACUAUGCACAAAUAAGAUAAAUGACAUACACUAAAAAAAUGAAUAAAUAGAACAUUUACAAAUUAUAAAAAUAUAAUGCAAUAGUUCAAAAUACAUGAAAUGAUAAUAUAAUAUAUGUAUACAUGCAUAGAAAAUAUAUAUUUAAAAAUAAACUAUAUAAAAAGGUUAAAUAUUAUAAUAUAUAAAAUACAUAAUCAAAUGUAUAAAAGAUAGGAAUAAAUAUACAUAUUUCAAAAAUGAUGAAAUUAAAAUAAAAAAAAAGGUUGAAAAACUAAGAUAGACGAAGAAUAAAAUAAGAACAAACCACAGAGAGUAAGAACGCAAGAGGGAGAGAAACUUGAGUGAAUGCUCUCAAGAAUUCUUAUUGCUUCCCAAAACUCAAGUGAUUUACAAUGAAGGGAGAGGCCUCUAUUUAUAGUUGAGCCUCCCCAAAUGCAACGGUACAGAUCAAUUACAUCAACGAUCAAGAUUAAAGGAUAUCUACAAAUUAAAUCUCCAAGAUUACAAGAUCAUAUCUUCAAGAUUGCAUAUCAUAUCUAAGAUUGCAUAUCCUUAAAGAUUAUAUUUCCAUAUGAGUCAAGCUUAUAGAUGGACCAUAAAUCUUUUCAAGUAAUGGGCCAUUCUGAUUGGGCCAAAUUAUAUGUUUGUAAUUUUGUACUGGACUUGGACUUUGUUUUAUUUUUAUUUUUUGGGGGUUUAUUAUUUUAAAUACUGAAAUGGGCCGGGCAAAAAUGGGCUAUUAUAGCUGCCCCUCUUUGCUCAUUGUCAUGUAACGAGAAUAGAGCAAAGACUAUAAAAAGACCCAUUUUGCCCGGUCUCAUCAGCUUCAGACUUCAUGGUCCUCAAUCUGCUCCUUGAAAACUCAGGAUUGUCAUGUUGAUAUCUUCGAUCUGCUCUCCAUCGAACACAGAGAUGCCAAAUUAACUUUUUUGAUUUGUUCCCUGUCAAUACCAAGAUGCCAAAUCAUCUUGGAUCUGCUUCGAUGUAAACAUAUGAAGGUCAGAUCUGCUAUGUCUUUAAUCUACUCCCCAUCGAAUAUGGAGAUGCCGAAUCUACUAUCUUCAACUUGUUCCCUAUAAACACAGGGAUGCCAUGCUGAAAUAUUCGAUCUGCUUCACUGUAAGCACAGGAAUGUCAGAUCUGCUAUGUCUUCGAUCUGUUCCCUGUAAACAUAGGGAUGCCAAAUCUGCUACCUUCAACUUGUUCCCUAUAAACACAGGGAUGCCAUGUUAAAAUCUUUGAUCUGCUUCGCUGUAAGCACAGGAAUGUCAGAUCUGCUAUGUCUUCGAUCUGUUCCCUGUAAACACAGGGAUGCAAAAUCAUCUUGGAUCUGCUUCAAUGUGAAAAUAUCCGAAGGUCAGAUCUGCUAUGUCUUCGAUCUUCUCUCCGUCGAAUAUGGAGAUGCCAAAUCUGUUUCUUCAAUUUGUUCUCUGACAAUAUAGAGUUGCAAAUCAUCUUGGAUCUACUUCAGUGUAAACACCUGAAGGUCAGAUCUGCUAUGUCUUUAAGCUGUUCCCUGUAAACAUAGGGAUGCCAAAUCUGCUAUCUUCAACUUGUUCCUUAUAAACACAGGGAUGCCAUGCUAAAAUCUUCGAUCUGUUCCCUAUAAACACAGGGAUGCCAAAUCUGCUAUCUUCAACUUGUUCCCUAUAAACACAGGGAUGCCAUGCUAAAAUCUUUGAUCUGCUUCGCUGUAAGCACAGGAAUGUCAGAUCUACUAUCUUCGGUCUGUUCCCUAUAAACACAGGGAUGCCAAAUCUGCUAUCUUCAACUUGUUCCCCAUAAACACAGGGAUGCCACGCUGGAAUCUUUGAUCUGCUUCGCUGUAAGCACAGGAAUGUCAGAUCUGUUAUCUUUGAUCUGUUCCCUAUAAACACAAGGAUGCCAAAUCUUGCUUCUUUGAUCUACAUUGUCCCAUAAAAGACAUAACCUGUAGAAUGCGUAUGAGUUCAUGCCUAAUAAUUAGGAUGCUAUGAUCGAAGUGAGUCAAAUUCUCCUAAUUAGACAUGUUAUAAAGCAAAAUGUUAUGAAUAUGAACCCUAUUUCGGACGUCAUCACUCAUUCCCUCAUUGAAGUUUUAUCUUUAUAUUUCUUGAUGCAUCAAUCAUACUCUGCUCGUAUGCUUUGAAUCAACUUGGUCCUAUUGUACCAUUCUCUGAAUAUUGUGACCCUGCUGGAGAUGCUUGUGAAAUGGUCCUCUCUCAGGAUCGAAUCGUUUGAAUUAUCCAAUCAUCAUUUAAAAGAAAUUUCAGUUUCCCUGAGUACAUCCGACCCUCACAUAUAGGAAUUCCCUAAACAAUUGUCCUGUUUCAGUUUCUUGUAUUAUCUAAAAAUUUCUAGAGUAAUAUGCAAAACUUCGUUUGUAAAGAUAUUUAGUUCAUCAAUCAUUAUUUCUAUGCAACACACUUUAUGAAUAAUGGAGGACGAAUAAAUAGAUCUAGAGGAUAAUUAAAUUUGAAUGAAUUUUUCAAAAAUACAAAGGAAAUUAAUCUGAUAGCUUAUAUUUGGGAAGAAAGAGAAUCUAAAGAUAACAAACAGGACAAAAUUUAGAUGCCCUAGAUAUCGCCGCUUGAGCGUUUAUACACCAGCUCCAUGAAGACUUUUUUUUUAGUUUAACUUGUGUUUAGAAGACCCAAAGUACUUUGUUGAUGCCCCGAUAUGUAACAUACUUUACUUCUCGUCGAAUCCGGUAUAGCAAGGUCACUGCAUGACUUUCCAAAUUUGAGCUGCCCUUUCGGGUUUUCAACUCAAAACCCCUUUGGUCUCAAGGCGCCCUUUGCAGAUUUUCACCUUGGCCUCUCCAUUUUAUUCUUUCUUUUUUCUCUUUUUUCUUUUUAUUUUCUUUUUUUUUGAAAUAGAAGUCCAAAAGUGCCCUUUGCGGGUUUUCACCUUGGCUUCCCUUCUCCUUCAAACAAAGUACUCCUUGACCGAGUCCAAAUUCACUGGAUCAGAUAAAUUCUUCCUAUCCAUUUCUUGUCAAAAAUUAGUGCACCUCUAGAGAAAGCCCUCUUCGCAACAUAUGGCCCUUCCCAAUUCGGCAUCCUUUUGCAUGGGAAGGAUCUCUUUCAGCACAAGGUUUCCUUUAUGAAAUUCUUUUGGACGAACCUUCUUUGUCAUAAGUCUGUGUCAUCCAUUCUUGGUACAUUUGCUUAGGAUGAAUACUUUCAAGUUAAGUUUACUAGAGGUAUUCAAUUCUUGACUCCAUCAAAGCUUGGAGGAAAAAUCUUGAUUCAUAAACCCAAGAGAAAGGGAUUGUCCCAGUAGCAGUCCUGGCUGUUGUUUGUCAAACCCUACAAAAAGAUGGUUCAAUGAUUCUCAGCAGACAAGAAUGAAGUUGCUGACUUUAUCCUUCAACCUGGAAAGCUGAGGUACAGAGAUUACUCACGGAGCAUACACCCCACCAUGAAUCGAUGAUGUUUCUGGAGCAUCUCUAAUCUUCAUAAAUUGCCUCCAACUGUGAAGCUGCCAAAUGAGCGUAGCAAAUAGGAGCCACAACAAAUAUGGCUGUGGUGCUCCUUUGAUACAUAUAGGAUAGAGAAUGAACAAACUCUUGCAGAUCAUCAGCCGAAAACCCAGCCUGGUUUAAGAGAACAAGAUAAUGGGUCUGCCUCGUGAUUCUAAUCAUUCCAGCAUAGGUACCAAGGUAAAAAUCAUUGUUAUUUGGAUGGCCUACUUUGUUGUCAAUGACAGUACCAUGUAACACAUUGUCAGGAGAUCUCUGCUGAAAAAACUUGGUAUGAUGGUUUUUCGUACAACAAUAACGACAAUUUUUAGGGUUCCAGUUCUCGUCAAGGAACUUGCAAGCCUCAAUAACUUGAUCAAAACUUGAUUGAAUUGAGACUCACUAACCCCAUCACUGAAAAUAAUGAUUUGAUCAGGUUUCCUCUUCCCUGAACUUGUAUAGAAGUCUAAGAGAGCUUCCUUCAUGGUACCGUCAUCCACUUUGUCAGAAACUAGUUUUGAAAAAAGAAUCUAUCAUUUUAAGCUUCAGAGACUGUGUAUGGCCUGAUGCCCCAUAGCUGGAAAUCAAUGGCCAUCGCUUGGAGCUAACCAUCACAGCUAUUGAUGGCACAUCAGACUGCUCAGGAAAGCCAAACAAUGCACCCAUUCCAAGGAUGAUGGUUGGAACCUUUGAAACAGCUAAAAUUAAAGGUGUUUGCCCCAGCGUAAGCAUAGAGAGUAGGUGGUAGUUUCUUAUGCCAAUUUUUACCAGUCUCGGUCAUCUUCUGUAAUUUGUUUUUUUCUUCUUUUUCUUUUCUUUUGGCAACCUUUGUUGUACUGUGGUAUGGCGCAUUAUCUUUGAAAAGACUGCAAACUUUUGGCAUUGUGCAGUUAUAUAUAAUCUUUUUUUUUUGAAAUUGAUGACUUUUGACUUUGUAAUAUUGGCAUAUGAAGCUAUCUCCCCCUCUUAAUGGAGUAGUUGACGUCCACAAAGAGAAGUCAUUGUCAACUUGAAACUUUUGACGAGCUCGGGCCCAUAACAUACAUGCCCCAUAAGUCUUGACUCCUUUAAAUUUGGCAUUCAUUGUACAAUUGAUGCGAUCCCUUUUCCAUGGUGGACCAACAGUGCCCCAAAACCUCAUGUUUAUCCUGGCAAUUGCAAAUCCUCCUGCAUGCGUCUUUGGACCACAUUUUUGAAUUCCCAUAAUAGUCUCAACAAGAUCUUGUUUUGUCUCCUCAGCUAAUUCUAAUUUCGCAAUCUUUCCUUCCUACUAUAAGGCUAUAUUUCCUGCCACCACUUCAUGGGGUAAAAACCAUUUUCAACAAAUUCAAAAACAAGUCACAAUUUCUGUCACCUUCAAAGUACUGAGAUUCCUCUAAACACAUAUCGCACUUAAAAGGAACUCUAAAUCUAUAGUAUCGUUGCCCGUGUCAUUGAUAUCUAGGGAUCUAUGAUAGGCACACAAAAGAAUAUACAAGGAAUAAAUGAAUUCAAGAAUGACUAUUUACAUGAAAUGAAAAUUUAUAAAGAAUAUCACAGGUCAAAAGAAUCAGAAUGAAAGAAUAUUUACUCGGAUAAAUAAUAAAAGUAUGUUUUAUUUAAAAUAAAAAUGUUUGAACAUGAGCCCACUUCUCAAAAGAAAUCUCAUUACUCUUAGGCUUUAGAGUAACAAGAGUGUUCUGAAUAUUACUCUGUAAAAUUCCUAAAGAUUAUACGAAGUUCUUCUGCAGUCCAAUUGUUUAAAGAACUUCCCGGUUCGUAAGGGCGAAUGCCCUCAAGGUUUCUUUGUUCAAUCCCUUCCUCAUGUAUGACAUUGAUGGGAUGAUUUUCAUUUCCAAACACCCCCUUCUCUGGGUAAGCUAUCCCUCCUGACACAAAAGUCGAGGAUAUAUAAGGGAACGUCGUUAAUUCCCAUUCAACUUCUUUUUCACUCAGCCGUGACCCUCUUCUCUCUCUCUGUCUUUUUUUUCUCUUUUUAAUAACUUUAACUAAUUAGGGUCUUUUUAUAAUUUUGAAUGCAAAUGAUGCCAUGAAAUGCUAUAAGAUGCAAAUGAAUGCAAAAGGUAUCGAUCUCGAUUCAAUCUCAUUUAGAAAACUUUAUUCAGAAAAAUAAUAUCUUACAUAUAAAUAGAUUACAAAUACGCUUUCGCCCUAAUGCUUAAAGUUUUAACAACAAAAUAAACUCUUGGCCACGAUCUGAUUGUAGCUCAUAUUGGUGCUCAAUAUGUCAGCCUGUGCCGCCAAUGUCUGUAAAUAAUCAGCUGUCUCCUGAGUUUGAGAUAUGACCUCACCUAUGGGGUAAUCCGUGCAGCUAAGGGCACCUCCUCCAAUACCUGUGAAGUUGUUCUGAUUAUUUUGAGAUAGAUUAGCGAACAGGUAGGUAUCCCGUUCUGCAGCGUGCUACCUUAAAAUAAUAUCCUAUAUCCUCAAUGUUUCUUGAGAGCUUUCAGAUUUCUACCCAUGCAGAGCAUCCUGCCUCGGUACCUUCACAGCAUAGCUAAUCUCUAAAGGUCUUUGUAUGAUACGGUCUUCUUUAAUCACUUUCUUUCACGCGUACUUGAGCUAUCCAGGCCAUCGGGGCUUGCAUUUCCAUUGUUUCUGAUAAGUACAACAGUAAACUCAAGCUUGUUGUUUGGUAGCGGUCCUAUAGUAAACGAGAUUUUUACCAUCAUAGGCAAAAUUCUUUCCAUCCAACUCAUUUUUGUAGGUCUCAUGCACUCUAUCAAUCACUUUCCUUCCAAUACCCUUACCAUCCACAUGGCAACCGUCUUCAUAUGAAAGAGAAAUGCUAUAAUGGUAGAAGUGUCCAUCAAUACUCCCACACUCACUUUGAAUUGCUCAUCUAUCCUCCUGUCAAGUAAAUACUGCAAGUCCCCUUAGUUAUUGUAGAACAACUGCUUGGCUUUAUUACUCCAUUGAUCACAUAUUUUCUUUAACUCCUGGAGAUUAUUUUGCACCACGCUGAUGCGAGUGUAACCCCAUAAUUCUGAUGUGUAUCCUUCAGUGUUUCCUUUGACCAUUUAUGGACGUUAACGUUGCCCUCCUUUCUAUCAAGAAGUCCGUUCUCCAUAAUAAAAUUUUCUAACUUAGAAACUGACCGUGAAUCUAUACCUUUUAAAUGCAAAAUGACAUGCACAAAAGAAAGAAAACAGUCAGUAUCAUAUGAUAUUAAGAUAACCUAAGUAUAAUUCUUUCAAUAUGGAGCUCUUACGGUUUUUCUAUAUGUGGUUUGUUUCUAAAGUUUGAGGUACUUGAACCAGCAGAUUCCUCGAUCCUCACCCAUUAUAGGCUCAUUUGAAUCGAGUUCAGUUCAGGGGAAUACAUUUCCCUAUGGCUACACGGAGAUGAAAAUCUCACGAAACCAUAGGUACGAAUGUAUCCCGAAAGUGAUCCACUAUCCUGCACGGAGGCGAAAACCUUACGAAGGCGUAGUUUCUCACUCCCACUUAAGGGUGUGACCACAACGGUCAUGCAAAUGCAAUGCGUAUCGAAAUAUAUAACAUAUGCAAUAAUACAAACACAUGUAAUGCAAAGAGGAUUGAAUUUUAAAAUUUUUCAAAUUUUUGACAUUAAGACAAAAGGUAAUCAAUUAUACGGAUUGACUCUCUUAUUGGUCCCCAGUGGAGUCGCCAAGCUGUCGAGACCAUUUUUAAAUGAGUUUUGGAAAAUGGGAAUUGACUUUAAGAAAAACAAAAACGGGAAUCGCCACCAAUCUUUUUAGGUGUGAUUGGAUCACCUUAUAAAAUAUUUUGUUUUAAAACAUUAAUUUUGGUCUACGAAAGUCAAGAAAAUGGAUUUGGGAGUCGGUUACGUACGAGGAAGGGUUAGCACCCUCGUAACGCCCAAAAAUUGGUACCUAAUUGAUUAUCAAGUGUCUUUAAUGUCGAAAAUUUGAAAGUUUUAAUAUGCAAACCUCUUUUAAUUAGAAUGUCUCAAUUUUGAAAAUUAAGGCUCACUUAUUUCAAACGAGUCAAAAUGUCACAUCCAGUAAGUUAGGACGCAACAUUUUAAAACCUUCAAAACUAAGCUCGUCUUUCAAAAAUUUCUAUCUCGAAACAACAAAACGCCAUAUCCAGUAAGUUAGGACACUAUGUUUUGAAAUCUCGAAAUAAUUGUUUAAGUUUUGAAAACUCAAAAUCACUUAGAAGGGUGCUUGACUAUUCGAAUUCAACGAGAAAAGUCGCAACCCAGUAAGUUAGGGCACUACCUUUCUCGAAGUUUCCAAACAUCAAGCAUUGCCUUUUUUUUAAAAAAAAAAACCUUGGAAUAUUAUUUUAAAUGACGUUUUAGGAUGACAUAUUAAUGCAUCAUGAAGCAUAGAUGUACAAAAUAUUCUAACAUUUCCAUACAAACAUAAAUAAUAUCAUUAAGACAAAACUAAAUAACAUGAACAUACGUUUAAUGAAAAAAAUCAUACUAGGGUAAAUAUAAGAUAAUAAACAAAUAAAAACAUGAGUAAACUAAAAUAAAAACAUAAUACAUGCAAAAAUUAUACAACAAUAUAUAUAAUAAAAUAGCACAUAAAAGAAAUAAUUAAACAUAGCAUAUAAAAAAAUGAAACUAUGCAUAAAUAAGAUAAAUGACAUACACUAAAAAAAUGAAUAAAUAGAACAUUUACAAAUUAUAAAAAUAUAAUGCAAUAGUUCAAAAUACAUGAAAUGAUAAUAUAAUAUAUAUACAUGCAUAGAAAAUAUAUAUUUGAAAAUAAACUAUAUAAAAAGGUUAAAUAUUAUAAUAUAUAAAAUACAUAAUCAAAUGUAUAAAAGAUAGGAAUAAAUAUACAUAUUUCAAAAAUGAAGAAAUUAAAAUAAAAAAAAGGUUGAAAAACUAAGAUAGACGAAGAAUAAAAUAAGAACAAACCACAGAGAGUAAGAACGCAAGAGGGAGAGAAAUUUGAGUGAAUGCUCUCAAGAAUUCUUAUUGCUUCCCAAAACUCAAGUGAUUUACAAUGAAAGGAGGGGCCUCUAUUUAUAGUUGAGCCUCCCCAAAUCCAACAGUACAUAUAAUUACAUCAACGGUCAAGAUUAAAGGAUAUCUACAAAUUAAAUCUCCAAGAUUACAAGAUCAUAUCUUUAAGAUUGCAUAUCAUAUCUAAGAUUGCAUAUCAUAACUAAGAUUGUAUCAUAUCUAAGAUUGCAUAUCAUAUCUAAGAUUGCAUAUCCUUAAAGAUUAUAUUUCCAUAUGAGUCAAGCUUAUUGAUGGACCUUGAAUCUUUUCAAGUAAUGGGCCAUUCCGAUUGGGCCAAAUUAUAUGUUUGUAAUUUUGUACUGGACUUGGACUUUGUUUUAUUUUUUUGGGGGGGGUUUAUUAUUUUAAAUACUGAAAUGGGCAAGGCAAAAAUGGGCUAUUACAGUAUAAUUAUGUACUCUUUUUCCUUCACUAAGUUUUUGUCCUACUGGGUUUUUCUUAGUAAGGUUUUAACGAGGCAUAAUUAGAUAAUGAACAUCCAAGAGGGAGUGUUAUGAAAUAUUUAUGUGGAUGUUAUUAUCAACCCCAUAAGUUAUAAAACUCUUCCUAUACCCCAUAAGUUAUGAGAUUUUUCCUAUACCCCAUUAAUAUGGGAGAUAAAAGGUCAUGACCCUUUACAUGUCCUAUAAUAAUUAGAGAGUUACUUUUGAAAGAUAAUAUAUAAAAAAAGAAGAUACACUCUCUCUCCUACAUUCUCUCUACACACUUUCUUCUAUCACAUUUUAGUUUAUUCUUUCUUAAUUAUUUCAUAACAAUCAGCUAAUACAUAAAGUACCAACAAUUUCUCUUAGUAAGUGGGUGACUCUUUGUCAGAUUCUUAAUUUGUUCCUAUAUUGAGAGUAUUUCAGAAUAAUAAAUGAUUUCACAAGUCAGUUUAGACCCAUAUUGUCUUAAGUUUUAUUUGUUUUGUUUUGUUUUUUUGUUUAAUAAGUAUUUACUUUUAUACAUUUUUGUUUGCUCUUAUAGCACGUUUUUUAGUAUUGCUUAUGCAUGUAAUCUUACUUUUGCAAGUGAUUUUAAUGAUAGUUUUGUCGUCAUCCUCUCCAGUUUGGUAGAUGCUUGGUUCUUUUUUUUUAUUUUGCCCAUUUCUUUGAACUAUCCGGGGUUGAUUUCCUUAUCGUGAUAGUUGCUUGCAAUCACUCUAGAUAUGUCGUGCUUGAGUUGUGACAAAGUUAGUUGUUAGCAUGUCAUAAUGUACUAUUGAUGUUGAGGUUGAAGCCUUUGCCAUGUCGAUGGAGCUUGUUCUUUAUCGAUGACGAUGAUUGUUUGUUAUUUUCUCUUUUACUUGAAUUCUAUGGUCUCAUUCAUGGAAUGAAUUAAUGAAUUUUAUCUUUAAAAAAAUUCAUUUUUAGAAUUUUGAGUAAACUACACUCAAGGUCAUUAAACUAUUAGUAAGCUUAUGUUUUGGUCACUGAACUUUAAAAAGUUACAAAAUAGUGAUAUCCAACACUGAUCGUUAGAUCGGCUUGGAUCUGAUGUAUGUUCUUCUACUCUUUGAUGGGUACUGACCCUUUUUAUCGAUAAUCAAAUUCUCGCUUGGAGUUGCUAGCCGGUCAUUUUUUUAAAAAAAUUAAUAGUUUGGUGACUUAAAAAAAUUAGAAUAGUUCAGUGACUUAAAUUAAAACUUUCGAAUAAUUUAGUGACCAUUUUGUCACCUUUUGAAUUUGAAUAACUAAAAUGUAAAGUUAUUAAUAAUUUAAUUGUAGCACCCCAAACCCGGCCCAGAAGUUAUGGCCGGAUCCGACAUGCCACAUCAAAAACGUUAAAAAAAAUUUCCAUUCUAAGUCCAGAAAAUCGUACUUGAUGUUCAAAAGAUUAAUUCAUUAAGGGUUAAAGUGAAUGGAAGCUGUGCACCAGGUAGGAAACCGGAAAAGAGGUGGUGAGUCCAUCGGACUGCUUAAGUACCAAGCUCCCUUCGGAUCCAAUCCUAGACAUGCAUACCGCCAUUGCCACACCUUAACGUCAUGGAUAUUUCUAGGAAACCGAUUUGAUUAAGUCAUUUUUAGGAAAAGUGAUUAAUUUUGGAAAAUACGUUCAUUGCGGAAGCUUUGCUUGUUGUUGUGUUAUUUUGAAAUCAACUAUUGUUUUUGAAAACGCGCCCUAAAGCUAUCCAAUUUCAACAGUUAAAAUAAGUAUUACCUAUCUUUGUAAUACAUAUUAAAAUCAUCAAAAAUAAUUAAGCGGCCUUAUUACAUUUAAAAGCCCAAAAAUUCAAACGUAAAUAAAAGGAUGUCCAGUUCACCAGAAGAAAAUCAAACUUUCAGAACGGGUGGCCACUCCGAAUUCCCUCACAGCUCCAAGCCCACUAUGGUUGGGGAUUUCUUGCGUGGAUGAAAAUAAAAGGGGUGAGUUUGGGGAAACUCAGUGUGUAAAAUAACCCAACAAUAGCCUAUAUCAGCUCAAACCACAAAAAUAGAAUAAGUUGGCCUUAGCCCAGAACAGAAUUCAGAAUAAAGCCCAUAGGCCCAUAACAGAACAGAACAGAUAUUACAUGUUUAUGCAGAAACCCAACCCAGAUUCAUCCAUAACACCCCCGUACCAGCGUUACACCAUGUGGGGAGACAACUCGACCCACCCAACCGUUACACACCACAGAAUUUGCAGCAUGGCUGCCAGAACAGAUAAUGUGAUAGAGUCACCAGAUACAGAUAAUCGUGGCAGAGCCACCAGAACAGAUAUAUGUGGCAGAGCCACCAGAUCAGAUAAUUGUGGCAUAGCCACCAGGACGCUUCCUCCAUAAUAUAACCCAUGUCCCCAUGCAACAGAUAUAUAAUCAUGGCAUACAUCAUACAGAAUCAGAUCGUCAUGCUUUUCAGUCAAAAUUAACCCUAGGGGUAUAACGGUAAUUUUGCACCUAGGGGUAUAACAAUAAUUUUCCAUACAUAGGGGUAUUAUAGUAAUUUAGCUAAUUUUAGGGUUUUCAUGCAUAUCCUAACUAUUUAUGUACUAUCAGAACACUUACCGCGCAUACUUACCGAAUUGGGCCCGUUGGCCCAUGAACCCGAUCUUUGGCCCAUUAAGCCCAAAUUAUCAAAAUGUACGAAAUUGCGCGUACUGCAAUUUAUUACUUUAGAUUACCAAAUAUACAAACCCAACUAUCUUACGAGCAUUCGCACACUCGCAAAUUCCCAAAAUACCGACUUUUUGGCAUUUCGGCUUUUCGGCUUUUGCCAAUCUAGUCUAUGAGAGGGUGUCAGUUACACACCUGUUUGUGACGAUAUGCUGACAAGAUCCACACACGAACCGCCUACAAUUGGAUUACUAACAUGUUAAUCUAACUAUUCAAAUACGAACUAUGUAUUACCCCUUACAAUAUUCGGCCAACCACACCUACAGAUCAUAGUAAGCUUAUAAGAAAUCAAUAAGCAACUCAUUAACAAAUUUUUGUCAAUGUUUACCACAUAAUCAUAAUUUCACUGCAAGCUGUCUUCCUGAGCAACAGUCACUAAAUCAUUUAUAACUGGAGCUACGAAACUCCAAAUCAAGUUCUGUUAAUUUUCGCUGAAAAUAGACUCAUAUAUCUUCUAUUCAUAAAAUUUUAGGAAUUUUUGGUUCAGCCAAUCAAUACCAGAAUUUUCUCAAAGUUUCUCAUGUUUCACUGUUUGACUAAUCUGACCACCCUUCAUUACUAAUCAAAUUUCUCAUUGUACAGAAUUCAAAAUAUGUUCUUGUUUAUUUCAUUAGAAACUAGACUCAAUAAGCUUUAAUUACAUAAUUUAUUCAGCUUCUAAUUCUUCUCUCACAAUUUAUGGUGAUUUUCUAAAGUCACGUUACUGCUGCUGUCCCAAGCAGAUUUAUUACCAAAUCACUCUUUCACACAUACCUUGCAUGCAUGUUAUUUAAACAUGUAUAUCACCAAUCAAUCAUCACAUAUCCAUGAUUUUACUUAAGUAUAAUCUCCAUUUCAUCAUUUUAAAGCACAACAUGUUAGCUGAUUUUUCCCUUUAACAUCUAAGGCACAUGCAUGCUCAUUUGUUUGGCUCAACUUCACCUAUCUUCCAUUUUUCAUCAAAAGAAUAUGAAACAACAACCAUUUCCUUCAUUUUAAUUCAUGACUAAAUGCUCACAACACAACUAAAAAUCAAAAUAUACUUCAAGAGUUAAGGUAGAAUCAAGAAGAACUCAUGAACCUCAAAAUAGAAGCAAGGUACCAAGAACUUACCUUCAAUUUUCCUCCUCCUAAUGACCGAAUACUCAAGAGCUUUCUCCUCUCCUUUCUCUUCUCUAACUUUCAGCUAUGAUGAACAAAGAUGGACAAAACUUUGUUCUUUUCACCCCUUUUUCUUUUAAUAAAACUUCAUAUUUCAUCCAUUUAAUUCUUUAAUACAAAAGACAUGAAAUUCUUAUAAUGAAACAUUUACCUAACCCAUUAUCAUGGAACAUUUACCUAACCUAUUAUCAUGGAACAUUGUCCUAACCUAUUAUCUUGGAACAUUUACCUAACCUAUUAUCAUGAAACAUUUACCUAACCUAUUAUCAAUUUGUAUCAAUUUGUACCAUAAAUUAUGGAUAUCAAGUGUACAUUUUGUCUACAACAACAUGAUGGCUGGCCACUUCAUGUAAAAUGGGAGGUUUUUCAUGCAAAUCCUCCUAUUUUGCACUCCUAUUUAUUUGGCCACUUCAAUUUAGCCUAUAGCAUUUUCAAACAUUUUCACAUAGGUCCUAUUUCAUAAUUUCACCCCCUUUUUCUUAUGGAACAAAAAUUAACUAAAAUUGCCGGGUUCUAUCUUAAGCUUGGGCUUUCUAGAGGCCCACUAACAUAAUUAAACCUAUGCCAACAUUCACAGGAUUCCCAAAAAUUGGGGUGUUACAACUCUACCCUCCUUAAAGAAAUUUCAUCCUCGAAAUUUACCUAAUCCAAACAGAUGAGGGUAUUGCUGUUGCAACGUCUCUUCUGGCUCCCAAACUCAGAAGUUUCCCCUUCCUUAACUUGUUAAAAACGAGAGACCAAAGACUCAUCGUUCAACUAUUUUUCCUUAAUCUGAUCCACCCAGGUUGGCCUCACUUGCAACUCAGCCAACAGACUUCCAUCAUCAUACAGACUCAGAUGAGCAAACAUUGCUCUCAGAUCAGAUAUAGCUCUACGACUUACAGCAUCGGCUACCACAUUAGCCUUGCUUGGGUGAUACUCGAUCGAACAGUCAUAAUCCUUAAGCAACUCAAUCCAUCUCCUUUGCCUAAGGUUCAGCUCCUUCUGAGUCAACAAAUACUUAAGACUUUUAUGGUCAGUGUAUAUAAUACACCUUUCUCCGUACAAGUAAUGUCUCCAAAUCUUAAGUGCAAAUAUCACUGCUGCCAACUCUAAAUCAUGAGUCAAAUAGUUUCCCUCAUGAGGCUUAAGCUAUCGUGAUGCAUAUGCAACCACCUUACCCUCUUGCAUUGACACGCAGCCCAAACCCACGUGUGAUGCAUCACUGUACAAACUAAAAUCCUUCCCAGACUCCGGCUGAAUUAACAUAGGUGCUUCAGUCAGAACUUUAUUCAACUUCUCAAAAGCUUCCUGCUGUUUCUUAGUCCAUACAAACGGUACUCCUUUCCUUAUGUGUUUUGUUAGAGGUGCUGCCAUCACAGAAAAACCUUCCACAAACCUUCUGUAGUAUCCUGCUAGUCCUAGAAAACUCCGUAUUUCUGACACUGACCUAGGCGGUUUCCACUCCAAAAUCGCUUCAAUUUUUCGAGGGUCCACCCUAAUUCCUUCAGUAGAAACCACAUGACCUAGAAAAGCCACAUCUCGCAACCAAAAUUUACACUUGGUGAACUUCGCAAAGAGUUCCUUCUCCCUUAAUACUUACAGCACUAUACGGAGAUGCUCAUCAUGUUUCGUUUCAGUUUCAGAAUAUACCAGGAUAUCGUCAAUAAAGACGACUACGAACUGAUCUAAAAAUGGUUGGAACAUGCGAUUCAUCAGAUCCAUAAAUGCUGCAAGAGCGUUCGUCAGUCCAAAUGGCAUAACCAGAAACUCGUAAUGACCAUACCGAGUCCUGAAUGCUGUCUUAUGGAUAUCCACUUCCUUUACCCUUAACUGAUGGUAUCCAGAUCGAAGGUCAAUCUUGGAAAAUACCGAAGCUCCUCUAAGUUGGUCAAAUAAAUCAUCAAUCCUUGGUAGUGGAUACUUAUUCUUAAUCGUCAGUUUGUUCAACUGGCGAUAAUCAAUGCACAUCCGCAUCGUUCCAUCCUUCUUUUUCACGAAUAGCACUGGUGCUCCCCAUGAAGACACGCUUGGCCUAAUAAAGCCCCUAUCCAACAACUCUUGAACUUGAGCAUUUAACUCUACUAACUCCUUCGGUGCCAUCCUAUACGGUGCGAUAGACACAGGCGCCAUUCCAGGCAACAAAUCUAUUCCAAACUCAACUUCUCGAUUCGGAGGCAAUCUUGGAAGCUCCUCCGGAAAAACAUCUUGGAACUCCUUUACAGUCCUAACCUUAUCCACUGUCAGUCCCUCCUCUUCCGACUGACUUACAAAUACCAAUUAGGCCUCACAACCUUUCCGAAUCCACUUUUCGGCUCUUAAUGCCGACACCACAUUGGAAAAAUAAUCCCUUCUCUCACCUAUCACCAUAACCUCAUCAUCCUUUGUAGUUCUUAACACCAUUCAUUUAGAAGCACAGUCCAGAGUCGCCUUAUGCUUAACAAGCCAAUCCAUUCCCAGAAUGAGGUCAAACUCUCCAAACGGUAACUCCAUCAGAUCUCCAGGAAAAACCUUGCCUUGAAUUUCUAAGGGUAUAUUCCUAUACAGUUUGUCUACCCUAACCGAGUGACCCAAGGGACUUAGUACAGAUACCCCACUCACAAUCUCCUCAGAGCAGUCCAAGUCGUUCAUAAUCCGUUCUGUGGCCUCCAACCAAUUUUUCGCUACAUUUGGGGCUAUACUAGACAUGCCCCUAAAGAUCUCCGCUCUGUUAGCCCGAAGUCGUUCAGAAAUAGAUCCCCAAACUCCAUUGCCCGUACUUGCCCCGGCAACCCUUUCCAGAACACGAAGCAUUGCCUGUGACAGGGCAUCAUCCUCGGCACCACGGUCAUGAGACUCUACCUCUGUUGCCGGUGGUACCAGUGCAUCCACCGCCGGCAUAUGUCUCGAAGACGAAGAUCUCACUCGAGCACUUCCUCGGCUCCGUCCACGGCCUCAUGUACUCAUAUCGUAUUAUCUUGAUUACGAAUUUUUAUGCAUCAAUUAAUAUUCUAGUAUUUAUUACAGAUGUUUUAUGAAUCAGACAGUAGUUCAAAGUUUGUUUUCGUAGAAUCGAAGUCUAGUUACAGUUUCAGUCUCUUAUCAGAUUUUCCUAUGGUUUCAGAAUAAUCCUAUCUAGAGUAUCCUAGUAGGGUUUCAGUACAAACAGAUAAUUCAUAAAAAUAUUCAGAAGAGUUCAGAGUAAUACUUACAGGCUUGAGCCGGAGAUUCGGAAUGCCACCUUCUAAAGAUCUAAAUUUUGAAAAUCAAGUUUUUCGCAUUCUUUAUAAAAUUUUCGCUUUCAAAAAUCUUUGUUUUUGUAAACCCAAUCCACAGCCGAGUAGUUGCAACCUAGGCUCUGAUACCACUAAAUGUAGCACCCUAAACCCGGCCUAGAAGUUAUGGCCGAAUCCGACAUGCCACAUCAAAAACGUUCAAAAAAAUUUCCAUUCUAAGUCCAGAAAAUCGUACUUGAUGUUCAAAAGAUUAAUUCAUUAAGGGUUAAAGUGAAUGGAAGCUGUGCACCAGGUAGGAAACCGAAAAAGAGGUGGUGAGUCCAUCGGACUGCUUAAGUACCAAGCUCCCUUCGGAUCCAAUCCUAGACAUGCAUACCGCCAUUGCCACACCUUAACGUCAUGGAUAUUUCUAGGAAACCGAUUUGAUUAAGUCAUUUUUAGGAAAAGCGAUUAAUUUUGGAAAAUACUUUCAUUGCGGAAGCUUUGCUUGUUGUCGUGUUAUUUUGAAAUCAACUGUUGUUUUUGAAAACGCGCCCUAAAGCUAUCCAAUUUCAACAGUUAAAAUAAGUAUUACCUAUCUUAGUAAUACAUAUUAAAAUCAUCAAAAAUAAUUAAGCGGCCUUAUUACAUUUAAAAGCCCAAAAACUCCAAACGUAAAUAAAAGGAUGUCCAGUUCACCAGAAGAAAAUCAAACUUUCAAAACGGGUGGCUACUCCGAAUUCCCUCACAGCUCCAAGCCCACUAUGGUUGGGAAUUUCCUGCGUGGAUGAAAAUAAAAGGGGUGAGUUUGGGGAAACUCAGUGUGUAAAAUAACCCAACCAUAGCCUAUAUCAGCUCAAACCACAAAAAUAGAAUAAGUUGGCCUUAGCCCAAAACAGAAUUCAGAAUAAAGCCCAUAGGCCCAUAAUAGAACAGAACAGAUAUUACAUGUUUAUGCAGAAACCCAACCCAGAUUCAUCCAUAACACCCUCGUACCAGCGUUACACCAUGUGGGGAGACAACUCGACCCACCCAACCGCUACACACCACAGAAUUUGCAGCAUGGCUGCCAGAACAGAUAAUGUGAUAGAGUCACCAGAUACAGAUAAUCGUGGCAGAGCCACCAGAACAGAUAUAUGUGGCAGAGCCACCAGAUCAGAUAAUUGUGGCAUAGCCACCAGGACGCUUCCUCCAUAAUAUAACCCAUGUCCCCAUGCAACAGAUAUAUAAUCAUGGCAUACAUCAUACAGAAUCAGAUCGUCAUGCUUUUCAGUCAAAAUUAACCCUAGGGGUAUAACGGUAAUUUCGCACCUAGGGGUAUAACAGUAAUUUUCCAUACAUAGAGGUAUUAUAGUAAUUUAGCUAAUUUUAGGGUUUUCAUGCAUAUCCUAACUAUUUACGUACUAUCAGAACACUUACCGCGCAUACUUACCGAAUUGGGCCCGUUGGCCCGUGAACCCGAUCUUUGGCCCAUUAAGCCCAAAUUAUCAAAAUAUACGAAAUCGCGCAUGCUGCAGUUUAUUACUUUAGAUUACCAAAUAUACAAACCCAACUAUCUUACGAGCAUUCGCACACUCGCAAAUUCCCAAAAUACCGAUUUUUCGGCAUUUCGGCUUUUCGGCUUUUGCCAAUCUAGUCUAUGAGAGGGUGUUAGUUACAUACCUGUUUGCGACGAUAUGCUGACAAGAUCCACACACGAACCGCCUACAAUUGGAUUACUAACAUGUUAAUCUAACUAUUCAAAUACGAACUAUGUAUUAACCCCUUACAAUAUUCGGCCAACCACACCUACAGAUCACAGUAAGCUUAUAAGAAAUCAAUAAGCAACUCAUUAACAAAUUUUUGUCAAUGUUUACCACAUAAUCAUAAUUUCACUGCAAGCUGUCUUCCUGAGCAACAGUCACUAAAUCAUUUAUAACUGGAGCUACGAAACUCCAAAUCAAGUUCCGUUAAUUUUUGCUGAAAAUAGACUCAUAUAUCUUCUAUCCAUAAAAUUUUAGGAAUUUUUGGUUUAGCCAAUCAAUACCAGAAUUUUCUCAAAGUUUCUCAUGUUUCACUGUUUGACUAAUCUGACCACCCUUCAUUACGAAUCAAAUUUCUCAUUGUACAGAAUUCAAAAUAUGUUCUUGUUUAUUUCAUUAGAAAAUAGACUCAAUAAGCUUUAAUUACAUAAUUUAUUCAGCUUCUAAUUCUUCUCUCACAAUUUAUGGUGAUUUUCUAAAUUCACGUUACUGCUGCUGUUCCAAGCAGAUUUAUUACCAAAUCACUCUUUCACACAUACCUUGCAUGCAUGUUAUUUAAACAUGUAUAUCACCAAUCAAUCAUCACAUAUCCAUGAUUUUACUUAAGUAUAAUCUCUAUUUCAUCAUUUUAAAGCACAACAUGUUAGCUGAUUUUUCCCUUUAACAUCUAAGGCACAUGCAUGCUCAUUUGUUUGGCUCAACUUCACCUAUCUUCCAUUUUUCAUCAAAAGAACAUGAAACAACAACCAUUUCCUUCAUUUUAAUUCAUGACUAAAUGCUCACAACACAACUAAAAAUCAAAAUAUACUUCAAGAGUUAAGGUAGAAUCAAGAAGAACUCAUGAACCUCAAAAUAGAAGCAAGGUACCAAGAACUUACCUUCAAUUUUCCUCCUCCUAAUGACCGAAUACUCAAGAGCUUUCUCCUCUCCUUUCUCUUCUCUAACUUUCAGCUAUGAUGAACAAAGAUGGACAAAACUUUGUUCUUUUCACCCCUUUUUCUUUUAAUAAAACUUCAUAUUUCAUCCAUUUAAUUCUUCAAUACAAAAGACAUGAAAUUCUUAUCAUGAAACAUUUACCUAACCCAUUAUCAUGGAACAUUUACCUAACCUAUUACCAUGGAACAUUUACCUAACCUAUUAUCAUGAAACAUUUACCUAACCUAUUAUCAAUUUGUAUCAAUUUGUACCAUAAAUUAUGGAUAUCAAGUGUACAUUUUGUCUACAACAACAUGAUGGCUGGCCACUUCAUGUAAAAUGGGAGGUUUGUCAUGCAAAUCCUCCUAUUUUGCACUCCUAUUUAUUUGGCCACUUCAAUUUAGCCUAUAGCAUUUUCAAACAUUUUCACAUAAGUCCUAUUUCAUAAUUUCACCCCCUUUUUCUUAUGGAACAAAAAUUAACUAAAAUUACUGGGUUCUAUCUUAAGCUUGGGCUUUCUAGAGGCCCACUAACAUAAUUAAACCUAUGCCAACAUUCACAAGAUUCCCAAAAAUUAGGGUGUUACAUUAAUGACCUUAAAUAUAGUUUACCCUAAAAUUUAAUAUUUCUAUCUUUAAACAAAAACAUUAAUCAAAUAUAUAAUAUAAAAAGAAAUUAUUUGGUACUUACUUAUAGAUUUAACUUCAUUAAAAUGACAAUAAAGAGAACACCAUUAAUUUUUCUGAAGGCCCCCUUUUGGGUCUUGAUUUAAUAUGAUCAGAUGAGAAAUUUGGUAGAUAAAACCCUAACUAUGUAAGAAUUCGAGUCAUAAUCUUGCGGAAAAUACAACACCUAAUGGAAAAGUAUGUCCAGAAAAUAGUAGAAAAGUCUUGGGGCCAUAAUUAAAUCAUCUUUAAAUUGUUAAACCAAAUUAAAGAGGGAACCGUCAUUGUCAUGGGAUCAACAUCUUGUUACUUAUACUCUAUAGGGAAUAACUUCAAGUCAACGCCAAUUUAUAAUCAUGUUAGUAUGUAUGAGUAAUAAUUUUGUUAAUUAAUUACUACUUUUACUAUCAACAAUUUUGCUAAUCAAUUUUAAAUUAGCACUUAGUACACCUACACCAUGUUUUAACAUCAUACAGUUUUGAAUUCAAAUUAAAUUAAUUUUUUUAAAAAAAAUUGCAAUUGCAAAGACUUUUUAACAAUUGCAACAUAUAGAUUCCCAAUGAAAAAAAUUCCAUUCCGCAUGAAGAGGUAAGUUUGGAACACAUUUUUAUAUGUUACAUGACAAUAGCUGGCCCCUACAACAAUGGCAACAAGACCUAUAAUGAGUUUCCUUAAAUUCUUAGGUUUGGAAACUAUAACAUAUAUGCUACUACUGAACCUUAAGCUGAUAAUUAAGCUUAUCAAAUUAAACAUUAACCAUUUAUGUUAUUUUAGGCGUAUUAUGGGCUACCGUCCUUCUUUCCUUUGCUACAACCAUGUUUGCAGAAGAUCAAUCACCAUAUGAGUCUGAAGCUAAAGCAUUGAUAAAGAGUGGUUGGUGGAGUAGCUAUAGCAAUGAUAUUGUUAGUGUCUUAAGGCUGCAACUGCUUUUUAAAAUAUAAGACUAAGACCUAAGGAGAUUUGACUAAGUCUUAGGGAGAUUUGUUAGCUUCCUAGUAGGAGUAGGAGUAACAAUUUUAAUUUUUUGUUGAGGUUGUUACUUGAGACUUGUAUAUAAGGGCUGAUUUGUUAAUGAAUUAAAUUAUCCAUUCAUUCAUAUUUUUUUUAUGCUUCAAUUAAUUCUUUGCUAAACAAGUAGUGGUAUCAAAGCUAUUUUUCUUAAGGGACCUGUGAGAAAAGUUUUGUGAGAGUUCUGAGAGAAAAUUGAGAGAUACACUUGUAAGGUUUUGAAGGAAAAUGGAAUCCGGGAUCAAGUAACCUGUCUGCCUUAGCCCCACCUUUGUUUGAUAGAGAGAAUUAUCAAGCAUGGGCCAUGAGAAUGCAAGCAUACAUUAAGGGUUGUGAUUAUUGGGAAGCUAUCAAGGAAGACUAUGAGGUGACUCCACUUCCUAACAAUCCAACUAUGAACUAGAUCAAAAUGCACAAGGAGAGAACCACCAUGAAGGCUAAGGCAAAGGCUUGCCUUUAUGCUUCAGUUUCACCAUCCAUAUUCAAUAAAUUAUGGCUUUUAGAUCAGUGAAGGAGAUAUGGGACUACCUCAAGGCUGAGUAUCAAGGAGAUGAGAGGAUCAAGAGCAUGAAAGAGUUAAACUUGAUCAGAGAAUUUGAGAGGCUACAAAUGAAGGACUUUAAGUCAAUCAAAGAAUACUCGGACAAGCUGAUAGAUAUUGCUAACAAGGUAAGAGUUCUUGGGACUGAUCUCUCUGAUUCUAGAUUGGUGCAGAAAAUACUUGUCUCGGUGCCUGAGAAAUAUGAAGCAACAAUCACCUCUUUGGAGAACACCAAGGACUUGACUAAGUUGAGAGUAGUGGAUUUGAUCAGUAUUUUACAAGCACAAGAGCAGAAGAGGCUAAUAAGGCACGAAGGAAGUUUAGAAAGAAGCAUAGAAAGGGCAUUAAAGGUUAAGAUGUAGCAGAGCGAAAAAGGUGAUGAACAAAAAUGGAAUGGGAGGAAGAGCGAUUCCAAAAUGGUUUAGAAAUUAUUGCAAAAGGUAAUAGUAUUGAAACUUAUAAUAAUUAUUCUUCAUGUAAGUAUUGUGGAAAACAUAAUCAUCCCUAUUUCAGGUGUUGGAGAAUGUGAAAUGCAAAAGGUGCAACUUGAUGGGGAACAUUGAGAGGUUCUACACAGAACUGAGAAAUCAUCAGCAAGUUGGAGCACAUGUUACAGUUAAAAAAGAAAUGAACAACUUGUUUGUCGUCUCUUGCUUCUUAUCAAGCAUUCUAUGUGACAGUUGGUUUGUUGAUAGUGGUUGUACCAAUAACAUGACUUGUGAUGAAAAGCUAUUUAAAGACCUUGACAAGUCAUUGAAUUCAAAAGUAAGGAUAGGAAAUGGAGAAUACCUAGAAGUGAAAGGAAGAGGCAUAGUAACAAUGGAGAGUUGUGCUAGAACUAAGUUGAUUUCAGAUGUUCUGUUUGUACCUGAGAUUGAUCAAAACUUGUUGAGUGUGAGGCAAUUGGUGGAAAAGGGAUUCAAGGUGAUGUUAGAAGUGAGCAGGUGUCUGAUCCUUGACUCUAGUGGCAACAUAUUGUUUAGGAUCAAGAUGCAGAAGAAGAGUUUCUUAUUGAAUCCAUUUGAGGAGGAGCAAGUGACAUCCAAGUGUCAGGAAGGAAUGACUUCAAUGCAAAAAACAAUUAUGAAAUUGAUGACACAAUGUAAUGAAAAGAGUUUUGAACUUGAGAUAAAAUUAGUAGAUAAUCGUAUCCUGUAAAAACAACUGCCAAAUGAAGUGUUUUGAGAAUGAUGAGUCGCAUGCAAAGGUAACUCUCUUAGAGAAGCAGUUCGCAUCUCUCUCUAAUGAUAAACUAUCAUCUUUUGCACAUGAAAUAUAUGAAGAACAUGUUGAUGAGCUACGAAAAAAUUCUAUCUCAGAAGAUCGAGAGUAAUGUACAACUUUUAGAAGAGAAUACUGGGUUAUGUUUCCAAAAUCAAAAGUUUACUGAAGAAGCUUCAUAUGCGAAAGAAUUGACAUCUGUAGAUGUUGUUGAGUUUAAGAAUUUAGUUGAUAAGGUGAUAAUUGUGAGAAGAUUUGUUAAUCAAACCAUAAUUUGUAUUAAUCGCAAGUAUAGUGACAACACAAGACCUUAGAAGAAGGGGCUGCAUUUUGGCCACUCUCAUGACUUUUCUAGAGCAGCUUGUGAUAAUUUUGAAUUAUGGAAUUUUGAUUUAGAUGGAGGCAACUCUUGAAGCUACACUAGUCGAGAAAGAAUUCAUAGAAGGCAAAUAUUGAAGAAACCGGUUAGUCAAUUUGAGUUUCUUAAAAUAAACUUAGUGUCUGCAACACUUGAGUCAGGAGGGGAAUGUUAGUUUCUAAAGGCUACAACUAUUUUUUUAAAAAUAAGACUAAGACUUAAGGAGAUUUAAUUAAGUCCUAGGGAGAUUUGUUAGCUUAGCUUUCUAGUAGGAGUAACAAUUUUAAUUUUUUGUUGAGGUUGUUACUUGGGACUUGUAUAUAAGGGCUGCUUUGUUAAUGAAUUAAAUUAUCCAUUCAUUCAUAUUUUUUCUAUGCUUCAAUUAGUUCUUUGCUAAACAAGCAGUGGUAUCAGAGCUAUUUUUCUUGAGGGACCUUUGAGAAAAGUUUUACGAGAGUUCUAAGAGAAAAUUGAGAGAUACACUUGUGAGGUUUUGAAGGAAAAUGGAAUAGGGAUCAAGUAACCUUUCUGCCUUAGCCCCACCUUUGUUUGAUGGAGAGAAUUAUCAAGCAUGGGCCAUGAGAAUGCAAGCAUACAUUGAUGGUUGUGAUUAUUAGGAAGCUGUCAAAGAAGACUAUGAGGUGACUCCACUUUCUAACAAUCCAAUUUUUGGAGAAAGAAAACACCAUUUUUGGUGCUUUGAAGGUUCGGGUAGGCUACCUUGUGCAUAUCAAGAUAAAUCACGUACGACUCUAGAUCGAGGCAAAGAAAAAGCUUCGAACUAGUCGACUUCAUUUCCUAUGUUUAUAGUUGAGGUAAGUUCGUAUGCUUAAAUAGUAUUUUUAAUUAUGAUUUAAAUGUUAUUGUUGCAUAUUAUUAAAUUGUAUGUUGACGGGAAAAUUCAACGAUGUAACGGCGAUCAUCGACGAAUGAAAAGGGAUGGCUUUGGCUAUUGAUCUAUGAAAAUGGAUAGCUUUGGAUAUCAAUUAUGAAAAGGGAUGGUGACGAUCAUCGAAUAAUGAAAAGGGAUCUCACUUUGUUUCCACCAAUAUUUAGAGAAAUAAAACACCAUUUUUGGUGCUUUGAAGGUUCGGCUAGGCUACCCUUAUGCAUAUCAAGAUAAACCACGUACGACUCUAGAUCGAGGCAAAGAAAAAGCUUCGGACUAGUCGACUUCAUUUUCUAUGUUUAUUAUUGAGGUAAGUUCGUACGCUUAAAUAGUGUUUUUAAUUAUGAUUUAAAUGUUAUUAUUGCAUAUUAUUAAAUUGUAUGUUGACGGGAAAAUUUAACGAUGUAACGACGAUCAUCGACGAAUGAAAAGGGAUGGCUUCAGCUAUCAAUCUAUGAAAAGGGAUAGCUUCGGCUAUCAAUUAUGAAAAGGGAUGGUGACGACUAUCGAUUAUGAAAAGGGAUGAUGACGACUAUCAAAUUAUGAAAAAGGAAAGCUUCGACUAUCGAACUAUGAAAAGGGAUAACUUCGGUUAUCAAUUUAUGAAAAGGGAUACGCUAACCAUCGUAGUAUUACCUCUGUGAGCUUCGGUAAGAGAUUUCAAUGUAGAUUUCAUUAUUCUGAUGAAAGGUAGGUAAUGUGUACCUUUGUGGAAAUUAAGAGUAUGAACAUAUAUAUAUAAGUUUUUGAAUUAGUUGUUCUCAUGUUGAAUUGGGAUAAACAUGCUUUGUGGUUGUUUAAUGUAUUGUCAAAUUUAAACUAUUUUGUUACGAACUUACAAAGUAUGGCAUGCUUACUUUGUUUUUAUUUUUCUACAUUUGUAGUUAUCAGAAGCUCGUUCGGGUAGGAAAUUCAUCAGAGAUCUAUCACACUAUCCAUCGGCUCUUUCGGUACUUACGAAUGUUUAAAUUUGAUUAUAAUGGCACGUAUAGGUAUUUUGGCUAAAGUUGGCUUAUGUGCUUUGUUGUGAAUAUGGCUAUUUAAUUUAGCUUGUGUUUUGACAUAUUUUGGUAUGUAUAUGAGUGGCAUUAACAUGGUAGAUGAUAUGCUUGGUAUGGUUGAAUGAUGGAAGAUGAAGUGUUAGUUGAAUGCACAUAUUGUAUAAGUCUUGCAACUUGUUGUGAAUUGGUACUUGGAUAUGCAUGAUAUAAUUGGUUACUUGAUACUAGUUAUAAAAUGGCAAUUUUGGUACCAAAUGGGUGUAUUUUGGUAAGUGAAUUACAUGGUAUAUAUUGAUGAAAAUAUGUAUACAAAGUAGUUGAUUAUUGGGUCACAUUGGAUUCAUGGCUAGACAUGGUUGUAUAUUGUCAUUUGAGGUGCCUAAGGGCAUAUUGGUUUUAUAAAGUUAUACCAUAUGUUUAUGGCUUCUUUAUGUUUGAUUUGGAUGCCUUGUUAUGGCUUGUAAAUAUAUGCAAUGUUGAUUUUAGGUACAUGCCUAAUUGGGUGAGAAUAAUGGCUUGUAAAAUAGCCUAUUUUCAUCCACACGAGAAACGACAUGGGCGUGCGUCUUACCCUUGUGUGACACACGGUCAGGUGACACGGUCGUGUGUCCUCUAUAGCUUUCAAAAGGUUUCAAUUCAAGCUGCUACACGGCCUAGCAGACGGCCUAGCACACAGGCGUGUGGCUUGGACGUGUGGCCCAAGUCAGUGAGUUACAUAGGCUGGGGCACGGCCGUGUAUCCCUACUUCGAAUGCCUGCAUGGCCUGGUCACACGGCCGUGUGUCCCUUAUAGUGUUGAAAAUUUUCAUUAUUUUUUGAAAAUUCUCUGAGUUUCCGAUUUAGUCCCAACUUGUUUCUAAUGCAUAUUUACAGCCUUGAGGGCUCGUAUAUUAGACAAUACGUAUGUUUUCACUUAGUUUCAAUAUGUUUAAUAAUAUGAUAUGAAAAGUUUGAAAUUCUGUCAAUUUGGUUUGUAAACUUCGGUAAUGCUCCAUAACACUAUUCCAGCGACAAAUAUAGGUUAGAGGUGCUACAUUUAUUGGUAACAGAGCUACAGUUUAGUCCAUUCUAGGACUGAACGUUGAGUGUGUGAGUCUAACUAUACAUGCUAUUAUAUAAUCUGUCAUAGUGUGAUAUCUCCUGACUAUUUAAAAAAAACAUGACUGGUUUUCGUUGUUCCUUAAGGAGUGAAGACAUUGUGAGUUAAUAAACAACCAUUCGAUAAAAUUCACAAAUAUGGGGCUGAAGAAUUUUGAGCUACAGUUGAUGAUGAUCCUAAGAUAGCUGAGUUUUGGUUAGAGAAUACUAUUUGAGUUUUCGAUGAGUUGUCUUAUACACCAACUGAAUAUGUAAAGUGUGCAUUAUCUCUACUAAAAGAUUCAGCAUAUCAGUGGUGAAAUACUUUGAUUUCAGUUGUGCUGAGGGGGUGUAUAGAUUGGGAAUUCUUUCAAAAUGUAUUCAGAAAGAAGUAUAUAAGUCAGAGAUUCCUUGAUCAGAAACGUAAAGAAUUUCUCAAACUUAAACAGGGCCGUAUGACAGUAUCUGAGUAUGAAUGAGAGUCUGUUCGACUAAGUAAAUAUGCCCGAGAGUGUAUUUCGACCAAGAUUGAAAUGUAUGAAGAUGGAUUAAACAAGGAUUUAAAGCUUUUAGUUGGGAUCAUUGAGCUGAAAAAUUCGUUGUUUUAGUUGACAGGGCACAUAAAGACGAGGAGCUGAGCAAAGAAAAAAGAAAAGCCAAUUUUGAAGCUAGAGAUUCAAGAAAAAGGUUAACCGGAAAGUCGUAUUAGUCACAGUCGAAAAGAUCAAAAGAACACCAUAAUCGCUCUAUUGCUUCAGUGGGUUAUCCUGAUAGAGACCGAGUCAAACAUUAUGCAGGUUCUAUGAUACAAGCUACGUUUGUGGCUAGCAUAAGUAGUAUUAAAGAUAAUAAACCUGAUUGUCAAUGGUGUGGAAGUCAGCAUUUUGGCGAGUUUCAAGUGAAAGACGGGCCGUGUUUAAGUGUGGUUCACUUAAACAUUUUAUUUUCGAUUCCCUGAAAAUAUCUGAGAAAGAAAAAGUUCAGAAUGUUUAACCCAGCAACACUGCCACGAAGGGUAGACCAACUCGUAACCCUAGAAAUAUGAGUGGUAGCUGUGGUGUAACAAAAGACUACUGUGAGAUCCAAGGCACGAGCACUAGCUAGGGCUUAUGCUAUUCACGCACGAGAGGAAGCUUCUGCGCCAGAUGUUAUUACGGGUAUUUUCUUAAUCUUUAACACUGAUGUUAUUGCUUUGAUUGAUCUUGGAUCAUCUCAUUCAUAUGUGUGCACGAAAUAAGUGUUUAGUAAGAAUUUACCUGUUGAGUCUACUAAAUUUGUGGUUAAAAUGUCGGACCUCCUAGGUCAGUAUGUAUUAGUUGAUAAAGUUUGCAAUAACUAUCCGUUGAUGACUCGGUGUUACAGUUUUUCAACUGAUUUGAUGCUAUUGUCAUUUGAUGAGUUUGAUGUCAUUUUGGGCAUGGAUCGGUUAACUCUGCACGAUGUUGUUGUAAACUGUAGACGAAAGCUUAUUGUAUUCAAAUGUCAGAAUGGUGAGACGCUUCGUAUUGAAUCAAAUAGUUUGAUUAGGUUGCCUAUUAUUAUUUCAGCUAUGUCGGCACAGACAUAUGUGAGAAAAGGUUGUGAUUCUUACCUUGCAUAUGUAUUGGAUUCUAAAAUAUCUGAAUCGAAGCUUGAGUCAGUGUUAGUGGUUUGUGAGUAUCCUGAUGUGUUUCUAGAAAAGUUUCCUGGGUUACCAUUGAUUAGAGAGGUUGAGUUUGCUAUUGAACUUGUAUCAGGAACAUCACCGAUAUCAAUAGCACCUUACAGAAUGACUCUUACUAAGUUAAAAGAAUUGAAAGCACAGUUGCAAGAAUUGACAGAUAGGGGUUUUGCUUGACCCAUUUUUUCACCUUAAGGUGCACCGGUUCUGUUUGUUAAGAAAAAAGGAUGGAUUAAUGAGAUUGUGUAUUGAUUACCGUCAACUCAACAAAGUAACAAUCAAUAACAAGUAUCCACUAUCUCAAAUUGAUGAUCUAUUUGAUCAAUUGAAAGGUGACACAGUUUUUUCGAAAAUUGAUCUUCAUUCUUACAAGUUAAAGAUUUAGAUGUGCCGAAAACUGCAUUCAGAACCAGGUACGAACAUUAUGAAUUUCUUGUGAUGUUGUUUGGUUUAACUAACGCACUUGCAAUAUUUAUGGAUUUGAUGAACAUAAUUUUCAAACCGUAUUUAGACAGAUUUUUUGAGGUAUUUAUUGAUGACAUUUUGAUAUAUUCACAAGACGAAUCCGAGCAUGAUGAACACUUGAGAAUUGUGUUGCAAACCUUGCGAGAUAAACAAGUUUUUGCUAAAUUUAGCAAAUGUGAGUUUUGGCUCCGAGAAGUCAGCUUUCUGGAACAUAUAGUGUCAGCUGAAGGCAUUAGAGUUAACCCGAGUAAAAUUUCAACAGUUGUUGAUUGGAAACCACCUAAAAAUGUAUCCGAAGUUAGAAGCUUUUUGGGGCUAGAUGGUUAUUACCAAAGAUUUGUCAAAGGGUUCUCGAUGAUAGCCACACUGAUGACGCGACUUUUACAGAAAGAUGUGAAAUUUGAAUGGUCCAAAAAAUGUCAGCAAAGUUUUAAUCAGUUGAAAGUGUUGUUGACCGAAGCACUAGUUCGGUUUAGCCUGAAUCGGGUAAAGAAUUUAGGAUUUUCAAUGUUACAUCUUUAAAUGAUUUAGGCUGUGUUUUAAUGCAAGAAGGUAAAGUAGUAGCUUAUGCUUCUAGACAGUUAAAGUCGCACGAAAAGACACAUGAUUCAGAGUUGGCAGAGAUUGUAUUUGCGUUGAAAAUUUGGCGACACCAUUUUUUCGGCAAAAAAUGUCAUAUAUUUACUGUUACAAGAGUUUAAAUUAUUUAAUGUCCCAGAAAGAUUUGAAUUUGAGGCAGCGUAGAUGGCUCGAACUGUUAAAAGAUUAUGAGUUGAACAUUGAUUAUCAUCCAUGAAAAGCAAACGUAGUUGCUGAUGCUUUAAGUAGACAAUCCUUAUUUGCUCUGGGAGUGAUGAAUACGUGACUGACAUUAUCUGAUGAUGGCUCAAUCUUGGCUGAGUUGAAAGCCAGACUGAUGUCUUUACAGUAGAUUUGCGAAGCUCAAAAAUGUGAUGACGAGUUGCUAGCUAAGCGGGCACAGUGUGAAUUGACUUUUGAUUCAAAAUUUCAGAUAGGAUCCAAUGAUUGUUUAUUAUUCAGAAGUAAAUUUUGUGUACCGAAGAAUCCAGAGCUCAUUUAGAGAAUUUUGCAUGAAGCUCAUAGUGGUAGCUUGUCUGUUCAUCCGAGAAGUAAUAAAAUGUAUAGUGACUUAAAACAGAUGUACUGGUGGUCAAGAAUGAAACGUGAGAUUUUUUACUUUGUAUCGAGAUGUUUAGUUUGUCAACAAGUUAAAGUUGUACAUCAAGUACCUUCUGGAUUGUUACAGCUAGUGAUGAUACCGGAAUGGAAAUGCAAUUGAAUUACUAUGGAUUUUGUAUCGGGUUUACCCUUAUCUCUGAGAAAAAAGAUAUUAUUCAGGUUGUUGUUGAUCGUUUGAUAAAGUUAACACAUUUUAUUUUGGUACUUACAAAUUAUUCCCUUGACAAGUUAUUUUAGUUAUAUGUUUCUGAAAUUGUUAGAUUACACGGGGUGCCAAUUUCCAUUAUUUCGGAUAGAGAUCCGUAGUUUAUAUCACGAUUUUGGAGAAAGUUACAGGAAGCUCUAGGUACCAGGUUGCAUUUUAGCACUGCAUUUCAUCCUCAGACUAAUGGUCAGUCCUAGUGAGCGAUUCAAAUUCUCGAAGAUAUGCUUCGUUGCUAUGUAUUAGAGUUUGAAAGUAAUUGGGAGAAAUAUUUACCGUUGGUUGCGUAUAACAACAAUUUUCAAUCAAGCAUAAAGAUGGCACCGUAUGAGGCUCUGUAUGGUCGUAAAUGUCGAACUCCGCUAUGUUGGAUCGAGCUUAGUGAGAUAAAGAUACACGAGGUUGAUUUGAUUUGUGAGACUGAAGAAAAAGUGAAAGUGAUCCGAGAUAGUUUGAAAGCAGCUUCAGACCGUCAGAAAUCAUAAGCGGAUCUUAAACGAAAAGACAUAGAAUUCCAAAUCAGUGACAAAGUAUUCUUGAAAGUAUCCCCCUGGAAGAAAGUUCUUCAGUUCGGCUACAAAGGAAAACUGAGUUCGCGAUUUAUCAAGCCGUAUGAGAUUGCUGAAAGAAUCGGACCUGAUGCUUAUCGUUUAGCUUUACCGACAGAACUACAAAAGAUUCAUAAUGUUUUUUAAGUAUAUAUGUUAGGAUGGUACCGAUUUGACCUUUCACAUAUUAUCUCCUUGACGGAUGUAGAGAUUCAACCUGAUAUGUCGUAUGGUGAGGAACCGAUCAGAAUUCUGACUCGGGAGAUUAAAGAACUAAAAAAUAAUAGCAUAACUUUAGUAAAGGUUCUUUGGAAACGAAAUGGGUUAGAGGAAGCCACCUAGGAAUCCGAAGAAGCUAUGAAAAAGAAAUAUCCAAACCUCUCUUCUGGUAAGAUUUUCGGAGACAAAAAUUCUUUAAGAGGGAGAGUUGUAACAACCCGUUUCCAGUGAAAUUAGAACGAUGAUUUUUGGAUGACAAAUCCGACAUCAAAAUAUUUAUUUUAUUUUUAUUUUAAUUUCUACAGGAUGUUAGUAUCACCGUAUAAAAAAUUCAUUAAAAAAUUUUAUCAUUUGCAUGCUUAAUUCAAUAAAAAGGAUUAAAUUGCAAAAGGUACAAAAUUAGAGUUCUAUAGGCUAAAAGCACUAAAUAUCUAUGGAAAUUAAAUGUUUGAACACUUGGUUAGUAAAUAGACCAUUUUUAAAUUGAGUGGACAUUUAUGGACAUCAUACAAGUGUUUUUCAAAGGUUAAACAAAAGGUUAAUAAGUAAAUAAAUAAAUUAAUUAAUUAAGUAAAACAAAACAAAAUUUUGGUAUCAUCUUUCUCACUUUGUUUCCACCUAUUUUUGGAGAAAGAAAAUGAUGUGUCGUUGAGAGCACCAAAAAUAUCCUAUUCCCUGUAAAAUAGUAAAAAUAAUAGUAAAGAUAAUAGUAAAGGGGAAGUAGAGUCGAAUCCUCAGAGACUGGAUUAUACGAAUGCUUGUUUCUCAAAAUCCUGGGCAGAAUCAUGCCCAAGAAAACCUGCGUGACAAAAAAAAUAACAGAAUUAAAGAUUUAAUUUGGAAAAACUAAAAAAAUAGAAUCUAAAGUUGACCGAAAUUGUGAUUACGAAAAUAAUAAAAAUAAUAAAGAGAGUUGAAGGGAAAGAAAUUCUUAUUGGUAGAUUCUAGCCUCCAAUUGUCUCAUUCCACUUUAGGUUCAAUCCUCGGCUUUUAAAUAACCCUUCUCAACUCAAGUAAGCCAGUUAUAGUAGAAGAGGACGCCUACGACCACCAGCUCCAAAGAUUAGACUUACGAUUUUUUAGGGAACCUGACUCUAGCCAGUAAUCUAUGCUAGAUCAACGCUUCUCAAUGGCGAAUCCCACGUCAUUUUGUCUCUUUAGCUCGCCAACCUCUGAUGCAGUAAGUUAAAGAAUCGACUGUGCAAUCUUUCCAAGACAUACAAAGCGGCCGCCUUUGCAUAUACUGAAAAACUUAUUUCUUAAGGGUCAUGGACGGAAGCGUCAGCCCGUGGUGCGGAGAAACGAUGAAUACUUGGUGAGAAGGCUAAGUACGGAUUCUAGGCCUCAAGAACCCUUUUUGGGGAAUAUUGACAACCUUCGGCUAGAUAGGUUUUAGUGGCUCAUGAUAAUAGUGGAAAAGAAAAUAAAUAUAAAAAUGGAAAAGAGAAUUUUUAUUGAAAAAAAAUAUGAAGAAACAAAAGCCUAGACUUUUAGGGGGAGAGCGUUUACAGAAAAAGAUGAACCCCAAAUAGAGUCACUUCACCCCCUAUUUAUAGUGCUAGGGAGAUAGUCUAAUUUAACUUAAAUUCUAAAAAGAUAAAUACAUUUAAUUAAAGAUAAUUAAAUAUAAUUAAAAUAAAAUCCUAAAAUUUAAAUAAUCCUAAUAAUUAUCCUAAUAUUAAUAAUCCUAAUAUAAAUAAAAUGGAGUCUUAUAAAAUAAAAUCUCUUCUUUUUGCGUUUUUAGUCCUUGUGUCUUCCAUGCUUGCACUUUUUGCACAAUCUUUUUCCUGUGUCGCAUACUAGCCCAUUGUGUCUCCAAAUUCGCACUUUUGCCCCUUAAUUUUGCUUUUGCCUCCAAAUCAGUCCCUAAAAGAUAAAAAGACAUAAAUAGCUCAAAUUAGUAGGAUCAAGCUUAGAAUAAACACAUGAUUAAUACAUAAAAGUACGUUAUUCUAGAGCAUCAUCAAAAAACAUCAUUUCUUGUGCUUUGAAGGUUCGACUAGGCUACCUUGUGCACAUCAAGAUAAACCACGUACGGCUCUAGAUCAAGGCAAAGAAAAAGCUCCGAACUAGUCGACUUCAUUUCCUACGUUUAUCAUUGAGGUAAGUUCGUAUGUUUAAAUAGUGUUUUUAAUUAUGAUUUAAAUGCUAUUAUUGCAUAUUAUUAAAUUGUGUGUUGACGGAAAAAUUCAAUGACGUAACGGCAAUCAUUGACGAAUGAAAAGGGAUGGUGGCUUCGGCUAUCGAUCUAUGAAAAUAGAUAGCUUCGGAUAUCAAUUAUGAAAAGGGAUAGUGACGACCAUCGAAUAAUGAUAAGGGAUGGUGACGACCAUCAAAUUAUGAAAAGGGAUGGCUUCGGCUAUCAUACAAUGAAAAGGGAUGGCUUCGACUAUCGAUAUAUGAAAAGGGAUAGCUUCGGCUAUCAAUUAUGAAAAGGGAAAGCUUAAGCUAUAGACCUAUGAAAAGGGAUAACUUCGGUUAUCGAUUUAUGAAAAAGGAUACGCUAACCAUCGUAAUAUUACCUUGUGUGAGCUUCGGUAAGAGCUUUCAAUGUAAAUUUCAUUAUUAUGAUGAAAGGUAGGUAAUGUGUACCUUUUUGGAAAUUAAGAGUAUGAACACACAUUUAUAUAUGAUUUUUUGAAUUAGUUGUUCUCAUGUUGAAUUGGGACAUACAUGCUUUAUGGUUGUUUAAUGUAUUGUCAAAUUUAAACUAUAUUUGUUAUGAACUUACUAAGCAUGGCUUGCUUACUUUGUGUUUAUUUUUAUAUAUUUGUAGUUAUCGAAAGCUCGUUCGGGUUGAAAAUUCGUCGGAGAUCUAUCAAACUAUCCAUCGGCUCUUUCAGUACUUAUGGAUGUUUAAAUUCGGUUAUAAUGGCAUGUGUAGGUAUUUUAGCUAAAGUUGGCUUAUGUGCUUUGUUGUGAAUAUGGUCAUUUGAUUUAGCUUGUGUUUUGACACAUUAACAUGGUGGAUGAUAUGCUUGAUAUGGUUGAAUGAUGGAAGAUAAAGUGCUGUCGAAUGCACAUAUUGUAUAAGUCUUGCAACUUGUGAAUUGAUACUUGGAUAUGUAUGAUCUAAUUGGUUAUUUUUAUGCUAGUUAUAAAAUGGAUAUUUUGGUACCAAAUGGAUGUAUUUUGGUAAGUGAAUUACAUGGUAUAUAUUGAUGAAAAUAUGUAUACAAAGUAGUUGAUUAUUGGGUCAUAUUGGAUUCAAGGCUAGACAUGGUUGUAUAUUGUCAUUUGAGGUGCCUAAGGGCAUAUUGGUUGUAUGAUGUUAUACCAUAUGUUUAUGGCUUCUUUAUGUUUGAUUUGGAUGCCUUGUUAUGGCUUGUAAAUAUAUGCAAUGUUGAUUGUAGGUACAUGCCUAAUUGGGUGAGAAAAAUGGCUUGUAAAAUGGCCUAUUUUCAUCCACACGGGCAGAGACACGAGCAUGUGUCUCAGUCGUGUGUGACACACGGCCAGGUGACACGGCCGUGUGUCCCCUAUAGCUUUUAAAGGGUUGCAAGUUAGGCUAUUACAUAGCCUAGCACACGGCUUGGCACAUGGGUGUCUGGGGUUACUUUGAAGUAUACAGAGCCUAGCACAUGGAUCACACGGCCGGGUGACCCCUGUAGUGUUAAAAAUUUUCAUUAUUUUCUAAAAAUUCUCUGAGUUUUCGAUUUAGUCCCAUCUUGUUUUUAAUACAUAUAUACGGCCUCGAGGGCUCGUAUAAGGGGCAAUAUGUAUGUUUUGACUUGGUUUCAAUUUGUUUAAUAAUAUGAUAUGAAAUGUUUGAAAUUUUGUCAGUUUGGUUUGUAAACUCUGGUAAUGCUCCGUAACACUAUUUUGGUGACAGAUAUGAGUUAGGGGUGUUACAUUUAUUAGCAUCAGAAAGAAGUAGGCAACGUUGUCUUAGGAGACCAAGAUGAGAGCCUAUCAAUCCUAGGUCGAAAGAACAUGCUACUGGAGGAUCAACAUCUACUUCAUCUCCAUAGAAUGAUCUAAUUGUCAUGUAAGCUCUCCGUCAGUAUGGUUCAUAUACUUUUGGUGCUAAUCCACUUUAUUUUACACAAACACCAUAACACGCACCAUCAUUCACUGUAGGAAUACUUUCUCCAAGUGUAUAUUUCGCACGACCGACACCUACCAUACCAUAUUUCAUGUUGAUGUCACUAGCAACACCAACGCAUCUGGUAUAGUUAACAAUUGUCACCUUUUAUUCGCAAUCAGCCCAUGUGACACCAUACAGUUAUUCGUUGAUAGUGUCACAAGCACCCCCAACAUCAUCGUUCUUCCAAGGUGAGUCAUCCUUGCAACCGCCGAUUCAUACAAAGGGGAUGUACGAUAGGCAGCUAAGACCUAGACACAAUCAACCACGGAGGAAGGAGAUGAAUAUGGCGAUAAACAUGGACGUACACGUGAAGAUGAAGAUGAAAAUGAUGAUGAGCCGCCAACCCAAAUAGUGCGACGGAAUCCUAAGCAUGCCUGACGCCCACCCGAUUGUGGCACACAUUCGAGACACCAGUAAUUAUGUUAUUUGUAAUUUUUCCCAAAUUUUAUACUUUUUUUACAUUCCAAAUGUAUACUUUAUUUUACAUCCUAAAUGUACACUAAUUUACAAUCUACAAAACAAAUUUAUUAAAUUGGUUUGCUUUGUACCAUAUCGUAUGGUGAGUUCGAAUUUUUUUUUCAUUCAUGUUUUUCUCCGUCCAUUUGCUAUUUACAAUAUUUUCAAAAAGAAAAGGUUUGCUGACAAGGUAUGAGAAAAGAUUAAAUUUUUUUAUUUUUUAUUGUAAUAUAUCUUGCUUCAAUAAUUACUAGUACCUUACAAUUUAUAGAAAAAUUAAUGAAUAAAUGAAUGAGUUAGUGUUUUAGUUAGCACUUCUCCUCGAAGUUCCCUGCAGGAGUGGACAUGUUGGCUUUGUACAUCCUGGGUUCCUACAGUAACUGCAUAACCUUGGUGUGUCUCUCCACUCCUCAAUAUCCAUAUUGCCUCGUAUUUGAGUUAAGUUCGGACAACCUUUUGGCUUGAGCCACAAGUUCUUAAUCGAAUGCCACAAUUGUAUGUGCACAUGGAUAAUGAAGUGCUUGAAAUCUCUCACAAUCGCAAGUCAUUUGUCGCAAUUCUAUACGGCACGCUCCCCCGAUAACUCCUUGGUUGGGUCUAUGGGACUCCAUAACCUGGAAUAUUGGGUUUGGACGCGAGUGAUACACUAAAGACAUUGAGUUCACUCUUUCUACAUUUUCCCCAAUAUCUUUCAAUACCGUCUCGCACCAAAUGUUAUCGCCCUUUAUCUGUUCCACAUAUGUCUCAGCCUGCUUUGCAAACAAGGUUUCUAAUCAAAAAUAUAUUUCCUUCACCACUGAGGUUACCAGUAAAUGACAUGUCCCUUUCAGUACGAAAUGAAUGCAUUCUGCUAGGUUCAUUGUCAUAUACCCAUAUCGCAGUCCUCUAUCAUAUGAUUGCGUCCAAUACUCCUUGGGUAUCCCAUCAAGGUACAUCUCACCUUAUCGGUUUACAACCUAUAGUCUCUUCAACAUUUCAUGGAAUCGAUGUUGGACGAGCUCGUACCCUCUUGAUGACAAUCAAUAUUGUAUUCAAGAAAUGUGACCCAAAUGUAUAUGUUAAAUUAUUAUACAUGAAACCAUGCACAACGUACCCAUGUUAAUGACAUAUUGCCGUUUCGCAUCCUUAUGAUAUCGACCCUAUAUGACGUAAAUAAUACCUAUGGUGUACACAUUCCCAUAGGACUGAACGCUAAUCGAAUGCAGCCUGUAUUCUGGUACCCCUGAUAGAAAUGAUGCAUACAUUGAGUUGCGGCACAACAUGCCUUCUCAGGUUAGUUAAGAAGAAAUCUCAUUCAUCUCCUAAUUCUUCGGGUGUUAUUGCAAAAGACAUUGGCAAGAUUUUUUGAUUGCCAUCUUAAAAUAACUAACAACAACCGAUGCUCGUAUCUUCCUACAUGAAUGUGUCAUCAAUUUGGACAAGUAGCUUACAAUACCAGAAUGCAAUUAUGCAUUGCUCGAAAGUCCAGAAAAAAUGAUGGGAAAGUCUUUUUCAAGGGACCAAGCGAUCAACGUGAUACAUAGGCUCCAAUAUGUGGUCAGCAACAGAACCUAGUACGUACUGUUCCAGUACCUGGCACAAUUGCCACAAUUCAUUGUAGGAUUUGUCCCACUCACUAUGCAUCUUCUCCAACUCUUUCUAAUUUUCCAACCAUGUCUUGUGGUAGGACAUGGUGUAAUUAAACUUGUUACAAAUGUGUGCGAUCAAAAUUCAGAUCAAAAUCCUAAGACUCACUUUGACCAUGGGUAAUAUAAAGUCAGAUAUAAUGUCCGAAUCCAAUUUUUGAUAAUCAUUCAACAUGUCUGAAAAAUAAUAAAUUGGGUCACCAUACGUAAUACAAUGUCGAAAAAAUGAUAGAAUUUGAAUCGAUGUUGUUAACCAUGAUAUAUACAAGCUACAACACAUAUAUGUGGAGUGGUAAACUUCUUGAUCAUCCAAAAAGUUAACUUCUUCCUCACAAAUGACAUGAUUUUCCAUAAACAUCUUGUUCCAUGCAUUCCGUACUUCGCCUCAUAUUUUUUUUGAUCGAGAGCAUGUAACGAUGAAUUUGAUGGCCAGCUAUAUGCUAUACCACUUGACUAUAGCUACAAAAGCAUCUUUGGAGUCAAACUUCAUCCCCACCUUUAAGUGACCAAAAUUUGUUGAUGAAGUCGCAAGUACUGGUCUUCUAUAAGGGACGUUUGGGAAUUGUAAACCACCUUCAGCAGCAAGAUUGAUAGUAUACAUGUGGGGUGGGGGUUCGUAUGUUGUGAAACUUGGAUCAUCCCAUCAACAAAUGCUCAAAUCUUUAUCGUUAGAUCCACCAUCUUUUAGUUUAAUAGGAAUGAGAUUUAAUUAUAAAAUUACUGCAAUUUUUGUACUAUCCGGUUUGGACUCCUCUAUUGGGUCAUUAUCGGUUUCAAACCCCUCUUAUUAUCAACCCCGAUUGCAAGUCCGAUGUUAGAAGCAGAUCAUUCAUUCUUGUAAAUCUAAUGUCAAUCCCAAAAUCACUUUUGUUUGGCCCACCGAAGUAACUUGAUAGUGUACCAGUGUGAGGGUUUUUGAGUUGAACAUCGACGUGUCGAAUUUGAAAUCAAAGGCACUGAUAGAAUAUCAUGCAUGUGUGUCGUAGGACCAAUGACCAAAUAUGUCUUAACCAAUGAUCAAAAACGUCUUACUAUCCUUUGAAGUUGUAAUCAAGGGCAAAACUAAUGAAUGCCUCACCAUUGAUGAUAAUUCUGGGUUGUCUUGGUAGGAGCUUUGCAGCAAUGAUAUGAAUCCACCGCACAACUGUGUGGUUAGAAUUUUUUCUUCUUGAUCUGGCGUGGAAUUUGGCAGACAUGGUAUAAUCGAGCUCAGGCCACCUUCAUCCUCUUCAACAAAGUCGACAUAUAACUCUAGUACAACAUUCCCACUAGAGUAAUGUGAUUCAAUCACCGUCUCCAACUUGUUGUACCUUGUAAUAUCAAAAUUGGGAUAUCCAAUGAAGUUCAAUGACGUUAGAUAUCUACAUUUUAGGCUCGAAAUUCUUAUUUGGAUCCCCACUUUGUGCCUAAUCAUUAUCCGAAGUGUUGGAUCUGGUGCUCUAAGUGUAGUAUUUUCGUCUAAGUACACUUGUAAUUUUAUCGAACAAAUUGGUUAAUAAAACAAAUUAAUUGAUUACAUUAAUAUAAUUUUGUGUAAUUAUCCCUAUAUGGUUUUUUCAUGCAAAACAAAAUGGAAGUAAAUGUUGCUCACUUUUUGUCUAAUGUCUAACUAAUAUUAAGCGGUAUUACGUGGUCGGAUCGUAAUAUAGAAAGAAAACUUGUAUUAGUAUAUGAACUUAAACAUGUCCUUAGUCUAAUUGGAAAUGAGAAAAUCGGUUGAAAAACUAAUAUGUCGUCUAUCAAGUUUAAUUGGGGAGAUGUUUUGUCUUUGGCAUCGGAGUGGAUGACUCCUAGAAGAUAGAGGCAUAGAUAUGACUGACUAGACUAGUAGUAUAUCAGACAGGACCCAAGAAGAAUAGAUCCUGAAUCUGUUUAUGGAUUUAUUCACUUGUGAUGUUUAUAGUGUAUCAUACUUGAAUCCUGAGUGGACGGUAGACUAUGUAUGCGUGACUCAUACACUUUGAUGUAAGCAAAAGCUUGAGUUCAAAUAUAUAAGGAAUCGAAAGCUGGUGCAUUAGGUGUACGACUUUUAUAGUAUGUAGCGUCAUUCACAACAAUGGAAUUCAUAGCCCUAGACAUAGGUAAAUGACAUCCUCUCAUAGGCAUUACAUGGUUGAUGAAAAGUAAACAUAGCCACAGGUCAUUCGUCUUUGUGAUGGAUAACUUGAUCACUAUUUGAUAAUGAUUUACUUUUCAUGAAGAGAAAUGUAAUAGUUACCAUGAGAUAAAAUAGGAUCAUAUUGGGAGAACAAAUACUAUCCCAAAACAGAUCAAUGAUAUACUCUGAGGGUAACACACUAAAGACAAGGUCAUUGGACGAGCACUGAGUAGAUGUUUUUGUAAUGGUAUGUUGUUAGGGAGAGCUCAAUCACGAUACUAUAACAGAGUCACUUCGUGACUAAAUGAGUUUAUAAUUAAUAAGAGAGAAGCUAAAACUUAAUUAUAAAUCAUUUGAACCCUAAUACAUAUGUCUAAUCGAUCCCUCCUCUAGAUCAUUGAAAUCAGAAAUGAAUUACAUGUUUGAAUAGAAAUGAAUGAAAUGAAUAGGUAAAGAGAAAUGAGAAACAUUAAAAAAUGAUUAUAGUUUUUUUUCUGAAAUGGAAAAAUGAAAUCAUUUGAAAAUGAAUGUAGGCUUCCAAAUUGGAAAAAGAAAUGGAAAUGGUUCAUUUUCAAUUCUAUAUGGAUUACUUAAAAUGAUCGAAAAAAUGAGUUUAUGUUUUUGGACUAUUUUGAAGCUCAAAAAUGAAAAUAAAACAUUCGGUCAUAGUAGACAUGUUGAGUUGUGAAUCAUUAUACAUAUUUUCUUGAAAUUUUACUAAUGGCAAAAUCAUCAAAAUUUUAUCGAGGUAAAAUCGUUAAAAUUUUACUAGGGGUAAAAUAAGGAAGAGAAAAUUGUUUAAUAUAGAAUAUUAAAAUUUAUUUCGGGAAAUAGAAAAAUCAAAUCGGGUUGGAUCACAUUACAGAUUACUUGGUCAAAAGGCCCAAGAAGCACUCGUAAUUGGACCCAGUGUAAGAGAGGCACAAAACCUCUCAUAUAACAUAAAGAGGGCGACAAUCCUAGUAGGAAUACUAGGGUGUGUCAUCCACCCUACUCCUACUCUAAGUGGGAAGUUGUUUUUCUAUUUGAAAUAAAUCACUACAACUCAACAAGGUUCUACCUUCUCUUAUUAUAAAUAGAUGGCACUAGUAGGGCAUUAAACACAAUUUUGAGAGAUUGUUACUCUGCCGAAAAAUAUGGAGAACUUAUUCUCAACUAUUAAAUAUAUUUUUCCAAAAUAACAAUUCUACCUAUUUUUAUUAAAGAAGAGAGUAUUUCUGUUUUCACCCCAAAUAAAAGAAGGAACUUUUCCUAAUUUGUGUUUCGAUUCAAUUGGUUCAAGCCUACACUCAGAGUAGUUUGUAGUACGAGAAUAGUGGAGAAGAUCGUUUGGUUGAAAUCGAGAACAAUGAAUGUUCGCUAAGCUGAAAACACAAGUAUGAAUUCAGUUAGGGUUUAUUGCUAUGAAUAUGACAAAUCAAGUCGAUUUCAAAUUUUUAAUUUUCUACUGUGCAAUAAAACCAUUUUUAAACCAUUUUUUUUCCAACACGAAGCUCUUUUAACGUUAUGCUUUAGUUGAAUACCAGGUCUUCAGAUUGGGCUGAUAUAAAAAACAAGCCUAAUUUUGCUCUCACAAAUUUGACCAUUGAAAUGGAUAAUAGCUCUAACUCGUCUACUCAUCUUGAACCAAUUAGUUUGUUCCACAUGUUUAAAAUCGAGACAAUAGUAAAAAAAAUAGUUUUUAUCACCCAAAUUAAAAGAGCUACACAUAAUUUAACAAAUGACCUUUGCUUGGACAAUAGUGUAGGUGUGGAAUUUAAGUUUUCACUACAACACUCUUCUCCUAAUGUCAGGUAUCCUUAUGGAAAUAAUCUUCUUGAAAGAUUGAUAUCGAAACUCAAGGGAUUGUAUUGAGUUUAUUUUAUAGAGCCCAUACCCCAAGACAUAUCAAACGAUUCCAACAAAAACACAUACCUUGUGCAUCACGGGUUUUUAAGGUAUACAAUUAAAGUUGAAAUUUGUAGAAGAGAAAAUGCUCCCCUACAGUGGCGAUUUAGAAAGGCAGUAAUGUAUGAAAUUUAUCCCGAGAAUCCCAGGUUAUAGGAGACUCAAAGGCAGAAGCAAUCAAGUUGAGUGGAGGUUGAAACACCUGGAGAGAAAUGCUCCUUGCAGGAGGCGUUUUCAACUGACAUGGUAGUGAAAACGCUUCCUACAAUAUGUGUUUUUGUGCCACAUGUUUGACUGAUAUGUUAGUGGAAAAUGUAUCCUAGAGGAAGCGUUUUCACUGUUAUAUUAGCUGAAAACAUUCCUUGCAGGGAGCGUUUCCUCUCUGGGUGUUUCAACCCCUACCCCAACUUGAUUGCUUCUGCCUCUGAGCCUCUGUAACCCAAGAUUCUCGAGAUAAAUUUCCUACAUUACAACUUGAAAUCCCUGGGAUUAAUUUAAAAAAUUCCUUUUUUCCCUCACACCAUCCUCUAUAUAAAUGGUCGUUCUCAUCAUCCCCUACUCCAACAUAUCUUAGUCCCCUUUAAAUUAUUUUUUUUCUUUUUCUUACAUGUUGAAAUUUCUGAGUUUAAAGAUUUAUUUCUCUCUGGUUUUAUGGGAGACAUAAUCAUAGUUUUAAGUUGUGUUUUGGGUUUGUUAACCUAUAAUUUUCACCUACCAUGUGAGUAUGGAACCUUCACUUGAGAAUUCAGGAUUGCGUUACAACUCAAGAUCCAAGUUAAUGGUGAUUAUACCAUCUCGGGUUGAACUAUAAAUAAGGCUUCAAGUUUAAAAAGGUUAUGCUGUCAAAGGAUGCAGCAUAACUAGGGCCCUAGUUGACAGUAGUUAUGUGGGCACGACAACCAGUUUAUUAUCAUCAUAGGAGUAGCAUGCUUUAUAGAACUCAUACGAAAGUGCGAGGAAGAAAAACAUAAAAGCCUUCUAGUAUAAUCAAGUAAUUCGUGUUGUCCAUAUCCAUCGAAGACAAUGAUGUUGUUAGUAAAAUCUAUUACACCUCAAUUCUAUCAUAGGUUAUAGUAACGGGGUCACAACCUUUGGCGAACAUAGAUAAAACGAAUUACUUGAUUAUACUAAAAUGCCACUGCGCUUUUCUUUCUUCUACUUCUAUUUGGGUUUUAUGAGGCAUCCUUAUCUGACGAGGAAAAAACUCGUUAUCGUGUCCACAUAACCAUUGUCAACUUGGCCGCCAUUUAUGCUCCAUCCCUUGACAUCAUAACCUUUGUAAACUUGAAACGCUAAUUUACAAUUCAACCUAAGAUUGAAUAAUCACCAUUAACUGGGACCUUGAGUUGCAACGUGAUCCGACUUCUUAGGUGAUGACUCUAUACUUACAUGGCAGAUGAAAUUUGUAGGUCACCCAGCUCCACAACACCAAUGUAAUUCAAACAUACUUUAAAAUUAUAACAAUUUCUAUCUCAAACACAAAGAAAAAUAAAUCUACAAACUUCUAAUUUCUAACCGUAAAAAAAAAUUUAGGAAAGUGGAAGCGCACUUUGUCGGCGUUUUCCUUUCUCUUAAAAAAUAACAGAAUCGAUAAAUUAAAAAAGAGAUAUAAUUUCUAUUUUUUUUAUUUUUAGCAUAUACUUAUAAAAUGGGUCGUAAAUCAAAGUACAUAAACAAAUUUACAAAACUCAGUUAUGGCUUUAAAUUAAUCAAAAGUAAAAUAACUACAUGGAAGAUUUAAUCCUUUUGGAUCACACAGUCAAAUGGUUUUGCAAUUUUUCUGUCAAUUUUGGUAAAAGAGAAAAAAGAAACGAUUCUUUUUUCAUAUUUCAGUUAGAUUAACGGUCAAAUCAAAUGAAACCCCAAAAUUUGUAAGAUGAACAUAUCUUUGCAAUAAUUCAAAAAAAUAAAAAUAAAAAACAUAUCUUUGCAACUUCCAAUUAUCGUCAUUGGUCGGCCUCCCCUUCAAUGCUUUCCACCAUUGGUCGAUUACUUAAUUUCUUCACCUACAACUCAUACCAAUCAUUAGCACUAUUAAAAAAGUAACCAUUUUUUUCUUUCUCAAAAGUUUAGAACAACCCCAUUUUCCAUUCAUCCUCCAUAACCAUAUAUUUUAUUAACAAAGAAGACAAACUAAGUGUUUUUCUUUUGGGUUUAUUACUCCUUUUUAAUUUUUUGGGUUUUUGACAGUGAAUUCUUUCUGGAAUAUUUCCCUCUUUUUUUUGUCUUUGUUUUACUUUCGACUUUUAGUAUUUUUUUGAAUCAGCAACCGACCUAUUGAAGUUGGCCUGCAUACAGCACACAAGGAGCAAACCAUGCAGCACAAGUCAUAUGGAUGAAGUGUUGAAGAUCAAGCUAGAAGAUCAAGCUGCUAUAAUAUUUCUGGAUGAAGUACAUGCAGCUGUAAAAAGAUUAAGCUACUACAAUAUUUCUGAAUGAAGUGUAUGCAGCUGCUGAAGUUGAUGCAAUUGUUCAUUUCCGGUUUCAUUUUGUUACUAUAAGUAAUGUUUUGUAACUUAAUCAGAUUUGAACUAAGUAGGUAACAUAUUUAAUAUAAUUAAGUAGUGUUUGAGUUGAUCAAUCAGCUUUGUUAAAGUGUGCAAGUUACAUUUUACAGGUUUCAAUGUAAUUAGUGGUAGUAGGUAGUUGUUUAGGUGAAAUUUUUUUAUGAUUGCCUAGCUGUAUUUUCUUAUAUAUGUAUUGGCAUCAUGCCAUCCAAAAAUUAAUGAUAAAUGAAAAAUCAUUGUACAUCAUCAAAAUACUCUCUCUUUUCUUUGUGUUUUCUUUUGGCUAUCCAAGCCCGAUUCUGUUUAUUUUCUCCAGCAAACAUACAGCACUGUUGCUCAAGCUUCUGGUAACCUUCAUUCAUCUUUGUUAAAAACCUAACAAUUGGUAUCUAGUGCUCAUUUCUUAGUGUACCUGUUAUUUCUUCAUUCCUUAAAACCAUGUUUUCCUCAAGUUUUCACCAGCUGCACCACCUAUCUUCAAUAGAGAAGGCUACCAUAUUUGGGUAGUAAAAAUGAAGACCUACCUACAGGCAUUUGACCUAUGGAAGGUUGUUAACUCAGAUGUUGAACCAGUACCUCUAUGAAUCAAUCUAACAGUGGCUCAAAUAAGGCAGCAUGUAGAUGAAAGAACCAAAAGGCACAAAGCCAUGUCUUGCAUCCAAAACAGUGUGUCUGAUGUGAUUUUCAUAAGAAUCAUGGCUUGUGAGUCACCAAAGAAGGCCUGGGAUAAGUUGAAGGAGGAGUUCCAAGGGACUAAAAGAACAAGACAACAACAGCUACUGAAUUUGAGAAGGGAUUCUGAAAACUUGAAGAUGAAGGAGGAAGAAACAUUGAAGCAAUACUUAGACAAAAUCAUGGCUGUGGUAAACAGCAUUAGACUGCUUGGAGAAUAGUUCAGUGAAGCAAGGAUUGUGAAGAAGGUGAUCUCAGCCUUACCUAAAAGGUAUGAGGCAAAGAUCUCAUCUCUUGAAGACUCGAGGAACCUGACCAGCAUCUCAUUGACAAAGCUGAUCAAUACUCUUUAUGCUCAAGAGCAAAGGAGAGCUAGCAGACUAGAGGAGUACGAAGAAGGUGCCUUCCAAGCCAAAAGUAGACUAGCCUCGAGCUCUUCUACCUACAAAGGAAAGAAAACCUGGAAAGACAAGCCUAGAGCAGAUGGUGCAAGAAGAUAUCCACCCUUCCCACACUGCAGAAAGCUAAGUCAUCCGGGUGAAGUAUGUUGGUUUAGGCCUGAUGUGUAGUGUAAAUUCUGUAAAAAGAUGGGCCAUGCCGAGAAAGUUUGCAGAAACAAAGGCAAGCAAAGACAAAAAAAAUUUCAACAGCUAAUAGCUGAAGCUCAAAUAGCAGAAGAGGGUAAUGACUAAGAAGAGCAAGUCUUUGUAGUUUCUUGCCCAGCUACUAAAGAAAAGGCCACAAAGGGAUGGCUAAUUGAUAGUAGUUGCUCAAACCACAUGACUCAUGAUGUUUCCAUCUUCAAGUCAAUUGACAGAAGCUUUAAAACAAGGGUAAAGGUUGGAAAUAGACACUUCAUCAAAGCUGAAGGCAAAGGAGAUGUGUUGAUAGACACUCCUACAGGCACCAAACUUGUUUCAAAUGUCCUAUUAGUGCCUGAAAUUGAUAGAAACCUGCUCAUUAUAGCUCAGUUGCUAAAGAAGGACUAUUCAAUGGUGUUCAAAAGCAAUGAGUGCUUAAUCAGUGAUCCAAAUGGAUAUAAGCUCAUGACAGUAACCAUGGCUGACAAAAGCUUUGUUAUGAAUUAGAACAAAGGCUUAGACAGUGCCUACAUAGCUGCUUCAAAUGAAUCCAAGCUAUGGCACAAGAGACUUGGUCAUACCAACUACAAAUCAAUGGCUCAGCUAACCAAAGAAGACCUAGUUGAAAACUUUACUAAUUCAAUUGAGAAAGAAGAAGUUUCUGAAGUUUUCCAACUAGGAAAACAAGUCAGACUUCCAUUCCCUUCAAACAAAGCCUAGAGAGCUUUUGAAAGACUGCAACUUGUGCACACUGAUGUGUGUAGCCCUAUAAUGACACUAUCUUUGAAUGGCAGUAGAUAUUUCAUCUUAUUCAUUGAUGAUCACUCAAGGCAUUGCUGGGUUUACUUCAUCCAGUAUAAGUAUGAGGUAGCCUUAGUGUUCUGGAAAUUCAAGGCUGCAACAGAAACAGAAUCAGGAUGUAAGCUCAAGACUUUGAGAUCUGAUAAUGGAACUGAGUACACCUCAGCUCAGUUUCAAUCCUUUUAUGAUGAAGCAGGCAUCAAGCACCAGCUCACCAACACCUACACACCUCCAUAGAAUGGUGUUAGUGAAAGAAAGAAUAAAAGCCUGAUGGAUAUGGCUAGAUGCCUAUUGUUUAAGAAGAAUUUGCCUAAAACCUUGUGGGCUGAGGCAGUUAACACUACUGUGUACCUUGAAAACAGGCUCCCAACUAAGGCAUUAGUUCAGAAAACUCCAUUUGAAGGUUGGUUUGGGUUCAAACCAUCACUAGCUCACCUGAAGGUCUUUGGCUGCAUCUGUUAUGCACAUGUUCCUACUGUCAAAAGGGACAAGUUGGCCAAGAAAGCUCAACUUGGUAUCCUGGUUGGUUAUAGCAGCGGCAAGAAGGGCUAUAUGAUCUUGAAUCCUUCAUCCAACAAAGUUCUUGUGAGCAGGGAUGUUGUAUUCAAUGAGAAAUUAGCCUAGAAUUGGGACAAAAAUGAACUAGAGGCUGUUACUGAAGAUCUUAUGACAUAUUAGACUGAAGCUGAUCAAAUUGGUCCUGAAAUGAACAUUGAUGAUAAACCAGUCAGAGGCACUAGACCAUUGGUUGAGAUUUAUGAAAGAGCUCAAGUGGCUGCAGUUGAACCAAGCAGCUUUGAAGAGGCUAAAGCUUAACAAGGCUGGAAACAGACAAUGGCUAAUGAAAUCAGUAUGAUUGAGAAGAAUCAAACUUGGCAGCUAGUUGAGAAACCAGCAAACAAGAAGGUCAUUUGGGUGAAAUAGGUGUUUCAAGCCAAGCAUAAUGCUGAUGGAAGCUUGAAUAAACUGAAAGCAAGGCUGGUUAUAAAAGGGCUCAGCCAAAAGUAUGGCACCGACUACUUUGAGGCAUUUGCACCAGUAGCUAGGCUUGACACCAUAAGGCUAUUAGUUGCCUUAACAGCACAAAUGCAGUGGAAAAUUCAUUAGCUUGAUGUAAAAUCAGCAUUCCUCAAUAGUUUUCUUGAUGAGGAGAUCUAUAUUGAGCAGCCUGAAGGUUUCAAAGCUGUUGGUGAAUAGGAUAAUGUGUACAAACUGAAUAAAGCCUUGUAUGGUUUGAAACAAGCACCAAGAGCCUGGUAUAGCAGGAUCGAUAGUUAUCUAGCUAGCCUUAGAUUUGAAUGAAGCAUCAGUGAACCAACCUUGUAUGUGAAUAAGCAAGGUAGUGAAACUCAACUGAUAGUGUCUCUAUAUGUUGAUAACAUGCUAAUGAUAGGAGGAGAUCAAGCAAUGUUGACAGACUUCAAAUGCAAAAUGGAGCAAAUGUUUGAGAUGCCUGAUUUGGGAAAGAUGACUUACUUCCUUGGCAUGGAAGUGUCACAAACUCAGCAUGGAAUCUUACUAAGUCAGAAGGCUUUUGCCUCAACAAUUCUAAGCAAAUUCUCCAUGCUGAAUUGCAAGGCAACACACACCAAUUGCUACUGGAGAGAAACUAUCGAGCCAAGGUGACUUUGAGCAGGUUAGUGAAUUUGUCUAUGGAAGCUUGGUAGGUUGUUUGCUAUAUCUGACUGCCACUAGACCAAACAUCAUGUUUGCUGUAAGUCUACUAUCAAGAUUCACGCAUUGCUGCAAUGAGAAGCAUUUUCAAGCUGCCAAAAGAGAUCUCAGGUACAUUAAAGGUACACUGAGCUAUGGAAUGUUGUUUAGCAAAGUUGAAAGCAUGAAAUUGGUUGGUUAUGCUAAUAGUGAUUAGGCUGGUUCAAUAGAUGACAUGAAGAGUACCUCUGGGUAUGUUUUUACUCUUGGAUCAGCCAUCUUUUGCUGGAGUUUGAAGAAGCAAAAUUUUGUUGCUCAGUCAACUGCUGAAGCAGAGUAUGCGGCAGCUGCAGGAGCUGUCAACCAAGCCAUUUGGCUAAGGAAAAUCAUGGUUGAUUUAAAUCAACACUAGAUGGAAGCAACAGAGAUCAAUUGUGACAAUCAACCUCUUGUUGCAAUUGCAAAAAAUCCAGUGUUCCAUGGAAGAACAAAGCACUUCAAGAUUAAGUUUCACUUUGUUAGGGAAAUGGAACAAGAUCGAAAAGUGAAGCUGAUUCAUUGCAGUUUUGAAGAACAACUUACUGAUAUUUUAACUAAGCCCUUUUGUGUGUCAAGAUUUGAAUAUUUAAGAGCCAAAAUUGGAGUCUGCAGCAUGCAAGCCAAUGAGGAGUGCUGAAGUUGGCCUGCAUGCAGCACACAAGGAGCAGACCAUACAGCACAAGUCAUGCGGAUGAAGUGUUGAAGAUCAAGCUAGAAGAUAAAGUUGCUAUAAUAUUUCCGAAUGAAGUACAUGCAGCUAUAAAAAGAUUAAGCUACUGUAAUAUUUCCGAAUGAAGUGCAUGUUGCUGCUGAAGUUGAUGCAGCUGUUCAUUUUCGGUUUCAUUUUGUUACUAUAAGUAAUGUUUUGUAACUUAGUCAGAUUUAAACUACGUAAGUAGCAUAUUUAAUAUAAUUAGGUAGUGUUUGAGCUGAUAAAUCAGCUUUAUUAAAGUGUACAAGUUACAUUUUACAAGUUUCAAUGUAAUUAGUGGUAAUAGGUAAUUGUUUAGGUGAAAUUUGUUUAUGAUUGUCCAGCUGUAUUUUCUGAUAUAUGCAUUGGCAUCAUGCCAUCCAAAAAUUAAUGAUGAAUGAAAAAUCAUUGUACAUAAUGAAAAUACUCUCUUUUCUUUGUGUUUUAUUUUUACUAUCUAAGCUCGAUUCUGUUUAUUUUCUAACAAACAUAUAGCAUUGUUGCUAACCUUCAUUAUCUUUGUUAAAAACCUAACACGACCUUUUGUUCUUUGUAGGCUGCUUAUUAUUUAAUAAUUUUUUUAAUAAAAAGAAAUUUUCUCUUUAUAAAUCAAUGCAAAAAAUACGUGAGAACAACGUGCAUCCUUUGUUGUUACCUGUUUUCUUUUUUCAUUCUUAUAUAUAAAACUACUUCAACUUUUGUUUUCUUUCGUUUCAAUAACUAUUAGAAUAUGAGUUUCAUUAGACGAUUUCUCCUCUGAAUUUUCAGUAAUUUCUUGUUUUUUUUUCUCUAUUGGUUUUCUUCCUUGAGUUUCUCACACACAGGUCAGCUUUCUCUUUUCUACAACUUAUAAAAGUUUCUUUUUUGGCCUUGGAAAUAUCAUAGUUUGACUAUAAAAGUUUCUUUUUGGCCUGGGAAAUAUAAUAGUUUGACCUGCAUGUAUGAUCCAGUUUAUGUUCUUGAAUUAUGUUAAUAUGAUUUAAGUUCUAUUGUGUAAUUAAUCUUACUUUUGAUUUUCUGAUGGAUUUUUAAUUAGGUCAUCUUGUGAGAGUAUUGAUUGAAAGUUUACAACUUUUUUGUUAGCUUCUGAUUUAGGCUUCUAUGUUAUUUUCUUAUAAUUUGGUUUUCAAAGUUCUUUAUCCAUGGUCCCUACUGAUCUUUCAGAAGAAACUAGCUUGUCUCCUGCUAUCAUUUUGUUUUGUUAGUUUCUUAUUUUUAGCUAUUUGCAUAUGCCCAAAAUGAUUUUUUUCCUGUUUCUUUUCUUGGAUUAUGCUUUAUAGUUUUCUUUAUAUGAUUAAAAUUGAUCCUCUACAAUAGCUGACUUUUUUAUAUUUGAAACUUGUCUCAUUACUUUGUGAUUUGGAUGCAUUUUAUACACUUUAAUAUAUUGGGUUUGAUGAAAAUAAAUGAUGUUCUUGGCCUAAUUUUAUGAUGAUAUACCUUUUUAUCUUUAUGCAAGAUGAUUGCAUAUUGGGAUCCCUAAGAUUUCUGUGCUUGAAUUUGUUUAAUAUAAGAACAAAGUUCAUUAGUUUGUUGUUUGAGAUUUAUAUUUGGCAAUUAUGGCUAUUGAUCUUGUAUUGGAAUUAGGUUUAUCCACUCUCUCUUGCAUGCAUAAAACUUCUAUGAAAAGCGGUUUUUGAGAUUUUUGAUGAAUGACAUAGAGGCAUCAUGCAUGAUGUUGUUAUGAAGAACUUUAUGUCAUAGAAAUUGUCUGUCAGAUGAUGUUUUGUUUCUUUUCGAUCUUUUCUCUUAUCUCUGUCAAUCUAUUUCUAUUCGCAGCUUUGAAUCUAUCCUUGGAUUAUUGAUUUCAUUUUGGGAGUUCUGGACUUCAAUUUAUUUUAAGCAGUUCAUUAUCUUGUUCUAAGGUCGCAUAAUCUUCUAGGAGAUGGGUAGAGGGGGUACUUCAUCUGCUAACACGGAGAGAAUUUCCCGUCGAUUUUGUACAGCCUUAUCGUCAGCCUUUUUUGAAUAGCUGUUGCUUUUUAUGCUCUUCAUUGAUGCUAUAGUUUCAUACCUAAUAAAAAAAAUUGCUCAUAAUAUGCUCAAAACUUGAUCAUGUUUUCGGUAAAGAAAAAAGCAAGUUUUAUAUGGAUCUUGUAUGUAAUGAUCAUAAGUUGGAGAUUUCAUCCUUAAUUUACUGUCAUGCUUACAACAAGCUUGUUGAUGUUCAUGGAAUGUGCGAAAGUUGCCUUUUCUCAUUUGCUACAAUGAAUAAGUCUAAUGCCGAAACCUAUCGGUUAUUGGUCGAAAAGUUGGGGGAUUUUGACAGUGGUCUUGAGGAGGAUCCCUCACUUGGGAAUCAUAAACUUGGAUGUUCAACUAAAAACACUGUUCUUGUUGCAGUGAGCCAUGGAUGCCAAGAGAGUAUGUCAAAACAUCGAUUCAGACUCGAUCGGCUGUGUUUCCGGAUACUAAAUUUGAUCUACCUUUACCAGUUUCUGUAGAACAUGGUCAUGAUGAGCAGAACAGAAGUGGCGAUGUGUCUGUUUUGGUUCAAGCUACACUUCAGAGGAAAAAUCAGCCUGAUCCUUUAUCUCAUGUAGUAUAUUCGGAACUUCAGAUUGAUUCGGAGUUAGAAUCUGAAGUUAAAAACGAUGCUGGCAACGAGGAAGAUGGCAUAAUUAUCCAAACUCAUCAUCUAAAACAAGAUCUUGUUGAUCAACACGUGCAGCCAGAGUCUCAAACUUUUACUUUAUCUGACAAUUUUACUUCAGAGAAAUUCAUGGAUCCUGUUUCUGCACUUAAGCCUUCAAUAUUCAUUUCACAAUCAGAAUCAGAAUUAGCCAUCAUUGAGCCUCUUGGCACUAGACCGGCGGAAUCAAUUGAUUUGAAACAACAUGGCUUGGAGGAACUCAAUUGGGAGCAAGCCAGUACCAAAAUCGAGCCAUCCGCUUCUUCUAAACUUAUUUUGAUUGAUGACGUCCCUAUUAGGAGAUAAAGAAGUGUUGGUUAGUUGUUAACAGUUAGUUAGGUAAGGGCAGUUGUAACUACUGUUGACUUACUGUAUAUAUACAUACGUACUUUGCAUGAGAUGAUAUACAAGAAGAAAUGAUAGAUGAAGUUUUAUUCAGUAUUCUUGAAAUUUAACAUGGUAUCAAGAGCCAGGUUAAUCUUGCUGAUUUUCUGAAAGAAAAAAAAAAGGGUGCCUCAUGGCCACUGAUGCAGCAGGUGAUACUCCCCGUCACUCGUCCAACACUAGAGAAGCUGAACACUCACAAGGUAAUGGUGCUCAAGGCUCGACUGAAGUGCACUAUUUCUCCAAGCAUGAUACAAUAAAGCUUGCGUCACACAACUACCUUUUGUGGAAACAUCAACUCUUGCUGAUUCUUGAAGGGUAUGGACUUGAAGGAUAUGUACUAGGUACCACUUCCUUCCCUCCUCAGUUUAUUGAUGGUCCUGAUGGUCAACAAAUUGCGAAUCAAGAUUUCAUCGUUCAUCGAAAGCAAGAUAAAUUUCUUGCCUCUUGGCUUUUAUCUACUAUUACGGAUGAUAUUUUGGCUCAUCUUACAACCGCAAAAACUAGUUGUGAUCUGUGGAAUGCCAUUGAAAGGAAAUUUAGUGCUAAAUCAAACAUAAAAAUCUUGAGCAUGCGGCAUACUUUAUACUCUCUCAAGAAGUCCAAUCUUUCUGUUAAAGAGUAUAUGUCGAAAGUUAAGCAACUCAGUGAUGAUUUGACUGCGGCUGGGAGCUUUAUAUCCGAACAGGAACAAGUGAGCGUUAUAUUGGCUGGACUUUCUGUUGAAUUUGAUUCCAUUAGAGUUCUAGCUACAGCAACUCCGUUAUCUCUUGAUUUGUUGAGUGAAUUGUUACUUGACUGUGAAGCACGUCAGUUAGAGCUGUUAAAAGACACCCCAUGUCAAGCAAAUUUGGCAACUCAUCAGCGAAAUAGCGAUGAUACGGGUAAACAAUCAGCAGACUCUGCUAAGUAUUCUCAAGACUCCAAGCAGAAUGAUAGAGGACAGGGCCGUGGGUGGUCUCGUGGUCGUUUUCGGGGAAAUUGACGAGGAUGGUCACGUUCGAGGCCGCAAUGCCAGUUGUGUGGGAAGAUAGGCCACAUGGUUCAAACAUGUUACCAUAGAUUUGAUGAGUCGUUCUCUGGGAAUGCAGGAGCUGGUACGGUUCAAGUUAAUUGUCAUCAGUUGCACGCUUCCAGUUGUGUGCCAGCUGCUCCAACAUGUCAAGCGAUGUCUCACUGCUGUCACACAAAUCCUCAGUCUUCCUCUGGUUCUUUUCCUCCUCAUCCAUCUUCACAAAGUAGUUCUAUCUGGUACCCCGAUUCUGGAGCGACGAACCAUAUAACACCAGAGGUGUCUAAUCUUGCUGCUCCCUCUUCAUAUACAGGUAAGAGUUGUGUCACCAUGGGUAAUGGUGAUUCGGUGCCUAUUGCUCAUGUUGGUUCAACUGUUCUUUCAACUGGAACCCGACUCCUAAAGCUUCAGAACGUACUGCAUGUCCCUGCAGUAUGCAAAAAUCUAAUGUCUGUGGGUCAAUUUGCUAGAGAUAACAAUGUUUAUUUUGAAUUUCACCCUGUUCUAUGUUUUGUGAAGGAUGUUCAGACAGGGAAGACGCUUCUCGAGGGCCGCAUGCAUGAUGGCCUUUACAAGUUUCGGUUCGCAAAGCCUAUGUCAGCUUCAGGUGCUAAAUCUCCAGAGUCAAAUUCAACUAUAUUGAAUACUGCCAAUUCUGUUCAGUGUGCACCUUCUUCGUUGUGGCAUGACAGAUUAGGUCACCCGUGUACUGAGGUUCUUAAACGAGUUUUAAAAACUUGUAAUAUUCCAGUUAAAAAGAACUGUGUUCAACAUAUGUGUACAGCUUGCCAACUAGGUAAAGCUCACAAACUUCCGUUUACAGCAUCUAAAACAAUGUAUUCCUCUUCUUUUGAACUCGUUGUAUCUGAUGUAUGGGGCCCUGCAUGGUUACCUUCCAAUGGCUUUCGUUUUUACGUUUCGUUUGUGGACAUGCAUAGCAGAUUUACCUGGGUCUAUUUUCUUCAAAACAAAUCGGAAGUGGCUCGGUGUUUUAGAGAUUUCUAUCAGCUGGUUAAAGUGCAAUUUGAUAGGUCUAUUAAAAUGCUGCAAACUGAUGGUGGUGGUGAGUAUCGAGUACUAGCUCGUGAGUUGUCCUCUCUUGGUGUCCAACACAGGAUUGUGUGCCCCUACACUUCGGAGCAAAAUGGGGUUGCUGAGAGAAAACAUCGAUAGCUUAUUGAUAUGGCUUUGUCUCUCUUAGCUCAUGCAAGUCUACCGUUGAAGUUUUGGUUUUAUGCUGUUAUGCAUGCUGUUCACCUAACCAAUCGACUACCAACUCCAGUCCUCGGACAGACUAGUCCCUAUGAGGUUCUCUACAAAGUCAAACCGAGCUAUGAGCUUUUAAGGGUCUUUGGGUGUGCGUGCUUCCCAAAUCUCAGGCCUUUUCAGCCUCACAAGCUGAGUUUUCGGUCUCAACAAUGUGUAUUCCUUGGGAGUGUUCCUAAUACCAAGGGCUAUCGAUGUCUCGCAGAAGAUGGCAGCAUGUUUGUGUCUCGACAUGUAAUUUUUGACGAGGAAAAAUUCCCUUUCAAAGAUGGGUUCCAAACUAAGGCAGUAUCACAAAGUUCGCGGACGGUGCCUCAUCGGUCUGUUCUCCCAAUAGUUUCAGCUGGUGGUUCGCAUGUUCCUGCUAUGAUGCGGGCAUCAGCUAGCCCGUCUACCAUAGGCAUAUCUCCUGGCCAGUCUCAACCCAAUCCUACAGAGUCUCCUACUCCUAAUGACACAAAUGGUCCACCUGAUAACUCUGACCUAUCUCCAUCACUACCUACCCGAGUCAAUCAUCACCCCAUGCAGACACGUUCGAAAAAUGGGAUUUUUUGACCUAAAGUGCUGGCUUCAGUCGUGAUGAAGUUGAACCUACCACCAUUCAUGAGGCGUUUCAGAGUCCAGCUUGGACUACGGCAGCCGAGGAAGAGUACAAUGCCUUGAUUUCCAAUCACACCUGGGAGCUAGUUGGUUUACCUGAAGGUCGACGAGCCGUUGGAUGUAAAUGGCUCUUCCGUAUUAAGAGGCAUGCAGAUGGGUCUGUUGCUAGAUACAAGGGCAGACUCGUGGUCAAAGGGUACCUCCAAGAAGCCGGUGUUGACUUUCAAGACACUUUCAGUCCCGUCGUCAAACCCACCACAAUUAGAGUCGUCCUCGCCCUGGCCGUCUCUCACCAGUGGUCUCUUCGACAAGUUGACAUAAACAAUGCCUUUCUUAAUGGAGACUUGAGCGAGGAGAUCUAUAUGUCACAGCCACCAGGUUUUGAACAGUAUGGCUUACAUGGAGAGCCUCUGGUCUGCAAGUUAAAGAAGGCUCUCUAUGGUCUCAAACAGGCUCCACGAGCCUGGUUUCAAAAACUAAGGGAUUUUUUGGUGACCAUGGGGUUCGACACUUCCAAAGCGGAUAACUCGCUCUUCAUUCGACAUCGUGAGGAUGCAUUGUUGUACGUUUUAGUGUAUGUCGAUGACAUCAUCGUUACAGGCAGUGACUCACAGGAAAUUGAUAAGUUUGUCAAGACACUUGAUGGUCAGUUUGCAUUGAAGGACCUUGGCCAGUUGAGCUAUUUCCUUGGUAUUGAAGUCAAGCACACGUCGAAUGGGAUAGUUUUGUCUCAAACUAAAUACAUUAGAGACUUGCUUCAAAAAGUAGCUAUGGACAGAUCCAAUGCUCUCCCAACACCAAUGGUUGCAAAUAAUCGUCUUACUGCUGAGGAAGGAAGCCCCCUUGAAGAUGAACAUCAGUAUCGAAGCAUCGUAGGAGCCUUACAAUAUAUCGUGAUCACCAGGCCUGACAUCGCCUAUUCAGUCAACAAGGUGUGCCAAUUCAUGCACAAACCACUAACCGGUCACCUCAAAGCAGUCAAGAGGAUACUACGGUAUUUACAAGAAACAAUGAAUUACGGAUUACAGUUUACUCGAGCUUCCAAAUUCCUUCUUGAAGGUUAUUCGGAUGCGAGUUGGGGAUCAGACGUUGACGAUCGAAGGUCCACCUCGGGGUAUUGUAUCUUCCUUAGAGGAAAUCCGGUCUCAUGGAGCUCGAAAAAGCAACACGUUGUGUCUCGUUCCACAGCAGAGGCGGGAUACAGGAGUGUUGCACAUGUCACCGCUGAAAUGACGUGGAUACAAUCCCUACUGACUGAAUUGCGUGUUCCAAGCUUACCAAAGGCACUAAUUUGGUGUGAUAGUUCAGCAGCAAUAGCAGUUGCAGGAAAUCCAGUCAUGCACUCCAAGUUCAAGCAUGUGGAGCUAGACAUUUUCUUUGUUAGAGAAAAGGUGGCUGCUGGAGUUGUUCAAGUUGGUCAUGUCCCAGGGACCCAUCAGCUAGCAGACAUACUAACAAAGCCUUUGUCAGCCUCAGGGUUUAACCGGUUUCGGGAUUUACUUCGAGUGGUUAACACAAACUAGGGGGAUUUUAGUUAGUCAGGGAAUGGAUGAGUAUGAGGAAUAUUAGGAGAUAAAGAAGUGUUGGUUAGUUGUUAACAGUUAGUUAGGUAAGGGCAGUUGUAACUGCUGUUGACUUACUGUAUAUAUACAUACGUACUUUGCAUGAGAUGAUAUACAAGAAGAAAUGAUAGAUGAAGUUUUAUUCAGUAUUCUUGAAAUUUAACAGUCCCUUUAUCAUCGAUGGACAAGGAAGCUUCUAUCUAUGUGUCAACAGAAAUGAAUCUUAGUUCCGUUCAUAAGGUCUCUCCAUUGUCGAAUGCUGGUGAAAUUCCUAAUCAAGGGUCGGAAGAUAGUAAGCUUAUUUCCCUUGAUUUUCUUUCUUCGUCUCCAAUCGACAAUGAAACUCUGGUUGAAGUACAAAAGGAAAGUAAGAACAUUUCUGUUGACAAUGUUUCUCCAUCAAAUGUUGCUGCAUCUUCCGUAAAAGAAUCAAAAGAGAGUAGUAAGUUGAACUUACUAGAUACACCCCUCCUACUUAAUAUCUGUGAGAUUGUUUCGUAUUAAUUUAACGUUUUCUGUCACAAGGUGUCAUGGAAACUCCUGAAAUUGAGAAGAUAUCUGAGGCAAAGUGUGAAGAAAUCCACAUAUCGGCAGAACAGCCACUUCCAAUACCUGAAUCACCGGUGGAAGAAAACUUUGUCAUGAAUGGAAAUAGCAUCCAAGCGAUCAAUUCAUUGGACCUAAGCGAUGCUUAUAAGCUAGCUGUAUGUAGUAAAGGUAGACAGUUAUCUGGUUUGCUUGUUGAACCAUGGAUUAGAAGAGAUUCUUCUAGACUUAGUGAAGAUUUAAAGGUCUUAUUGUCGCAAUUAUCUUCUCGAGGGAUGGAGCAAUUGAUGAGCGAUGUAAGUCCUAGGAUCGCAGCAAGUCCAAGGAUUGCUGUAAGUCCAAGGAUAUCUAUAAACAGUGAUGAUUUAAAAGCCUCAGAUUCUUCUGCAUUUAAUCGAAUUGAGAUAUUUCUGUGAAAAAUAAAAUAAAAAAAAAUAAAGAACACACAAAUUUUACGUGGAAACUCUUUCGGGAAAAAAAACCACGGGCAGAGGAGAAAAAAAGUCACUAUGUCAAAAAAUUUGAAUCAAAUACAAGAGGAAUAGACUAUGUCUAUUUAUAGGCUUGCAAAGUCAUAUUCUAGUAGGAUUGAAAUAGCUUAUCCUAAUCAAUAUAAAAUAGAUGGAGUUUAAUAAGGUUUAAAAACCUUAUUCUAAAAUAAAAUAAAAGAAGUCUAGUUCUAUAUGGAUUUUACUUUUAUUUUAUUUUCCAUCGUAUUUUAUUUAAAUAAGAAUUUGGGUCACUUAAUUCUUACAAUCUCCACCUUGACACAAAUUCGCAAUGAACAAGUUCUUCAUCGCGAACUUUCAAUAAACAAGUUCUCCACCUCUUCCAUAAAACCCCUUAAGGGUUUAACUUCAACAAUGAACACCAACCAAGUCUAAGCAAUGCUCAAACUUGGUUAUAGGAAGUGACUUAGUCAUCAUAUCUGCAGGAUUUUCAUGAGUACUAAUUUUGCUCACAACAAUAUCACCACGAGCAAUAAUAUCACGAACAAAAUGAUACCGAAUAUCAAUGUGUUUUGUUCUCUCAUGAAACAUUUGAUCUUUUGAAAGAAAGAUGGCACUCUGACUGUCACAAAAUACUGUGCUGAUUUUAAGGUCUUCAUUGAGUUCACUAAAUAGUCCCUUCAACCAAAUAGCUUCUUUACAAGCCUCAGUAAUCGCCAUGUACUCAGCUUCAGUGAUGGACAAAGCGACUGUAGUUUGCAAAGUGGCUUUCCAACUAAUUGCACAACCUCCGAUUGUAAAGACGUAACCUGUGAGAGAUCUUCUUCUAUCAAGGUCUCCAGCAAAAUCAGCAUCAACAUACCCUAUAACUCCAUCUUUAGUUCUUCCAAACUGUAAGCAAACAUCAGUAGUGCCUCGUAAGUAUCUUAAAAUCCACUGAACUGCUUUCUAAUGUUCUUUACCGGGAUUUGCCAUAUAUCUGCUAACUACACUGACUGUAUAUGAUAAAUUUGGACGUGAACAAACCAUAGCAUACAUGAGAGAUCCCACUGCACUAGAGUAUGGAACAUGUGACAUGUACUCAAUCUCAUCAUCUGAUUGAGGAGACAAGGCCGAUGAAAGUCUAAAAUGGGCUGCUAAAGGAGUACUAACAGGAUUAGCAGUCUACAUAUUGAACCUGCAAAGAACUUUCUCAAUGUACCCCUUCUGACUUAGGUACAAUUUACUUGCUUUUCUAUCUCUGACAAUCUCCAUACCAAGUAUCUUCUUUGCUGGUCCUAAAUCUUUCAUCUUAAAUUCUUCACUUAGUUGGGCUUUAACCUUUCUUAUCUCUCCUUUAUCUUUUGCUGCUAUCAACAUGUCAUCAACAUAAAGAAGUAGAUACACAAAAGAACCAUCACUGUUUUUCUUAAAGUAAACACAAUUGUCUAAACUACUUCUUUUGAAAUCAUGAGAAGUCAUAAAGGAAUCAAACCUCUUGUACCACUGUCUUGGAGACUGUUUCAAACCGUAAAGGGACUUUCUCAGCAAGCAAACAUAGUCCUCCUUUUCUGAGACUAUAAAACCCUCUGGUUGUUGCAUGUAAAUAUCUUCCUCAAGUUCUCCAUGCAGAAAUGCAAUUUUUACAUCUAACUACUCAAGCUCCAAAUCAUGCAUGGCCACAAUACCAAGCAAAGCUCGAAUCGAACUAUGCUUAACAACUGGAGAGAACACAUCUGUGAAGUCCACUCCUGGAAUUUGACUGUAACCCUUUGCAACAAGCCUUGCUUUAUAUCUGGGUUCUUCAACUCCUAGAGUCCCUUCUUUCUUUUUAAACACCCAUUUACAACGAACAACCUUUUUACCUUUAGAAAGUUUUACAAGGUCCCAUGUUCUGUUUUUGUGGAGUGAUUCAAUCUCUUCUUGCAUAGCAAACAUCCACUUUUCUGAGUCUUCACAGCUAACCGCCUCAGAAUAAUUAGAUGGCUCUUGAUUCACAUUUAUAUCUUCAGCCACAUUUAAAGCAUAAGCAACUAGAUUAACCUCGGCAUACUUCUUUGGAGGUUUAAUUUCUCUUCUAAUUCUGUUUUUGGCAAUAGAGUAUUGUGGUGAAGAAGCAACUCUAUUCUCAAUUUUUGUUCUGGCUUGAGGAGUUGACUCUGUAUUAAUCUGAUGCUCCACCUGCUUUUGAUUUUCUUUAUUGGAAGAGUCUUUAAGAGAUAAGUUACGUAGCAUAGUAGUUUCAUCAAAAACAACAUCUCUGCUAAUCACAACUUUUUUAUUUUCAGGACACCAUAACUUAUACCCUUUUACACCCGUUUUAUAACCAAGAAAAAAUACAUUUAAUAGAUCUCGGUUCCAAUUUUCCAUUAUCAAUAUGAGCAUACGCAGGACACCCAAAAAUAUUUAAAUCAGAAUAAUUAGCAGGAUUACCAGACCAUACCUCUUGUGGAGUCUUUUUCUCAAUGGCAACGGAUGGAGAUCGGUUGAUCAAAAAACAUGCAGUAGAGGUAGCUUCUGCCUAAAAUGCCUUCGAUAAGUUGGCAUUUGACAACAUACAUCGAACCUUCUCCAUGAUCAUUCUGUUAAUUCGUUCUGCAACGUCAUUUUGCUGUGGAGUAUAACGAACUGUCAAGUGUCUCAUAAUCCCUUCUGACUUGCGCAAUCUAUUAAACUCAUCAGAACAAAACUCUAAGCCAUUGUUUGUGCAGAGGUAUUUUAUCUGUUUUCCCUUCUGUUUUUCAAUCGUAAUUUUCCAAGACUUAAAUGCGGAAAACACAUCGCUUUCCUGCUUCAGGAAAAAUGCCCAAACUUUUCUGGAAAAAUCAUCAAUAAAGGUUAGCAUAUAAUUAGCUCCACCUCUCGAAGGCACUUUAGAUGGCCCCCACAGAUCAGAAUGAAUAUACUCCAACGUUCCCUUCGUGUUAUGGAUUCCUCUAGUGAAUCGAACUCUCUUUUGCUUCCCAAAAACACAAUGCUCACAGAAAUUUAGUUUGCAAAUUCCUUGCCCAUUAAGAAGUCCUCUUUUGCUUAAUUCUGCCAUGCCAUUCUCACUCAUAUGCCCUAUGCGCAUAUGCUAAAGUUUAGUAAUAUCAUCAUCUGACAAGGAAGAGGAAGAGACAGCCGCAUCACCAGUAACAGUAGAAUCCUGUAAAACAUAUAACUUGGCAAUCUUUCUCUGCCCUUUCAUCACAACAAGGGACCCUUUGGAAAUCUUUAAAACCCCACUUUCAGCUGUGUAUCUGUACCCUUUUGAAUCAAGAGUACUCAACGAAAUUAAAUUUCUUUUCAAUUCUGGAACAUGCCGCACAUCACUAAGUGUUCUGACAACUCCAUCAAACAUCUUAAUUUUAAUUGUUCCAACACUUGCGAUUUUACAUGAAGCAUUAUUUCCCAUCAAAACAACACCUUCAGAUACUGUUUCGUAACUUGUAAACCAAUCCCGAUUGGGACUCAUGUGGAAGGUGCAGCCUGAAUCAAGUAUCCACUCCUCGCUUACUUUAGAAUCAUUGACAAAAACGACUAGAAGUUCACCAUCGCUAUAGUUUUCUACAACAUCAGCUUCAUCGGAAUUUUCUGGUUGUUUUCCCUUUUGAUCCGCAGCCUCCCUUUUAAUCUUAUUUUGUAGCUUAUAGCACUCAGAUUUAAUGUGCCCUUUCUUUUUGCGGAAGUUGCAAGUUUUACCUCUGUUUGAAGACUUCGAUCUACCCUUAGAUUUACCACGAGGAUUCCGUUCCUGUGUCCUACCACGAUCAUUAUUAGCAUUCCAAUCUUGUCUCCUGUGAACAAUGAGACCCUCUCCCUGAGAGUCGGGUUUAACCACAAGAUGCUUCAUCUUAUCAUACGAGGUUAAAUAAUCAUAAACCUCAUCAACUGUGAGAGACUCGCGACUAUAUAAAAUCGUGUCUCUAAAGGUUGAAUAAGACGGGGGCAAUGAACAAAGUAGAAUCAAUCCUAGAUCUUCCUUAUCAUACUGAACCUCCAUGGCCUCCAAGUUUGAGAGAAUUUCUUUAAACACUAUUAAGUGUUCGUGUACAGACGCACCUUCCUCCAAACGAUGAGCAUAAAGACGCUGCUUCAUAUGCAACUUACUUGUUAGAGUUUUCGACAUACAUAUUUGUUCUAGCCUCUUCCAUAAUGCAGCGGUAGUUUUCUCUUUCAUUACAUCCUGCAAAAUUUUGUUGGACAAAUGCAGAUGUAAUUGUGUUAAUGCCUUCCGAUUCUUACGCUUCUUCUCUUCAUCUGUUAAUGUCGAAGGCAUCUUAUCUAUCCCUAGCAGGGCAUCCUCCAGAUCCAUCUGUGCAAGAACUGCUUGCAUCUUAAUUUGCCACAACGCAAAUCUGGUGUUGCGAUCCAACAGCGGAAUUUCAUACUUAAAAGAUGCCAUUACCGUGAUCGAGAUGAAUAACUCAAAAGCUCUGAUACCAAUUCGUGAAAAAUAAAAUAAAAUAAAAUAAAGAACACACAAAUUUUACGUGGAAACCCUUUCGGAAAAAAAACCACAGGCAGAGGAGAAAAAAAUUCACUAUGUCAAAAAAUUUGAAUCAAAUACAAGAGGAAUAGACUAUGUCUAUUUAUAGGCUUGCAAAGCCAUAUUCUAGUAGGAUUGAAACACCUUAUCCUAAUCAAUAUAAAAUAGAUGGAGUUUAAUAAGGUUUAAAAACCUUAUUCUAAAAUAAAAUAAAAGAAGUCUAGUUCUAUAUGGAUUUUACUUUUAUUUUAUUUUCCAUCGUAUUUUAUUUAAAUAAGAAUUUGGGUCACUUAAUUCUAACAACUUCAAAUGAGGGUCUCAUUGGAGAGAAAUGAGUCUAGUUUAUCAUUAGAUGGAAGCAUUAUUAGCGAAAUCGAAGGUGAAAGCGUGGUUGAUUGGCUAAAACGAUAGGUUGAGCAUGACAGGAAACUAUUAAGUGCUUUGUAUAAGGAAUUGGAAGAAGAAAGAAACGCUUCUGCAGUCGCUACAAAUCAAGCGAUGGCCAUGAUUACUCGAUUGCAGAAAGAGACGGCAACACUGUAAAUGGAAGCCUUGCAACACCUGAGAAUGAUGAAAGAACAAGCCGAGUACGAUAUGGAAGCACUGCAAAACACAAACGACCAUCUUGCAGAGAAAGAGAAAGAGAUUCAAGAUCUAGAAGCAGAGCUAGAGUUUUACAGGAUGAAGUUUCCCAAUGAAUUCCUGCUAGAGGACAUAGUGAAGUCGGCAUACAAUUUGCAAGUAACACGGGACACAAUGGAUCAUUUCGAAGCUAAUAGUAUUGAAGAAAAGGCAAUCUUACAUACAGAUACAGUUACCGAAAAGCUGAACAUCGGCUCCACAGUUGAAGAAACAUAUCAAUCAUUUGAGGACACAAACAAAGUCACCAUGAAGAAUCCAUUGUCUGAACAUGAACAUGGGUACCAAGAAGAACUCAUUCCUUGAAGCUUUAUUUACAAACACUACAAAGGUAAGUACUUUGAUUUUCAUUGUCUGAAAAUGUGAAAAUGCAUUUGCAUGAUACAAAUUUCAUAUAUAAAAUAUUGCUUACUUAUUUUUGUAAAUUUAACAGAUGCCUGCAAGAGAUGCUACUGGCCAUGAAUUGUAAAGUAUUCCAGAGAUUGUUUUCUCCUUAGAACAUAAUAAUAUAGGACAUGAUUUUAAAACAUUAUUGCAGAGGUUGUGUGACAUGUUCAUGUCAUGUCUGUGUGUAAAUAGCUAACUGACAUGUUUUGCAUACCAUCAAAAAUGGAGUUGCUGAGAUUUUUCUUCAUUUUUCAUAUUUCUCUUGGUAAUCUAAGUUUGCAGUACAUUUUAUUUCUUGAUUUUUCUUUUUCAUUUUUUAAGUUUGUUAGAAUUAAGUGACCCGACUUCUUAUUUAAAUAAAAUACGAUGGAAAAUAAAAUAAAAGUAAAAUCCAUAUAGAACUAGACUUCUUUUAUUUUAUUUUAGAAUAAGGUUUUUUAAACCUUAUUAAACUCCAUCUAUUUUAUAUUGAUUAGGAUAAGGUGUUUCAAUCCUACUAGAAUAUGACUUUACAAGCCUAUAAAUAGACAUAGUCUAUUCCUCUUGUAUUGAUUAAAAUUUUCAACAUAGUAAAUUUUCUUCUCCUCUGCCCGUAGUUUUUUCCCGAAAGGGUUUCCACGUAAAAUUUGUGUGUUCUUUAUUUUAUUUUUUAUUUUAUUUUAUUUUUACAAAUUGGUAUCAGAGCUUCUAGGUUUUUUCAUCUCAAUCGCGGUAAUGGCGUCUUUGAAGUAUGAAAUUUCACUGUUGGAUCGCAAGACCAGAUUUGCAUUGUGGUAGAUUAAGAUGCAAGCAGUUCUUGCACAGAUGGAUCUGGAGGAUGCCCUGCUAGGGAUAGAUAAGAUGCCUUCGACUUUAACAAAUGAAUAAAAGAAGCAUAAAGAUCGAAAGCCGUUAACACAAUUACAACUGCAUUUGUCAAACAAAAUUUUACAGGAUGUGAUGAAAGAGAAGACCGUCGUUGCAUUAUGGAAGAGGCUAGAAGAAAUAUGUAUGUCAAAAACCCUAACAAGCAAGUUGGAUAUGAAGUAGCGUCUUUAUGCUCAUCGUUUAGAGGAAGGUGCGUCUGUACACAAACACUUAACAGUAUUUAAAGAAAUUCUCUCAAACUUGGAGGCUAUGGAGGUUCAAUAUGAUAAGGAAGAUCUAGAGUUGAUUCUACUUUGUUCGUUACCCCUGUCUUAUUCAACCUUUAGAGACACUAUUUUAUAUAGUCGCGAGUCUCUCACAGUUGAUGAGGUUUAUAAUUCUUUGACCUCGUAUGAUAAGAUGAAGCAUCUUGUGGUUAAACCCGACUCUCAGGGAGAGAGUCUCAUUGUUCGUGGGAGACAAGAUCGGAAUGCUGAUGAUGAUCAUGGUAGGACACAAGAACGGAAUCCUCGUGGUAAAUCUAAGGGCAGAUCGAAGUCUUCAAAUAUAGGUAAAACUUGUAACUUCUGCAAGAAGAAAGGGCACAUUAAAUCUGAGUACUAUAAGCUAUAGAACAAGAUUAAAAGGGAGGCUACGAAUCAAAAGGGAAAACAACCAGAAAAUUCUGGUGAAGCUGAUGUUGUAGAAGACUACAACAAUGGUGAACUUCUAGUAGCUUCUGUCAAUGAUCCUAAAGUAAGUGAGGAGUGGAUACUUGAUUCAGGCUACACCUUCCACAUGAGUCCCAAUCGAGAUUGGUUUACAACUUACGAAAUAGUGUCUGAAGGAGUUGUUUUGAUGGGAAAUAAUGCUUCGUGUAAAAUCGCAGGUGUUGGAACAAUUAAAGUUAAGAUGUUUGAUGGAGUUGUCAGAACACUUAGUGACGUACGGCAUGUUCCAAAAUUGAAAAGAAAUUUAAUUUCGUUGAGUACUCUUGAUUCAAAAGGGUACAGAUACACAGCUGAAAGUGGGGUUUUAAAGAUUUCCAAAGGGUCCCUUGUUGUGAUGAAAGGGUAGAGAAAAAUUGUCAAGUUAUAUAUUUUACAGGGUUUUACUGUUACUGAUGAUGCAACUGUCACUUCCUCUUCCUUGUCAGAUGAUGAUAUUAUUAAACUUUGGCAUAUGCGCCUAGGGCAUAUGAGUGAGAAUGACAUGGUAGAAUUGAGCAAAAGAGGACUUCUUGAUGGGCAAGGAAUUUGCAAACUGAAUUUCUGUGAGCACUGUGUUUUUGGGAAGCAAAAGAGAGUUCGAUUCACUAGAGGAAUCCAUAACACGAAGGGAACGUUGGAGUAUAUUCAUUCUGAUCAGUAGGGGCCAUCUAGAGUGCCUUCGAGAGGUGGAGCUAAUUAUAUGCUAACCUUUAUUGAUGAUUUUUCUAGAAAAGUUUGGGCGUUCUUCCUGAAGCAGAAAAGUGAUGUGUUUUCCGUAUUUAAGUCUUAGAAAAUUAUGAUUGAAAAACAGACGGGAAAACAGAUAAAAUACCUUCGUACAGACAAUGGCUUAGAGUUCUGUUCUGAUGAGUUUAAUAGAUUGUGCAAGUCAGAAGAGAUCAUGAGACACUUGACAGUUCGUCAUACUCUACAGCAAAACGGCAUUGCAGAAUGAAUGAACAGAACGAUCAUGGAGAAGGUUCGAUGUAUGUUGUCAAAUGCCAACUUACCAAAGUCAUUUUGGGCAAAAGCAACCUCUAUUGCAUGUUUUUUUAUCAACCGAUCUCCAUUCGUUGCCAUUGAGAAAAAGACUCCAUAAGAGGUAUGGUCUGGUAAUCCUGCUAAUUAUUCUGAUUUAAAGAUUUUUGGGUGUCCUGCGUAUGCUUAUGUUGAUAAUGGAAAAUUGGAACUGAGAUCCAUUAAAUACGUUUUUCUUGGUUAUAAAGCUGGUGUAAAAGGGUAUAAGUUAUGGUGUCCUGAAAAUAGAAAAGUUGUGAUUAACAGAGAUGUUGUUUUUGAUGAAACUACUAUGCUACCUAACUUAUCUCUUAAAGACUCUUCCAAUAAAAAAAUCAAAAGUAGGUGGAGUAUCAGAUUAAUACAGAGUCAACUCCUCAAGCCAGAACAAAAAUUGAGAAUAGAGUUGCUUCUUCACCACAAUACUCUAUUGCCAAAAACAGAAUUAGAAGAGAAAUUAAACCUCCAAAGAAGUAUGCCGAGGUUGAUCUAGUUGCUUAUGCUUUAAAUGUGGCUGAAGAUAUAAAUGUGAAUCAAGAGCCAUCUAAUUAUUCUGAGGCGGUUAGCUGUGAAGACUCAGAAAAGUGGAUGUUUUCUAUGCAAGAAGAGAUUGAAUCACUCCACAAAAACAGAACAUAGGACCUUGUAAAACUUCCUAAAGGUAAAAAGUUUGUUCGUUGUAAAUGGGUGUUUAAAAAGAAAGAAGGGACUCUAGGAGUUGAAGAACCCAGAUAUAAAGCAAGGCUUGUUGCAAAGGGUUACAGUCAAAUUCCAAGAGUGGACUUCACAGAUGUGUUCUCUCCAGUUGUUAAGCAUAGUUCGAUUCGAGCUUUGCUUGGUAUUGUGGCCAUGCAUGAUUUGGAGCUUGAGUAGUUAGAUGUAAAAACUGUAUUUCUGCAUGGAGAACUUGAGGAGGAUAUUUACAUGCAACAACCAGAGGGUUUUAUAGUCUCAGAAAAAGAGGACUAUGUUUGCUUGUUGAGAAAGUCCCUUUACGGUUUGAAACAGUCACCAAGACAAUGGUACAAGAGGUUUGAUUCCUUUAUGACUUCUCAUGAUUUCAAAAGAAAUAGUUUAGACAGUUGUGUUUACUUUAAGAAAAACAGUGAUGGUUCUUUUGUGUAUCUACUUCUUUAUGUUGACGACAUGUUGAUAGCAGCAAAAGAUAAAGGAGAGAUAAGAAAGGUCAAAGCCCAACUAAGUGAAGAAUUUGAGAUGCAAAAUUUAGGACCAGCAAAGAAGAUACUUGGUAUGGAGAUUGUCAGAGAUAGAAAAGCAAGUAAAUUGUACCUAAGUCAGAAGGGGUACAUUGAGAAAGUUCUUUGUAGGUUCAAUAUGCAGAGUGCUAACCCUGUUAAUACUCCUUUAGCAGCCCAUUUCAAACUUUCAUCAGCUUUGUCUCUACAAUCAGAUGAUGAGAUUGAGUACAUGUCACAUGUUCCAUACUCUAGUGCAGUGGGAUCUCUCAUGUAUACUAUGGUUUGCUCACGUCCAGAUUUAUCAUAUGCAGUCAGUGCAGUUAGCAGAUACAUGGCAAAUCCCAGUAAAGAACAUUAGAAAGCAGUUCAGUGGAUUUUAAGAUACUUAUGAGGCACUACUUAUGUUUGCUUACAGUUUGGAAGAACUAAAGAUGGAGUCAUAGAGUAUGUUGAUGCUGAUUUUGCUAGAGACCUUGAUAGAAGAAGAUCUCUCACAUGUUACGUUUACAAUCGGAGGUUGUGCAAUUAGUUGGAAAGCCACUUUGCAAACUACAGUCGCUUUGUCUACCACUGAAGCUGAGUAUAUGGCGAUUAGUGAGGCUUGUAAAGAAGCUAUUUGGUUGAAGGGACUAUUUAGUGAACUCAAUGAAGACCUUCAAAUCAGUACAAUAUUUUGUGACAGUCAAAGCGCCAUCUUCCUUACAAAAGAUUAAAUGUUUCAUGAGAGAACAAAACAUAUUGAUGUUCGGUAUCAUUUUGUUCGUGAUAUUAUUGCUCGUGGUGAUAUUGUUGCGAGCAAAAUUAGUACUCAUGAAAAUCCUGCAGAUAUGAUGACUAAGUCACUUCCUAUAACCAAGUUUGAGCAUUGCUUAGACUUGGUUGGUGUUCAUUGUUGAAGUUAAACCCUUAAGGGGUUUUAUGGAAGAGGUGGAAAACUUGUUCGCGAUGAAGAACUUGUUCAUUGAGAAUUUUUGUCAAAGUGGAGAUUGUUAGAAUUAAGUGACCUAAAUUCUUAUUUAAAUAAAAUACAAUGGAAAAUAAAAUAAAAGUAAAAUCCAUAUAAAACUAGACUUCUUUUAUUUUAUUUUAGAAUAAGGUUUUUUAAACCUUAUUAAACUCCAUCUAUUUUAUAUUGAUUAGGAUAAGGUGUUUCAAUCCUACUAGAAUAUGACUUUACAAGCCUAUAAAUAGACAUAGUCUAUUCCUCUUGUAUUGAUUAAAAUUUUCGACAUAGUGAAUUUUCUUCUCUUCUGCCCGUGGUUUUUUCCCGAAAGGGUUUCCACGUAAAAUUUGUAUGUUCUUUAUUUUAUUUUAUUUUUUUAUUUUAUUUUAUUUUAACAAAGUUUUAAAAUUAGUGGGUUGAUUUGAGUGAUUGCAUUUUGUAAAAGGGUUUGAUGUUCAAGUGUAAAGUUAAGGGAUGUAAAUUAAAAUAGAUAAGCAAUUCCAAGUUUGUUUUUGAUUGGUUUUUAUUGUUUUUUUUUACAUUAAUUGUUAAUUCCUAUAAAUAAUAUAUUUUUUAAUUAUUAAUAAUAAAUGAUUUUUUUUAAUAAUCUUAUUAUAGAUUUCUCCUCUAAACCUAUAAAUAGAAAAAUAAUACGCUUCAGUGUACUUGAACCAAGCCUUUCUACAUUGGUAACAAUGCCCAUGCCAUUUGAACUAAAACUCAAUCGACAUAACUAUAACAAUACUUAAAAGCUAUCGUAAUGCAUAGGUUAGUUUAAAUGAAGAUUGAACACGAUUAUUGUUAAAUCUUUAAUAAAAAUAUUUAUAGUGAAAUUGAAUAUGAUAAUUAAUUUAAGAAUUUCUUUAUAUUUUAUUAAAAUUAAAAUGAAUUUAUAUAAUACUUUAAUUCUUAAUUAAAUAUUUAUAAUUUUUUAUUUGUAUAAGUUUAAUAUGUUGAUUUUAUCACUUUUGUAUGUUACUAUUGUAUUCAUGUUAUUUUUAUACUAUGUUUAUAUUCAUAUUAACUUUUGGGGAAAAUGAGUAGAAAAUACCAAAAGUUAAAAUAUAUUUAAUAAAAUAGAUCUUUUUUUCUUAAAUUUAGGGAACUAAAUCAAUUUUGGAGAAAGAAAAAGAAAACACGUUUUGUAUUACGUGUUUUCAGUGUCCUUAUUACCAUCUCAGCUGAAAACGUGUCAUGUUGGAUGCAUUUUCGUCCAACAUAAAAAAAAGUCUAAUAGAUAUUUUUUUUCAAAUGACUAAAAACAACUAGUUUAUUUGCUAAAAAUGUCCUCAUAUUAAUGCUUGUUAUUUAAUAAAAUGAAUAUUUUUUUAAUAAUUUCAUAAUUGAGUUUGAAAUAGAUAACAUCAACUCAAUCAACUUUUUAAAUAAUACACUUGUAUAUGUUCAAAAUAUCAUAUGAUUAGAACACAAGUGUGCGUUUAAAAAUAAAAUACUAUAAAUAAUGAAAUGUAAGGUUGGAAAGUAAUAACAAUAACAUAUACGCUAAAUUUAAAAAAUAGUUUAAAUUGUGACACCGGCUUAAUCAAUGACAUUUUUAUUUGAUCUUUGUAAUUUUUAAAUAUUUUAUUUAAAAAUAAUGUAAAAAUAUGAGAAAACAAAAAUUGCAUUUCAUUAAGCUCCCCUUCACUCUUUGCAACAGCAUUUCCUCGCCCAUCAUAAGCUAACCUCUUGCUCUUAAUCAUAAGAGGAUAGCCAUAUAGUUCACCUGCUCUCUUGGUUUCUUCUAGAUUAUUAAUCUGUUUUUAUCAAUACAGAGAGACCAAUAUAUCAAUAUAAGUUUUAAAGAAUUUCAAGACAAUAGAAUAAGCCCCUAUAAAAUAACUCAGGAAGUGGAAUACCAUGCCGAGAAAAAUGAAUUUUCUGGAGAUAUUUAUCCUGUAAAAUAGUAAAUCCAGCUUGAUAACUCCUCGUAAAAAGUAGAUUAUGCUUAACAUCCAUUCAGGUAUCAACAGUAAAAGGAAACUGAUGCAAUUUAUUACAGACAUUAGUACCGCUCGCAAGUAAACAAGCCUAGGGAAUUUACUUGGAUAAUUCGAAUGGUAGAAGCUUUAGGCUCACAAUCAAUUCCUUGUUGUUCAAGCUUCUCUAGAGUGGCAACAUCCACAUGUUCAGUUUCAGCCGUCAAAACUCCACAUCUAACUACCAAGAAACAUACAAUGAACAUGAAUACUUCAUUUAAAACAAACAAAGGAAAUAAGUUAAAUAUCAAAAUUGGACCUUUUAGCAAAUUCUUCAACAGUAGCACUGUCAUCAAAGCUCCCAACCAUAUGAUCAUAAGCAAGGGCACUGGCCGAGCAAUUCUCUAAAGGGUCCAAAACCAUAACUUUAAUGGCCAUCUUGGAAGCUGCUUGGCAUAACGUACGACCCAAUUGCCCUCCUACUAAUACACCAACUAUCUUUUCGGAUAGACCAUGAACUGGAGAAUCAUCAUCCUUCCUAAAAAAAAAAAAUUUGAACAUAAAUAAUUCUCGAUAACAAAAAAGAUUCAAAUUUUUAUAUUCUUUUGUUUUCGUUGGAAACAUAUAUAUUGCCAGAAGAAGAAACACUAUAUUGUCACUAUAUUUGUUAUUUUCAUCUUCUUUUAAACUUUUUUUAAUUAAAAAAGAAUAUUAUCACUAUAUUUGUAAUCAUUUUUAAACUUGUUUGAAUCGAAAAAAAAUGUCAGAAAUGUCUCUGCCCGUGUGGACAAAAAUAAGCUAUUUACCAAGCCAUAUUGCCACCCAAAUUUGUAUGAACCUAUAUCAAACCAAAUGACACAAAAACAUGACAUAAUUAGGCAUCUAACUCAACUCCAACCAAGCCUAAUUCAUACCAUUUCAAUACCAACCAUACUAGGUACAUCAAUACCACAAUAUAUCCUUCGAUUUCAUAUUAAAACUCAUAAUCUCAAAUCAUCAAUAAGGUCUCAUUCAUUUAAGCAUCACCUUACCUAAUUCACAAUCAUACUAAUUCUCAAACAACCAUUUGGUAUUCAAUAAAUCAAUCCACAACAAGGUAUACAUGUAACUGCCUGGUUUUAGCUAAAUCAGAAUAGUAAUUUUGGGACCACAAAUUCGAUGUCGUAAAAUUAUUUUAAUAUUAUUUUUGGUAUUUACAGCAUGUGAUUAUAUAGGUGUUAAAAUUUCGUGAGUUAAUUUUUUUGUUUAAGUAGUUAAUUUGAGAAAAGGACUUAAUCGCGUAAAAUGCAAAAGUAACAUGCUAUAAGUUAAAAGUGUCAAAUUUCUAUGGCUUAUUAAAUGGGAGGUCCUUAUGUUGUAAUUAGACCAUUGAUAGUGGUGAUGGACAUAAAUGGCAUUGAAUUAUGUGUUUUAUAAUGAUUUUAAUUAAGGUUAAAUUUGUAAAAUGAUUAUAAAUGAUAAUAUAAUAAAAACAAAAAGAAAUGUUGUUCAUCUUUUACAUUGAUUGCCGACUGUUGAUGGAAAAAGAAGCCAAAAAUAUUUCUCUAGGUUUUCCCACUUGUAGGCUUGAUUAGUAAGUGUUCUUUGCUUGGACUUCAAUUAUUUCUACGUUUUUGUGAUAGUUGCUUUGAGUACUAGCUAACCCGUUCCUUAAUUUUUGAGUUUGUUAGUGAUUUUGGAAAAUGCUAUUGUUGAAUCUAUGAGUUUUAUGAUGUUUGAUGAUGAAUUAUGAAGGCUUGGUGUUUGAUAUACAUGUUUUGUAAAGUGAUUUUUAGUAAAAAUGAACACUAGGGAUUAAAUUGAGAAUGGUGUAAAUUAAGGGGUUAAAUUGUGAAAUAAAUGAAAGUUUUGGGCUGCUAGGGACUUACAUGAAAUUCGGCUAGGCUUGGGUGUAAUUAGAUUUUAUAUAAUUUGUGUUUUUUGUGAAAUAGGGACUAAUUGAAUAAAUGUGGAACUUUAGGGGUUAAAGUGAAAAAAUGCUCAAAUAUGUGCUUGUGGACUAAAUUGAAAGAUUAUGUGAUUAAAUGAGUCGAAUUUUUUAUAAUAUAGAUUAAGAAAAGAGGAACUUGGAUUUAGAUCGAGGCAAAAACAAAGUACUCGACUAAUCGACUAGUUACAUCGUUUUUACGUCUGAGAUAAGUUCGUAUAAGAUAAAAAUUGUUACAAUUAUGUUUUUAACGUUUUAAUAUUACAUAAAUUAUAUAUAUGAGACGAUGGUUGUGUACGACGACAAAUCGACUAUAUUUUGCACUUUGUGUGCGUUUCGAGGUAGCUUUGGCUAUAUAAAGCACUUAGUGUGCGAAUCGGAAUAACUUCAGCUAUAUAUGGCACUUAGUGUGCUAGGUUGAGAUAGCUUCGGCUAUGAAAGGCACUUAGUGUGCGAGUUUAUAAUAGCUUCGGCUAAGCUUUAGCACUUAGUGUGCGAGAUAUCGAGUCUUCGACAAUAUCACGAGAAGGUAUGAGUUGGAUAUGAAAUUGUACAAGUAUGUACAUAUAAAGCAUGAAAUUCAAGAAUAAAGAAUUAUGAAUUUUACAUAUAGCAUAAAAACAAGAAUGUGAAAAAUAAUCAUGAGUUACAUGUUAUUAUGCUUAGAUUGAUGAAUGAUAUAUUGGUGAUUAGAUAAGUUUAUACCAUACCAUACGAACUUACUAAGCUUUAAAAGCUUACUUUGUGUGUUAUUUCCCUAUUUUAUAGAUUAUCGGAGCUAGCUCGGACUCGAGGAUUAUCGGGAAACAUCAUCACACUAUCGAUUAUCUCAUUGGUAUUUUUGGAAACUUUGUAUAUAUGGUAUAUGGCAUGUAUAAACUAGUGUCAUAUUGGUAUGUUUUGAGUUAAGAUAUUGGCCAUGUGAUUUGGCUUGUUGAUAAUGUAAAUGUGGUUGUGUUCUUAGCCAUUUAAGUCGGUUUGAGUUAUGAAAUUGAUAAGUGAUAUAUGUGAUAUAUAUAAUGCCUUAUAUGUUGGCUUGUUUUGGUAUGUUUUCCAUAGUUGUUGAUUUAGUUAAAUGGUUGUUCAUUUGUUAGUUAUUGGUUGAUGUAUUAAUGUUUGGAAGUAGGCAUAUAUUGUGGUUGAUUUUGAGAUGAUAAUGUGAUGGGUAAAUGCAUUUAGAAGUUAUGUAAGUUUCAAUGAUUUUAGCAUAAUGAAUUAGUAUGAUUUGAAUAUGAAAUGGAGUAGUUGAAAUGGUUGUGGAUAGAUGCCAUGAUAUGUGUGAGGAAUAGUAUGCUUUGGUUGCUUAUAUAUGUGUUGAAAAGGUACAAAUUUGGUUGCUAUGUGUGCAUGAGAGUAGGGUGCAAAUUGGCUUUUCGAAUGGCCUAUUUUUGUCCACACGGACAGAGACACACCGGACAAAGACACGGGCGUGUGUCUCAGCCAUGUGUGACACACGAUCAUGCUACACGACCGUGUGUGACACACGAUCAUGCUACCCUGAGAAAUAAUUAGGGAUUCAAGUCAGUCUUGAGCACGGCCUAGACACACGAGCGUGUCUAGUGGCCAUGUGAAUCACACAUCCUUGGCACAUGAGCGUGUGUGGCCAUUUUGAAUGGUACACGGGUUAGACGCACGGGUGUGUGGUCGACCUUGUGCCCUAAGUCAAUAGCUCCUCCAAAUUUCCCGCGGCCAAGGCACACAGGCGUGUCUCCGGCCGUGUGGUGCAAGUCAGUAUGUAUGCUCUAUUUUCACACGAUCUAUGACAAGGUGUGUCUGGUAACCGUGUGAGGCACAUGGCCUAUUCACAUGGGCGUGUGACCUAUGGUUUCAUGAAAUUUUUCUAAGUUUACGAAAAUUUUUAUAUGUGAUCGGUUUAGUCCCAAACCUCUUCUAAGCAUAUUUUAAAGUCUCAUAGAGCCUUAUAAGGGACAUUAUGAAUAAUUUGAAUGAAUUUUGAUUAUGAAUGUUUAAAUGUAUGUGAAUGAGGUGUAUUAUACUGUAAUACCUUGUAACCCUAAUCUGGUGUCGGAUAUGGGUUAGGAGUGUUACAAUACACCAAGCAAAUUACACAUACAUAUCAAAGGCCAUUUGCAUAUAUAUUCAUCACCAAAAUCAACCAAUUCAAACCAAAAUCAACCAAAACAAGCUAACUUUCAUGGCUAUAUACAAAACCGAACUCUUAAUAUUUACAAGCCAUUUCAAAUGACCAAAUUCAUUAGAAACACAUAAACCUAAAUGACAAAAGUCCCUAUACAUGCCAUAUGACCCACAACUUAAUUUCAAAAGUACCAAGUGAUAGUGUGAUAGUGUGAUGAAGUCUUUGAUGAUCCCCGAAUCUGAGCUAGUUUUGAUAUCACUAUAAAACAUGAAAAAUUAAACAAUGUAAGCUAUAAAGCUUAGUAAGCUCGUAUGAGAAUAAUAAGCAAAUCUCACCAAUCAUUUACCAUUCAGAUAUUAUGAACAUAGUAUUCAACAACACAUUACUCACAAUAUUAGUAUAAAUUCAAUCACAUAAUUGCUCAUAAAUUCACGACUUCCUUAGUUUCAAUACUCGUAUAGUCUCUCGUACAUACCUGUACCGGUACGUAUCUAUUUCUCACCAUUUCACUUCUUCAAUAUACCUGUUGAACCAUUUGAAAUAGCAAUCGGAUACUCGGGAGUUUCACACCCUAAGUGCCUAUAUCAUGGCUCGAAGCCAAAUCAAUGUAACUCGCACUCGAAGUGCUAAUAUCAUAGCCCGAAGCCAAAUCAAUAUAGUUCGUACCCAAAGUGCUAAUAUUAUGGCUCAAAUCCAAAUCGAUAUAGUUCGCACCCGAAGUGCUAAUAUCAUAGCCCGAAGCCAAAUCAAUAUAUCUUCUAAUGACAUGCCAUUAGUAUUCUUAUCUAUUCCUAAGGUUCAACAGGGAUUUCCAACGUCGAAUCUUCGUCAAAUAUAACCGCAAGGUCAUAAUUCACAAUUUAUGCAAUAUCAAACAUUUAAAACAUAAUUAUAACAAUGCUUAUUACUUAUGAACUUACCUCGGAUGCUAAAAUGGCAAAUUAAGUCGAUUAAUUCGAAACUUUGUUCUUUCCCCGAUUUAAAUCUGUAUUUCGCCUUUCUUGAUCUAAAUGUAAUCAAAAUUAACUUAUUUAACUAUCACUCUUUUCAAUUUAAUUCAAAAUACACAUUAUGAAAAAAUUACCAUUUUGCCCCUAAUAUUUUAAUUUCUUUACAAUUUAGUCCCUAGGCUCGUAAAACGAAAUUCAUUCAAUUUCAUCACAACCCAAGCCUAGCUGAAUAUUUAACAUGCUUAUAGAAGCCUAUAAUUUUCAUUUAUUCACACUUUUUCCACAUAAAUUUCACAUUUCACAAUUUAGCCCUUAUUUCACAUUUUCAUCAAAAGUCCAUUAACAAAAGUUGUUUAAUUAACAACAAGGACUCAUAUUCUUCCAUUAAAAUUCAAAAAAACUAACAUGCUUUCAUGGAAAAGCCCUAACCUUUCAAAAAAUUUGCAAAUUAGUCCCCUUAUUAGCUAGUUUAAGCUACAACGAUCCCGAAAAUAUAAAAAUCAUUAAAAAUCGAGUCAAAAAUGACUUACAUGCACAAGGUACUAUGGUUGAACCUUCAAGAGCACAAGAAUGGUGUUGUCUUUCCUUAAUUUUGGCUAGAAGAAGAAGAUGGACUAAAAUUUGGCUUUAUUUUACUUAUUUAAUCAUUUAAUUACUAAUUUACUAAAAUAACCUUAAUGUAUAAUAAUUAAAACUCACCUAACCAUGUCCAUCUUUGUCCACUCAAAAAUACCAUGGUCUAAUUGUCAUUUUAGGACCUCCAAUUAAAGUUCCAUAGCUUUUAAACUCAUUUAGCUUAUAGAACUCAAAUUUUGUACUUAAUGCAAUUUAGUCCUUUUUUUAUAAUUAAGCACUCAAUAAAUAAAAUUUCUUAACAAAAUUUUCACACAACCAUACUAUCAUACUAUAGGCAUUAAAAUAAUUAUAAAAUAAAUAUUUUGACCUCGGAUUUGUGGUCCCGAAACCAAUGUUUUGAUUUUACUAAAAACGGGUUGUUACACGUGCAAUUACAAUUAGGAUUGUCGGCGGAUGGGUCCGCACUCACCGGGUUCGUUCAAUCUACUAAUUGGAGAGCCGUAUGCUAUGAUCUUUUGGGUGUGAUUCUGGAUAAUAUUUAUGGAGGUCGUAUCGAGAUGGAUUGGUUACGAGACACAUUCCUGGAGUUGGGGAAUGAUUCGACUGAAGUAGAAAGAAUACGAUAUGCUCGGGCAAACAUCAUUGAGAUGAUUGGAGGUUAUCUGAUGCCGGACUUGUCACGAAACAUCCUUGAGAAGGACAGGUUGGGGAAGGAAAGUGGUAGCGCCGUUCUUCUUUGGAGCCAAAACUCGCUGCUUUUAUCAUCAAAAUUUCUUAAGGAAGUGACAAAAAUUAGAAAAUAAUAAAUACUAAUGCUCCUACAAACCUCAAUGGCUAUGUUUUCGAGUUCCACCUCUAAACCAGUUUUUUUCUUUCAAGCUAUCUCAUUUCUUCCCGGACCACCACCAUCUCUCUCACUCCGCUUCUUCUCCGUCUUCAUCGCUGCCGAUAACCGCAAUCGUAACUAUCGCCUCCAGCACUCUUUUUUUUCUUCCUUGAAACUCUACAAUUCCAUCUUCGCUUGUCGCGCCUCACGUGACUCUCACGAGACCGACUCCUUUCGCAGGUUUUAUAUUCUUCUAGCAAUUCAUUUAUUACCCUUUUUUUCUUAAUUUUAUAUGUUUCUAACGUAAACAAAAGAAUAUAAAAUUUGAACAGGAGAAUCAUCAUCCUUCCUACAAAAAAAGAAAAAAAAACCAUUUGAACGUAAAUAAUUCAUGAUAACAAAUCCGCUCCAUAUGGAGUGAGUUUUUUUUUAAAUGGAUGUGGAGUGAGGUAGGGUGAAUUUUUUCUUUUAGAUAGUGGGUAUGGAGAAGUAAUGGUAAUUGCUUGCCCCACCACGCCCGACUCUGUUAUAUAAAAUUAUCAUUUUAUCCAAAGGCGUAACCAGGAGGCUGGCAGGGGGCCCGACCCCCCUAAAAUGGAAAAUUUUUUAUUUAGGCCCCUUUAAAAUUUAUAAAAAUUUAAAUUAGUAAAGGUAAAAUUACACUUUGGCCUCCCUAAAUAUGAUAAAAUUUUGAUAUAAUCCUUUAAAAAUUAUAAAGAUAUAGAUAUUAAAAUGGUGAAAUUGUAUUUUUUUAUUAUCGUAAAAAUAUACAAUUUAAUUUUGACCCCUCCUAUAAAAAUUUUCUAGCUUCGCCCGAGAUUAUAUCCUUAUAUAUGUAACUAUUAAAAGAGUAAUAAUGUAUUAUAAAAAAAUUAUAUUUUAUGUUUAAAUAUUUACUUGACUUUAAAAAUAUUAAAAAUAUUAAAAAUAAGUAGCAAAAAUUAAAUUGAAGCGAAGCGAAGUUGAGUGGGGAUGGAUGUAUCCAACAUCCAUGGAGGAGGUAGUGGAUUUCAAGAUUAUACAUACAUAAUGGAGUAGGGUGCAUAGUGGAGCAAAGUGUUCCCAACUAUGGAGUGAUGGUGGAUUUAGCAGCGUUCAUCCCCGCCCUGCUUCAUUAUCAUCCUUAGUAAAGAGUAUACUUCAUAUUUUAUAAAUAUUACUGUUAUAAAUGAAAAGUUUUUAUAUAAAGUAAAAAUAAAAUAUAAAAAUUUGAUUUUAUAAUAAAUUUGGUUAUUAAUAAAAUGUCAGUAGUUAUUAUAAAGUAGACUAACUAUAAUAUAUUUAAGAACAUAGCAAAAAAUUAAUUCCUAUAUUAAAAAAAUUAGUUUGGAUGAAAUUUUGAAAAGGUCCAAAGCAAUAGGCAUGAAUUAAUGUUGUAGAAAAGUUUGGUCAAGAUUUUCCAUUGUUUGAGCAAUUUGAAGUAAAUAUAUUUGCGUUUAAUAACUUGAGACACUCUUUGAUGCGAAAACUGACUUUUAGUAUUUGACAAAAUAUUAGGUAGGUGGAUGUUGAUUUUGAUUGGGUCAAACUACCCAACUAAUUUCCUCACGUAAUAAAUAUAUAUUUUAAAUUAUACAAAAAUUAAAUAAUAUUUUUUAAUAAUAUCGUUAUAGAUUCUGAUCGUAUAUGUUCUUUUUGACACAAUGUUUAGAACUAUCUAUAGCCCCUUUCAACCAGGGGCGUAGCCAAGAGGGCUGGCAUGGGCCUCAGCCCCCCCUAAAAUGUAAAAUUAUAUUUUAAGCCCUUAAAUUUUUUUAAAAAUUUUAAAUUAGUAAAGGUAAAAUUUCACUUUGGCCCCCCUAAAAUUAUAAAAAUUCGAUUUAAUCUUUUUACAAAUUAUAAAGAUAUAAACUAUAAAAAAUUAAAAUUUCAUCCGGCCCUUCCUGAAAAAAUUUUCUAGCUUCGCCCCUACUUUCAACGCAUAAAUAGAAGAAUAAUACGUUUCAGCGCACUCAAACACACGUUCUCCUAUAUUUAGCAACUUAUUUAUUAAUUUUAUAUAAAAUAUAAAAUAACUUAAUAGCUUAAAUAUAGUGUAGAUUUAUUGAACACAUAGUUAAUAUGAGUGUGGAUUAAUUUUAACCCAUUUUAAGAACAUCCAUAUAUAUAAUGUUUAAUGAUAAAUUUAGUCACUAAUAUUUACAUGUUUUGUUAAAAUGGUCUUAAUUGUAAUUUUUUAGUCUUUUUUGGCCAUCAACUUUUUUUUAAUUGCUUUUUUUAACAAAUUUGAUAAAAGUUUCGUUAACAAAGUUAACAGGAUGAUGUGAAAUUUCAUAUGUGAAAUAUUUUUAAUGAAAUGUAAUUUAGUACUUAGAUAACCCAAAAAUAAUUAUGCGUGGAAAAUAAUAAAAUAAAUAAUUCAUGAAGUUUAAAAAAAACUCUUAAUUAAAAAAUAAACAUAAUUAUCUAAAAGAUUUAGGGUAAAUUUCACUCAAGGUCAUUAACUAUUAAUAAAUUUAAAUUUUAAUCAUUUAAUUAUGAAAAGUUAUAAUUUGAUCAUUCGGAUAUUCAAAAUUGAUCAUUUAAGUCAUCCUUCAAUUAACUUGCUAACGGAUGUCAGUGUGGGUCAUUAAGUUAUUAUUCCUCAAAUAUGUUCAGGUAAGCUAUAAUGUUAAGUUCCCCGAUUAUUAGUAAGUUUUUGUUUUGAUAAGCCUACUAUUACAAAAUUAUUAUUAACGGAAUGAUAACAUAUCAUAUUAACUCAUAGGUUUAAUAGCGAAUUUGAUUCAUGAUAUGUAACUAAAAUAUCAAUUUAGUAUUUUUACAAUAUUUUUAAUGUAAAUCCAAAAAAAAUAUAAAUUUAUCAAAAAUUCUAAAAAUAAAAUUUUAUAUUUUUUCUUUGAAAUUAUAAAAUAUUUUUAAAAUUAUAAUUAUGUGCAAAUUAAUUAAAAAUUUUAAAAAUUUCAUAAAUUUCUAACAAGUUUUUUUCUUUUGAAAAAUGCUAGGUCCAUGACUAAUGACUUCACACGGCCAUUUCCUUCUUUUCACUAGGCGAUAAUUUUUUUAAAAAUUUUUUAAGAAUUUUUUUAGAUUUGUUUUGGAUUUAUUACAGAAAUUUUAAAAGUAUAUUUUAGUAAUAAUUGAAAGCUUGUAAGUUAAUGUGUUAUGCCAUCAGCCCUUUACGAAGUUAAUAGAUGAAUGACCAAAUAAAUAAUAUUAAUAAUUAUUUUUUGUAAAUUUUCAUAAUUAGAUAACUCAAUUAAAAAUUUAUUAAUAAUUGAUUGAUUAACAGUGCAAUUGAGGGAUAACAAACUAAUGAUAGAAAGCUACCAAAGAGAUAAAUGAUGAAUUUCAAAUAAUUGAAUGAUAAAAUUAUAUUCAUAAUUAAGUAACCCCUAAUUGUGAAAAUAUUUUUAAUAUGAAUAAAUUUAAAUUUAGAUUGUAAUUUCUAUUUAUAAUAUGUUAUAUUUGAAUAAAGAAAUUAAGAUAAAACGUAAUCCUGUCAUAGCCUUAUUUUAUUCGGAAAAUUUGUCGAUGGUUUUUUUUUUCAUACUAACACUGGAAUAAUAGUAAAAUAAAUAAAAAGAAUUAUCAACUAAUUGAAUCGUAUAAUAAUUUCCCAUGUGUUCUUCCCCGGAAAAAAAAAAACCAAUUUACAAGAAAUAAAUUACUUGUGUAUACAAAUUUGAUGAAACUUUAUUGUUUGAUCUGUUUUUGUCGAGGCGCAAGAUGAGGGCACCUAGCAGCCACCACCGCUACGUCCGGGUAUAUUAGUGCAGGGGUUUCCACCAGACGGUGGCACCGUACCCCUUUGAAAUACUUGAAUUAUAAGAUUUUUAUUGAAAAUCGCAGCAAACAGUUGAUCUUCAACAUGAGGGAGAGGCCUUAUGGCGGAAACAUGUUGGUAGGCGAAUAACAAAAUAAUGCAGAAAAGGAAUGUAACAGUAACUUUCAGCGAAGCCAUAUUGGAAAACACAAAAGGUUUCAAGUGUUGAUGAUAUGAAAAAUGAUGAGUUAUAAGAUGUUAUAUACAUGAAAUGGGAAAUGGGAAAUAGAUGUGUGUUUUGACCAUUUAAAAAGCCACGGUUUAAUGACUUCAGAAUAAGGUGGAAGUCUAAAUCAAAUACAAGGACCUUGAAUGCCAAGCACUAGACUCCAUACAUAUAUGUGACUUCAAACUUGAAUCAGUCUAUUUCAUCUAACUUUUUUAAAUCAAUACUUCUCUCUCAAUUAACUCAUGCUUUCUGAUUUUGGAUUCAAUUCCAAAGACUUGAAUUUUUGUUCUUUUUCUUAUUUUUAAAAAAAUAAAAACAUUCUUUUUAUUUAAAUCAUAUUUUGAGUUUACUUGAUGUUUAGAAAGCCAAUCUUUACCCAUACACAAAAAAUUAUUUUUUUUAUAAAGAUUUUAAUUGAAAUGGUAACGUUGAUAUAUUAAAUAUUUUAAUAUUUUAAAUUUAAUUUUUAUUAUUUAUAUUUUUAAAAAAAUUUUAUAUAAAUUAUUAUAUGAUAAAAAUGUCCUCAUAUUAAUGCUUGUUAUUUAACAAAAUGAAUAUGUUUUUAAUAAUUUCAUAAUUGAGUUUGAAAUAGAUAACAUUAACUCGAUCAACUUUUUAAAUAAUACACUUGUAUGCGUGCAAAAAAUUAUAUGAUUAGAACACAAGUGUGAGUUUAAAAAUAAAAUAUGAUAAAUAAUGAAAUGUAAGGUUGAAAAGUAAUAACAAUAACAUAUAUGCUAAAUUUAAAAAAUAGUUUAAAUUAUAACACCGACUCAAUCAAUGACAUUAUUAUUUUAUCUUUAUAAUUUUUAAAAUAUUUUAUUUAAAAAUAAUGUAAAAAUAUGAGAAAAACAAAAAUUGAUUAUAAUAAUAUUAAUGAGAUAUUUCUUUAUUAGAAUUAGAUAUUAGACUAUAGAUUAUGUUAAAAGCUCGAAUAAUAAUAAUAAUAAUAGUAAAAUGAAAAGUUUAAUACUUGAAAAAUGAGAACCGGUUAAUCAGAUUAAUUUAAUUUAAUUUUUUAUGAAACGAUAUCUCUGGCCAGCAGUGAGCCAGUGACACGUGUACUAACACUUUUUAUUAGAAUGUGACACCCCUUUUUUUUUUUUUUUUUUUUUUAGCUUUUUGACUAGCAGAGAUAAUAAAAAUAAUUUCUCUAAAAACACCCAUUAAAGGAAGCACCAUUGGAACUUGGAAGCAUAUAUUCCAAUUAGCAGUUUUCAGCUUUUGAACAUAAGACAUAAAUUUGCAUCUUACUUUUGCAGAAAAUCAUCCUUUUUUUUUUUAUUGCUUCAAAAUGCAGUUCAUAAAUCAGUACAAACCAGUGUCUUGAACAUGAAAUAAAUCUCCAUUAACAAAUAACAAAUUACUGCACUUCAACAAAAAUAUAGAUGAAUUCAAGUUAUUAAACUCAAAACGAGAGACAAUAAAAGAAUAAUCUUACAGCAAAAAAUGGUUUGUGCGUUGCCCCUUUCACCUGUUCUUCCCAUCAAUUCUUCCCUUGCAUUGUUGUUAUUUUCCAACUGAACCAAUGCCAGUUUUGGACAGGUUGUAGUAGCUAUGGUGUCUCAGUCCGUUAGUAAAUUAGCUAAAGAUCAUGACAGGGUUGUUAUUUGAUCUCAUUAUUUAUGGUGUGAAUUCCCAGCAGAAAUUCUAGUAAGCCGUUACUCUUACUGAUUUAAAUAAGCUUCCCAACCAUCCUUCCGUAGCUUCUCAGCUUUUGUCAAGACAUAGUCCCUUGUGUCUUCUUGAUACUGAUUCAUUCUAAGGACAAGUGCGACACAACACGAAUCAAAAUUAGAAUUCACAACGUUUCAAUUUCAAACGCAUCCAUCUUUUAUUUUAUAUAAAGAGAGAUGGGAACUUACCUCGCCAAUAGAUCAGCAUCACCAACUCCCAACAUCCUUACUGCCAGCAAUCCUGCGUUUGUAGCGUUGUUUACUGCAACCGUUGCAACAGGAACACCCCUUGGCAUCUGCAUCAUUAAAAUGAGUAUAAACAUCAAGCAUUUGGGAAUGCAAUGUCAUGUACAAGUUCAAGUCUUACCUGCACGAUUGACAAGAGUGAAUCGAUUCCGUCUAAUGUAGAGGCACGGACAGGGACACCAAUAACAGGUAAAGGUGUAAGUGAAGCUACCAUUCCUAUAUUUCAAAACAGGCCUCAUCAGUGUCACUAACAUAGCUAAUGCAUGUUGGAGAAUGAUGUUAAACAAUAGUUUUAUAUAUAACUAGCCUGGCAAGUGAGCUGCACCACCAGCCCCAGCAAUGAUAACCUGAAUGCCUCGCUCCCGAGCAGAGGAGGCAUAAGAGUACAUCAGUUCAGGGGUCCGGUGUGCUGAGACUAUCCGAACCUGCAAAUGAGUUAAUCAAUGGAGUCAAAGUGGAUUUGCACUAUUUGUAAACAAAAAUUCUAAGCUAAAAAAAAAAUGCUACCUCAGUAGACACACCAAACAUAUUUAAGAUUCUAGCUGCAUCCUUCAUAACUGGAAGAUCUGAAUCCGAACCCAUUACAAUCCCAACACGUGGUGCAACUGCAUUUAGCAACAAAAAGGAUCCAAAAUGUCAGUAAAGCCAACCAACGGUAGUUUCAAUUCUCCAUGUGGUUCAAUUUCUGUUAUGUCCUUAUAGUUCUAAUUCAACCUUUAAAUAAAUUUGCAUUCAGUAAGUCUAACAAAAAACAAACUGAAAACAAAAUUGAAGUUCAAGCAUCAACUCUAGGUCAACUGACCUUCAUUCCGAUUUUCAUAACCUUCUUCCCUCAGCAUUGAUUUUCGCCGUGCUUCUAAAACACCAACAGAAGGGCCAACAAGAGUUAUAUGACCCAUCUUCCUUUGCCUUCGCAUUUCUGGUAAAAACAUCAUGACAGCCAAUUAAUAAAAACGUGUAUGAGAGAAAAAAAAAUGAAAAAAAAAUAGGACAACGAGAUGGAUAAGCCCGAGGAAACUUAAAGCAGACCUAACCUGGCUUAUCAUACCAAUGAGCAGUAGCUCCUGGAAUCUCCAGUGCCCUUGCUAUAAGUUGAUGAGCCACUUUGAAACCUGGCUCCCCCUGAAACCAUACAAUUUUUAGUGUAACUCAAAUCUAACAGACUAAUUCACUGCCCACAAGCACAAGGAAAACAGAAAAUUUCGGUAAAUUAUACUCAUGUAUAAAGUUAUUUUAGUUUAUGAUAAGAAACAUAAAAGCUGAAAGGUGUGGAAGUUACGGAAAAGGAAGAGAAGGAACCUACUUCAUCCUCACCCAGUAGAUUGUACAUGAUAGCAGCUGGAGUUUUCAUAGAUGGAUCACCGAGAGGAAGACCAACAACAGCCCGCAAAUGCUGUUCAAACUGUGAUGUAUAGCAGGACUCAAUAGUGUGAUGACCACUAUUAUGAGGUCUUGGAGCUACUUCAUUUAGUAGAAUCUAAUAGAAACAAAGAAUAGGUCAGUCAAAGGCGGAAUUGCUGAAUUAUUGCUGGCCAUCUAGGAGUGGAAUAAAAAACUCAUAAAGAUAGCAGAUGUACACCUGACCAUCCCUCGUCAAAAACAACUCCACCGCAAAGACACCAGCACCUUCUAAUGAACUUAUAGCUUUAUAUGCAACAUCAUUUGCAAGUUUUCUGAUCCUCCAUGGCACGUCAGCAGGUGCCUUAACAAUGUGACAUAUGUUUUCCCUAUAAGAGCCCACAAAUUUACAAUCAUAAUAGAUUUACAGAGCUCCUCGCAAGUCAUAUGUAAAUAUUAUCACAUAAUUCUAAUUUACAAUAAAUGGAAUUCUAGUAAGGAACGUGAAUGUCUUACUUGUGAAUAGUUUCAACAACUGGAUAACACAGGAUAGAGUUAUCUCUUCCUCUUGCCACGAUGACAGCCAACUCCUAAAAGCAAUGUCAGUACAAUUCAGAAGUAUGUCUAUAAACAUAUAGUAAUUAUCUGUAUCAUGAUGAGGCAGUUCGGAAAAUACCCCAUCAAUACAGUGAGCAUGAAGUUAUCAAGUAUAAAUAAAUAAAGAGGAAAUAAAUGCAUAGUAAAAAAAUCAACAGUACAUUCUAGAUAUCCACCUUUAUGAAAGGAGCCCAUUUCUCAACGUACAGGCCACGGCCAAAUCCACCAAGAACUGCAAUAAAAAUGAAAAUUCUUUAAACUGGAAAAGUAAAUGUUCAGUAUCUAAGUUACAAAAAUGGAGUUUAUGAGAAAUUUCAAAGUCAAGAAGAACAAGGAACUAGUCAUAGGCAAAAUUAAAUACUAAUAAAGAAAAGGAAAGAAUACAAGACAACUUCUCCAGUCCCAAGUGACAAUCACCAUGUGAACAUCUACAUCAAAAUAGACAUGUUCUUCUGUAAAUAUUGAUAUAGGCAACAUUUAUACAAAUUGUAGAUUUGGAAUGAUACCCACAACCAACAUUUUAGUCUUUGACAAAUAUUUAGAGAAAUCCUAUGCCUUAAAAAAUUAAGGUAAGUCAUUAUGAAUUAAGAAAAUGAUGAAAUGCUACAUAAAUCUCCUUUCUAAUGGCAUCUCCAUUACCAUCUAUGGCCGAAGAAAGCUCUCCUUCACUCUUUGCAACAGCAUUUCCUCGCCCAUCAUAAGCUAACCUCUUACCCUUAAUCAUAAGAGGAUAGCCAUAUAGUUCACCUGCUCUCUUGGUUUCUUCUAGAUUAUUAAUCUGUUUUUAUCAAUACAGAGAGACCAAUAUAUCAAUAUAAGUUUUAAAGAAUUUGAAUACAAGAGAAUAAACCCCUAUAAAAUAAAAAACAGAAGGCAACCUCCAUAAACUCAGGAAGUGGAAUGCCAUGCCGAGAAAAAUGAACUUUCUGGAGAUAUUUAUCCUGUAAAAUAGUAAAUCCAGCUUGAUAACUCGUCGUAAAAAGUAGAUUAUGCUUAACAUCCAUUCAGGUAUCAACAGUAAAAGGAAACUGAUGCAAUUUAUUACAGACAUUAGUACCGCUCGCAAGUAAACAAGCCUAGGGAAUUUACUUGGAUAAUUCGAAUGGUAGAAGCUUUAGGCUCACAAUCAAUUCCUUGUUGUUCAAGCUUCUCUAGAGUGGCAACAUCCACAUGUUCAGUUUCAACCGUCAAAACUCCACAUCUAACUACCAAGAAACAUACAAUGAACAUGAAUACUUCAUUUAAAACAAACAAAGGUAUUAAGUUAAGUAUCAAUAUUGGACCUUUUAGCAAAUUCUUCAACAGUAGCACUGUCAUCAAAGCUCCCAACCAUGUGAUCAUAAGCAAGGGCACUGGCCGGGCAAUUCUCUGAAGGGUCUAAAACUAUAACUUUAAUAGCCAUCUUGGAAGCUGCUUGGCAUAACAUACGACCCAAUUGCCCUCCUCCUAAUACACCAACUAUCUUUUCGGAUAGACCAUGAACUGGAGAAUCAUCAUCCUUCCUACAAAAAAGGAAAAAAAAAAAUUCAAAAUAACAAAAAAGACCCAAAUUUUAUAUUCUUUUAUUUUCGUUGGAAACAUAUAAAAGUAAAAAAAAGGUAAUAAAUUAAUUGGCAGAAGAAUAUAAAACCUGCCUAGAGGAGUCGGUCUCGUGAGAGUCACGUGAGGUGCGGCAAGCGAAGACUGGAUUGUAGAGUUUCGAAGAAGAAGAAGAAGAGUGGCGGAGGCGAUGGUUGUGGUUGCGGUUGCGGUUGCGGUUAUCGACGGCGAUGGAGACGGAGAAGAAGCGGAGUGAGAGUGAUGGUGGUGGCCGGGAAAGAAAUUGAGAAGGCUUGAGCUCCUGCAAGAUCUGCUUUGAAGCCAUCACCUAAACCCUAAAACAAACAAAAUUUUAUAAUAAAAAAGAAAAGAAAUAUAGGCUUAGCUAAAUGACAUCCAAAAAGUAGCUGAGUAUGCCCACAAUUAAACAUUAAAAUAAUAGGUUUAUGAGACAUUGGAGCUUCUUGUGGGGAGAUGACAUGCAUUUUUUUAAUUUGUUCAAAUCCAUGCGAAUCUUAAUUUCAAAGAAGUAAUACUUUUGUCUUUGCUUUGAUCAUUUCAUGCUGAAAAAUAUAUCCAUAAAUCAACUUUAGUAUCCAAUACUCUAUUCUGUUUCUUAUAUGAAACACAUGAACCGACUCCAAAAUAUAUUGAUUAACCCAGAAUUUAAGAUAUAUAAAAAGAGAACCAUUCUGCAUGUUUUUUUGGGCGAUAAAGUGCGUACAAUCCAAGCAGUUGUGUCCUUUGUGUAGAGUUAGGAAACAAUCAUUCAUGACAAAAGAAUAAUAAUAUUUAUAAAUGGGUCAUAUUCACAUGAGUAGUUGCAACAAUUUAGACUUAAGUGGCUCUGAUUAGAACAUUCAUUUCAUACACAUAAUAUUUAAAAGGAACUAUCCCAUCUACUACUUAAUAGCUUAAUAGUUACUGUUAGACUUUAUGGCAAAAAUAGUUUAACCUUUUUUAAAUUACACAUUUAUGAACCUCACCCAAAAAAUAAAACGAAAUAAAGAGGAAACUGGAGAGAAAAAAGAACAAGUACCUGAGUGAUCCUCCUGUCCUAGGCUAUUGUCUGUUUAGGGUUUUUUUUUUUUUUUUGAAGUUGCUGAAAAUAGCGGAAGAAAUGUAAAGAGGCAAAAAUAAAGCUUUAAAAAGAGAUCUCCCAGAAAAUCAUUUUUUAAUAAUAAUAAUUAUAAUAAUUAUAAUCAAUUUUUAAGGAGGCAACUCAUUCAAAUCCACAAAGCAGAAUUCUCUUCGCAAUAUUUAUUACAGUGUGAAGCAUUCAACCAAUUUAUGAAAUCAAUAAGGAACACCACAUCCAAAACGUAAAUCCAACCAUUGCAGCUUCAAAAACAAAAGAUAAGAAUGCCUCCGUUCGAUUUUCCAAUAAAAAGAAACUAAUAUAGUAAAACGCAAUACAAAACCGAGGAAAGUAGAAAGUAAAUCAACAGAUUGGGAAAAUUGGAAAGAUUGAGAGAGAGAGAAACGAACCUCGAACGAUCAGACCCGUCGAGAAGAGAGGCCGCUUUGUGAAGGUGAAGCAGCUUUUUUUCUUUGAAUACUGUAAUUUCAAGUUAUAUUUCUCCUUUUUUACGGGCCUUAAGGACGAUGGCUUUUGUUUUUCUUAACCAACUAGAAAUUGAAUAAAAAGAUAAAGGUUAAAAUCUGCAUUUAGUCCCUAGACCUUGACAAAAUUUGAGAUUUAGUCAUUGUAAUUAAAGGACUUAAAAAUUAAGUCCUUCUACUUUUCUAAUUUAAAAAUUUCAGUCCAUUCAUUAACAUUGUUAGUAUUUUCCAUCAAAACUUGUUAAUUUGAUAUGCUGAUUAGGCUAUUUUCAUAAUACAUGACAUAUGAUUGAACAAAAAUAAACAUAUUAAAUUGACAAAUUUUGACAAAAAACUAAAAAUGAUAGUGAUUGGACUAGGAUAUUUAAAUUGAAAAAUAAGAAAAUUUAAUUUUUAACUUUUUAAAUAUAUGGACUAAAUCUCAAAUUCUAUAAAAGUACAUGACCUGAACAUGUAUUUAACCAAAAGAUAAAUACUAGUAAUUUGGUAACCAAUGAAAAUUGAAAUAGAGGUGUUCAAAUAGUUAAUUAAAUUAUCAUUCGAAAUCAACUAUUAUUGACUGAAUUAACCUAUGUUCUAAAACUUUUAAUAGUUAAUCGAAUCGAAUUAACUUAAAUUUGUGACAUUUUUUUUCGAUUCAAACAAGUUUAAAAAUGAUUACAAAUAUAGUGACAAUAUUCUUUCUUAAUUAAAAGAAGUUUAAAAGAAGAUGAAAAUAAUAAAAUCACUUUACAAAACUUAUUUAUAUUUCAACAAAGGUUCAUAAUCUAACAUUUAACAUGAACACCAUUUAAGAAUCAUUCAUGGCACAACCCUCAACCUUUAACAAGUUUACAAAUUGAUCCCUUGGCUAGGUAGAUUAAGCUAAAACAAACUGAAAAAGAUUGAAAUCAUUAAAAACAAGGCUCAAAUACACUUACAUGCAAAAAGUAAGCUUGACAGAAUCUUUAAACCCUAACAAUGGUGUUUUCUCCCUUCAAAUUUCAGGGAAAAAGAUGGAUAAUGAAGAUGAAGCAAAUUUUUGGUUUUGUUUAAUUUAGGACUAAUUACUUAAUUACCAUUUUAACCUUUAAAUCAUUAAAAAUUUCAUUAAAACCAUGUCCAUAAACAUCCACUAACUCUUUAAAUGGUCUAAUUACCAUUCAAGUCCUUUAAUUUAAGAUUCCAUAGCCAUUAGACUCUUUUAGCUAAUAGAACUCAACUUUUACCUUUUUUACGAUUUAGUCCUUUUUACUUAAUUAACUAUUUAAACAUCUAAAUUUCUUAAUGAAAUUUUAACACGACUUAAAUAUAAUCCUGUAAACAUUAAAAUAAUAAAAAAUAAUAAUUUACUCAUCUGAAUUAUCGUCCCAAAACCACUGUUCUGAUUUCACUAAAAAUAAUUACAACUCUCCCCUUAAAGGAAUUUUCGUCCCUGAAAAUCUUACCAAAAAAUGGGUUCGAGUAUUACACUUUCAUAGCUUCUUCAUAUUCCAAGGUGGCUUUUUCAAUCCUGUUUCGUUUCCAGAGAACUUUAACUAAAGUUAUACUUUUAUUUCUCAAUUCUUUAACUUCUCGAGCUAAGAUUCUAACGAUUCUUCAGUAUACAUCAUAUCUGGCUAAAUCUCAACAUCGACAGGUGAAAUUAUAUGUGAAGGAUCUGAUCGGUACCAUCGUAACAUCUAUACCUGAAACACAUUAUGAAUUUUCUCUAAUUCAGAUGGUAACGCCAAUCGAUAUACCACCGACCCUAUUCUCUCAAUGAUCUCGUAUGGCCCAAUGAAUCGUGGACUAAGCUUUCCUUUUCAUCCAAAUCGGAGAACUUUUCUCCACAGUGAUACUUUCAAAAAAACUCUGUCACCAACUUGAAAUUUUAUAUCUUUUCUUUUCAAAUCUGCAUAAGAUUUCUAACGAUUAGAAGCAAGUUUCAAACUGUCUCGUAUCACUUUAAUCUUUUCUUCAGUUUCUCAAAUCAAAUCAACACCAAAUAACUUUUUCUCACUUAAUUAAGUCCAGUAUAAUGGCAUUCCACAUUUCCAACCAUACAAGGCUUCAUACGGUGCCAUCUUAAGGCUCGCCUGAUAACUGUUAUUGUAUGUAAAUUCAACUAACAAUAGAAAUCUCUCCUAGUUACCUUCGAACUUUAAAAUACAACAUUGAACCAUAUCCUCGAGUACCUGAAUUACCCGUUCAGGUUGACCGUCAGUCUGUGGAAGGAACGUUGUACUAGAAUGUAGUCGAGUACCUAGAGCUUCAUGUAGCUUACUCUAGAAUUGAGAAGUAAAUCGUGGAUCCCUGUCAGAGAUAAUGAUACCAAUACACUGUGUAAUCUAACAAUCUUAGAAACGUACAAUUCAGCUAACUUUUCAAGUGAAUAGUUUGUAUGUACUGGAAUAAAAUGUGCAAAUAUCAUCAAACGAUCUACAAUUACCCAUACAACAUCUUUCUUUCUUGGAGAUAAAGGUAAUCUCGAUACAAAAUAUAUUGUAAUUCAUUCCCAUUUCCAUUCUAGAAUCAUCACAGGAUGUAAUAAACCAGAAGUUACUUGAUGUUUGGCUUUAACUUGCUGACAGAUCAAACAUCUCGAUACAAACUCUAAAAUCUCGCGUUUCAUACCUGGCCAUCAGUACAUCUGUUUCAAAUCACGUUAAAUUUUAUUGCUACCAGAAUGUAUCGAUAAGCUACUACUAUGAGCUUCCUGCAAAAUCUUCAGAAUGAGAUCAGAAUUAUUCGUAAAACAUAUCCUAUUUUUGAAGUACAAACUAUCAUUAGAACCAACAUGAAACUUUGAAUCAGGUGUCGAUUCAAUCUGUUUCCAUUUAGCAAUCAAAUCAGCAUCACAUUUUUUAGCUUUACAAAUCUAUUGCAAAAAUGUCGGUCUUGCUUUCAAUUCAACUAAAAUUGAACCAUCAUCAAUCAACAUUAACUGUGUAUUCAAAGCUCAUAAAGCAAGCAAAGAUUUUCUACUCAAAGAAUCAACAACGACAUUAACCUUUCCUAGGUGAUAAUCAAUGAUCAAGUCGUAAUCUUUCAUCAAUUUAAGCCAUCUACGUUAUCUCAAGUUUAGAUCUUUCUUUGACAUAAAAUAUUUCAAACUUUGGUGAUCCGUAAAGAUAUGACAUUUUUCUCCGUACAAGUGGUGUCGCCAAAUGUUUAAAGCAAAGACAAUAGCUGUAAGCUCUAAAUCAUGAGUCAGGUAAUUCUUCUUGUACUGUUUCAACUGUCAUGAUACAUAAGUCACUACUUUGCCUUCUUACAUCAAAACACAGCCUAAAACAUUCGAAGAACCAUCACUAUAAAUUACGAAUUCCCUACCAGACUCUGGUUGAACCAACACAAGAGCCUCGAUUAACAAUGCUUUCAACUGGUUAAAACUUUAUUGACACUUCUAAGACCAUUCGAACUUGACAUCUUUCUGAAGUAGUUUUGUUAACGGCGUAGCAAUCAUAAAAAAUCCCUUAACGAAUCUCCAAUAGUAACCAGCUAAACCCAGAAAACUUCUAACUUCUGAAUCAUUCCUCAAAGGUUUUCAAUCUACUAUAGGAGAUAUUUUAUUUGGGUCAACCCUAAUAUCGUCUGCCGAUACCAUGUGUCCUAAAAAUCAGACUUCUUGGAGCCAGAACUCACUUUGCUAAAGUUAGCAAAUAACUAUUUUUUGCAUAAAGUCUGCAAGACAAUUCUCAAAUGUUGGGCAUGCUCUAUCUCAUCUUAUGAAUAGAUCAGAAUGUCAUUAAUGAACACAACAGCAAAUCUGUCUAAGUACGAUCUGGAUAUACUGCUCAUCAAAUCCAUAAACAUAGUAGGUGCAUUGGUCAAACCAAAUGGCAUACCAAGAAAUUCAUAAUGUUUGUACCUAGUUCUGAAAGUAAUCUUUAGCACAUCCGAGUCUUUAACCCAUAACUAAUAAUAACUAGAACGAACAUUGAUCUUUAAAAACACUGUCAUGCCUUUUAGCUAAUCGAAUAAAUCAUCAAUGCGUGGCAAGGGAUAUUUAUUCUUGAUCAUGACUUUGUUGAGCUGUCUAUAAUCGAUACACAAUCACAUUGGCCUAUUCUUUUUCUUAACGACCAAAACAGGAGCACCUCAAGGAGAAAAGCUAGGCCGAGCAAAACCCCUAUCUGUCAAUUCUUGUAACUGUGCUUUCGAAUCUGUAGGUGUCAUUCUAUAAGAAGCUAUCAAUAUCAAAGAUGUUCCCGACACUAAUUCAAUAGCAAACUCAACCUCUCUGACCGGCGGUGGCCUUGGCAAUUCUUUUAGAAAUACAUUUGUGAACUCAUACACAAUCAUAACCAAUUCUAAUUUCAAUUCUGAAACUCUGGAAUCAAAUAUAUAAGCGAGAUACGCUUCACAACCUAUUCUAACAUAUUUCGGUGCCGUCAUAGCUGAGAUAACACUAGAUGUACUAUCUAAUCUAUCUAAUUCAAUUUGGAUCUUUUCACCGUUCUGACAUUUUAACACAACAUGCUUUCGUUUACAAUUCACAAUAGCAUCAUGCAGAGUUAACCAGUCCAUACCUAGAAUCACAAUGAAGUCAUCAAAUGGUAACAACAUCAAGUCAACCAAAAAGUUACAACUUCGAAUCGUUAAAUGACAAUUUUUACAGACUUUAUCAACUAAUACAUAUUGACCUAGAGGGUUCGUUACUUUAACCACAAAUUAGUAGAUUCAAAUGGUAAUUUCUUAUCCUACACUAAGGUUGUGUAUGCAUAUGAGUGUGUUGACCCCAGAUCAAUCAAAGCAUUAACAUCUGUAUCAAAGAUAGAAAAUGUACCAAUGAUCACAUCAGGUGCUGAAGCUUCCUCUCGAGCCCGAAUUGCAUAAGCCCUAGCUGGUGCUCGUACCUCAGAUCGAAUAGCAGGAUCAUUUGUUUCACUUCUACUAUUACCCGUAUUUCUAGUGUUUCGAGGCGGUCUCCCUCUCCCAGUUGAAUUACUCAAACAAGUAUUUUAAGCCUUUUCUUUAUCAGACCUUUCUAGGCAAUCACUAACAAAAUUAUCAUAGGAACCACAUUUAAAACACGAUCUGUCUUUCAAUUUGCAUUCAUUGAAGUAUCGUCUAUUACAUUGCUGACAUUCACGCUUGUUGUUCCUAACACUACCCACACUUGCUACAAACGUAGUUUGAGGUUUUGAGUUUGAAUUUUUCUUUCCAUAUCUUUCCCAGAAUAACCUACCGAAACUAACGAACGACUAUGAAAUUCUCUUGAUUUCUUCAAUGGAGAUAAGAAUUAUUUUUCCACAGGUUAUUUUCCCAAAUCACAUGCUUCAAAAUUAGCUUUUCUUUUUGCUUUACUGAGUUCUUCAACCUUGUGUGCUCUAUCGACUAAAACCACAAAUUCUUUCAGUUCAAGAAUUACAAUUAGCAACUUGAUAUCUUCGUUUAAUCCGUCUUCAAAUCGAGUGCACAUAGCAACUUCUGUUGGUACACAUUCACGAACAUACUUGCUAAGUUGUAAAAAUUCUCUCUCAUACUUUGCUACAGUCAUAUAGCCUUGUUUCAGUUCAAAAAAUUCCUUGCAUUUAUUGUAGAGAAAUCGCUGGCUUACAUAUUUUUUUCUGAACUUAGACUGCAAGAAUUCCCAAUCCAACUGAUCCUUCGAUACUACCAUGACCAAAGUAUUCCUCUACUAAUAUGCAGAGUCUUUUAAUAUAUAAACAAGAUACUUUAAACAUUCGGUCGAUGUACAAGAUAAUUUAUCAAAAACUCUAAUCGUGUUUUCCAACCAGAACUCAACUCUUUUUGGAUCAUCUUCUGUUGAAUUGCAAAAUUCUUCUGCCCCAUAUUUUUGGAUUUUUCAAUUGGAGGCUUGCUUAUGCAUAUUUGAUCCAAACCUUGAGGAAUUAUAGGGACUAGUUGAGGUACGUGUGGGGGUGGAGGUUGUUGAGCCAAUAGGUUCGUUCUCACAAACUUAGUAAACCAUUCAGACAUUAUCAGGAAGAAGGCCUCUUUAGCCUCACCUCCCCGGCCCUCAAUUACGGGCCUACUACUACUCGAAGCUACUCCGUGAACGGAGGCUUGAGAGUUACUUUCAACCUUAUCGGAAUCAGCUUGGUUGGACGACAUCUUAUCUAUAUAAAAAUAUAAAUCAAUUUGAGUCACGAGUUAUCACACUAAAAUAGGUUAUAUAAUGACAUGUAUUUUAAACUCUAUACAUGCUAAGUCCAGUCUAAGAACUAACUAAAUCGUAGCUCUGGUGCCACUAAAUGUAACACCUCUAACCCAUAUCCGUCACCGAAUUAGGGUUACAGAGCAUUAUCAAACAAUAAAAAAAAUUUAAACUUAACUUCAUCCAAUAACUUAAACAAAUCACAAACCGAUCAUAUACAUACAUUACAUCCCUAAACUGAGGCCUCGAGGCCCUAAAACAACUUAGAAAUAUUUCAGGACCAAUUUGAAUCAAUUUGAAAAGUCUAGGAAAAAGUCAUAAAAUUUUGAAAAUAGGGGACACACAGUUGUGUGGCUAGGUCGUGUACCUCACACGACUAAGAGACACGCCCAUGUCUCAGGUCGUGUAUCCUUUGAAAUAGGCCAUGUAACCAAAAAUAUUCAAAAACUACUGAUAUUUAUGCUGGAUGGUGUGAUAGAUCUUCGAAGAGUUUCCAAACCAAUCGAGCUUUUGAUAAUCUAUAAAACAUAAGAAAGAGACUAAGUAAGCAACAUUGCUUAGUAAGUUCGUAUAAACUAAAACUAAACUUACCAUGUCAUUAUAAUAAUUCAAAGGUUAAUCAUAAAUCAACAUCACCAUAUCACAAAUUAGUGUACUUGCUCUUAUUACAAAUGAAAUCAACCAUAAAGUAUAUGAAUUCCAUAAGUAAAUGCAUCAUUUAACUCAAUGUUACUUUCUAUAAACCAUGAAUCAAUCCAUUUGCAUACUUAUCUAUUAGUUCCCUUUUCUUGCCUAUUGAACCAUUCAUAACUACAUUGGAUACCCGAGAAGCUCACACAAAGCAUGCCUUUACAUAUAACCUUUCUUUUACAUCAUUGCUUAAAUGAGUUGUGGGUCGGAAUGCAAGCUACACGAUGUUGUUCACACGAGUUGUGGAGAAUCCGCAACAAAUAUUGGACCUCAGCCAUCAGUAGGACAUUCAAUACCAGCACCCGAAAAUGAAAUCUCUAAUAACAUGUCAUUUGUAUCCUAUGAACUCCUAAGGUUCAACCGAGACUCGUUAUCUGUUAAUUCAUCCUAACAUUGAUAUGUUCAUAUAUCGAUCCAUUUGCAAUAUAUAACAAGCAAUGUAAAUAACAUUAAUGUGAUACCUGUUCAUACAAACUUACCUCGACGAAUAGGGGCGUGGAAGUUAAAUCGAGCUGUUCUGACGCUUUCGCCUUUCCUCGAUCUAGGUCCUUAUGUAGCUUAUCUUGAUCUAAAUAAACAAUUUCAAUCCAUUAAAUUCUUCUAGUGUUCAAUUUAGUUCACAUUUCAUAUUUAUGCAAAAUUACUAUUUUGCCCCUAACAUUUUUAACUUUUCACAAUUUAGUCCUUAAGCUUAUAAUUUGAAAUCUAAGCAUUUUAAUCACUCUCAUAAGCUAACCAAAUUCUUUAGGGACCUAAACCAACCCAAAUAAAUCAUCAUUUCAUCAAUUUAACAUGAAUUUUUACUAUUUUUACAAACAAAUCCCUAAAUGCAAAUUUCAUUAAAAAUUACUUUACAAAACUUGUUUAUAUUUCAACAAGGGUUCAUAAUCUAACAUUUAACAUCAACAUCAUUUAAUAAUCAUUCAUGGCACAACCCUCAACCUUUAAUAGUUUUAGGAAUUGAUCCCUGGGCUAGAUAGAUUAAGCUAAAAAGAACUUAAAAAGAUUGAAAUCAUUAAAAAUGGGGCUUAAAUACGCUUACAUGCAAGAAGUAAGCUUGAUCAAAUCUUUAAACCUAAAAAUGGUGUUUUUCUCCCUUAAAAUUUUUGUGAAAAAGAUGGGUAAUGAAGAUGAAACAAAUUUUUGGUUUUAUUUAAUUUAGGAUUAAUUACUUAAUUACCAUUUUAACCUUUAAAAACUGUAAAAUUUUCAUUAAAACCAUGUCCAUAAAAAUCCACUAACUCUUUAAAUGGUUCAAUUACCAUUCAAGUCCUUUAAUUUAAGAUUUCAUUGCCAUUAGACCCUUUUAGGUAAUAGAACCUUACCCUUUUUACGAUUUAGUCCUUUUUACUUAAUUAACCACUUAAAAUUCUAAAUUCCUUAAUGAAAUUUUAAUAUGACUUAAAUAUAACCCCGUAAAGAUUAAAAUAAUAAUAAAAUAAUAAUUUAAUCGUCAAAAUUAUUAUCCUGAAACUACUAUUUCGGUUUCAUUAAAACAGGUUGUUACAAACAAGCAAAUUCUCAAACUCAACAAAUGAUGGUUGGGUUUGCCAUACCUGUACUAUAGCAACAAAGCCUUUGAAAUCUGGUAUCAAACAUAAAAGAUAAUCCUCUUAAACUUGGUAUCACUGAUCGGAGCUUGUGGAUCCAAAUCACCAAUCUCUCAGCAUAACGACUAUACCUUGCAUAUGAGACAUUAUACAAGUUGUAAUGCCCCAAACUUAUAAUUUUUGAAUUGUUAAAAAUUGUCAAGUGAAUUAACCUGGUUCAGUGUUUAAGUGUUGUACUUGUGUGUGAGAGGUUCUAGGUUCAAAUCCUUGCCCCUUUGAAAUGAGAAUAUUUUUUUUUUAAUUUCUUGCUUGUGCCGUCAAUACGAUAGAGUUUGGCUAGAAUUUGAAUUCUAAGGGAAUCUGAUAAGGAUAAGGUACCAGAUUUAGUGGGGCAUAUCAGUAGUUUUUUUAAUUCUUUUUAAAAUAUUUUCCUAAAAAUUUCUCUCAUGUUUUCCACUUCUCCUCAAUUUCCGUUUAUUCUUUCUUUUCCUACAUUUUUCCUUGUUUAAAUUUUACUCAUGUUUAGUUUCUUUCACCAAAAUUGCUUCUUUGUUCAUAGCUUUCCUGCUUUCUUUCUUUUGUUGUUUCAAAUCUUGUAUGGGUGUGGUGUCAUUCCAUUGCUCUAAUUCUUUUUGGGUGUUCCAAUUUUGGUGUUAGGUAAGAAAAUGAUUUUUCUGUAGUUGAUAUGGUAAUCUAUAGUUGUUAAGUUUUAUUCGAAAGAAGUGAUUUUUACAAGUGGUACUUAGUUUUUAAUUUAAUUUGUGUUGCUAGGAGAAUAUCAUGAGGCGUUCAAUGUUCCUCCAGCGAAUUAGGUUCUUAUUUGCUAUUCUUUGAGUAUAAGUGACUUUAUUUGCCAUUGUUAGAGGUUGAUAUUUUUGUAAUUAAGUUCAGUAGUUGACAUUUGUUGUUUAAUUAGUGAUUCAGGUUGGGUAUUUCGUGCCAAUUAUCUAUUCUUAAAUGUCAUUUAGGAGUGUAGAAGUGUGUUGUUGCAUCAUGAUUCAAAAUUGAUUAGGUGUGUAAUGAAAAACUUGAAAAGUAGCCAAUAACACUAAGCUAAAAAGUGAAUUGUCGAUGCCACAUAGUCGUGUGACAAUAUAACACCCUUAGCCCGUACCUGCCACCGGAUUAGGGUUACGGAGCAUUACUGUACAAACAAAACAUUUAAAAAUACAUCUCAUACAUAAUCAUUAACAUAUUAUAAAUCAAUGAUUCAUAUAUAUAUAUCGUCCCUAAAUCAAGCCCUUGAGGUCUUAGAGAUACAUUAAAAACAAUUUAGGACUAGAUUGGAAACAUUUGGAAAGUUCAAGAAAAAGUUAGAAAAAUUUAACUACAGGGAUCACACAGCCGUGUGGCCAGGUUGUGUGCUUCACAUGGCUGAGAGACACAUCUGUGCCUCAAGCCAUGCAACAAUCAAAAUAUAGACACAUGGUCAUGUCCUAGCCUGUGUUCUUAGCCGUGUAACUCACUGAGUAAAGUUAUACAGCCGUGUCACACGCUAGUGUCUCAGGCUGUGUAACUCUCGAAAUAGCCCCACAUGCCAGUAUGCCAGGUCGUAUGCUAGGCUGUGUAAUUGCUUGACUUGCACACAAUAAAACCUACCGGGGACACACAGCUGAGUCACACGCCCAUGUCUCAGGCCUUGUGAACAUGAAUUUGCCCAAAAUUCAAGCGUAUUCCAUGACCAACUCAUGCAUAUACCUAAAAGCCUUUUGUACACAUAAUCAAAGCAUCACAAUUUACAUGUAAUGACCAAUUCAACAAUCCAAAACCAACCAACAAAUAUGACAUACAAGGCACCUCACAUGUAUUCAUUUACAACUUACUUAAACAUGCAUAUAUUUGAUAACAUUUCCAUAAUUAAACAUAAUGCAACUUCUAACAAAACCUGCCACAAUGUGACCAUAAACACCUCAUCACAAAUUUACCAUUUGAGCCAUACCAUUCAUGCAUCAUAAAUACCCCAAAAUGAUAUAAUUUGACAAGCAUUGAAAGGUACCAAAACCAAACAAUUUAUACAUAUCAAAACCAUCAAUUAAACAUCCAACUAUACAUCACUAUAAGUCCAUCUAUACAUGCCAUUGUAACAUUGGCCAAAAUAAUUAAAAACUAUCAAAAUUUAUGGUGGAGAGUGUGAUAAAUCUUCGACGAGCUUUCAAAUCGAUCGAGCUUCUGAUAAUCUAUAAAAUAUAGGAAAGAAAACUACGUAAGCACAUAAAGCUUAGUAAGUUUGUAAAACAUGAAACAAAACUUACCAUUUCAUUAAAUAACAUUUAAUAUAAGCAUAAUGUAAUCCAACCACAAGCUUGGAACAAGUCUAAGCACAUCGUCAUCAAUACACAAGUUAGUGCAUUUUUACAUAAUUCGUUUGAAUUAAACAUUAGAUGAUUCAUUUCCAAGUGAACAUAUAUUAUUUGUAUCAUUUAACCUUUCCAUGAACAUAUGCAUUUACCAUAUGAACACUUACUUUUUCAAUCCAUUUCAAUGCCUUUGAACCAUUUAGAAUAUCAUCGAAUACUCAGGAAAGCUCACACUAAAUGUGCUUAAACAUAUAACCAUAACAUUUCCUUUACAUCAUUGCUCACACGAGCUGUGGGUCGUAAUGUAAGCUACACGAUGCUACUCACAUGAGCUGUGCAGUAUCUGCAACAAAUGCAGGACCUCAUCCAUCGGAAGGACAUUAAAUACCAGUACCCGAAACAUGAAAUCCCUAAUGACAUGUCAUUUGUAUCCUAUGAAUUCCUAAGGUUCAACCGGGACUCAUUAACCGUUAUACCAUGAUUUUGGAUAUACAUUGUGCAAUAACAUUUUAAAUACAUAUUAACACAUAAUUAAACAACAUAAUCAUAAUAAUCCGUACAUGAUGACGUCACGAACUAACUAAAAUACGACAAAGGCAAGCGCACCUAUCGAAUGAUAGUAUAGCUGUGGUGAAUCGGGAAUAUCGUAUCCACGAAGACUAAAAGUACUAGUAGUUACUAUCUUUUUAUUAUCUAGCCGAAUAAAUUGAAGGGAUUUAUUUUAACCUAAAUUUUAACUAAACUAAUUACUAAACGACAAAGAGCGAAUUAGGAAAAUAAUUGAAGAAAACUUAUGAGAGAGACAAUACCUAGGAAAGAAUCCACCUAGACUUCACUUAUUAUUCUAAAUCUGAAUUAAAUAAUUUAUUCAUUUGACUUGAUUUGUAGAAAUCCCUAACUUAUAUUAAUUCUCUUUCGAGAGUAAAAAUAACUAACUCUAGGUUGAUUAAUUGAAUUCUCUUUCUAAUUAAAACCCUUAUCGUCGCAUUAACUCGAUCUAUGGAUUCCCUUAUUAGAUUUGACUCUAAUCCGGUAGAUUUAUGUCGUCCUAUUUCUAGGAUUGCAUGCAACUCCACUCAAUUAUGUCAGAUCUACUUUUAAACAUGGACUUUUGCUCCACUGAUUAAGCACAUCAAUCAUAAAUUAAUAUCUUGAAAACAUUAAACAUGAAGGUAAAUAAACACAAUUGAGAUCAGGAACAAAUAUUUAUCAUGUAAUUCAGAAAAAUCAAAUAAUAUGAUAUGUCUUAGGUUUCAUCCUCCCUAGGUAUCUAGGGAAUUUAGUUCAUACUUUUGGGGGAAAACAUCUCAAAAUUAGGAAAAUAACAAAACAUAAAAAAAACCCAAAAACUUCAAGAGAAAUUGAAUAGAGAUCUUCAAUCUUGAAGGAGAUCCUACUUCUAAGUUGAAUCCGUUGGCGUUCUUCGAGUCUUUUCUGCGUUCUACUCUGCGUGCCCCUUUAGGUCCUCUUCUAGUGCGUAUUUAUAGACUUUAGAAUGCUUAAAAACCCUAAAAAUUGGGUUUUUCCGCGUGGUAGGGAAGCAGGGUGCAAAAUCGACACAGACUGGCACAUGGGUGUGUGGCCAGCCCAUGUGGAAAUGCCCAGGCUGUGUCGAUCCUAAAAACAACUAUUUUUGCCCAAUUUUGGCUUGUUUUUCACUCCUUUCGCUCCCCAAUGCUUACCUAAGUUUAGAAACAUGAAUUUAAAAGAUUAGAAGCAUCAAAUUCACUAAUUCAUAUAAUAAAUCAUCUAAAAAGCAUCAAGAAUGAGAUUAAAAACAUGUAACUUUUGUGGGUUAUCAAAUAUCCCUACACUUAAGCAUUUGCUUGUCCUCAAGCAAAAUCCUUAACUCACAAUUAAAAUUAAUCUUUCUCAACUUGUAAUUCUCAUCAAUAAUGUUUUGUCAUAAUUCACAAAAAUCACACAUUGAUAAUUCAACUAAAAGAGCCCUAAAGAUUCAAACAAUCCAAGUCACACAUUUUUUUAAGACAUGAAAACAUAGGUAUCUCCCCUUAUCUAAGUAUAAUUACCUUUAAUUCAAAAUCGAAAAAAUUUUACAUCUUCACUAAAGAUUCACUCAAAUCACUCAAAGUGUUUAAGGUUAAAAAAUUAAGCACUCAAAAGUCAAUUAGAAAAGUCAUUACCAUAGGUUUGCAUGAAAAUAAAAUCUCCACCACUAUAAAAUGAUAUGAUACACAAAUUAAAAGUCUUUAAAGGGUUGUAAAGGGCCUUGGGUUAAAGGUGUGGAUAAAGGCUGAAUAAGAAGAUUAGAAUCGAGAUGGAAUUGAUAAAUUACCUAACUAGAAAAAAAACUAAUACUGAAUAAUUACAUCAAUUGAAAUUAUUAAAGAAUAACACGAGUUUCUUCUCAGAAUAUGAAAUUAACUACUUAAGCUUAAAAACAUAGAACUAGUAAUAAUCAACAUAAAUGUAUUUUUUUCACUUUUUUUUUUGAAAACAAUGGAUAAUAAGAGAAAACUUAACAACUGGAACAAAAGAACAUAGUUAAGCAACUAACCAAAUCAAAUCUUGACAAAAAAAGGGGUCAAUAAAAACGAAAACAAUUCUCAAUGAAUCAAAAAUGAGUUAUGGGUUAAUAUUAAUGGGUAAAUCAAGAAACAAUUUGUUAGGCUUAAAGGGGUUCACUAAGGGUUAAUUAUGUAGGUAGGCUUUUUCUGGGAUAAGUGGGUUAAAACCUAAGUGCCUUUAUCAUCUCAGUAUAUCAAAUCAAAGGUGUGGUCUCGACAUGCAUAAUUAAAGCAAGUUCUAAAAUAACAAUUCAAUAUUGACACACUCAUAACCAAUAAUAAAAUGAGAAAGAAAAGUAUAUGCUCUAAAGGCUCAAAAUAUCACAAAAAAAAUAUGAUUUUCGAUGUCAAUCUUGCAAAUCUCAAACUUCAAGAUAAUACCGCAAUUUAGGGAAACAACCUAAAAAAAUUUUUAAUUCUGAAAAUGGACUUAUCAUGCUUGAUUCUCUCAUGUCUUAAAGUUUAAAUAAUCAAAUAUCUAUGAAUUUAAUCUAAAACAUAUCAAUGAUAAUCACAAAUAGAUAAUAAUUCAUUCUAAUAGUAAUAUGAGAAGAUUACUUUAACACAAGACAUAAUUUAGGGAUUUUCUAAUAAUCAUAUAAAUAACCUCCCCACACUUAAGAUGUACAUUGUCCUCAAUGUACAAACCAAAAUAAUCACAGUAAUAAUAUAAUAUCAUAAGAGAGGGAGAGAAUUGAAACUGCCCUGAAUAUUGGAUGAAAUUUCCAGAAUAGUGAAAAGCGAAAUUGUACCCAAAUCUAAAUGUAACUCAUGAUUCCGAGCAAACUAAUAAGAAAAUAAACACAAAUAAUAAAUAAGAUUAAGGGAUUAUAACUCGAUUAGAAACAACCAUAUAUAUUUCAAAGGAUAAUAAUGAAAAUAAGUCGAAGAAAAAAAAAUAAAUAAAUCAACUAAAACAAAAUUAAAAAGAAAGAUAAAAAAAUAAAACAAUAAUAAUAAACUCAAUGAUACCAAUUAUAAUAAUAAUAGUAAAAAAAUACUUAAAAAAUAGAAAUAGCAAAAAAAAUAUAAUUAAUUUAAAAUAUAAGUAUAAGAAUAAUAAGUAAAAUAAAAUAAAUUAGUAAAAUAAAAAAUAAAAAUAUAACAAAUAAUAAUAAAUAAAAUAAAAAUGGGGUGAUUAACCCAGUUUUCACAUGUCCAUGGACACACCAGUGUGCUGUGGGUCACACGGCUAUGAGCCAGACCAUGUGUGUUUUCCUUCACUUCUCCCACGCCCAUGUGGGAUCCCACACACCUGGGUGGCUAGGCUGUGUGGGUCACAGGUCAUGUCGCCAGGCCGUGUAACUCACUGUCGAUUACCUUAUUUCACACACGGCCUGCGACACACCCAUGUGUCCAGGCCGUGUGCUCCACACUCCUGUGUGUCCAGGUCGUGUGGGUAAAAAACACACCUUUUUUUUAGGAUUUUGAAAAUUAAUUAAUUUUAAAAAAUAUCAUGGAAUGAAGUUAAGAAAAUUAGCAGUGUUAACACUCGGGUUGCCUCCUGAGAAGCGCUUAUUUAAAGUCUAAGCUUGACUUACAUUGUAUUCGCACGGUCACUGUGGUUCGCGAAGUCGAAACUCCUCUUUUUCGCUGUCAAUUCUAUUAUCAACAUAAGGUUUUAGCCGAGUAAUAUUUACCUUAAAAGUGCCAAAUUUAGAAUGAUUUACCUUGACUGUACCGUAUGGGAAAAUAUUUAGUACCAUAAAAGGAGUUGCUCCGUUUGCAUUAAGCUCUAAAUUGGUGAUUCGAGGGUCUGUUUUAUCCAACAAUUCCUGAUCCUCGACCUUAAAGUGGUUUGUUACAGCCUUAUGCUCGUCAUGGCUUUGUUUCGGUUCUGCAUCGUGUAUUUUUGGUUUCUCUUUGACAUGUGUCUGCCAUUCAUCUAGUUCAUUGAUCUAAAGCCUUCGUUGUUCAUGAGUUGAUCUGUUUUUCUCACUUGAACCGGACCGUGGCUCUAUCACCUUUUUUUGAGAAAUUUCCUACAAAGAAGGUUGAGUUGCAAGGUUACUCACAUUAAAAGAACUCGUAAUAUCAUCUCGAUCACUAGAUAUCCGAAUAGAAUCACAAGCUUGGAGUUUAAUCGUGUCAUCACCUACACGAAGUAUUAACUAACCUGCACCAACAUCUAUGAUAGUUCUAGCAGUUGCUAAAAAGGGUCAUCCUAAAAUUAACGGUACGUCACUAUCCUCAUCCAUGUCUACAACAACAAAAUCAACUGGGAAAAUAAAUUUAUCAAUUUUGACGAGUAUGUCUCCAACAAUACCCCUAAGAAAUCUAAUUGUUCUAUCUACUAACUGAAUGCUCAUCCUAGUUUGUUUGGGUUUCCCAAGACCUAGUUGUUUAAACAUUUUAUAGGGCAUGACAUUAAUAUUCGCCCCUAAAUCAGCUAAAGCAUUAUUAACACUAAAAUUACCAAUUAAACAAGGAAUAGUAAAACUCCCUGGAUCUUUUAAUUUGUUGGGUAGUUUAUUCUACAAGAUAGCUGAGCAAACUGCAUUUAACUUCACGUGCGACGAAUCAUCUAACUUUCGCUUAUUUGUGAAAAGCUCUUUUAAAAAUUUAACGAAAUUUGGCAUCUGCGAAAGAGCUUCAAUAAACGGUAAGUUAAUAUGUAAUUUUUUUACAUAGUUUAAGGAAUUUACUGAAUUGUUCAUUUGUGUGGUCUUUCCUUGUCGCGUUGGGAUAUGGCACAUGCGGUUUAUAUUCCUUACCAAUCGAAUCUUGCUUAUUUUGGCCUACCUCAACCUUACUAUUGCUUACCACAGUUUCUUGCCUCAGUUUAGCUUCAGAUUCAACAAACCCUUCUUCAUCUUGAAUAGUAAUCGCAUGAAGCUGCUCUCUUGGGUUAGUUUCAGUGUUACUUUGCAAGCUACCUUGUGGUCGUUCUGAAAUCAUCUUUUCCAAUUGGCCGAUUUGAUUCUCCAGCCCUUGAAUCAACGCUUGUUGAUUUUUAAGGGCUGUCUCGGUGUUUUAGAAGCGGGUUUCUAACAGCAAAAUAAACUUCGUCAACAUCUCUUUAAGGUUUGGUUUCUUCUAUUGCUGGUAAGGUGGUUGAAAGCCUAGAGGGGGUUGUGGUCUUUGAUUUCCUUGGCCACCCCAAGAGAAGUUGGAAUGGUUCCUCUAACCUGUAUUGUAAGUAUUGCUCUAGGGAUUAUUCUGAGGUCUAGAAUUAUUACCUAUAUAGUUGACUUGUUCGUCUUUUCUGCUAAGGUUGAAGGAUCGAUUUUCUAGAUGGUUCCCUCCUCCAUUUACGUCGCAUUGCAUCACCGAAUAUACCUGUGUAGAAUCAUAUAAACUAUCAAUCUUUUUAUUCAAGAGUCCUACCUGGUUCAAUAACAUGGUGACUACAUCAACAUUAAAAACAUCGGUACUUUCAUCGGCUUUGUCCUUAUAACUUGCCACUGAUAAUUAUUCAGUGACAUCUCUUCUAUAAACUCGUAAGCCUCCUCAAGUGUUUUAUUAUUUAAAGUGCCAUCGGCAGAUGCAUCGAUCAACUGCCUAGUUGAGGGGUUCAAACCGUUGUAAAAAGUUUGAACCUGUAGCUAUAGAGGUAACCCAUAGUGAGGGAACCUUCCAAUAAAUCCUUAUAUCUCUACCAUGCAUCAUAUAAAGUUUCCAAAUCCAUCUGUACGAAGGAAGAGAUAUCAUUCCUCAGCUUGGCUGUCUUAGCCGGUGGAAAAUACUUUAACAGAAAUUUCUCGGUCAUUUUCUCCCAUGUAGUGAUGGAACCUCGUGGUAGAGAGUUCAAUCACUGUUUAGCCUUAUUUCUUAAUGAGAAUGGAAACAACCGAAGGUGAAUGGCAUCAUCAGAAAUGCCAUUUAUCUUAAAAGUGUCUAAGAAUUCUAAGAAAUUUGCCAAAUGAGUGUUUGGGUCUUUGUCCUGCAAACUAUCAAACUGAACAAAUUGUUGAAUCAUUUGAAUAGUGUUAGGGUUUAGUUCAAAAUUAUUUGCAGCAACAAUAGGUCUAACAAUACUCGAUUCAGCCUUACUUAAAUUGGGCUUGGCAGAAUCAUACAUAGUACAGGUAGGAUUCAGAUUUGCAGGAUUUACAACAACUAUAGGAGGUAGCUAAUUAUUAUGAUUUUCUGCCAUCUCCUCAGUAUUAAUAAUAAUAUCCUCUUGCUCUUCUAUUGUACUUUUUUGACUUUGCCUCGCUUCUCUACGGUUUCUGCGAGCUGUACUUUCAAUUUCACUGUCGAAUACUAGAGGUUCUGACGAGUUUCUUCUAGUCAUAAACUAAAGGAACCUGCCAGAAGCAAAUAAAAGAAAAGUUAGUAAAUUAAAAUAAAAAAUAAAAAUAAAUUGCAAUAAAAAUAAAAAUGCCUAAAGUAAUAAAAAUUAAGUGUUCCUAAUAUUUUAGUCCUCGACAACGGCGCCAAAAACUUGAUGACGUCACGAACUAACUAAAAUACGGCAAAGGCAAGCGUACCUAUUGACUGAUAGUAUAGCUAUGGUGAGUCGAGAAUAUCGUAUCCAUGAGGACUAAAAGUACUAGUAGUUACUAUCUUUUUAUUAUCUAGUCGAAUAAAUUGAAGGGAUUUGUUUUAACCUAAAUUUUAACUAAACUAAUUACUAAACCACAGAGAGCGAAUUGGGAAAAUAAUCGAAGAAAACUUAUGAGAGAGACAAUACCUAGGAAAGAAUCCACCUAGACUUCACUUAUUAUUCUAAAUCUAAAUUAAACAAUUUAUUCAUUUGGCUUGAUUCGUAGAAAUCUCUAACUUAUAUUAAUAUCUCUUUUGAGAGUAAAAAUAUCUGACUCUAGUUUGAUUAAUUGAAAUCUCUUUCUAAUUAAAACCCUAUCGUCACAUUAAAUCGAUCUAUGGAUUCCCCUAUUAGAUUUGACUCUAAUCCGGUAGAUUUAUGUCCUCUUAUUUCUAGGAUUGCAUGCAACUCCACUCAAUUAUGUCAGAUCUAUUCUUAAAUAGGGACUUUUGCUCCACUGAUUAAACAUAUCAAUCAAGAAUUAAUAUAUUGAAAACAUUAAACAUGAAGAUAAGUAAACAUAAUUGAAAUCAAGAACAAAUAUUUAUCAUGUAAUUUAGGAAAUCAAAUAAUAAGAUCCGUCUUAGUUUUCAUCCUCCCUAGGUAUCUAGGGAAUUUAGUUCAUACUUUUGGGGGAAAACAUCUUAAAAUUAGGAAAACAACAAAACAUAAGGAAACCCAAAAACUUCGAGAGAAAUUGAAUGGAGAUCUUCAGUCUUGAAGGAGAUCCUACUUCUGAGUUGAAUCCGUUAGCGUUCUUUGAGUCUUUUCUGCGUUCUACUCUGCGUGCCCCUUUAGGUCCUCUUCUAUUGUGUAUUUAUAGACUUUAGAAUGCUCGAAACCCUAAAGAUUGGGUUUUUUCGCGUAAUAGGGAAGCAGGGUGCAAAAUCAACACGAACUGCCACAUAGGCCUAUGGCCAGCCCAUGUGGAUCUUGGAAACAGCUCUUUUUGCCCGAUUUUGGUUCGUUUUUUGCUCCUUUCGCUCCCUUAUGCUCACCUAAGUAUAGAAACAUGAAUUUAAAAGAUUAAGAGCAUCAAAUUUACUAAUUCAUAUAAUAAAUCAUUUAAAAAUGCAUCAAGAAUGAGAUUAAAAACAUGUUACUUUUAUGGCUUAUCAGUGCAUACGAACUUACCUCAAAAACUAGGGCGUAAAACUAGAUCGACUCAACCGAGGCUUUAGCUUUUUCCCGAUCUAAUUUCGUACGUGGUCUAUCUUUAUCUAAAUAGAAAAAUUCAAUCCAUUUAAUAACCCUAUUAUUCAAUUUAGUCCACAUUUCAUAUUUAUGAAAAAUUAACAUUUUACCCCUAGCAUUUUAACUUUCCACAAUUUAAUCCUUAAGCUCAUAGAUUGAAAUUUAAACAUUUUAGUCCUUUUAUCAAGUUAGCUGAGUUCUCUAAGGAAUUAAAUCAACCCAUACAAACCAUCAUUUCAUCAUUUUACCAUAAACUUUUAUUAUUUUUACAUAUAAGUCCUUAAAUACAAUUUUCAUCAAAAUCAAUGUACAAAACUUGUUUAUUUAUCAACAAGGACUCAUAAUCAACCAUUAAACAUCAAGAAUCACACAAGAGCAUUCAAGGCACAAUCUUAAAUCUUUAAUAGUUUUGCAAAUUAAUCCUCGGGCUAGCUAGGUUAAGCUACAACAAUCCUGAAAACAUAAAAAUCAUUAAAAACAAGCUCAAAAAUCACUUACAUGCACCACCCAAGCUUGUCAAACUCAAGAAACCUAAAAAUGGUUUCUUUUCCUUUGAAAAAUUGGUGGAAGAAGAUGAAAGAAAAUGAGUGAAAUUUUAUUUUAUUUAAUUCUUAACCUUAAUUGCUCAUUUACUUUUAUAACCUUUAAUUAAUAUCAAAAUUUCAUCAAAAGCACAUCAUGAACAUCCAAUAACAACACAAAUGGUCUAAUUUCCAUUUAAGUUCUUUCAUUUUAAAGUUUCAUAGCCAUUUGACCCUUUUAACAAAUAGAACUCCAUUUUUGUGUCUUUUAUGAUUUAGUCCUUUUUACUUAAUUAAUCAUGUAGAUGUCAAAACUUUUUAAUGAAAUUUUAAUAUGACCUUAUUAACGUCCCAUAAACAUUACAAAAAUAAUAAAAGAAAAAUUUUCUUGUCGGAUUUGUGGUCCUAAGACCACUAUUCUGAUUUUACUGAAAGUAGCUAUUACAGACAAGCAAUGUGCCAGAUCGUGUGAGCCAUGCCGAUUAGGUCAAUUGGGUUGUGUGGGCCACACGGGCUUGUGUUGGCUGUGUGGGCCCAUUUUUUGAAUUUUACCUUAGGGUCAUUUUUUAUGUGGGAUUCGAAUUUAGCCCUUUCGUAGUGUCCGUACUGUAUAAAUAAGACUGUAAAACAUGAGAUCUGAUAUUUUACUUCUCUUAAUGUGAUUUUUGAAAGCAUGAUGUGUAUAGCAUGUAUGUGAUGUAAUAGCAUGAUGUGACUUAUGUCAAUGUGACUUAUAAUUUGAUGUGUAUAGCAUGUAUGUUAUAUAUAUAUGCAUUUGAUAUCUAAUUAGCAUUGCAUGUGCAUUGGGGUGGGAUUAUGAUUGAUGGAGGAAGUGUUGGCAGUUUAAUAAUCUGCCUUAUCUAGCGGUUUAUACCACAUUUAUAUGUUAUGGUGGUUUGACCACAUAUAUCUAAUUAUGGUAAAUUAGCACAAUAUAUCUGGUAGCUUGGUUGCACUAUUUUGAAAAGUGACAUACGCUCACUUAAGGUGUGUGGGGUUGGAUAGGUAUAUAUUAUCCAAUUGGUGGGUAGGGAUGGUCAGAGAUGGUGUGUAGCAAAUGAGGGUAGGACUUAUAUCUUUUCUGAAUUUGCAUCUAUUUUUGUAUAUGAUUAUAAUUUUGUAUUUGUAUGUUAUUUGUUAGUUAGGCUAAGUUACACGUUGAGCUCAUUAACUCACCCUUUGACUAUUUUUUCUAGUUAAUCAACCAACCUAGGAUUGAAUGGCGCGCGGGAACUCAUAAAUUGUUUUGCCCAGACUGCCGUGUGACCUCUAUUUUUUUGUUUUUAUCCUACUUUUAUGUUAUGUUUUGAAUUAGUCACUUAUUGUUCCUAAAUUGAUCCUAGAGCUUCGGAGGCUGAAUUUAAGCUCUAUUUUUGUAUGAAUAAUGAGAUUAUUGAAUAAUUAUCUAUAGUUAAUUGUUUUAAAGUAAAUUUUCAAUUGAAAUUGCAUAUUCUUUUUCUGUUAAAUGUUGUAGCAUCUUGUAACCCUAAUAUGGUGACGGAGAUGGGUGAGGGAGUGUUAGAAUAAUGUUCUCCUAGUCCUUGAAAAAAGAGUUUUCCACUAUUUUUUUUUCUUGACUUUCUAGAAAUUCAUAAUUGUAUUAUGGUAUUGUCAGCUACUUAUCCAAAUUGACGAUACAUUCCUUUACAAAAUAUACGACCAUCAGUUGUUAUUAGUUGUUGCAUAAGAUGGUAACCGAAAAAUCCUACCAAUAGUUAUUGCAAUAACUCCUGAAUAGUCUAGGGAUGACUGGGAUUUCUUCUUAACUAACCUAAGAAGGCAUGUUGUGCCGCAACCUAAUGUAUGCAUCAUUUUCGACAGGGGCAUCGAAAUACAUGAUGCAUUUGAUCGGUGUUCAAUCCUAUGGGAUCGUGCACACCAUAGGUGUUUUUUACGUCUUUUAGUGUUUAAACUACAUAGGCCGAUACCAUAAGGAUGCGGAGUGAUGACAUGUCAUUAACAUGGGUACGUUGUACAUAGAAUUUCUUUCAUGUAUAACAAUUGAACAUAUACAUUUGGGUCGCAUUUUUUGAAUGCAAUAUUGAUUGUCAUCGACAGGAUACGAGCUCAUCCAACAUCUAUUCCAUGAAAUGUUGGAGAGACUACGGACUGUAAACCGACUAGGUGUGAUGUACCUCGAUAGGAUACUGAAGGAGCAGUGGAUGCGGUCGUAUGACGGAGGACUACGAUACGAACACAUAACCAUGAAUCUAGCAGAAUGCAUUAAUUUUGUACUGAAUGGGCCACAUCAUUUUUUGAUAACCUCGAUGGUUAAGGAAACAUAUUUUCAAUUAGCAACCAAGUUUUUAAAGCAGGCUGAGACAUACGCGGGACAGGUAAAGGGCAGUCACAUUUGGUACGAAUUGGAGCUAAAAGAUAUUAGGAAAAAUAUAGAAAUCACGAACUCAAUACCUAUAGUGUGUCACUCGUGACCAAAUCUAAUAUUUUGGGUUACACAGCCCUAUAGACCCGACCGAGAAGUUAUCGAUGGAGCGAAUUGCAUAGACUUGAGACAAAUUUCCUGCCACUAUGGGAGAUUUCAAGCACUUCAUUAUCCAUGUGGACAUGCAAUUGUGACAUGUGCCUUAGCACAUGUAGAUUGCAUGACCUACGUUGACAAAGUUUACUAACUUGAACAACAUAUAAUGUUUGGAAAUCUAAAUUCCCACCUAUCCUAGAUGAAAGCAUGUGGCCGCUUACCUUGCACGCUCCUUUUGAGUUGGUACCAGAUAAAAACUUGUAGCGCAAGCUGAAAGGUCGACUGAACUCAACUCGAAUACUAGGCAUUAUGGAUUUUCAGGACCAGGGAAACACACCGUGGUUGUGCGGUUACUGUAACAUGUCCUCACCUCUCGGGAUCUUAAUGGUGAAGAGCUAAUUAAAAUAGUAAAUCAUGCAAUGAAAACACUGACUUAUUCAUUUACUGAUUAUUUUUUUCUAAAAAUUGUAAAUUAAUAUUAAUUAUUAAAGUAAGAUAUAUUACAAUACAUAAGUCAAGGUUUAAAACUUUUUCUAUACCUUCUUAGAAAAUCUUUGCUUUCUCAAAAUAUUGUACUUAACAAAUGAAUGGAGAAAAACUUAAAUGAAAUAGUAACAUAAAUAAUUGUAAAUUUUAAACUUACAAUAUAAUAUGGUACAAAGCAAACAAAUUUAAUAGAUUUGUUUCGUAGAUUGUAAAUACAUGAACAUUUCAUAUGUAAAAUAAAAUAUACAAUUUGGGAAAUUUGCAAAUAACAUAAUCAUCGGUGUCCCGAAUGUGUGCCACAAUUGGGUGGGCUUCGAGCACUCCUAGGGUUUCGUCACACUAUUUGGGUUGGUGGCUUCUCAUUGACUUUAUCUUCAUGUUCACGUGCACGUCAGGGUUGAUUGCCAUAUUCAUUUCCUUCCUCUAUGGUUGACUACGAUUGUGUCCUAGCCGCCCAUUGUACAACUCCUCUAUUUGAGUCAGCAGUUGCGAGGAUGACCCACUUUGGUUGAAAAAUGAUACUAGGGGUGUUUACGACACUAUUGAUGGAUGACUGCAAGGUGUCACAUGGGCUGGUUGCGGAUAAAAGGUGAGAAUUAUCGGUGAUAUCGAAUGCAUCGGUGUUAUUGGAAACAUUGGCAUGUAAUAUGCUUGUGCGUACUAUAGUGCUUGUGUAAAAUAAAUUGAUGUUAAAGGUGUUGAUGCAAGGAAUGAUUGUGCGUGCUAUGGUGUUUGUGUAAACUAAACUGAGCUGAAUGUGUUGAUACGGGGAAUGAUUAUGCAUGUUGUGAUGCUGGUGUCAAAUAAACUGGGUUAGAACCAAAAAUAUAUGAACCAUACUAACUGGAUGUUGUGCAACAAUCAAGUCCUUUUGUGGACAUGGAACAAAUGUUGAUACCUCCAGCGGCAUCUUCUCCCAACCUAUGAUUAAUGGGCCUUCGUCUUGGCCUCUUACGGCGACGUUGCCUACUCUUUUCUCAAGUCGAUAGUAGAUACAGCUUGCCGUUAUGCCUGAACCAGUUCAAGUAAUCUAGAGAUGUCACCAACUUAAAUGUACCAAAUAGCAAGAUUUAUCUGGAAUUAAUAGACCUCCGAUCAACCUCAAGAUGAAUGUGUGUGCGAAUCGUUCUUUUGCAACGUCACUCGUGGAAGUCUCGAUAGUUUUAAAGUUUUCCUCCAACCAUCUCAUCUCGAUUCUACUACCCUAAACUUGUUCGACACCUUCUCUAGUAAUUGCUCAAAUGUUACACUCCAAUCGGGACUAAUCAUUGGCCCUAUAACGACUUCUCCAUCGACCAGUAGACUGAGUUGUAAACUAACAUCCUCGAGUGUAAUCAUACACUCACCGCAGGGAAUAUAGAAUGCGUGUGUCUCUUAUCUCCAUCUUUUGACCAAAGCACUGAUAAUUGGGGAAUCCAAUUUAUUUCGUUCGAUCAUGCGAGCCAUGUAUAAAAAUCAUGCAUAUUGCAAGUGUCAUAAAUGACACCCGAUGCACCUUUGCUUAAAUUAUUUAUGUACGUCUCCAAAAUCUUAUCUUCAGGUUGAGUAUAUAAACAUAAAAAAUUAAUAAUCUAAGAAAUAUACUAAUUAACUAUUUAAAAUUAAAUAAUUUAAUAAUAUUUUCUUACCAUUUGUAAUUUAACGCCAGAGAUGUGCUAGUCAUCCAAACAAAUAAGCUGAUUUGCCAUUUAAAAAUUUUAAGGAAUAAAAUAAAACCGAAGAGAAUAAAAUUCAGAAAAAUAAUUAAAAAAAUAAUUGAGAACUGAGAAUUAAGAAUUGAGGAUUGAGGAUUGAGGAUUGAGGAUUGAGGAUUGAGAAUUGAGAAUUGAGAAAUGAGAAAUGAGAAAUGAAAAUUGAGGAUUGAGAAUUUAGGAUUGAGGAUUGAGUUAAAAAGAAUAAGGUUUGGAGGGGGUUUAUAGAGGAAAAAUUAUGGUUGUUAGACUCUUUUUAGCCUUUGAAAACAUUACAAUUGGAAUAGUUACCGUUGAAAAAAAACGUGUCCUAAAGGGCUCGUUUUCCUUUCUCUCUCUGAUGGGCGUCGAAACCACCACAAAAAUAAUUACUACAAUAAAAUAACUCUAAGCAAUAGUAAAGAGCAGUAGAGUCGAUUCCACAGGGAUUGGUGAUUAUGAUCAACUUUCGUGUUUUCUCAUGAACAUAAUUUUUGUUGUGCCGAUAAUCGUGGCAAUAGACGUGGCCACGACUCCAAAUGACCUCCUUAAAGAUAAAUAAAUUAGGGGAGUUUUGAAAUGACUAGAAAUUAAAUAAAUGAAAUGGAAAAAAUAAAUAAUUAAAGAAAUUGAAAAUAAAAUUAAAUUGGGAAAUAAAUUUGGAUUUUGUAGACAUAGUUAUAAAGCCUUAGCCUUAAACUCAAUGGAUUUUGGUUUUUGAAUCGGUCCUCAAAAAUUAGUUUCCUCCUCCAAACAAUACACUAGUUAUAGCGGCUAAUAACGUCCUAACCAUCAAUUCUUCCUCUCGUAGUUGAUCCCAGUACGCCCGCAAACCAACCCUUAGCGAUUGUCUAAUCGAGAUACAUGCGUUCGUAAUUCAAGGCCCCGACAGCCUUGCAUUCUGAAGAACCCAACUCGGAUUAAUGGUCUCAACCGUGCGGGAUGUUUAAAUCUGAUCACAAUCUCCUUUAAAUUGUUUGCGAAAAUCCAAAUACAGCACGGCCGACUCGUCUUCCCACCUAUAUGCCAAAAUAACUCCAAACCAACGCGCUUUUUGAAUUGAAAUCGAAUUAACUUUAAAGGAUGAAUUUGUCAAUCCUGAUAUUCAGGAUAUAUGAUGAAUACCGAUUUGAAGGAUUUUUAGUGCAGAUAUGCUUCUCACGAUUCCUGACCGGAAAUAAUAGUGGCCCAAAGCUAAUUUGAAUUUAGUGAAGCAUGAAUUUAAUCAUGCUUUGGUUGGUUAUGGAAGUGGAUUUGAAUAAAAAUGGUGGAAGUUGGAAAGGAAGGAACUUGGAAAGCAAUUAAACAGUUUUGCAAAGAAACAAGGAAAUGAAAAUGGAAUAGCAAUAUGCUACUAACGCAUGAAAUUGGAAGUGAAAAAGAAUAAUUCUAUUUUAUUCCAAGUGAAUUCAAGUGUGAUCUUUUAGGUGCACCAUACCACCUAUUUAUACAUAAACUAUAUACUAAAAUUAGGCUAGUUCCAUUUGCCCAGUAAUUACAUGAAAUAAUAUCAUAUUUUAUUUUUUAAAUUUGGCUUUUACAAGGUUAAAAAUCUGGUCAGCCCCUCAAAUGUUUCAAAUUUAUGAUUCUGCUCUUUUCUAUUUCUCAUGCUUCAAUUUAAUCCCUUCUUUGCUUGUCUUUGAUUUAAAGCACCCGAAUUUCGUCACUGUAAAUAUCUAAAUACAAAAUUCACCAAUUAGCAAAAACUAAUUUAAGAACAAGUUGAGUUAAACACGAAAAAUAUGCAAAAUGAAAAAGCUAUCACUCUCCAAAAAUAAUGCAGAUCGAUAAAUUUAAAAAAAACAACACACUUUAUCAGUUGUUUUUUUUUCCAGCAUAUUUAUAAAAUUUAUCCCCUACAUUUUAGAUGUUAGGUUUUUAAUAUAUUUAAUUUGAUUUUAGUCUAAAAUUUGGAUUCAAAGGUCUUUCAAUUUAUAGGUUUUCAAAUUUUAUUUUUCUACAUUUUAGAAUUUUUAAGUACUUAAUGUUAGAUUUUAAAAUCCUAGAAUUUUAAGUUCAAUUCCGCUUCAUUUUUAGAAUUUUACACCUUUUUCUAGUUAACUUUGAAAUUUAGACAAUAAUUGUAGAAUUUCGAAUUUCAUUUAGCAUUAUAUAUUUGGAUAUCUUCUUUCCUUUAUAUUAAGUUUAUUCAGAUUCAAAACUAGAAUUUCAAAACCUUAAACACUAAGCUUUGUAUUUGAAUAGGUAUUGUACCGCCCUAAAUUUGCCCAGCCCGUCAAAAAACUCAAUGGUGACAACAACCCAAAUACAAAACCAAGUCUUGUAGGCCCAAAACCAAAACCUAACCCAAAAUACGGCCCAAAACAUAAAACAAUACAGAAACCCUAAUAGCCUAAGGCGCCGCGCCUCCAUGUGCGCCCUCGACACGUACGACGCCCUAGAUUCGGCCCCGUUGCACCAAAACGGCCAUCUACAGUCCCGUUGACCCUUGGUGUACCUGCAAAAGAAAACAAAAAAGGAAAUAAAGAAGGACGACAAGAACGAAAGUAAAGAAGCAGAGAUAAAAAGGCAUAAAACUUUAAUAAUAACAACAAAAAUACAAAGUGUUGUAAAGGCUAUAAAAGCCAGAAUCGACGACGGAAAAAGGGAACUUUUUUUUUACAAGAUAUUAAACCAAAAAAUUCAAAGCAAAAAGGUGAUUUUUCUUUUCCGGCUUAACAUUUUUGUAGCUUUUUUUUUUCUUUUUCGCUUUUAUUCUUUUAGGACUGUUUACAAGAAAAAAGAAAGGGAUAAGAGAGACUGACGCACCUGAGCUUUGAAUCGUCGGUAUACAUCAGAGUUUCUCCUCCGUUAAAACCGAAUCCGACAAAGGGGGUGACACUUUCUUUUUGAUUCUUUGCAGUUGUAGGUGUUGGAUCCUCGAACAUGGAUCUAAAAGGUGUUAAAGAACGAGUAGACCGCCCUCCGUCGACCACCGUUUGCGGUGGCUGCAUGGCGGCUAGGGUUUGGCUUCUUUAAGGUUCAGAUAAAUGGUUGUGUUUUAGAAACAGAAGAAAAAAAUGAAAAUAAACAACAGAGACUGGUUUAAAUACUGAAACAAAACGGUGUCGUUUUUGCACCAAAGAAAUCAGCGUUGAAACGGCGCUGUAUUGAACCCUGACCCGUGACCCGAUCCGUCCCCCUUGAGGAUCCGCGUGUUUGCGGUGAAUGGGAUAAUUUUGUGAAUAGCCCUUCUGGUCUCGCUGCGCCUCGCAAUGUGGCCCUACUUGCUUCUUUUGUUUUUUUAAUUAAGCCGCAUAUUUUUGUGUUCAGUUCAGAUUGGUCGUUUGAAACGAUGCGUUUAGAAGGGUGAGAAUAUUUUCCCAAUCGCCCCCUCAAUGUCUUAGCGUAUUUCAAAAUGGUCUGCUAUUUUGGUUUUGUGUCCGAAUUUCUUCUUUGAUGUUACCCAGAUCCCGAUUUAGUCCUUUUGUUCUGAUUAAUUAAUUAAUUUACUUAUUUGUUUACUUGUUCAUAUGUUCAUUGUUCAUAUAUAUGUGUAUAUAUGCACAUUAUACAUUCAUAUUUUAUUAUAAUCCUUGUGUCCAUUUGUUUAUUGUCUUUUCGUUCCUCUUUAAAUUUUUGUUCUGUUUUCAUUUAAUUAUUUUAUUUAUUUUGUUAUUGUUGCCGCUUCAACAUCUAUCAUUAUUACCAUAAUUUUGUUAUGGUUUUAUAUUUCAUUUAUUAAAUUCUUAUAUACCAUUAAACCAUUUUGUUGUUCAUUUUUAAAUUAUUUUAUUGUUAUUCAUGUUAAGUGUUUCCACAUAUUAUGUUUUUUAAACUAUUGCCCAUUUUAAAUUUUAUAUAUUAUUUAUUUUUAAAUUAUUAUUUAUAUUACUUAUUUUGGUCUUUAUACGUAAAUAUCUUUUAUUUUAACUAUUUUAUAUAUGUUACCUAUUUUAAAGUUUUAUAUGCUAUUUAGUUAUACUAUUUUAUAUGUUAAUCUUAAAUUUCAUUUUUGUUAUCAUUUACUUUAAACCUUCCAUAUAUUAUUUAUCUCAAGAUAUUAUAUAUAUAUAUAUAUAUUAUUUUAGAUUAUUUCAUAUAUUAUUUAUUCAAAAUUUUCAUAUAUAGUAUUUAACUCAAACUGUUUUAUAUGUAAUCCAUUUUAAAACUGUUAUAUAUUUUAAAGUUCCUUCUAUUAUUUUUUAGUUCUUAUACAUUACCCAUUUGGAAACUCUUUUUAUACUCUUUCUUUGUAACCAUUCCAUUUGUUAUUUGUUUUAAAACGUUUUAUUCAUUUUUUUUUCAAAUUGUUCGAAUAUACUAUUUUGUUUCACUCUUUUGCAAUUAUUAAUGUCGAUCUCUUAAAAUGGGGUGUUUCGUGGACAUUUAACUCAUGUAAUAUUAUUGUCAUUUGUUUGUUAAUGUUAUUAUGGCUAUUAUAGUACAUUAGUGUUUUUAUAUCAUUUAUUUAUCACAUAUUCUUGACUUGUAUAGUUGUUUCAUAUUAUUGUAUUAUUAUCUCUCGUGAACUAAGUUUAAACUUAAUUGGUUAUCUUUGUAUUAUGCUUCAAAACAGCCCAUGUCGUUUUAAACUUACGUUUGAUAAAAUUUUUAGAAACAAAGAAAUUUUCAAAGUAAGGCAAUGUUCGGUAUUUGGAAAUUCGAGAGAUCGAGCCCUAAUGUACUGGGUUUCGAUUUUUCUCGUUUGAUCUAAAUAAUCGAAUAACCUUUUAAAAUUAAAACACGUGAGUUUUGAAAAACAAAAGACCAACUUAUUUUCGAGGGUCUGAAAUGUUGUGUCCUAACGUACUGGAUGUGGCAUUUUGUUACUUCGGGAUAAGAAAGUCUUUAGAGUCCAUUUCAAUUCACUCAAACAAAUUCUUCGCAUAAAUCAACAUAAAAAAGGGAUCGUAUUUUAAAUUCUUUUUGAGUUUUUAAAUUUCGACAUUAAGACAUUAAUUAAUCAAUUAGGUACCAAUUUUGGGCGUCACGAGCGUGCUAAUCCUUCCUCGUACGUAACCGACUCUCGAACCCAUUUUCUCGAAUUUCGUAGACCAAAAUCGUUGUUUUAGUAAGUCAAAAUGUUUCAUGAAAAUGGCCAAAUUUUUAGGUGAUCCGAUCACACCUAAACAAAAAAGAUUGGUGACGACUCUCGUUUUUUCAUUUUCAUAUCCAAAUCAAGUCGAUCCCCGUUUCCAAAAAAAUGGUUUUGACAGGUAUUGUAGGGAUGCUUUAACCUUUUCUACACGUAAUUGUACCUUAGAACCCAUAUUUGAUUAUGAGAUUGUGCCUUAGUUUUAAGAUUUUCCCUUAGAUUCAUUUUAGAAUUAGCCUUAAAACUUUGGGUGAUAGGUGACUAACCGACCAAACUCAAAUUAAUUAAUGAUAACUUCACUUUUUAGUUUUUUGUGUCUAGCUUGUUAGGUUAUUCCCUAGCAUGUUAUGGCAACAUAGCGACUCCACCACGAACUCUAGUUUCAAGAGUCGAUCUAUUUUAGGGUUUGGUUUUUAAGGUUUUUGUUAUAAGCGUGGUUAUAUUUGUUGUAAAUUGUCAUUCACUUUACACAUGAAUUUGAUCCUCUUCCCUCAUUUGUCCUAUUAGGAAGAGUGGUCUUGGGCUUUCAUGUGUUCCUUUCCAUAGCAUCAAUUAUUUUUUUAAAAUUGAUAGUAUAUUUAUCAUUUAUUUAUUUCUUGAAGUGUUUGUAUGUCCAUAUUUAUAAUUCAUUAAAAGUAAUAUAUAUAUAAUGUUCAAUGGUUUAAGUUUUUUUUUAUAAAAUCAAUAGUAAAAAUAAUUAUAAUGCAAUGUUGUUUGAAUCAUAUCGGACUAUCCAAUUAGACUGGUAAUCAAUUGAGAUACCGAUCCAAAAAAGUAAAAGAUAGGCGAUCUGCAAACUGAGCUAAAAAUAGUUGAACUGAUUGAAUCGUAUUCUAUAAUUAUUAAUUUUUUUUAUUUUUAUAAAUUUUUUAAUAAUUUACUUGAUUUAAAUUGAACAGAAUGAAAAUCAACGGCUUGAUUGGUUCGAUCAUUGAUCUGAUUUUAAAAAUAUUAAUAUAAUAUUUAACUUGAAUUGUAAGCUUUUUGAAAUUAUGUAUUAAGAUGUUGAAAUUUAAUUUGCUCCAAUUUAAUUGGAUUCUUCAACUUAAAAAUAACCAAGCUUAUUUAAGCUAAAUCCAAGUAGUUUACAACUAUAGUAUUUAAUAUUACUAGCUUUUAAUGUUACAAGUAUUGUGUGUGAUUUUGUGUAUUUAAUAAUUAAAUUAAUUUUUUUUAAAGAUUUUAUUUUUAAUUACAUUAAUUAACAUAAAAUAACAUUUCUUAUUUAAAUUAUUAGAUAUAAUUAAAAUAUAUUAAUUUAUUAUAAAUAUAUAUUUCUUAAAUUAUUUUUGUUAAUGUUAAACAAUUAUAUAUAUAAAUUGGAAGUAAUGGAUGCUCAAUUAUCUGUCAAUAUGCAGCCUUGAUUGGAUUUGUGUUUUUGUAUGUUUCAAAUAGUUUUCUUUGGCUUUUCUCUGUUUGAUGUUAUUCUGUCAAUAUGCUUCACUUUUUAGGCUUUCGUAUCUAGUUUGUUAACUUCAUUCUUAUCAUGUUAUGACUGCUUAGCGACUCCAUUGGGAACUCUGGUUUCAAGAUUCAAUCUACUUUAGGGCUUGGUUUUAAGGUUUUUGUUGUAAGUUGUAUGUGUGAAUUUAUUAAUCAAUUGAUGUGAAUUUUUCUUUCUGUUGCUUACGAUUAUAUUUGCUGUAAAUUGUCAUUCACUUUAUACAUGAAUUUGAUUUUGUCCUAUUUGGAAGAGUGGUCUCGGGCUUUCAUGUGGCCAUUUCCAUAGCAUAAAUUGUUUUUUAAAUCCAUUGUAAAUUUAUUAUUAUUUUUAUUUAUAUCUUGAAGCGUUUAUAUGUCCAUGUGUAUUCAAAAGUAAAAUAUAUAUUGUUGUAUUGUUCAAAUUUUUUUUUUAAAAAAAUCAAUAGUAAAAAAAUUAUAUUGUAAUAUUGUUUAAAUCAUAUCGAAUUAUUCGGUUAAAUUGAGAAUUAAUCGAGAUAUUGAUACAAAAUGGUAAAAUUUAGUUAAUUGAUAUAUUAUAAAUAUAUAUAUAUUUCAUAAAUUAUAUUUUGUUAAUGUUACACAAUUCUCUCUUUCUCUCUCUCUCCCUAUAUAUGCUGGAAGUAAUGGAUGUUUAGUGUUGACUUGUCCCAUCCAAUUCCCCUAUAUUUCAAUAUGCGGCCUUGAUUGGAUUUGUGUUUUUAUGUUUCAAAUAGUUUUUAUUGGCUUUUCUCUGUUUGAUGUUAUUUCCUUACUGAGUUGGAUGUUUAAUGCUGACUUGUCCCAUCCAAUUCCGCUAGAUUUUUAUGGCAAGAGAAGAGACUAAGCUAGUUUGUUUAUUUGCAGGGAAAAUUUGAAAUAGAAUAUGAUCAAUCAGAGGGGUUGUGACAGCAGUUGAAAUUGAAGGUUCGAGAGUUGUUGAUAGAGUAGUAAUGGCGUCGGAGAAAAAUGGCGAUAAGGGUAUUCAGAUAUCCGAAGAAGAAGAAGUUCAACAAAAGAAGGAUGAAGAAGAGCAAAACGAGAUUUUACCUUUCUUUUGAUUUAUGGUAUCCCUGUUUGGAGGCCUUUUUUUAUUAAUGAAUUCAAAAGAAAAAAAAUAAACAUAUCCAGAACUUGUAUAAUAAAUUCCUUCAAGAGGUCAAAUAACAUUGAGUGAAAUAAGUAUGAAUUCUUGGGCAACCACAAGACUCCACCAAUGUGACAAAUAGAGAAGCUAAAGGCUAUCUAUCAAGAGAAAUAGUUUCAGGAGUGUUGAAAUCUAGAAAGAUGAAUUUAAUGGAAAAGUUUCACUGUUGGUUGUAAUUGUCCUAGACAUUGAACAACUUGGAUUGGUCUCCCAUGAAUGGAUUAUGUCAUCUAUUUCAGAUUCUUCAUCCCCAUGGUCUUCAAUAAUAUUUCCACCUAAAGCUUUAUUCAACUCCAGCUCCAUUGCUACUUGUUUCAUGGUGGGUCUUUUCUUUCCAUUAAGAUUCAAGCAUCUUUUUGCUAGCAGAGCCACACCUAUUAUCUCCUUCUCUGGACCAUCCUUCACUACCAUUGGAUCAAGAAUGUUAAAUAAGGAAUUCUCCUGCAUUGACUGCAAAAAAUAAGAUACCAAGCUUCUCACUGACUCUGAUUGUUCUACGGAGAUGGGUUUUUUUCCUGUUAAAAGCUCAACAAGAACAACUCCAAAGCUAUAAACAUCACUCUUCUCUGUGAAUUGACUUGAUCAAAAAUAUUCCGGAUCCAUGUAUCCAAAAGUUCCUUGCACCCGAGUGUUUAGAUGUGUUUGUUCAAGUGCAACUGAUCUUGAAGUUCCAAAAUCUGAUACUUUUGCCCUAUAUUUAUCAUCCAAAAAUAUGUUACUAGAUUUGAUGUCUCGAUGAUAAAUAGGAGCAGAAGCAGCUGAAUGCAAAUAGAACAAGGCAUUGGUAAUUUCGAUCGCAAUUCGUAAACGCAUUUCCCAUGUCAAUGGUAAUUCUUCAUUUUGGUUAUGAAUCAGAUCGUAUAAUGUACCAUUUGGGAUGAACUCAUAUAUCAAUAGAGGAACUUCAGCUUCUAAACAACACCCUAAAAGCUUAACUACAUUCCUAUGAUUAAUUUGACAUAAAAUUAUCACCUCGUUAAUGAACUGUUCAACCUUCUUUCCAUCAAAUUUCUUUCCUUCCACCAUUUUGGACUUCUUAAUAGCCACAAUGCUUCCAUCUAUUAGCAUUCCUUUAUAAACAGUACCUUGACCUCCUUGACCAAGAAUACGAUUCUCAUUAAAAUGAUCUGUCGCCUUUUCCAUCUCUUUUGAAGUAAACACCUUUAUUUUUUCAACAUUACCUUCAUUGCUAGACAAAUGUUGUUGUAGUAACAAAUCUCCAUUCCUUUUGAAGUAUUUCUGCUUCAGCAUGAUUUUUUGUUUUCUUUUAAGGACUUUUUACAUACUCCAUGUUGCGAGUAGUAGAAAUAGUGUCCCAAUACUAGUGCUGCAACCUAUAUAGAUGUAAGAAACAUAGUUAAAAGGAAAAUUUGAAAACUAAAACAAUAAAAAUGUUUCAAUAAAGUUUGAUAGCCAUUCAUAUUUUUUGGUGAAUUACAAUCACAGGGUGUGCAACGCCCGAACAAAAAACACAACUAUCGCAACCCGAAUCCCAACCUUAUCUGGGACGGUGAACACCGUUGACAAUCAGGCCAUUCAUUUUAAAUGAAUAAUGAGAGAAUCUUAUUACACAAUCCCUUGUUUUGGCAUUGAACUUUUACAAAUUUAAUUAUAAAUAACUUUUAAUGCAUCACGCAUUCAAAAGUAAAUAAAUCAUUAUUUGAUUUUACAUAAUUCAAUAAUCAUAAUGAUUCCCCUUUAAAAACAAAAAGUGUUUGAUAAAAAAAGAAAAACAAAAAGUGUAAAUUCAUCACGUACCUACAAUAAUACUUUUCAAGUUACGGAUGUUUUGAGCCUGUAUUUUGCGCUCGCAACGAAAUUCCAUACUAUUGUAUUCAUAAUGAGGAGGGCAAGACUCCGGCCAACAAUAGUUGCUAGGGGCAUUCAAACAAAGCAAACUGCAAUCAUAAUUCUCACAUUUCCCAUCUGUCAUUUAUGAAUCGAAAAAAGAAGAAGCUAUAAUCAUAUAAUUCAAUUAAAGUAUAUGAGAGGUCCUUAUACUAUACGGAUUGGAUCAAAUUAGUCUCUCUAUUAUUAAAUGAAUAAAUUUAGUCUCUAUACUAUUAAAAAGAAUUAAAUAAGUUUAAAUUAUAACAACGUUAACAUUUACUAUAUAAAAAAUGUCUUGAAUUUUUUUUCAAAUUUUAUUGAAUUUCAAACAAAAUAUUUCAUUUACAGAGCUAUAAAAAAAUAUAAAAAAUAAUAACAAAUGUUAAUUCUAUUCCAAUUUGGCAUACUUUGAUUCUUUUUUAUUGCACAUGCACUGAAUGAAUUCAUUUAAUAGUAGAGAGACUAAUUUAAUCAAUUCACUAUAAUAAAGGGACUCUUAAGUGUAUUCACCCAUAUAAUUCAAUAGAUAUUAAUUAAGUAAUGCAUGCAAAAAUAAAAGUUAUUUUUAUAUAUAAAAAUAGGAGUAUUCCAGCAAUACGAAUGCAAAACAAUUAUUUGAAAAAAAAAAUUUAAAACAUGAAAAAAAAGUUCAUGGAGUUAAAAGAUAUUAAUUAUCAUGGUCGCUUUGUUGAAAUUUCAUUAUAUAUAUGUUUUUUUUAAAAUUUUACAUAAAAUAUAAAAUGAUAAAAAUACUUUCAUAAUCAUAUUUGUUCUUUUAUAAAAGUAAUAGAUUUUCAUAAUUUCUUAAUUGAGUCGAGACUUAGUUGAUGGGUGACAUCAACUCUAUUAGCCCUUUAAAAAGAUAAAGAUUUAAGGCACAUUCAUGAUGUGAGUGGAAAAAAUAUGUAAUAAACAUAUUUAUUAAAAGCUUAUAUAAGAAUCAAAUGAAUCUUUGGUUAAAAUGAUAAAGUUAAAUUUUAAAAUUUAUUGUGUGAAAGGUUCAAAUCUCACCAUGUUAGCUUUAUUAUAGAUUUUAUAUAAAAAUGUAAAAAGAUGAUAAUACCCUUAAAAUAAUAUAACUUAAUUCAUAUAUAAAAAAAAUUUAAUAAAUUUUCAAUUGAGGUAUUAAAUAAAGAUAAUAUAGAUAUAAGGAAAAAAUCCCUAAAAAAUAUUAACUCGUACCUUCACAGGAGCUUGAAGAACCAAUAUCAUUUGUAUCCCUAUAGCACAUACAUAGAUGAUUAGAGCUCAACCUCGACCAACAAUAUUUACCAUUGGAUGUACAGGAAGUGUCCGAACUAUCGUUCAAAUGGCACUCUCCAUAUAUUGAUAUGCCCCAUUGUAGUUGCGUUGGGACAUGCGUCCUAUUACUUAUAUCAAAGUCAUCGGUAAAAGCAUAGUCAAUAGAAAUCAAGGAAGAAAAUCCGCAUGAUCUUUUCCUUCUAUAAUCACUAGAAUCAAUCAUAUUACUCGUGUUUACAAAGAAUGAACUAAGUCCCUGAGGAAUAGUUGUUAGGAUCGUCCCGAAUAAGCAGCGAACAAGUAAAAAUAGUAGAAGAAAUUGAGAAGAUGAACACACAAAUUUAACGUGGAAAAACCCCUCAAAAGAGGAUAAAAAACCACGGGUAAAGAUAAUUUUACUAUAAUGGCAAAAGAAUGAAGAGUACAAAAGAUGAAGAUAAAAACUAAACCCCGAAAACCCGAAAAACAAAGAACCCUCAAACGUAAACACAAAAUUCUCUGAAUGUGUUAUGAGUUCUAAUCUAAUGGGUGUCUCUCUAAUUCUAAGAUUGUAAAGGAGCCUAUUUAUAAGCUAAAUUAGUAAGUCAAAUAAACUAUACUAAUAAAUGCUAAAUAUAUUAUACUAAUAAAUACUAAAUCUUCUAGAAAGAAAAUAUAUUUUUGUUUAACUUGACUUGCAAGCAAUCUCUUAGAAUUUGGGUCACACAAUUCUAACAAUAGUACCAGGACAACCAACAAUAAAGGAAGUCUUAUUAUGACUCCUACAACUUGAUUGCAAACACCCACCUAUAAUAUUAUCUGUUUCGUUCCCAAAAAUAGUCACUAAAUUACUGCAACCUGAAGAACAAAAGAUGUUGAAGGAAUCUGAGUAGUAAAAACGGGUGCCUGUUAGGUUGAGACUCAUCCCAUUGUGAUGGUUUUCUCGACAGUUGAAGUAAGUUAUUGGAUGAUUGAUUGUAACAGUGCCAUAAAAAACAUUAAAGUCCAAUAUUUGCAGAUUCGUGCCAUUUAUGUUUAAGAAAGGCACUCUUUCUCCAUUGACGGUUUUGUUGCAAAUUACUUUAAACCAAUCAUUGGAAUCAUCUUGGACGUCCUCCAUUCUAAAAGGGUAGUGAAAAGUAACAUUCCCACAGGACUCUACCUUAUAGGUCUUGAAGUUGAUAGGUCCUAGUAUUGGUCUUCCGCAUCCUGCGGGCUUAGCAAAAAGGAAAUAAAUUGCAAAAUCUUCUAAAGGUAUGUGCAUCCAAUGUUUGUAGGAAAUAAAAGCAAUGUAUCAUUAAAAAUAUAUAUAAUUAUUUAAAAAGUUUUUUAUAUUAAUCAUUUCUUAGUCUAGUGACAAAAGUAUUGUAUAAGAGCUUAGGUUUCAUCUCAAGCAAUCUCAUUCUUUACCUCUAAUUAUCAAAAUAAAUAAAUAUUUACUAAAAAAAAAGUCAUAUGAGAAGUCUCUAAGUAAAUUUUUUAAUUAAAUUUGUGUGUUAUUUAUGACAUUAAAUUCAAUAAAGGAGUUCUUAUUAAUAUAGAUACCGAUAUAUAUCUUAUGGUUGAAUUUGAUAUCAUUCAAUAUUUCUAAUUAAAAAUACUCGCCCUUCAAAAACCUUUAAGGUAUAAGUUUUUUACCUAAAACCUUUUACGUAUUAAUCUAAGUUUUUGAAAUACAAAACUUUUAGGUAUAAAUUUUUGGAAAAGAAAAAUAUUAAAAUACAAAAUGAAUGAUCCUAAAAGCUUUUUUUUAGAACUUAUAUGAUUGUAAAGACUGAUUUUAAACAAGUAGCAAGAUCUAUACAUUAACUGAAUUAAAAGAAGAAAAAUGAAAGCCAAGCAAUUGAAGUAACAGCGCGGCAGGAACAUUACUGACCUUCGUCACCGCAAUAGGUGGAAUUCCAGCUGAGCUCGGCGGGAACAUGCGUGGUUCCAAAUUCCAAUAUUGAUGCCAGUGGGUAAUGGGUAAGCACUACGGAGAGGGAACAAGCUAAAGAUGAAAGCAGAUGCGCAUCUGUUGCUGUCAGGGUACAUGGCUGUCAUGUUUACAGUAUAGGAAGUGAAAUUUCCAGUAAUUAAAGUUAAGCAGCCAGAUUCAGAAGCACCAUCGUCACACCUUGGUUGAAUGCAACCGCCAAGUGUAUCAGUUUCGAUACUUGAAAUCGUAGCCAAAUUUCCGCAACCCACUGACCCGAAAACAAUUUUUUCACUUGAGAAGAAAAAGGGAGUGCCUGAGAGAUUCACACUCACACUAGCCUUAUCACAAUUAAUAUAAGUAACUGGAUUACUGAUGAGAAUGGCGCCUGAAUGUAUGGAACCAAGUACCUCCAGAUCGCUGCCAUUUACGUUUAUGAAAGGCUUUUCCCCAUUGAGGGUUUGGUUGCAAGUUACUCUAAACCAAGAAUGAGUAUAGCAGGUGCUAUGGAUACCAAAAGGGGAUGGAAUUGUAAUAUCUCCACAUACUUCUUCUCCACAGGCAGGUUCUUGAGAUUCUGCAGCUUGUAAUAUUGGGCAUAAGAGGAAGAGGAAGGGGAAGAGGAGUCGGAGGAUGAAGUAAAGCGCUAAGUGAAAACCCAUUCCCAUUGUUAUUUUGUUCGAGGGAAACGAAUGAAGAUUUAGAUUGGGUUACUGAAGAAGUCAUGUUUUAAAGAAACAACAGCAGAGUUAAGUAGCAGCACUAGAUGUAAAUUAUAUUUCUUAAAGUAGCACCACUAGUGUUUUUCUUUUCUUUUUAAAAUUAGCAGAAAAUAAAAUAUAAUAUUUUCAGAUGUAAAUUUUUAUAUAUAUAUAUAUAUAUAUUUAAAAUUUGUGCUUUGUGUGUUGCCCUCCGUAGUGCUUUGUGUGCUUUGUCCUUUGAUUUUUAAAUUUAGUAAUAUGAUCCUAAUUUUUUUUUUAUUUUCAGACACAAAAUAAGAGUUUGAAAGUAAGGGUUCAAAAAUUAAAUAAAUAAUUUCCAACACUUCUAUCAAAUUAUUGUCCGUACAUUUUAAAGUAGGUAUACAUUUUCAUUUUAUGAUAUAAUAUAAAUUACCAAUAUCCUAUACUUUAUAAUUCAAUAAACAAAUGAAACUCCAAAGACAAAAAUAUUUAAUAUUUAAAAUUAAUGCACAAGAUACAAGAAUAUUAAAUAUUUAUUAAUAUACUGCACAUAUCACAAUGCACCAUUAAAUAUUAAUCCCAUAGUACAAACAAUGGUAUUCAUACUUUAUAGCUUAUCAUUUUUAAUGUUUGAGCCGUUUUUAUAGACUGUAGUUGGCCAACAUCAUUUGGUCCGCAACAUGUGAAUAUAUUAUGGAUAAAGUAUUGCCCAGGUGAAUAAAUUACGGUUUUUUUAAUCAUCAAAAUUAUAAAUUAUUCAUCUACUUAUUAAUAAAUUUCAUUUUUGACGAUUUAAUUAUAAAAAAGUUAUAAAAUAAUCGUUUAACUAUUUAAAUUUACUUUUUUUUUGUCAUCAAUUGGUUAAUAUAAAAAUAGAAAUACCUAAAAAAAUUAAGAUAAUUGAGUGACCAAACAAAGAUAAAAUUAAAUAGUUAUUUGACCAUUUUGUAUAUUUUUAAAGUUGGAUGAAUAAAAAAUUCCUUAAUUUGGUGACAACUAAUGUAUUUUACUCAUAUAUUAUAUUAUACAAGUAAAAGAACCUUAUUUGCUAAGAGUUAGUUUUUUUUUUGUCCUUUUCAAUCCCCUCUAUUGGGGGUGUAAAUAAGAUAUUGAUACUUGCAAGAUUACUCCAUUUCGACUUGAAAAAGAAUUCAAAUUUAAUUCGGUAAUUGUUGAGCUGAACUUAAGCUAUCAAUCGAGCCAAAUUCGAGUUUAGUAAUACUUGACUUGAACAACUUGCGAGUCUGAACAUGUAUUUCAUAUUUUUUAUAUUAUUAAGUUAUUGCCCUUAAUUAUCAAGUCGAGUUUGAGUACACAAAUUGGUAAACGGAUUUAAUUGAGCUCAAGUUCAAGUAGCUCGAUUAUAUCUUAAGUGAACUUGAACUUAAAAAUAGAUGUUUAAUUAAACUCAUACCGAAUAUCAAAUUCAAAAUUUUAAGUCGAGCUUAACAAUAUUCAAGUUAAACUCAAUUACACGCCUACCCUCUACAAGGCAAUCAGUAUAGCAAGUAUCUGCCCUCAUAAAAUGUGCAUUGCAUCUCAUUUGCUCUCGUGACAUCUUAUUUUCUAGUUCAGUACACAUCAGAAGUUUCCGAGGAAGAUUUGCAAAGAAGGACUAGAAAAUGAAAUUUGAAGUUUAUUGACAAUUUCGUCACAAUCAAGCUAAAGUUUUCCAAUUCAAAAUCUUUUAUGAAAAAAUCAACACUCCUCGUCACUACAAUCUUUAUUAUAUGUAAGUUUUUUUUUUCAAUAUAAUAUAUGUGAUUUCAAUAUAUUUUGAAAAACCAGCAAGAGCAAUAAACAAUAUCAAAUUUGUUUCCACGAUAUUUGUGGACCUGCUGCUGUAUUUUCAUCUUAAAUGUUCUAUUUUUAUUGCUUAACUAAAAAUUGUGUAAAUCAGUGUUAGAAUCCUAAAAAUAAUAUCUAAUAUAAAAGUUUAUUAAAUUAAGACAUAUCAUGUAAAAUCAUCAAGAAUAAAUCAAGAACAAAACUAGACGUGGGUGCUUGAAUUCAUCGAUUUUUUGAAAUCAACUGGGAGUCUUCAAUCUUGACGGAAAUCUACUUCAGAAUCGACUUCAAUGGUGUUUCCCGAGUUGUUUUCUUGAAUAUUCUUUGACGGCUCUUUUUUAUCUUCUUAUUUUUGCCAUAUAUACGUCUUAAAAUGUCCGAAAAACUUAAAAAUCGUGUUUUUCCGCUUUUCAAAGUACUAAUUCAUGAAGUCGACACGGUCUACCACGUGACUGUGUAGUAGCCUGUGUGGCUCUUGUAGCUUGCUACGAUUUUCUGAUUUUUGCUUGUUUUUUGCUCCCCAAAUGCUACCCUAAGUAUAAAAACAUGAAUAGGAAGGAUUAGAAGUAUAAAAUUCACCAUUAACAUCGAAUAAUCACCCAAAAAUGUAUUAAGAAUGAGAUUAAAACAUGUUACGUGUUUGCUUGUCCUAAAGCAAAAUCCUCAACCUACACUUAAGUUAACUUCCCUCAAUUUAUUGUUUUUACUGAUAAUGUCUUAAGAUAAUUUACAAAUAAUCAUUCAUUGGAACUUUAUACUAGAACAAUACUAAAUAACACAAGCAAUCCAAGCAGAGAAUUUUAAACUAUAAAAACAUUAUGUUAAACUAAGAUUUAUUUGAUAAAAGAUUAAAUUAAUUUAACUAAGAACACAACAGAGAGUAAAAUAGGAAAAUAAUCGAAGAUAACCAAUGAGAUAGACAAUACCCAUGAAAGAAUCCACCUAGACUUCACCUAUUAUUAUGAAUCUGAAUUAAACGAUUUAUUUACUUGUUACUUGAUCCGUAGAAAUACUUAAAUUAUGUUAAUAACUCAUUCGAGAGUAAAAACAACUGACUCUAGGUUGAUUAGUUCAAAUCUCUUUCUAAUUAAAACCCAUAUCAUUGCAUUAACUCAAUCUAUGGAUUCCCCUACUAGAUUUGACUCUAAUCCGAUAGAUUUAUGUCAUUCUAUUUCUAGGAUUGCAUGCAACUCCACUCAAUUAUUCUAGAUUUACUCUUAAACAAGGCUUUUUGCUCCACUGAAUUAAGCACAUUAAACAUGAAUUAAUAUACCAGAAAUAUUAAAACAAGAAAUAAGCAUACAUAAUUGAGAACAAGAAUAAAAUAUUUAUUGCGUAAAACAUAAAUUAAAUAAUAGGAUUCAUCAUAGGUUUUAUCUCCGCUAGGUAUCUAGGGGAUUUGUUCAUAAUCCUAAAUGAAAACAUCUCAAAGUCAUAAAAAUCACAAGACAUAAAGAAACUCAAUAAAACUUCAAAAGAAAUUAAAAGGAGAUCUUCAAUUUUGAUGGAGAUUCACUUCCGAGUUGGCUCUGAUGGUGUUCUUCGAGUGUUUUCUUCGAUCUUCUCUGGUUGCUCCCUUAUGUCUUCUUCUAAUGGGUAUUUAUAGCCUUUAGAAUGCUCAAAACCCCUAAAAAUUGGGGUUUUUCGCGUAUUUGGGAAGUAAGGUCCGAAAUCGACACGGGCUGGCAUAUGGGCAUGUGACCAGCCCGUGUGGGAAUGCCCAGACCAUAUGGAUCCUGAAAAUAACUCUUUUUGUUCGAUUGUGGCUCAUUUUUCACUCAGUUCACUCCCAAAUGCUCUCCUAAGUAUAGAAACAUGAAUUUAAAGGAUUAGAAGCAUCAAAUUCACUAAUUUGCAUAAUUAAUCAUCCAAAAACACAUUAAGAAUGAGAUUAAAAUAUAUUACUUCUAUAGCUUAUCAAUAUAACAAAUUAAAAGUUUUUUUUUGAAUAUAAUCUAAAAUUGAAGAAAUAAUUUUUAAAUUUGAAUUCUAAGAAAUAAAACUUUAAAUAUUUACAAUAAACUCUUAGAAAAUUUAGAAACAAUUUUAAAAUCAAGUGAAAGUAAUUUUAACCAAGUCAAAAUGAUCUUAGUUAAGUUAAAAUCAUUUUAAUACAUCAAAAUGAUUUUCGAACAAGUCAGAAUUGCUCCAGGCCAAAAAGUAUCGAUACCAUUUGGCCAAGUAUUGAUAAUUUUUGAAAUAUUGAUAUCCUAAAAAAAUUGAGACCAAAAAGGAAUUCUGUCAAGCCCUAAAAAUAUCAAUACCAUGUUUUUUAGUAUUGAUACUUUUUGAAAAUAAUCGAUACCUUUCUUAAAAACGAUAUCAAAAUUGUAUUAUGUUUCUUAUAAACCCUACAAAGUAUCGAUUCGGUAUCGAUACCUAUUUCAGGAAGUAUCAAUAAAAUAUUUUUGAAGUAUCGAUUAUUUCAUUCCAACGGUCACUGAAUUGGUAUUUAUGACAAAAAAUAUCGAUACUCUUUUUGGAGGUAUCGAUACUCGCAGUUGCAUGUGAAAUAAAUGCUCUAGUUUUACAUCCCCAACAACCUCAACGACUAGAAAUCUAUUAGGGGGUAUAAAUACCAUUUUUUAAAGUCCUACUAUAUUUAAGAAAGUACUUUCAAACAAAAAUCAUCAAUCAAACCACUUUAGAGCUUAAAUUUUCAUAUUUUUCCUACAUACACUAUUGAGCUUUAUCUUUAUUCCUUUGCUCAAGUGUAUCUCAUUAUAUUUGUACUUCAAUUUGAAAACAAUUUUAUCUUGCAAUGAUUGUUUCUUUGUUUUCUCAUUUGUAUCUCUUUGAGAGGGCUUGAAACUUAAGAUUUAGGGUAGAAAUCUUAAGGAGUUGCAAGGUUAAACCUUAUCCUCAAAGGUUGAACAAAUUAGUGAAUUUCAAAAAAUCCUUACUGGUGGAAAGCUAAGAUAGUGGAGUAGGCAAUUGGGACCGAACCACUCUAAAUUGUUUGUAUUCUUUAUUCAUUCUUUCUUUUGCUUUCAUCAAAUUUUUUAAAGGCCAAUUCACCUCCCUUUGCAUUUUCAGUUUGCUACAUCGAGCUAUCAAUUGGUAUCAAAGCUAAAACUUUAGAGACAGUUUUACCACCAAGAGAGCGGAUCCUUAAGGUAUUCAAGAUUGAAACUACAAGUCAAGAAAUUUCCUUCACGACACUAGAGCAAAAUUUCACUAUAUUAGGAGAAAGGCAUUCCACCAUGAGGCCUUCACUAUUCAAUGGCACUAACUACUCAUAUUGGAGAGCAAGAAUGAAACUAUUCAUCCAAGCUAAUGACUCUGAAGUUUGGAGGAUAGUUACUAAUGGGCCAUCUAUUCCAAUACAGAGGGUCAACCAAAGGAAGAGAGUGAAUGGGAUGAAAAUGAUAUUAAGAAGGUGCAAUUAAAUGUGAAGGCUAUGUACAUUCUAUUUUGUGCUCUUGGUCCAAAUGAGUACAAUAGAGUCUCCUUGUGUGACAAUGCAAAAGAAAUAUGGGACAAACUUGAAGUCACUCGUGAAGGGACAAGUAGAGUUAAGGAGUCCAAGAUAAGUCUUCUCACCCUUGAUUAUGAAUUGUUCAAGACAAAACUGAAAGAAGGAAUCAAGGACAUGUCCGAUCGCUUCACUCGUAUCAUCAAUGGUCUCAAAGCUCUUAGGAAGACAUGUCCCAACAAGGAGAUGGUAAAAAAGAUGUUGAAUAGUCUUACAACAUAUUGGGAACCUAAAGUGACGAUAAUAGAAGAGUCAAAGGAUCUCAACUCACUCUCUCUUAAUGAGCUCAUUGGUUCCUUUUUGACGUAUAAAAUGAAGAUCAACUACAUCGCAAAGCAAAUCAAAGAAGUUUUAAAGAAAGUGGGAGUUGCAUUCAAAUCAACAACUUGUAAGAAAGCAAUAAUGAUGAUGAUGAAGAAAUGGAAAUGCUUGCAAAGAGAUUCAAGAUGUUCAUGAGGCCCAACAAAGGAAGACAAUUCAAAAAGAAGGAAGGAUUCAAGAAUGAAUCUACCAAAGAGAAUAACCCUAUCAUAUGUUAUGAAUGCAAGAAGUCAGGAUACAUCAAGUUUGAGUGUCCUCAAUAGAAGAAAAUAGGGUCAAGUAAACAAAAGCUUAAGGCUUAUGUUACUACUUAGAGUGAUGAUGAUUCAUCAGACAAUGAAGAUCAAGAAGUAAUCAAUCUUUGCCUUAUGGCCAUAGAUGAUAUUAAGGUAACUUCUAACCUAUCUACUUUAAAUGAUUAUUCUUUUGAUGAGUUGAAAGAUGCCUAUGAUGAAUUGGGUUUGAAAUUUGAAGUCAUGAUGUCAAAAUACAAGAAAAAUGUUUCAAAAUUGAGAAAUAUGAAAAUGACUUGCUUUCUAAAACCAAUCAUGAACUUAAAGAGAAAGUAAAUAAAAUGCAAGAAAUUAUUAAUGACUUUGAAAAGAAAAAUUUAGACUUGUAUAAUUUACUUUCAAAAGCUCACGAGGAUCAUCAAAAGCAACUUGAGUUGCUUAAGAGUGAAAAAGCUCACUCUAACAAAGUUUUAGAAAGAGGAGAAAGUUCAAAACAAAACUUUGUUAAAAAUAGGUUUAAUUUCUAUAAACAUAGAAGUCCUCAAAAUUUUUACAAGAGAUAAAUCAUUAAAAGUGUAUGAGUCCUUAAAAGACUCAUAACUUCUCAAGAUAGAAGCUUGAUUUCAAAAUGGACACCCAAAAAGACUAAAAUUAUAAGAACUAAUACUUAUGCUAAAAUUAUAAGAACUAAUGCUUAUGGACCCAAAAGAAUUUGGGCACCAAAAAUCAAAUCUUAAUUCUAUGUCUGUAGGAAAAGGAGCAUUGCUUUGAGGUGGGUUAUUCAAAGAAAAACUUAUGGUACCUCGAUAGUGGAUGCUCAAGACACAUGACUAGUGAAAAGAGUCACUUUAUCGAUUUGAAACCAAAAAGUGGAAGAGAAGUUACAUUUGGUGACAACUCUAUAACAAAAAUUGAAGGAAUAGGCUCUAUUAGUAAAAACACUUCUAUCAUUAUUGAAAAUGUCUUGUAUGUCAACGGUCUUAAGCAUAAUCUUCUAAGUAUUAGUCAAUUAUGUGAUAAAUGUUUAAAUUUCAUAUUUGAGUCUAAAGACUAUAAAGUUAUUGACAUUGCUUCUAAUAAGAUUAUGCUUGUAGGGCAUAGGAUAGAAAAUAUAUAUAUGGUGCAUUUAGAUGAUAUGCAUAACUCCAGCUUAUGUCUUAUUGCUAAAGCUCACUAUAUAUUUCAUAACUGAAGUGUUAAUCUAUCAUAUCUUAUGUAAUUGUAUGGAGUAUGUACUAUGCUAAAUUGAGUAAAUGUAGAAGUGCCAAAUUAUCUUAAAUGCCAAAUUAUCUUAAAUAUAUGUAUGUGAUAUAUGCUAGAAUGACUAUGUAUUUGUUAUGCAUAUGAUCCAUUAAAUGAAGCAUGUAUUAGCUCUAUAUGUUAUCAGAUUUAAAAAUAUCGUACUUGCUAUAAAUGGUUGAUUGUGGGUGUAUGAUAACAUCUUUGCGUUGUAGUUAUUCUACACAUUCACUGAGCUUGUUGAAGCUCACCUACUUUUUCCAACAUAUGCAAAUUAGUGACAUUAUGGUGUGGGCAGUGUGGUUUCCAAGGGAGUGAUCCAAGAAAGACUUUGUAAUUCUCGUAGGUUCUCAUUAUUUAUAUACGUAUUGGGGAAAUAGGCAACAUGGUAUAAUCAUUAUAGAUUUGUUGAAUUCUAAACAUUUUUAGUUGGUUUAUAAGGAUUUCAUGUUGUUAUUAUUAUGCUUAGAAUUAUAGACAUUGAUGUUGGCAUGAUGAUUCUUUCUUGGUCACGUUUUGACGAUUUAGACUGAUAAAUUAGCCAUUGAAUGAGUAAUAAAUAAAGUACUUGAUACAUGAUGCUUAGGAAUUUUUGUGGAAUGAAUUAUUUACUCUUAUAUGUUGCAUUUUUGGUUAUUACUCUUAUAUGUUGCAUUUUUGGUUUCAAUAGCAGAUGUAUCGAUAUUUGGGACUUAAAAUCGGUACCUCUGUAAUUUAAAAUGUACAGAAAAACAGAAUAGGGCUUUGGUAUUGAUACCUUAUCUUGAAUAUCGAUACUUGAGACUAAAGUAUCGAUAUUUCAUAGCAGGUACCGAUAAUUUUCGAUAGUUGGGAUUUUGGUUGAAAAAUAGUAUGCAAGUUUGGUAUCGUUUUUCCAAGUGGUAUUGAUACCACUGAGAGAAAAUAUCGAUACCUUAAUGUUAGUAUUGAUACCUACAAUCACAUUUAUGAAUUUUACUAGAUGGCGACAUGUUUCUAACUAUUUGUAAAACUGAUUAAUGUAUGAUUUGCUUGUAACAAUGAUAAUUAUCUAGUUGAAUGAAUUAAAUUCUAUAUGAACAGAUAAAAAAAGAAUGGGUUGCUUAGAUUAAGCUUUCUACUUGAUGUACUCGAGAUGAGAUGCUGGUGUGACAUCCCGUAUUUGGGCUUGGUGAUUAGGCCUGGUAUAGGGUGUUAUAAAAGAUAAGGAAACCAAACCUUAAUUAUUUGAAUGUUUGGGUUGUACAUCUAUGGUCAAAGUAACACCUAAACGCAAAAAGUUAAGUAAAGAGAAAUUCAAUGCAUAUUUAUAGGAUAUGUACAUAACAACAAGGCAUAAUGAAAUUUCAAUUAAUACUAUUAUUGAGUCAAGAAUUGUUAUUUUUGAUGAAAAUAAAUUUAGCUCUAUUUCAAGAAACCAUUGGAACAAGUUGAUAAUAAUGAUGAAUCUUGUCAAGAAUUAAGAGGAAGUAAAAGGAUUAAAAAGACCUAAACUUUUAGAUCAAGUUUCAUUAUUUUCCUUGUAAAAGGUAAAGGUGAAAGUAUAGGAAAUAAGAUAUGUCAUUGUUAUAAUACGAAAUCUAAUUUUAUUAUAGGUUAUAUAAAAGUGGUACCUAAACUUGUCCAUUUCUCCCAUAUUGGUACUUGUGAUUUUUUUGUCCCAGAUUGGUACUUGAACUUCUUCUCCAUCAACUAGUUUGGUAAUUUUUUUUAACGUUCUUAAGUUUGGGACAGGUGACAGAAUAGAGUUGUGACACGUGGUAAAUGAUGUCAUGAUGAUGUCAUAAUCUAAAAAAUAUAUUAAAUAUCAAUAAAAAUAUUUUUAAAAAUUAUUUCUAGUUUUUUCUUAUUUCCUUGUUUUUCCUGAUAUUCCUUUCUUAUUCCUUCUUCCUCUUGUCACUUUGUCCUUUUUCUUUCUGGGUUCAUUCAACAUUUCUGGGUUCUUUUGAAACAAAAUUUAAUGUUUAAUGUUUAAUGUUUCUAGCAUCACCCUUUGAAGUUUGAUGUUUAAUGUUUUAAGUAAGGAACUAGAUGGUCUAUGGUUAUUGAUCCAUUUCCCGUUUGAUUCUAAUUUCAUUUUUGUUCCAUGUUUCUGUGGAUUUGAAUACAAAUUGAAAUUCAAAUCCUAACUUGGUGGUCGUUACCUAAAUAUUCGGAUUGAUUGGAAAUUGAAGAAUGGUAACACAAAACCAUACCGAUCUGUUUGAUGUUUAAGAAAGCGUAUUUGGACGAAGAUGGCCAAGUUAGUGGAGUCAAGGCUGUUGCCUUUCUAAAAGGCUCCAAUAUGCCUAAACACAUUCUCGCUCUAGUUUUUAGGAACACCUAUUAGAAAAGAAAAUCUAGACUUAGAACACCUAUCAACCCAUUCAAAAAAAUCUAGAAAAUUAACAUUACAAACAAAACCCAUAGACAUUAACAUAACAAACAAAACCCAAUAAUCCAUAAUAACACAAAAUAAAACAAAAAGAAAAUGAUGAGAAGCAAAACAAAACCAUGACUCAUUUAGGGUUUUUGGGUUCUUGAGAUUGAAAACGUGAUGAGAAGAGGCCAUGGUCAAGUUCCAAGAUGAUUCAAUGAUAAUGGCUCAGUUCGACGUUGGUGAGUAGUGACAGUGAAGCGGAAACCAGAGCCUUUGAAAACAAAAUAUAAAGUAGAAAAGAAAAGAAGAAGUGGGAGAGAGAAAUGAAUGGUGGAUUGUUUCGUGCUUCUCCAAUUGGUAACGGCAUCAAAGUGGAAGUAAGAUGACCAACAGAAGAGAAUCUCAAUAGGAUUUCAAGGAGUUUUUUGUAAAAAUAAUUCAGAGGAAAUGAAAUAGCAGGAGGAAAAAGUUGACCAGAGAACAAACGUCGGUGACAACGCCAAAGUGCGACUGUGGUACAUGAUGGCAAUGACUAGGGUUGGGAAAGAGAGGUGGAGAAUUAGAAGAAAAGAAAAGAAAAAACAAAAUGAAAACAAAAAUGGGAAAGAAUAAAAGAAAAGGGAAAAAUGAGAAAAUGAAAUAAUAAAAGAAAAGGGAAAAACGAGAAAAGGAAAAAGGAAAUUACAUCAUCAUGGUGUCAUUAUGCCACGUGUCACAAUCCUAUUCUACCACCUGUCUCAAACUUAAUGGCUUUAAAAAGUUCAGGUACCAAUCUAGGACAAAAAAAAACCAUAAGUAUCAAUCUGAGAGAAGUGGAAAAGUUCGAGUACCAAUUUUAUAUUUAACCCUUUAUUGCAUUUGAAGAUACAAUAAAUCUCAAGACUCCGAUUUUUGGAAAGAGGCUAUAAAUGAUGAGAUAAAUUCAAGAAUGAGAAAUCAAACUUGGACCUUAGUUGAUCUUCCACCAAGGUUGUAAAUAGAUUUCAAAAAGAAAAUGAAGGUCGAUGAAACCAUUGAUAAAUUUAUAGCAAGGGAUUUAGGUUCAUGGUAUUUAAACCUGUAACAACCCGAUUUCAAGUUGUGUUGAAAAAUGAGGUUUCAAAACCCUAAACUAUCUUUUGUGUUAUAUAUGAUGGAAUGAAUUAUAAUUUGAUCUAAAUCUUCAUGCCUCAUUCUUGGUUUCUUCCAUUCAUUUUUUUCCUUCUUCCAAACAACACAUAUAAUAUAUAACAAAAGUAAUAAUAAAAAUAAAUUUUGGAGAAGAACGGUAUUUGAUAUAUAUUUUUGCAAAUUCGAACUAAGAUAUUUCACCUGGAAAAGAAAUCGUGACUGUAGUUGUUUUGUGACGUCAAAAAUGAUGUUAUUAUGAUCAAGCACACACCUAGCUUUCAUGAUCCUCACUAUUGCUACCUUAAUCUACGGUUUUCGAUAUUCCUUCGGUCUACAUUUGGUUUCUUGAUUUUCAAGUUCCGACUCCCUUUGCUCAACCAGUGUAACACCCUAAAACUUGGCCUGAAAGCUCGAUUGGAUUUGGAGCGUCACCAUGGUCACCAAAGUGACCCGUUCGAUCAUUUAAUCAUUAAAAAUUAUAACAUAAAUUUUAAAAUUUAAUGAUGCUCAAUCAAUCAAUAAGUUCUAAAAUAAAACCAAAGUAAACAAGUUGACCAAUUUAACAAAUCCUAUGUACAUGUCAAACUAUACUAUUUCAAGGGUUUUUACGAAUAAGGAUUGUGGAAAUUUUUUGGCGAUGCUAUCUAUCACAAACUUAAAAACUAUCCAUUACAUGCACACAAAAUAAAAGAACUUGAGCAUUGUGCUUUACAACUCAGUGGUGAUCCAAUACAUUUUAAACUACCAAUACAUAUAGUUAAAACAAAAUCAUUCUAUAGUAAUUUUCUAACACACAAUACAAUCAGAAAUCAAUCACAAUAUAUCAUUUAAAAUAAUAAUUAGACAUUGCCAAUGCAUUAAAAAAAAUAACGAUAGCGUUUCAAUUCAAUGCUCAACUUCAUUUAAUCAUUUCGCCCCAGAAACACGAGGAAAGACAUUUGGACACAUGAGUUUCCAACCGAACACCAAAUGAUCGAUGAAAAUGACGCAAUCGCCAACAAUGACAAUAUUCCAUCGCAUGAUAAACAUGACUUUAUCAAUGGCCAACCAACACACCAAUCUCGGGCACUCAAGGCAUUCCACACAAUGAACAAUAAGCAAUGAUGGGAACCCUUACGCUCUAUGGCAUGCCAAGUAUAUCUAACAAAUUUCCAACUAGCUUUACUGGGCAUUUAAUCAUUUAUUAAAAUAGUAAUAAUUUUCAGAAAUUAAUCAAUUAAUAAAAAUAACAAUUUAACAAAAUAGCAUACAUUAAAAAUAAUUUAAUAAACUAUUACAUGAAGUGAAUUUCGAAUGCAAGGAAUCAUAGAAUCACAAUCACCAAGUCAAUAUUUUAACUACAACAUUAGAUAAUUUAAAAUGCAAAGGAUCACAAAUUGUAAUUCUAAGCUUCCGUUGCUUAGGAACAAUUAAUUCAGAACGAGUUUCACUUUCAACGAGUGGUCUAAUUUUUUGACUUCAAUAGAAAAAUAUAGAAAUUUAUUAAAAACAAUUUUAAAUUAUCAAUUCUAUAGAGAUUAGUCUAAUUGCACAUCUAAUUUAGACAUAAUUUCAAUUUAUCCAUUACUCGAACAUUAAUUAUCGUACACCAUGUAUACAUGUAUAGACUCAAAUAAAUUAAUAUUAGCUUUAAUAUAAGCACAUUAAUCUAAAAACUCUGGCACAUUUACCUCAUCCUCAAACAGUUAAUUAAUCUAAGUUUAACUCAAAUCAUCUUAAGUUGCAAUAAAUUCAAUAUAAUUAUUUCUAAUUAACCCAAUUAGAAUUGAUUAGCUUAUACCGAUUAAUCUAAACUGUUAAAUUUAAAAUUAGACUAAUUUGAAACUAAGCCACAUGAAUUGUAACCAAACUUAACUUAGAAACAAUCCAAGUUAAUAUAGUCAGUUUAUUCUAAACAAAUUUUAGCUAUAUGAUUAAUCUAAACAAUUUUUCAAUAAAUCAAACUUUAAUCAAACUAACUAAUCAAACAAAGUUUCAUAACUGGACCACUAACCAAACAAUCUUUUUUUUUUCUAAAAUUAGAAUAAAUCACAUAUAAAACCAAAUCUGCCCAAAAAUGAUAACAAAAACAACCAACAAUAUCGUUAAAUCUAGUAGGGAGUCACAAUAAUAUUAAGCAAGUGCAGCAACUAAACCAAUUUUAAUGGUCACUUACCAGAGACGACUAACAACAACCAUAUAUAGAAGUAAUAAAUGACAACCGGCAUCAUCUUAGAGCACCAAAUUUUGGUGCCAGACGGUAACUAUUUUAGCCAACGAUCAGCGGCAAUUUUUGACGAUCGCCCAGCAAAUAUUUUGGAGCGAAUAUAGCAGUAUUUUGGAGACAAAUGGUGGGGAGAAUUAAGGCAAGCGGCGCAACAAUAAACAAGGUUUUUCGAUGGUGAUUUUGAUGGCAAUUUGGAGGCACUUAAAGACAGUAGCUGAAGCAAACAACAGCAGAAAAAUCAUGGAACUGGUGUUGCAAAGAUUUGAGAUUAGCACAACGGGCAUAAGAAAAUUGACGGCUAUAAUUAAGAGCUGAUCCACAAGCACACAAUAGGCUAAAACAACAAAAAAUUGAAGCUAAUGGGCACCCAAACAAUAGGCAGCACAUUUAGAUUGCAAACAGUGCAAGGUUGGGCAACAAAAUUGAAGCAAAUUAAAUAGCAAAUCAAUAACAAAAAUAACCAGUAACAGCUAAUUAGAGGCUGAUUGAUAAAUAAUUGGUACAACAACCAUUCGGAAAAUUGAAACAAUUAUUUGGCAUCAACUAGCAAGGCGCAACAAAUAUUUGAACAAAUUGGCAGAAAAGAGACUGAAACUUGCGGCAAUGGGAGAGAAUAAAUAGAAAUUGAAGGUUGAGGACUUCUAAUUGAAGUCUCAUUAUCAAUUUAUCUAAUAUAAAAAAUCCAAUAAUAGUCCUAAUAAUUCUAACAAAAUCCUUAUAUACUAACCUCAUUUCAGUUAAACUAAUAAUAAUAAUGAUAAAACACAACAAAUGUGCCUGAUUGCCCAUUGUAUUUCUUUUUUCGUUUGGUAAUUAAUCACAUUAAACCUCAUACAUUCUUCUCAUCUCAAAAUUAAUCCUCAAUUUUAAGGCUUUUCAAUUUUUUCUUUUAUUACAAAUUAAUUCAAAAUCCAAUUAAAAGCCCAACAAUUCCAAAAAAUCCAUAAACAAUUACUAACUCCGAAAAUAAAUUUCUGAUAUUAAAUUCGCUUUAUGGUAAAUCUCACGGUAUUCAAUUGGAAUUUUGCGAAAUCCGACACCGAAAAUUUUGGAGUGUUAUAGCCACAACGCCUAUCUUGGCAUUUGCAAAGAAAGUUAUUACCUGAUACAUUUAAAUAUUUUGGGAAAGAGAAUUUAACCGAGUUGCUCACUGUAUUCCAUGCAUAAAUGUGAGUUGGUGAAAGUUAUUAUACAAUUACUGUAACAUUAUUGAUUUUUGUUUACAAAUUGGCAAUAACUUAGAUUGCUAAACACAUUAAGAAUCCGUGUUUACCAUGCAUUGUUGUGGUCUAAGCACCUUGACCUUCAUCCAGUAGAGGUUAGUACAUAGGAGCAAUAUUAACACUACUAUAUAGGAAGAGAUAAACGAUGAGAAACAAAUGUGAAAUAUCCGAAACUUAUGAAUAAUGCUUAGAUCAAAAAACUUAUCAUUCUCAGUGAAGUACAUGUCAAUAUAUACAAGAAGGAUCAACUGGUUAACUAUAGCAGAAAUCCUAAUAGACUUAAUCGAUAUAACAGCAAGUUGGUUUUCUGAACUACAGUGAAUCAAAUUAACUUCCUUUGAUUGUUUAGCCUCUCUAACAAAAUGAAAUUUAAUCUUAAAAUGCUUGGUUUUUCCAUGAAAAACUGGAUUUUUGGCUAUGGCAACAGUUGACUGAUUAUCAACUCUAAUCUCAAUAGCUUCAGCUUGAUCUUCAUUCAAAUCACAUAAGAGUUUCCUAAGCCAAAUGGCUUGAUUAACAGCUACGGCAGCAACCGUGUACUCUGCUUCUACUGUGGAUUGAGCAACAGAUUGUUGUUUCUUUGAACUCCAACAAAUGACCCUAAGCCUAGAGUGAAGAAAUAACCAGAUGUAUUCUUCAUGUCAUCAAUGGAUCCUGCCCAAUCACUAUCAGAAUACCAUAUCAACCUGAGUUCUUUUGCAUUCUCAAAUUUCACUCCAUAAUCCAAAGUCCCUUUCACAUAUCUAAGAACUCUUUUGGCUGCCCUAAAAUGAUCAACAUUACAGUAAUGCAUGAAUCUAGAAAGAAGACUAACAACAUACAUUAUAUCAGACCUAGUAGCUGUCAAGUAAAGCAGACAACCGACAAGACUUCUAUAUUCUUUCUUAUCAACUCUUUCAUGGAUGCUAUUGUUGGUUAGUUUCUCACCUUGAGCCACUAGUGUGCUAACUGUUUACAAUUUGACAUGCAAAAUUUGUUUAAGAUUUUUAAGGAAAAAGCCUGCUGACUUAUGAAGAUGGCAUGAUCAGUUUGAUUCACUUCCAUGCCAAGAAAGUAAGUCAUUUCCCCUAAGUCAGUCAUUUCAAAAACAUCUUGCAUCUGCAUUUUAAACUCAUCAAUUAGCUCCUCUUUACUUUUAGUUACCAAUAGAUCAUCUACAUAAAGUGACACUAUCAGCAGAGUUUCGUUCUCUGAUUUCUUCACAUAAAAAAUAGGUUCACUAACACUCUUCUCGAACCCGAGACUAGAAAAAUAUGUAUCAACUCUGUCGUACUAGGCCCUUGGUGCCUGCUUUAGACCAUAUAAGGCCUUUUUUAGCUUAUAGACUUUAUCCUCUUCAUCAGAAACCUUGAACCCAUCUGGUUGCUCUAUGAAGAUUUCUUCUUUGAGGAAGCCAUUCAAGAAAGUAGGUUUAACAUCUAACUGAUGCACUCUCCACUUCUUUUGUGCAACUAAAGCAAACAGAAGCCUUAUUGUAUCUAACCUUGCAAUAGGGGAAAAGGUUUCUAAUAAUUCAAUACCAUACUGUUGGUUGUAUCCCUUCACUAGAAGUCUUUCCUCAUGUUUGUUUGGAGAACCAUCAGCAUUGUAUUUGACCCUAAACGCCCUUUUCACACCAAUAACUCUCUUCUGGUCUGGUCUGGUCUGGUCUAUCUACCAAUUCCCAAGUAUUAUUCUUGUGUAUCAUCUUAUUUUAGCUUCCAUGGCCAUUUUCCAACAAUUUUCUUUUGCAACCUCAUUAAAACUUGAAGGCUCCAGUAUUGCCACAUCACAUCUUUGAUAGAUGUCAGAGAUGGUUCUUAUGCCUCUCACAGGUACAUCAUCAAAUUCAUCACUAGUUAGCUCUUCUUCUCAUCAACUGGUUGUAGAUUACUGUCUUGUUGGCUUUUUUCACACAACUUUGCAUCUGUACUAGUCCAUUUCCAUACAUUUUCCUCAUUAAAUUUCACAUCCCUGCUCACCAUGAUCCUUUUGGUGAAGGGAUAAAAAACCCUGUAGCCUUUCUUUGUGCUGCUGUAACCAACAAAGAUCCCUGGCACAUAUUCUUUCUCAAGUUUGGUUCUCUUCUUAGCUGGAAUAAGUGUAUAGCAGACACAACCAAACACUUUUAGAUGUGAAACUGUUGGCUUGAGUCCAAACCAAGCUUCAAAAGGAGUUUUUUCUUUGACAGCAUUGGUUGGCAGUCUGUUGAGUCGGUACAUUGAGGUGUUCACAGCCUCAGCCCAAAACUCACUUGGUAAUUUGCUUUCAAAUAGUAGGCAUCUUGUCAUAUCAAGUACUAUUCAAUUAUUUCUUUCACUAACUCCAUUUUGCCGAGGAGUAUAAAUCGUUGUUAGUUGAUGUUAAAUUCCAGACUACUCACACAACUUCUGAAACUUAUCUAACAGGUACUCAGUGCCAUUGUCUGAUCGCAAGGCCCUAAUCUUGCAACUUGAUUGAUUCUCAGCUAAAGCUUUGAACUUGCUAAAUACUUCAGGUACUUCUGACUUCUGUUUCAGAAAAUUGGCCCAGUAAAACCUUGUAUAAUCCUCUAUAAACAACAUAAAGUAUCUGCUGUCAUUCAAAGAAGAUGUCUUCAUUGGUCCACAAAUGUCAGUAUGGACCAAUUGAAGUUUGUCUCGAGUCCUCCAUGCUUUGUUUUUUGGAAAUGGCAGUCUCACUUGCUUCCUAAGUUGACAAACUUCACAAACUGUGUUUUUGACCUCAACCUUGAACAUGUCCUCAACCAGAUUCAAUUUGUGCAGCAAACCAAGUGAUCUAUAAUUGACCUGGCCUCACCUUUUAUGUCAUAAACUAGCUUUAUCAACAAGACUAGUAUAGGCUUUCUUUUCCAGCUUAUUCAUAUCCAGCAUAAAGCAUCUCUUAGUCAUGGCUAUUGUGACUAGUUCUUGACCAAAUGUGUCUUCAAUAACACAUGAGUUAUUCAUGAAAACAAGUGAAUAACCCUUUUAUAUUAAUUGACCAGCACUAAGCAAUUUUUAGUCUAUAUUAGGUACAAAAAGAACAUCAUAAAUUUUUUUGUUACUUGAAUUUGUGUUUAUCACAACAUUGCCUCUGCCUCUGGCCUCAAUAAGAUUUCCCUCUCCAAUCCUAACUUUGGACACAAAGCUUCUGUCAAGAACUUUGAAUAAUACUUCUUCUGAUAUGAUAAGUCGUCAUUUAUACAUAUUUUUAUCCCACGCUUAGCACAUUUUUGGAUGAAUUAUCAUUAGAUUUGUGGAACUCGAUGCUCCUAAUCCUUUAAUUUCAUGUUUUAUACUUAGGUGAGUAUAAGAGAGUAAAAAGAGCAAGAAACGGGCCAAGAACGGAGAAAAUGGGUCAACGUGGGAAAUCAACACGGCCUGGAUUUCCUCACACGGGUAGACCACACGCCCGUGUCUAUUUAAUAGACUGUAACAUGGUCUAAGCCAUACCACACAGCCAUGUCUAUUUAGCAGACUCUAACAUGGCCUAAGCCACCUCACACGGGCAUGUCCCUGUCGAGCUCAUAUCUAGUUCUAUUCGGAAAAGGCCACUUUUGAGGGUUUGGAGGCAUACUAAAGCCUAUAUAAACACCCCAGAGGCACCGAGAGAAGACACAUAGAGUGAGAGGCAAGGAACUACUCGAAAAAAGUCGAUUGAUCCAUCUCAGAAGCCGGAUUCUCCUUCAAGACUGUAGAUCUCCCUUCAAUUUCCUUCAGGGGUUUUUGGGUUUCUUUAUGUUUUGUUAUCAUUAUUCUUCUGAGAUGUUUUCUUUUACACAUAUAAACUAAAUCCCCUAAAUACCUAAGGGGGAUGAAACCUAAGACGGAUCUUGUUAUUAUUUUUUGAAUUAUAUGAUAAAUACUUGAUUUGUUCUUAAUUAUGUGUUCUUAAUUCUUGCUUUAAUAUUCCAGGAUAUUGAUUCAAGUAUUGAUGUGCUUAUUCAGAGGAGUAAAAGUCCCUGUCUAAGAGUAGAUCCAGCAUAAUUAAGCGGAGUUGAUUGCACCCCUAGACAUAGGGCGACAUAAAUCUGCCGGAUUAGGGUCAAACCUAAAAAAGGAAUCCAUAGAUCGAGUUAAUGCAAUACUAGGGGUUUUAAUUAGAAAGAGAUUUCAAUUAAUCAACCUAGGUUAGACGUUGUUAGUCUCGAAAGAGAUAAUGAUAUAAAUUAAGGAUUUCUACGGAUCGAGUCAAGUGAAUAAAUCGUCUAGUUCAGAGUCAAAUAACAAGUGAAGUCUAGGUGGAUUCAUCUUUGGGUAUUGUCCAAAUCAAUUAGUUUUCCCAAAAGUAUUUCCCCAAUUUACUUCCUGUGUAUUCUUAGUUUAGUUAAUUAGUUUAGAUAAAGCAAAUCCCUUUAUUUUUAGGCUAGAUAAUAAAAAGAAGGUUAAUACUAGUACUUUUAGUUCCUGUGGGUUCGACAUUCUGGUCUUGCUAUAAGCUAUACUACUGUUCGAUAGGUUUGCUUGCCUUUAUCAUGAUAAUAGUAGUUUUCAGGUACAAUCAAACAAUAAAUAUAAAACUUAUCACGCACAUCAAGUUUUUGGCGUCGUUUCCAGGGAACUAAGAUAUUAGGAACGCUUAAUUUUUAUUACUUUAGCCAUUUAUUUUAUUGCAAUUUAAAUUUUAUUUUUAUUACUAAAUUUUAUUUUAUUUUAUUUUGGUAGAUUUGUAUAGUUUAUGACUAGAAGAAACCCGUCAGGACCAUUACUUUUUGAUAGUGAGAUCAAAAGCAUAUCUCGCAGAAACCAAAAAGAAAUAAGGCGAAACCUACGAUACAUAUAGGAAGGGCAAGAGGACGAUAGUAAAACUACAACCGAGGGGAUGGCUGAAAAUCAGAAUAAUCAGCUACCUCUUGUGGUUGCCGCAGAUCCAGUAAAUCAGAAUCCUGCUCCUCGUACUAUGUAUGAUUAUGCUAAACCUACUUUAACAGGAGCCGAAUCGAGUAUAGUUAGACCUGCUAUUGCUGUAAAUAAUUUUGAACUGAAACCUAACACAAUUCAAAUGAUACAACAGUUUGUUCAGUUUGAUGGUUUGCAGGACGAGGAUCGAAACACUCAUUUGGCGAAUUUUCUGAAAUUUUACGACACUUUGAAGAUCAAUGGCGUUUCUGAUGAUGCCAUACACCUUCGGUUGUUCCCAUUCUUAUUGAGAAACAAAGCUAAACAGUGGUUGAAAUCGUUACCACGAGGGUCAAUCACUACUUGGGAACAAAUGACCGAAAAAAUUUUACUUAAAUAUUUUCCACCGGCUAAAACGACUAAACUAAGGAAUGAUAUCUCUUCUUUUGUGCAGCUGGAUCUAGAAACCCUGUAUGAUGCAUGGGAGAGGUACAAGGACCUAUUGAGAAGGUGCCCUCACCAUGGGUUACCUCUAUGGCUGCAGGUUCAGGCUUUUUACAACGGUGUGAAGCCCUCAACAAGGCAACUUAUCGACCUAGCUGCAGGUGGAACUUUAAACAAUAAAACACCUGAAGAGGCUUAUGAAUUUAUUGAAGAGAUAUAACUAAAUAACUAUCAGUGGCCAGUCAUAAGAACAAAGCCGACAAAAGCAGCCAGUGUUUUCAACCUCGACGCGGUUACUAUGCUGUCUAACCAGGUAGAACUUUUAAAUAAAAAGAUUGAUGGUUUGUAUAGUUCUAUUCAGGUACAUCCAGUGAUGAGGUGCGAUUCAAAUGGAGGAGGAGUACACACAGAACAUCAAUCCUUCAACCGUAGCCUCGAGGAGGAACAAGUUCAAUAUAUGGGUAACAAUAAUUCUAGACCUCAAAAUAACCUAUACAGUAACACUUAUAAUGUAGGUUGGAGGAACCAUCCCAAUUUCUCGUGGGGUGGCCAAGGAAAUCAAAGGCCACAACAUCUCCCAGGUUUUCAACAACUACCCUACCAGCAGGAAAAGAAGCCGAACCUUGAGGAGAUGCUAACGAAAUUCAUCUCGGUGUCAGAAACUCGUUUUCAGAAUACCAAAACAGCACUUAAGAAUCAACAAGUGUCGAUCCAAGGGCUCGAAACUCAGAUAGGCCAGCUUACUAAAUUGAUUUCUGAACGACCCCAAGGUAGCUUACCGAGUAACACUGAAUCUAAUCAAGGGAAUAACUCAAUGCGAUUACCGUUCAAGAUGAGGAAGGGUUAGUUGAACAUGAACCAGAAUCGAGGCAAUAGGAAUUGUGUUAAGUAAAAGUAAAGGUGAGGUGGACCACAGUGGGCCAAAACUGGUAAGUAGAGAAUAUAAACCUCGAGUGCCAUACCUCAGUGCGACAAGGAAAGACCACACGGAUGAACAAUUUGGUAAAUUCCUUAAAUUAUUAAAGAAAUUACACAUUAACUUACCGUUUAUUGAAGCUCUUUCACAGAUGUCAAACGCAGUUAAAUUUUUAAAGGAGCUUUUAGCAAAUAAGCGAAAGUUGGAUGAGGCGUCGCAUGUAGAGUUGAGCACAGUUUGCUUAGCCGUUCUACAGAAUAAGCUACACAACGAGUGGAAAGAUCUAGGGAGUUUUACGAUUCCUUGUUUAAUUGGUAGUUUAAACGUUAACAAUGCUUUGGAUGAUUUAGGGGCUAGUAUUAAUGUCAUGCCCUAUAAAAUGUUUAAACAACUAGGUCUUGGGAAACCCAAACAAACUAGGAUGAGCAUUCAAUUGGCAGAUAAAACAAUAAGAUUUCCUAGGGGUAUUAUUGAAUAUGUACUUGUUAAAAUUGACAAAUUUAUAUUCCCAAUUGAUUUUGUUGUUUUAGACAUGGAAGAGGAUAGUAACGUGCCUUUGAUUUUAGGACGACCCUUUUUAGCAACUGCUAGAACUAUUAUUGACAUUGGCACAGGAAAAUUGACACUUCGUGUAGACGAUGACACGAUCACCCUCCAAGCUCGUGAUUCUGCUAAAAUAUCUAGCAAUCAAGAUGAUUUUUUAAGUUCGGUUAAUAAUGUUACAACUCAAACUUCUUUGCAGGAGCCCCUUAGGAAAAACGUGAUGGAGCCUAACCCAUGCCACGAAAAUAGCCCGACUCACGAAGAACGAAGGCUUCAGAUCGAUGAACUAGAUGAAUGGCGAACACCUGUCAAGGAGAAACCAAAAGCACACGAAAAAUUGAAGCGACACCACGAUAAGCAUAGGGAUGAAACAAAGCAAAUUAAAGUUGGGGACAAAGUAUUGUUAGAUGAAAAUGACCCCCGAAUUGCUACUUUAGAGCACAAUACGGACAGAACGAUUCCCUUCACGGUAAUGUACAUCUUCCCACGCGGUACAGUCGAGGUAACACAUGCUGUAUUAAAAAAUUUCAAGGUAAAUAAUACUCAACUCAGACCUUAUUUUGAUAAAAUUGAUAGCAGAUGUGAGGAGUUUCAACUCCUCAAUCCACUGUAAUCAUACGAAAUUGAGGUAAGUCAAGCUUAGACUAUAAAUAAGUGCUUCUCAGGAGGCAAAUCGAGCACUAACAGUGUUGAUUUCUUUAAAAUUUUAGUUUUUAACAUCUGAAUCAUUAAUUGAGUCCUUGAACAUAGGUUUUCCAAAUCCACACGACCAGGCACACGAGUGUGCCUUAGCUCGUGCUCAUACCACAGGUGGUGACACGACCGUGCGAUACGACCAUGUGACAAUAGAGUAAAAUUUUUCCCCAAACACGGGAUUCGAUACGUUUCCACGACUGUAGAAUAUAGCCGUGGGCAAUCCUGCCAAAUCAACAUGGGCGUGAGACAUGCCCGUGUCUAUAAGCUGUGGUAGAAACUAAGAAAUUAACACAGGCAUAUGACACGGCCGUGCCUAGCACCCGUGGUUGAAGCUGUCAACAUAACACGGGCGUGGGAGAAGCGAAUGAAGUAGGACAUGACUGUGCGACACGGCCAUGUGCACCAACACUCCCAAAGAACACGGGCAUGGGCCGAAUUCUAGAUGAGCCCAAAUUUGAAAAUCACAAAACACACGGGCUGAAAUAAGGCCACACGAGCGUGCCACAUGGCCGUGUGCCCCAAAAUCUAUUUAAACCCCCACUAUUCCUCAUCCCCUUCCCCAACACCCUAUCCCUAACUGCCACUUCCACCAUGGCCGUCGCCGCCUAAGUCCCGACCAUCAUCCAAAAUCCAUCAUUUCUCCUCUUUUUUCUUCCAUACACAUCAAAAUCUUCUCUCUUUUCCUCCUUUCCAUACACAUUCCUUUUUUUUUCUCUCUUUCUCCACUCAUCCCACGCCUCAACGUCGCACCAGCACCAUCACGCCAUUGCUCCUCCGACCACCGAUCCUACACUAAUGGUUUUCUCUUCUCUUUUACUUUCUUUUGAUGCUUACUAUCAUGAUUUUACCCUAUUACUUACAUUUUGCUAUUACUUGCUUAUCAUAUCAUCCUCAUUCUUAGGAUCUAUUUCAUCUAUUUUGUGUUGAAUUUAGUCAUGCUAUUACUAUGCCAUUUGCCAUAAAAUUUCUAUCGUCAAGUUAGAUUGCUUUUGGUUGAAUCUUGUUAGUGUCGUUGAAUUUGUUAGUUUAACUAUAUUCAUGAUUAAUUCCUUUUUUUAUUUUUUAAAUUUGUUAGCAUAUGUUAUCUUCUCCGUUCUUCUUGUAGACAUACCAUGUCAAAUCCACAUGGGAAAAAGACAACUGUCCCCUCCUCAAAGAAGCGAAAAGGAGUAGCAUCCUCAUUGGGUCCUGCCAUCGAGAUCCGACACCCAUUCCUUCAAUUUCCACCGGGGCCCCAUGAGGAACUAUUUCAGAUACUAUGGGCCCGACCCCUAGGUGUGGGCCUUUGCAUCGAUUGGACCGCUCUAGAUAGAUCCAACUCGCUGAUGUAGUCUGGGCUGUCCUGACUACUGACCCAUAGGGGCUUUUCUUCGAGAUCAUUGAGCCGACAUACCUCGAGCACACACUAGAACUCUAUUUGACCUUCCACCUUCAAGCCGUUAUGACAGAGUUCGAUGCUCCUGGAAUGGUCCAGUUUCGUCUCGGAGGUUUAGUUUUUCAGUUGAACGUGCCUGAGUUCGGUGUCGCAUUAAGGUUAUAUACGGAGGAGUUCAUGGACGACGGCGACUUCGACAGUCUCCAUCGCUAUAUCUAUUAUUCUCAUUCAAAUUGCUGGAAGGCCUUAGUCCCUGCUUCGGCCACUUAUGACCCUAGUUGCUCCAAGGCAUCAACUCUUGCCCCAUCCCUGAGAUACUUACACACCAUCCUAGCCCACACACCGACAGGACAACGAGAGAGUACCGGUGUUGUCAACACUAAGGACGCCUAUUUUUUAUGGAGCAUGGUGCAUGGGCACGUAUUCGACCUCACUUAUUUUAUCGCCCUCACCAUUUGCCAUCAGAUAGAGCGGCAUAGGAAGGGUGUCAUUUCUAUCGGCCCUUAUAUGACUCGCCUGGCACGGUACUUCGGUCUCCUCAACAUGGCGGCGUAAUCAUCCUUCCUCACCUUCAUCAGCCAAAUGUCACCACAGAGCAUCUCGAGUAUGCUCCAUGUGAGGAUGAUCGAGUGACAACGUGGAUUUGAUCCUCCUCAGUACCGCCUCAUCCAGUCAGCCGAGCUGAAGGACCCAGAGGACAUUGCUGAUGAUGUCCUUCAACCUCAUGAGAAUCCACCACCACAGCCACCACCUAUCCAUCAUCCAGUUCAUGCGGCUGCUUCACUCUCUGAUAUCUCUGAGUGCCUCACUCGAUUCGAGCAGCAUUGUUUUCAGCGCCUUGAUCACAUUGAUGCAACAUUACAUCAGAUUUGUCAGCACCUUCACAUCUCAUCGCCACCCCCACCUUGCGAACCAUCUGGCAAUGAAGAUUUUUGAAGAUUUUUUAUUUUUAUCUUUUACUUUUAUCUUUAUUUAUAUUUUUAAAUUACUUUUUUAUUUUACUUCUCUUUAAUACUAUUUUUACUUCAUCUUUAGGGUUUACAAUUUAUAUUAAGCAAUUUAUAUUUUCUGCCAAUUUUUUACGAGUAAUCAUGCUACUUUAUAUUUCCUAAAGAAUUAUUGAUUCUAUCGCAGUUAUGACGAGCUUCAAAGCUCACUAUUACUUAGGAACUUGCAACUUCACUGGAAAAGGUCCUCCACCACUACCAUGCCCUGCUCGACCAUGACCUUAGCUACCACUAGUUAUAAUAUUCUUUUGGCACAGCACUUAUGGACUAACAACCUCUAUCACCAUUGGAGUAUCCUCCUCCAAAUCUCACCCUUGCCUUAGCCGAUUACUUUCAUAACUCCAAUUCAAGGAUUCCAUUUAACAUUCAGGAAGUUUCACUUCUCUCCCUAUCUUAUGAUCUUAUAUCGAUAUUUUUCAGUAAAUCUAUCUUUGUACAUUGAGGACAAUGUACAUCUUAAGUGUGGGAGUUUAUUCAUAUCAUUAUCAGAAAAAUCCCUGAAUUUUAUCUUAUUCUCACGUGAAUCACUCAUAUCAAUAUUAGAAUGAAUUUUGAUUAAUUUAUGAUUUUUAUUGAUAUGUCUUGAAUUAAAACAUAGGCAUUUAUGCAUUGAUUGAGCAAGCUCUAAGGAAUUAGAGAAUCAAACAUGAUAAGUUAAUUUUUUAGAAUUAAAAAAAAUUAGGUUAUUUCCCUAAGUUAAGGCAUUAUCUUGAAGUUGAAAUUUACAGGAUUAACAUAAAAAAGCUAUAAUUUCUGUGAGAUCUUGAGCCUUUAGAGCAUAUAUUAUUUCUUUCAUGCUCACUUUUAUUGUUGCUAUGAGUGUGUUAAUACUGAUUUGUUAUUCUAGAACUUGCUUCGAUUAUGCAUGUGACGACCACACCAUUUGAUUUGAUAUGUCAAGAUGAUAAAGGUACUUAAGUUUAACCCACUCACUUCAUAGAAUCUAUCUUCAUAAUUAACCCUUAGUAAACCCCUUUGAGCCUAACAAGUCAUUCAUUGACUUACCCCCAAUAUUAACCCAUAACCCAUUAUUAUUGAAAUCCCCUCAAUUAGUUUGAUCCCUAUUAUUGUCGAGAUUUGAUUUAAAUAAAUUGCUUAGCUAUGUUUUAUUUUUGAUAGUUAGCAAAGUUCUAUGUUACUUGAUUUGUUCUAAAAAAAACCACGAAAUUAUGUAAUUCUUGGAUCAAAACGAUGUUAUCCAUGAAGAAAAGCUCAAUUCUAGGAUCAUCUAAUUAGGAAUGUAAUUUGUUAGUUUUAUUAUUUUUUUAGUUAGGUAAUUUUUCAAUUAAAUCUCGAUUCUAACCUUCUCUUUUAGCUUGUGACCACAACCCCUAACCAAAGCCAUGUUACAACCCUCUAAAGACGUUUUGAUUGAUGCAACAUCUAAAUAUAUAGUGGUGGAGAUUUGAUUUUCAUGAAGCUUAUGGUAAUAACUUUUCAUAUUAACUGAUGAGUGCUAAAUUUAUUGUCCUUAAAUACCUUGAGUGAUUUGAGUGAAUCUUUAGUGAGGAUGUUGAAUUCUAUAAUAUUUUGAAUCAAAGAUGAUUACUUAGAUGAGGGGAAAUACCUAUGUUUUCGUGAUAAAAUGCUCAACUUGGAAUGUUUGAAACUUUGAUGUUCUUCUAGUUGAAUUAUCAAUGUAUGAUUACUUAUGGAUUAUUAUGAGAUAUUAUUGAUAGGAAUUAUAAGUUGAGAAAAAUGAAUUCUUAAUUGUGAAUUGAGGAUUUUGCUUGAGGACAAGCAAACGCUUAAGUGUGGGGUAUUUGAUAAGUCGUAAUUUAUACAUAUUUUUAUCCCAUGCUUAGCAUAUUUUUGGAUGAAUUAUCAUUAGAUUUGUGGAAUUCGAUGCUCCUAAUCCUUUAAUUUCAUUUUUUAUACUUAGGUGAGUAUAGGAGAGUAAAAAGAGCAAGAAACGGGCCAAAAACAGAGAAAAUGGGUCAACGUGGGAAAUCAACAUGGCCUGGAUUUCCUCACACGGGUAGACCACAUGCCCAUGUCUAUUUAACAGACUGUAACAUGGCCUAAGCCACACCACACAGUCGUGUCUAUUUAGCAGACCCUAACACGGCCUAAGCCACCUCACACGGGCGUGUCCUUGUUGAGCCUAAAUCUAGUUCUAUUCAAAAAAGGCCACUUUUGAGGGUUUAAAGGCAUACUAAAGCCUAUAUAAACACCCCGGAGGCACCUAGAGAAGACACAUGGAGUGAGAGGUAAUGAACUACUCGAAGAAAGCCGAUUGAUCCAUCUUAGAAGCUGGAUUCUCCUUCAAGACUGAAGAUCUCCCUUCAAUUUCCUUCAGGGGUUUUUGGGUUUCUUUAUGUUUUGUUAUCAUUAUUCUUCUGAGAUGUUUUCUUUUAUACAUAUGGACUAAAUCCCCUAAAUACCUAAGGGGGAUGAAACCUAAGACGGAUCUUGUUAUUAUUUUUUGAAUUAUAUGAUAAAUACUUGAUUUGUUCUUAAUUAUGUGUUCUUAAUUCUUACUUUAAUAUUCCAGGAUAUUGAUUCAAGUAUUGAUGUGCUUAUUCAGAGGAGCAAAAGUCCCUGUCUAAGAGUAGAUCCAGCAUAAUUAAGCGGAGUUGAUUGCACCCCUAGAUAUAGGGCGACAUAAAUAUGUCAGAUUAGGGUCAAACCUAAUAAGGGAAUCCAUAGAUCGAGUUAAUGCAACACUAGGGGUUUUAAUUAGAAAGAGAUUUUAAUUAAUCAACCUAGGGUUAGAUGUUGUUCGUCUCGAGAGAGAUAAUAAUAUAAAUUAGGGAUUUCUACGGAUCGAGUCAAGUGAAUCAAUCGUCUAGUUCAGAGUCAAAUAACAAGUGAAGUCUAGGUGGAUUCGUCCUUGGGUAUUGUCUAAAUCAAUCAGUUUUUCCAAAAGUAUUUCCCCAAUUUACUUUUUGUGUAUUCUUAGUUUAGUUAAUUAGUUUAGAUAAAGCAAAUCCCUUUAUUUUUAGGCUAGAUAACAAAAAGAAGGUUAAUACUAGUACUUUUAGUUCUUGUAGGUUCGACAUUUCGAUCUUGCUAUAAGCUAUACUACUGUUCGAUAGGUGCGCUUGUUUUUAUCGAGAUAAUAGUAGUUUUCAAGUACAAUCAAACAAUAAAUAUAAAACUUAUCAUGCACAUCAUGAUGCCAUGUGAAGAGUGCAACCACUAUCUACUAACCAGUCUCUUUGGACUUUACUUGAAGUUGUAAAACAGGAUGUAGUGAAAACAUGCUCCUCUUGAGCUUGAAUAUCUUUAGCAGCCUGUACUUGAUUCUGCUGUUAAGUUUGUGCCCUUCCUUUGUUCUUGAAAACUUUUUCAAUGUGUCCAAAUUGUUUGUAGCUCUUACAUUGAAUAUCAAGCCUGUACCAGCAGUACCUCUCCAAAUGUGUGGAUCUUUUGUAGUGAAUGCAUGGUGGGAACUUUUUCUUCCCAGCAUCCCUCUUUGAUUUCUCCCUCUUGUCAAGACAUUUUUUCUUUCCUUUGUAGCUCGAACUUGAGCUUUCUUUGGCUUUUGCUUGGAAAGCUACUUCAGGAUACUCCUCCAUCCUGUUGGCCCUUCUUUGCUCUAGUGCAUACAGAACAUUUAUCAACUUAGACAAUGAAAUGGUUGAUAAGUCUCUCGAGUCUACAAAUGAGGAGAUUUUUUACUCAAAUUUUUCAAGAAGAGUUGUAAUGACCUUAACAACAACUCUGCUCUCACUGAAAUCAUCUCCAAAGAGCCUAAUAUUGUUGACUGUUGCCAUUAUUCUAUCACAGUACUGCUUGAUAGUUUCAAACUCUCUCAUCUUCAAGUUCUCAAAAUCCCUCUUGAGGUUGAUCAGCUGCUGCUGCCUGGUUUUGUCUAACCCUAAAAACUCUUCCUUCAGCUUCUCCCAAGCCUAUUUUGGAGUGUCAUAAGCCAUUAUUCGAGUGAAAAAAACAUAAGACACUCCAUUUUGUAAGCAUGACAUUGCUCUGUGCUUCUUAGCACACUCUUCACUAUGUUUUCUAAUUUGUGCAAUAGUAGGAUUGGCCCUCAGUGGAGCUGGUCCGGUGUCAUUCUCCACCACAUUCCACAGGUCAUGUGCUUGGAGGUAAGUCUUCAUCUUUACUACCCAAAUGUGGUAUGUUCACCAGUAAAGACAAUUGGUGGAGGUAGUGUAAAACUUAUAUUGCAGUAACAAUAAAAACAACAACUUCAGUUUUUUUUCUUUAAGGUUUCUCGCAAAACAGCUGCCAACAACAAAGGCCCUAAAAAAUGACAGGCUCUAAUACCAUUUACUGGUGUUUUGACAGUAAAACAAAGGAGAAAAGAAAUAAAGAAACAGAUGCAAAGAAAUUUGAACAAGAAGAAAACUGAAAAAAUCUUAUCUGAUAUCAAAUUUCAUUAAGUUAAACAUAUAAGUUACAAGGUAGUUACCUAAUGUAUAACAGUUCCCACAAAUUACUUGACUAAAAACAUAGCUUAAAUUACACACAAAAUGCAACUGACAUAUAAGCUAUUACAUCACAUUGGAAAUCAUUCAAAUCACGAGGACUAGAAGUACUAGUAAUUACCAUUUUCCUAUUAUUUAAUUGACAGAUUGGAGUGAUUGAUUUAAACUAAAAUUAACAAAAUUAAUUAACUAAAGAACUUAGCAAAAAUAAAUCAAGAAAAUAAUUGAAUAAUAACCAAGAAGUGGAAUAAUACCUAGGAAAAGAUCCACCUAGACUUCAUCUGUCAUUAUCAAUAUGAAUUAAACAAUUUCUUCACUUAAUAUCUUGAUCCGUAAAAAUCCCUAAAUUAUGUUAUUAUCUCUUUCAUAACUAAGAGAAACUGACUUUAGGUUGAUUAAUUGAAAUUUAUUUCUAAUUAAAACCCCUAUUAUCACAUUAACUCAAUCUAUAGAUUCCAAUAUUAGAUUUGAAUCUAAUCUGGUAUAUUUAUGUCAUCCUAUAUCUCGGAUUGUAUGCAACUUCAGUCAAUUAUGCUAGAUCUACUAUUAAACAAGGACUUUUCCUCCUCUAAUUUAAGCACAUUAAACAUGAAUUAAUACUUUAAUAAUAUUUAAAUAAGAAAUAAGCACACAUAACUUAGAACAAGAUUUUAAGUAUUUAUUACGUAAAAACAAAAAUCAAAUAACAGAAUUUAUCAUAAGGUUCAUCUCUCCUAGAUAUCUAGAAAAUUAUUUCAUAAUUGUAAAUAAAAACAUCUCUAAUAUAGUAUAACCACAAGAAAUAAAUAGACUCGUAAAAAAACUUCAAAGAAAUUAAAAGGAGGCCUUCAAUCUUGAUGAAAAUCUGCUUUAAAGUCAACUUCAAUGGUGUUCUUCAAGUUGUUUUCUAUAAUAAUCUUUGAUGACCCCCUAUUCUCUUCUUCUAUUUGGUAUUUAUAGGUCUUAAAAUGCUGGAAAAAGCUAAAAAAAUAAUAGGUUUUUCUGUGUAUUUGGAAUGUGAAUCGUGAAAUAGACACGGUCUGACAUAUGGCCGUGUGGCAACUCGGGUGGGAAGGCCCAGCCCGCGUGGCUCCUGAAAUAUACUCUAAUUGUUUGAUUUUCGCUCCUUUUGCUCCCAAAUGCUCUGCUAAGUAUAGAAACAUAAAUUUAAAGGACUAGAAGUAUAAAAUUCACCAAUUUGCAUAAAUAGUCAUCCAAAAAGGCAUUAAGAACAAGAUUAAAACAUGCUACUUUUAUCACUUAUCAGUUAGACAAUUUCUUUUUAAAAAAAUAAAUGUCAUUAGAAACUAAUUUUCGGUCUCUAUUUAAAAAUAAAAAAAUAAUCUAAACUAGAGUAGGAUAUGUGUAAAGAGUUAGAGACAAAUAAAAUGGCUAGUUGAGCCUUGACCCCUAAUUUGUUAUAUGUAUAUAUUUUUUCAAAUUCUUUAAACUAUUUUUAUAAUAGUGUUAUACACUAAUGAUCUCUAACCCUAAAUCUAGAUAAGAUUUGAGUCGCUUACCUAUGAUCUGAUCAGGCCCCACCAGAUGGAAGUUGUCUGAGAUGUACAGUGAAAGAAUUGCAAUGGAAGGUCACAGUAUCAGCAUGCACGAGCCAAGGGGAAUACUCAAUCUCAGUUCACAGAUAUCCAAAGAGUUUACAUGUAGGUGUUCGUGAGGUCUGGUAGGCGAUCCAGAAACCUAUACGUGUCCAGCAUGCCUGGCACCUAUUCAGAUCAUUAGUACUAUGAAUAGUGGGAUCAAGUCCAUGAACAGUUGAGUUAAAUCAUGAACAAUAAUAGUAUCUAUAAAUACCCGAUUGUCCCCUACAAUGGGACACAACAGAGAAUUACUCAACAAUGGGUAUGGUGAACAUGGAAAAACUUCCCUACUAUCUCCCUAUCUGUAUCCAUUGGGGUUGUGACCCUCCAAGAAGUAUAAGAACACAUUCCUCAACACUAGAAGGUCUUCAAUAACUAGGGAACUGCCAACACGGAGCCUUCUCAACUGAGUAUCACCACUAUCUAUCUUGACAGAUCUCUUGAAUGAGCACAUGUAUCAACUCGGUGUAGACCACUCAGUAGGAAAGCCAAACCCACCUAUGAGCUUGCAUCUCACCCUGAUAUACUUUCCCCAGUUUAACCGAAGGUUAACAUAUCGGUUCACGAUUAUGGUUUCACCUUUCUUACAGAGAGAAAAGUAAUAAAAACCUAACGAGUUUCCUCGAUUUUGGGCCUUUAACAGGUACAAGCUCUGGAGAACUGUGAGUGAAGGUCAUUUAUUGAGGAGACGACAAUCAAUAAAAUAUGCCACCGCAAUCCAUUAAGAGAACCCACAAAGUUGACUUGGAGCAAUCUAGUACUUUUGGAGUAGAUGGAAAAAAAAUAGAUUUAUGGGCAGAUGAAACCCAGCUUCCAACGUGUGGGGGUGAGCAAGAAACUGCCAUCACUGGUGUCAUUAAGCCUAUGCGACCCCCAAGAACCGAGAAUUCAUAAGUAAAGUUAGAGAUUAAUUGAAUCUCCCAUGCACAGAAAGCUCAACGCAUCUCUUCAUCUUUUGUAAUACAGAUGGAAAGAUUAGCCUCAAUAAGGACCUUGGAAAUGCGCUCUCACGGUGGCAACGUGGAAUUAGUUGGCUAUGAGCUUCUUUUAUUCUUGACAUAUCUCUGACGCAGAAAGAAGAAAAAAAGAUGAAGGAAAUUUAAAACAUUGAAGCGUUACUAGAAAAGUCAUGUUUUAUCUAAAGUCUUUCUUAGUGUUUAAAGAAUAUCUUUAUUAUAGAUUAAAGUGAAUGGAAGCUGUGCACCAGAUAGGAUGCCAAAAAAGAGCAGGUGAGUCAAUUAGAAUGCUUAAAUACCCAGCUCUCCACGGAUCCACUCGUAGACAUGCACACAACUAUUGCGACACUUUAACUGAAUGAUUGUUCAUAGAAAACCAAUUCGUUUAAAACCAUUUGAAAAGGUUAUUAAUUUUGAAAACAUUUUCGUUGCAGAAGCUUUGUCUUGUUUCACGAUAUUUUGAAAUCAGAUAAUUUCUUUUAAAAACGCGCCCUAGAGCUAUUCAAUUUCAAAACCUUUAAAUCCAUAUCAUGCCUAAGCUAAUAAUCAUACUAAAGCAAUUAGAAAUAGUUAAAGCGGCCUUAUUACAACUUAAAACCCAAAGUAAUUAAAGUAAAUGAAACUAAUCAAGUCAUAAGAAGAAAAUUGAGCUUGCAAAACAUGUGGCCACUCCGAAUCGCUCUAGCUCCAAGUCCACCGAUCUAAGGCUCACCUGCAAAGAUAGGAAAAAUGGGGUGAGUUUGGAAAACUCAGUGUGUAAUGUAUCCCAACCAGAUCCCAAAUCAGUUCAAGCUUUACUGGGCCUAAGCCCUAUUCAGAAAUCAGAGUUAACUGGGCCUUAGCCCAUAUCAAUAUUAAUCUGGGCCAUAGCCCCUUACAAUAUCAAAGUAUACUGGGCCUAGCCCAUGUUAGUAUCAAUCUGGGUCGUAGCCCUAUUAUAAGUCAAGAUAUAUUGGGCCUUUCCCAUAUUAACACAGUUGGGCCCAUUUCAAUACAGUUGGCCCAUAACAAAAUAGUCUCAUAUGAUUAAUGCAUGAUAACCCCAUCUAACCCUGCACUUGCCUCCGUCCAUCCCUACACUUCCUGUGGGGAAUAAAUCACCCACGCCAUCCCUACACUUACAGUGUUAGCACCGGUUGCGGCACUAACUUUAAUCCGCAGCAAAGCUGCUUAUAUCAGAAUAUGUGGCACAGCCACCAGAACGGGUUCUUCCUCCAUAACAAAACCCAACCCCAUGCAGUAUGACAUGUAUGCAGAAUAUAUAUAACUAACAAGGCAUGCUUCAGAAAGACAGUCAGAUUAUAGCGUAAGAACAGUUAUUUACCCUCGAGGGGCAUAAUCGUAAACUUACCCCUUUAGGGGUAUUACGGUAAUUCUACCUUACAGAGGGAUUUCAGUAAUUUAUCAUUCUUUUUAGGGUUUCAUGCUCAUUACAGUUAUUAACGUGUCUUCAGAAUACUUACCAGACAUUUUUACCGAAAUGGGCCCGUUGCCUAUUACCUAAUUUCGGCCCAUCGAAGCCCAAAUUCACCGAGGUGCACGAAAUUGUGCACUUUGCAAUCUUACUGUUCAAUUUACCAAAAUUAUCAAUACAAACAAUCCCACGAGCACUCGUAUGCUCGUAAGUUCUCAAAAUACCGACUUUUCGGCAUUUCGACUUUUCGGCUCUUGCCGAUCUAGUCUACUAGUGGGUGUCAUUUACACACCUGAUUUGCGACAACUGCUACCAAAAUCUCCCAUGAUAUCCUACAAUUGGUCACUAGACAUAUCAGAUCCAAAAUACAAUGGCAACCAUCAUAAACUUACUUACCAUAAUCGGCCAUCAAUACAUAUGGCCCUUGAGAUCCUACCUUUGCCAAAACUAGUGACUAGAUCUAGAUCUAGUCGUUCCACUUGUCCAAGCCUUCAAUCAGCAGCCUCUAGAUCACACUAACACCAAAACAAAUCAAUUGUUACAACCCUUAGAGCCUUAAGCUCCAAUCGACAGCCUCCCUAUAACUUUAAGGAUUUUGGCUUUUCUAAAACCUGAAAUAAAGAAUAGAUCUGAGUACUUACCACAGGUUCUUUCAACCAAAACAAUUCCACUCAGUUUAUACUCAGUUCUGAUGCAGAUCUAGCCCUUAAACACUAGCAGAAAUCGAAUCUUAGAGAUCUAAAGAUUCGGCUCUAUGUCCUUAAAAACUAUGGUGUUUUCGGCUUUUGGAACUGUGAAGAGGAAGAUGAUUUGGUAUGGUGGUUUUGUAGUGGUAUUGCCGACAGGGGUUGAGGUUUAGAGGAUAUGAAAAUCAGCCAAAAGAGAUGAAGAAAAUAUAAUGAUUUUGGCUAGAAGAAAUCGGCACAAGAAAUAACUUUCGGGAUUUCGACUUUUAUGGCAAUCGGCUAUAGAGGUUUAGAAAAGAAUGGGAAUGAAAGAGGAGAUGAGUAGAAUGAUAGGAAUGUUUCGGCUAGAGAAGAAAAGAAAGGAGAAAAGAAAAUAGAAGAAGAGAGGAGAAUAGAAGGAAAAAUUCGGCACUCAGGAGAUCUAACUUUGCAUUUUCGACUUUUUAAGGCACUAAGAAGAGAAUAGAAUGAAAGGGAAGGCUCUAAGUGGCUAACUCUAACUCAGAAAAACAAAAAGAAAAUAAAUCUUUCCCUAAUGGCCAUUCAGACCCACGGCCCAACCUUCCUAAAGCCCUAGCCGAAUUCCACUUAAGCUCUAUCACAUGCCUGGCACAUGCACACACAAAAAAAAAAUAAAAGUAACAACACGCUUACCUUGUGACUUGAACUCUGGCUCCCCCUAAACAUCCACACGUCACUCCCCAAACACCUAGGUGGCGCCACAUGCCACUUUACCACAGAUCUUUUUGUGUCCUCUUUUACCACCUCAAUUUUAAAAGCCCAUAUCGCCAGAACCCUCUCUCACCCAAAAUUAAAAAAUUCAGGAAUUGCCUAGAAUUAAAUUUACUCUUGGGCCUUUUUCCCACACCAUAAACCCUUCGUAAUUUAUUUAAUUACUACACUAGACAUACGAAAUAAUAAUAAAAAUAAUAAUAAUAAUAACAUCCAAAUUUUUCGGGCCGUCUUCUACCCGAACCCAGACUCAAGGCCCAAUACUUCCAAGCCCAAAAAUCAGGGCGUUACAACCUAAGACAAGGAGUUACUGAUAUUUACCUUGAAGAAAAGCUUUGACUAAUUCUAGUAACAAAAAUGCUAAGUUUGUGCAUUUUAAGGUUUCAAAAAAUCCCCUUUUAAAGAAGCCUCUUCCCCUUACAUUUUGAUGGUUCAAAUAACCGAGGGACAUCAACGGUCAGAUACAUACAAGCGUGAUUCACCCGUAUACGUGGCGAAGUUGACACCAUAUUCCAAUAGACGCUGUGUAUUCUGCAAGCUGUAAUAAACGCGAAGUGAUGGCCCUAAGGAGUGCCACCUUAUAACCUUCCUUAGGCCCACUAGUGGGGACUAGAUUGUUGUACACCAAUGAUUACCAACCUGAAACCCAGAGAACUGUCAGGGAGCUCACAGUAUUAGCUCACACGAGCCAAGGGGAGUUCUCAAUCUUAGUUCGCAGAUAUCCAAGGAGUUUACAUAUAGGUGACCGCGAGGUCUAACAAGCGAGCCAGAACGCUACACGUGUCCAGCAUGCUUGAGGCCUGUUUAGAGUGUCAGUCCUAUGAAUAGCGGGGUCAAGUCCAUGAGCAAUAGAGUCAAAUCAUGACCAAUAAUAGUAUGUAUAAAUACUCGAUUGUCCCCUUCAGUGGGACACAACAGAAAAUUACUCAACAAAUAGUAUUGAGAAAUAAGGAUAAUUUAUGUUCCUCCCUUCAAAACUUUAAAAUAUUUUUAACUAUAUUUUAAAAUAAAAAGCUUGAUAUUAUAGAUUAAGUAAAAUUAUUUUUAAACACUCAUUAGAUAAUAUUAAUUCAGUUCUACCAAUAAAAUGAAAGAAGUGAUAGAAGACUUUUUCUUAAGUAUGUAUAUUGAGCCGUAAUAUUAAAGUCAUCAUUGUUGAAACAGAAGCAAAGGCAGAAAAUAUUUUUAGUGGGGCCGAAUUUUUCAUUUUUAGGGAGACAAAACUUUUACUAAAUUAAAAUAUUAAAGGGCCAAAAUAAAAAAUUUUCUAUUUUAGGAAGGGUCGGGGCCCUUAUUAAACCCCUAGGUUCGCCCCUAUAUUGAAAGAAUUUUACUUAAAUAUUACUUUUAGCUCAAACAAAAUUUAACUCAAACUAUACAAUAGAUGAAAAUAUCAGUCAACUUUUAUUAUUUUUGUUCUUUGGUUUUUAAUCAAUCAAAUUGGUUUAUAGGUAUAUUUAUAUUAGUUGUUAAGUAUAUACAAUCCUGGCUGUCGAUAAAGCUAGAAGCUAGGAGAUAGCAAAAGAGUGUUAGCCCCUUGCCCAAAAUAAUGGGCAUUAUCCUUAGUGAGUGAUAGUAAAGGUGAUUGUUCUUUACAACUUGAGAAGAAAUUUCCAAGAAUGUCACUCUUGACCCUUUCUGAUGACAAGAGAUUCCACAUUUUUAUUUAUAGCCAUUCAACAUAUAAGGAGAAUUAGUAUCACAAGUCUAAAAUUUAUUUAUGCUAUCAAUACAUGUGAGUAUUUUUAGAAAUUAAUUUGAGUUAAAUAUAUUACAUAAAAAAACUGAUUUUUAUGUAAUUUUCGUGACAAAACUGGUAUUGAGCUCAAUAAAAUAAAAUCUGCGAAUAGAGAAAACACUAGUAAUUUGUCUCAAGUAUUCCUUUUUGGAUCUUGAUUUAACAUGAACAGGAGCAGAUGAAAAAUUUCGUAGACAAAAGCCGAAGACGAUAUAAUUUGGAGUAAAGGCUCAACUCUUUGGAAAAUAAAUUUCCAAGUCGUAUUCUUUUGUGGAAAAGUAGUGAGUGGAAAAUUAUAUCCAGAAAAUGAUAGAAAAGGCUUUGGGCCACAAUUAAAUCAACAUAUUUAAAUUGUUAUACGAAAUUAAAGAUGGAGUCGUCAACGUCAUGACAUCAACAUCUUAUUACUUUAUACUCUAAAGAAAAUUUUGUUAAUUAAUUACUACUUUAAUUAUCGACAAUAUUGCAAAUUAAUUUUAAAUUUGCACUUAGUACCCCUGCACCAUGUUCCGUUUCUACGACUAAUGAUUUUCCAAUGAAAAUUUUGAUUUAAGGAGAAAUUGCAAUUUCGGAUUCAAAUUAUAUAAGAAAAUUUCCUUUCUAAAAAAUUGAGAACACUAAAACGUAAUCCGAUUUAAAGGCUAAGAAAAAUAGCAGCCAACGUGCAUUUGUUUCGUUGAAAAUUAAAACCAAGGAGGUAUCAUUUUCAAGAAAUAUGGACCAUAAGAAGAUUCUCCUUUUAUUAUAUACUAUUGAUACUAACAACAGAGAAAUUUUCAUAUGACAACAAUUGCAACAACACCUUGACUGCUAUACAAAUCCAUCAGUUUGGAAACUAUAACGUAUAUGCUACUACUAGAUAAACAGUUUAGAAAUAUCUGCUCUCCAAAGUCAUCUGCUCUACCAAACAUUAAAUGUAAUGAACUUGAUGAAACAAGUUAUACCAAAGACUAAUAGAGGAUCAAAUUUAAAUGAAUUAAUUAAGUCCGAUAAAUACAAUGUUUCUUUCAUCAAUUCUCAUAAACAUGAAAUGGUUAGAAAAGAAACAGUUUCUAAAAAUGACUACGCCAAAAAUGGCCAAACCAUUAUGCAGGUUUGAUUAUUUACAAUAAUUUGACUCGGUUUAGUGGUUUUUAUACCAAGUUUAAUUUUUGAGGUUUCCUACUUAUUUUAAUAAAAUGAGUUGUUUUUAUGAUUUUGGACAUUAUGAGGUAUACUUUCAAACUCUUUUCUAUAAAUAUUUUUUAAAAUGGUUUAAAUUUUCUAAGUUAAUAAAAAUAAAUAACUCUUAUAAAAUGUCUUUUUUUUUAAACAAAAUUUUUUUUAAGUCAUUUCAGCUACUCUAAAAAAUGUUUAGUUUUAUGUAAUAAAAAAAUUAAUUAUAAAUUUAAAAAGAAAUAAAACUUAAAUUUAUCCAAAAAAUUGUGAUAUUUUAACUUACGUUUCAAAAAUCAUCUAAACACCAUAAUUCAAUUAUGGUUUUAAUUUCUCGAUUAACAACGCUUGCUAGUUUAUGGCUAUCGUCAUUCGUUUUUUUAAAUAAUAUUUUUUUAUCAAAAUUAAGUUAUUCACCGCUAAUAGCAAUGACAAAUUUCUUUAUGUCAUAAAACAUGAGAAAUAUUGAAAAAAUUCAAAUACCAAAGCAAAAAAUAAAAUGUCUUAGAAAAUUAGGAUAGCAAAGUUCUGGUAAAGAUUCAGGAUUAAUCUAAACAAAAAUAAGUGUGAGCAACAAGAUUUUGAAAUUGACUGAGUUUAAUCCGUGGCUGGAUUUUUUAAAUUGAUUUUUAGGAUAAAAUUUAUAACAACAAAAUUUUCAACAUGUAAUAAUUUUUUAAAUAUUGUCGAUUGAGUCUUAACUCAAUUAGUAUGGGUAUUGUUACUAAUGUAGAAGGACAUGGGUUCGAGUGCAUUGAAGUGUAUUAUCUUCCUAUUUAUGAUUUGGGAAGAGACAAUGGACAGUUCUAGGUAUUAUGUAAAAAAAUAGAUAUAAUUAAAAUAUAUAAUAAAAUUGUUUAAAAAUAAAAAUAAUAAUUUUUUUAAAAAAUUAUGAUAAAAGAAUAUAUCCAGAACUUGUGUAAGAAAUACAUUCAAGAGAUAAAAUAACAUGGAGUGAAACAAGUUUGAAUUCUUGAACAACCACAAGACUCCACCAGUGUGACAAAUACAAAAGCUAAAGGCUAUCAAUCAACAGAAAUUGUUUCAGGAGUGUUGGAAACUAGAAAGAUGAAUUUAAUGGAAAAGUUACACUAUCGGUUGGAAUUGUCCUAGACAUUGAACUACUAGGAUUGGUAUCCCAUGAAUGGAUCAUGUCAUCUAUUUCAGAUUCUUCAUCACCACAGUCUUCGAUAACAGUUCCACCUGAAGCUUUAAUCAUCUCCAGCUCCAUUGCUACUUGUUUCAUGGUGGGUCUUUUCUUUCCAUUAAGAUUCAAGCAUCUUUUUGCUAGCAGAGCCACAACCAUAAUCUCCUGUUCUGGACCAUCCUUUACUACCAUUGGAUUGAGAAUUUUAAAUAAGGAAUUCUCCUGCAUUGAAUGCAAAAAAUAAGAUACCAAGCUUCUCACUGGCUCUGAUUGGUUUGCAGAGAUGGGUUUUUGUCCUGUUAAAAGCUCAAUGAGAACAACUCCAAAGCUAUAAACAUCACUCUUCUCUGUAAAUUGAUUUGUUCGAAAAUAUUCAGGAUCCAUGUAUCCAAAAGUUCCUUCCACCCGGGUGGUUAGAUGUGUUUGCUCAAGUGCAACUGAUCUUGAAGUUCCAAAAUCAGAUACUUUUGCCCUAUAUUUAUCAUCCAAAAGUAUGUUACUAGAUUUGAUGUCUCGAUGAUAAAUAGGAGCAGAAGCAGCUGAAUGCAAAUAGAACAACGCAUUGGCAAUUUCGAUUGCAAUUCGUAAACGCAUUUCCCAUGUCAAUGGUAAUUCUUCAUUUUGUUUACGAAUGAGAUCGUAUAAUGUACCAUUUGGGAUGAACUCAUACACCAAUAGAGGAACUUCAGCUUCUAAGCAACACCCUAAAAGCUUAACCACAUUCCUGUGAUUAAUUUGAGAUAAAAUUAUCACCUCGUUAAUGAAUUGUUCAACCUUCUUUUCGUCAAAUUUCUUUCCUUCCACCAUUUUGGACUUCUUAAUAGCCACAAUGCUUCCAUCUAUUAGCAUCCCUUUAUAAACAGUCCCUUGACCUCCUUGACCAAGGAUUCGGUUCUCAUUAUAAUGAUCGGUCGCCUUUUCCAUCUCUUUCGAAGUAAACAACUUAAUUUUUUUAACAUUACCUUCAGACGAAUGUUGUUGCAGUAACAAACCUCCAUUCCUUUUGAAGUAUUUCUGCUUCAGCAUGAUUUUUUUUUUCUUUUGAGGACUUUGUACAUACUCCAUGUUGCGAGUAGUAGAAAUAGUGUCCCAAUACUAGUGCUGCAACCUAUAUAGAUAUAAGUAACAUUGUUAAAAGUUAAAUUUGAAAAUUCAAAUACAUUCUAAAAAACCAUGAGAAUGUUUCAAUAAAGUUUUAUUCAUAUUUGAAAAAAUGAGAGAACCUUAUUGCACCAUCCAUUGUUCUGAUAUUGAACUUUUACAAAUUUAAUGAUAAAUAAUUGUUAUUGCAUCACUCAUUCAAAAAGUAAAUAAAUCAUUGCUUGAAUUUACAUAAUCCAAUAAUCAUAAUGAUUUCACUUUAAAAACAAAAAAGUAUAAAUUAGCACGUACCUAUAAUAAUGCUUGUCAAGCUACGAGUUGUUUGAUUUUGUAUAUUGCGCUCACAACGAAAUCCUGUACUAUUAUAUUUAUAAUGAGGAGGGCAAGACUCUGGCGAGCAAUAGUUGCUAGGCAUAUUCAAACAAAGUAUGCGGCAAUACUGAUAAUCCCCACAAUUCCAAUCUGUCAUUUAUGAGUUGAAUAAAAAAAAGUUAUAAUCGUAUUAUUCAAACUUGAAUAGAAACAGGUUAUCUUUAAAAUUAAAAUUUAAAGAUUAGAAAGAGACUGAGAAGUAGGUUAUCUUUAAAUUUUGUUAUCUUUUUUUAUUUUUAAAGAAAUUCAAUCAUUGAAUUUGUACGAUUUAUUUGCCACUUCAAACCUAGUAGCUAUAUACGUUUAGAGCUCUAUGGAUGUUUAAGAGUUUUGUACCAAGAAAAAUAUGCAAAAUUAUCUUCAAAAGUAUAAAUUUUCUUCUUCUUUUUUUUUUUUUGAGAAAUUCACUGUAAAACUAAAUACAUUAGUGUAAAAAGCUAAAAUUGUUUUACUCUCUUUUGCAUCUCUUUAUAUUAUUAAUAUUUUGACAAUUCAAUUGUUGAAUUUAAUAUUUUAUUCAUAUAAAUCAUUCAUGUCAAAUUUGAUAUAAAUUAAAAAUUAAACAAUUAGAUUGUUAAAAUAUUAAUCGUAUAGAGAGAUACAAAAGAGUGUAAAAAAACUUUCAUUUUAUAUUGAUGUAAGUGGAUUACUCUCCAUAUUUUUUUACACACUUAUAUAUAUAUACAAAUUUUACAUACUUUAUAAAAGAUGAUUUUGUAUGUUGAAUCUUCAACUGAUUAGUAUAAUUUAGUCAUGAUAUACCUCAACUAAUAAUAACUAGAUUAUGAUACACUAACGACGUAAGUGAAAAAAAUUAUAUAAUAAUUUAUUUAUAAAAAAUAUUGAUAUAAAAAAAAGAGUUGAUUGAAAUAGUAAAGUUAAGUAUUAGCUAUCAUGGUGCCUUUGUUCAAAUUUUAUUAUACUUAUUUUUUAAAAUUUUACAUGAAAUAUAAAAUGACAAAAAUACUCUCAUAAUAAUAUUUGUUCUUUUAUAAAAGUAAUGGAUUUUCAUAAUUUCUCAACUAUGUAAAGAUUGAGUUGAGGGGUGGCACCAACUCAAAUAGCCCUUUAAAAAAUAAUACUAAUUUACGAUACACCCAUUAUGUGAAUGGAAAAAAAAUAUGUAAUAAGCAUAUUUAUUUAAUGCUUAUAUAAGAAUCAAAUGAAUCAUUGGUUGAAAUGGUAAAGUUAAAGUCUAAAAUUUAUUGUGUGAAAAGUUCAAAUUUUACCAUGUUAAAUUUAUUAUGAAUUUUAUAUAAAAAUAUAAAAAAAUGAAAAUACCCUUAAAAUAAUAUAACUUAAUAUAUAUAUAAAAAUAUGUUAAUAAUUUUUUCAAUUAUGGUAUACCUAUAAGUAAAGAUAUAAUAAAAAAGUUUCCUAAAAUAAGGUUAAUUCAUACCUUUGCAUGACGUUAAAAAAACUCCAAUAUCCUUGUCGCACACACAUAAAUAAUUAGAGCUCAUCCUUGACCAACAAUAUUUACCCUCGAGUGUACAAGAAGCGCCCAAACUAUCAUUCAACUUGCACUCUCCAGAUAUUGGUGUGCCCCAUUGCAGUUGUGUUGGAACAUGCGUUAUAUUACUUAUAUUAAAGGUCAGAUCAUAGUCAUAAGAAACCAUGGAAGCAAAUCCGCAUGAUUUUUUCCUCCAAUAAUCACUAGAAUCAAACCUACUACUCAUGUUUACGUAGAAUGGACUGAGACCCCAAGGAAUAUUAACAAGACAACCAUCAAUAGAGGAAGCCUCGUUAUUAAUCCUACAACUUGGUUGCAAACAUCCUCCAAUAAGAUUAUCUAGUUUGCUGCUGAAAACAGUAACCAAAUUACCGCAACCUAAAGACCAGAAGGUGUUGUCUGAAUUUGAGUAGUAAAAGCGAGUGCCUGUUAAGUUGAGACUCGUCCCGUUGUGAUGGUUUUUCUGACAGUUGAAGUAAGUUAUUGGAUGGUUGACUUUGACUGUACCAUACAAAAAAUCAAUUUCUAGUAUUUGCAAAUUCAUGCCAUUUAUAUUUAAAAAAGGCACUUUUUGCCCAUGGUCGCUUUUGUUGCAAACUACUUUAAACCACUCUUUAAGAUCAACUUGGUCCUUCAUUGUAAAGGGAUAGUGAACAGUAACAUUCCCACAGGGCUCUACCUUGUAGGUGCGGAAGUUAAUAGAUCCCAGUCCUGGUCUUCCGCAUCCUGCGAGUUUAGCAAAAAAGGAGUAAAUUGCAAAAUUUACGAACAUCUAACGUAUAUAGGAAAUAAAAGCAAUGCGUUAUUCAAUAUAUAUAUAUAUAUAUAUAUAUAUAUAAAGAAGGUACUCUUUAACUAAUAUAUUUAACUAAAUUUUCUGUUAUUUGUGACAUUAAAUUCAAUAAAGACUUUCCUAUUGAAUUUGAUGUGAUACAAUAUUUCUAAUUAAAAUACUUGCAUUUCAAAAAAAAAAAUCAAUUCCACUUUCAUACCUAUCCUCUCUUUACGUAAUACUUUGUUAAUUUUAUUCUAAAAUAUUAAAUUCUUAAUUGAAUAUGAUACUUGUGCUAAUUUCUAAUUUAACUACUGAGUUCAAAUCUUUUUAUGGAACUAAUGAUUUCAUUUCAAGAACAAAUCAACUUAGGCUACAUUUAUUCACUCAAAAUAAUUUUCGAAAAAUAAUUUAUAUUUUUGGAAAAGUUAAUAUUUUCUAGUAUUUAGAUGAAUCUGUGUAAAAUAAUUUCUGAUAUUUAGAUUAAUCUUGUAAAAUAUUUUCUAUUAUUUAGUAGAUUUCUUAAAAAAAUUUCAUAAAAGUUGUUUUCAAUUAAACAAACAUAUAUUUGAGAUGUUUUUCAUUGUUUAAUUGAAUUUAUUUUUAUCUAGAAUUUUAUAUUUUACAUUUUUUUUGCAUAUAUUAAAAAUAUUAUAUUAAAUUUAGGUUCAUUACAACGUCAUUUUUUUAACUACAUGACUACCGAGUGAGUAUUUUUUAUUUAAAAAUGUGACAUCAAAUUUGACUUGAUUUUUAAAUUUGAAAAGUAAAAGGACUAAAUUCUUGAAAAUAAAAAUACAAAGACUAAAUUGAAAAUUUGUGAAGUGUGCAUAGACUUAUGACAUAUUUAACAUUAUACUACAAACAUUUAUUAUUAAUAUAUUUUAAUAUAAUAUUAUUUAUAUUAAAAUAUUAAUAUUGAAUAUUUUAAUAUAUGUGAAUAAUACUAUUUAAAUUUAUUUUUUUAAAAUUUAUUAUUAAAAUAAAUUAAACUAUUACAUCAUUUUUAUUUUAAUACCUUUAUUUAUUCUAUUAUUAUACUCUCUAUUUAUGACUAACAUCUCAUACUUAAAUCUGUCUGUUUACUCUAUGAAAACUAUCCUAUUUUAUAUUUUCCCUAUUUUUAAAAAAUAAAUUUAUUCUAAAUCUAAUACUAGCUUGAUUAGUUUAAUUUUUAUCUAAACAUAAAAUCUUCUCUAGAGCUCUUUUUUCGAAAGUGACUUACACUUUUCAACUGGUAUGUCUUUUACAGAAAAGAGCUUAUUUUAGUUGAUCUAUACGUUUUUUUCAUUGAUCAUGCUGUUUUAUGUGAAACAAACACAGGAAAAUGUAUAAAACAUUUUCCGUGAAACUUUUUACAUGUAAACAAACUGACCCUAGAUUUAAAACAGAAUCAUUAUAAACAAAAUUAUGUAAAUUAUGAAAUGAAUGGAAACAUAAUACAGAAAUAUUAAAAAUAUAUAUAUUAUGUUAUAACAGAAUAUAUAUAUAUACACAUAACCAACAUGAAGCCAACGAAAAAAAAUAUAAAAAUUACAAUUUUAACUCCUCUAAAAAAUAAUAAUUUAAUUUAAUUUAAUUUCAUCUCAUUUAAGUAUUAGUUCAGGUUUUUGAAUACAAAACUUUUAGGUAUAGCCAUUUUUUGUCCUAAAAAUCUUUUAGGUAUAAAUUUUUGAAAGCCAAAAUUAUUAAUAUACAAAAUGAAUGAUCCUAAAAACCUUUUUUAGAACUUAUAUGAUUCUAAAGGCUGGUUUUAAACAAUUAGCAAAAUCUAUAUAUUAACCGAAUUAAAAGAAGAAGAAUAAAAGCCAAGCAAUUGAAGUGACAGCGCGUGACUGACCUCCGUCACCGCAAUAGGUAGAAUUCCAGUUGAGCACGGCGGGAACAUGCGUAGUUCCAUUAUUGAUGCCAGUGGGUAAUGGGUAAGCACUACGGAAAGAGUACUUGCUAAAGAUGAAAGCAGAUGCGCAUCUUUUGCUGUCAGGAUACAUGGCUCUCAUGUUUACGGUAUAGGAAGUAAGAUUUGCAGUAAUUUGAGUAAAGCAGCCAGAUUCAGAAGCACCAUCGUCACACCUUGGUUGAAUGCAGCCGCCAAGUGAAACAGCUUCGUUACUUAAAAUAGUAGCCAAAUUUCCGCAACCUACUGACCCGAAAUAAUUCCUCGUACUUGAGAAGAAAAAGGGAGUGCCUAAGAGAUUGACCCUCCCACUAACCUCGUUUAUACGAUCACAAUUAAUGUAAGUAACUGGAUUGUUGAUGAGAAUGGCGUUUGAAUAUAAGGCUUUUCCAAGUACCUCCAGAUCGAUGCCAUUUACGUUUAUGAAAGGCUUGUCCCCACUGGGGGUUUGCUUGCAAGUUACGCGAAACGAAGGAUGAGUAUAGCAGGUGAUAUUGAUUAACCCAAAAGGGGAUGGAAUUGUAAUAUUUCCACAUACUUCUUUACGACAGGCAGGUUCUUGAGAUUCUGCUGCUUGUAAAAUUGAGCACAACAGGAAGAGGAAGAGGAGUAAGGGGAUGAAGUAAAGCGCUAAGUGAAAACCCAUUUGCGUUGUUAUUUUGUUUGAGGGAAAUGAAUGAAGAUUUAAAGAAACAAACGAUGUUUGAGGGAGAAGCAAAUGAAAAGUAUUUGCUCGCACUUUCCUUGAAGUUCCAGUAUAAGUGCAUUUGAUUUGAGAAUAAUUCAUUAAUUUGUAAAGACUGUUGGAUACAAUUUUCCAGCUACACGUAAGAGGUCUCCAUUCAAAGAGUAGGUUACAAAUAAAGAGUUAAGAGACAACUAAAAGGGAGAGUCGAGCCUUGACCCCUAAUUUGUUUUAUAUUCCUUCAAAUAUUUUUACAAUGGCAUUAAGAAAUAAGGAUAAUUUAUGUUCCUUCCUUCAAAACUUUUAAACAUUUCAAAUCAUAUUGUAAAAUAGAAAGCUUGAAAUUAUAGAUUAAAUAAAAUUAUUUUUAAAAUUUUAUUAGUUAAUAUUAAUUUAAUUAUAUUGAUAAGUGGAUGAAAGAAGUGAUAAAAAAACUUAAUUUAAACUAUACAUCAAAUGAAGAUAUAUGUGAUUAUAAUAAAUUUUAAUUAAUUUUGUACUUUAUUUUUGUAUAGAUAUAUUUAUAUUAAUUAUUAAGUUUAUUCAAUCCUAGUUGUCGAUAAAGCUAGAAGGGAGGAGAUAACAAAGAGUGAGCAGUAUCCUUAAUGAGUGAUAGUAAAGGUGAUUGUUCUUUACAACAACUUGAGAAGAAAUUCCGAGGAAUGUCACUUUUGAUGCUGGUCCUAUGAUUAGAGGUUUCACAUUUUUAUUUACAGCCAUUCAACAUAGUUAAUAUCGUAAGUCUAACAAUUAUUUAUGUUUUCGAUAUACAUGAGUAUUUUUAGACAUUUAAGUGAAAUACUAAAUAAAACUCUCAAGUCAAGUUAUAUUUUAUAAUGUUUUUCAAAAUUUUUAAUAAUUAUUAAUAUUUUAUUUUUUAUAUUUUUUUAUAAACUUGGGUAACUUUUACAUUUUUUAAAAAUAUUUUUAAUAAUUUAGUAUGUCACAUCAACAUGCUUUCACAUAGCAUACCAUAUGCUAACUUCUCAUGACUUCCGUAAAUCAUAUAAACAACGUAUAAUAUUCAAAGUAAUCAAGAAUUUUGAUUUUUUAUUGAGUGUUUUUUAACAUUUAAUUGUAUAUUAAUAUUUAUUACUUUAUUAAGAAUUGGUUUUUAUGUAACUGUCCUGACAAAAUUGGUAUUGAGCUCAAUAAAAUAUAUUAUAUAAGCUUAGAUAUAACUUCAUUAAAAUCUGCAAAGAGAGAAAACAUUAUCAAUUUGUUUCAAGUCCGUUUUUGAGCAUAUGAGAAAUUUUGUAGAUAGAAGUUGAAUACGAUUUUCUUUCUAGUGAAUUACAAGAAAAGGGUAGAGUUUUAAUAGCAACGCGACUUAAACUUAAACUACAUUUGGGGGAUGAAUACCUUAACCAUUAAAUUAAUAUAUGAAAUUUUAAUACGAUAUUUUGAAAUAAAGAGCCAACUCUUUGGAAAAUAAAUUUCCAAAAAUUUCCGAGUCAUAAUCUUUUGUGGAAUGGAAAAGUAUAUCCACAAAAUGAUCGAAAAGGCUUUGGGCCACAAUUAAAUCAACAUCUUUAAAUUGUUAUACCAAAUUAAAGAGGGAAUGGUCUUUGUCUUAAAUUCAACCUCUGAAAUUAUCAUAAUUUCAUAAAUUUUGUUUGCAAUUGUUUGGAAAUAAAAACAAGAAGGUGAUUGGCUCAUCUUGUUUUUGGUGAGAAAGUAAAAUAGCAGCCAACAUGCAUGCAUUUGUUUUGUGGAAACUAAAUUAAAACCAAGGAGGUAUCAUUAUCAAGAAAUAUGGACCAUAAGAAGAUUCAUUCCUUUUAUUAUAUAUUAUUCAUACUAACAACAUAGAAAUUUUCAUGAAAAAGUAAGUUCCAUGACAUCCACUGAAGCAAUGACAACAAUUGGCCCCUAUAACUGUCGAAACCCUUUUUUUUUAUUUUGAAAGCAAUGGGGAUCGACUUGUGAAAACAAAAAUGUGGAGUCGCCACCAAUCUCUCGAUUUAGGUGUGAUUGGACCACCUACUAAAACGCUUUAUUCGUGUAAAAUAAAAAAAGUGGGUUCGGGAGUCAGUUACGUAUGAGGAAGGGUUAGCACCCUCAUUACGCCCAAAAAUUGGUACCAAAUUGAUUUGAUGCUAUCCUUAUAUCAAAAGUUUUAAAAGAAAAGAUUUUCUCAAAAUACGAUUCUUUUUUUUUUAAAUGUUCGAAUAGUUUAAAUUAGUGGUCAAAAAUCCUUCGUUUCAAAGAUAUGCAGUUUCAUACCCAGUACGAUUAGAUGCGAUCCUUAUACCUUUAAAACGCAAUUGGUUUUCGACUUCUUUAAAAAACAUACAUUAAAAUUAUAAAAAGGUUAUCCAAAUAUUUGGUUCUCCGUAAAAGUCAUACCCAGUACGAUUGAGCAUGAUUUUCCGAAUUCCCCAAAUAUUAGAUAUCGCCUUAUUUCAGAAUAACGGAAAUUUAGAAAUUUGCUUAAACAUGUUUAUUGAAAAUAAUUAUGAUAAAAAAUACAAAGUUCAAAUCAAAUUAUGCAUGAAGUAUUUAAAACACAAAUUCAUUCAAAAAUUGAUAAUUCACAUGAUAACUUUAAAUAAUGUAUUAAAUAUGUAGGAAUGACAAUGCAUGAUAUAAAAUAAUAUAAUAAAUUUAUGAAACAUGUAUAUACAAGUAAAAUUAAGUAUAAUUGUUUGUAAAAAAAUGUAAGAAAGAAACAAAGUAAAUAUAUAAGGUAUAUGGGUAACAAAAGUUUCUAAAAAACAAGGUUAUAUACAAAACGUAAAAUUAUAUUUACACGUAAAUUUAGUAAUAUAUAUAUUAUUAAGAUUAUAUUUAUAAAGGGCAUUUGGAAACUAAUAAUAUAUAAUUUUACAUGUAACAAACUGAGUUAAAGUGAUGGAACAUAUAGAUAGUACAUACAUAAGGAUAAUAAAAUAAUUUAUACAAUAUAUAAAUCGUAUGAUAAAACAAAUGGUCUUUAGAAAGAAUAUAUUAUACAUAUAAAUGACUUUAAAGGAUAAUAUAUACAUUGAAAGAAAAAAUAUUUACAUAGAUUUACAUGAAAGUAAUAACAUGUACUAUGGUAAAAAUAAUUUAGCAUGGGUAAUGUACAAAUGAAGAAAUUUUAAUGACAAUUGUAUGUCCAAAAUAAUAUUGAAUAAAAUAUGAAUUAUAAGAUUAACUUAAUUUUAUCAUAACUUAUAUACAUAAUAAUUUUAAAAACAAUUUUAAAAACAUAAUUAUACAAAAAUAUAUAUAUGUAUAAGACUAUCUUGGUUUUAAUAAUGGAUGCAAAUUAAAUAUAAGUUCUAAAUAUAUGUUUAAUAAUAACUUAAAUAACACACAAAAUAUGAAGAAAUAAUAAUACAUGGCAAGGUAUUACACGCAUGAUAGAUUUUUUACAUUUAAAAACUUAUGUAUAAAAUAAACACAUGUGAAAUUAGAAAAUUAUAUGCAUAUCAUUUUGCUCAAAAAUACUUAAAAGAAAUAUUAAAUAACAUACUAGGAUAACAUAAUAAGGAGACAUAUUUCAAAAAUAACAAUUUUAUAAAUACCAAGAUGAAUUUUCAAAACACAUAAAGACAUGUAAAUUAAACAUAAGUUAAGAAAUACUUCAAGUAAUUUAGGUAUAUAAAUAUAUUAACAACACUUAUUAAUAAGAUAUUAAAACAAUGUAAUAUAAAAUGAAUUUUACAACAUGCAAAACAAUAGUUAUUAUAAAAAACUAAAAAAAGAAUGAUUAAUAUACAAAUAUAUGCGAAAUAUUUAAAGAAAUAAGAUACAUGAUGUAAACAAUCUAAAAUAAUUGUACAAAUGUACAAACAAAAUUAUUAACAUGGAUUAAAGCAUACAAAUAUUGAAUGUAUUCUAAAUUAACCGAUUAUACAAAUAUAAGACUCAAUUAAAACUGCAUCAAGAUAAGAAGGACAAUUUGUAAAUAAAAUGACCAUAAAAUAGAUCAAUGCAUAACAUGCAUAAAUAUAUAGGGACUAAUAUUGUAAAUCCUCCCAGGCCUGAAUCACAUCACUGUAUCAUGGAUUAAAAUGAAAAUGCGCUCAAAUCAGCGAGCCAAAUUGAAAAAGAAAAAAAAAACAAAGCAAAGCAAAAAGGAAGCAGUUGAAGCCCCAUGCGAAUGCAAAGGACUUAGCGCGCAAAUUAACCAUUUGAAGCACCAAAGUGUGGAUCCAGCCUAAUGGCACCGUUUUCAAUUCUGCACAAUCAAUUCUAAAAAACUAAAAUCCAAUAAAAAAAAACAAAGACCUAUUCCCUCUUUUAUUUGCCGUUUCAACUUCACAUAAUGCUCUCAAUUUGGGAGGUUCCUUUCAACCUUGAAAUCUCCUUUGAUUUGAUUUCAACAAAACAAAGAGAAGAAAGCAAUGGCCUCUUCACACGGUAAGUUUUUCUUCUUUUAUUUCUUUCUUUCGGUUUUUGAAUGUGAAAAAUAAACUAAAAAAUAAAUAAAUCGAAAAGAAAAUCAAGAAUCUCAAGAACUUUCAAUCACUUUUUAAUUUCAGUAACUUUUUUUAUUUUGGUAUGCAUGUGUAUUUCUGAAAAAAAAGAAGAAGAUCCCCCAUUUACAUCGUUUACAUUCGGUUUUAUAGCCAAAAAAUGAGUAAAUAAAAAUACAAAAAAUCCUUGCUGUAAUCUGUUAUUAUUUGCUGUCAUUUGCUGUUGUGGUUUUCGUUUGUUGCAGGUGUGCAUGGCGUGGAGGAGUUAUUUGCGGAACAUGGCACGAGUGGAAGAAUCAACUAAAGGCUGCGGUGGCUGAAGCUUCUAAGGUUUCUGUUGAAAAUUCCCUAGGUGUUUUGGACUUGGGGUAUUUUGGGUUAAAUAGGCUAGUUGGAUUAAGUUUAAUAAUUUGAACCCAUUAUUUUGGUUGCUGACUAUUAUUUAUAUAUUUUUUAGUUUUUUUUUUGUUUGUUUUGGUUUUGGUGUAAGCCCGGGCACAAAUUGAGUCUUACAAUAACAAUUGCAAAAACACCUUGACUCUUCUAGAAAUCCAUCAGUUUGGAAACUAGACCGUUUAUGCUACAACGAGAUAAACACUUUAGAAAUAUCUGCUCUCCAAAGUCAUCUUUGUUCAUCUUCAAUUUCGUCCUUAUAUAAACAAAACUCCAACAUAUAGAAAAAGAAAUGAUAACCCUUGAAAUCCUUAAUGUCCAAACCAUAUUUAUGCAUAAGAAAUUUGCAUAGGAGACGAGAAAAUGGAAUCUGAACUUAAUGGGCAAUUUCGUCACAGUCAAUCUAAAGUUUAACAAUUUAGGAUCUUUUUAUCCAUAUGGUGUUCCAGUUUUUCAAUAUGAAUUCGGUUCAAAGAAAAGGAAAUUACUUUAAAUUUGUAUAAUUAAUUUGGAUUUAAAAAUAUUUUUUAAUAAUUUGGUAUAUGCCACAUUAGUAUACUUUCACGUAAUUUCUUAUGAAUCUCACACAACACAUUAUAUGUUAAUUUCUCAUUAAUUUUGUAAACCAUGUUAACAAAUAAUAUUGUUCAAAUCACUCCAGAACAAUUCUAAAAAUGAAUUUAUUGAGAAUAUUGAAUUACAAGUCGGAACUUAAACACGUAUGAUUCAGUUUUAUCUAUGAUGCAACUCGAUUGAUUAGCCUUACAACUCGGGAAAUGUUUUAAAAAUGAUUGGAAUAUGUCCACCACUUGCUUAAAUUGAAUUAUUAUAUAACUUACCCAUUGCUUAGCAAAGGUUGCAUUGCCUACACUUUGGUUCAUCAUGUGCCCACCCCACCCAUUUUAGAUGUUCAUUUUACUAUUUACUUUGAAAAAGAAUCGUCAUCCCAUGUAUUUCUUGAUGAUGCAUAAAAAUAAUUCCUUAAAAUUUUACUAAUAUAUUUUAAAAAUAAUUCUUUUUGUAAAUAUUAUAAAUGUGAAAGGGUUUGAUACUCAUGUUUGAAGUCAUGUUAACUCAAUCACUUACUAAAACCAAAUUAAAACAAUUAAUUUUACAAGAGUGGCCAUAUGGCACUUUUUAAUUUCACUUCUAAAGUAUUUUCUUUCUAUAAUAAAAAAUGAAAAUGUGAGAUAAUAAAAUAAUAUCAUCUAGAUUUAAAUUAAACGUAACAAAUAUUUCACCCAUAAUAUAUAAAAGGUAUUUAUAUUGACCAGCAAAAUUAAAUUUCUUUAUUAAAAUAUUUUUAUCUAAAUUUUAGGUCUAAUUCGAACAAAAUUAAAUUUAAAUUGUACAAUAGAUGAAGAUACUUGUUAAUUUAAAUUAAUUAAUUUUUAAUUAAUCAAAUAGGUAUAUAGGUAUAUUUAUAUUAAUUGCCAAGUAUAUACAAUCUUGAUUGUGGAUAAAGCUAGAAGGUAGGAGAUAGCAAAGAGUGUUAGCCUCUUGCCCAAAAUAAAAGGCAUUAUCCCUAAUGAGUGAUAGCAAAGGUGAUUGUUCUUUGAGAAGAAAUUUUCAAGAAUGUCACUCUUGACCCUGUCCGAUGACAAGAGGUUCCACAUUUUUAUUUAUAGCCAUUCAACGUGUAAGGAGAACUAGUAUCACAAGUACAAGAAGAAAUUCCAUCACAACUGAACAAAAAAUUUCCAAGUAAUAUUCUUUUAUGGAAAGGUAUUCUCAAUAGAAAAAUAUAUCCACGAAAUGAUAGAAAAGGCUUUGGGCCACAACUAAAUCAACAUAUUUAAAAUGUUAUACCAAAUUAAAGAUGGAAUCGUCAUUGUCAAGACAUCAACAUCUUAUUACUUUAUACUCUAAAGGAAUUUUGUUAAUUAAUUACUACUUUAAUUAUGGAUAAUUUUGCUAAUUAUUUUUAAAUUAGUACUUAGUACCCCCUGCACCAUGUUCGGGGUGUUCUGUUUCUACGACUAAUGAUUUUCCAAUGAUUCUUGAAUGAAAAUUUUGAUUCAACGACAAAUUGCAAUUUCAGAUUAAAAUUAUAUAUAAAAAAAAAAAAAAUCCCCCAUCUGUUGCAACAUUGAACAGUGAAAUGGUUGCCUGAGAUUUUCUAUGUAAGCAAAGAAGCAAGAAAGAAAUUAGUAAGGCAGGUACUCAAGUAUAUAUCUUUAGCAAGAAAAACUAACAAAGGAAUUCUCCAAUUUGAUCCACUAUUGUGUUUUCUUUCUAUGGGAAGAACAUUAAUCAAUGUCCCCUGGUUCCAUGAAUUUUCUGCUUCUUUAAAAAUAAGAAGAAGAAAGAAAGAAAAACAUCAACUUUAGCCCUACAAUCAACUUGUAUAAAUUCGUUAGUCCUGAAACUAUGGCCUUAUUCUUAACCAUUUCCCUUAUUCUAGGGAUACUGCAGGCUACCAUCCUUCUAAUUUCCUUUGAUACAACUGUGUCAAUAGCAGAUCCAUCGCCAUUGGAGUCCAAAGCCAUAUCGCUGCUAGAAAGCGGGUGGUGGAGUAACCAUAGCAGCAAUACUUCACAACGUUGCCAGUGUCCUGCUAUAACCUGCAACACUGCUGAAAGCAUUACCAAAAUUGACUUAUCUGAUGCGCCCAACAUUGAGGUUGCAUAUAGAUUUGGGAACCAGAACCAGCAAAACAAAACAACAUUGAGGUUGCGCCCAACAUUGCUGAAUGAGCUACAAUUUUGUACUCCAUUUUGUUUUCCAUAUUGCAUCAGAAAUGUAAGAAUAACCAUAUAUGAACCGGAACCAUAAAUUUAAGGGGAAAUUUUAGAAAAAAAUCUGCUCUUCAAAUUCCUUUGGUCUAGCAAACAUUAGGUCCUUCUGCAACGUAAUGUUGGUAAAACAACCAAGAAAGAAGGCUCAGAGAAGAGUAAAUGACAGAAUAAAAAAUUCACUGUUUAUUUCUCAAUGAAAAAUAACAGAGUACAUGGUUUAAAUAGUGCUAGUGGUAACUAAAAAAAGCUAAAAAUUACGAACACUAACCCAUGAUCACAACCAAAUCAGAAUAAGAUUUUCUUAAUACCCACUAACUGAUAAAGAUAAAAACAUGUAUUAAUUAUAGCAGUAAAUAACAUUUUGAAUCAUUAUUUUUUCAACAGUGAAUGACAAAGUCAGUCGGCCAUGGUGUUGGUCCUCCUUUCCCUUUCUUGAUGUAAUUUUGUUGCAAUAUGUGGACACUUCGUUGGGACGAAAAACCAUAAUUUACUAAGGUGAGAGGAUAUGCAAUUUAACGUGAUUAAACUAUUAGUAAAUUUAUAUUUUGGUCAUUCAACUUAAAAAAAUUUAUAAAAUGAUUAUUGAGCUAUUCUAAAGUUUUAAUUUAAAUGGUUAAUAUUAGUAAAUUUAUAUCUUCAUUUAACUAAAUUGGGUUCAUUGACUCUCAUUAUAUCUCUUCAAAUCCACUAUAUGCUUAGAAAUUUCGAAGAAAGAUGAAAACAAUGUUAUGGACAAUUUCAUCGAAAUUGAGCCAAAGUUUUCCAAUUAAGAACCUUUGGUGGGAAAAUUGACAUUUGAAUAAUCAUCACAUACAAUCUUUAUUUACAAGGUGUUCCACAAUUGCAUAUAAUACAUUUCCAAUUUGGUCCAAAGAAAAAGGAGGAUACUUUAAAAGUGCGUAAUUUUGAAUUCAAAGCUUAAUAUAUGUAAUUUAUGCUUAAUACAUUCAAUAUUUAUGUGUGAAGUAAACUUAUCAAAUAUUAAAACAAUGUCUCAUUCAUCAAUUUGCAUAAAGAAAGCACUAAGCCAAACCAUUUAGAAAGGAGGGACUGAUGCUCAUGGCCUGAGUUUUAUUCUGGGUGUUUAAAACUCUUCAAUUGUCUUUAAUAAUUUCAUUCGUUUUGGUUUUUUAUUUUUAUACUAAGGUUAAGUUUGGCACUUAUUUUAAGUUUAUGAAUUUUAAAUAUUCUUUGAAAAAAUUUCAAAUUAUUUUUUAUAAAUAUUUUUAAAAUUAAAAAUAUUCAAUAACUUUUUUAAAUAUAUAUAAUUUUUAAGUUAUUUACAUUAUUUUAAAAAUAAAAUAUUAUUUUUUAUAUCAUAAAAAUUAAAUUAAUUAAUAUAAAUUAAAAGUAUAAAUCACUUUUUAACCCUUAAACUUAAUUGUUUUUCUUAAGUUGAUACCUAAUAUUUUUGGAUCUAAGUUGGGACUUGAACUUAUAUUUUAGGUUACAUUUUACUCAUUUUUAGUAUCAAUGUUAAAUUAUGUUGACAUACAUUGUGCCAUGUUAUCACUUUAAAAUUUAUUUAAAUUUUAAAAUAUUGAAAAAAAUUUAUUUAAAACUAUAAAAAAAUAUCAAUUUUUAUUAAAAAUUAUAAUAAAUCUAUUUGAAAAUCUUUUUAAUUAUUUUUCUUUUUUACUUAGAAUUUUUUAUUCCUUUAUAAUUAGUUAUACAACAAUUAUAACAAAUCUUCUAUAUUUUUUUGUUUUUUUUCCUUUUUACUCGAGAUUUUUUUUUUCCUUCAAAACUCUAAAAUGUUUCUUCCCUAUCUCUUUUCUUCGUCACCAUCCCGCUUGCCACCCCCAUCUGGCACCACCCCCAACCUAGAAAUGGCACAAAUUUGUUCUUCUCUUUCUCCUAACUUGUAUCAAAUCUUAGUUAAUUCAGAAGCUUCCUCAAAAAUCGCAAUUAUGAGCCAAUCGAUCAAAUUGCUUGAGUUUUGAGCAAUGAAGCACCGACACGGGAAAACCCCCUCGUACUAGUGUCGUAUUAGUAUCCGACUUGGACACACUGCCGACGCUGCCGGAUACGUAUCAGAUACACCUCGAUGCGUGUCAAAAAAGGGACAUUGCUGGAUUUUCUUUUGGCCUGAAUCAGAAACGAAAAAAAAAACAUAUACAAGGACAACUUUAGUAAACCAAUAAAAACGAAAACUUUAGCAUUUAAUUGUGAUAAUUUAUGGAACUUUUAACAUACUUGUCUUUUUUGGAGUCGUGGUAUAAUUUCUUAGACCUUCGUGUAUUCGCUUAUAUGAAGAUGAUGAUGAUGGAGACUUUGUAGAUAUGGUUUUGUAGAGAAGAAAGGCAAAGACAAAGGUAAAGGCAGUAAAUGAAGAAAAAAAAAGGGGUCAAUGAAGAAGAAAAGAAGGGGUAAAUGAGUGUAUGAAAAAAAAAUAGUUAAUGUACUUGUCUAGUUAUAAUGGGAUAAGAAAGUCCAAAAAAAAUUAAAGUAAUAUAAAAAUAGUGAAAGUAAAGUAUAAUAAAAAUAUGUGAGACCCAUUAUAAUAAGAAUAUAUAUAUAUAUAAUAUUUGUCUAGUUAAUGUAUUUAUUAGAUUAAAAAUAUUUUUUAAAAAAUUAAUUUUAAUUAUAAAUUAAUAAAUAUAUGUGUGGCUUAAAUUUAGAUUUGAUAUGACAUGUUUUGUGUAAUAAACUUGAAAAAUGUAUUACUAUGUUUUGUUAUAUUUUAUGUAAUGAUAAAAGAGUUUAAUGGAAAAGAAUUGAUUAUAUAUAGAGGCGAAGCGAGGGGGAUAGCAUAGGCCCCAGCCCCCUAAAAUAUAAAUUUACUCUUUUGGCCUUAAAAUUUUUUAAAAAUUUUAAAUUAGUAAAGUUAAAAUUACACUUUGUCUCCCCUAAAAUUAUAAAAAUUCGAUUUAAUCCUUUACAAAUUAUAAACAUAUAAACUAUAAAAUUAAAAUUUUAUCCGGCCCCCCUAAAUAUUUAUUCUGGCUUCGCCCUUGGUACUCACACCAACCAAAUCCAAUACCCAAUAGCAAACUAACAAAAUACCAAGCUCUUCGCUUGCUUCUUUGCAACUGAUUCUUGUGUGCUUAUAGGAUCUCCACUAGUUUGACGUUUCCUAUUUGGUGAUUUCAACUUCACUGAAGAGCUUGCAGUUAAUGUCCAACCUGACUGUGUUGUAAUUGACCUCAAUCCAGACUGAAAAUUGUAAAAUUAUAGCGAGGUAAGUAGUUAUAAAUUAGCAAAAAUUGAAAUAUUGCUAAACUAAAAACUUACAUAGAAUGUUUGCUCUCCAAUUUUCAUAUUUGUGUAGAGGCCUAACCCAGUGACAGACCACCUUCGAGUUUUCAUACUCAUGAAAUGCUUAGUUGUGGAAACUAACCUAACUUUUUUUGGUUGAUUCUUCCUCUCCAAUAAGCAAAAACAAAUUGACAUAUUGUUAGAUAAGCUUAUAUCUACUUAAUAUUAAAAAUAUAUAUAGAUUUGUAAAUUACCAAAAUAUUUGCCGCUUCAACUUGGGAAUUUUCUAGGUCAUUAAUACUCUACAGCAAAUAAAAAAUGGCAACAAGCGUCCACAAGUCAAUUUUAAAUGGCAGCAUAUGAAAUAAAAUAAAAUAAAAAAAAUCAUACUCAAAUCAACUUUAAAUUUUAGAUACAUGUUGCGGACAUCCUCGUUGGUUAUGAAAUUUGUUGAGACAAGAUGAAUACUGAGUGGCACUCGAUUAUGUUAACUGUAGAUUGUAAUUGAGGUGGUUAAAUAUUUGUUUUAUUUUAUUUUACAAUUUAAUGAAGAAAAUUUUUAGAAUUAAUGUAAUUUUUAUUGAAGAUAAUAUGAUUCAUUUGUAAUAGCUUAAAUUUUAGUGGUGUCAGAACAGUGAUUCGAGAUCACUAAAUCUGAAAAAUGAGUAGAAAAUAUUAAUAAUUUGGUGAAUAUAAGUUAAAUAUGAAGUUAGGAAAAAUUUUUGAAAUAGCGAAUAGUGUACUAGAAAUAAAUAUUACCAAGUGAAUGAAAGAAGUGAUAAAAAAAUUUAAUUUAAACUGUACAUCGAAUGAAGAUAUAUGUGAUUAUAAUCAAUUUUAAUUAAUUUUGUACUUUAUUUUUAUAUAGAUAUAUUUAUAUUAAUUAUUAAGUUUAUACAAUCCUAGUUGUCUAUAAAACUAGAAGGGAGGAGAUAACAAAGAGUGAGCACUAUCAUUAAUGAGUGAUAGCAAAGGUGAUUGUUCUUUACAACAACUUGAGAAGAAAUUCCGAGGAAUGUCACUUUUGAUGCUGGUCCUAUGAUUAGAGGUUUCACAUUUUUAUUUAUAGCCAUUCAACAUACAUGUCUAAGAAUUAUUUAUGUUACCGAUAUAUGUGGGGUUUUUUAGACAUUUAAAUUAAAUACUCAAUAAAACUCUCAAGUCAAGUUAUAUUUUAUAAUUUUUUUUAAUUUUUUAAUAAUCAUUAAUAUUUUAUUUUUAUAUUUUUUUAUAAACUUGAGUAAAUUUUACAUUUUUUUAAAAUAUUUUAAAUAAUUUGGCAUGUCACGUCAACAUGCUUUCACAUGGCAUACCAUAUGCCAACUUGUCAUGACUUCCAUAAAUCAUGUAAACAACGUAUAAUAUUCAAACUAAUUAAUCAAGAAUUUUGAUUUUUUUACUGAGUUUUUUUUACCAUUUAAUUGUAUAUUAAUAUUUAUUACUUUAUUAAGAAUUGGUUUUUAUGUAAUUUCCCUGACAAAAUUGGUAUUGAGCUCAAUAAAAUAUAUUAUACAAGUAUAGAUAUAACUUUAUUAAAAUCUGCAAAGAGAGAAAACAUUAUUAAUUUGUCUCAAGUCCCUUUUUGAGCAGAUGAGAAAUUUUGUAGAUAGAAGUUGAAUACGGUUUUCUUUUUAGUGAAUUACAAAAAGAGAGUAGAGUCUUAACAGUAAUGUGACUUAAACCUAGAAUCCAUUUGGGGUGAUGAAUACUUUAACCAUUAAACCAAUAUAUAGAAUUUGAAUACAAUAUUUUGAAGUAAAGGCAAACUCUUUGGAAAAUAAAAUUCCAAAAAUUUCCGAGUCAUAAUCUCUUGUGGAAUGGAAAAGUAUAUCCACAAAAUGAUCGAAAAGGCUCUGGGCCACAAUUAAAUCAACAUCUUUAAAUUGUUAUACCAAAAUAAAGAGGGAAUCGUAUUUGCCUUAAAUUAAACCUCUGAAAUUAUCAUAAUUUCAUAUAUUUUGUUUGCAAUUGUUUGGAAAUAAAAAAAAGAAGGUGAUUGGCUCAUCUUGUUUUUGGUGAGAAAGUAAAAUAGCAGCCAAUGCAUUUGUUUUGUGGAAAUUAAAUUAAAACCAAGGAAGUAUCAUUAUCAAGAAAUAUGGACCAUAAGAUUCAUUCCUUUUAUUAUAUAUUAUUCAUACUAACACCAUAGAAAUUUCCAUGAAAAAGUAAGUUCCAUGACAUCCAUUGAAGCAAUGACAACAAUUGGCACCUAUGAUAAUGCUCUAGAAUAACGUAUUUUUAUGUAUUAAUCAUGUGUUUAUUCUGAGCUUGAUCCUACUAAUUUGAGCUAUUUAUAUCUUUUUAUCUUUUAGGGACUGAUUUAGAGGCAAAAGAAAAAUUAAGGGACAAAAGUGCGAAUUUGGAGACAAAAUGGGCUGACAUGCAACACAGGAAAAAAAUUGUGUCAAAAGUGCGAGCAUGGAAGACACAAGGACUAAAAAUGCAAAAAGAAGAGAUUUUAUUUUAUAAGACUACAUUUUAUUUAUAUUAGGAUAAUUAAUAUUAAGAUAAUUAUUAGGAUUAUUUAAUUUUAGGAUUUUAUUUUAAUUAUCUUUAAUUAUCUUUAAUUAAAUGUAUUUAUCUUUUUAGAAUUUAAGUUAAAUUAGAUUAUCUCUCAAGCACUAUAAAUAGGGAGUGAAGUGACUCUAUUUGGUGUUCGUCUUUUUCUGUAAAUAUUCUCUCCCUGAAAGUCUAGGCUUUUGUUUCUUCAUAUUUUCUUUCAAUAAAAUUCCUUUUUCCAUUUUUAUAUUUAUUUUCUUUUCCACCAUUAUCAUGAACCACUAAAAUCUAUCUUGCCGAAAGUUGUCAAUAUUCGCCAAAAAGGGUUCUUGAGGCCUAGAAUCCGUACUUAGCCUUCUCGCCAAGUAUUCAUCGUUUCUCCGCACUACGGGCUGACGCUUCCGUCCAUGGCCCUUAAGAAGUAAGCUUUUCAGCAUAUGCAAAGGCGGCCGCUUUGUAUGUUUUGGAAGGAUUGCACAGUCGGUUCGUUAACUUAUUGCGUCAGAGGUUGGCGAGCCAAAGAGACAAAAUAGCGUGGGAUUCGCCAUUAAGAAGCGUUGAUCUAGCAUAAAUUACUGGCUAGAGUCAGGUUCCCUAAAAAUCGUAAGUCUAAUCUUUGGAGCUGGUGGUCGUAGGCGUCCUCUUCCACUAUAACUGGCUUACUUGAGUUGAGAAGGGUUACUUAAAAGCCAAGGAUUGAAUCCAAUGCAAAAUGAGACAAUCGGAGGCUGGAAUUUCGCCACAUAAGAAACUUUCUCUUUUCCCAACUCUAUUUAUUUUUCCUCAUUUCAAUUGCUGCAAUUCAUUUAAUUUCGCAAAUUCAAUUCACUUUAAAUUCUAUUUUUAUUUUUCCAGAUUCUUAAUUUUAUUUUUUUAUUUUUUAGGAACGCAGGUUUUCUUGGCCAAGAAAUUGUCCAGGAUUUCAAGAACGAGCAUUCGUACAAUCCGAUCCUUGAGGAUUCGACCCUACCUCCCCUUUACUAUUAUUUUUACUAUUUUACAUGGAAUAGGAUAUUUUUGGUGCUCUCAAUGAUACAUCAAAUUUUGGCACCGUUUUUGAAGCAAUGAUAACAAUUGGCACCUAUAACAAUUGCAAAAACACCUUGACUCCUCUAGAAAUCCAUCAGUUUGGAAACUAGAACGUUUAUGCUACAACCAGAUAAACAUUUUAGAAAUAUCUGCUCUCCAAAGUCAUCUUUGUUCAUCUUCAAUUUCGUCCUUGUAUAAACAAAACUCCAACAUAUAGAAAAAGAAAUGAUAACCCUUGAAAUCCUUAAUAUCCAAAUCAUAUUUAUGCAUAAGAAAUUUGCAUAGGAGACGAGAAAAUGGAAUCUGAACUUAAUGGGCAAUUUUGUCACAGUCAAGCUAAAGUUUAACAAUUUAGGAUCUUUUAUCUAUAUGGUGUUCCACUUUUAUGUAUAUUUCCUGGUUUUUCAAUAUGAAUUCGGUUCAAAGAAAAGGAAAUUACUUUAAAUUUGUAUAAUUAAUUUGGAUUCAAAAAUAUUUUUUAAUAAUUUGGUAUGCCACAUUAGUAUACGUUCACAUAACUUCUUAUGAAUCUCACAUACAUAUUAUAUGUCAAUUUCUCAAGAAUUUCGUAAACCAUGUUAACAAUUAAUAUUGUUCUGUAAAAAUAGAACGUCGAUUAUGACAAUAUAUAGUAAAGAAAAGAGAAAUAAAAAAAAUAAAGCACACAAAUUUUUACGUGGAAACUCUUUCAAGAAAAAACUACGGGCAGAGGAGAAGAAAAUUCACUAUGUCGAAUUCGAACAAUUACAAGAGGAAUAGACUAUGUCUAUUUAUAGGCUUGUAAAACCAUAUUCUAAUAGGAGUGUAGUAAGGUUGAAAUACCUUAUUCUAAUCAAUAUCAAAUAGAUGGAGUUUAAUAAGGUUUAAAAAACCUUAUUCUAGAAUAAAAUAAAAGAAGUGUAGUUCUAUAUGGAUUUUACUUUUAUUUUAUUUUACCAUUGUACUUUAUUUAAAUAACGAUUCGGGUCACUCAAUUCUAACAAUCUCCACCUUGACAUGAAUUUUCAAUAAACAAGUUCUUCAUUGCGAACUCUCAAUGAACAAGUUCUCCACCUCUUCCAUAAAACCCCUUAAGGGUUUAACUUCAACAAUGAACACCAACCAAGUCUAAACAAUGCUCAAACUUGGUUAUAGGAAGUGACUUAGUCAUCAUAUCUGCAGGAUUUUCAUGAGUACUAAUUUUGCUCACAACAAUAUCACCACGAGCAAUAAUUUCAUGAACAAAAUGAUACCAAACAUCAUUGUGUUUUGUUCUCUCAUGAAACAUUUGAUCUUUUGUAAGGAAGAUGGCACUCUGACUGUCACUAAAUAUUGUAUUGAUUUGAAGGUCUUUAUUGAGUUCACUAAAGAGUCCCUUCAACAAAUAGCUUCUUUACGAGACACAGUAAUCGCCAUGUACUCAACUUCAAUGGUAGACAAAGCAACUGUAGUUUGCAAAGUGGCUUUCCAACUAAUUGCACAACCUCCGAUUGUAAAGACAUAACCUGUGAGAGAUCUUCUAUCAAGGUCUCUAGUAAAAUCAGCAUCAACAUACCCAAUGACUCCAUCUCUAGUUCUUCCAAAUUGUAAGCAAACAUCAGUAGUACCUCGUAAGUAUCUUAAAAUCCAUUGAAUUGCUUUCCAAUGUUCUUUACCUAGAUUUGCCAUGUAUCUACUAACUGCAUUGACUGCAUAUGAUAAAUCUGGACAUGAACAAACCAUAGUAUACAUGAGAGAUCUCACUACACUAGAGUAUGAAACAUUUAACAUGUACUCAAUCUCAUCAUCUGAUUGUGGAGACAAAGCUGAUGAAAGUCUGAAAUGGGCUGCUAAAGGAGUACUAACAGGCUUAGCACUCUGUAUAUAGAACCUGCAAAGAACUUUUUCAAUGUACCCUUUUUGACUUAGGUACAAUUUACUUACUUUUCUAUCUCUGAGAAUCUCCAUACCAAGUAUCUUCUUUGCUGGUCCCAAAUCUUUCAUCUCAAAUUCUUCACUUAGUUGGGCUUUGACCUUCUUAUCUCAUCAACAUAAAGGAGUAGAUACACAAAAGAACCAUCACUAUUUUUCUUAAAGUAAACACAACAAUCAAAACUACUUCUUUUGAAAUCAUGAGAAGUCAUAAAGGAAUCAAACCUCUUGUACCACUGUCUUGGUGACUAUUUCAAACCGUAAAAGGGACUUUCUCAACAAGCAAACAUAGUCCUUUUUUUCUGAUACUGUAAAACCCUUUGGUUGUUGCAUGUAAACAUCCUUCUCAAGUUCUCCAUGCAAAAAUGCAAUUUUUACAUCUAACUACUCAAACUCCAAAUCAUGCACGGCCACAAUACCAAGCAAAGCUCAAAUCGAACUAUGCUUCACAAUUGGGGAGAACACAUCUGUGAAGUCCACUCUCAGAAUUUGACUAUAACCUUUUGCAACAAGUCUUGCUUUAUAUUUGGGUUCUUCAACUCAUGGAGUCUAUUCUUUCUUUUUAAACACCCAUUUACAACGAACAACCUUUUAACCUUUAGGAAGUUUCAAAAUAUCCCAUGUUUUAUUUUUAUGGAGUGAUUUCAUCUCCCAUUUCAUCUCCCAUUUCAUCCACUUUUCUGAGUCUUCACAGCUAACCGCCUCAGAAUAAUUAGAUGGCUAUUGGUUUACAUCUAUAUCUUCAGUCAAAUUUAAGUAUAAGUAACUAAAUCAGUCUCGGCAUACUUCUUUGGAGGUUUAAUUUCUCUUCUAGUUCUAUUUUUGGUGAUAGAGCAUUAUGGUAAAGAAGCAACUCUAUUCUGAAUUUUUGUAUUAGCUUGAGGAGUCAACUCUGUUGUAGAUUUUGGAUUAAUCUGAUGCUCCACCUACUUUUGAUUUUCUUUAUUAGAAGAGUUUUUGAGAGAUAAGUUAGGUAGCAUAGCAGUUUCAUAAAAAACAACAUCUAUGCUAAUCACAACUUUUCAAUUUUUAGGACACCAUAACUUAUACCUUUUACACCAGUUUUAUAACUAAGAAAAACACAUUUAAUGGAUCUCAGUUCCAAUUUUCCAUUAUCAACAUGAGCAUAUGCAAGACACCCAAAGAUCUUUGAAUCAGAAUAGUCAGCAGGAUUGCCAGACCAUAGCUCUUGUGGAGUCUUUUUCUCAAUGGAAACGGAUGAAGAUCGAUUGAUAAAAAAAUAUGUAGUAGAAGCUGCUUCGGGCCAAAACAACUUUGGUAAGUUGGCAUUUGACAACAUACAUUGAACUUUCUCCAUGAUCGUUCUGUUCAUUCAUUCUACAAUGCCGUUUUACUGUUGAGUAUGACGAACUGUCAAGUGCUCGCGAUCCCUUCUGACUUGCAUAGUUUAUAAAACUCAUCAGAAUAGAAAUCUAAGCCAUUUUCUGUACGGAAGUAUUUUAUUUGUUUUCCUAUAUGUUUUUUAGUCAUAGUUUUCCAAGACUUAAAUGCGAAAAAUGCAUCUCUUUUCUGCUUCAGGAAGAACGCCUAAACUUUUCUGGAAAAAUCAUCAAUAAAAGUUAGCAUAUAAUUAGCUCCACCUCUCAAAGGCACUCUGGAUGGUCCCUAUAGAUCAGAAUGAAUAUACUCCAACGUUCUUUUCGAGUUAUGGAUCACUCUAGUGAAUUGUACUCUCUUUUGCUUCCCAAAAAUGCAGUGCUCACAGAACUUUAGUUUGCAAAUUCCUUGCCCAUCAAGAAGUCCUCUUUUGCUCAAUUCUGUCAUGCCAUUCUCACUCAUAUGCCUUAGGCGCAUAUGAAAAAUUUUAGUAAUAUCAUCAUCUAAAAAGGAAGAGGAAGCGACAACUGCAUCACUAAUAACAGUAAAACCUUGCAAAACAUAUAACUUGACAGUCUUUCUUUGCCCUUUCAUCACAACGAGGGAACCCUUGGAAAUUUUCAAAACCCUACUUUUAGGUGUGCAUGUGUACCCUUUUAAAUCAAGAGUACUCAAUGAAAUUAAAUUUCUCUUUAAUUCUAGAACAUGUCGCACAUCACUAAGUGUUUUAACAACUCUGUCAAACAUCUUAACUUUAAUCGUUCCAACACUUGCAGUUUUACACGAAGCAUUAUUUCCCAUCAAAACAACACCUUCAGACAUUGUUUUGUAAGUUGUAAACCAAUCUCGAUUGGGACUCCUAUGGAAGGUGCAGCCCGAAUUAAGGAUCCACUCUUCGCUCACUUUAGAAUUGUUGACAGAAGCUACUAGAAGUUCACCAUCAUUGUAUUCUUCUACAACAUCAGCUUCAACGGAAUUUUUUGGUUGUUUUCCCUUUUCAUUUGCAGCCUUUCUUUUGAUCUUGUUCUGUAUCUUAUAGCACUCAGAUUUAGCAUGUCCUUUCUUCUUGCAGAAGUUACAAGUUUUACCUUUUUUUGAAGACUUCGAUCUACCCUUAGAUUUACCACGAGGAUUCCGUUCCUGUGUCCUUCCACAAUCAUUAUCAGCAUUCCGUUCUUGUCUCCCAUGAACAAUGAGAACCUUUCUGAGAGUUAAUUUUAACCAUAAGAUGCUUCAUCUUAUCAUACGAGGUUAAAGAACCAUAAACCUCAUCAACUGUGAAAGACUCGUGGCUAUAUAAAAUCGUGUCUCUAGAGGUUGAAUAAGAUGGAGGCAAUGAACAAAAUAGAAUCAACCCUAGAUCUUCCUUGUCAUACUGAACCUCCAUGGCCUCCAACAUUGAGAGAAUUUCUUUAAACACAGUUAAGUGUUCGUGCACAGAAACACCUUCCUCCAAACGAUGAGCAUAAAGACGCUGCUUUAUAUGCAACUUGCUGGUUAGAGUUUUCGACAUACAUAUUUGUUCCAACCUCUUCUAUAAUGCAGCGGUGGUCUUCUCCUUCAUCACAUCCUGCAAAUUUUUGCUAGACAAAUGCAGAUGUAAUUGUGUUAACGCCUUUCGAUCCUUACGCUUCUUCUCUUCAUUUGUUAAUGUCGAAGGCAUCUUAUCUAUCCCUAGCAGGGCAUCCUCCAAAUCCAUCUGCGCAAGAACUGCUUGCAUCUUAAUCUACCACAACGCAAAUCUGGUGUUGCGAUCCAACAGCGGAAUUUCAUACUUCAAAAACGUCAUUACCGUGAUCAAGAUGAAAAACCCAGAAGCUUUGAUACUAAUUUGUAAAAACAGAACAUCGGUAAUGACAAUAUAUCACGAAUAAAAGAGAAAUAAAAAAAUAAAGAACAUACAUAUUUUUAUGUGGAAACCCUUUCAGAAAAAACCAUGAGCAGAGGAGAAGAAAAUUCACUAUGUCGAAUUCGAAUAAUUACAAGAGGAGUAGACUAUGUCUAUUUAUAGGCUUGUAAAACCAUAUUCUAAUAAGAGUGUACUAAGAUUGAAAUACCUUAUUCUAAUUAAUAUCAAAUAGAUGGAGUUUAAUAAGGUUUAGAAAACCUUAUUCUACAAUAAAAUAAAAGAAGUGUAGUUCUAUAGGUAUUUUACUUUUAUUUUAUUUUACUAUUGUACUUUAUUUAAAUAAUGAUUCGGGUCACUCAAUUCUAACAUGUUCAAAUCACUCCAGAAUAAUUGCAAAAAUGAAUUUAUUGAGAAUAUUGAAUUACAAGUCGGAACCGUAAACUAUGAAAAAGUGAAUCGAAUACGUAUGACUUUGUUUUAUCUAUUGUGUAGCCUUACAACUCGGGCGAUGUUUUAAAAAUGAUUGGAAUAUGUCCGCCACCUGCUUAAAUUGAAUUAUUAUAUAACUUAUCCAUUGCUUAGCAAAGAUUGUAUUGGCUACCCUUUGGUUCAUCAUGUGCCCACCCGACCCAUUUUAGAUGUUCAUUUUACUAUUUACUUUGAAAAAGAAUAAUCAUCCCAUAUAUUUAUUAAUGUUUUGAAAGAAAAUUCUGUCUAUCCAAUUUAUUGAUGAUGCAUAAAAAUAAUUCCUUAAAAUUUUACUAAUAUAUUUUAAAAAUAAUUCUUUUUGAACAUUUAUAAAUGUGAAAGGGUAUGAUACUCAUGUUUGAAGUCAUGCUAACUCAAUCACUUACUAAAACGAAAUUAAAACAAUUAAUUUUACAAGAGUGGCCAUAUGGCACUUUUUAAUUUCACUUCUAAUAUAUAAAAGUGAUGUCUUUUCUUUCUAUAAUAAAAAAAUGAAAAUGUGAUAAUAAAAUAAUAUCAUCUAGACUUAAAUUAAACGUAACAAAUAUUUCACCCUUAAUAUAUAAAAGGUAUUUAUAUUGACCUGCAAAAUUAAAUUUCUUUAUUAAAAAUUUUUUAUCUAAAUUUUAGGUCUAAUUCGAACCAAAUUAAAUUUAAAUUGUACAAUAGAUGAAGAUACUUGUUAAUUUAAAUUAAUUUUUUUAAUCAAUCAAAUAGGUAUAUAGGUAUAUUUAUAUUAAUUGCUAAGUAUAUACAAUCUUGAUUGUGGAUAAAGCUAGAAGGUAGGAGAUAGCAAAGGGUGUUAGCCUCUUGCCCAAAAUAAAAGGCAUUAUCCCUAAUGAGUGAUAGCAAAGGUGAUUGUUCUUUGAGAAGAAAUUUUCAAGAAUGUCACUCUUGACCCUGUCCGAUGACAAGAGGUUCCACAUUUUUAUUUAUAGCCAUUCAACGUGUAAGGAGGAUUAGUAUCACAAGUACAAGAAGAAAUUCCAACACAACUGAACAAAAAAUUUCCAAGUAUUAUUCUUUUGUGGAAAGAUAUUCUCAAUAGAAAAAUAUAUCCACGAAAUGAUAGAAAAGGCUUUGGGCCACAACUAAAACAACAUAUUUAAAAUGUUAUACCAAAUUAAAGAUGGAAUCGUCAUUGUCAAGACAUCAACAUCUUAUUAUUUUAUACUCUAAAGGAAUUUUGUUAAUUAAUUACUACUCUAAUUAUGGAUAAUUUUGCUAAUUAUUUUUAAAUUAGUACUUAGUACCCCCUACACCAUGUUCGGGGUGUUCCGUUUCUACGACUAAUGAUUUUCCAAUGAUUCUUGAAUGAAAGUUUUGAUUUAACGACAAAUUGCAAUUUCAGAUUAAAAUUAUAUAUAAAAAAAAUCCCCCAUCUGUUGCAACAUUGAACAGUGAGAUGGUUGCCUGACAUUUUCUAUGUAUUAAAAGAAACAAGCAAGAAAUUAGCAAGGCAGGUACUCAAGUAUAUAUCUUUAGCAAGAAAAACUAACACAGGAAUUUCCAAUUUGAUCCACUAUUGUGUUUUCUUUCUAUGGAAGAACAUUAAUCAAUGUGCCCUGGUUACUUCCAUGAAUUUUCUGCUUCUUUAAAAAUAAGAACAAGAAAGAAAGAAAAACAUCAACUUUAGUCCUACAAUCAACUUGUAUAAAUUCGUUAGUCCUGAAACUAUGGCCUCAUCCUUAACCAUUUCCCUUAUUCUAGGGAUACUGCAGGCUACCAUCCUUCUAAUUUCCUUUGAUACAACUGUGUCAAUAGCAGAUCCAUCGCCAUUGGAGUCCAAAGCCAUAUCGCUGCUAGAAAGCGGGUGGUGGAGUAACCAUAGCAGCAAUACUUCACAACGUUGCCAGUGUCCUGCUAUAACCUGCAACACUGCUGAAAGCAUUACCAAAAUUAACUUAUCUGAUGGGCCCGAUAUUGAGGUUGCAUAUAGAUUUGGGAACCAGAACCAGCAAAACAAAACAACAUUGAGGUUGCGCCCAACAUUGUUGAAUGAGCUACAAUUUUGAACUCCAUUUUGUUUUCCAUAUUGCAUCAGAAAUGUAAGAAUAAUCAUAUAUGAACCAGAACCAUAAAUUUAAGGGGAAAUUUUAGAAAAAAAUCUGCUCUUCAAAUUCCUUUGGUCUAGCAAACAUUAGGUCCUUCUGCAACGUGAAUGACAAAGUCAGUCAGCCAUGGUGUCGGUCCUCCUUUCCCUUUCUUGAUGUAAUUUUGUUGCAAUAUGCGGACACUAGGUUGGGACGAAAAACCAUAAUUUAUUAAGGUGGGAGGAUUUGCAAUUCGUGAUUAAACUAUUGGUAAAUUUAUAUUUUGGUCAAUUAACUUUAAAAAAUUACAAAAUAAUUUUUAAACUAUUCUAAAGUUUUAAUUUAAAUAGUUAAUAUUAGUAAAUUUAUAUCUUCAUUUAAUUAAAUUGGGUUCACUGACUCUCAUUAUAUCUCUUCAAAUCCACUAUAUGCUUAGAAAUUUCGAAGAAAGAAGAAAAAAAUGUUAUGGACAAUUUCAGAGCCUAAGUUUUCCAAUUAAGAACCUUUCGUGGAAAAAUUGACAUUUGAAUAAUCAUCACAUACAAUCAUUAUUUACAAGGUGUUCCACAUUUGCAUAUAAUAUAUUUCCAAUUUGGUCCAAAGAAAAAGGAAGAUAUUUUAGAAGUGCGUAAUUUUGAAUUCAAAGCUUAAUAUAUGUAAUUUAUGCUUAAUACAUUCAAUAUUUAUGUGUGAAGUAAACUUAUCAAAUAUUAAAACAAUGUCUCAUUCAUCAAUUUGCAUAAAGAAAGCACUAAGCCAAACCAUUUAGAAAGGAGGGACUGAUGCUCAUGGCCUGAGUUUUAUUCUGGGUGUUUAAAACUCUUCAAUUGUCUUUAAUAAUUUCAUUCGUUUUGGUUUUUUAUUUUUAUACUAAGGUUAAGUUUGGCACUUAUUUUAAUUUUAUGAAUUUUAAAUAUUAUUUAACAAAAUUUCAAAUUAUUUUUUAUAAAUAUUUUUAAAAUAAAAAAUAUUCAAUAAUUUUUUUAAAUAUAUAUAAUUUUUAAGUUAUUUACAUUAUUUUAAAAAUAAAAUAUUAUUUUUUAUAUUAUAACAAUUAAAUUAAUUAAUAUAAAUUAAAAGUAUAAAUCACUUUUUAACCCUUAAACUUAGUUGUUUUUCUUAAGUUGAUACCUAAUGUUUUUGGAUCUAAGUUGGUACUUGAACUUAUAUUUUAGGUAACAUUUUACUCAUUUUUAGUAUCAAUAUUAAAUUAUGUUGACAUACAUUUUAAGAUUUGUGCCAUGUUAUCACUUUAAAAUUUAUUUAAAUUUAAAAAUAUUUAAAAAUAAAAAACAAUUAUUUAAAACUAUAAAAAAUUAUAAACUUUUAUUAAAAAUUAUAAUAAAUCUAUUUGAAAAUCUUUUUAAUUAAUUUUCUUUUUACUUAGGAUUUUUUAUUCCUUUAUAAUUAGUUAUACAACAAUUAUAACCAAUCUUCUAUAUUUUUGUUUUCUUUUUCUUUUUACUCGAGAUUUUAUUUAUUUAUUUUUCCUUCAAAACUCUAAAAUGCUUCUUCCCUAUUUCUUUUCUUCGUCACUAUCCCACUUGUCACUGCCAUCUGGCACCACCCCUAACCUAGAAAUGGCACAAAUUUGUUCUUCUCUUUCUCUUAAACUUUCCACUAGAGGAAAAUAGAUUUUUAAUGGCACUUUUUUUUUUGGCUCUAUAAGCAUCGCAAAAAACACCGUUAUAAAUAACUCAACUAAAUUUCGCAUCGUUUAUUUGGGAAAACGCCGCUAUAAAACAUUAUAUUUAACUUUUGGAAAAUAUUGACAUCACAUAUAUAAUAAGGGUAAUUACAUGUUAUUAUUUACUAUCAUAAUAGGUUAGCCUAAAUUAAAAGUGAUCUAAUUUGGUUAAAAUUUUAUUGGAUUUAAUUAUUAAAUAAAGUAUGGGUCAAAUAUGUGCAGAUACUCUAGUAAUUAAAUUCUAAUCAAAUUCUGAUUAAUGAUGAGCUAAUUAGAAUUUGAUUAGAACUAAUAUGCCAAUGUUAUAAAUAUUAGGGUUAUGGUCCCCAAAUUAUACGUAAGAUAUCUUUUCUAAUAUCCCAUCAUUAGGAAAGAGAGAGCAGAUAUUCUCUGAAUUUCUUGUGUGCUAAUUUGGAAGAUCAAAUCUCCAAGAUCUGGUAAAACUUCAAGAAAUUCAUGGAUUCAGGUAUGCUUCCUCAUCUAGUUUUGUUCUUAAUGAUAUGACAUGAUAGAUCCUAGUUUAUUAAAUUUUAUUUCAGAUUUAUUUUACAAAUCUAACAAGUGGUAACAGAGCCAGGUUAUGUUAAGUCAUUAGGAAUUGAUUAAAGUUUCUUAUUUAAACGAUUGAUUCAUAAAUUUUUAUGGGUUUUAUAUUUCAGAUAUAUAUUGAUCUUUGAAGGCUUAUAUUAAAGUAUUUCUUUUUUGAAUUUAAAAAAAAGUUAACAGUAAAUAGACAUAACUUAAUUCAUAUAUAUAUUGAUUAUAUACAUAUAUAAUAAAUGCAUGUUGUUUUGGAAAUUUAUAUAAAUAUAUAUAAUUAUCUUUUAAUUUGAUUGAAAGAUGAAAUUAAGGUAAAUAUUUUGAAACAAAUAAAUUCAGAUUUUGGCUCUUAAUUAAGGAUAUCUAAUAUUUUAAAUAAAUUAGUUGAAACAAAAUGCCGUCAAAAUGACUUUUUUUGUGUAGAUUAGUUUAUUUGAAAUAUUAAGAUAAUUAUAUGUUUUUGUGAUUCAUGCAUUUAUUAAUUGACCCAAAGGUAAGUUAAUAUUUGGCAGAAUUUCAAUGACAUCUGUGGUGAUAAAUGUGUGACAAUUAUAAGGUAUUUUAUGUGAGCAAUAAGUUAGUCCAAAGAUUAAUUCAUUGUUUAACAUAAUUUAUUGUCAAUAUUUGAUUGCUACAACAAGAGUACCGCUUACGGUUAAUAUUAUUGUCCAAAGACUUGAUAUUAAUGUUGUGUUUGGUAUCUUGAGAUGGGAUUAGCUGUUAUCUUGAAUUUAUUAUUUACUUAUGAAUAUUAAUUUAAACUUGUUUUUGUUCUAUAUUCAGCUAAUUCAUCUUUGGCUGUCACAAUAUCUGCUACUAUAAUUCUAUACCCAUGCUUGAUGGGACUAAUUUUAAGGAAUGGAAAAGGCACUUACUUAUAGUGCUUGGCUAUUUGGACAUAGACCUUACACUAAGGGAAGAACAACUUGCACCUCUCAUUGUGGAAAACACCCCUGAUGUUAAAAGGGAUUUUGAGAGGUGGGAUCGUUCAAAUCGCAUGAGUCUAAUGAUCAUGAAACACAGCAUUCCAGAAGCCUUUAGGGGCACAGAAUCUGAAGAGAUUACUUAGGCUAAGGGUUUCCUUGAUGAAAUUGAAAAAUGUUUUGCUAAAAACGAUAAGGUUGAGAUGACAUCACUUCUGGCUUCUUUGAUGUCUAUGAUGUAUAAAGGUCAAGGAAACGUAAGGGAGUACAUUAUGGAGAUGUUUCAUAUUGCUUCAAGACUUAAGGUACUUAAGAUCGAGCUUUUUUCCAAUUCUUAUGGUUUUGGCAUCGCUUCCUGCACAGUUUAAUCAAUUUAAAAUUAGUUAUAACUAUCAAAAGAAGAAAUAGACCCUAAAUGAGCUCAUUUCUCAUUGUGUGCAAGAGGAAGAAAGGUUGAAGCGUGGUAAGCCUGGACGUGCUCAUUUGGCCAAUGCCCCUGAAGAUAAGAGCGAGAAAAGAAAAUAUCAGAAUGAAUCUGCUAAGGGUCCAACUCAAAAGAAACAUCAACAAGCUACAGAGUUGUUUCUUUUGUAACAAGUCUGGACACGUAAAGAAAGAUUGUACCAAAUGUCAUGCUUGGCGUCAAAGAAAGGUAUAAUUCUUAAUUUGGUCUGUUCUGAUAUUAAUUUAGCUUCAGUACCUAGAAAGACUUAGUGAAUAGAUUCUAGUGCUACUACUCCAUAAGUGUUUCUAUGCAGGAUUGCCUGAGUUACCGAAAGCUAAGUGAUGGUGAAAGACACAUCUUUGUGGGCAAUGGAAAAUCGGUAAAAGUGGAAGUGAUUGGGCAUUUUAGAUUGUUAUUAGGAACUGGUUUUUAUUUGGAUUUAAAAAAACUUUUAUUGUACCGUCAUUUAGAUGGACUUUAGUUUCUGUUUCUUCAUUAGACAAAUUUGGAUAUUAUUGUUCAUUCGGAAACAAUCAAUUUAAUUUUUCUUUAAAUUCAAAUGUUAUUGGAACUGGUUAUUUAAAUACUUAUGACAACCUUUAUUUGCUAGAAGCAGUUACAUCCUAUAAUGAAACCUUGCAUGUGGAAUCACAUGGUAUUAAAUGCAAAUUAAAUAAAGAAAAUUCAGCAUCAUUAUGGCAUAGGCGCUUAGGUCAUAUUUCAAAAGUUAGAGUUGAACGUCUUAUGACUGAUGGUAUUUUAAAGUCCCUUAACUUCACAGAAUUUGAUGUCUGUGUCAAUUGCAUUAAGGGGAAACAGACCAAAACCAAGAGAUUGGGUGCCAACAGAUCUUCAGACAUCUGAUAAUGCUCUAAAAUAACGUAUUUUUAUGUAUUAAUCAUGUGUUUAUUCUGAGCUUGAUCCUACUAAUUUGAGCUAUUUAUGUCUUUUUAUCUUUUAGGGAUUGAUUUGGAGGCAAAAGCAAAAUUAAGGGACAAAAGUACGAAUUUAGAGACACAAUGGGCUGAUAUGCGACACAAGAAAAAGAUUGUGCCAAAAGUGCGAGCAUGGAAGACACAAGGACUAAAACGCAAAAAGAAGAGAUUUUAUUUUAUAAGACUCUAUUUUAUUUAUAUUAGGAUAAUUAAUAUUAGGAUAAUUAUUAGGAUUAUAUAAAUUUUAGGAUUUUAUUUUAAUUAUCUUUAUUUAUCUUUAAUUAAUUGUAUUUAUCUUUUUAGAAUUUAAGUUCAAUUAGACUAUCUCCCUAGCACUAUAAAUAAGGGGUGAAGUCACUCUAUUUGGGGUGCUCAUCUUUUUCUGUAAACACUCUCCCCUUGAUAGUCUAGGUUUUUGUUUCUUCAUAUUUUCUUUCAAUAAAAUUCCCUUAUCCAUUUUUAUAUUUAUUUUCUUUUCCACCAUUAUCAUGAGCCACUAAAACCUAUCUAGCUGAAAGUUGUCAAUAUUCCCCAAAAAGGGUUCUUGAGGCCUAGAACCCGCACUUAGCCUCCUCGCUAAGUAUUCAUCGUUUCUCUGCACUAUGGGCUGACGCUUCCGUCCAUGCCCCUUAAGAAGUAAGCUUUUCAGCAUAUGCAAAGGCGGCCGCUUUGUAUGUUUUGGAAGGAUUGCAUAGUCGGUUCAUUAACUUACUGCGUCAGAGGUUGGCGAGCCAAAGAGUCAAAAUGGCGUGGGAUUCGCCAUUGAAAAGCAUUGAUCUAGCAUAGAUUACUAGCUAAAGUUAGGUUCUCUAAAAAUCGUAAGUCUAAUCUUUGGAGCUGGUGGUCAUAGGCGUCCUUUUCCACUAUAACUGGCUUACUUGAGUUGAGAAGGGUUACUUAAAAGCCAAGGAUUGAACCCAAGGCGGAACGAGACAACCGGAGGCUGGAAUCUCGCCACAUAAGAAACUUUCUCUUUUCCCAACUCUAUUUAUUUUUCCUCAUUUCAAUUUCUGCAAUUUAUUUUCUCAAAUCCAAUUCACUUUAAAUUCUGUUUUUAUUUUCCCAAAUUCUUAAUUUUAUUUUUUUAUUUUUCAGGAACGCAGGUUUUCUUAGCCAAGAAAUUAUCGAAGAUUACAAGAAACGAGCAUUCGUACAAUCCGAUCCCUGAGGAUUCGACCCUACUUCCUAUUUACUGUUAUUUUUACUAUUUUACAGGAAAUAGGAUAUUUUUGGUGCUCUAAACGACGCAUCAAAUUUUGGCACCGUUGCCGGGGAUCGGUAACGUACUAAUCUUGUUUUUUUUUUGUUUCUUAUGACCAGAUCUGCUCCAGGAACUCUUGCGUUUGAUUCAGAGAUUGAAAAGACUGCGAGAGCUAAUUUCAAGGAAACAAAGCUAAGGAAAAAGCAGUCAGCGGUGGUUGGAACUCAAAGCAAUCCACCGCCAGAAAUCAUAAUCGACGACGAAGCAGAGUCUAGGGUUAACGAAAACCCUAAUCAAACUUUUGAAGGUGAAAAAGUAGAAGUCGAUUCCCCAGAAGAAGUGCUUAACGCUAGGGUUGACGUAAACCCUAAUUUAGCACCUCAACCUAUGGCUUAGACAAUUCGGCAACUGGCCGAAGCGUCGAUAGCAAUUGCCACUAUGCAUCGCAUAUCCUAUUAUGGAUACUGAUUUUGAAUUAAAGUCAGGCUUGAUCCAGCUACUGCCAACCUUUCGGGGUUAUAGAACGAAAAUCCCCACAAGCAUUUAAAAGAAUUCCAUAUGGUUUGUUUGCGUAUGAAACCUCAGAGGGUAACUGAGGAUCAAGUUAAACUACGUUGUCCCUUUUUCCUUAGCAAAUUCUGCUAGGGAAUGGUUAUUUUAUUUACCUCCUGGAUCUGUAAUGACUUGGGCUGAUCUGUCUCGUUUAUUUCUCAACAAGUUUUUUCCAGCGUCGCAUGCAGCCGAGUUAAGAAGAGAAAUCAUAGGCAUAAGGCAAAAAGACACGGAGUCUCUGUAUGACUACUGGGAGUGAUUUAAAAAGUUAUGUGCAAGUUGCCCACAAUACAGUGUAACGGAACAGUCUUUACUCCAAUACUUUUAUGAAGGCCUAAAACCCAUGAAGAUGAAUAUGGUAGAUGCCGCUACUAGAGGAUUGUUGGUCAACAUGACUCCACAACAAGCAAGAGACUUGAUCUCCACAAUGGCUGCAAAUACUCAGCAAUUUCGAGCCAAUCAUGAACCCCCUAGAAGGGUUCACCAGCUAAGUAAUUCGACCUUAGAAGAUAAGGUUGAUAGAAUUACUAAUAUUCUGAAUUCUCUUGUUGCAGAAAAAGUAAAGACAGCCCGAGUAUGUGGAAUAUGUGCUACCCCUGAACAUACAACUGAUGCAUAUCCCAGUUUGAAUGAUGAUACUAUGGCCCAUUUAGAUGCUAUAGGAUAUUUUCCUAGGCCACCACAAAGGCGAUACGACCCUUACGCCAAUACCUACAACCCAGGAUGGAGGGACCACCCUAACUUUAGUUAUGGGGCUAAUCCACAAUAUAACCAGCCAUACCAAAAUGGGGUCCCACAACAGCCAUAAGAUUCAGGUAAUUCUCUGGAAACUUUGGUCAAAAAUUACCAGCUAAUGUCAUUGAUUUUCAAUAGAAAACUCUUAAUUUCCAAAAAGAAACGAAGGCAUCUAUAAGAGAAUUGACCACGUUAAUUGAGAAAUUAAGUUCUCAAGGGAAGCUACCGUCGUAAACAGAACUAAACUCGAGACAGAAUACAAAUGCAAUUACGUUGCGAAGUGGAAAGGUGCUGGAACCAAUUCCUAGCAAGAAUCUUGGUCAAGAAAUCACCUAGGAAACUCUAGAAAAUGACGAACAGAUCUGAGCGAAACUCCCACUGCCGAAAAUCCAACCUCCAUUCCCAGGAUGAUUAAAUCAGUGUCGAAAAAAUAAGGAAGACAAGGAGAUACUCGAAACAUUCAGAAAUGUCGAGAUCAACAUGCCACUGUUGGAUGCCAUCAGACAAAUUUCAAGGUAUGCCAAAUUCCUUAAAGAGAUCUGCACCAAAAACGAAAGUUAACAAGCAAUAAAAAGGUAAGUGUUGAUGAAAAUGUUUCCGCAGUGCUACAGCGAAAAAUGCCGGUUAAAUGCAAAGAUAGGGGUAUGUUCACUAUUCUAUGCAAAAUUGGUCAUUUAGGAAUUAAAAAGGCUAUGUGCGAUUUAGGGGCGUCCAUAAAUGUAAUGCCUUAUUUUAUUUAUGAAUCACUUAACGCGGGUUUUUUAACAAAGACAGGUGUUACCAUUCAGUUGGCAGACAGGUCCAUUGUGCAUCCCGAAGGGGUCCUCGAGGACGUAUUAGUCAAACUACAAAUUUUUAUGUGAUAAAAAUGGAGGAGGAUAACACUCCUGGGUCUUUAGACAUCUUGUUGGGAUGACCUUUCCUUAGUACUGCGAAUACUAAGAUUGAUGUACGAAGCAGAACCCUCACGAUAGAGUUUGAUGGGGAGAUCGUGAAGUUUAAUGUUUAUGGCACUAUUAGUCACCCAAGUGAAGUCUUGGAUGUAAACCGUGUCGACAUAAUUGACUCAUCAGUAGAACAAACUUUUGAGUCAUCUUAUGGAGAUAAACCUAAAAUGAUGUUUGAUGAUUUUGAAUCUGUUAAUAAAUUAUUAGCUCCCAUGAAUACUAAACUUCUACCUCCUGUUGUGCAGGCACCAGAUCUAAAAUUAAAACCACUUCCCGAGCAUCUCAAAUGCACAUUUUUGGAGAAUGAUGAGACCAUUGCUGACUUAAAAGGGAUCAACCCCUUGGUGGAAAAUACGAAACCAAAGAAAGAGGCGGAAGGACGAUUAAACCCAAAUAUGGUGGACGUGUUAAAAAAUGAGAAUUUCCAAGCUCAUAAGAAUGAAAGAAUUCAGCUGGAACAGCCACAAUACUAGUUGGGGCGUCAAGCUAGCGACGUUAAACAAGCGCUUGUUGGGAGGCAACCCAAUUUUUUAUUUUUAUUUUAUUUAUUUUAUCUUAUUAUUUAUUAUUUUCAGAUAUUAAUAAAAUUCUCUUCUUUUGUCUAGGUAAACCGAAGCAACAAUAGGGAGAACUUAUUACCAUAAUGCGCGAAUGAUAGUAACUACACGGGGAGUUCUUCUAAACUUUUCUUCUACCUAUUUAUUUAUUUAUUCCACAUCGAGGACUAUGUGGUUUAAAUAGGGGGAGGCAUUCCUUAUUAUUUCUAUCAUUUUAGAUGCUAAAUCUUUGUUGUUGUUGCUGCUGAUUCGGUUGUUGCUGCCCAUAUAAUUUUUUUUAAGAAUAUUUUGCCUCUUUUCAUGCCCAAGAAUUUGACCACCACUUGCCCACUGUUUGACCCACAUGCAUGAUUCUUAUCUACUGAGUUAAUUAUGAUUUUGCUUGAUAGAUUUCAUCUCCACUGUUUUAUUUCUUUUAGUUUAAAUAACUAUGAUUAAUAGAGUUAACCCUAUCUUGAUUUUGGUAAAUUUGAUUAAGUCUAAAUACGAAGAGGACACUUAAUUGCAUGCUUAAAAUAUGUUCAUGACUAUUAAGGUAGUUACCGAAACUUGUUUUUGACACUUGAUUGUUUUUCCUAAGUCCUCCAAAAUUAAAAUUUGAUUUAAUAAUAAUAAUGUUUCCGUGGUUAUGAGUGCAGCUUAAGACGUGACUAGCUGAGUAACCGGGGUAGGGUGCUUGGGUUGUCAUCCUAUUUCGCGUCAAAAGGUUGUGUGACGUGUUAGGUAAAAUUCCGCUAACCGGAAUUAAUUUCUAAGAGUAACCAGGGUGGGUGCUUGGGUUGUCAUGUCUCUUCGCGUCAAAAGGUAUAGUAUAUUCCUAAGUAAAAAUAAAUAAAUUAAAUUAAAAUUCUAUAACAAAAAGAAAAAAAGAAAAAAAAAGUCAUAUUAAUAAAAUGUGAGGACUAAAGGUAAAAUUGAAUAGGGUGUCUUGAUAGGUUUGGUAAAUUAUCUAAUUUUCAUGAAAUAAUCCAAGUCGAUCUUAAUUUUGUUUGUGUUAAUUAGAACACUUUUUCAAAUUUUACUUAAAUCAAGCUAAGGGUUCUCUUUAUUUUUCGUAUGCAUUUUGACUAAUUUUUAUAAAACUUUGGAGUAGAAUUUCUUUCAUGGCAGGAUUUAAUUUUCACAGUGGAUAGGAACCAUACUUGAGGGUAAGCAUGGACUAAAUAGGGGGAAUUUGAUAAUGCUCUAGAAUAACGUAUUUUUAUGUAUUAAUCAUGCGUUUAUUCUGAGCUUGAUCCUACUAAUUUGAGCUAUUUAUGUCUUUAUAUCUUUUAGGGACUGAUUUGGAGGCAAAAGCAAAAUUAAGGGACAAAAGUACAAAUUUAGAGACACAAUGGGCUGAUAUGCAACACAGGAAAAAGUUUGUGCUAAAAGUGCGAGCAUGGAAGACACAAGGACUAAAAAUGCAAAAAGAAGAGAUUUUAUUUUAUAAGACUCCAUUUUAUUUAUAUUAGGAUAAUUAAUAUUAAGAUAAUUAUUAGGAUUAUUUAAAUUUUAGGAUUUUAUUUUAAUUAUCUUUAUUUAUAUUUAAUUAAUUGUAUUUAUCUUUUUAGAAUUUAAGUUCAAUUAGACUAUCUCCCUAGCACUAUAAAUAGGGGGUGAAGUGACUCUAUUUGGGGUGUUCAUCUUUUUUUGUAAACACUCUCCCCCUGAAAGUCUAGGCUUUUGUUUCUUCAUAUUUUCUUUCAAUAAAAUUCCCUUUUCCAUUUUUAUAUUUUUUUUCUUUUCCACCAUUAUCAUGAGCCACUAAAACCUAUCUAGCCGAAAGUUGUCAAUAUUCCCCAAAAAGGGUUCUUAAGGCCUAGAACCCGCACUUAGCCUCCUCGCCAAGUAUUCAUCGUUUCUCUGCACUAUGGGCUGACGCUUCCGUCCAUGCCCCUUAAGAAGUAAGCUUUUCAGCAUAUGCAAAGGCGGCCGCUUUGUAUGUUUUGGAAGGAUUGCAUAGUCGGUUUGUUAACUUACUGCGUCAGAGGUUGGCGAGCCAAAGAGACAAAACGGCGUGGGAUUCGCCAUUGAGAAGCGUUGAUCUAGCAUAAAUUACUAGGUAGAGUAAGGUUCCCUAAAAAUCGUAAGUCUAAUCUUUGGAGCUGGUGGUCGUAGGCGUCCUCUUCCACUAUAACUAGCUUACUUGAGUUGAGAAGGGUUACUUAAAAGCCAAGGAUUGAAUCCAAUGCAAAAUGAGACAAUCAGAGGCUGUAAUUUCGCCUCAUAAGAAACUUUCUCUUUUCCCAACUCUAUUUAUUUUUCCUCAUUUCAAUUGCUGCAGUUCAUUUAAUUUCGCAAAUUCAAUUCACUUUAAAUUUUGUUUUUAUUUUUCCAAAUUCUUAAUUUUAUUUUUUUAUUUUUUAGGAACGCAGGUUUUCUUCACCAAGAAAUUGUCCAGGAUUACAAGAAACGAGCAUUCGUACAAUCCGAUCCCUAAGUAUUCGACCCUACUUCCCCUUUACUGUUAUUUUUACUAUUUUACAGGGAAUAGGAUAUUUUUGGUGCUCUUAACGACGUAUCAAUAUCUUAGAAUUAAUUCAUACAGAUAUUUGUGGGCCAUUUCCUACGGCAUCCUGGAAUGGUCUACAAUAUUUCAUAACAUUCAUAGAUGAUUACUCAUGUUAUGGGUACCUAUAUCUCAUUAAUGAGAAAUCUCAGUCUUUGGGCAUGUUCAAAACUUAUAAAGCUGAAGUUGAGAAUCAACUCAACAAAAGGAUUAAAAAGUCAAAUCUGAUCCUGGUGGUGAGUACUACGGUAGAUUUGAUGGCUCAGGUGAACAAUGUUCAGGACCAUUUGCGAAAUUCCUAGAGGAAUAUGGUAUUGUCCCAUAACACAUCAUGCCAGGAUCACCUAGUAUGAAUGGUGUAGCUGAAAGAUGAAAUAGAACUCUUAAGGAUAUGGUAAGGAGCAUGAUUACUCAUUCUACCUUACUUGAGUCCCUCUGGGGAGAAGCAUUAAAGACAACAACUUACAUUCUGAAUAGAGUACCCAAUAAAGCAGUUGCAAAAACACCUUAUGAGCUUUGGACAGGUCAAAAGCCUAGUUUAAAGCACUUUCACAUUUGGGGAUGUCCAGUUGAGGCAAGGCCUUAUAGGUCACAUGAAAAGAAAUUGGACUCCAAAACAGUAAGUAACUACUUUAUUGGUUAUUCUGAACGAUCUAGGGGCUAUAAAUUUUAUGAUCCCAUAAUAAGGAAUAUUUUUGAGAUGGGAACUGCACAUUUUUAAUGAUGUUGAGUUUGGAGGGAGAAAUAAGGUUAGAGACAUUACUUUUGAGGAUGAAUUGGAUUCUAACUAAAUUCCUACUAUCACUUUUGAUGAUGUUUAGGUUCUUAUACCUAUCAUUGAUUAGGAAGUGAAUCCAGAACCUCUACAAGACAAUGUUGAACAACUCUCAAUUCAAAAUGAGAUAAUUUUUCUAGAAGAACAAACUCAACAACCUCAAGAACAAGUGUCAUUAAGGAGGUCCACAAGAGAAAGGAGAAAUGCUAUUCCAGAUGAUUAUAUUGUAUUUCUCCAAGAACAUGAGGAUGAUAAUGGAAUGAUGGAAGAUGAUCCAAUCAACUUUCAUCAAGACAUAAAAAGUUCUAAUUCUUAAAAGUGGAUUGAUGCCAUGAAAGAUGAGUAUAAAUCUAUGCAACAGAAUAAAGUUUGGGAACUUGCCCCAUUACCUGAAAGUGCAAAACCAAUUGGUUUUAAAUGGAUAUUUAAAACCAAGAGGGAUGCAAAUGGUAAUAUGGAGAGGUAUAAGGCGCGUCCUAUAGCUAAAGGAUAUACUCAAAAAGAAGGUAGUUAUUUUACAGAGACUUUCUCUCCAGUUUCAUCGAAAGACUCCUUCAGGAUAAUCAUGACGCUUGUUGCUCAUUUUGAUCUUCAGUUACAUUAGAUGGAUGUCAAGACUGCGUUUCUUAAUGAUGAUAUUGAAAAAACAAUUUAUAUGGUGCAACCAAAAAAUUUUGAGUCGGAAGACUCAAAGAAUAUGGUUUACAAAUUGACAAAAUCUAUCUAUGGACUCAAACAAGCUUCUCGUCAAUGGUAACACAAGUUUCAUCAAAUAAUUAUUUCGUUUGGUUUUGAGAUGAAUAUUGUUGAUGAUUGUGUGUAUAACAAAUUCAAUGGGAGUAAGUACAUAUUUCUGGUUCUAUAUGUUGAUGACAUUUUGCUUACCGCUAAUGAUAUAGGCUUAUUAGACGAAAAUAAUAGAUUUUUAUCUAAGCAUUUUGAGAUGAAAUAUCUUGGGGAUGCCUCUUUUGUUUUAGGAAUUUAGAUACAUCAAGAUUGACCUCGAGGUAUUCUUGGAUUAUCACAAAAUAGCUAUAUCGAUAAAGUACUCAAAAGGUUUGGCAUGCAGAGUUAUAGACCAGGUGACACCCCUAUCGUUAAAGGAGACAAAUUUAGUCUUACUCAAUGCCCUAAAAGUAACCUUGAAAUUCAAGAAAUGCAAAAGAUUCCCUAUGCGUCAGCUUUUGGGAGUUUAAUAUAUGUUCAAGUUUGUACACGUCCGGACAUUGCGUACAUUGUUGGGAUGUUAGGCAAAUAUUUAAGCAACCCUAGUAUAGACCAUUGGAAAGCAGCCUAAAGGGUUAUGAGAUAUCUUCAGAGAAUAAAAGAUUACAUGCUUACUUAUAAGAGAUCAGAUCUUUUAGAGGUCAUAGGGUAUUCUGAUUCUAAUUUUUCUGGAUGCAAAGAUAGUAGAAACUCUACAUCAGGCUAUAUUUACAUGUUAGCUAAAGGAGCUAUAUAUUAGAAAAGUGUCAAACAGACACUUGUAGCUUCGUCCACUAUGGCAGUAGAGUUUGUAACAUGCUAUGAGGCAUCAAACCAUGGAAUAUGGUUGCAGAACUUUGUUAUAGGGCUGCGCAUUUUGAAAAAUGUAGAAAGACCACUCAAAUUAUUUUGUGACAAUUAGUUAGCAGUGCUAUAUUCCAAUAACAAUAGGAGUUCAUCUAAGUCAAGGCAUAUUGACAUAAAAUUCUUAGUUGUAAAAGAAAGAGUGCAAAAUAGUCAAAUAUCCAUAGAGCACAUUGGGACAAACUCCAUGAUAACGGAUCUGCUCACAAAAGGUUUACCACCCAAUGUCUUUCAUGAGCACACUGCUCAUAUAGGUGUUACAUUGUUUGGGGAUAUCAUGAUUUUGUGGGAGUUUAUAUUUUAUUUGUUUUAUAUUUGUUUUUAGACAUUUAUGUAUUUGGUUAUUUUCUGGUCAGAAAUAAAGUAUUUAGUUUAUUCAUUAUGUUUAUUAUUUUGGUACUGACCUCACUUAAGUUUAAAAAGGACCAGUUGGAAAUAGACAUGUUUAUAUCAUAUUGCAUGUAAUUUCCAUGCUACACAUCCAUACUUGGUCUAUGUCAUUUGGUUGUGUUAAUAUACGUGAUCAUGGAUGGAUUUAGUUACGAUAUAUGUAAAAUCGCCUUGGUUCUAUGUUAACAUAAUUAAUGGACAAGAUUGUUUGGAAUACCUUUUGGAUAUGAUAGUUAAAUUUUGAGCUCAUAAGGUUAUAUAAUGACAUAUAAUUAUAGAGUAAUUAGUAUUUAUAUAUGGUCCAAGUGGGAGAUUGUUGGAAAAUAUGGACAUCACAUAUAUAAUAAGGGUAAUUACAUGUUAUUAUUUACUAUCAUAAUAGGUUAGCCCAAAUUAAAAGUGAUCUAAUUUGGUUAAAAUUUUAUCGGGCUUUAAUUAUUAAAUAAAGUAUGGGUCAAAUAUGUGUAGAUACUCUAGUAAUUGAAUUCUAAUCAAAUUUUGAUUAAUGAUGGGCUAAUUAGAAUUUGAUUAGAACUAAUAUGCCAAGGUUAUAAAUAUUAGGGUUAUGGUCCCCAAAUUAUACACAAGAUAUCUUUUCUAAUAUUCCAUCAUUAGUAAAGAGAGAGCAAAUAUUCUCUAAAUUUCUUGUGUGCUAAUUUGGAAGAUCAAAUCCCCAAGAUCUGGUAAAACUUUAAGAAAUUCAUGGAUUCAGGUACAUUUCCACAUCAAGUUUUAUUCUUGAUUUGUUCUUAAUUUAUUCCUGAUGGUUUGACAUGAUAGAUCCUGGUUUAUUAAGUUUUAUUUAAGAUUUAUUUUACAAAUCUAACAUUAGCAGCGCUUAUCAUAAAAAUGCCACUAAAGGUCAUGUUCUUUAGCUGCGUUUAUGUGUAAAGCACCACUAAAGGUCAUGUUCUAUAGCGGCAUUUGUGUGUAAAACGCCACUAAAGGUCAUGUUCUAUAGCGGCGUUUGUGGGAAAUCACCAUUAACUUUAACAGAUUUUACUAAAUUGUUUUAAUUCAUAUAGAACCCGAAUUUUCAACAUAAUUUCUUGUAACAUCAAAUCCAACCAAAAAAAUUCAAAUCUAAAUGAUUCUAUCAUGAAAGAAAUAUGUAUAUGAACUAAAUUAAUAAAUGAAAUAACAAAAUAUAUUUUAUUCGAAAGUUAUAUUGUUAAGAUAUUCUCACAAUAAGAAAACAAAAUUCUAAGAUGCGAAUUUUGCGACUGCUGAAACAUCUUCAUCAUAUUCUGAAGCUGUAGCUGAUGUUCAUCAUAUUUUCUUUGAGCCUCUAUUUGUUUCAAUGAUACCUCCUCUUUAAGUUGAGCAAUUUGCUCAACUGUGCUCGCUUGCAUCUGAGCCAUCUGGUCUCUUAACCUCUGAACUUCAGCUUGAGCCUGAUUGCUGAAGGCGUGUAUUGUUGCGAGCUGGAUUCAAAAUAUUGGGUUGGGCUAACAAAAGAUCCUUAAAAUCAAACCUGACCAUACCUUUUAGGACCCAAAAAUUCAGUAAUAAUUCAGUUAUCAAUGUUGUCCAGAUUAACAGAACUAUCACUUGAAGCGAUCGCUUCAUACUCCACCCUUUUAUCCUUUAGUUUCUCCUAAUAUCAAUGAAGGAGCUAGAAACAAAAUAUAUAAUCAAACAAAUGCAACAUAACUUGGCAUUAUUUGCAUUACAAACGACGAAUUUAACGAUAACUUUUUUUUCAUAUUAGGUAGCCCUUCAUUUUAUAUGAACAAUGAGAGAACUUUAUUGCACCAUCAUUUGUUUUGAUAUUGAACUUUUACAAAUUUAACGAUAAAUAAUUAUUAUUGCUUCAUGCAUUUAAAAGUAAAUAUAUCACUAAUUAAAUUUUCAUAAUCCUAUAACCAUAAUGAAUCUACUUUUUUUAAAAAAAGGUAUAAAUUUAACAUGUACCUAUAAUAAUGCUUGCCAGGAUACUACUACUAAUCUUUUGAGUCUGCAUUUUAUGCUCGCAAUGGAAUCCUGUACUACUGUAUUCAUAAUGAAGAGGACAAGACUCUGAUGAGCAAUAGUUGCUAGGUAUAUUCAAACAAAGCAUGCAGCAAUUUUGAUAAUUCUCACAGUUCCCAUCUGUCAUUUAUGAAAUGAAUAAAAAAAAGCUUAUAAUCAUAUUAUUCGGUUAAAGUAUCUAAGAGGUCCUUAUACUAUAUGGAUCGGAUCAAAUUAGCCCUUCUAUUAUUAAACGGAUCAAUUUAGUACUUAUACUAUUAAAAAUAAUCAAAUAAGUUUAAAUUAUAAAAGCAUUAACAUUUACAGUAUAAAAAAUGUCUUGAAUUAUUUUCAAAAUAAAUUCUAUUUCAAAAAUAAAAUAUUUCAUUUAUAGAACUAUAAAAACUUUAAAUAUAAUUAACUCUAUUAAAUAGUAAGUGUUAAUUAGAUAUUUUAAUAAUGUAAUUUAAAUUAUGUAAUUUAAUUUGUUAAAUAAAAAAUAUUUUAAUAUUUUUUCUAAGAUAAUAUAUAUAUCAGAAAAAAAGUUCCCUAAGAAAAUGCUAAUUCGUACCUUUGCAUAACGUCGAAUAAACGUGAAUAUCCCUAUCGCGCACACAAAGAUGAUUAGGGCUCAACCUCGACCAACAAUAUUCACCAUCAGAUCUACAAGAAGUGUCCAAACUAUCGUUUAAAUGGCAUUCUCCAAAUAUUAGUGUGCCCCAUUGCAAUUGUGUUGGGACAUACGUCCUACUACUUAUAUCAGAAUCUUCUAAAUUAUAGUCAUCAGAAAUCAAGGAAGCAAAUCCGCAUGAUCUUUUCUUCUUACUCAUGAUUACGUAGAGUGAACUAAUACCCUGAGGAAAAUAAGCAAGACAACUAGCAACAUAGGAAUUCUCGUUAUUAAUCCUAAAACUUGGUUGCAAACAUCCGCCUAUAAAAUUAACUGUUUCAUUGCUGAAAAUGUGAAAAUAAAAUAAAAUAAAAUAAAAAUAAAAAUAAAAUAAAGAACACAGAUUUUUACGUGGAAACCCUUUCGGGAAAAAAACCAUGGGCAGAGGAGAAGAAAAUUCACUAUGUCAAAUUCGAAUUAAUUACAAGAGGAAUAGACUAUGUCUAUUUAUAGGCUUAUAAAGCCAUAUUCUAGUAAGACUGAAACACCUUAUUCUAAUCAAUAUCAAAUAGAUUGAAUUUAAUAAGGUUUAAAAAACCCUAUUCUAAAAUAAAAUAAAAGAAGUGUAAUUCUAUAUGGAUUCUUCUUUUAUUUUAUUUUACCACUGUAUUUUAUUUAAAUAAGGAUUCGGGUCACUUAAUUCUAACAAUCUCCACCUUGACACGAAUUCUCAAUGAACAAGUUCUUCAUUGCGAACUCUCAACGAACAAGUUCUUCAUCUCUUCCAUAAAACCCCUUAAGGGUUUAACUUUAACAAUGAACACUAACCAAGUCUAAGCAAUGCUCAAACUUGGUUAUAGGAAGUGACUUAGUCAUCAUAUCUGCAGGAUUUUCAUGAGUACUAAUUUUGCUCACAACUAUAUCACCACGAGCAAUAAUAUCACGAACAAAAUGAUACCGAACAUCAAUGUGUUUUGUUCUCUCAUGAAACAUUUGAUCUUUUGUAAGAAUGAUGGCACUCAGACUGUCACAAAAUACUGCGCUGAUUUGAAGGUCUUCAUUGAGUUCGCUAAAGAGUCUCUUCAACCAAAUAGCUUCUUUACAAGCCUCAGUAAUCGCCAUAUACUCAGCUUCAGUGGUAGAAAAAACGACUGUAGUUUGCAAAGUGGCUUUCCAACUAAUUGCACAACCUCCGAUUGUAAAGACAUAACCUGUGAGAGAUCUUCUUCUAUCAAGGUCUCCAGCAAAAUCAGCAUCAACAUACCCAAUGACUCCAUCUCUAGUUCUUCCAAACUGUAAUCAAACAUCAGUAGUACCUAGUAAGUAUCUUAAAAUCCACUGAACUAUUUUCCAAUGUUCUUUACCGGGAUUCGCCAUGUAUCUGCUAACUGCACUGACUGCAUAUGAUAAAUCUGGACAUGAACAAACCAUAGCAUACAUGAGAGAUCUCACUGCACUAGAGUAUGAAACAUUUGACAUGUACAUAAUCUCAUCAUCUGAUUGUGGAGACAAAGCUGAUGAAAGUCUGAAAUGGGCUGCUAAAGGAGUACUAACAGGCUUAGCACUCUGCAUAUAGAACCUGCAAAGAACUUUCUCAAUGUACCCUUUCUCACUUAGGUACAAUUUACUUGCUUUUCUAUCUCUGAGAAUCUCCAUACCAAGUAUCUUCUUUACUGGUCCCAAAUCUUUCAUCUCAAAUUCUUCACUUAGUUGGGCUUUAACCUUUCUUAUCUCUCAUUUAUCUUUUGCUGCUAUCAACAUGUCAUCAACAUAAAGAAUUAGAUACACGAAAGAACCAUCACUAUUUUUCUUAAAGUAAACACAACUGUCAAAACUACUUCUUUUGAAAUUAUGAGAAGUCAUAAAGGAAUCAAACCUCUUGUACCACUGCCUUGGCGACUAUUUCAAACCGUAAAGGGAAUUUUUCAGCAAACAAACAUAGUUCUCUUUUUCAGAGACUGUAAAACCCUCUGGUUUUUGCAUGUAAAUAUCUUCCUCAAGUUCUCCAUGCAAAAAUACAGAUUUUACAUCUAACAGGUCAAGCUCCAAAUCAUACAUGGCCACAACACCAAGCAAAACUUGAAUCGAACUAUGCUUCACAACUGGGGAGAACACAUCUGUUAAGUCCACUCCUGGAAUUUGACUAUAACCCUUUGCAACAAGCCUUGCUUUAUAUCUGGGUUCUUCAACUCCUGGAGUCCCUUAUUUCUUUUUAAACACCCAUUUACAACAAACAACCUUUUUACCCUUAGGAAGUUUUACAAGAUCCCAUGUUCUAUUUUUGUGGAGUGAUUCCAUCUCCUCUUGCAUAGCAAACAUCCACUUUUCUGAGUCUUCACAACUAAUCGCCUCAGAAUAAUUAGAUGGUUCUUGAUUCCCAUAUAUAUCUUCAGCCACAUUUAAAGCAUAAGUAACUAGAUCAGCCUCGGCAUAUUUCUUUGGAGGUUUAAUUUCUCUUCUAGUUCUGUUUUUAGUGAUAGAGUAUUGCGGUGAUGAAGCAACUCUAUUCUCAAUUUUUGUACUGGCUUGAGGAGUCAACUCUGUAUUAAUCUGAUACUCCACCUACUUUUGAUUUUCUUUAUUUGAAAAGUUGGUAGCAUAGCAAUUUCGUCAAAAACAACAUCUCUGCUAAUCACAACUUUUCUAUUUUCCGGACACUAUAACUUAUACCCUUUUACACCAGCUUUAUAACCAAGAAAAACGCAUUUAAUGGAUAUCGGUUCCAAUUUUCCAUUAUCAACACGAGCAUAUGCAGGACACCUAAAGAUCUUUAAAUCAGAAUAAUUAGCAGGAUUACCAGACCAUACCUCUUGUGGAGUCUUUUUCUCAAUGGCAAAGGAUGGAGAUCGAUUGAUCAAAAAACAUGCAGUAGAGGCUGCUUCUGCCCAAAACGACUUUGGUUAGUUGGCAUCUGACAACAUACAUCGAACCUUCUCCAUGAUCAUUCUGUUCAUUCGUUCUGCAACACCGUUUUUGCUGUGGAGUAUGACGAACUGUCAAGUGUCUCACGAUCCCUUCUGACUUACACAAUCUAUUAAACUCAUCAGAAUAGAAUUCUAAACUAUUGUCUGUGCGGAGGUAUUUUAUUUGUUUUCCCGUCUAUUUUUCAAUCAUAAUUUUUCAAGACUUAAAUGCGAAAAACACAUCGCUUUUCUGCUUCAGGAAGAACGCCCAAAAUUUUCUAGAAAAAUCAUCAAUAAAGGUUAGCAUUUAAUUAGCUCCACCUCUCGAAGGCACUCUAGAUGGCCCCUACAGAUCAGAAUGAAUAUAGUCUAACGUUCCUUUCGUGUUAUGGAUUCUUCUGGUGAAUCGAACUCUUUUUUGCUUCCCAAAAACACAAUACUCACAGAAAUUUAGUUUGCAAAUUCCUUGCCCAUCAAAAAGACUUCUUUUGCUCAAUUCUACCAUGCCAUUCUUACUCAUAUGCCCUAGGCGCAUAUGCCAAAGUUUAGUAAUAUCAUCAUCUAUCAAGGAAGAGGAAGCGACAACUGCAUCACCAAUAAUAGUAGAACCCUGCAAAAUAUAUAACUUGGAAGUCUUUCUUUGCCCUUUCAUCACAACAAGGGAACCUUUGGAAAUCUUUAAAACCCCACUUUCAGUUGUGUAUCUGUACCCUUUUGAAUUAAAGAGUACUCAACAAAAUAAAAUUUCUCUUCAAUUCUGGAACAUGUCGCAUGUCACUAAGUGUUCUGACGACUCAAUCAAACAUCUUAACUUUAAUUGUUCCAACAUCUGUGAUUUUACACGAAGUAUUAUUUCCCAUCAAAACAACUUCUUCAAACAUUGUUUCGUAAGUUGUAAACCAAUCCCGAUUGGGACUCAUGUGGAAGGUGCAACCUGAAUCAAGUAUCUACUCUUCGCUUACUUUAGAAUCAUUGACAGAAGCGACUAGAAGUUCACCAUUGCUGUAGGCUUCUACAACAUCAGCUUCACCAAAAUUUUCUAGUUGUUUUCCUUUUUGAUUCAUAGCCUCCAUUUUAAUUUUGUUCUGUAGCUUAUAGUACUCAAAUUUAAUGUGCCAUUUCUUCUUGCAGAAGUUACAAGUUUUACCUCUGUUUGAAGACUUCGAUCUACCCUUAGAUUUACUACGGGGAUUCCGUUCCUGUGUCCUACCACGAUCAUCAUUAGCAUUCCAAUCUUGUCUCCCAUGAACAAUGUGACUCUCUCCCUAAGAGUCGGGUUUAACCACAAGAUGCUUUAUCUUAUCAUACAAGGUCAAAGAAUCAUAAACCUCAUCAACUGUGAGAGACUCGCGACUAUAUAAAAUCGUGUCUCUAAAGGUUGAAUAAGACGGGGGCAAUGAACAAAGUAGAAUCAACCCUAGAUCUUCCUUAUCAUACUGAACCUCCAUGGCCUCCAACUUUGAGAGGAUUUCUUUAAAGACUGUUAAGUGUUCGUGUACAGACGCACCUUCCUCCAAACGAUGAGCAUAAAGACGUUGCUUCAUAUGCAACUUGCUUGUUAUAGUUUUUGACAUACAUAUUUGUUCUAGCCUCUUCCAUAAUGCGGCGACAGUCUUCUCUUUCAUCACAUCCUGCAGAAUUUCGUUGGACAGAUGUAGAUGUAAUUGUGUUAACGCCUUUUGAUCCUUACACUUCUUCUCUUCAUCUGUUAAUGUCGAAGGCAUCUUAUCUAUCCCUAGCAGGGCAUCCUCUAGAUCCAUCUACGCAAGAACUGCUUGCAUCUUAAUCUACCACAAUGCAAAUCUGGUGUUGCAAUCCAACAGCGGAAUUUCAUACUUCAAAGAUGCCAUUACCGUGAUUGAGAUUAAUAACUUAGAAGCUCUGAUACCAAUUUGUGAAAAUAAAAUAAAAUAAAGAACACACAGAUUUUUACGCGGAAACCCUUUCGGGAAAAAAACCAUGGGCAGAGGAGAAGAAAAUUUACUAUGUCGAAUUCGAGUUAAUUACAAGAGGAAUAGACUAUGUCUAUUUAUAGGCUUGUAAAGCCAUAUUCUAGUAAGACUGAAACACCUUAUUCUAAUCAAUUAGAUGGAAUUUAAUAAGGUUUAGAAAACCUUAUUCUAACAUAAAAUAAAAGAAGUGUAAUUCUAUAUAGAUUCUUCUUUUAUUUUAUGUUACCACUGUAUUUUAUUUAAAUAAGGAUUCGGGUCACUUAAUUCUAACAGAAAAUAGUAACCAAAUUACCGCAACCUGAAGACCAAAAACUAUUAUUAGAAUCUGAGUAGGAAAAGCGGGUGCCAGUUAGGUUGAGACUCAUCCCAUUGUGAUGGUCUUUUUGACAGUUGAAGUAAGUUAUUGGAUGAUUGACCUUAACAGUGCCACCCAAAAAGUUAAACUCCAAUAUUUUCAGAUUUGUGUCAUUUAUGUUUAAGAGCGGCACUUUUUCCCCAUUGGCGGUUGUGUUGCAAAUUACUUCAAACCAGUCGUCAUUGGCAUAAUCUUGAUCCUUCAUUCUAAAGGGGUAGUGAAAAGUAACAUUCCCAUGGGAUCCUACCUUGUAGGUGUUGAAGUUGAUAUGUUCUAGUCCCGGUCUUCUGCAUCCUGCAGAUUUAGCAAAAAAAGGAGUAAAUUACAAAAUCUACUAAAUAUAUGUACAUUAAAUUAAGGGUGUGCAAAACUCAAUUCUAUUUGGAAAAAUAAAAAAAAUUCAAAUUUCAAAUUAAUUGAAAAGUUAUUCAAAUUAUUCAAGUCAACUCGAAUAAGUAAUUCAAGUUUUAAGUUCAAAUUGAGUUGAAUUUUACAAUUAGAAUAAUUCGAAUAACAGAUUGGUGUAAGUACCCUUUUGGUCCCUAUCAAGUUUGAAAAUGAAUAAAUUAGUCCGUCUCUCAACAAAAAUUACAAAAUAGUUUUUAAAAAUUCUAAAAUUCAUAUUUUUUAAAAAAUUCUAAAAAAUUCUAAAAAUAUAUAAAGAAAGUUAAAAUUUUAAAAUUUUCUAGAAUAAUAAUUUUGGGAUCCUAAAUAAGUUAAUUAAUUACUCAAAUUUAUCAUACUAAAGUAUUUUUUAUUUUACUUUGAAAAGUUUUCAAAUAUAUAUGGUUUCAUAUUUAUGUGCUCUAAUAUGGAAUUAGUUAUACUGUAACAAAAUUUUAAUUUGACAUGUUUAAUUUUUUAAUUCAACUCGAAAACUUUCACUCGAUUCGACUUACUUAAAUUUUAUUUCACUCGACAAAAUUCAAAAAAAUUUCGAAUUGAGUUAAGAUGAUAAAAUGAGACUCACCAACUCGAUUAACUCGAAAUUUUUUCACUUGAUUUGAUUAAACACUCAUCCCUACAUCCAAUGCUUGUAAGAAAUAAAAGUAAUGUGUUAUUCAAAAUAUAUAUAUAUAUCUAAAAAGAAGUUAUAUAUGAAAAGUGUUACUCUUAACUAAAUUUUUAAUUAAAUUUGUGUGUUAUUUGUGAUAUUAAAUUCAAUAAAGACUUUUUUAUUAAAAAAAUUAUGGUUGAAUUUAUGUCAUACAAUAUUUUUAAUUAAAAAUACUUUCCUUUUAAAAAAAAUCAGUUCCACUUAAAAAGAAAUAGAUAUUUCUUUUUCACAUUCCCUUUUAAAUUAUGAUUUGAAUUUUUUUUAAGUAACUAAUGAUUCCAUUUUCAAAACUAAUGAACUUAGAUUUAAAACAGUAAAUAUGAUUGAUUGUAAUUGUGAUUUGUGAGCACCAUAGACCCUCUAUCUAUAUUCACUCAAAAGGAUACUAAUUUGUUUUUUUUGAGGACUUUGUACACACUCUAUGUUGCGAAUAGUAGAAAUAGUGUCCCAAUAGUAGUGUUGAAUACAUUAACCAUUAAAUCAACACAUGGAGUUUGAAUACGAUAUUUUGAAGUAAAGGCCAACUCUUUGGAAAAUAAAUUUCCCAAAAUUUCUGAGUCAUAAUAUUUUGUGGAAUGGAAAGUAUAUCCACAAAAUGAUCUAAAUCAACAUCUUUAAAUUGUUAUACCAAAUUAAUGAGGGAAUCGUCUUUGUCUUAAAUUAAACCUCUGAAAUUAGCAUAAUUUCAUAAAUUUUCUUUGCAAUUGUUUGGAAAUAAAAACAACCAAUUGAUUAGCUCAUCUUAUAUUCUGUGAGAAAGUAAAAUAGCAGCCAACAUGCAUGCAUUUGUUCUGUGGAAAUUAAAUUAAAACCAAAGGAGGUAUCACUAUCAAGAAAGAUGAACCAUAAGAAGACUCAUUCCUUUUACUAUUUAUUAUUCAUACUAACAAAAUAGAAAUUUCCAUUAAAAAGUAAGUUCCAUAACAUCCACUGAAACAAUGACAAGAAUUGGCCCCUAUAACAAUUGCAAAAACACCUUGGCUCCUAUACUGAAUUUCUAGAAAUCCUUCAGUGAUUUUAGUGCAAUAAGAAUGAAAAAUGGCCUAAUCAUGAUUUUUAUUUGAUCACAUUCUAAUUAUAUUUUUUUUCCACUCACAUUGCUUUGAGCCCGUUUCAUGCUUUUAUUUCAAUUGCUUGGCUUUUAAUUCUCACAAUGCUUUUGUUCACUCAAGUAAUUUUUCAUUUUACCCACAAGCUUGUAAAAGUCCUAUAUUCACUAUAUUGUACCAUUUCUUAUUUUUUCCUCUCAAAUAUUUUGAAAUCACCAAGAUACCUCUACCUAAACUCGAGUUAUUUAUGGCCCGAUAGUUUCAAUAUUACCGAUCAUUAAGAAGUGUCAUAAGGAUCAAUUAUGGGAACUAGGGAUAAAUAGCAUAUUGGUAUGGUUAUUUGAGAAUUAGUUAUUCAAACAAUGAUUUAGGUCAUCCCUAAGAAUUCCACCAUACACACAGCUUCGUAGGAGUCCUAUAUUCAUUGUAUUGUACCAUUUCUUAUUUUUUCCUCUCAAAUAUUUUGAAAUCACCAAGAUACCUCUACCUAAACUCGAGUUAUCUAUGGCCUGAUAGUUUCAAUAUUACCGAUAAGAAGUGUCAUAAGGAUCAAUUAUGGGAACUAGGGAUAAAUAGCAUAUUGGUAUGGUUAUUUGAGAAUUAGUUAUUCAAACAAUGAUUUAGGUCAUCCCUAAGAAUUCCACCAUACACACAGCUUCGUAAGAGUCCUAUAUUCACUAUAUUGUACCAUUUCUUAUUUUUUCCUCUCAAAUAUUUUGAAAUCACCAAGAUACCUCUACCUAAACUCGAGUUAUCUAUGGCCUGAUAGUUUCAAUAUUACCGAUCAUUAAGAAGUGUCAUAAGGAUCAAUUAUGGGAACUAGGGAUAAAUAGCAUAUUGGUAUGGUUAUUUGAGAAUUAGUUAUUCAAACAAUGCUUUAGGUCAUCCCUAAGCAUUCCACCAUACACACAGCUUCUUUCAUACUUUAAAUUUAUCAGAUGAAUAAAAAUUGAUUCAACUAUCAUGUAUCCAUAAUUAUAUAUCGUGCUUAUUUAUCUUAUGGCACAAUCAAACAUUUUUACAUAAGUUUUUCUAGUCUAUUAUCUAAUGUAACUAAGUAACCUGUACCUUGACAAUAGCCCGAUUAUCCAUUGCAAAGUUUAAUUUAGGUUCUAUAAAUGGAGCAAACUGGAAGGAAUUAGCUCGACAAGCAGAUGUGGAUGGUUUUCUAGUAGGUGGAGCUUCUAUAAGGUUAGUAACUUUCUUUCUUUGCUUGUGUCACUAUUGAUUCAUUUAUUUAAUGCAUUUUCUUCAGAUUGUGCACAACUAUUCUUAACUUAUACAUUUUGUGUUUUUACUUCUCUCGAUCAGUCUGAGUUUAUCGAUAUCAUUUAGUUUAAGUUUAACAUCCACAAAGAGAUGCUAAUGUAUAGUUAAAACUCAAGAAGUUUUGUUAUCGAAAAAUUUGAUAAUUUUUUAUGGCAAGAGAAGAGACUAAGCUAGUUUGUUUAUUUGCAGGGAAAAUCUGACGAAGAAUAUGAACAAUCAGAGGGGUUUCGACAGGAGUUGGAAUUGAAGGUUCGAGAGUUGUUGACAGAGCAGUAAUGGUGCCGGGGAAAAAUGGCGAUAAGUGUAUGUUGGAUUCCGUUAAUAUCCCUUGCUUUCUUUAGUUUUCUCGCUCAAUAAAGUCUUACUAUUACUACGAUGAGUUAAUCACCUCUUCUUAUUUCACCUUCACAUAUAAAAAAAAGGAAGAGAAGGAGGAGGUGGAGGUCAACUAAAGAAGGAUGAAGAAGAGAAAAAGGAGAUGUGGAUAAUGUUAGUAUCUCAAGGCUGCAGCAAAUUUUAAAAUAAUAAGACUAAGUCUUAGGGGGAUUUGUUAGCUUGUUGGUAGGAGGAAGAGUUGUUAGCUUGUUAGUAGCAAUUUGAAUUUAUUUCUUGUUGAGGUUGUUACUUGGGACUUGUAUAUAAGGGUUUCUUUGUUAAUCAAUUAAAUUAUCCCUUCAUUCAUAUUUUUUUCUAUACUUCAAUUAGUUCUUUGCUAAACCAACAGUGGUAUCGAGAGCCAUUUUUCUUGAGGGACUUGUGAGAAAAGUUUUGUGAGAGUUCUGAGAAAAAAAUUUUGAGAGAUACACUUGUGAGGUUUUUUUUUGUUGAGGAAAAUAGAAUCGGGAUCGAGUAACCUGUCCAUCUUAGCCCCACUUGUGUUUGAUGGAGAGAAUUAUCAAGCAUGGGUCAUGAGAAUGUAAGCAUACAUGGAGGGUUGUGAUUAUUGGGAAGCUAUUGAGGAAGACUAUGAGGUGACUCCACUUCCUAAUAAUCCAACUAUGAAUCAGAUCAAAAUGCACAAGGAGAGAACCAUCAGGAAGGCUAAGGCAAGGUCUUGUCUUUAUGCUUCAGUUUCGCUAGCCAUAUUCAAUAGAAUUAUGGCUUUUGGAUUAGCGAAGGAAAUAUGGGACUACCUCAAAGCUGAGUAUCAAGGAGAUGAGAGGAUCAAGAGCAUGAAGGUGUUGAACUUGAUCAGAGAAUUCGAAAGGCUACAAAUGAAGGAGUCUGAGUCAAUCAAAGAAUACUCAGACAAGCUGAUAGAUAUUGCCAACAAGGUAAGAGCUUGUGGGGUUGAUCUCUCUGAUUCUAGACUGGUGCAGAAGAUACUUGUCUCCGUGCCUGAGAAAUAUGAAGCAACUAUUGCCUCUUUUGAGAACACUAAGGACUUGACUCAAUUGAAAGUAGUGGAGUUGAUCAGUGCUUUACAAGCACAAGAGCAGAGGAGGCUAAUGGGGCAGGAAGGAAGCAUAGAAAGAAGUAUAGAAGGAGCAUUGAAGGCUAAGAUGCAGCAAGGCGAAAAAGGAGAGGAACAAAAGUGGAAUGAAAAGAAGAGUGAUUGUAAUAGUGGUUCAGAAACUGUUGCAAAAAGUAAUAGUACUGAAAAUUAUAAUAAGUAUUCUUCAUGUAAGUAUUGUGGAAAAUAGAAUCAUCCACAUUUUAGGUGUUGGAGAAGGCCAGAUGUGAAAUGCAUUAGGUGUAACUUGAUGGGGCACAUUGAGAGGUUUUGCAAGGAAUUGAGAAAUCAGCAGUAGGGUGAAGUACAUGCUGUAGUUGAAUAAGAAGAGGAUCAUUUGUUUGUCGUCUCUUGCUUCUCAUCAAGCAUUUUAUGUGACAGUUGGUUAGUUGAUAGUGGUUGUACCAAUCACAUUACUUUUGAUGAGAAGCUGUUUAAAGACCUUGAUAGGUCAUUGAAGUCGAAAGUCAAUAUAGGAAAUGGAGAAUACCUAGAAGUGAAAGGAAGAGGCAUAGUAGCAAUAGAGAGCUAUGCUGGAACUAAGUUGAUUUCAGAUGUUCUGUUUGUACCUGAGAUUGAUCAAAACUUGUUGAGUGUGGGUCAAUUGGUAGAGAAGAGAUUCAAGGUGAUGUUCGAAGAGGGAAUGUGUUUGAUCCUUGACUCUAGUGGCAAUGAAUUGUUUAUGAUCAAGAUGAAGAAGAAAAGGUUCUCAUUGAAUCCAUUUGAGGAGGAGCAAGUGGCAUCCAAGUAUCAAGAAGAUAAUCCUAUCAUGCAAGAACAACUGCAAAUCAAGUGUUUUGAGAAUGAUAUCUUGCAUGCAAAGGUAACUCUCUUGGAGCAGCAGGUGACAUCUUUCUCUGAUAAACUAUCAUCUUUUGCACAUGAAAUAUCUGAAGAACAUGCUGAGGAGCCACGGAAAAAGAAUCUAUCUCAGGAGAUCAAGAGUAAUGUGCAACUUUUAGAAGAGAAUAGUCGGUUAUGUUUCCAAAAUCAAAAGCCGAUUGAAGAAGUUUCAUAUGCGAAAGAAUUGACAUCUGUAGAUGUUCUUGAGUUUAAGAAUUUAGUUGGUAAGGUGAUUAAGUUUUCAAUGCAAAAUACAAAAUUGAAAAAGGAAUUAUUAGUUGCGAGAAGAUUGGUUAAUCAAACUAUAAAUCGUAUUAAUCGCAAGUAUAGUGAUAACACAAGAUCUUGAAAGAAGGGAAAGCACUUUGGCCACUCUUAUGACUUUUCUAGAGCAACUUGUGAUGAUUUUUAAUUAUGGAAUUUUGAUUUAGAUGGCAUUGCUUGCUAGGAAACAAUUAGAGGCAACUCUUGAAGCUACACUAGUCGAGAAGGAAUUCAUAGAAGGCAAAUAUUGAAGAAACUGGUUUUCAAAGAUCAGAUGACGGAUAUUUUACUAUAUUUUUCAUGUUAGUCAUUUUGAGUUUCUUAACAAAAAAUUUGGUGUCUUCUGCACUUGAGUUAGGAGGAGAAUGUUAGUAUCUCAAGGCUGCAGCUAUUUUUAAAAUAAUAAGACUAAGUCUUAGGGGGAUUUGUUAACUUGUUAGUAGGAGGAGUUGUUAGCUUGUUAGUAGCAAUUUGAAUUUAUUUCUUGUUGAGAUUGUUACUUUGGACUUGUAUAUAAGGGCUGCUUUGUUAAUCAAUUAAAUUAUCCCUUCAUUCAUAUUUUGUUCUAUACUUCAAUUAGUUCUUUGCUAAACCAACAGAUAAUUAGAGUUACCCUUCUUUUGAUUAAGGUACCCUUGGAUUUUGUAUUCCUAUUUGGACGUCUUCUUUAUUAAUAAAUUCAUCUACAUAGAAAAAGAAAGAAAAAACAUAAUCCAGAACUUGUAUAAUAAAUAUCUUCAAGAGAUCAAAUAGCAUUGAGUGAACCAAGUAUGAAUUCUUGGGCAACAACAAGACUCCACCAGUGUGUCAAAUAAAGAAGCUAAAGGCUUUCAAUCAAGAGAAAUUAUUUUAGGAGUGUUGGAAUCUAGAAAGAUGAAUUUAAUGGAAACGUUGCACUAUCGGUUGUAACUGUCCUAGACAUUGAACAACUAGGAUUGGUCUCCCAUGAAUGGAUCAUGUCAUCUAUUUCAGAUUCUUCAUCACCACAGUCUUCAAUAACAUUUCCACUUGAAGCUUUAGUCAACUCCAGCUCCAUUGCUACUUGUUUCAUGGUGGGUCUUUUCUUUCCAUUAAGAUUCAAGCAUCGUUUUGCUACCAGAGCCACAACUAUAAUCUCUUGUUCUGGAUCAUCCUUUACUACCACUGGAUCGAGAAUGUUAAAUAAGGAAUUCUCCUGCAUUGAAUGCAAAAAAUAAGAUACCAAGCUUCUCACUGGCUCUGAUUGUUCUGCGGAGAUAGGUUUUUGUCCUGUUAAAAGCUCAAUAAGGACAACUCCAAAGCUAUAAACAUCACUCUUCUCUGUAAAUUGAUUUGAUCGAAAAUAUUCGGGAUCCAUGUAUCCAAAAGUUCCUUGCACCCGAGUGGUUAGAUGUGUUUGUUCAAGUGCAAUUGAUCUUGAAGUUCCAAAAUCUGAUACUUUUGCCCUAUAUUUAUCAUCCAAAAGUAUGUUACUAGAUUUGAUAUCUCGGUGAUAAAUAGGAGCAGAAGCAGCUGAAUGCAAAUAGAAUAAGGCAUUGGCAAUUUCGAUCGCAAUUCGUAAACGCAUUUCCCAUGUCAAUGGUAAUUCUUCGUUUUGGUUAUGUAUGAGAUCGUAUAAUGUACCAUUUGGUAUGAACUCAUACACCAAUAGAGGAACUUCGGCUUCUAAACAACACCCUAAAAGUUUAACCACAUUCCUGUGAUUAAUUUGAGAUAAAAUUAUCACCUCGUUAAUGAAUUGUUCAACCUUCUUUUCAUCAAAUUUCUUUCCUUCCACCAUGUUGGACUUCUUAAUAGCCACAAUGCUUCCAUCUAUUAGCAUUCCUUUAUAAACAGUCCCUUGACCUCCUUGACCAAGGAUUCGAUUCUCAUUAUAAUGAUCUGACGCCUUUUCCAUCUCUUUUGAAGUAAACAACUUAAUUUUUUCAACAUUACCUUCAUUGCUAGACAAAUGUUGUUGCAGUAACAAACCUCCAUUCCUUUUGAAGUAUUUCUGCUUCAGCAUUAUUUUUUGUUUUCAUUUGAGGACUUUGUACGUACUCCAUGUUGUGAGUAGUAGAAAUAGUGUCCCAAAACUAGUGCUGCAACCUAUAUAGAUAUAAGAAACAUUGUUAAAAGUUAAAUUUGAAAAUUAAAAUACAUGUUAAAAACCAAGAAAAUGUUUCGAUAAAGUUUUAUUCAUAUUUGAUUGCCCUUCAUUUUAAAUGAACAGUGAGACAACCUUAUUGCACCAUCCGAUAUUAAACUUUUAUAAAUUUCAUGAUAAAUAAUUGUUAUUGCAUCACACGUUCAAAAGUAAAUAAAUCACGGAUUGAAUUGACAUAAUCUAAUAACCAUAAUAAUUCCACUUUAAAAAUAAAUACGUACCUAUAAUAAUACUUGUCAUGCAACGAUUGUUUUGAGCUUGCAUUUUGUGCUCACAACGAAACCCUGUAUUAUUGAAUUCAUAAUGAGGAGGGCAAGACUCUGAUGAGCAAUAGUUGCCAGGGGUAUUCAAACAAAGUAUGCGACAAUACUUAUAACUCCCACAUUCCCCAUCUGUCAUUUAUGUGAAUUGAAUAAAAAAAAGUUAUAAUCAUAUAAUUCAAUUAAAGUAUCUAAGAUGUUGUUAUACUAUAUGAGCCGGAACAUAAUGGUUUUGUAUAUAUAAAUUUUAUAUACUUUAUUAAAUAUGAUUUUGUAUGUCGAAUCUUCAACUGAUUAAUAUAUUUUAGUCAUGAUAUACCUCAACCAAUAAUAACUAGAUUAUAGCACACUAAUGAUGUGGGUGACAAAAAUAUGUAACAAUUUAUUUAUAAAAAAAAUUGAUAAAAAAUUAAGAGUUUGAUUGAAAUGGUAAAAUUAAGAUAUUAGCUAUCAUGGUGCCUUUGUUCAAAUUUCAUUAUAGUCAUCUUUCUAGAUUUUACCUAAAUAUAAAAUGAUAAAAGAAAUACUCUCAUAAUAAUAUUUGUCCUUUUAAAAGUAAUGGGUUUUCAUAAUUUCAAUUGAGUCGAGACUUAAUUAAUGGGUGGCACCAACUUAAUUAGCUCCGAAAAAAUAGGACUAAUUUAAGGCAUACUCAUGAUGUGAGCGGAAGAAAAUAUGCAAUAAACAUAUUUAUUAAAGGCUUAUGUAAGAAUCAAGUGAAUCGUUACUUGAAAUGAUAAAAAUUAAAAAUUAAAAAUUAUUGUGUGAAAAGGUCAAAUCUCACCAUGUUAGAUUUAUUAUGAAUUUUAUAUAAAAAUGUAAAAAAUAGAAUAUUUUAAAAUAAUAUAACUUAAUUUAUAUAUAAAAAAUAUUUUAAUAAUUUUCCAAUUGAAGUAUAGCUAUAAGUAAAAAUAUAGAUAUAAAAAAAAAGUUCCUUAAAGAAAAUGUUAAUUCGUACCUUUGCAUAAUGUCGAAUAAACAUGGAUGUCCCUAUCGCACACACAUAGAUGAUUAGAGCUCAACCUCGACCAGCAAUAUUUACCAUUAGAUGUACAAGAAAUGUUGGAACUAUCAUUCAACUGACACACUCCAAAAAUGGGUGUGCCCCAUUGCAGUUGUGUUGGGACAUGCGUUAUAUUACUUAUAUUAAAAGUCAGAUCAUAGAAAUAAUAAAUCAUGGAAGCAAAUCCACAUGAUCUUUUCCUCCUAUAAUCACUAGAAUCGACCCUACUACUCAUGUUUACAUAGAAUGAACUAAGACCCUGAGGAAUAUUAACAAGACAACCAACAAUAGAGGAAGUCUCAUUAUUAAUCCUACAACUUGGUUGCAAACAUCCGCCUAUAAGAUUAUCUGUUUCAUUGCUGAAAACAGUAACCAAAUUACCGCAACCUGAAGACCAAAAGAUGUUGUCGGAAUCUGAGUAGUAAAAGCGGGUGCCUGUUAGGUUGAGACUCGUCCCAUUGUAAUGAUUUUUGCGACAAUUAAAGUAAGUUAUUGGAUGAUUGACCAUGACAGUGCCGUCCAGAAAAUCGAAGUCUAGAAUUUGCAGAUUUGUGCCACUUAUGUUUAACAAAGGCACUUUUUCUUCAUUGCAAGUUACUUUAAACCAGUCAUUGGGAUCAUCUUGAUCCUUCAUUCUAAAGGGGUAGUGAAAAGUAACAUUCCCACAUGACUCUACCUUGUAGGUGUAGAAGUUGAUAGGUACACAACCUGUAGGCUUAGCAAAAAGGAAGUAAAUUGCAAAAUCUACUUGAUAUAUGUACAUUCAAUGUUUGUAGGAAAAAAAAGCAAUGCAUUAUUCAAAAAAAAAAAAUUAUAAUUAUCUAAAAAGAAUGUACAUUUGAAAAGUGAUACUCUUAACUAAUUUUUUUAAUUAAAUUUAUGUGUUAUUUAAGGCAUUAAAUUCAGUAAAGACUUUCUUAUUAUCAAUAUAAAAUUUAUGAUUUGAUUUGAUGUCAUACAAUAUUUCUAAUUAAAAGUACUUGUUUUUUAAAAGUUCACACCCGAUCCUCUCUUAAUUUACAUAAUACCUUGUUAAUUUUAUUCUAAAUAUUAAAUUCUUAAUUGAAUAUGGUAUUUAUACUAAUUUAUCAUUCAACUAAUGAUUUCAAAAAUUUUUAAGGAACUAAUGAUUCAAUUUUCAAAAUAAAUGAACUUAAAUUUCAAAUAAAUCAUUAUAAACAAAAUUAUGUAAAUUAUGAAAUAAAUCAAAACAUAAUACAAAAUAUAUAAAACCAAAAUGAAGCCAGCGUUGCCCUUGAUCUCCCUGAUCAAGGGACCAAAUUAGUAAAUUUUCUACCUCUCCUAAAAAAUUAAUAAUUUAACAUAAAAUUUUAAUUUAGGGGUGAGUAAAACUCGAUUUAACUCGAAAAAAUUAAAAUAAAAAUUUUGAAUUUUGAGUUAAACGUAUUGAUUUAUUUAAGUCAACUCGAUUUUUUUUUAAUUUCGAGUUCAAAUUGAGAUGAGUUUUCGAAUUUGAAUAUAUCGAAUAAUUCGAAUAUCAAACUAUAAUAUUUUGCAUUUUUACUCCAAGCCCCCAAACCUUUUUAUUUUUCCCCCAAAAUUUUUACUUCCCUCCCGUCCCAACCCCCCAUCUAUCCCAAAUCCAUUUCUCAUCAAUUUUUUUAAAUAUUUUCCUUCUAAAAUUUUACUUCCCCAUUUACUUUCCCUCAAAAUUUUACUCCCAAAAACCCUUAAAACUUUUUAUUUUCCUCUAAAUUUUUUACUCACUCCCUCUUUUCCCCGAAAAAAUUUACUCCUCUCCCAUCUCACCCCCCAUCUACCCCAAACCCAUCCCUCCCCCUCCAAUUUUUUUUAAUAUUUUCCCUCCAAAAUUUUACUCUCCUAUUUACUCUCUCAAAAUUUUACUCACGUAAAACUUUUUAUUUUCCCCCUAAAUUUUUACUUCUCACCCUUUAUCCCCAAAUAAAAAAUCAAAAUUAUCCAAAAAAAUUCUUAAACCUAAAUAGUAAUAAAUUUAUUUAUAUCUACUAUUUAUAUUAUUAAAUUAAAUUUCACACUUAUACUAUUUAUAUUAUUGAAUUGUUUAAUCAUAUUGAAUAUUUAUAUUAAAAUUGAAUUAUUAAUGAUGCCAUAAAAUAUUCGUGUUAAAAUUUUAUGUUGAUAUCAAUUUUACAUUUAUCUUUAAAAUAAAUUUUAUUAAAAAAUCACACUUUUACAUUUAAUAUAUUUCUUAAUUUCAAAAUACAUAAUGACAAGAAUAGAAAAUAAUUGAAGCAACUAAGCAAACAAAGAAGCUAGCCCGUAUAUAAAAGAUUAAUAAAUAAAUUAUGAUGUGAUGAAAGUUAAUAACAAAUUUGAUUAUGGUAGACAAAUUUGAUUACACUGGAUGACAGUGGGUAGAAGGACCCAAAAUUAUUUUUUUAAAAAUUUAACUGAAACAUAUAUAUUCAAUUCGAUUCGAUUCAAAUUUCAUCUCACUUGACUUAAUUUGAGAAAAUUUCAAGUCGAAUUAGGAUGAUAAAAUAUGAUUUGUCAACUUGAUUAACUUGAAAUUUUUUCAUUCGAUUCGAUUUGAUUCGAUUGGAUCGAACGCUCACCCCUACUUUAACCCUUGAUAAAAUAUAAAAAUUACAUUUUUUUAACUCCUAAAAAAACUAAUAAUUUAAUUUAAUUUAAUCUCAGAUUUUGAAAUACAGAACUUUUAGGUAUAAAUUUUUGAAAAAGAAAAUAUUAAUAUACAAAAUGAAUGAUCCUAAAAACUUAAUUUCCUCUUAGAACUUAUAUGAUUCUAAAGACUGAUUUUAAACAAUUACCAAAAUCUAUAUAUUAACUGAAUUAAAAGAAGAAUAAUGAAAGCCAAGCAAUUGAAGUGACAGCGCAUGACUGACCUGCGUCACCGCAAUAGGUGGAAUUCCAGUUGAGCACGGCGGGAACAUGCGUGGUUCCAAUAUUGAUGCCAUUGGGUAAUGGGUAAGCACUACGGAAAGAGUACAUGCUAAAGAUGAAAGCGGAUGCGCAUCUUUUGCUGUCAGGAUACAUGGCUGUCAUGGUUACGGUAUAGGAAGUGAGAUUUCCAGUAAUUUCAGUAAAGCAGCCAGAUUCAGAAGCACCAUCGUCACACCUUGGUUGAAUGCAGCCGCCAAGUGAAUCAGCUUCGUCACUUAAAAUAGUAGCCAAAUUUCCGCAACCUACUGAUCCGAAAUAAUUCAUCUCACUGGAAAAGAAAAACGGAGUGCCUGAGAGAUUCACACUCAUACUAGCCUCGUUCAUAUGAUCACAAUUAAUGUGAGUAACUGGAAUACUGAUGACAAUGGCGUCUGCGUCUGAAAAUAAGGAAUCAAGUACCUCCAGAUCAAUGCCAUUUACGUUUAUGAAUGGCUUUUCCCCAUUACGGGUCGAUUUGCAAGUAACUCUAAACCAAGGUUUAGUAUAACAGUUUCUUUGGAUUCCAAAAGGGGAUGGAAUUGUAAUAUUUCCACAUACUUCUUCUCCACAGGCAGGUUCUUGAAAUAUUUCUGCUGCUUGUAAUAUUGGGCAUAACAGGAACAAGAAGAGGAGGAGGAUGAAGUAAAGCGCUAAGUGAAAACCCAUUUGCGUUGUUAUUCUGUUUGAGGGAAAUGAAUGAAUAAGUCAUUAAUAGAUUUUAAAGAAAGAAAAGCAGAGUUAAGUAGCACCACUAGAAACAAACGAUGUUUGACUGAAGCAAAUGAAAAGUCUUUGCUCACACUUUCCUUGAAGUUACAGUGUAAGUGCAUUUGAUUUGAGAACAGUUCAUUAAUUUGUAAAGAAUGUUGGACAAAUAUUAAAAGAUGGAGUCCCAAUCUUUUCAACAAUAAAGUAAUUUUUAAAAAUAUUUUAAGUGAAAAAAAAUAAAUGUUAAUUACAGGAAUUAAGUGAGAUGAUAAAGAUUUCUCCUAUUUUCAAUGGUAGAGAAUUUAAUCCUUACUUUGAGUAUGAAUUAAUUUCAAAACUCGUGAUUAACAUAUAUCUUUUAAUGAAUUUACUAAAUACGAAGAAUUAAUUACACAUGUCAUCAUAAACUAAAAAUAAAUAAAUAUCUUUACUAAUUUUUGGUCAACUAGAGUAGGUUAGGUAUACAGAGUUAGAGACAAAUAAAAUGGCUAGUCGAGCCUUGACCUCUAAUUUGUUUUAUAUAAUUUUUUCAAAUUCCUUGAAAUAUUUUUACAGUAGUAUUAAGAAAUAAGGAUAAUUUAUGUUGUUCCCUUCAAUAGUGACAGAACCAAGAUGUUAAUCUUGAGGGGAUUAAACUAAAAUUAGAUGUACUACAUAACAAUUGAUUUAAACAUAUAAACAACCGAUUCAAAAGAAAUGAUAUUUUAAUACAUAAAAAUCGAUUCAAAAGAAACAAUAUUGUAAAAAUUUUAAACUUUAGGAGGCCUACUUAUAUUUUUGAGAAGACCAUAGUAUAUUUACAAAGGGCUAAAUUGCAAAAAUUUUAAAUUUUGAGAGAACCAUGGCCAUUGACCUUCAAAACUUUAAAAUAAAUCAUAUUGUAAAAUAGAAAGCUUGAUAGUAUAGAUUAAGUAAAAUUAUUUUUAAAAACUCAUUAGUUAAUAUUAAUUCUACCAAUAACUGAAUGAAAAAAGUGAUAGAAGAUUGAGCUGCGAUAUUAAAAUUAUAAUUGUUGAAAGACUUUUACUUAAAUAUUACUUCUAUAUCAAACAAAAUUAAACUCAAAUUAUACAACAAAUGAAGAUAUCUGCGAUUAAAGUCAAUUUUAAUUAAUUUUGUAUUUUGUUUUUUACUCAAUCAAAUAGGGAUAUAGGCAUAUUUAUAUUAUUUAAGUACAUACAAUCCUGAUUGCCGAUAAAAGUAGAAGGGAGGAGAUAGCAAAGAGUAUUAGCCCCUUGCCCAAAAUAAAGGCCAUUAUCCUUAAUGAGUGACAGCAAAGAUGAUUGUGAUUUACAACAACUUGAGCAGAAAUUUCCAAGAAUCUCUACUCUUGACCUUGUUCCCAUAACAAGAGAUUGUUUAUAGCCAUUCAGCAUAUGAGGAGAGCUAGUAUCACAAGUUUAAGAAUUAUUUGUGGCAUGUGAAUAUUUUUAGACAUUUAAGUGAAAUAUCAAAUGAAACUCUUGUAACAAAUUAAGUUAUAUUUUAUAAUUUUUAAAUUUUUUUUAAUAAUUAUUAAUAAUUUAUUUUUUAUAUAUUUUUAUAAAAUUUAAUAAUUUUUACAUUUUAAAAAAAAAUAUUUUUAAUAAUUUAACAUGUCACAUCAAUAUGCUUUCACAUAGCAUAUCAUAUGUCAACUUCUCAUAACUUCCGUUAACCAUGUAAAUAAUGUAUAAUAUUUAAAUUAGUCAAGAAUUUUGAUUCUUUACUAAAUUUUUUACCCUUUAAUUUUAUAUUGAUAUUCAUUACUGAUUUUUAUGUAAUUUUCAUGACAAAAUCGGUAUUAAGCUCAAUAAAAUAUAUUAUUAGAUAAGUUCAGAUAUAACUUCAUUAAAAUCUGGGAAGACAGAAAACACUAUUAAUUUGUCUCAAAUCCCCCUUUUUAGAUAUUGAUUUAACAUGAGAAACAACAGGUGAGAAAUUUCGUUAAUAGAAGCCGAAGACGAUAUUUUGAAGUAAAGGCCACGUUAAAAGGCCAACUCUUCGGAAAACAAAUUCCAUCACGAGUGAACCAAAAAUUUCCGAGUCAUACUUUUGUGGAAAAUUCCACCAAGUAUUCUCAAUGGAAAAGUAUAUACACAAAAUGAUAGAAAAGGCGUUGGGCCACAAUUAAAUCAACAUCUCUAAAUUGUUAAAUCAAAUUAAAGAUGGAAUCGAUAUUGUCAUGACAUCAACAUCUUAUUGCUAAAGGAAACAACUUGAAGCCAACCCCAAUUUGUAAUGAUGUUAGUAUUAUAUUAAAUCGAGUCUAAUCGAGUCAAAAAAAUUCGAGUUAGUCGAGUUGAUGAAUCCUAUUUUAGUAUCUGAACUCAAUUUAAUUUUUUUCAAAUCAAAUCGAAUAUAGUUAAAAAAAUUUCAAGUCGAGUUAACGAAUCCUAUUAUUUAUAUUUAAUGUUGAGUUUACAUAGACUAAUUAUUUAACUAGUAGAUAAAAUACAAGAUUAUUUAACUACAUAAACAAUAUAAUGGUUUUACCUUUUAACUUAAUGAGUAAAUAUUUAUCAAAACGACGUAGUUUUACCUUUUAAUUUAAUGGUUUUGACUUUUAACUUUAGAAAGGUAAAUAUCUAUCAAAAUGACGUAGUUUUGCCUUUUCUUAUUUAGAUUUUCAGAUAACUCGAAUUGUGUAAUUCAUAUUCGAGUUAAACCGAAAAACUUAAUUUUUUAUUCGAGUUGAUCCGAAUAACUUAAUUAACUCAAAUAACUCAAACUAUUUAAUUCAAAAUUUGAAUUUUUAUCGAAUUUUUCGAAUACAAUUUGUCUACGAAGAGAGAAAUUUUCUUUUUGAGCAGAUGAGAAAUUUUGUAGAUAGAAGUUGAAUACAAUUUUCUUUUUGGUGAAUUACAAGAAGAGAGUAGAGUCCUAACAGCAACACGACUUGUUUCAGGAGAUAAAAAUACCUUCAAGAGAUAAAAAUAACAUUGAGUGAAACAAGUAUGAAUUCUUGGGCAACCAUAAGACUCCAUCGGUGUGAAAAAUAGAGAAGCUAAAGGCUAUCAGUCAAGAGAAAUUGUUUCAGGAGUGCUGGAAACUAGAAAGAUGAUUUUAAUGGAAAAGUUACACUUUCGGUUGUAAUUGUCCUAAACAUUGAACAACUAGGAUUGGUAUCCCAUGAAUGGAUCAUGUCAUCUAUUUCAGAUUCUUCAUCACCACAAUCUUCAAUAACAUUUCCACCUAAAGUUUUAAUCAACUCCAACUCCAUUGCUACUUAUUUCAUGGUCGGUCUUUUCUUUCCAUUAAGAUUCAAGCAUCUUUUUGCUACCAGAGCCACAACUAUAAUCUCUUGUUCUAGACCAUCCUUUACUACCAUUGGAUCAAGAAUGUUAAACAAGGAAUUCUCCUGCAUUGAAUCCAAAAAAUAAAAUACCAAGCUUCUCACUAGCUCCGAUUGUUCUUGUUGAAGGUUGGUCAGCAUGCAGCACCAAGAAGCAAGCCAAACGUACCAGCCAUGCUCGAGCAGCAAAACCAAGUGCACCUACUGUCAUUUAGUUCUUUUUGAUUCAUUUUGUUGGUGUAAUGUAAUCUUGUUCAUUUUGAGCUAUGUCAGUUUGAUGAUUGAUGUAAUUAGGUAGUGAUUGAGCUGAAAAUCAGCUUUGUUUUGUUGAACAAGUUAUUUUAUCAAGUUUCAAUAAGUUAUAGUGGUGUUAGGUGACAGUUUAGGUAAAAUUUAGUGGUGUUAGGUGACAGUUUAGGUAAAAUUUGCUUCUAAGUGUUUGACUUAUGUUUGAUAUAUGUAAUGGAUUUAUGCAAAAGUUGAAUGAUGAAUAAAUCAUUAUAUUUUCUUUCCAUAUGCUCUAAUAUAUUUCUUACUUUCAAUUCUGUUCUAUUUAUCAAGCUCAAAUCUCCAUACUUCAAUAUCAAGUUUUCUUCAUUCUUCAUCCGGAUUCAUUACAUUGUUAUUUAAGAUCCAGACUGAAGUACAUACUUCAUCCGGAUAAAGUGUUCCAAAAUCCCCAACAAUUGGUAUCUAGAGCCUUUGUCUUAGUGGACCUGUUAUAGUUAAAUCAUAAAUCGAUAGGUUCAUCAAGCUUCUCCCUAGCUCCACCUCUAGUCUUCAAUGGAGAAGGAUAUCACAUUUGGGUGGUCAAGAUGAGAACCUACCUUCAGGCAUUCGAUCUAUGGGAGAUGGUUAACUCAGAUGUUGAACCAACACCAUUGAGAGCUAAUCCAACAGUGGCUUAGAUUAGGCAACAUGCUGAUGAAAGGACAAAGAGGCAUAAAGCUCUAUCCUGCAUUCAGAACUGUGUAUUAGAUGUGAUCUUCACAAGGAUAAUGGCCUGUGAGACACCAAAGCAAGCCUGGGAUUGAUUGAAGGAGGAGUUUCAAGUGACUGAAAGAACAAGGCAACAGCAGCUUUUGAACUUGAGAAGGGACGUCGAGAACUUGAAGAUGAAGGAAGAAGAAACUGUUAAGUAGUAUUCAGACAUAAUUAUGGUUGUAGUUAACAGCAUAAGGUUCCUUGGAGAGCAGUUCAAUGAAGCAAAAAUAGUGGAGAAAGUCCUCUCAACCUUACCUGAGAGGUAUGAGGCAAAAAUAUCCUCUCUUAAAGACUCAAGAGACCUGACCAACAUCUCCUUGAUGGAGCUGAUCAAUACUCUUUAUGCACAAGAGCAAAGAAGAGCCAGCAGAAUGGAGAAGCACCAAGAGGGUACCUUUCAAGUCAAAACAAAGCCUGAUUCGAGUACCACUACCUCCAAAGGCAAGAAAGCUUGGAGAGACAAAUCUAAGUCAGAUGCUCCAAAAAGAUUAGACAUACCAUGUAGGCAUUGCAAGAGGCCUGGUCAUCCAGAGGCCAAAUGCUAGUUUAGGUGUAACACCCCAAACCCAGCCCAGACGUUACGACCGAAUCCGGCGUGUCACAUUGAAGUAUUUUUCGAAAACCAUGUUUUCAUUGAAAACCCUUCUUGAUGUUUAGAAACUUUUACCGUUUAAAACUUAAAUAAAACCUUAGCCUUAUUUUUUUCCAAAACGUGAUUCAUUGUAAUAAUCAAAGCAUUGUUAACAACCUUGUAAAAUCUUAUGGGAAACUUUGAAAACUUGUAAACCCUUUGUAGUGGCAGAAACAUGUUAUUUUAAAAAAACAGUUAAGUAUCGAAAAAAAAUCAAACCUUCUUUGUCAUGGCUUAAAGUGAAUGGAUACUACGCACCAGGUAGGAUUCAAGAAAAGAGGAGGUGAGUCAAUUAGACUGCUUAAGUACCUAGCUCUUCCAUGAUCUAAUCCUAGACAUGCACACAUCCAUUGCCACACUUUAAGCCUAUUACUUGUCCACGAACAACAAAUUAAGUUUAAGUCUAUUUAAAAUAUUUAUUUCCUUUGAAAAUAUUUACGUUGCGGAAACUUUGCUCGAUUAUCGUGAUAUUUUAAAAAUAAGUAACUUUUAUAAAACGCGCCCUAGAGCUAACCAAUUUAAUAACCCAAAAUAUUUAAAAUAAUAAAAAGAGCGGCCUUAUUACAACUUUAACCAGAAUAAAAAUAAUCAAAAUAAUAAAUGCAAAACUUAUUUUAAAGAAAACAAAACUUAAUCUUUGUGGCCACUCUGAAUCCCGCCCAGCUCCAAGUCCAUCGAUCUAAGGCUCACCUACAAAGAUGGGAAAAAGGGGGGUGAGUUUGGAAAACUCAGUGUGUAAAGUAUCCCAACCAGAGCCCAAAUCAGUUCAAGCUUUACUGGCCUAAGCCCUAUUCAGAAAUCAGUGUUAACUGGGCCUUAGCCCAUAUCAGUAUUAAUCUGGGCCGUAGCCCUAUUACAAUAUUAGAGCAUACUGGGCCUAGCCCAUAUCAGUAUCAGUCUGGGCCGUAGCCCUAUUACAAGUCGAGAUAUAUUGGGUCUUGCCCAUAUUAACACAGUUGGGCCCAUUUUAAUACAGUUGGCCCAUAAUAAAACAGUCUCAUAUGAUUAAUGCAUGAUAACCCCAUCCAACCCUGCACUUGCCUCCGUCCAUCCCUACACUUCCUGUGGGGAAUAAAUCACCCACGCCAUCCCUACACUUACAGUGUUAGCACCAAUUGCGGCACUAACUAUAAUCCGCAGCAAAGCUGCUUAUAUCAGAAUAUGUGGCACAGCCACCAGAACGGGUUCUUCCUCCAUAACAAAACCCAACCCCAUGCAACAGAUAUACAUGUCAUGGCAUAUAACAAACAGAAUCAGAAUAUCAUGUAUUUCAGUCAAAAUUAACCCUAGGGGUAAAAUGGUAAUUUUUAUACUUAGGGGUGUUUUAGUAAAAUUUACUAUUCUAGAGUUUACAUACAUAUUAUAACCAUUAAAGCAUUAACAGAAACACUUACCGAGCAUUUUUACUGAAUUGGGCCCGUUGGCCCACUACCCUAUUUUCAGCCCAUUAAGCCCAAAUAUACCGAAGUGCACGAAAUUGUGCACUCUGCACUCUUACCGCUUAUGAUUACCAAAAUUAACAAACAAACCACCUCACGAGCGCUCGCACGCUCGCAAGUUCACAAAUGUCGACUUUUCGGCAUUUCGGCUUUUCGGCUUUUGCUGAUCUAGUCUAUGAGUAGGUGUCAUUUACACACCUGUUUGCGAUGAAAUGCUAUGAGUUCCACACACGAACUGCCUACAAUCAAUUACUAAUACGUUAACUAUGAAUCCAUAGCAACUUAUCUGCAAAACUCCGUACUAAAAAUCGACCAUUAACACUUUAGGCACUAGUGUUCUUACCUUUGCUGAAAAAAUAGACUAGAUCUAAUUCUGGUCGUUCCAAAUAUCCAAGCCCUCAAUUAGUAGCCUUUAAUCCACACUAUAGGAAAACAAAUCAGAUAUCACCACUAAACCCUUUGAGUACAAUCAACAGGCACCCUUUGCAUAUAGGGGUUUUUUGGCUUUUACCUUAAUUCAUGAAUAACGAAAGAAAGAUUCGAGCGUUUACCUAUAUCAUUAUGACACUACUCCAAUUGAUUGUAGAUCCAACCACCGCACGAGAAGGGAAAAUACUCAACCAAGGGUUCGGCCUUUGUAGUACCUCAAAGUAGUAAGAUUUCGAUUUUGGAAGAAAAGAUACGAGGUUUGGCUUCAAUGGAAAUUCGGCUAACCAGUUUUGUUGAGGAUUUAUGAGAGAAAAGAAGAAGAAGAAUAUGAAGGAUUUAGGUUCGGCAAAAAGAUAGGAAGAGAAUCGGCAAGAGGAGAAAGAAAAGAGAAGAGAAGAAGAGAUGAGAGAAGGAAAGAAAAGAAUAGAAAAUAGAAGAAGGAAAAAAAAUGAAUCCAAAAUAUACGGCAUUUAAUAUAGCUAUGGCCGAAAGAGUGCCUUUCGGCAUAGUAAUUCUUUUUAAAUUCCAAUUCCCUAAUUUGCUCCUUGAUUUUUGGCCAAAUUCGAAGUUUGAAUUUCAUUCAAACUCCCAACCGAUCAGCAGCCUUAUCCACCUGCUUGCACCGCUUCAAUAUGCUGCCAAGAGUCCUGGUCAGACCUCAAUUCCUUCCCCACGCAUGCAGCAAAAAUCCAAACCUUGUAUGUGCCUUUCGGCAUUUAAUAUAGAAAAUAGAAGAAGGAAAAAAAAUGAAUCCAAAAUAUACGGCAUUUAAUAUAGCUAUGGCCGAAAGAGUGCCUUUCGGCAUAGUAAUUCUUUUUAAAUUCCAAUUCCCUAAUUUGCUCCUUGAUUUUUGGCCAAAUUCGAAGUUUGAAUUUCAUUCAAACUCCCAACCGAUCAGCAGCCUUAUCCACCUGCUUGCACCGCUUCAAUAUGCUGCCAAGAGUCCUGGUCAGACCUCAAUUCCUUCCCCACGCAUGCAGCAAAAAUCCAAACCUUGUAUGUGCCAAAUGCAGCUCGAACUACAGACCUCCGUCCGCCUUGCGCCCACGCCCGUGCUACUGACCACUGCACCAUGCUUCCUUCCUUAUUAAUACAUGGUCACAAUUAAUUAUAAACCUUACCUGCUUCAGUUCUGGCCCACUUUAAAAAUUAAACAAAAUUCGCCCGCGUAAGGACUCGAACCUGCACCCUGUCCAUAUGCCCAGCACGCUGCUGCCACUGAGCCACAGGCGCUUCUUGUGACAUAGCUUGGUCGCAAUUAUUGUUAAACCUUACUUUAGUGCGAUCUGGCUUCUUAAAAAUAAAAAACAAGCCUUUGCGUGUGCCAACCCUCGAACCUAGGCACCAUACCACACUCCCAGCGCCUCUGCCACUGGGCCGAGCUUCCCUUUUGUGUUACCUUUUAACCCCAACUUUAUAUAACACUUCCCUACGUCGUUCCCUGAUAUAAAGAAAAUUAACUCUUUUGCACAUGUUGGGAGUCGAACCCCAACUCUCCUUCCCACUACCUAGCAUGCUUAGACACUAGGCCAGGUGCUCCAUUAUGCUAAAAUUCAACCCAAAUUAUUAAUAAGGCCUACUGCCCAGAUUCCCUAAGGUAGCAUAAAAUUAAAAUUUUUCUAGAGUCUUAAACACCAAAACAACAAUACUUUUAUAAAUAUAUAUAUUUUUAUAUUUUAUAUUUUUUUUCCUAUCUAAUAAUAAUAAUUUUAUAAAUAUAUCUAAUAAUAAAAAUUUCAAAUAUCAAUAAUAGAGUAAAUAAUAAUAAUUUUCAUAAAAAAUUUUCAAACAUACAUGCAGUAAUAUUUUUCUAAUAAUAAUAAUUUUAUCUCAUAAUACUAAUUAAAAUUUCGUAAAAAUUUAAAAUAUCCGUAAUAAUAAAUAUAGUAAAAAUUUUCUAGUAGUAAUUCAAAUUUUUUUUUCUUAAACGGUAAUAUUUAAAACUUCCUAAUUAUUCAGGUUUCCUUCUAUCCGAAUCCCAGACUCAAAGCCCAACUCUUUUAGGCCCCAAAAAUCGGGGUGUUACAUUAGGCCAGAUGUGCAGUGCCAAUAUUGCAAGAAGAUAGGCCAUGUUGAAAGGGUUUGCAAAGAAAAAGGUAGACCAAGGCAGAAUCAACAGUAGCCAAGGGCUGAAGCUCGGGUAGCUGAAGAAGGUAGUGACAAUAAAGAGCAGGUCUUUACUGUCUCUUGCUCAGCUACUCAGGAGAAAGUUUCAAACGGUUGGCUCCUAGGUAGUGGUUGCACAAGCAUAUGUCACCAGAUGCAGCUAUUUUCAAAUCUUUAGGCAGAAGCUGUAAAACUAAAGUUAAAGUUGGCAAUGGCCACUUUAUUAAGGCAGAAGGAAAAUGAGAUGUGGUUAUUUGCACUCCAACAGGUAACAAGAUCAUUUCAAAUGUUUUGUAGUUCCUGAAAUUGACAGAAACCUGUUAAGUAUAGCUCAGUUAGUUGAAAAAGGCUAUACUGUGAUGUUCAAAGAAAAUAAAUGUCAGAUUAGUGAUCUAAGUGGAUCUAUGCUCAUGCCAGUAGCCAUGAAAGACAAGAGCUUUGUUGUGGACUGGAAUAAAGGCCUGGAUAGUGCCUAUGCUAUUUCUUCAGAAAAAUCCAAGCUUUGGCAUCAAGGACUUGGUCAUGCCAAUUUUAGGUCCAUGGCUCAGAUGGUCAAAGAGGGUUUGGCUAAAAAUUUCAUUAGUUCAGUGGAAAAUGAUGAUGUGUGUGAAGUGUGUCAAUUAGGGAAGCAGGCCAGACUUCCAUUUCCUUCAAACAAUGCCAGGAGAGCCUCAGAGAAGCUGCAGCUCAUACAAACUGAUGUGUGUGGCCCCAUGAAGACUGAGUCACUGAAUGGCAGCAGGUACUUCAUCUUGUUUAUUGAUGAUUACUCAAGGUUCUGUUGGAUUUAUUUCCUGAAGCAAAAAUAUGAGGUAGCCUCAGUAUUUUGGAAGUUCAAGACAACUGCUGAAGCUGAGACAAGCAGCAAGCUUAAGACUCUAAGGUCUGAUAAUGGACAUGAGUACACCUCAGCUCAGUUUCAAGCCUUCUGUGAUAAAGUUGGGAUCAAACACCAGCUCACCAACAUCUACACACCUCAGCAGAAUGGUGAUAGUGAAAGAAAGAAUAGGAGUUUAAUGGAUAUGGCCAGGUGCCUUCUAUUCCCCCAAAAAAAUUGCCAAAGACCAUGUGGGCUGAAGCAGUCAACACUGCUGUCUAUAUUCAGAAUAGGCUACAAACCAAAGUACUGGAGCACAAGACUCCAUUUGAGGCCUGGUUCGGGUUCAAGCCAUCAUUGGCUCAUUUGAGGGUCUUUGGAUGCUUGUGUUAUGCACAAGUACCAGCUGUAAAAAGAAGCAAGCUGGAUAUGAAAGCUCAAGCAGGCAUUCUAGUUGGCUAUAGCAUAAUAAAAAAGGGCUAUAGGAUCCUUAAUCCUUCAACAAACAAAGUUCUAGUUAGUAAGGAUGUAGUGUUUAAUGAGAAAGCAAGUUGAAAUUAGGAUAAAAAUGAGCCAGAAGCAGUUUCUGAAGAAUUUGUGGCUGAACAGACUGACCCUGAUCAAAAAUGGUCCAGAAAUGGACAUUGAUGAUGAACCAGUCAGGGGUACAAGACCAUUGACUGAAAUUUAUGAAAGGGCUCAAGUAGCAAUAGUUGAACCAAGCAGUUUUGAAGAGGCUGAAGCACAUCAAGGCUGGAAAUAGGCUAUGUCUGAUGAGAUUGUUAUGAUUGAGAAAAACCAAACUAGGGAGUUAGUUGCAAGACCAGCCAACAUGAACGUCAUUAGGGUGAAAUGGGUCUAUCGAGCCAAGCACAAUGCAGAUGGAAGUUUGAACAAGUUGAAGGCUAGGCUAGUUGUGAAGGGUUUUAGCCAAAAGUAUAGUCUGGACUAUUUGGAGACAUUUGAACGAGUGGCCAGACUAGACACCAUCAGGCUACUGGUUGCCUUAGCAGCUCAGAUGGAGUGGAAAAUCCACCAGCUCGAUGUAAAGUCAGCAUUUCUCAAUAGUUUUCUUGAAGAAGAGAUCUAUGUGGAGGAACCUCAAGGCUUCAAAGUGCUAAAAAAGGAAGACAUGGUCUACAGGCUCAAGAAAGCCUUGUAUGGCUUGAAACAGGCACCAAGGGCCUGGUAUAGUAGAAUUGACAGCUACCUGCUCAGUUUAGGAUUUCAAAGAAGCCUCAGUGAGCCUACUUUAUAUAUAAAGAAAGAAAAUGAUAAAACACAACUUAUUGUGUCUGUGUAUGUGGAUGACUUGCUGGUUACAGGAGAAGAUCAAACUAUACUUGCUGAUUUCAAAACUAAAGUGCAACAAAUGUUUGAGAUGUUUGAUCUUGGGAAAGUGACUUAUUUUCUAGGCAUGGAAGUGGUACAAUCACAUAAAGGAUUCUUUCUAAGUCAAAGAACCUUUGCUAUAAAGAUUUUAAACAAGUUCUCAACGCAGAAUUGCAAAGCAACAAAUACUCCAAUUGCUGUUGGAGAAAAAUUACCAAGCCAAAGUAACUCAGAAAAAGUUUGUGAAACAACCUAUAGAAGUCUAGUUGGAUGCUUACUUUACUUAACAACCACUAGGCUAGAUAUAAUGUUUGUAGUGAGUCUACUCUCAAGGUUUAUGCAUUGUUGCAAUGAAGAGCAUUUUCGGGCAGCAAAAAGGGUGCUCAGGUACAUCAAAGGUACCUUGAGUUAUGGCUUAUUGUAUAGCAAGACUGAUAGGCUAAGGCUAGAUGGCUAUACUGACAGUGACUGGGCAGGUUCAAAGGAUGACAUGAAGAGCACUUCAAGGUAUGCUUUCACCCUAGGCUCAGCUAUUUUUUGUUGGAGCUCGAAGAAGCAAAAUGUAGUUGCUCAGUCAACUGCUGAAGCUGAAUAUGUAGCAGCUGCUGGGGCUGUAAAUCAAGCCAUAUGGCUAAGGAAGAUACUAGAAGUUCUGAAUUUGCACCAUGAGGAAGCAACAGUGAUAAUGUGUGACAAUCAAUCCGCUGUUCCAAUUGUAAAGAAUCCAGUUUUUCAUGGUAGGAUAAAACAUUUCAGCAUUAAGCUUCAUGUGGUGAGAGAAAUGGAGCAAGCACAUGAGGUGAAACUGAUUCAUUGCAGUUCAGAAGAGCAACUUGCUGACAUUUUUACAAAACCUCUUGGAGUGACACGAUUUCUUCAUUUGAGAACUAAAUUGGGUGUUUGCAACAUGCUAACCAAGGAGGAGUGUUGAAGGUUGGUCAGCAUGCAGCACCAAGAAGCAAGCCAAACGCACCAGCCAUGCUUGAGCAGCAGAACCAAGUGCACCUGCUGUCAUUUAGGUCUUUUUCAUUCAUUUUGUUGGUGUAAUGUAAUCUUGUUCAUUUUGAACUAUGUCAAUUUGAUGAUUGAUGUAAUUAGGUAGUGAUUGAGCUGAAAAAUCAGCUUUGCUUUGUUGAACAAGUUAUUUUAUCAAGUUUCAAUAAGUUAUAGUGGUGUUAGGUGACAGUUUAGGUAAAAUUUGCUUGUAAGUGUUUGACUUAUGUUUGAUAUAUAUAAUGGCUUUAUGCAAAAGUUGAAUGAUGAAUAAAAAAUCAUCAUAUUUUCUUUCCAUAUGCUCCAAUAUAUUUCUUGCUUUCAAUUCUGUUCUGUUUAUCAAGCUCAAAUCUCCAUACUUCAAUUUCAAGUUUUCUUCAUUCUUCAUCCGGAUUCAUUUCAUUGUUGUUUAAGAUCCAGACUGAAGUACAUACUUCAUCCGGAUAAAGUGUUCUAAAAUCCCCAACAGUUCUGUGGAGAUGGGUUUUUUUCCUGUUAAAAGCUCAAUAAGAAUAAGUCCAAAGCUAUAAACAUCACUCUUCUUUUUAAAUUGACUUGAUAAAAAAAUUUAAGUUAUGUUAUUUCUCUUAAUUAUCAAGCCGAGCUCGAGUACAAAAUUGAUAAACUAGCAAUUUAAUCAAGCUUGAGUUCAAGUAGCUCGAGUAUAUUUCAAUUGAGUUCGAAUAUAAAAACAAAUGUUUAAUUGAACUCAAAUCAAAUAUCAAAUUCUAAAUUUUAGGUCCAACUCAACAAUAUUCAAACUCGGCUCGAUUACGUAACUACCCUCUACAAACUAAUCAGUAUAGCAAAUAUCUGCCCCCGUAAAAGGUGCAAUGCACCCAAUUUGCUCUCAUGACAUCUUCUUUCCUAAUUCAAUGUACACUAGAAAUUUCCAAGGAAGAUUUGCAAAGAAAGGUGAUAAUCUGAACUUAUUGACAAUUUCCUCACAAUUAAGCUAAAGUUUUCCUAUUCAGAAUCUUUUAUGGAAAGGUCAACUCUCCUCAUCACAUACAAUCUUUAUCAUAUGUAAGUUUUUUUUUAAUAUAAUAUAUGUGAUUUAUAUUCAAUAUAUUCAAUAUCUUUUGAAAAACAAGUAUACAUGAUCAUUAGCAAGAACAAUAAACAAUAUCAAAUUUGUUCCCACGAUAUUUGCUCAAUAUUUCAUGUUAAAUGUUCAAUAUUUAUUGCUUAAAGUAAUAAUUAAGAGUUGUGUAAAUGACUAACUCUAUGUGUGGGGUUUUAUGAUGGGAAACAACUCAGGAACCUUCUUUCAACUUAGUUUUUAGAAAAAUAAUAAUGCACUUAAAAUAAAAAAACAAUUAGAAUAGUUGAAUGACUUAAAUUAAAAUUUUCAAAUAAUUUAAUAACUAUUUUGUAACAUUUUAAAUUUGAACGAUUAAAAUGUAAACUUAUUAAUAAUUUAACGACCUUGAAUAUAGUUUACCGUAAAAUUUAAUAUUUCUAUCUUUAAACAAAAACAUUAAUCAAAUAUAUAAUAUAAAAAGAAAUUAUUUGAUACUUCAUUAAAUAUUAAAUAUUCACCCUAUAACUUCAUUAAAAUGACAAUAAAGAGAACACCGUUAAUUUAUCUGAAGACCCCUUUUGGGGUCUUGAUUUAAUAUGGUCAGAUGAGAAAUUUCGUAGAUAAAACCCCAAUCAAGUGAGAACUCGAAUCAUAAUCUUGCGGAAAAUUCGACACCUAAUGGAAAUGUAUGUCCAGAAAAUAAUAGGGGCCACAAUUAAAUCAUCUUUAAAUUGUUAAACCAAAUUAAAGAUGGAACCGUCAUUCUCAUGGGAUCAACAUCUUGUUAUUAAUACUCUACAGGGAAUAACUUGAAGCCAACGCCAAUUUAUAAUCAUGUUAGUAUAUAUGAGUAAUAACUUUGUUAAUUAAUUACUACUUCUUUUAUUAUCGACAAUUUUGCUAAUCAAUUUUAAAUUAGCACUUAGUACACCUGCAUCAUGUUUUAACAUCAUGCAGUUUUGAAUUCAAAUUAAACUGAUUUCCAAUGAAAAAAACAAAAGUCAUUCCGCGUGAAGAGGUAAGUUUGGAACACAUUUUUAUAUGUUCCAUGACAACAGCUGGCCCUUACGACAAUGGCAACAAGACCUAUGAUGAGUUUUGAUACGAUCCGCCUCGAAUGAUGAGUCAAGUCGUAUUUACGUUGCCCGAUCGUUUACGAGAAAGUAUGGUUCAAUUAGAUGGAUAUCUAACUAAAUCAAUGAAAUAUGCUCAACUGAGAUUAAAAGAUCAAAAAUAAAAUGGCUAAUUGGAAAGGGAAAAUAUUUGGUUAUCAAAUAAGUGAUAAAAGUUGAUUAUGUUUUGGAUAUGAUAAAAGGAUGGAAAGAAACGGCUCAAGAAGCAAGCAAGAACCAACACUAAUUAGUGUCGACCCAAUUACUUAUAUGCUUUUGAAAAGGUUUGUAUAUUCGGUCAAGACCUCAACCCACUAUCAAUAAAGAUAGGAACCUCGGUAUAGGGUUCGAACUCCACACUUGUGAAAGUGAUAAGUUUGGGAAGGCAAAGAACUGGUUGACGCCAUUAGCUUUGUAGAUAAGCCAACAAGUCUUUGAACAAAAUCAGAGAAAAGUAUUUCUCACCAAAUGAGCAAAGUUUCAUUAAAAUGUCAAAAAAUCGUCCUUCAAAAUUGCUGGUUACACAUAUUUAUAGGUAGAGAAAAACUAGCUGAAAAGUCACAUCUUAGGGUCUGUUUGAUUGGCAGUAAAAUAUUUUCCGUAAAAUGAUUUCUGGAAAAUGUUUUACUUUUCUGUAAAAUGAUUUACUGGAAAAUAUUUUCUAGUGUUUGAUUGAAUCUGUGUAAAAUAUUUUCUGCUGUUUGACAGAUUUCCUGAAAAUAUUUUCCGAAAAAGUUGUUUUUACAUAUAUUAAUAAAUUUAUAUACAUAUUAAUAAAUUUUUAUAUUUUAAAUUAUUUUUACACAUAUUGCAAUGAUUUAUUUAUAAAUAAAUUUUUUAUUAAUAAAAGUUUUUUAUCUAAUUAAAUUCCAAAUGUUCAUCUAUUUGUAGAUUAUACCGAUUUGAUUUUACUUCUUCAUUAUUAAAACAUUUAUUUGUAUUUAAAUUUUAUAUUAAUUUGAUUCUACUUUUAUCCAAUCUGAUUCUUGUGAUACAUAUAUUUAACAUGGGAUUUAAAUUAAGGGUCCGUUUGAUUGCCAGUAAAAUGUUUUCCGUAAAAUGAUUUCUGGAAAAUGUUUUACUUUUCUAUAAAAUGAUUUACUGGAAAAUAUUUUCUGGUGUUUGAUUGAAUCUGUGUAAAAUAUUUUCUACUUUUUGAUAGAUUUCUUGAAAAUAUUUUUCGGAAAAGUUGUUUUUACAUUUGUUCUAGUGAUUCAGUGUUCUAUCCACAUAUCCUUAUGUCCUAUAAAUCUAUAUUUGGGCUAAAAUGAAAUGGUAAGUGAAAUUUAUUAGUGAGUUGAUGAGUAACAUAUAAUAAAUAGUUUUGAGAAUCUUAAUGCUUAAUGUCUACUUAAUUCCAUUUUAAUAUAUCACAAACAAGGUAUUUAUAUGUUUAAUAUUGAUUACUUGCAAAGGCAAAGCUUAAUUCUCUAAUAAUUAAACUUUCAUCCUUUAAUGUCCAAAGAGACAAAGUUAGAUUAUAGAUACGACCUCAGGGAAAGUAAAUAUUGCAAAGCCAAAACCUUUAGCUAAAACUAUAGGGAAAAACUGAAAGAUAUUCUCGUAUUUUCUUCAAGUAAAAUCGCUUAUUAUAUAUAUUUAGACCAAGUUGUGUAUAAAAUGUCAAAUCACAUAACAACAGUGAAUAAAAUAACUCGAAGUCUAAAAACUAACCAUGUACGUAUGUAUGUAUGUAUAUAUAUAUACACAUAGGCACGUAACAACCCCAAGAAAUUAACAAAUGUAAAAAAUGUAAAGGAAACCAGAAAAGAAUCAGUGAACGAUAUGUAAUAAAGGUCUGCUUAGUUCCCACAGUGCCAUUUUGAUGUAGGAACACAGCUCAAGUAAUGGCACCAGCUGCAAUGGUCAUGUCCAUUCUCUCCUCUAAAUAGCAUUACCAACCCCACUGUGAAACUGUCAUCAUUCGAAAAAGGAAAACAGAGGAGAUUAAACAAACGGGACCAAAAUUAUAAACACGAGCUGCUAAACUAGUAAUGUAGGGUUGAGAGAACUUACCCAGCAAUGAGUAAAACCAUAACUAUCACCAAAAAUAGGUAUUGGUAUGCUUUAUGCUUAGAUGUUACACGAGCACCGGCAGGAAGAUGUUUACGUCCCACCCACCCGAAUUGGGGACGAAGCAGCAAAACGAACCCAAGGAGAAAAUCGGUUAAGAAACCUCCAAUAUGCGCAAAGUUGUCGACGUGAGGAAGAAUCCCCAUUGCUAAGUUAAUGACAAUGAUGACCGUGAGUGUGAUCAGAGCUGUAGCCUACAAAUUAAGGUAAAAAAUCAAUAUCCUCUAUUACUUUUCAAGCCACAUGAAAAAAGAAAUCACCUAUAACUCUGGUUUCCCUUCAUUGCAUUUCUAAGUAGAUAGGAACCCGAGGCAACUAAUAUUACCUUAUUUGUAUAGAUAGUCCAAUUAGUCAGCAGCUCCGACAACAUUAAUCCAAGAAGGCCAAAUAAAGCACCAGAGGCAGCAACAGAAAUGCUACGUUGAAUAAAAAGAGACGAUAGUACGCUACCACUACAAAAGGAAACGGAUAACGUACUGAAUCCAAAUUGUUGUUCAAGGCGAAUUCCAAUGAAGAUCAAGCUCAACAUGUUUGCAAGUAGAUGAAUAACACCAGCGUGUAGCCAGAUGCAAGUGAUAAGCCUCCACGCUUGAUUUCCAUGCACUACCUUGUCCCAUUUUAAGGCUCCCAAUUUUUCCAAUCUGAAGAAGGAGGAGAAAGAACAACAUAAAAUUACACAACUCGCGAUUAUCAACCACGACAUGGCAUAAUAAAAAAAGGAUUUGAAUUAGACCAUACAAAAACAAAAAUAAAACUACAAAUCAACUAACUUCAUUAACCAGUCCUUGAUUUCCAGACAAAGUUCAUUACCCAAAUUAACAAAGAAACUAACUUAAGUUCCUAUAAAACCAUUAAUCCAUAAAUUAACAAAGCAACUAACUUCAUUACCCAGUCCAUGAUUUCCAGACAUGCCAUUAUUUAACAAAGCUCAAAUUUGACUCAAUUGAUAGCUCGACCGAGUUCGAGUCUUUCUUCAAGUAGUUUGCAAGCACCUUUACACCCCUACUAUAGACAAAGCAAACCAUGACAUUUCAUAUUGAGAAUUCCUAUUGCUGCUAAAUGAACAAGGAAGAACAAAUCUAAUAAUAACCUUAAAUAGUAUCAAUCAUAUCAGACACAAAUUUCCAAUAGAAUCAAAAUAAAUCACAGAUUGAUAUAUCCUUUAGCAUGAUCCAAGGAUAAUCCUAUAGAAGAUCAAUUGGGAACUGCAGUUGAAUCAUCAAAUAAGAACUUCCUACAUGAACAACUUCUAAAAGAUACCGUCAGUCCAUAUCUAAAACUUGCAAGCAAUUUUUUCCCCUUCUUUAGAAUUGAAAGUUGCAAAAGGACCCUCAACUUCAAUUCCAACCCAAUUUCCCAUCACAUUAAAAAAAACACAAAAACUAAACAAAAUCUCAGAAAACCAGAGACAACAAAAAGAAGUGAACAAACUCAAAGCAUGAUCAACAUUAUCGAAGCGGUGGUCUAUUUUUCCCUUUCCUCUAACAGGCAUGGACAUUGGUUUCUUACUUAGGCAGUCGAUGUGGGUAGCAAUAGUGUUAGAAGAAGAAGAAAGAGUGGAAAUUAGAAAGAUGGCUUCCAGCAUUAACAACCGAACGAAGAAUAAAAGAAGAAGGAAGCUUACCCAUCAUUUGAAAGCAGAAAUGGCAACGGCAGUAGCAGCCAAAAAGAAAUGAAAAAUAAACGGAGCAUAAAAGCCAAAAAGAAAUGAAAAAUAAAUGAAGUAACCGUCGAAAAAUGGAAAUGGAAUUGCAACGUACCAGCAGCGGUUUCCAGUUCUGAACCAAAAUGAAGCUUUCAAUAACAGAAAUUUGAAGGAAUGAAGGAAGGGAGAAGAAUGGAUGAAGGGAGCUUACUGGAUGAAGGGAGAAGAAUGCCUGAGAGCUUUAGGAAAAUGUCUUACGGAGAUUGAAUCGGUAAGACAAUUUCCCAAAAAUUGUAAGGCAUUUUCCCGUGUUUUGUAGUUGAUUUUCCAAAAGGAAAAUAUUUUCCUCCAAUCAAACACUGGAAAAUGGGGAAAAUCAAUUCCGGAAAAUAUUUUCCCCUAUCAAACAGACCCUUAAUGUGCUAGUUAAAACUGAAAUUAAACUCAAGUCCCUUGGCAUUCUUGUAACAAUUAAUUCCAUCCUUGAAUUCACUUUAAUUCAACUGAAUAAAUAUUCUUGAUUGCUUGAAAAAUGUCUCUUGAGAUGUUCCUUGGCUAGCCGAAAAGAGACCAGUUACUUAAUGGUGUUUUGAAUGCUUGUUUUAAUAUUUGAAAGAACAAAAUCAGCUGGUAGGUGAAAGGGUUGCUGUCAAAUUUAAAAGGGUGUUAAAAUUCUCCUUAAAACUCCUUAAUUGAUGUAUAAAACCUCCUUUGUAACAACUCCUUCCUUUGUAACCAAAAAAAAAACACUUGACAAGUCACUUCCAUUAAGUUGUAACGGCCUUGAAAUGUAACGGUUGUGAGAUGAAGGAACACUUGCAAUAGAUUGCAAGUAACGUCUAUGGGGUUCAUCCCUGCAUGAUUAAUGGGUUUGACUUCUUGUUCUUCCCAAACUCGUUACACGUAGCUUGCCAAUGUGUCUUUAAAUUUCUUAGCUCGUGACCUAGUAAUAGAACCUUGUGGCAACUCAAUGGAUUCAGUAGAGACAUCCCGAGCUAAGGUUGUAUCAUUCCCUCCUCUUGAAAGUGAGUUGUCCUCAAGUCGAAACCUGCAUUAAAAGGAGACAAACUAGCAACAGUAAAGCUUGCACUAAUGUUAUACUCACUCGUUAAGUCAAGUCGAUAUGAAUUUUCAUUGAUUUGUUCAAUAACUUGGAAUGGACCAUCUCCUCGUGGUAACAAUUUAGAUCGUCGUUGAGCUGAAAACUGUUCUUUCCUCAUAUGAAUCUGGACCCAAUCACUGGGUUCAAAGAUAACCCAUUUUCUUCCUUUGUUCACCCUUUGUACGUAACUCUUGGUUCGGGCUUCAAUAUUAGCUCGCACUUUUUGAUGGAACUUCUUGACGUAUUCGACCUUUUCAUUAGCAUCUACAUACACAAAAUGAUUGUUAGGCAAUGGUAAUAAAUCAAGGGGAGUUAAUGGAUUAAAGCCAUAAACUACUUCAAAGGGAGAAAACUUAGUAGCAGUAUGGACAGAGCGAUUGUAAGCAAAUUCGAUGUGAGGUACACAUUCUUCUCACGACUUUAGAUUUUUACAGACGAUUUCACGCAACAAAGUAGUCAAUACUCAAUUUACCACCUCCGUUUGUCCAUCCAUUUGAGGAUGACAAGUGGUCAAAAAUAACAGCUUCGUUCUGAGCUUUCCCCACAAUGAUCUCCAAAAGUGGCUAAAAAACUUUGCAUCACGAUCGAACACGAUCAUUCUUGGAAUUCCAUGUAAACGAACAACUUCCCUAAAGAAGAGAUUAGCUACAUGAACAGCAUCAUCAGUCUUGGCACAUGCAAUAAAAUGAGACAUUUUCGAAAAUCUAUCAACUACUACAUAUAUAAAGUCUUUGCCCAUUUUUGUUUUUGGUAAUCCAAGGACAAAGUCCAUGGAUAUAUCCAUCCAAGGGAAUUUAGGUAUGGAUAGCGGCAUAUACAAACCAUGAGGUUGAAUCUUGGACUUAGCUCGUUUGCAGGUCACACAACACUCACAGACACGUGCAACAUCUCUUCGCAUUAGUAGCCAAUAAAAAUGUUCUUGUAGAGUUGAUAGUGUCUUGCUUAUACCAAAGUGUCCUAUGAGGCCUCCACUAUGCGCCUCUUGCAUAAGCAAUUCUCGAAUCAAGCCUUGUGGUAUGCAUAACUUACCUUCCUUAAAAAGGAAGCCCUCAUACUUAUAAAAUUUCUCAGAAGAUCCAUUUUCACAAACAAUAAAGAUAUUACCAAAGUCAUUAUCAUUAACGUACAAUUCUUUCAAAUAAGAAAACCCAAGUAGCUUAUAAUCAAGAUAAGACAAAAAAGUGUACCUCCUUGAUAGAGCAUCAACAACUACGUUUUCUUUACCUUUCUUAUACUUGAUAACAUAUGGAAAGGAUUCAAGAUAUUCAAUCCACUUUGCAUGACGCUUACUUAACUUAUGUUGACCUUUAAUGUGCUUUAAGGCUUCAUGAUCAGAGUGAAUCAUGAACUCCUUCGGCCACAAGUAAUGUUGCCACGUCUCGAGAGAUCAAUUAAGGCAUACAUUUCUUUAUCAUACACGGAAUAAUUGAAAACAACCCCACUUACCUUUUCACUAAAAUACGCCACCGGUCUUCCAUCUUGGGUUAGCACAGCCCCAAUUCCAACACCUGAAGCAUCACAUUUGAUUUUAAAGGUUUUAGUAAAAUCAGGAAGUGCUAAUAAAGGUGCUUGGACAAGGCAUUGUUUAAUUUUAUUAAAUGAAUUUUCUUGCUCAUUUGUCCAAUAAAAUGGUGAAUUUUUCUUAAUAACACUUGUCAAUGGCGUAGCAAUUGUACUAAAGUUAGGUACGAAACAUCAAUAAAAACUAGCCAACCCAUGAAAGCUUCGGAUUUGGAUAAUGCUAGUCGGGCACGACCAUUCUUGGGUCGCUCAAACUUUCUCUUGAUCAACUUCCAACCUUUCGGAACUCACCACAAAACCUAAGAACACAACUUUGUUAGUACAAAACGAACACUUUUUAAGGUUUGCAUAGAGUAUCUCCUAUCGCAACGUUUCUAACACCUCUCGCAAAUGUUGAACGUACUCUUCCAAUGACUUGUUGUAUAUCAAGAUAUCAUCAAAAUAAACUACACAAAAUUUUCCAAAAUAAGCACGCAACACAUGGUUCAUUAAUCGCAUAAAAGUGCCAGGUCCGUUCGUAAGACCGAAUGGCAUUACCAACCAUUCAUGCAAACCAUGUUUGGUUUUGAAGGUAGUUUUCCAUUCAUCGCCUUCUUGCUUACGAAUUUGAUGGUAGCCACUCCUAAGAUCGAUCUUCGUGAAUAUCUUGGCACCGUUUAACUCGUCGAGCAUAUCAUCGAGAUGAGGAAUCGGAUGUCUAUAUUUAACAGUGAUCUUGUUGAUAGCACAACAGUCAACACACAUUCGCCACGAACCAUCCUUUUUAGGUGUAGCACCCUAAACCCGGCCCAAAUGUUAUGGCCGGAUCCGACAUGCCACAUCGAAGCAUUCAAAACAUUUUCGAUCCAGAAAGAAAACUUACUGAGUGUUUUAAAAGAUGAUUUCAUUAUAGGUUAAAGUGAAUGGAAGCUGUGCACCAGGUAGGAAAUCGGAAAAGAGGUUGUGAGUCCAUCGGACUGCUUAAGUACCAAGCUCCCUUCGGAUCCAAUCCUAGACAUGCAUACCGCCAUUGCCACACCUUAACGUCAUGGAUAUUUCUAGGAAACCGAUUUGAUUAAGUCAUUUUUAGGAAAAGUGAUUAAUCUUGGAAAAUACUUUCAUUACGGAAGCUUUGCUUGUUGUCGUGUUAUUUUGAAAUCAAUUGUUGUUUUUGAAAAUGCGCUCUGAAGCUAUCCAAUUUCAACAGUUAAAUAUAAUAAAUACCUAUCUUAGUAAUACAUAUUAAAACUAUCAAAAAUAAUUAAGCGGCCUUAUUACAUUUAAAAACCCAAAACUUCAAACGUAAAUAAAAGGAUGUCCAGUCCACCAUAAGAAAAUCAAGCUUUCAGAACGGGUGGCCACUCCGAAUUCCCUCACAGCUCCAAGCCCAUUAUGGUUGGGGAUUUCCUGCGUGGAUGAAAAUAAAAGGGGUGAGUUUGGGGAAACUCAGUGUGUAAGGAAAACCCAUUCAAAGCCCAAGUCAGCUCAAGCCUAUUGGGCCUAAGCCCAUUCAGGUAACAGUGGUAAUGGACCAGAGCCCUUUUCAGAUUACAAUAAACUGGGCCUUAUCCCCUUAUUCAGAUAACAGUAUGGCCCAUAGGCCCAUUUCAAAAUACAUGCAACAUCAAUAACAUAUGCAAGCUCAUUUGGGGAGACUACUCAACCCACCAACCACUACACUCCACCCGUACCAGCCCUACACUCAAUGUGGGGAAUAGCUCAACCCACCCAGCCCAACACUCCACAGCUGCAGCCUUGCUGCUCAGUUAACAGUAAAUUGAGGCAAAGCCUCCAGUACGUGGACAAGCCACUUUCAGUACUUCCUCCGUCAAUAUCCCAGUCCCAUGCAUCAGAUAAUAACAACAUGGCAUGAAGUAAAUAACAACACUCAAACAUGCAUUUAGGUCAAUUUAACCCUAGGGGUAUUUUGGUAAUUUAUCUCCUAGGGGUAAAACCGUAAAUUUUCCACUUUUAAAGGUAUUUCAGUAAUUUAUCUAUUUUAGGGUUUUUCAUGCAUAUUCCUACCUUUCACGUACUAACAGAAUCACUACCGAAGGUUCUUACCGAAUUGGGCCCGUUGGCCCAUCAUUCCAAUUUUGGCCCAUUAAGCCCAAAUAUAUCGAGGGCACAGAAAUCAUGCACUUUGCAGUCCAAACAUUGCAGCUUACCAAAAACAUUAAUCGAUUUACCUCACGAGCAUUCGUACGCUCGCAAAUCUACAAAAUACCGGUUUUCGGCUUUUUGACUUUUGUCGAUCUAGACGAAGAAAGAGGGUGUUAGUUACACACCUGUUUGCGACGAUAUGCUGACGAGAUCCACACACGAACUGCCUACAAUUGGAUUACUAACACGUUAAUCUAACUAUUCACAUACAAACUACGUAUUAAACCCUUACAAUAUUCGGCCAACCACACCUACAGGUCAUAGUAAGCUUAUAAGAAAUCAAUAAGCAACUCAUUAACAAAUUUUUGUCAAUGUUUACCACAUAAUCAUAAUUUCACUGCAAGCUGUCUUCCUGAGCAACAGUCACGAAAUCAUUUAUAACUGGAGCUACGAAACUCCAAAUCAAGUGCCGUUAAUUUUCCCUAAAAAUAGACUCAUAUAUCUUCUAUCCAUAAAAUUUUCAGAAUUUUUGGUUUAGCCAAUCAAUACCAGAUAUUUCUCAAAGUUUCCCAUGUUUCACUAUUUGACUAAUCUGCCCACUCUUCAUUACGACUCAAAUUUCUCAUUGUAAAGAAUUCAAAAUAUGUUCUCGUUUAUUUCAUUUGAAACUAGAAUCAUUAAGAUUUAAUUACAUAAUUUAUUCAGCUUCUAAUUCAUCUCCCACAAUUUAUGGUGAUUUUCCAAAGUCACGUUACUGCUGCUGUCCCAAGCAGAUUUAUUACCAAGUCACUCUUUCACACACCUAUCUUGCAUGCAUGUUAUUUAAACAUGUAUAUCACCAAUCAAUCAUCACAUAUCUAUGAUUUUUGUACUUAAGCAUAAUCUCCAUUUCAUCAUUUUAAAGCACAACAUGUUAGCCAAUUUUUCCCUUUAGCAUCUAAGGCACAUGCAUGAUCAUUUGUUUGGCUCAACUUCACCUAUCUUCCAUUUUUCAUCAAAAGAACAUGAAAUAACAACCAUUUCCUUCAUUUUAAUUCAUGACUAAAUGCUCACAACACAACUAAAAACCAAAAUAUGCUUCAAGAGUUAAGGUAGAAUCAAGAAGAACUCAUGAACAUCAAGAUAGAAGCACACUACCAUGAACUUACCUUCAAUUUUCUUCCCCAAGUGACCGAACAUUCAAGAGCUUUCUCCUCUCUUUUCUCUUCUCUAACUUUAGGCUAUGAUGAACAAAUAUGGACAAAACUUUGUUCUUUUCACCCCUUUUUCUUUUAAUAAAAUUUCAUAUUUCAUCCAAUUAAUUCUUAAUACAAAAGACAUGAAAUGCCCAUCAUGGAACAUUUACCUAAACCAUUAUCAUGGAACAUUUACCUAACCCAUUAUCAUGGAAUAUUUACCUAAUCCAUUAUCAUGGAACAUUUACCUAACCUAUUAUCAAUUUGUACCAUGAAUUAUGGAUAUCAAGUGCUCAUAUUGUCUACAAUAACAUGAUGGCUGGCCACUUCAUGUAAAAUGGUAGGUUUGUCAUGCAAAUCCUCCUAUUUUGCACUCCUAUUUAUUUGGCCACUUCAAUUUAGCCUAUAGCAUUUUCAAACAUUUUCACAUAAGUUCUAUUUCAUAAUUUCACCCCCUUUUUCUUAUGGAACAAAAAUUAACUAAAAUUGCCGGGUUCUAUCUUAAGCUUGGGCCUUCUAGAGGCCCACUAACAUAAUUAAACCUAUGCCAACAUUCACAGAAUUCCCGAAAAUUGGGGCAUUACAACUCUACCGUCCUUAAAUAAAUUUCGUCCUCGAAAUUUACCUGAUCCAACUAGUUGAGGGUAUUGUUGACUCAUAGUCUCUUCUGAUUCCCAAGUAGCUUCUUCCCUUCCAUGAUUACGUCAAAGCACUUUCACUAACGGGACAGAUUUCCUUCCGAGAACCUUAACAUCUCGAGCCAAUAUUUGCACAGGCUCCUCCUCAAAGGUCAAAUCAGUCUGAACUUUAAUUUCUGCAACUAGCACGACAUGAGCAGGGUCAGAACGAUAACGCCUUAACAUGGAGACGUGAAAAACAUCGUGAAUCCUGUCUAACUCUGGAGGCAAUUCCAAUUGAUAAGCCACUGGGCCUACUCGCUUCAAAACCCGAUAAGGCCCAAUGAACCGCCGGCUCAACUUGCCCUUCUUACCGAACCUUAAUAUCUUCUUCCAAGGAGAAACCUUUAAGAAGACCAUAUCACCUACUAAGUACUCAAUCUCCUUACACUUCAAAUCUGCAUACGACUUUUGCCUAUCAGAUGCUUCUCUUAAUCGGUCCCUAAUUAUUUUGACCUUAUCCUCAGUAUCAGCUACCAACUCUGGUCCAAGAAUUUGUCGCUCUCCUAGUUCAGUCCAACAACUAGGUGUACGACACCUUCGUCCAUACAGUGCUUCAUACGGUACCAUUCGAAUACUCGCCUGGUAACUGUUAUUGUACGCAAAUUCUGCCAACGGCAAGUAAUCCUCCCAACUACCUCGAAAGUCAAUCACACAUCCCCUCAACAUGUCCUCCAGGAUCUGAAUAACCCUCUCUGAUUGACCAUCAGUUUGGGGAUGGAAAGCCGUACUAAAGUUCAAUCGCGUCCCCAACACCUCAUGCAACCUUUGCCAAAACCGAGAUGUAAAUCUGGGAUCCCAAUCAGAAAUAAUUGAAACUAGGACUCCAUGAAGUCAUACAAUCUCCGCCACAUAUAGCUUGGCUAACUUUUGAAGCGAAAAGUCAGUACGUACAGGUAUGAAAUGGACUGAUUUGGUCAACCUAUCCACAAUCACCCACACUGAGUCUUUCUUUGAUGGUGUCAAGGGCAGCCCACUCACCAAGUCCAUGGUUACCCUCUCCCACUUCCAAAGUGGUAUCUUCACUGACUGUAACAGUCCAGAGGGUAAUUGAUGCUCAGCUUUCACUUGCUAGCAUGUCAGACAUUUCCCUACAAACUCUGUUACUUCUCGUUUAAGCCCAGGCCACCCGUACAAUUCUCGCAAGUCGUGAUACAACUUAUUCCCUCCAGGAUGCAUGGCACAAAGUCCUCCAUGAGCUUCCUUCAAUAUUGUCUGCCUCAAAUCAGAGUCCUUAGGAACAUAAAUUCUUCCUCAGAAACACAGAACUCCUUCGCCAUCUAACCCAAACUCAGAAGUUUCCCCUUCCUUAACUUGUUGGAAACGAGCGACCAAAGACUUAUCGUUCAACUGCUUUUCCUUAAUCUGAUCCACCCAGGUUGGCCUCAGUUGCAACUCAGCCAACAGACUUCCAUCAUCAUACAGACUCAGACGAGCAAACAUUGCUCUCAGAUUAGAUACAGCUCUACGACUUAGAGCAUCGGCUACCACAUUAGCCUUGCUUGGGUGAUACUCGAUCAAACAGUCAUAAUCCUUAAGCAACUCAAUCCAUCUCCUUUGCCUAAGGUUCAGCUCUUUCUGAGUCAACAAAUACUUAAGACUCUUAUGGUCAGUGUAUAUAAUACACCUUUCUCCAUACAAGUAAUGUCUCCAAAUCUUAAGUGCAAAUAUCACUGCUGCUAACUCUAAAUCAUGAGUCGGAUAGUUCCCUUCGUGAGGUUUAAGCUGUCGUGAUGCAUAUGAAACCACCUUACCCUCCUACAUUAACACGCAGCCCAAACCCACGUGUGAUGCGUCAUUGUACACAGUAAAAUCCUUUCCAGACUCUGGCUGAAUCAACACAGGUGCUUCAGUCAGAACUUUCUUCAACUUCUCAAAAGCUUCCUACUGCUUCUCAGUCCAUACAAACGGUACUCCUUUCCUUAUGAGUUUUGUCAGAGGUGCUUCCAUAAUAGAAAAACCUUCCACAAACUUUCUGUAGUAUCCUGCCAGUCCUAGGAAACUCCGUAUUUCCGACAUUGACCUAGGCGGCGUCCACUCCAAAAUCGCUUCAAUUUUCUGAGGGUCCACCUUAAUCCCCUCAGCAGAGACCACAUGUCCUAAGAAGGUUACCUCCUCCAACCAAAAUUCACACUUGCUGAACUUCGCAAAGAGUUCCUUCUCCCGUAAUACUUACAGCACUAUACGGAGAUGCUCAUCAUGUUUCGUUUCAGUUUUAGAAUAUACCAGGAUAUCGUCAAUAAAGACGACUACGAACUGAUCCAAAAAUGAUUGGAACACACGAUUCAUCAGAUCCAUAAACGCUGCAGGAGCGUUCGUCAGUCCAAAUGGCAUAACCAGAAACUCGUAAUGACCAUACCGAGUCCUGAAUACCGUCUUAUGGAUAUCUACCUCCUUGACCCUUAAUUGAUAAUAUCCAGAUCGAAGGUCGAUCUUGGAGAAUACAGAAGCUCCUCUAAGCUGGUUGAACAGAUCGUCAAUCCUUGGCAGCGGAUACUUAUUCUUAAUCGUCAGUUUGUUCAACUGGCGAUAAUCAAUGCACAUCCGCAUUACCAUCCUUCUUUUUCACGAAUAGCACUGGUGCUCCCCAUGGAGACACGCUUGGCCUAAUGAAGUCCCUAUCCAACAACUCUUGAAUUUGAGCCUUUAACUCCACUAACUCCUUCGGUGCCAUCCUAUACGGUGCGAUGGACACGGGCGCCGUUCCAGGCAAUAAAUCUAUUCCAAACUCAACUUCUCGGUUCGGAGGCAAUCCUGGAAGCUCCUCUAGAAAAACAUCUUGGAACUCCUUUACGGUCCUAACCUUAUCCACUGUCAGUCCCUCCUCUUCUGACUGACUUACAAAUGCCAAAUAGGCCUCACAACCUUUCUGAAUCCACUUCUCGGCUCUUAAUGCCGACACCACAUUAGACAAAUAAUCCCUUCGCUCACCUAUCACCAUAACCUCCUCAUCCUUUGUGGUCCUUAACACCAUUCGUUUAACAGCACAAUCCAGAGUCGCUUUAUGCUUAACAAGCCAAUCCAUUCCCAAAAUGAGAUCAAACUCUCCGAACGGUAACUCCAUCAGAUCUCCAAGGAAAAUCUUACCUUGAGUUUCUAAGGGUACAUCCCUAUACAGUUUAUCUACCCUAACCGAGUGACUCAAAUGACUUAGUACAGAUACCCCACUCACAAUCUCCUCAGAGCAGUCCAAGUUGUCCAUAAUCCGUUCUGUGGCCUCCAACCAAUUUUCUGCCAUAUUUGGGGCUAUACCAGACACGCCCCUAAAAAUCUCCGCUCCGUUAGCCCGAAGUCGUUAAGAAAUAGAUCCCCGAACUCCAUUGCCCAUACCUGCCCCGGCAACCCUUUCUAAAACACGAAGCAUUGCCUGUGACAGGGCAUCAUCCCCGGCACCGCGUUCAUGAGACUCUACCUCUGUUGCCGAUGGUACCGGUGCAUCCACCGCCGACAUAUGUCCCGAAGACGAAGAUCUCGCUCGAGCACUUCCUCGGCCCCGUCCACAGCCUCUUCCAUGAAUGGUUCUUGUACUCAUAUCGUAUUAUCUUGAUUACGAAUUUUUAUGCAUCAAUUAAUAUUCUAGUGUUUAUUACAGAUGUUUUAUGAAUUAGACAGUAGUUCAGAGUUUGUUUUCGCAGAGUUGAAGUCUAGCUACAGUUUCAGUCUCUUAUCAGAUUUUCUUAUGGUUUCAGUAUCAUCCUAUCUAGAGUAUCCUAGUAGGGUUUCAGUACAGACAGAUAACUCAGGAAAAUAUUCAGAAAAAUUCAGAAUACUUACAGACUUGAGCCGGAGAUUCGGAAUGCCACCUUCUAAAGAUCUAAAUUUUGAAAAUCGCGUUUUUCGCAAAAAAAAUUUGUUUUUGAAAAUCUUUAUUUUUUUUUGUAAACCCAUUCCACAGCCGAGUUGUUGCAACCUAGGCUCUGAUAGCACUAAAUGUAGCACCCCAAACCUGGCCCAGACGUUAUGGUCGGAUCUAACAUGCCACAUCGAAGCAUUCAAAACAUUUCCGAUCCAGAAAGAAAACUUACUGAGUGUUUUAAAAGAUGAUUUCAUUAUAGGUUAAAGUGAAUGGAAGCUGUGCACCAGGUAGGAAACCGAAAAAGAGGUGGUGAGUCCAUCGGACUGCUUAAGUACCAAGCUCCCUUCGGAUCCAAUCCUAGACAUGCAUACCGCCAUUGCCACACCUUAACGUCAUGGAUAUUUCUAGGAAACCGAUUUGAUUAAGUCAUUUUUAGGAAAAGUGAUUAAUCUUGGAAAAUACUUUCAUUGCGGAAGCUUUGCUUGUUGUCGUGUUAUUUUGAAAUCAAUUGUUGUUUUUGAAAACGCGAUCUGAAGCUAUCCAAUUUCAACAGUUAAAUAUAGUUAAUACCUAUCUUAGUAAUACAUAUUAAAACCAUCAAAAAUAAUUAAGCGGCCUUAUUACAUUUAAAAACCCAAAACUUCAAACGUAAAUAAAAGGAUGUCCAGUUCACCAUAAGAAAAUCAAACUUUUAGAACGGGUGGCCACUCCGAAUUCCCUCACAGCUCCAAGCCCAUUAUGGUUGGGGAUUUCCUGCGUGGAUGAAAAUAAAAGGGGUGAGUUUGGGGAAACUCAGUGUGUAAGGAAAACCCAUUCAAAGCUCAAGUCAGCUCAAGUCUAUUGGGCCUAAGCCCAUUCAGGUAACAGUGGUAAUGGACCAGAGCCCUUUUCAGAUUACAAUAAACUGGGCCUUAUCCCCUUAUUCAGAUAACAGUAUGGCCCAUAGGCCCAUUUCAAAAUACAUGCAACAUCAAUAACAUAUGCAAGCUCAUUUGGGGAGACUACUCAACCCACCAACCACUACACUCCACCCUACCAGCCCUACACUCCAUGUGGGGAAUAGCUCAACCCACCCAGCCCAACACUCCACAGCUGCAGCCUUGCUGCUCAGUUAACAGUAAAUUGAAGCAAAGCCUCCAGUACGUGGACAAGCCACUUUCAGUACUUCCUCCGUCAAUAUCCCAGUCCCAUGCAUCAGAUAAUAACAACAUGGCAUGAAGUAAAUAACAACAGUCAAACAUGCAUUUAGGUCAAUUUAACCCUAGGGGUUUUUCGGUAAUUUAUCUCCUAGGGGUAAAACUGUAAAUUUUCCACUUUUAAAGGUAUUUCAGUAAUUUAUCUAUUUUAGGGUUUUUCAUGCAUAUUCCUACCUUUCAUGUACUAACAGAAUCACUACCGAGGGUUCUUACCGAAUUGGGCCCGUUGGCCCAUCAUUCCAAUUUUGGCCCAUUAAGCCCAAAAAUAUCGAGGGCACAGAAAUCAUGCACUUUGCAGUCCAAACAUUGCAGCUUACCAAAAACAUUAAUUGAUUUACCUCACGAGCAUUCGUACGCUCGCAAAUCUAUAAAAUACCAGUUUUCGACUUUUCGACUUUUGCCGAUCUAGACGAAGAAAGAGGGUGUUAGUUACACACCUGUUUGCGACGAUAUGCUGACGAGAUCCACACACGAACUGCCUACAAUUGGAUUACUAACACGUUAAUCUAACUAUUCACAUACAAACUACGUAUUAACCCCUUACAAUAUUCGGCCAACCACACCUACAGGUCAUAGUAAGCUUAUAAGAAAUCAAUAAGCAACUCAUUAACAAAUUUUUGUCAAUGUUUACCACAUAAUCAUAAUUUCACUGCAAGCUGUCUUCCUGAACAAUAGUCACGAAAUCAUUUAUAACUGGAGCUACGAAACUCCAAAUCAAGUGCCGUUAAUUUUCCCUAAAAAUAGACUCAUAUAUCUUCUAUUCAUAAAAUUUUCAGAAUUUUUGGUUUAGCCAAUCAAUACCAGAUAUUUCUCAAAGUUUCCCAUGUUUCACUAUUUGACUAAUCUGACCACUCUUCAUUACGACUCAAAUUUCUCAUUGUAAAGAAUUCAAAAUAUGUUCUCGUUUAUUUCAUUUGAAACUAGACUUAUUAAGAUUUAAUUACAUAAUUUAUUCAGCUUCUAAUUCAUCUCCCACAAUUUAUGGUGAUUUUCCAAAGUCACGUUACUGCUGUUGUCCCAAGCAGAUUUAUUACCAAAUCACUCUUUCACACACCUAUCUUGCAUGCAUGUUAUUUAAACAUGUAUAUCACCAAUCAAUCAUCACAUAUCUAUGAUUUUUUUACUUAAGCAUAAUCUCCAUUUCAUCAUUUUAAAGCACAACAUGUUAGCCGAUUUUUCCCUUUAGCAUCUAAGGCACAUGCAUGAUCAUUUGUUUGGCUCAACUUCACCUAUCUUCCAUUUUUCAUCAAAAGAACAUGAAAUAACAACCAUUUCCUUCAUUUUAAUUCAUGACUAAAUGCUCACAACACAACUAAAAACCAAAAUAUGCUUCAAGAGUUAAGGUAGAAUCAAGAAGAACUCAUGAACAUCAAGAUAGAAGCAAACUACCAUGAACUUACCUUCAAUUUUCUUCCCCAAGUGACCGAACAUUCAAGAGCUUUCUCCUCUCCUUUCUCUUCUCUAACUUUAGGCUAUGAUGAACAAAGAUGGACAAAACUUUGUUCUUUUCACCCCUUUUUCUUUUAAUAAAAUUUCAUAUUUCAUCCAAUUAAUUCUUUAAUACAAAAGACAUGAAAUGCCAAUCAUGGAACAUUUACCUAAACCAUUAUCAUGGAACAUUUACCUAACCCAUUAUCAUGGAAUAUUUACCUAAUCCAUUAUCAUGGAACAUUUACCUAACCUAUUAUCAAUUUGUACCAUGAAUUAUGGAUAUCAAGUGCUCAUAUUGUCUACAACAACAUGAUGGCUGGCCACUUCAUGUAAAAUGGUAGGUUUGUCAUGCAAAUCCUCCUAUUUUGCACUCCUAUUUAUUUGGCCACUUCAAUAUAGCCUAUAGCAUUUUCAAACAUUUUCACAUAGGUUCUAUUUCAUAAUUUCACCCCCUUUUUCUUAUGGAACAAAAAUUAACUAAAAUUGCCGGGUUCUAUCUUAAGCUUGGGCCUUCUAGAGGCCCACUAAUAUAAUUAAACCUAUGCCAGCAUUCACAGAAUUCCCAAAAAUUGGGGCGUUACAUUAGGUACAAGUAGAACUGGCACAGCACAAGGACUGAGACUCUCUCGGAUGUAACCCUUAUCUAUAAGUUCAACAACUUGUUUUUGUAAUUCCUUGGUUUCUUCCGGGUUACUUUGAUAAAUAGGCAGAUUAGGAAGUGCGGCUCCAGGUACUAGAUCGAUUUGUUGCUCGAUGCCUCGAAUGGGAGGCAAUCCACUCGGCACUUUUUCCGAGAAAACAUCCUCGAAUUCCUAUAAAAGAGACAACAUAGAAGAAGGUAGAUCGUAGGGUAACUCGUUAGUGUUUAACAAAAUUUCUUUGUACAUAAGUACAAAUAUAGGUUGCCUCAAAGUUAAAGCUCUCCGAACAUCACUUAUUCUCGCAAACACACUUAUUUUUCCACUUUUUUUUCUUCUCUAUUUUUUUAAUUUUCUUGCUUCCUCUUUACUCUCUUUUGAGAUUUUACCUCUAGCUCUCUCAUUUUUCUUUUCUUUUUCUCGCAUUUGUCCCACAAAUGUUUUGAGUUUAAGUUGGUCCUCGUAUACUUGCUUCGGGGUUAAUGGUGUAAGUGUCAUAUUCUUGCCCCCAUGCUUGAAGGAAUAUCUAUUAGUAUAGCCAUCAUGAACCACACUCCGAUCAAACUGCCAUGGUUGUCCUAAUAGCAAAUGGCCCGCGUGCAUUAGCACCACAUCGCAUAGAACUUCAUCGGAGUAUUUUCCAAUGCUGAAAGAAACUAGGACUUGUUUCAUGACUUUGAGCUCACCACCAUCGUUGAGCCAUUGAAGCUUGUACGAGUUCGAAUGUUUGGUGGUCAACAGUCCUAAUUUUUCCACCAUGAGAGUACUCACCGUAUUCGUGCAACUUCCACCAUCUAUGAUAAUGCUACAAAUUUUCCCUUGGAUUUUACAUCUCGAAUGGAAAAUAUUCUCUUGUUGUUGCUCAUUCUCCACUCCUUGUAGACUUAAACUUCGUUUGACUACAAGCAACUCACCUUCGACAGGGUGUUCCAAAUCCUCUUCUUCGUUAGAAUUCUAUUCCGGCUCAUCUUCUUCUUCAUCCUUUAUUUCAAUUUCACAAUCUGUACGAAACACCAUGGUGCUCCAGUUUGGGCACUGACUUGCAAUAUGUCCUCUUCCAGGACAUUUGAAGCAUUUAAUAUCUCUAGAAUGGUUGGAUGAACUCUCAAUAGCUUUGCCUUUGCUUGAUUCGGCCAAAAGGUUAUUUGUCUUAGGCAACAUCGUGGACUCCUUCACUCGGUUUGAUGGAAAGCUUUUGCUAACGCCUUGUCCCCAUCUUAGAGGAUUUGUAGUGGAGUAGCCUCAGGUAGCACCCUUACAGUUUAUUUGUUUUUCCACUUUGAUGGCCAUGUGUACCAUGUCCACCACAUUGAUGUAAUGUUGAAGUUCGACGACAUUAGCAAUGUCACGGUUAAGACCAGCUAGAAAACAAGCUAUAGUCACUUCGCGGUCUUCUUGCACAUCUACACGAAUCAUCGCCACCUCUAUCUCCUUAUAAUAGUCUUUUAUGCUCUUAGUUCCUUGAGUAAGAUUUUGAAGUUUCUGAUGAAGCUCCCGGUGAUAAUACGAAGGAAUAAAUCACCGUUGCGUUGCAGCUUUCAUCUCAACCCAAGUAUUAAUAGGCCUUUCUCCUUUGCGCCUUCGACCAGUGGUGAAUUGAUCCCACCAGAUUAUUGUGUACGUUAUCAGAAAACUCAAUUACAUCUAGUUUGACCUUCUUACUAUUGGAAUAGUUGUGUAUUCAAAUACUAAUCUUUUUCCCACUCUAGGUACACCUCCGAAUCAGAUUUGCCUUGAAAGGGAGGUAUUGAUAGCUUUAUAUUCUUGAGAUCAUCAUCUUCACUUCUCCGAUCUCUUUGGCCAUGAUUUCGUUGUUCCCUCUGUUGAGCACUCACAAUGGACCGUUGGUCACUCUCAGCCUCACUAGGAUCUGACUGAUCAUCUUCGUUAAAUUAUUAUCAGCCACGGUUUCUAGGGGACUUUGAGGUGUCCUUCUCUAUCCUACUCUUUCUUCAACUAAAUCCAACCUUUCUUGUAUAGGAUCAAGCUUCCGGUUAAAGAGUCACUCCACCUCUCGAAGUAUAGCUUGAAAAUUAAAGUCUGAAACAUUUUUAACGGGUUGUCGGUCUUGUUGCUCAUCCAUAUUUUGUUUAGGAUUUUGUGACAAAAAAGAAAAUAAAACAAAUCAAAACUGAAGAAAGAUAAUAAUUGAAACCUCAUAACAAACCUUACGUUCACUCGAAAAGGAAAAAAAAUUAUAGCACUCACGCUCGUGUUUGCACUCGUAUGUUGGCUUUUACCUCCUCUAAAUUGUGCUCACAACUCUCGUGCCUUUUUCCACUUCUUUUUUUUCAUGACUUUGUAAGCAGACUUGACAAGGCUUAAUCGUAGGCUUAAGGGUCGGUCACAAAGUGGGAAAUAAGAAAAUUAAUGAAGAGGGGUAGGGUAGGCUAAAAGAAAAGAUGAAAAGGAGUUUAAGUGUGGCAUGGAAUGGGAAGGAAUGGUUGAGAAUAGAAAUUUUCUUGAUCUGGGAAUACAAGAGUAAAUACAAAUUUUCAACUCAAUUUUUUUGAAUUUUUUACUUUUUUCAAACUUACUUUGAUUCUUCACGUACUAAUCUAAGUUUAUCUUCGAAGGUUCGUACUUCUCUUUUUUUAAGCUCUGAUACCAAAUGAUAUGAUCUGCCUCGAAUUACGAGUCGAGUCGUAUUUACGUUGCUAAUCAUCAAUGAGAAAGUAUGGUUUCAUUAGAUGGAUAUCUAACUAAAUUAAUGAAAUACGCUCAACUAGGAUUAAAUGAUCAAAAAUAAAAUGGCUCUAAUUGGAAAGGGAAAAUAUUUGGUUAUCAAAUAAGUGGUAAAAGUUGAUUAUGUUUUGGAUAUGGUAAAAGGAUGGAAAGAAACAACUCAAGAAGCAAGAAAGAACCAACACUAAUUAGUAUCGACCCAAUUACUUAUAUGCUUUUGAAAAGUUUUGUAUAUUCAGUCAAGACCUCGACCCACUAUCAAUAAAGAUAGGAACCUCGGUAUAGGGUUCGAAUGCCACACUUGUGAAAAUGAUAAGUUCAGGAAAGGCAAAGAACAGGUUGACGCCACUAGCUUUGUAGACAAGCCAACAAGUCUUUGAACAAAAUUAGAGAAAAGUAUUUCUCACCAAAUGAGUAGAGUUUCAUUAAAAUGUCAAAAAAAUAGUCCUUCAAAAUGGCUAGUCACACAUAUUUAUAGGUAUAGAAAAACUAGCUGAAAAGUCACAUCUUAAUGUGCUAGUUAAAACUGAAAUUAAACUCAAGUCUCUUAGCAUUCUUGUAACAAUUAACUCCAUCCUUGAAUUCACUUUAAUUCAGCUGAAUAUAUAUCCUUGAUUGCUUGAAAAAAGUCUCUUAAGAUGUUCCUUGGCUAGUUGAAAAGACACCAGCUAUUUAAUGGUGUUCUGAAUGCUUGUUUUAAUAUUUGAAAGAACAAAAUCAGCUGGUAAGUGAAAAGGUUGCUGCCAAAUUUAAAACAGUGUUAAAAUGCUCCUUAAAACUCCUUAAUUGAUGUAUAAAACCUCCCUUGUAACAACUCCUUCCUUUGUAACAAAAAGAAAAAACACUUGAAAGUCACUUCCAUUAAGUUGUAACAACCUUGAAAUGUAACGGUUGUGAGAUGAAGGAACACUUGCAAUAAAUUUCAGGUAACGCCUAUGGGGUUCAUCCUUGCAUGAUUAAUGGGUUCAACUUCUUAUACUUCCCAAACUCGUUCCACGUAGCUCGCCAAUGUGUCUUUAAAUUUCUUAGCUUGUGACCUAGUAAUAGGCCAUUGUGGCAACUCAAUGGAUUCAGUAGAGACAUCUCGAGCAAAGGUCGUAUCAAGUUUCCUUAAAUUCUUGGGUUUGGAAACUAUAACAUAUAUCCUCCUACUGAACCUUUAGUAGAUAACUAAGCUUAGCAAAUUAAACAUGUCCUCAUCUUUAACCAUUUCUGUUAUUUUAAGUGUAUUAUGCGCUACCAUCUUUCUUUCCUUUGCUACAACCAUGUUGCCAACAGAACAAUCACCAUAUGAGUUCGAAGUUAAAGCGUUGAUAAAGAGUGGUUGGUGGAGUAGCUAUAGUAAUGAUACUCCACAACAUUGCAAGUGGGAUGGUAUAUCAUGUAACAGUGCCAGAAGAAUCACCAAAAUUAACAUUUAUGAUGCGCCCAAUAUUGAGGUUGGAGAUAGUGUUGAAGUUGGCCUGCAUCCACCACAUGAUGCAGCCAAGAAGUAGAGAAGCUGCUCGAACCAUAUAGAUGCUGCUGAAGUUGAUGCAGCUAUUCAAUUUCAGUUUAUUUUGUUACUUCAAUUGAUGUUUUAUAACUUUGUUAAAUUAGAACUAAAUAGUUAAUAUACUUGAUGUAUUUUUGUUGACAUUUGAGCUGAUAAAUCAGCUUUACCAAGUGUGCAAGUUUAGUUUAACAAGUUUCAAUGUAAUCAGUGGUAGUAGGUAAAUGUUUAGAUGAAAUUUGUUUGUUUUUUAUCAGCCUAUUGACUGAUAUAUGUAAUGGCAUUAUGCCUCAAUUGGAAGUUAAUGAAUAUACACAUUUUCUUCUUCAUUUUAUGGGUUUUUACUCAAGCAAAUAGCUCAAGCUUCAUAUCUAAUUUAUGUUGUUUGCUUAACAAGUAUCGGGCCUUCAAGCUCAACUUUCUAUCUUUGUUAUUCAUCUUCAUUCUUAGUUCCAAAAUUUGGUAUCUAGAGCUUAUUUCUUAGUGGAGCUGUCAUCUUUUAUUUCUUAAAACCAUGUCUUCUUCAAGUUUCUCUCAACUGUACCACCAGUCUUCAGUGGUGAAGGCUACCACAUUUGGGUAGUAAAAAUGAAAACCUACUUAUAGGCAUUUAACCUUUGGGAGGUUAUCAAAUCAGAUGUUAAACCAGCACCUCUAAGAACCAAUCCCACAGUGGCUCAGAUCAGACAGCAUGCAGAUGAAAGAACCAAAAGAUACAAGGCCAUGUCAUGUAUCUAAAACAGUGUGUCUGAUGUGAUUUUCACAAGGAUCAUGGCUUGUAAGUCACCAAAGCAGGCAUGAGAUAGGCUGAAGGAGGAGUUUCAAGGGACUGAAAGAACAAGACAACAACAACUAUUGAAUUUGAGAAGGGACUUUGAAAAUUUGAGGAUGAAUGAGGAAGAAAAGUAAAGCAAUACUCAGAUAGAAUUAUGGCUGCAGUGAACUGAAUCAGAUUGCUUGGGAACCAAUUUAGUAAAGCAAGAAUUGUAGAAAUGGUUAUCUCAACCCUGCCUGAAAGAUAUGAGGCCAAAAUCUCAUCUCUUGAAGACUCGAGAGAUCUAACCGGUAUCUCAUUGACUGAGCUGAUCAAUGCUCUUUAUGCUCAAGAGCAAAGGAGAGCCAGUAGACAAGAUGAGCACCAAGAAAGUGCCUUCCAAGCUAAGAGCAGACCUGCGUCGAGCUCCUCUGGUUACAAAGGGAAGAAGAUCUGGUCAAACAAGCCUAGAAUGGAUGGUGCAAGAAGUUAUCCACCUUGUCCACACUAUAGAAGGCUAAGUAGAGGAUUGUUGGUUCAAGCUUGAUGUGCAGUGAAAAGUUUAUAAAAAGAUAGGACAUGUUGAGAAAGUUUGCAGAAACAAAGGCAAGCUGAAACAAAACCAACCUCAACAGCCUAGACUUGAAGCUGAAGUAGCUGAAGAAAACAGUGACCAAGAAGAGCAAUUCUUUGCAGUCUCUUGCUCAUAUGCCAAAAGAAAAGCCAUAAAAGGAUAGCUGAUAAGUAGUGGUUGCACAAACCACAUGACUCCAGAUGCUACUAUCUUCAAGAAUAUUGACAGAAGCUUCAAAACAAGGGUGAAAGUUAGAAAUAGAACUUCAUCAAAUCUAAAGGCUAAGGAGAUGUGCUGAUUGACACACCUAAAGGUACCAAACUUGUUUCAAAUGUCCUAUUUGUGCCUAAAAUUGAUAGAAACUUGCUCAAUAUAGCUCAGCGGCUUAAAAAAAAGGCUAUUCAGUAGUGUUUAAAGGCAAAGAAUGCCUAAUCAGUGAUCCAAGUGGGUCCAAAAUUAUGUUAGUAACCAUGGUUGACAGAAGCUUUAUGGUGGAUUGGAACAAGGGCUCAGAUAGUGGCUACACAGUUACUUUAGAUGAAUCCAAGCUGUGGCACAAGAGGCUAAGACAUGCCAACUACAAGUCAUUGGUUUUGAUGAACAAAUGAAACUUGGUUGAAAAUUUCUCCAAAACAGUUGAGAAAGAAGAAGUCUGUGAAGUAUGUCAGUUAGGGAAGCAAGCUAGAUUGCCAUUCCCUUCAAACAAAGCUUAGAAAGCCUCUAAAAAAUUACAGCUAGUUCACACUGAUGUGUGUGGCCCUAUGAAGACAUAGUCCUUGAAUGGCAGCAAGUAUUUCAUCCUUUUCAUUGAUGACUACUCGAGAUAUUGUUGGAUUUACUUCCUAAAGCACAAGUCAGAAGUGGUCUUAGUGUUUUGGAAGUUCAAGGUCACUAUUGAAAUCAAAAUAGGUUGCAAGCUAAAGACAUUAAGGUCUGACAAUGGUACAGAAUACACUUCAACAAGGUUUCAAGGCUUUUGUGAUGCAGCAGGUAUCAAGAACCAGCUCACCAACACUUACACAACUCAACAGAAUGGUGUUAAUGAAAGAAAGAAUAGAAGCUUGAUGGAUAUUGAAAUAUGUCUGUUGUUUGAAAGGAAUUUGCUUAAGAACUUAUGGGCUGUGUAACAGUCUGGCUUUGACCCUAGUCAGAAUAGUGGUUUUGGGACCACAAAUUUGAGUCAAAAAAUAUUUAAAUAUUAUUUACUAUGUUUAUGAUAAGUGAAUUGACAUGUGUGAAAGUCUAGUGUGAAAAUUUAACUGUUUGUGUGGUUAAUUUGCAAAAAAGACCUAAUCGCGUAAAAUGUAAAAGCUGGGUGCUAGAUGUUAAAGUGCAUAUUUGACUUGGCUUUAUAAUUGUGAGGUUCUUAUGUGUUCAUUUGACCAAAUUUAUGAUUAAAUGACAUUAGUGGACAUUAGUUGUUGGCAUAUUAAUAUUUUAAUGCAAGGGUAAUAUGGUAAAAUGCAUAUUAAAGUAAAUUAUAUGAAAACAAAUUAGAAAAUGAUGCCAUAUUGUGUGUUCAUCCAUUGAAAUUGAAGAAAAAAAGAAAGAAUAAAAGGUUUUAGGGUUUUGGCACAUUGAAAGCUUAAUUCGGAUCAAGAAAAGAGGAAUUCAGAUUUAGACUGAGGGAAGUCUAAGAUUAUAGAGUAGAUGACCCGAGUCAGCAAUUCCGAGUAUAAGGUAAGUUCGUACUUAAAGCAUGAUGUUAAAGUAUAUUUUAAUGUUUUGAUUAUACAUAGAUUGUAUAUAUAUCUGGUUUGGAUGAAUAUGACGAUAAAUCAAUAGUAAUUGGCACUAAGUGUGCGAUUUAAAAUAGCUUCGGCUAUAUGAGGUACUAAGUGUGCGAUACUGACUUAGAUUCGGUUAAUUGAGAUGGCACUAAGUGUGCGAAAUUGUUCUAGCUUCGGUUAACCUAUAUAGCAAUAAGUGUGCGGAUGUUUGAAGUACAAAUAAUUUUUGAGAAGUCUUAAAAUAUUCAAACGAGAGGUGAGGAUGAAAAUGAAUAAGUACAGGAAAUUCAGGUAUGUACGAUACCUAUGUGGUAGAUGAUAUUAUGUUUAUGAAGCUCAUUCUUUUGGUAUGAACAUAUGGAUUGUGUUGAUAUAGAUUUUAUAGAUGAUUUGAGAAUUUGUAAACACGUAAGUAUUAUUGAUUCUUGGUACGAGCUUACUCAGCUUUUGAAAGCUUACUUUGUGUGUGUUUGCAUUGUUUUAUAGAUAUCAAAGCUACUGCAAGCUCGGGGAUCAUCAAGGACCGUCACCAUACUAUCGAGCUUAUUUUGGUACUUUUGAAAAUGUAUAUUUCGAAGUAUGGCAUGUAUAGGCUAGUAGUUGUGGGAUUAUGUUUUGUGAUGUAUUACUUAGCCAUGUGAUUUGGCUAAUGGGUGUGUUUGAACUCAUAGUUGAUAAUAGCUUUUGGUAUGUGAUGAUAGUUUGCAUUUGUGGUAUAUUGUAGUUGGAUAAAGAAGAUGGUAAGUUUGAUAAGUUCAUGGCAUGAGAUUGAAUGAUGUUUUUGAUAUAAUCUUACAUUAUAUUUUGGUAUGACUUGGUAAGGUUUAUGAGUAUGGAUGACUAUUAUAUGAUAUGAAUGGUUUAUGUUUCGGUGUUGAAUUUGGCUGAAAUGGUGGUGCAAAUAUGCUUGUUUCCUUGCUUGUAGGUUCACCCAAAUUGGGGUGGCAAUUUGGCUAUUCAAAUGGCCUAUUUUUGUCCACACGGGUAGAGACACGGGCGUGUGCCUCAGCCGUGUGUGACACACGACUAUGUUGCACUAUCGUGUGUCCCCUAAGGUACCCUACAAUUGUAAUUCAGGCCUGAACACGGCCAAAGCACACCGACGUGUGGCUAGCCGUGUGGCCCAAGUCAAGCUCGACCACGGACAAGGUACACGGGCGUGUCUUGUAGCCGUGUGGGCAAGUCAGUAGCUAUGCCCUGUUUUGCCACGGCUUAGACACACAGACGUGUCUAAGGCCGUGUGAGGCACACGGUCUAUUCAUACUGGCAUGUGACUUUUUAAAAGUAAAAAAAAAUUAUAAGCUCUGAAACUUUUAUAUGUUAUCAAUUUGGUCCUGAAUGCAUGUUUAAGCAUUGUAUACUCAUUUUUAUGUGAAUAAUGAAUGUGAAUGAAUGGUUUUUUUAGUAAUGAGAUGAUAUUUGAUGUUUGGUGGUUCUGAUAUUAGUUACAAGUUCGGCAAUGCCUCUUAACCUAUUCCGGUUAUUGUUACGGGUUAGGGGUGUUACAUUUAAUAGGUAUCAGAGCUAUGGUUUAGUCAGUUCUAGGACUUCUAUAGUGUUUGUGAGUCUAGCUAUACAUACCAUAUUUAUGAACUGCGAUAGUGUGAUGAAUCCUGACACUAAAAUGUGCUUUUAUAUAGCAAUGGAUCCCAAAAAAGCUAUGGCAGACGAUGUUGAAAGUAAUGUGCCUGCUCCCGUGCAAGGGAUGGUGCAUACUGAUUCUCGACCGGCUACGAGUAGCCGUGAUGGUGAGGCUAAAAAAGCCUUCUAUCAGAUGAUAAAUGAUUGGUUCACUCAAUAUAUUAGAACCAAUCCAGAGUACAACAACCUCCACCCCCGGUUAAUCCUCCUCAAACUCUUGUUAUGCCACCAGUGAAUCCGGUACAGUUAAGUAGACCACCAGUUGAUAAGAUUAGAAAAUAUGAUGCUGAAAAGUUCUGAGCUACAAUAAGUGAUGAUGCUGAAAAAGCCAAAUUCUAGUUAGAGAAUACAAUAAAAGUGUUUGAUGAGUUUUCUUUGAGUCCAAAUGAAAGCAUAAAAUGUGUCGUUUCACCUCUGAGAGAUACGGCGUACCAUUGGUGGAAAACUUUGACGUCUGUGGUUUCGAAUGAAUGAGUUAUGUGGGAUUUCUUUCAAGCUGAAUUCCAAAAUAAAUAUUUUAGUGAGAGAUUCAUUGAUCAGAAAAGCAAAGAGUUUCUCGAGCUUAAACAAGGUCGUAUGUCUGUCACAGAAUACGAGCGGGAAUUUGUAAGGUUGAGUCAGUAUGCCCAUGAAUGUGUAUCCUCGGAAGCAAUAAUGUACAAGAGAUUUGAAGAUGGUUUGAAUGAGGGUAUUCAUUUGUUAGUUAGGAUUUUAGAAAUCAAAGAGUUUGUGGUGCUUGUUGAACGAGCAUGUAAAGCUGAAGAUCUUGGAAAAGAGAAAAGAAAAUCUGAUUUUGAAGAUAGAGAGGUACAAAAGAGAUCAUAAAGGUAAAUCAUUUCAAUCUGGAUCAAAGAAGUUUAGAGAUGAUAGUAAUCGUUCAAAGACUAUUGUGGGACAUUCGAAUAGAGAUCAUGCUAGAUCGCAACCAAAUUUCAAAUCUUCAGCUACGUCUAUUGCCAGUGUUGAUAAUGCAAAGAAUGAAAAGCCUGAGUGUGAUCAUUGUGGAAGACGACAUUUUGGUGAAUGCUGGGGAAAAAGUAAUAACCGAGCUUGUUAUAGUUGUGGUUCAAGAAAUCAUUUUAUAAAAGAUUGCCCAGAUUUAGCUGAAAAAGAUAAUGUUCAGAAUUAGAGGCAGAGUGGUAACACUUCUCAUGGUAGACCUCUCAGAAAUUCGGGAAAUGUAAGCAGUAGUCAAAGAGGAACGAAAGACAUAGUUGUUAGAUCUAAGGCUCGUGCAUCUGCUAGAGCCUAUGCUAUCUGAGCUCACGAGGAAGCUUCAUCGCCAGAUGUGAUUACGGGUACAUUUACCUUCUAUGAUACUUAUGUGAUUGCUUUGAUAGAUCUUGGAUCAACAUAUUCGUAUAUAUGUAUGAACCUAGUGAAUAGUAAGACUUUACCUAUAGAGUCUACUAAAUUUGUAAUUAGAGUUUCAAACUCCCUAGGCAGAUGUGUUCUGGUUGAUAAAGUAUGUAAGAAUUGUCCAUUAAUGUUUCGAAACACUUGUUUUACGACUAAUCUGAUGCUGUUACCUUUUGAUGAGUUUGAUAUAUUUCUGGGUAUGGAUUAGUUAACUUUGCAUGAUGCUGUGGUGAACUGCAAACGGAAAACUAUUGAUUUAAGAUGCAAGAAUGGUGAAAUAGUUAGAAUUGAAUCUAGUGAUUUGAAUGGAUUGCCUGCAGUGAUAUCUUCAAUGAAAGCUUUGAGUAUUGUGAGAAAGGGUUGUGAAACCUAUUUUGCUUAUGUGAUUGAUUCGAGAGUGUCAGAAAAGAAAGUUGAAUCAGUUCCUUUUAUGUGUGAAUUCCCUGAUGUAUUUCCUAAAGAACUUUCGGGAGUACCUCCGGUUAGAGAAGUUGAAUUUGGUAUUGAAUUGGUACCUGGUACUCCUUCGAUUUCGAUAGCUUCGUACAAAAUGGCUCGGGCUGAACUAAAAGAAUUAAAGUCUCAGUUAUAAGAGUUGACCGAUAGAGGGUUUGCUAGAUCGAGAUUUUUGCCUUGGGGUGCUCCGGUUCUAUUUGUGAAAAAGAAGGAUGGUACAAUGAGAAUGUGUAUUAAAUAUCAUCAAUUGAAUAAAGUGACCAUCAAGAAUAAAUAUCCUCUACCCCGAAUUGAUGAUUUGUUUGAUUAGUGGAAAGGAGCUGCUGUGUUUUCGAAAUUAGAUUUGAGAUCAGGCUAUUAUCAGUUGUGAGUGAAAGACUUAGAUAUUCUGAAAACAACUUUCCAAACAAGGCAUGGCCACUAUGAAUUUUUAGUUAUGCCUUUCAGAUUGACUAAUACACCUGCGAUCUUUGUGGAUUUGAUGAAUAGAAUUUCCAGACCAUAUUUAGAUCAAUUUUUUGUUGUAUUCAUUGAUGACAUAUUGAUUUAUUCACGAGAUGAAUCUGAACAUGUCGAGCAUUUGAGAUUAGUGCUACAGAUUCUGCGAGAUAAACAGUUGUAUGCGAAGUUCAGUAAAUGUGAAUUCUAGUUGUGAGAAGUGGGUUUUCUGGGUCAUAUUGUAUCAGCAUCUAGUAUCCAAGUUGAUCCGAGCAAAAUUUCAGCUAUUUUGGAUUGGAAACCUCCGAGGAAUGUCUCUGAAGUCUAUAGUUUUCUGGGACUUACUGGUUAUUAUAGAAGAUUUGUGAAAGGUUUUUCGAUGAUUGCGACUCCGUUGACAAAAUUGGUACAGAAAGAUGUGAAGUUUGAGUGGUCCGAAAAGUGUCAGAACAACUUUAAUUAGUUGAAAACCUUGUUGACUAAAGCUCCGGUAUUGGUACAACCUGAAUCGGGUAAAGAAUUUGUGAUUUACAGUGAUGCUUCAUUGAUUGGUCUAGGAUGUGUUCUAAUGCAAGAAUGAAAAGUCAUUGCUUAUGCUUCAAGACAGUUGCAGUCGCACGAAAAAAACUAUCCAUCGCACGAUCUUGAAUUAUCUGCAAUUGUUUUUGCUUUAAAGAUUUGGCGCCAUUACUUGUUCGGUGAGAAAUGUGACAUGUAUUUUGAUCAUAAGAGUUUGAAGUAUUUAAUGACUCAGAAAGAUCUGAGUUUGAGAUAGAGAAGAUGGUUAAAACUGCUAAAAGACUACGAACUUGUGAUUGAUUAUCAUUUAGGAAAAACAAAUGUUGCUGCUGAUGCCUUGAGUCAAAAAUCAUUUUUUACUUUGCUUGCGAUAAAUGCUCAUUUGGUUCUGUCAGAUGAUGAUUCAGUUUUAGUUGAAUUGAAAGCGAGACCUUUGUUCUUACAGUAGAUUAUUGAAGCUCGGAAGAUUGAUAAUGAGAUUCUAGCUAAAUGAGCUCAGUAUGAUGUAUAAUCUGACUCAGAAUUCAGAAUUAAUAAAGAUGAUUGCUUGAGAUUCUGAGAUCGAAUUUGUGUUCCUAGAAAUCCAGAGUUAAUUCAAAUGAUUUUGAGUGAAGCUCACAGUAGUCGUUUAUCUGCGCAUCCAAGUAGUACGAAAAUAUAUAAUGAUCUGAAACAACAUUUUUGGUGGUCCAGAAUGAAAAGAGAUAUCUCUAAUUUCAUUUCUAAAUGUUUGAUCUGUCAGCAAGUUAAAGCUGAAUUUCAGAUGCCAUCAGGUUUGUUACAACUGAUUAUGGUUCCAGAGUGGAAAUGGGAUCGAGUGACAAUGGAUUUUGUUUCAGGUUUGCCCCUGUCUCUGAGAAAGAAAGAUGCAAUUUGGGUUGUAGUUGAUUGAUUAAUGAAAUCAGCUCAUUUUAUUCCGAUUUGAUCCGAUUACUCACUUGAUAAAUUAGCUGAGUUAUACAUUUCUGAUAUCGUGAGAUUGCAUGGUGUGCCAUUGUCUAUAGUGUCAGACAGAGACCCGAGAUUUACAUCACGAUUCUAGAAGAAGCUGCAAGACGCUCUGGGUACUAAAUUGCACUUUAGUAUUGCUUUUCAUCUGCAAACUGACGGUCAAUCCGAGUAGAUUAUUCAGAUACUUGAGGAUAUAUUGAGAUGUUGCAUUCUUGAGUUUGAAGGUACGUGGGAACAAUAUCUGCCCUUGAUUGAAUUUGCUUAUAAUAACAGUUUUCAGUCAAGCAUCAAAAUGGCACCCUAUGAAGCUUUAUAUGGUCUCAAAUUCCGUGCACCUUUGUAUUGGACUGAGCAUAGCGAAAAUAAGAUUCACGAGGUUGAUUUGAUAAAAGAGACUGAACAGAAAGUAAAAGAGAUCCGAGAUAGUAUAAAAGCAGCUUCUGAUCGUCAAAAAUCUUAUGCAGAUUUGAAAAGAAAAGACAUUAAAUUUGAGAUCGGCGAUAAUGUGUUUUUAAAAGUGUCUCCGAGGAAGAAACUGCUUCAGUUUUGUAGAAAAGGCAAAUUGAGUCUGAGGCUCAUCGGGCCAUAUGAAAGAGCGUAUUGGGCUGGUUACGUAUAGAUUAUUAUUGCCACUAGAGCUAGAAAAGAUUCAUAAUGUGUUUCACGUAUCGAUGCUUCGACGAUACAGAUCUGAUCCUUCAUAUGUUAUUCCACCGUCUAAGAUAGAGAUUCAGUCUGAUAUGACUUACGAAGAAAGGCCAAUUCGUAUUUUAGCUCGCGAGGUUAAAGAGCUGUGAAAAAAGAAAUUCCGUUAGUAAAAAUGAUAUGGCAUCGACAUGAUAUUGAAAAAGCCACGUGGGAACCUGAAGAUGCUAUGAGACAGCAAUAUCCAAAUCUGUUUAAUGGUAUGAUUUUCAGGGACGAAAAUCACUAAGGGGGAGAAUUGUAACAGUCUGAUUUUGACCCUAGUCAGAAUUGUGGUUUUGAGACCACAAAUUUGAGUCAAAAAAAUAUUUAAAUAUUAUUUUCUAUGUUUAUGAUAAGUGAAUUGACAUGUGUGAAAGUCUAGUGUAAAAAUUUAACUGUUUGUGUAUUUAAUUUGUAAAAUGUAAAAGCUAUGUGCUAGAUGUUAAAAGUGCUUAUUUGACUUAGCUUUAUAAUUGUGAGGUCUUUAUGUGGUUAUUUGACCAAAUUUAUGAUUAAAUGACAUUAGUGGACAUUAUUUGUUGGCAUAUUAAUGUUUUAAUGCAAGGGUAAUAUGGUAAAAUGCAUAUUAAAGUAAAUUAUAUGAAAACAAAUUAGAAAAUGAUGCCAUAUUAUAUGUUCGUCCACUGAAAUUGAAGAACAAAAGAAAGAAUAAAAUAUUUUCGAGUUUUGGCACAUUAGAAGCUUAAUUCGGAUCAAGAAAAGAGGAAUUCAAAUUUGGAUCGAGGGAAGUCGAAGAUUAUAGAGUAGACGACCCGAGUUGACAAUUCUGAGUACGAGGUAAGUUCGUACUUAAAGCAUGAUGUUAAAGUAUAUUUUGAUGUUUUGAUUAUACAUAGAUUGUAUAUAUAUCUGGUUUGGAUGAAUACGACGAUAAAUCAAUAGUAAGUGUGCGAUUUAAAAUAGCUUCGGCUAUAUGAGGCACUAAGUGUGCGAUACCGACUUAGCUUCGGUUAAUUGAGAUGGCACUACAUGUGCGAAAUCGUUCUAGCUUCGGGUAACCUUUAUAGCACUAAGUGUGCAGAUGUUUGAAGUACAAAUAAUUUACGGGAAGUCUUAAAAUAUUCAAAUGAGAGGUGCGAAUGAAAAUGAAUAAAUACGGGAAAUUUAGGUAUGUACGAUGCCUAUGUGGUAGAUGAUAUUAUAGUUAUGAAGCUCAUUGUUUUGGUAUGAACAUAUGGAUUGUGUUGAUAUAGAUUUUAUAAAUGAUUUGAGAAGUUGUAAACACGUAAGUAUUGAUGAUUCUUGGUACGAGCUUACUAAGCUUUUGAAAGCUUACUUUGUGUGUGUUUGCAUUGUUUUAUAGAUAUCAAAGCUACUGCAAGCUCGAGGAUCAUCAAGGACCGUCACCACACUAUCGACGUCAUUUUGGUACUUUUGAAAAUGUAUAUUUCGAAGUAUGGCAUGUAUAAGCUAGUAGUUAUGGGAUUAUGUUUUGUGAUGUAUUACUUAGCCAUGUAAUUUGGCUAAUGGGUGUGUUUGAACACAUAGUUGAUAAUGGUUUUUGGUAUGUGAUGAUAGUUUGCAUUUGUGGUAUAUUGUAGUUGGAUAAAGAAGAUGGUAAGUUUGAUAAGUUUAUGGCAUGAGAAUAAAUGAUGUUUUUGAUAUGAUCUUACCUUAUAUUUUGGUAUGAAUUGGUAAGGUUUUUAAGUAUGGAUUGGUAACUAUUAUUUAUAUGAAUGGUUUAUGUUUUGGUGUUGAAUUUGGCUAAAAUGGUGGUGCAAAUAUGCUUGUUUCCUUGCUUGUAGGUUCACCCAAAUUGGGGUGGCAAUUUGGUUAUUCAAGUGGCUUAUUUUUGUCCACACGGGCAGAGACACAUGCAUGUGCCUCAGCCGUGUGCGACACUCAACUAUGUUGCACGGUCAUGUGUCCCUUAGGGUACCCUACAAUUGUAAGUCAAGCCCGAACACGGCCAAAGCACACGGACGUGUGGCUAGCCGUGUGGCCCAAGUCAGGCUCAACCACGGCCAAGGCACACGGGCAUGUCUUGUAACCGUGUGGGCAAGUCAGUAGCUAUGCCUUGUUGUGCCACGGCUUAGAUACACGAGUGUGUCUAAGGCCGUGUGAGGCACACGGUCUGUUCACAUAGGCAUGUGACUUUUUAAAAGUAGAAAAAUUUUAUAAGUUCUGAAACUUUUAUAUGUUAUCAAUUUAGUCCUGAAUGCAUGUUUAAGCAUUGUAUACUCGUUUUCAUGUGAAUAAUGAAUGUGAAUGAAUGAUUUUUUUUAGUAAUGAGAUGAUAUUUGAUGUUUGGUGGUUCUGGUAUGAGUUAAAAGUUCGGUAAUGCCUCUUAACCUAUUCUGACGACGAUUACGGGUUAGGGUUGUUAUAGGCUGAUGUAGUUAAUACUGUUGUAUAUCUCCAAAAGAGCCUACCAACCAAGACUUUAGUUUAGAAAACUCCAUUUGAGGCCUGGCUUAGGUUCAAACCAUCACUGGCUCAACCUACCAUAUUGGUGGGCUGUAGUAAUGUCAAGUAGGGCUAAAUGAUCUUAAAUCCUUCUUCCAACAGAUUGUUUGUGAGUAGGGACGUUGUAUUUGAUUAGAAAUCAAGUUGGAAUUAGGAUAAAGCUAAAGACCUGGUGACAGAUCAGAUUGAAGCUGAUCAAAAUGAUGCUAAAAUGGACAUUAAUGAUAUGCUAGUUAGAGGAACCGAAUCAUUAGUUGUGAUAUAUGCAAGAGCAGAUGUAAUAAUUGUUGAACCAAGUUUUUUUGAAGAGGCUGAAGCUCAUCAAGGUUGGAAACAGGCCAUGCUCAAUGACAUGAGCAUGAUUGACAAGAAUCAAACCUGACAACUAGUUGCAAGACCAGAUCAUAGGAAGGCCAUUGGAGUGAAGUGGUUGUUUCCAGACAAGCACAAUGCUGAUGAAAUUCUGAACAAGCUGAAAGCAAGGCUGGUAGUAAAAGGAUUCAGUCAAAAGUAUGGUAUAGAUUACUUUGAAACCUUUGCACCAGUGGCCAGACUUAACAUAAUCAAGCUGCUAGUUGCCUUGGCUGCACAUAAGCAGUGGAAAAUACAUCAACUAGAUGUAAAAUCAGCAUUUCUAAAUGGUUUUCUUGAUGAUGAGAUAUAUGUUGAGCAGCUUGAAGGAUUCAAUAUUGUUGGUGAAGAGGAUAAAGUAUACAAGCUGAAGAAGGCCUUGUAUAGCUUAAAACAGGCACCAAUAGCUUGGUAUGACAGGAUCAACAGCUAUCUAGCUAGCUUUGUAAUGAUCCGGUUUUGACCCUAGUUAGAAUAGUGAUUUCGGGACCAUAAAUCCGAGUUAGAAAAAUAUUUUAAUAUUAUUUUUCGUGUCUAUGAUAAGUGAGUCGACAUGUGUGAAAGUCUCGUGUGAAAAUUUAACUGUUUGUGUGUUUAAUUUGUAAAAAUUACCAAAUCGCGUAAAAUGUAAAAGUUGUGUGCUAGGUGUUAAAGUGCUUAUUGGAAUUGGCUUUCUAAAGUAAAGGUCCUUAUGUGGUUAUUUGACCAUUGGAAGUUUGAAUGGACAUAAAAAGGCAUGUGUUAGGCGAAUGAAUAAUUUUAUAAUAAAGGGUAAAAUAGGUAUUUGGUUAAUAUGUUAUAUUAAAUAAAACUAAAGUUAAAAAUUAGACCAUUAUCAUUCGUGCUUACCGAAAAUCAAAGAAAAGAGAUGAAAUAAAAGCCUUUAGGGUUUCGGGUAGGAGAUUUGAUAAUUAAGGUAUGAGUUUUGUUCGGUUUUUGAUGAUUUUUACAUUUUUGAGAUCGUUGCUUUGUGUUUUAUAAAGCCUAUGCUUAAAUUUGAGAAAUUGAUGAUGAUUUUGAAAUAUGCCAUGGAUGAAUUCAUGAGUUUUGUGUUGUUAAAUGGUGAAAUAUGGAAGCUUGAUGUUGGGUUUAAAUGUUUUGUUUUUGGAUUUUUGAUGAAAUUGAGUAAUUUGGGCUAAAAUGUGGAAAUGUUAUUUUACGGGACUUAAAUGUGAAAUAAAUGAAAUGUGUGGACUUCUAUGAAAGCCAUGAAAAUUCAGCUAAGCUUGUGUGCAAACAAAUUUUGUGUAUUUUGUGAAUUUGUAAAAUAGGGACUAAAGUGUCGAAACGUGAAAAUGUGAGGGCUAGUUUGUAAAAUGCCUUAAAUAUGUGUUUAUGGAUUGAAUUGAAUUAAUUGGUGAAUAAAAGGGUUAAAUUUGAAAACAAAUAGAUCAAGAAAGGAGGAAUUCGGACUUAGAUCGAGGAAAAUCGAAGGUUAUCAAGUAGACAGUCCGAGUCGACAAAAUUCGAGUACGAGGUAAGUUCGUACUUAAAAUAUGAUGUUAAGUAAGCUUUGAUGCCUUUAUUAUACAUGAGUGGUACAUAAUUGAAUUGGUUAAUAUGAUGAUGAAUCGGAAGUUUUGGCACUAAGUGUGCGAUUUAAACUAGCUUUGGCUACUAAAGGCACUAAGUGUGCGAUACCGACUUAGUUUCGGCUAGCUGAAAGAUGGCACUAAGUGUGCGGAAUCACUCUAGCUUCAGCUAAUCUUUAAGCACUAAGUGUGCGGAUAAUUAAGCAUUGGUGAUCAUUGGAAUGUCCUAAAGUAUUCGAGCAAGAGGUGAGAUUGAAAACUAAUGAAUAUGAAAAUGAUUGGGUAAGUAUAAUACCUAUGUGGUAGAUGAUAUUGUGUUUAUAAAGCUCAUUGAAUUGGUAAAGAUUUAUGGAUAGUGUUGGUAUAGAUUUGAUAAAUGAAUUAAGAAAUUGUAAUACUUAUGUGUUGAUGAUUUAUUUUAUAUAUAUUGUGGAUAAUUUUAGUACGAGCUUACUAAGUUUUUGAAAGGUUACUUUGUGUCUUUUUAUAUUGUUUUAUAGAUAUCGAAGCUACUGCAAGUUUGGGGAUCGUCAAGGAUUGUCACCACACUAUCGAACCUCAUUUUGGGUACUUUUGAAAAUGUAUAUAUUUAAAGUAUGGCAUGUAUAGGCUAGUAGUUGUGGAAGUAUGUUUUGUAAUGUAUAUACUUAGCCAUGUGAUUUGACUAAUUUGUGUUUGAACCCAUAGUUGAUAAUGGUUUAUGAUAUGUGAUGUUAAUUUGCAAUUGUGGUAUGUUUAGUUGGAUAAAGAAAAUGGUAAGCUUGGUGAGUUCAUGGUAUGAAAUUGAAUGAUGAUUUUGAUAUAAUCUUACAUUAUGUUUUAGUAUAAAUAGGUAAGGUUUAUAAGUAUGUAAAUGGUUGAUAAUAUUAUGGUAUGAAUAAUGUGUUUUUUAGCAUAAAAAUUGGUUGAUUGGAUUGUACAUAUAAGUUUGAUUCAUUGCUUGUAGGUUGACUCAAAAAGGGAUGGCAAGUUGGCUUAAACCAAGCCUGCAUUGUGCCGCAUGGUCCGGGAACACGGGGGUACCUUGUGGCCGUGUAUGCAAAGCAGUACCCUCUUAAGAUCACACGACCAUAGCACAUAGGCGUGUCAUAUAGCCGUGGGCUUAUGUCAGUAGCUAGCUAAGAACCACACGGCCAUAGCACAUGGGGGUGUUUGUUGGCCGUGGGUGAAAGUCAAUAUGUAUGCUCUAUUUUGACACGGCUAGAUUACAUGGGUAUGUCUGGUGCCCGUGUAAGGUACACGGCCUGGUUACACAGGCGUGUGAGCUCUAUAGAAUUGAAAAAUUUUACUAAGUUCUAAAAAUUUUGAAUGUGUUCAUUUUAGUCCCGAUCUAUUCCUAAUGCAUGUUUAAGGUCCCGUUGACCUAAGAAAGGGACUUUAUGUUGAUGUUUGAUUAUGAUGCUAUGAUGUUGUAAAAUAAAUGCGAAAUGUUGCGAUAUGUUCGGUAAUGCCUCUUAACCCUAGUUCGGCGAUGGAAACAAGUUAGGGGUGUCACAUUUAGUUGGUAUCAGAGCUAUGGUUUAGUAGAUUCUAGGACUACCAUAGUGUAUGUGAGUCUAGCUAUACAUGCCAUAUAUUUGAAACUGCGAUAGUGUGAUGAAUCCUGACAUUGAAAUGUUUUUUUAUUUAGCAAUGGAUCCCGAUAGAGCUGUAGAUGACGAUGUUGAAAGCAAUGCACCUGCUCUCACGCAAGGGACUGUGCAAGCUGAUUCUCAACCGGCUACGAGUACCCAUGAUGGUGAGGCUAAGCAAGUCUUCUAUCAAAUGAUGAAUGAUUGGUUCACUUAGUAUAUUAGAACCAAUUAGGCAGUACAACAACCUCUUUCCUCGGUUAAUCCUACUCAAACUCCUAUUAUGCCACGAAUGAAUCCGGUACAGUUUAGUAGACCACUAGUUGGUAAGAUUAGAAAAUAUGGGGCUGAAUAGUUCAGAGCUACAACAAGUGAUGAUGCUGAAAAAGCUAAGUUCUAGUUAGAGAAUAUAAUAAGAGUGUUUGAUGAGUUGUCUUUGAAUCCUGAUGAAUGCAUGAAAUGUGUUGUUUCACUUUUAAGAGACACGACGUAUCAUUGGUGGAAGACUUUGACAUUCGUGGUUCCGAGUGAUCGAGUUACUUGGGAUUUCUUCCAAGUUGAAUUUUGGAAGAACUAUAUCAGUCAAAGAUUCAUUGAUCAGAAACGCAAAGAGUUUCUUGAGCUUAAACAAGGCCAUAUGUCUAUCACAAAAUACGAGCGAGAAUUUGUAAGGUUGAGUCAGUAUGCCCGCGAAUGUGUAUCUUUGGAAGCAAUAAUGUGUAAGAGAUUUAAAGACAGUUUGAAUGAAUAUAUUCGUUUUCUAGUUGGGAUAAUAGAAAUCUAAAAAUUCGUGGUGCUUGUUGAACGAGCAUGUAAAGUGGAAGAUCUUGGGAAAGGGAAAAGAAAGGCUGAUUUUGAAGCUAGAGAGGUACGAAAGAGAUCAUCGGGCAAUUCAUUUCAAUCUGGAUCCAAGAAGUUUAGAGAUGAUAGUAGUCGUUCAAAGGUUAGUGUAGGACAUUCGAACAGGGAUCGUGUUAGAUUGCAAUUGAAUUAUAAAUCUUCAGCCACGUCUGUUGCUAGUGUUGAUAAUGCAAAGAAUGAAAGGCCUGAAUGUGAGCAAUAUGGAAGACGACACUUUGGUGAAUGCUGGGGAAAAAGUAAUAACCGAGCUUGUUAUAGUUGUGGUUCUAGAAAUCAUUUUAUAAAUGAUUGCCCAGAUUUAGUUGAAAAAGAUAAUGAACAGAAGCUAAGGCAGGGUGGUAAUGUUUCUCGUGGUAGUUCUCCCAGAAAUUCAGGAAAUGUAAACGGUGGUCAAAGAGGAACAAAAGACACAGUUGUAAGAUCUGAGGCUCGUGCACCUGCCAAGCCUAUGCUAUUCGAGCUCGAGAGAAAGCUUCAUCACCAGAUGUGAUUACGGGUAUAUUUACUCUUUAUGAUACUUUUGUGAUUGCUUUGAUAGAUCUUGGAUCAACAGAUUCAUAUAUAUGUAUGAACUUAGUGAACAGUAAGACUUUGCCUGUAGAGUCUAUUGAAUUUGUAAUUAGAGUUUCGAACCCCCUAGGCAGAUGUGUUCUAAUUGAUAAAGUCUGCAAGAAUUGUCCAUUUAAUUUUGAGACAAUUGUUUUCCAGGUGAUUUGAUGCUGUUGCCUUUUGAUAAGUUUGAUAUAAUUCUGGGUAUAGAUUGGUUAACUUUGCAUGAUGCUGUGGUAAACUGUAAAUGAAAAACUAUUGAUUUGAGAUGCAAGAAUAAUGAAAUAGUCAGAAGUGAAUCUAGCUAUUUGAAUGGAUUAUCUGCUGUAAUAUCUUCUAUGAAAGCAUUGAGUAUUGUGAGAAAGGGUUGUGAAGUUUAUUUUGCAUAUGUGAUUGAUUCAAAUGUGUCAGAAAAGAAAGUUGUAUCUGUACCUGUUGUCUGUGAGUUCCCUGAUGUGUUUCUUGAAGAACUUCCGGGAUUACCUCCAGUUAGGGAAGUAGAAUUUCACAUUGAAUUAGUACCUGGUACUACUCCGAUUUUGAUAGUUCUGUACCGAAUGGCUCCGACCAAGCUAAAAGAACUAAAGUCUCAGUUACAAAAGUUGAUCGAUCGAGGGUUUGCUAGACCGAGUUUCUCGCCUUGGGGUACCCCAGUUUUAUUUGUGAAAAAGAAAGAUGGUACGAUGAGAAUGUGUAUAUAUUAUCAUUAGUUGAAUAAAGUGACUGUAAAAAAUAAGUAUCCCCUGCCCCAAAUUGAUGAUUUGUUUGAUCAGUUAAAAGAAGAUAUUGUGUUUUCGAAAAUAGAUUUGAGAUCAGGUUAUUAUCAGCUGCGAGUGAAAGACUCAGAUAUUCCGAAGACUACUUUUAGAACGAGGUACGGGCAUUAUGAAUUCUUAAUUAUGCCUUUUGGAUUGACUAAUGCACCUGCUAUCUUUAUGGAUUUAAUGAAUAGAAUCUUUAGACCGUAUUUAGAUCAAUUUGUUGUAGUAUUCAUUAAUGAUAUAUUGAUUUAUUCACGUGAUGAAUUUGAGCAUGCCGAGCAUUUGAGAAUAGUGCUACAGACUUUGCGAGAUAAACAAUUGUAUGCAAAGUUCAGUAUAUGUGAGUUUUGGUUGAAAGAAGUUGUUUUUUGGGUCAUAUUGUAUCAGCAUCUGGUAUCCGAGUUGAUCCGAGCAAAAUUUCAGCUAUUUUGGAUUGGAAACCUCUGAGAAAUGUUUCAGAAGUCCGCAAUUUCCUGGGACUUGCUGCUUACUAUAGAAGAUUUGUAAAAGGAUUCUCGAUGAUUGCGACUCCGUUGACAAAACUACUCCAGAAAUAUGUGAAGUUUGAGUGGUCUGGAAAAUGUCAAAACAGCUUUGAUCAGUUGCAAGCCUUGUUGACUGAAGCUCUGGUGUUGGUACAACCUGAAUCAGGUAAAGAAUUUUUGAUUUAUAGUGAUGCCUCGUUGAUUGGGUUGGGAUGUGUUCUAAUGCAAGAAGAAAAAGUCGCUGCUUAUGCUUCGAGAUAGUUAAAACCGCACGAAAAGAACUAUCCGACGCACGAUCUUGAGUUAGCUGCGAUUGUGUUUGCCCUAAAUAUUUGGCGCCAUUACUUGUUCGGAGAGAAAUGUCAUGCGUAUUCUAAUCAUAAAAGUUUAAAGUAUUUAAUGACGCAAAAAAAAUUGAAUUUGCGACAGAGAAGAUGGUUAGAACUGCUAAAAGACUACGAACUUAUGAUUGAUUAUCACCCAAGAAAAGCAACUGUUGUUGCGGAUGCUUUGAGUCAAAAAUUGUUAUUUGCUCUGUGUGCGAGAAAUGCUCAUUUGGUUUUAUCUGAUAAUGGUUUAGUUUUAGCUGAAUUAAAAGUAAGACCCUUGUUCUUACAGCAGAUUAUCGAAGCUCAAAAGGUUGAUAAUGAAUUAAUAGCAAAACAAGCUCAGUGUGAUUCUAAAUUCUGAGUUGAUGUUGAUGAUUGUUUGAUAUUCAUAAACGGACUUUGUGUUUCGAGAAAUCUAGAGUUAAUUCGGACGAUUUUGAGUGAAGCCCAUAGUAGUCGGUUAUCUGUGUAUCCGGGCAGUACUAAAAUGUAUAAUGACUUGAAACAACAUUAUUGGUGGUCCAAAAUAAAAAGAGAUAUCUCUAAAUUUGUUUCUAAAUGUUUGAUCUGUCAGCAAGUUAAAGCUGAGCAUCAAGUGCCAUUUGGAUUGUUACAACCGAUUAUUGUUCCAAAGUGGAAAUGGGAUCGAGUGACCAUGGACUUUGUGUCGGGUUUACCUCUAUCUCUGAGAAAGAAAGACGCAAUUUGCGUUGUAGUUGAUCAAUUGACAAAAUCAGCCCAUUUUAUUCCGAUUCGAUCUGAUUAUUUGCUUAAUAAAUUAACUGAGUUAUACAUUUCUGAUAUAGAGAGAUUGCAUGGUGUGCCAUUGUCUAUAGUGUCAGACAGAAAUCCGAGAUUCACAUCAAGAUUUUGGACGAAGUUACAAGAUGCUCUGGGUACUAAAUUGUAUUUUAGCAUUGCUUUUUAUCUGCAAACAGAUGGUCAAUCUGAACGGAUUAUUUAGAUACUCGAGGAUAUGUUGACAUGUUGCAUUCUUGAAUUUGAAGGUACAUGGGAACAAUACUUACCUUUGAUUGAAUUUUCUUAUAAUAACAGUUUUCAGUCAAGCAUCAAAAUGGCACCACACGAAGCUUUAUAUGGUGGCAAAUGCCAUACACCUUUGUAUUGGACCGAGCUUAGCGACAGUAACAUACACGGGGUUGAUUUGAUAAAAGAAACUGAAUAGAAAGUGGAAGUGAUCCGAGAUAGUUUGAAAGCAACUUCUGAUCGUUAGAAAUCAUAUGCAGAUUUGAAAAGAAAAGACAUUGAAUUUGAAAUCGGUGAUAAAAUGUUUUUGAAAGUGUCUCCGUGGAAGAAAGUGCUUCGGUUUGGUAGAAAAGGCAAAUUGACUCUGGGGGUCAUUAGACCGUAUGAAAUAAUCGAGCGUAUUGAGCCGAUUGCGUAUAGAUUGUUGUUGCCACCAGAGUUAGAAAAGAUUCAUAAUGUGUGCUUCGAUGAUACAGAUCCGAUCCUUGUAUGUAAUUCCUUCGUCUGAGAUCCAAAUUCAGUCUGAUAUAACUUACGAAGAAAAGCUGAUCUGAAUCUUAGCACGAGAGGUUAAAGAGUUACGAAAUAAGAAAAUUUAGUUAGUUAAAGUGAUGUGGCAUCAACAUGGUGUUGAAGAGGCCACGUGGGAGCCUGAAGAUGCUAUGAAACAACAAUAUCCGAAUUUGUUUAAUAGUAAGAUUUUUGGGGACGAAAAUCCCUAAGGGGGAGAAUUGUAAUAGUUCGGUUUUGACCCUAGUUGGAAUAGUGGUUUCAGGACCACAAAUCUGAGUUAGAAAAGUAUUUUAAUGUUAUUUUUCGCGUCUAUGAUAAGUGAAUUGACAUGUGUGAAAGUCUCGUGUGAAAAUUUAGCUGUUUGUGUGUUUAAUUUGCAAAAAGGACCAAAUCGCGUAAAAUGUAAAAGAUAUGUGCUAGAUGUUAAAGUACUUAUUGGAAUUGGCUUUCUAAAGUAGAGGUCCUUAUGUGGUUAUUUGAUAAUUGGAAGUUUGAAUGAACAUAAAACAACAUGUGUUAGGUGAAUGAAUAAUAUUAUAAUAAAGGGUAAAAUAGGUAUUUGAUUAAUAUGUUAUAUUAAAUAAAAAUAAAGUUAAAAAUUAGACCAUUAUCAUCCAUGCUUGUCGAAAAUCAAAGAAAAGAGAUGAAAUAAAAGCUUUUAGGGUUUCGGGUAGGAGAUUUGAUAAUCAAGGUAUGAGUUUUGUUCGGUUUUUGAUGAUUUUUACGUUUUUGAGAUCGUUGCUUUGUGUUUUAUAAAGCCCAUUCUUAAAUUUGAGAAAUUGAUGAUGAUUUUGAAAUAUGCAUGGAUGAAUUCAUGAGUUUUGUGUUGUUACAUGGUGAAAUAUGGAAGCUUGAUGUUGGGCUUAAAUGUUUUGUUUUUGGAUUUUUUAUGAAAUUGAGUAAUUUGGGCUAAAAUGUGGAAAUAUUAUUUUGAGUGACUAAAAUGUGAAAUAAAUGAAAUGUGUGGACUUGUAUGAGAGCCAUGAAAGUUCGGCUAAGCUUGUGUGCAAACAAAUUUUGUGUAUUUUAUGAAUUUGUGAAAUAGGGACUAAAGUGUUGAAAUGUGAAAAUGUAAGGGCUAGUUUGUAAAAUGCCCUAAAUAUGUGUUUAUGGAUUGAAUUUAAUUAAUUGGUGAAUAAAAGGGUUAAUUUUGAGAACAUAUAGAUCAAGAAAGGAGGAAUUCGGACUUAGAUCGAGCAAAGUCGAAGGAUAUCAAGUAGACAGUCCGAGUCGACAAAAUUCGAGUACAAGGUAAGUUCGUACUUAAAAUAUGAUGUUAAGUAAGCUUUGAUGCCUUUAUUAUACAUGAGUUGUAUAUAAUUGAAUUGGAUAAUAUGGUGAUGAAUCGAAAGUUUUGGCACUAAGUGUGCGAUUUAAACUAGCUUUGGCACUAAGUGUGCGAUUUAAACUAGCUUUGGCUACUAAAGGCACUAAGUGUGCGAUACUGACUUAGUUUCAGCUAGUUGAGAGAUGGCACUAAGUGUGCGAAAUCGUUCUAGCUUCAGCUAAUCUUUAAGCACUAAGUGUGCGGAUAAUUAAGCGUUGGUGAUCAUUGGAAAGUCCUAAAGUAUUCGGGCAAGAGGUGAGAUUGAAAACUAAUGAAUAUGAAAAUGAUCGGGUAAGUACAAUACCUAUGUGGUAGAUGAUAUUAUGUUUAUAAAGCUCAUUGAAUUGGUAAAGAUUUAUGGAUAGUGUUGGUAUAGAUUUGAUAAGUGAAUUAAGAAAUUGUAAUACUUAUGUGUUGAUGAUUUAUGUUAUAUAUAUUGUGGAUGAUUUUAGUACGAGCUUACUAAGCUUUUGAAAGCUUGUGUCUGUUUAUAUUGUUUUAUAGAUAUUGAAGCUACUACAAAUUCGGGGAUCGUCAAGGAUUGUCACCACACUAUCGAACCUCAUCUUGGGUACUUUUGAAAAUGUAUACACUACAGGAAAUCAGACUUUUAGCGGCAGUUUUUUUUUGCCUUUAGCGGCGUUUUUAAGCGCAGCAAAAAAACGUCGCUAUAUGUAACGCCGUAAAAUUAGUGGCAUUUUUUGAAAAAAGCGCUGCUAAAGACCAGCACUUUUAGCGGCGCUUUUAAAAAAACGCCGCUAAUUUGCCCAGUUUUGCAAUAUGUAUUUUUGCACCUAUAUCCAACCCUCCUGCAAGAAAUUCAACCAAAAACAGCAAAUAUACCAUGAAAUCCAACCAAAACCCGCAAAUUUAAAUAAUACAAAAUUAUAUGAAAAAUAUAUUAUAUAAAUUGUAAAUGAAUAUUCAAAAUAUUCUUACAAUAAAGUUAAAAGUUACAAGAAAACAAAUGUCUAAGAUGGGGGAUUUUGAAAUUGCUGGAACAUAGUCAUCAUAGACUGAAGCUGUAGCUGGAGUUCAUUGUAUUUUCUGUUCUGCUCCGCCUCCCUCGCUGCUGCCUCCGCUCUAAGUUGAGAAAUUUGCUCAUCUGUGCUAGCUUGUAUCUGAACUAUCUGAUCUUUUAGCCUCUGAACUUCAGCUUGACUUUGACUCCCGGAAGGCAUGUAUUGGUGCUAGAUGGAUCCGAAAUAUUGGGUCGGGUUAACACCAGAUCCUUGAAAUCUAACCCGACCAUACCUUUCAGGACCCAAAACUUCAUUAAUAAUUCUGUUAUCAAUAUCCUCAAAAUUAACAGAACUAUCAGUCAAAGCAGUCACUUCAUACUCUGCCUUCUUAUCUUUUAGUUUCUCUUAAUAAAUCAGUUAAAGAGUUAGAAACGAAAUAUACAAUAAAAAGGAAUACAAUAUAACAUUAUUUAAAUUAAACUAAUAAAAACGACGAAUUAAAACAUUAUAAUUAAAUAUUAUAAAUAUUUAUAAUGAAUAAAAUUUUAUUAAGUAAAAAUACCAUAAUUUUUGUAGCCUCAAAUGUCAUCGGAGUUCCAUCUUUUUUCCUUUGUGUAAUGUCAAAAAGCUGAAGGCGUCCAACUUUUUAACCAGACGAGGCUUCCUACAAUAUAGUAGUAAAUAUUAUUUAAUAGUAAAAAGUCAUUAAUACUUGAUAGAAUUAAUAAAUCCAUAGUACCCCGGCCUGAGCUACACAAGCAAAACUUUUCGAUCCUACCGUGUGCGUAAAUUUUUGUUUUUGCCUGCUGCUUGUUCCAACUCGCUCACGGUCCUAAAUAAUGAAAUUAUUAUUACGUAUAUAGUAAAUACUAUAAACCAAAAAAUUUAUAAAAGUUUGCAAGAACAUAAUACCUCUCCUUUCUUCGAAUUCCAAAAUCGAACCGUAUCUUCCCAUUGGUACCUCAGCAUUCCCGGUGGGACAUUUUGCAAUUUUUCUUCGAGGCUUAUGGGUUUUUUAAAAUAUUCUUUUUUCAAAAUGCUUUUAUGGUCUCUCCAUUUUUUACCCAAUGCCUUCUUGAUAUAGGCAUCAGAGACCUCUAAAGCAAACCUCUCCUAAAAAACAAAAGUUUAGGAAGUAAAUAUAAAUGAAACUUAAACCAAAGUAUUAUAAAUUACAUUAACGUUUUGUUACCUUAAUAUUAGAGAGAGCUUGAUUUUUAUUGCUAUCAGGCAUGUUAUGCCAUGAUUCGUAGUUGAUGGGCAACAUAUUGGCAUUUCGUGCUAUAAUACCCAAAUAGCCUACUAAAAGUCGAGCUUCUUGUCCAACAGGCUGACCAUGGCUGUUUCUAGUUACUUUGACACGCUCGACAGAAUUUAAGUUAUAUAAAUCUGUUAGGAGCGUACGUCCUCGACCUCUGCGCGUCCGACCAUUUUCAGCUGAAAAAUAAUAUAUUAUUACUAUGUUGAAAUUUAAAAAUAAAUCAGUAAUAAAAUUUAAUACAAUUUGUAAAAUAAACUUAACAUUACUUUGAAAUUUCACAGACUCGUCAAGUGUCUCCGGCACGCUUGACGAUCCAACAACUGUCUGUUGUUCAGUACUUACUUCUUCCGAAUUUUUAGUACUCUGUACAAUACUAAGAUCUCUUAAUCUUCUUCUAGGCAUUUUUCCUGCAACACAUAAAAUAGUUAAAAUUUUAGUAAGAAAUAACAACAAUAGUAAAUAUAAAAUAGUUAAAUUAUAUAACAUGACCAAUGUUAAAAUUAUAACAUUACAUAUAAAUAAAAAAUCAUAAAAUCUUACUACAUCAUAAAUCGUAAAUAUCUUUGUCCACAUCCUGACGAACCCAUUGAAAUUGUGUACUAGUACUACGGAUAUUUUCAUUUAAGUUUUGUUCUAGAAAAGGCAAAGUUUCUGAUGUUUCAACGAUGUCAUCUCUACUUCCAUUCCCCAUGUCAAAUAAGUCUCUAGGGGUGUUUUGGAGUACAACGUACCAACCCUCAUCAAUUGGAUCUUUCGAGUAAAAAACUUGUUUAACUUGAGAAGAAAAUACAUACGGCUCGUCUAUCAAAUGUUCUCCUGUGUGAAUUAAUCGAGAGAAAUUCACCAUUGUAAAACCAAACUGAUCAUUUUUAAUUCCGCGAGCAGUAUUAGCAUCAGCCCAAUCACAUCGAAAUAAGAUCCAUAGUAAUCCAACUCAAUAAUGUCGGUUAGAAGUCCGUAAUACUCCACAUUUCCCUCGACAGGAUUACUGUCCCUAGCACUAGCGUAACUUGUAAUUAAAGAAUUAACAACUACUCCACAAUUUUGAGUUCUCCUCAAUCUCUCGCGAUAUUUGGUAUGAAAUCUGAAUCCAUUCAUGAUGAAGCCACUAUAUCUUUUUACUACUCGAUUUGGACCUUGGGAAAGCCAUUUAACUUCGUCAUUAACGACAUUCCCACUCCAAACCUAUUGAAUCAAAAGUAAAUUGAGUAAUUGUAAAUGUUAUGAGAAAACAUUAUUAUUUGUGAAUAAAAUGUUGAGUUGCAUACCGUUUGGCUUAACCAUUCAUGAAAAGAUUCUGCGAAUAACCUAUUAAUCUCGCGAUGUUGUAAUCUUCUUGAGCGUGAACGAGAUCUUAAGACUUGUUUGUACUCAUUAUGUUAAAAACAUGUUUAAUUCAUUAAAAAAUAAACAAAUCAAAAAAAGAUGAAUAUUUAUCAUAUUCUAGAACUUACUUGCGUAAUUGUUCAAGUGCAUCAUGGUGGAAAAGAACAUAUCUAUGUGCUUGUAUCCAAGAUCAGUCAUCUAAUUCUGCAAUUUCAACUUUGCCGACUGGUUCUCCAUAACUUUGAAAUAAAUAAGUUUCGGCCAAGCUAGGAUUAUUGAGUCCGGCAUUUCUACUUGGUCUAUUCAAUCUUGUUUCAACAUCUUCUAAAUAUCUAGAACAGAAUGUCAUACACUCCUCUGCCAAGUAGCCUUCAGCAAUCGAUCCUUCUGGAUAACGCUUGUUACGGCAAUAAGACUUCAAUUUGCUUAGGAACCUAAACACCAUAUACAACAUUAUCAAAACUAGUAACUAUAGGUAUAAAGGUGGAAUGCCUUUGAAAUAAAUUAGCACCUUUCAAUUGGAUACAUCCAACGAUAGAAAAUCAGCCCACCAAUUAUUGCUUCACGAGGGAGAUGAAUGACAAGGUGCACCAUAAUUGUGAAUAAGGAAGGUGGAAAGAUCUUCUCCAAAUUGCAUAAUGUUAAAGCGGCUCGAUCUUGUACUUUUUCAAGUUCUUCAACAUUUAGAACUUUGCCACAAAUUGCUUUCAUUAUAUUAGACAGUUCAAUUAUACAGGACGUUACCUUCUUUGACAUACAACACCGUAAAGCAACUGGAAGUAGAUCUUGCAUCAAGAUGUGAUAGUCAUGUGAUUUUAAUGAAUAUAGUCUUCGAUCUUUAAGACUUACACAUCGAGAUAUAUUUGAUGCAUACGCAUCCGAAACCUUUAUAUCCUUCAACACCGUGCAGAACAUUUCUUUCUCUUUCUUUGACAUUGCAAAAAUUGUAGGCGGCAACCAAUAUUUUCUAUUAGAACGUACUUGGGGAUGAAGAUCACGCCUAAUUCCCAUGUGAACUAAAUCAAGUCGACUCUGAAGAUUAUCUUUUGAUUUACCAUCGACGUUCAAAAUUGUCUGGAUGAUGUUCUCGUAGACAUUCUUUUCAAUAUGCAUCACAUCAACAUUGUGGCGUAAUAUGUGAUGCUCCCAAUAAGGCAACUCAAAAAAAAUACUUCUUUUCUUCCACAAGUCCGCCUCAUUAGGGUCAUCCUCCUCGUCAGAUUCAUCAUCAGAUUCAUCCCUCGAUCGCCUAUUUGUUUGCCUGUUAGAUGGUUGAUUCAGCUUCCCGUAACUGAAAUCCAUAUCUUUUAACAUGAAUAAGAUUUCAGAUCCAAUGGUCUACUCAGGAGCUUUUUUCAACUCUUCAGUACCGUCAAAUAAAGCCCUCUGAAAUCUAUAGUUAUGAUUUUCAUCUAACCACCGACGAUGCCCCAUAUAGCAGAACUUCUUCCCAUUAUAUAACCACUGUGAACACGUUUGAGCAGCACAACAAGGACAAGCAUAACGUCCUCUGGUACUCCAACCAGAUAAAUUCGCAUAUGCCGGGAAAUCAUUAAUUGUCCACAGCAAAGCAGCACGUAGGUAAAAGUUCUCCUUUCUCAAUACAUCAUACGUCUCAACACUCGCCCAUAAUUAUUUUAACUCUUCAAUAAGUGGCUGCAGAUAUAUGUCAAUAUCAUUUCCGGGGCCUUUCUCUCCGGGGAUAAUCAUAGAUAAUAUCAAAGAAGAUUGCUUCAUGCAGAGCCAUGGAGGCAAAUUAUAAGGAACAAGGACCACAGGCCAAGUACUGUACGAGGUGCUCAAGAUUUUAAAAGGAUUAAAUCUGUCAGAUGCUAACCCGAGCCUUACACUCGGAGGAUCACUUGCAAAGCUUGGAAAUUUAUUGUCAAAUGAUUUCCAAGCUAAAGAAUUUGCAGGAUGCCUUAAUAAUCCAUCAUCCAUUCGUUGAUCAUGAUGCCACGUCAUAAACUCGACUGUCUUUGACGACAUGAAUAGCCUUUGAAGCCUUGGGAUUAGCGGGAAAUAUCGCAAAAUCUUGUUCGGCUUCCUUGUUGACUGUGGCCCAUAUUCAUCCUCAUUAACAUCUUCUGCAUCUCUAUUUAUCCAACGAGAUUUACCGCAAACAUGACAAGACUGUUGAUUUCUCCGAUCACCCCAAUACAACAUGCAAUCAUUUGGGCAACUAUGAAUUUUGUUGUACCCAAGCCCCAAAUCUUUUAUCACUUUCUUCAUGUCUUUACAUGAUUGAGGGAUUAUUGCAAACGGGAACAUUUCUCUCAAAAGCUCUAACAGCAUUGUCAAAGAGUUUCUGGUCCACCCUCCCAAACAUUUUAAGUGGAAAAGGCGAAUACAGAAUGACAUUUUCGAAAAUUUUGAUCCCUCAUAAAGUUCUUCAUUCAUUUCACCAAGUAACGUGUAGAACUUCGCCGCUUCUUCAUUCGGUUGUUCAUCCGGUACACUUCUUCUCGUUUCCAUAAAAGUAUUUCCACCGAUAUUAUAAUCAUCGGAUGCAACAUAGUUUGGUGGAAAUGAUUGGAAACCUUCACUCUGCAUAUUAAAUGCAUCCCACAUCAUACCUUCCAUGUCAUCUUCUCUAACAUACUGACGGUAAUCACUAUAAGGAUAACCCUGAUUAAUCGUCGAGGAGGCUCCACUAGGUGUACACUCUCCAUGGAAAAUCCACUUUUUAUACCCCCGAAUGAAGCCAUCAACAAUUAGAUGUUCGUAGACAACUUCACGAUAAUGCCAAUAGAUAUUGCCACACUUCUUACACGGGCAAAGAAUCAUAUUCUCUUGGCUUGAAUUGUGAAAUGCAAAAUCUAAAAAAGAUUGCACUCCAUUUUGAUACUCGUUGCUUGCCUUUGAGAAAUUCAUCCAAGUCCUAUCCAUUUCGUAGUUGUUGAAGUCUAAAGUUGGCAAUAAGUUACACGGGUAAGUUGUUUAUUAUGUAACUCUUGAUAUGAUAUAUAUUUAUGUUUUAUGUAAGUUAUGAAAUUUGAACUUUAAACUAUAUGCUUUUAAGGAAAUUAUUAGAUUAAACUACAUGUAUUAGUUAAGUUAUGUAAGUUGUUAUGUACGUUAUGUGAGUUAUAACUUUUAAAGACAUUUAAAAAUAUUAAAUAUUAAAAUCAAACAUCAUUAAUAUAAAAAAAUAGUAAUUUGAAUAUAAUAAUAUCAAAAAAGAAUCGUAAUUUAAUUUUUAUAAGUAAAUUAGAAAUAAAUUAAGGUUAUAUAAAUAUUCAAUAGCGAUAGAACUUUUUUCAAGUCUUUUUGAAUUUUUUAAGAUUCAUCAUACGUGGCGUUGUUACACCUAGGGAGGAUCCAUUAUAUCUUGCAGCUCGAUAUAAGGCAACCUGUCAGGUUUCCAGCCUAUAUACUUUGAAUCUUUAAAAUAUUUAAAAUAAGGAAUGGACAAGCAAUCUACAUAUAUGGUAAUAAAAUUAAUUCAUACUUAUUCAUACUUAAGUUGAAUCAAAUAAUAAUUAAGUUGAACCAAAAUAUAAAAACUUAUUCAUACUUCAAAUAAUAAUUAAUGCUGUUUUGAUAAAAAUUAGUUAUAACUUUUAAAGACAUUUAAAAAUAUUAAAUAUUAAAAUCAAACAUUAUUAAUAUAACAAAAUAGUAAUUUGAAUAUAAUAAUAUCAAAAAAGAAUCGUAGUUUAAUUUUUAUAAGUAAAUUGGAAAUAAAUUAAGGUUAUAUAAAUAUUCAAUAGCGACAGAACUUUUUUCAAUUCUUUUUGAAUUUUUUAAGAUUCAUCAUACGUGGCGUUGUUACACCUAGGGAUGAUCCAUUAUAUCUUGCAACUCGAUAUAAGGCAACCCGUCAGGUUUCCAGCCUAUAUACUUUGAAUCUUUAAAAUAUUUAAAAUAAGGAAUGGACAAGCAAGCUACAUAUAUGGUAAUAAAAUUAAUUCAUACUUAUUCAUACUUAAGUUGAAUCAAAUAAUAAUUAAGUUGAACCAAAAUAUAAAAACUUAUUCAUACUUAUUCAUACUUCAAAUAAUAAUUAAUAUUGUUUUGAUAAAAAUUAGUUAUAACUUUUAAAGACAUUUAAAAACAUUAAAUAUUAAAAUCAAACAUUAUUAAUAUAACAAAAUAGUAAUUUGAAUAUAAUAAUAUCAAAAAAGAAUCAUAAUUUAAUUUUUAUAAGUAAAUUGGAAAUAAAUUAAGGUUAUAUAAAUAUUCAAUAGCGAUAGAACUUUUUUCAAUUCUUUUUGAAUUUUUUAAGAUUCAUCAUAUGUGGCGUUGUUACACCUAAGGAGGAUCCACUAUAUCUUGCAGCUCGAUAUAAGGCAACCCGUCAGGUUUCCAGCCUAUAUACUUUGAAUCUUUAAAAUAUUUAAAAUAAGGAAUGGACAAGCAAGCUACAUAUAUGGUAAUAAAAUUAAUUCAUACUUAUUCAUACUUCAAAUAAUUAAUACUAUAAGGUCAGGUUUCCAGCCUAUAUACUUUGAAUCUUUAAAAUAUUUAAAACGUACCUUAAUAAAACGUACCUGGUCUACUCCACUCUCACCAGCAAACAGAGGCUGGAAUCCAAAAAGUAAUAUUUGUUAAGUAAUUUAAAGUGAAAAUGCAUAGAAAUAAGGAAAAAAAUCUAGCAACGAAACCUGUACGUACCUAGAACAAAUGUUAAUGGCUAUGGUGUAUUUAGUUGCACCAAAUAUUAUUUCAGGUGCUCGAUAGUACCUAAAACAGAUGUAAGAUUAUAAGAGUAGCACCAAAUAUAUUUCAGUUUAAGCAAAUAUAAAAACUUUAUCUAUAUCAGUACCAAAUUUUAAUUCAAAGAUUAAAUGGCAGCUUCAGUUGAACCAAUACUUGCAGGAGGAGCAGGAAGCAGUAAAUGAAGCUGUACACCUCAGCAAAAUCUGGCAAAACUGCACUAUAUAGAAAGAACACUUAUCAUCAAUGGGACAAAGGAAACUUAAGGAUGUGAUGACAGGAACUACUCAAGAAGACACUGAUUAUCACGUGUUCUUAUUCAUACUUAUUCAUACUUCAAAUAAUAAUUAAUACUAUUUUGAUAAAAAUUAGUUAUAACUUUUAAAGACAUUUAAAAAUAUUAAAUAUUAAAUAUUAAAAUAAUUGCUUCAACCCCAAUCAACUGGAAUUUGCCAAUGACCAUGAAAAACAUCAUAAUAUAUUGAGUCUUGCUGCAAUUUACUAUAUCCAAUAUAAGCUUGCCAUUCUAAAUACCAUUAUCAGUGCCAUUUUCUUCCUUCACCAUAGCAUUUAUUACCUUCAAUCGACAUCUCAUUUUAUAAUUAGAAAUUGAAAAGCAUUUUCAAACAAAAUAUAACAAUUUUUUUAUAUAAAACGUGAGCAACAAGGCAGCAUUAAACUCUUAAAUCAAUCUAAGUCCACACUAAACACAUACACAUAAAUUGGAUAGAAACAUGAAAACAGACCAAAAGAACAUCUAAAAAACCAAAAUGGAAUCACCAUUAUUAUGUAAACAUGAAAAUGCACAGCUUUAAACAAACCAACUUUGCAUGUGCAGAAUCAUACUCCACAAAACUCAUAAACAUUAACUUCUCCUAACCAGAAUACCAACUUUAUGUUUACAGAGGCCUUGAUGGAAACUAACAUAACUGUUGAUAUAUAACUUAUCUAAUAAGAAUCACAAAAUAUGCAGAAACUACCUGAGUAUUUAGUAUCAAGAGAACCAUGUAUUCAAAGGAAAAGAGCCAGAAAUUGAUCAAUGUAUGCAAAACUUGGUCUAUAUUUCAAAACUGGAGUAAAGCUUUCAUCUAGUACCAAAUACAUACAUAUAUAUAGACACAAAUACACAGGCAUACAUCUUCCAUUACCUUAAUCUGUUUCUUGAAAAUAAAAGAUAAGUAAGCUUCUAUAGGAAACUUAACAAAGGAAGCUAAAUCGAGACAAAACACAAAAAAGAGUGGAUGAAAUAAGCUUAAAAAUUUAGGAAUGUAAUUAAAAUGUUAAUUAAAUGUUAGGAAAAACAUUAAAAAUUUAGGAAUGUAAUUAAAUGUUAAUUAAACGUUGAAAACAUAAAAGGAAAAACAUGUUGAAAGAAACAUAAAUGUUAGGGAAGAGAAUGUUUACCUUGAUUGAAUUGGAAAUGUUUUCUUGAGGGUUUAUUUAGAGAUGUUUGGGAUUGAUCUCUAAUAAUGUCGAGAGACUUCCCUACUCAUUGCAUUUGAAGAGCAGAAGUCUGUUUCUGGUCGACAAAACAAUCAAAUGAGUUCUAAAAAUAAACAACAUUUAAUGAUCGGUAUAAUAUUAAUUAUAUUUGCUAAUAACAGGUGGGAAUAAACAAAUAAAAUGAUAAAAAAAAUAGCCAGCAAUUUGGUAUAACAUUAAUAGGAAAAAUAGGACCAAGCUCAAUACCAUUAAAAGACAGUAAGUUACAUUGUAUACAUAUUAUCACUGCAAUUUGGUAUAAAUAUUCCCGAUUAUCCCAGCAAUACUAACUAUCACAGCCAGUAUUAACAUUAACCACGACAAAAAUUUUUCUACUCUGCUCAAGCUCAUGCUCUCUUCUUGCUAACUUAUCCUCAAUGCAAUUAGAGCGGGGAACGUAAAACCUAAGGAAACAGCUGUUGUUGCUCCAGUAAAUUUGAAAGCUGUCCAUAUAUUUGGGAUCAUAGUAGAUCCAAUAUAUAUAAGCACUAACAAUAUUACUGUUAAUGCCAAAGACCUUUUUUUACUCUCCGUGAGAGGAGCUGAUCCCUCAAACACCAAGUUAUCCACAGUUUGCCGUAGGGAAAAGUGAAUAACAGGGAAAACCAGAACCAAAUGAAGAGCAAAUAUAAUUCAAAGCAGUGCUAAAAUGAAUUCCCAGAUUGCUAUCAAAAUUGGUCAAAACAUCACCUUCAGUGUCCUUUCCGAAGAGCAAAUACCCUGAUAUUGCUGUUCAGGCAUAGACCACAACACAAAGAGCAGUUGUGAUCCUCCCUACCUGAUUCAUCUUUUGAGGAGAUCGCCCUUCGAGCUCAUUGUAUAUAGUUUGAACAUUGAAAUGGCAAACAUAUGCAUUAGUCAUAAUAGGGAUAACUACUAGUAAAUCCAAAAUUGCCAUUUUCGAUCCAAAAUCUGGGUUCAUCCUUGGAGCCUCUAUCUUCCCUUCAAUAAGCUUAAUGAAUGCAACAGCAAAGCAAACCACAACGAAAACAACAGCGAGAGCUACCGAAGCAGCCGAAGUCAUGCUCAAUGAAUCAAUCCUAUCUAACACGCAAAGUGGAGCAAGAAAAACAACCAUAACAACCAAAACCAAUAACUUCCUAUGAUCCCAAUAACCAUGUCCUAACCACUGAUCGAGAACCCCAAUAUGACGAACCGAACUGGACAUAACAUCACACAUAGUAAUCAAAUAAACUAUCAGGACACCUGUAUUGUUGACAAUUAUGCAAAUCUCAGACAAAACCCUAACAGUUCUCCCUAUUGCAAUUUGCAUAACUUCCUCAUAAGAUCUAGCUUUACAAGAAACCGCAAACCUAAUCAACAUCUCGACAGUAAUUUUAGACAAAAUCCCAAUCAGGAUUAUCAAAAAAAUCCCUAAAACAAGCCCCAAAACCUUCAUAGUAGCAGGUAAAGCCAUGAUUCCAGCACCAAUAAUUGUGGUGGUUAAGUUAAAAACAGCACCAGAAACACCAGACCCGGUAUUGGGUUUACUUAAAACAAGGGUAUAAUCAUCGAGAUCAAACCCAUUUCAAUCCAUUUCAAACAAAAAAAAGGCAAGUAAUACAGUAACUACACAUUAAUCUGAAGGGGACUCAAAAACUAACCAUUUCAAACCCAUGAAGCAUAUGACUGUCGACGAGAGGAAAGGGAAAAUAGUUAGGGAUUUUGGGGAUGGGGGAACAGAAUAAGGGAAAAAAAGGGGACUUGGGGAAAAUGUUAGGGAUUUUGGGUUUGGGGAAUUAGGGGAUGAUAUGGGGAAAAAGAAAGAGGUGUUUUUUGUUUUAGGGAUUUAGGGAAGAAAGAGACGAAAUAGGGGAAAAUGACUUAGCAAAAAAUGAAACUGAUUUCGGGUAAAGGGCAUAAACCUCAGGAGAGAAAAAAUGACGCCAUUUCAAAUAAGGAAAUUUUGUGGCAUUUACAGCAACGUGCCGGUAAUGAGACCUUUUGCGGCGUUUUCAGCAAAGCGCCACUAACGCCUCUUUUAUCUACACUAUAAAACGACGACGUUCUAAUAUGAGUUGUGGCAUUUAUUAUAGAAACGCCGCUAAAGCCACUAGUAUUCAUAGGAAACGACACCGUUUUACUGUAAUGUAUAACAAAAUUUUAUGGCAUUUUCUAGAAAAACGCCGCUAUUUCCGAUCUUUAGCGGCUUUUUAUGUAUAAACGUUGCUAAUACCUUAAUAUUUUAUAAAAAUUGAUCAAAAUUUAAAACUAUAUAUUUAGAAUUUCUUUUAAAUUAUAUCUAAAUAAUGUUACUGUGAUGAAUGUUAGUGUAGUACAAAAUAUAUAUUUCAUAUAAUUAUAUUAGGUUUAGUACAAAUUCGUAAGAAUCUCAUAAAAUUCUAAAUAUUGGUUCAAUAUUCAAUAAUAUACCUUAAACUUUAAACCUCAAACCAUAAACUUACACUCUAAACCCUAACUAUAGUUGAAACUUUAAUUUUGAUUUAAUACACAUUUUAAAAUACAUAUUAUGUAUGCAUAUAAAUUAUUUAAAUAAAAACAUGAUGCUAUUUAUUAUAUAUAUCAAUAACGUGUAAAUAUUAAUUUACAAGAUCUAGAUCAAAUUACAGUUCAUGUACACAAUUGCACACUAAACCACUUUUCAUAUAUAUAUAUUUAUAUAUUUUUUAAAAUAAUAAUUUAUAUAUAUUUAUCUUAUAUACAUUUAUCUUCUAAAUUAAAAUCCAAAAUUAUACUCUAAAUUUAAAACCCUAAACUUGAGACUCUAAACCCUAAACCUUAGACCACAAGCACAAAACCCCUAACCCCAAACUUUAAACCCCAAAACCAUUCGGUAACCCCUAAACCAACCAUAACUCCUAAACCAUAAAGCCCAAGCUAUAAAGUACUUUAAAAAUUGUUAACCCUAAACCAUAAUCGUAAACAUAUUUUUGGGAAUUCGUGUGGCCAAUGUUAGUGUAGUACAAAUUAAAACACAUAUAUAUGUUUAUAUUCUUAUAUUAAAUAAUAUGAGUCUAUACAAAAUAGCAUGAAUAUUAGUAAAAUCUAAAUGUUCUUCAGUUAAUUUCUAGCUAAUAGUAUCAUUUCCUUAAACCCUUAACCUAAACUUAAUUUUUAACAUAUUUUAUUUGAGACAUUCUAUUUAAUCUAAAUAUAUUUAAACAAAAAAAAAAGAUAAAAAUACACAAUAGCAUUAUUAUUUAUACAAAGUUACAUAACUUUAAUAAAACAAUUUCUCUAUUGGAACACUCUAGUUAUAAUGUCCACUCUAUAAGAUAUUUCUAUGUUAUAUAAGCUUGGAAAUUAUACAUAGUUCAACAAAUGCUAAUUCCACAUUCAAAAUCACCCUUUCUUAAUAGCAUCCCAUGUAAGAAUCUGGAAAGGAAAUUAUCUCUUAAGAAGUUAAUAAUUGUCCCAUUGUAAACUUCAACCCUAACCUUUAAACCCUAAAUCAUAAUCCUUAAACCCAUAAUUCAUCAUAAACCUUCAAAUACUAGUUAACUCCUAAACUGUAUAUCUUAAACCAUAGUUAACUCUUAAACCUGCUUAAACCCUAAAUCAUAUAUCUUAAACUAUAAUGAUAAUUAAUUUAAUAUUUUAAAUUCAAUACUAUCUCUUUUACGAUUAUAGAAGAAAAUAUUUAAUAUAUUGUAUAACCAUAAAUUUUAAUAAUUAUUGUUUUAGGGGUUAUAGAUUAGUGUUUAUGAUUUUUUUGGGGUUUAGGGGUUAAAUGACUUUUAGCGGCGUUUUACCAAAAGCGCCGCUAAUGCUCUGGUUUUUAGCGGCGUUUUACCAAAAGCGCCGCUAAUGCUCUGGUUUUUAUCGGCGUUUUACCAAAAGCGCCGCUAAUGCUCUGGUUUUUAGCAGCGUUUUACCAAAAUCGCCGCUAAUGCUCUGGUUCUUAGAGGCGUUUUACCAAAAGUGCCGCUAUUGCUCUAUUUUUAGCGGCGUUUUUUACUAAAACGCCGCUGUUGCUCUGUUUUUAGCGGCGUUUUUCUUAAAACGCCACUAUUGCUCUGUAUUUUAAAAUUUUUGCAGCGUUUUUUGAUAAAACGCCACUAAAGACCUAUUUUCCUGUAGUGAUAUAUUUGAAGUAUGGCAUGUAUAGGCUAGUAGUUGUGCAAGUAUAUUUUGUGAUGUAUAUACUUAGCCAUGUGAUUUGGCUAAUUUGUGUUUGAACUGUGACAGCCCAAAAUUGACCCUAGUCGGGAAGUGGUUUCGGGACCGCUAAACCGAGUCACCGAAAUGUUUGAAUGUGAUAUUUAUUGUCUAGAAUAUGUAAUUAUGAAUGUGCGAAAAUUUCAAGCUUCGAUUUAGUCGAUUGCAUGUGAAUUUAGUCAAUAGAACUUAUGUGCGACAUUUUUGAAAUGUGAUAGGUCGAAGCAUAAGGACCUAUUAGAGCAUGAAAUAAAAAGGGGGGACUUGCAUGUCAAAUUCCGCCCCCCUAACUAGUAGUGGCCGGCCAUGACAAGCAUGGUAGACCAAGUGUGAUGGGCAAGACAUGUCAUAGACAUGUUGUGUUGGUGCAUCAUGGGUGGAAAAAAAUAAAAUAAGGAGCAUGAGCAUAAAAUAAUGAAAGGGAAUAUGAUGAAAACAAAAAAAAAAGUGUGUAGUUGUUCCCCCCCCCCAUUGCCGUGAGUUAAAGAAAAGAAAAGAGAAAAUUUUGUUCAUCCUUUUUCAUCUUCAUUUGGCCGAAAAUUCAAAGGAAGGAGGAAGGAGUUCUUGCUUCAUGUUUGGUUUGGAAGAGGAUUAGGAGGAGGUUUGGCCAUACUUGUAUCUAGAUCAAGGUAUGUUUGAGGUUGUGCCUUGAGAUUCAUGCAUGUUUUUAGUUGCUAGCUUGAGUUCUAAUUAGCCCAUGGUUCAAAUCUUUGCUAUGUCAUGGGGAUGAUAUUCGGCCUAGGUAGGUUUUGUGUUAAUGCCAUUGCAUGCUAAAUAUGAAGCUUGUUAAUGAUGCAUGUGAUGGUGGAUUGAUGAUUCUUGAAUCUUCUUUUUAGCAUUUUUGAGUGAGCACAUAUGUGCAUUGGUUGCUAGAUGGAGAAGAAUCGGCUAGCAAGUUGUGUGCUAAGGCCGAAUAUAAUUUUUGUAUAUUAAUGAGUAAUGCAUGUGUUAAAUUGAUGGAAAGGGAGAGGAUGCUUUACUAGUGUAUAUAUGUGUGUAUUAGCCAAGUUUUGAACUUGAAACAAAAGGGUGUUUAGUCAAUACAAGUGACCAUACUUGUAGAAUGUAUUAAGUGUUGAAAUCGGCCCCAACAUAGACAUGCAUAUUCGGCCAUAGGAAGGAGAUUGGUGUUGCAUGUAUUCGGUUAGAGGCAAGCAUAUUGAUGCUUUUGUCUUGGCUUAGAAAAUUCGGCCAAGGGGGAAAAAUUAGCUAAAAUGUUGAGUUUGAUUCAUGAUUCCGUACAUAUGUGACUUUAAUGUCUAAUGUAUAAAAAUGGGCUAAGUGCCUUGUGUUCCUCUUUCCGAUGCUCAAAUGAUUAAAUCAAUUUAUUUGUUUAAUUAAGCUCAAGAGCAAAGGGGAACUAAAUCUGAUAAAGGGAAGGAAAAAGUGGUCGAAUAGCUAUCGGAAUCGUUCGACAACACCCGAGGUAAGUUCUUGAGUAAAAGAGCUUAAAUUAUGAUUUGAUUAGAUCAUGUUUUAAGCAAACCAAAAUCAUGCUCUUUGUGUGGCUAUUGAGCCGAAAUUGCAAGAAUGAUAAAUGUCUUGUGUUUGAGUUUUACUAACGUAAACGAAAUACGAAUGUGCCAUGAUUUAUUGUUAAAUGUGCAUGGUUAUUUGAAUGAUGUCCGGGCUAAGUCCCGAAGGCUUUGUGCUAAGUGACCAUAUCCGGACUAAGAUCCGAAGGCAUUUGUGAGAGAUACUAAUUCCGGGCUAAGCCCGAAGGCAUUUGUGCGAGUUACUAAAUCCGAGUUAAGUCCCGAAGGCAAUUGUGCGAGUUACUAUAACCGGGCUAUGUCCCGAAGGCAUUUGAACGAGUAGCUAUAUCCGGUUAAAUUCCGAAGGUACGUGAUUUGGGAAUGAAUGAUCUUGCUGUAAAAAUUUCAGUAAAUACUCUAGAAACAUCCCAACAUUGAGGUAUGUUUCGUAUGUGCUUGAAUUUAGUUGAGCCCUUACAAAUAAGUAUUCGCUCAGUUGAUAAACGAGCUACCGGCCUUUGGCUAAGUUGAUCUUUUGUGUAUGUAUAUAAGGGUCGGUAAUGUGAAGCAAGUAUGAUAUCGAAAAUUUGUGCAUAUGAAAUUAUUCGUUUAGCUAUAUGAAUGCUAUACUUUUGCUGUGCUGGAAUUCCUUGCUCAAAACUUACUAAGCAUAAAUUGCUUACUCCGUUUCUUUGAUCCUCUAUUUUAUAGAUUUUGGUUCUCCAGCUAUCGGACUCGGGAUUUUGAAGUCGAAGUCGCCCACACUAUCAAAGCCCCCCUUUUGGUACAAUUUUGGUUGAACUUCGAAAUGGCAUGUAUAGGACUACCCGUUUGUUGUGGGUCAUGGACCCUUUGGACUUGUAUAAUUUUGGAUAGCCAUGCGAAAAUGGCUUAUAUAUGUUUGAGUGUAAUGUUAUAAUCAUUUGGUAUGGAUAUGGUUAUUGAGAGGUGUGGAUAGGCUUGACAAGGAUUGGCCAUGGGAAUGGUUAAUCACUAUCAUAAAUUGUGCUACUUAUGCAAAAAGGGCUAGUUGAAUCAUGGAAACUAUGAAAUAGGUAAAGUCUACCUUAAAGGCAGAUGCUGACAGCAGCAGUGAUGUAUAUUUUGAAAUUCACUAAAAAUAGUAGGAAUGGAAGUAAAUAGUGAAUAAAUUAUGUAAACGAACCUUGAUGAAUCUAUUUUCAUAGGAAAGUAACGAAACAAUCAUACGGACAGUAUGUUAGGAGAUAUUCAGGUUCUUGUGAGACAGGGCCAGAACGGUUUCUGGAUUUCCUGUUCCGACUUUGGAAAUUCAUUAUAAAUUAACCAGAGACAAUUAGGAGUCAAUCCAUAUAUGUAUAGAUUCCUCUCUGAGUCUAUUUUCUAUAGAAACAAACGGCAUCAGUAUUGAAGCCCUGUACAGGGAGAUAUCCAAGUCAUAAUGCGCAAAGGUCAGGGUAGUCGAUCCCUGUAACAUGGGAGACUUUGACUAAUAAACUGUACUAAUUGGCCUGAGCAAAAAUUCUAGAAAAAAAUAUGUAGAUGGAAAUAUGAGUCUAGUUUCAGGAAAAAUUUACGGAACUGGAUUCCGAGUUUCUGAACUUAAGAUAUGAUUUUUAAAGCGACUAUUAUGCAGAUUGGCAGUGUCUGGAAAAUUUUUAAAGUUUGUUAACACCUCGUGUUCGACUCCGGUGACGGUCUCGGGUUCGGGGUGUUACAUUUGAUUGGUAUCAGAGCUACGGUUUAGUCGAUUCUAGGACUACCGUAAUGCGUUGGGUCUAGCUAUACAUGCCAUUUUAUGUGAUUAUUUGAUAGUGUGGUGAUUUCUGACAUUUGCAAAUGUGUUUAUUUAUAGUAAUGGAUCCCGAUCCCGACCGAGCGGUAGCUGAUGAUCUUGAGAGUGUAGCGCCGGUGGACUCUCAACCUAAUGCUAGUAACCCGAAUGAUGAAGCUAGACAAGCUUUCUAUAGCGUGAUGAAUGAUUGGUUCAACCAAUACAUUCGAACUAAUACGGCUGUUCCACAACCUCCCUUCCCGACUAAUACAACCCCCGCACCUACAAUACCUCCGGUAACUGACCAAAUAAGGUCAAAUAAGCCCCCAGUUGACAGAAUUCGAAAACAUGGGGCUACUGAAUUUAAAGCUACGGAUAGCGACGAUGCCGAGCAAGCUGAAUUUUGGUUGGACAACACUAUCCGGGUACUCGAUGAGCUAUCUUGUACACCCGAUGAAUGCUUAAAGUGUACUAUCUCCUUGCUACGUGAUUCUGCCUACUAUUGGUGGAGUACUCUGACUUCUGUUGUGCCCCGAGAGCAAGUAACUUGGGAGUUUUUCCAAACUGAGUUUCGGAAAAAGUAUAUCAGUAAGAGAUUUGUUGAUCAAAAACGGAAGGAAUUUCUUGAGCUUAAGCAAGGUUCCAUGUCGGUUACUGAUUACGAGCGAAAAUUUGUUAGACUUAGCAAAUACACUCGGGAAUGUGUUUCGUCCGAGGCUAUCAUGUGUAAACGCUUCGAGGAUGGGCUGAAUGAAGAUAUAAAAAUGUUCGUUGGUGUUCUUGAAAUACGAGAGUUCGUAGUACUUGUCGAGCGAGCUUGUAAAGCCGAAGAGCUUAGAAAAGAAAAACAAAAAGUUGAUGUGGGAACUGGAGAGUUUCGUAAAAGAUUUUCGGGAAAGUCUCUUCAACAGGCAUCGAAGAAAUUUCGAGAUGAUGUGGGCUGGUCGAGAGGCACUUCGGGCCUUUUUAGACGAGAUCGUGAUCGACCCCCUGUGGGUACACGAGGCACUUCGGUCGCCAGUGUUGGGAAUGAACGUCGAGACAGAACGAAAUGUCGAUAUUGCGGUAAAUGGCAUUCGGGGAGUUGUAGAUUCCCUGACCGCUCCUGUUACAAGUGCGGAUCAGUUGACCACUUCAUUAAAGAUUGCCCGAGGUUGUCUGAACAGAAUGUAAAUCAGAGUGGGAAAUCGGGUGCUACCACUGCUUGAGGUAGACCAUCUGGAAAUACGGGCAAUGCUAGUGGUGGUCAGAGAGGAUCUAGAGAUGCUACGACCAGAUCCGAGGCUCGUGCGCCUGCUAGAGCUUAUGCUAUACGUGCCCGCGAGGAUGCUUCUUCGCCUGAUGUUAUUACCGGUACUUUUACUCUCUUUGAUACUAAUGUAAUUGCUUUGAUUGACCCCGAUUCUACUCAUUCUUACAUAUGUGAAACCUUAGCAUCCAGUAAGACUUUACCUAUUGAGUCUACUGAGUUCGUAAUUCGGGUGUCAAAUCCCUUGGGUCGUUACGUGCUUGUCGACAAAGUGUGUAAGAAAUGUCCCCUAGUAAUUCGAGGUUCCUGUUUUUCGACGGACUUGAUGCUUUUGCCGUUUAAUGAAUUUGAUGUUAUUCUCGGGUUGGAUUGGUUGACCGUGCAUGAUGCGGUUGUGAAUUGCAAAAGCAAGACGAUUGAAUUGAGGUGCGCAAAUAACGAAGUAAUCCGAGUUGAGUUUACGGACUUGGAUGGGUUGCCAGCUGUAAUAUCCUCAAUGUUGGCCCAGAAAUAUGUAAGAAAAGGGUGCGAAGCAUACCUUGCGUAUGUACUUGAUGACAAAGAAUUAGAAAAGAAACCCGAAUCUGUGCCGGUGGUUUGUGAAUACCCGGAUGUUUUUCCUGAAGAAUUACCGGGUUUACCACCUGUUCGGGAGAUAGAGUUUGGUAUUGAGCUUGUACCUGGGACUACGCCGAUUUCGAUGGCUCCGUAUCGUAUGGCACCAACCGAGUUAAAAGAGUUGAAAGCUCAGUUGCAAGAAUUGACGGAUAGAGGUUUUGCUCGACCAAGUUUCUCACAUUGGGGUGCACCAGUAUUGUUCGUGAAAAAGAAGGACGGAACCAUGAGGUUGUGCAUUGACUAUCGUCAACUGAAUAAAGUGACGAUAAAGAACAAAUAUCCGUUACCGCGUAUCGAUGAUUUGUUCGACCAACUGAAGGGAGCCUCAGUGUUCUCAAAAAUAGAUUUGAGAUCGGGCUAUUAUCAGUUGCGAAUUCGAGAUUCAGACAUACCCAAAACUGCCUUCAGAACGAGAUAUGGUCACUACGAGUUCUUAGUGAUGCCGUUUGGGCUCACUAAUGCCCCUGCGGUAUUUAUGGAUUUGAUGAAUCGGAUCUUCAGACCAUAUUUGGAUCGGUUCGUAGUUGUGUUCAUUGAUGACAUCUUGGUCUAUUCAAGAGAUGAGACCGAACAUGCUGAGCACCUGAGACUAGUGUUGCAAAUUUUGUGGGAUAAGGAGUUAUAUGCUAAGUUCAGUAAGUGUGAGUUCUGGUUAAGAGAGGUUAGCUUCUUGGGUCAUGUGGUAUCCGCAUCGGGUAUUCGAGUUGACCCGAGCAAAAUUUCAGCCAUACUUAACUGGAAGCCUCCAAGAAAUAUUACCGAAGUUCGGAGCUUCCUGGGGCUCGCCGGUUAUUACCGACGAUUUGUCAAAGGUUUCUCGAUGAUAGCCACACCAAUGACGAAGCUACUUCAAAAGGAUGUUAAGUUCGAAUGGACGGAGAAAUGUCAGAAAAGUUUUGAUCAACUAAAAACUUAUUUGACUGAAGCUCCAAUUUUAGUGCAACCCGAAUCAGGCAAAGAGUUUGUCAUUUAUAGUGACGCAUCCCUACUUGGGUUGGGUUGCGUAUUGAUGCGAGAAGGUCGAGUGGUGGCCUAUGCGUCGAGACAAUUAAAGCCACAUGAGAAAAAUUAUCCGACCCAUGAUCUUGAACUAGCUGCCAUCGUAUUUGCUUUAAAAAUAUGGCGACAUUACUUAUUUGGUGAAAAGUGCCAUGUAUUUUCGGAUCACAAAAGUCUCAAAUAUUUGAUGACUCAAAGAGACUUAAAUCUGCGACAAAGACGUUGGCUUGAGUUGUUGAAAGAUUACUAGCUUGUCAUUGAUUACCACCCGGGAAAGGCUAAUGUGGUUGCGGACGCCUUAAGCCGGAAAUCAUUGUUUGCUUUACGAGCGAUGAAUGUGCACUUGUCUGUUCUACCCGACAAUGUGUUAGUAGCUGAAUUAAAAGCCAAACCAUUAUUGAUUCAUCAAAUUCGUGAAGCCCAGAAGGUUGAUGAUGAAUUGGUUGCAAAACGGGCUGAGUGUGUUCCGAACAAGGAAUCAGAGUUUCAAAUUGAUGAUGAUGAUUGUUUGAGGUUCAGAAGUCGUUUGUGCGUUCCAAGGAAUUCGGGACUCAUUUCGAUGAUUCUGAACGAAGCCCAUUGUAGCCGAAUGUCAAUUCACCCGGGGAGUACGAAAAUGUACAACGAUUUGAAACGUUGGUUUUGGUGGCAUGGUAUGAAACGAGACAUCUCCGAAUUUGUUUCGAGAUGUUUAAUAUGUCAACAAGUGAAAGCGGAACAUCAAGUGCCUUCAGGAUUACUUCAGCCGAUCAUGAUACCCGAGUGGAAAUGGGAUCGAGUCACAAUGGACUUUGUGUCCGGACUGCCCUUGUCAGCAAGUAAGAAGGAUGCGAUUUGGGUUGUUGUUGAUAGACUGACUAAGUCGGCUCACUUUAUCCCCGUGCGUACGGAUUUUUCAUUGGAUAAACUAGCCGAAUUGUAUGUUUCUCAGAUUGUGAGAUUACACGGGGUACCUAUUUCUAUCGUGUCGGAUAGAGAUCCGAGAUUCACCUCGCGAUUUUGGAGGAAAUUGCAAGAAGCUUUGGGUACCAAGCUGCAUUUUAGCACUGCUUUUCACCCCCAAACCGAUGGUCAAUCUGAGCGGAUAAUUCAGAUACUUGAGGAUAUGUUGAGAUGUUGCAUCCUCGAGUUCAGUAGUUCAUGGGAACGGUAUUUACCUUUGAUUGAAUUCGCUUACAAUAAUAGUUUUCAAUCAAGUAUUAAGAUGGCACCUUACGAGGCUUUGUACGGUCGUAAAUGCCGUACACCAUUAUUUUGGACCGAGCUCGGUGAAAGUAAAAUUUUCGGAGUUGAUUUGAUUAAGGAUGCCGAACAGAAAGUAAAGGUAAUCCGUGAAAGUCUGAAAGCAGCCACAGAUCGUCAAAAAUCGUAUGCGGAUUUGAAACGAAAAGACAUUGAAUAUCAGGUGGGAGAUAAAAUGUUUCUUAAAGUUUCGCCUUGGAAAAAGGUACUCAGAUUUGGCCGUAAGGGCAAGUUGAGCCCGAGAUUCAUUGGGCCGUACGAAAUCUCCGAACGAGUUGGUCCGGUUGCGUAUAGAUUGAUUUUGCCCCCUGAACUUGAAAAGAUUCACGAUGUCUUUCAUGUUUCGAUGCUUCGACAUUAUAGAUCCGAUCCGUCACAUGUGAUUAAUCCCUCAGAAGUUGAAAUUCAAUCUGACUUGAGUUAUGAAGAAGAACCGAUUCGUAUCCUAGCUCGUGAAGUGAAAGAGUUGCGAAACAAAAGGGUUCCGUUAGUUAAGGUGUUAUGGCUCAAACACGGGAUCGAGGAAGCUACUUGGGAAACCGAGAGCUCGAUGAAAGAACGAUACCCAAACCUAUUUACCGGUAAGAUUUUCGGGGACGAAAAUUUCUUAAGUGGGGGAGAGUUGUGACAGCCUAAAAUUGACCCUAGUCGGGAAGUGGUUUCGGGACCGCUAAACCGAGUCACCGAAAUGUUUGAAUGUGAUAUUUAUUGUCUAGAAUAUGUAAUUAUGAAUGUGCGAAAAUUUCAAGCUUCGAUUUAGUCGAUUGCAUGUGAAUUUAGUCAAUAGGACUUAUGUGCGACAUUUUUGAAAUGUGAUAGGUCGAAGCAUAAGGACCUAUUAGAGCAUGAAAUAAAAAGGGGGGACUUGCAUGUCAAAUUCCCCCCUAACUAGUAGUGGCCGGCCAUGACAAGCAUGGUAGACCAAGUGUGAUGGGCAAGACAUGUCAUAGACAUGUUGUGUUGGUGCAUCAUGGGUGGAAAAAAAUAAAAUAAGGAGCAUGGGCAUAAAAUAAUGAAAGGGAAUAUGAUGAAAACAAAAAAAAAGUGUGUAGUUGUUCCCCCCCCAUUGCCGUGAGUUAAAGAAAAGAAAAGAGAAAAUUUUGUUCAUCCUUUUUCAUCUUCAUUUGGCCGAAAAUUCAAAGGAAGGAGGAAGGAGUUCUUGCUUCAUGUUUGGUUUGGAAGAGGAUUAGGAGGAGGUUUGGCCAUACUUGUAUCUAGAUCAAGGUAUGUUUGAGGUUGUGCCUUGAGAUUCAUGCAUGUUUUUAGUUGCUAGCUUGAGUUCUAAUUAGCCCAUGGUUCAAAUCUUUGCUAUGUCAUGGGGAUGAUAUUCGGCCUAGGUAGGUUUUGUGUUAAUGCCAUUGCAUGCUAAAUAUGAAGCUUGUUAAUGAUGCAUGUGAUGGUGGAUUGAUGAUUCUUGAAUCUUCUUUUUAGCAUUUUUGAGUGAGCACAUAUGUGCAUUGGUUGCUAGAUGGAGAAGAAUCGGCUAGCAAGUUGUGUGCUAAGGCCGAAUAUAAUUUUUGUAUAUUAAUGAGUAAUGCAUGUGUUAAAUUGAUGGAAAGGGAGAGGAUGCUUUACUAGUGUAUAUAUGUGUGUAUUAGCCAAGUUUUGAACUUGAAACAAAAGGGUGUUUAGUCAAUACAAGUGACCAUACUUGUAGAAUGUAUUAAGUGUUGAAAUCGGCCCCAACAUAGACAUGCAUAUUCGGCCAUAGGAAGGAGAUUGGUGUUGCAUGUAUUUGGUUAGAGGCAAGCAUAUUGAUGCUUUUGUCUUGGCUUAGAAAAUUCAGCCAAGGGGGAAAAAUUAGCUAAAAUGUUGAGUUUGAUUCAUGAUUCCGUACAUAUGUGACUUUAAUGUCUAAUGUAUAAAAAUGGGCUAAGUGCCUUGUGUUCCUCUUUCCGAUGCUCAAAUGAUUAAAUCAAUUUAUUUGUUUAAUUAAGCUCAAGAGCAAAGGGGAACUAAAUCUGAUAAAGGGAAGGAAAAAGUGGUCGAAUAGCUAUCGGAAUCGUUCGACAACACCCGAGGUAAGUUCUUGAGUAAAAGAGCUUAAAUUAUGAUUUGAUUAGAUCAUGUUUUAAGCAAACCAAAAUCAUGCUCUUUGUGUGGCUAUUGAGCCGAAAUUGCAAGAAUGAUAAAUGUCUUGUGUUUGAGUUUUACUAACGAAAACGAAAUACGAAUGUGCCAUGAUUUAUUGUUAAAUGUGCAUGGUUAUUUGAAUGAUGUCCGGGCUAAGUCCCGAAGGCUUUGUGCUAAGUGACCAUAUCCGGACUAAGAUCCGAAGGCAGGUGUGGAUAGGCUUGACAAGGAUUGGCCAUGGGAAUGGUUAAUCACUAUCAUAAAUUGUGCUACUUAUGCAAAAAGGGCUAGUUGAAUCAUGGAAACUAUGAAAUAGGUAAAGUCUACCUUAAAGGCAGAUGCUGACAGCAGCAGUGAUGUAUAUUUUGAAAUUCACUAAAAAUAGUAGGAAUGGAAGUAAAUAGUGAAUAAAUUAUGUAAACGAACCUUGAUGAAUCUAUUUUCAUAGGAAAGUAACGAAACAAUCAUACGGACAGUAUGUUAGGAGAUAUUCAGGUUCUUGUGAGACAGGGCCAGAACGGUUUCUGGAUUUCCUGUUCCGACUUUGGAAAUUCAUUAUAAAUUAACCAGAGACAAUUAGGAGUCAAUCCAUAUAUUUAUAGAUUCCUCUCUGAGUCUAUUUUCUAUAGAAACAAACGGCAUCAGUAUUGAAUCCCUGUACAGGGAGAUAUCCAAGUCGUAAUGCGCAAAGGUCAGGGUAGUCGAUUCCUGUAACAUGGGAGACUUUGACUAAUAAACUGUACUAAUUGGCCCGACCAAAAAUUCUAUAAAAAAAUGUGUAGAUGGACAUAUGAGUCUAGUUUUAGGGAAAAUUUACGGAACUGGAUUCCGAGUUUCUAAACUCAAGAUAUGAUUUUUAAAGCGACUAUUACGCAGAUUGGCAGUGUCUGGAAAAUUUUUAAAGUUUGUUAACACCUCGUGUUCGACUCCGGUGACGGUCUCGGGUUCGGGGUGUUACAUGAACUCAUAUUUGAUAAUGGUUUAUGAUAUGCGAUGUUAAUUUGCAAUUGUGGUAUGUUUAGUUGGAUAAAGGAAAUGGUAAGUUUGGUGAGUUCAUGGUAUGAAAUUGAAUGAUGAUUUUGAUAUAUAAUCUUACAUUAUGUUUUAGUAUAAAUAGGUAAGGUUUAUAAGUAUGUAAAUGGUUGAUAAUAUUAAGGUAUGAAUAAUGUGUGUUUUAGCAUAAAAAUUGGUUGAUUGGAUUGUACAUAUAAGUUUGAUUCUUUGCUUAUAGGUUGACUAAAAAAGGGGUGGCAAAUUGGCUUAAACCAAGCCUGCAUUGUGCUACACGAUCAGGGAACACGGGCAUACCUUGUGGCUGUGUAUGCAAAGCAGUACCCUCUUAAGAUCACACGGCCAUAGCACAUGGGCGUGUUAUAUGGCCAUGGGCUAAAGUCAGUAGCUAGCUAAGAACCACACGACCAUAGCACACGGGCGUGUUUGUUGGCCGUGGGUGAAAGUUAGUAUGUAUGCUCUGUUUUGACACAGCUGGACUACAUGGGUAUGUCUGGUGCCUGUGUAAGGCACACGGCCUGGUUACACGGACGUGUGACCUCAACAGAAUUGAGAAAUUUUGCUAAGUUCUAAAAAUUUUGAAUAUGUUCGGUUUAGUCCCGAUCUAUUCCUAAUGCAUGUUUAAGGUCUCGUUGACCUAAUAAAGGGACUUUAUGUUGAUGUUUGACUAUGAUGCUAUGAUGUUGUGAAAUGAAUGUGAAAUAUUUUGAUAUGUUCAAUAAUGCCUCUUAACCCUAGUCCGGCGAUGGAUACGGGUUAGGGGUGAUACAAGCUUGGAGUUCGAGAGAAGAAUUAGUGAACCUACUUUGUAUGUGAAGAAAUAAUGUGUUGAAACACAGCUCAUAGUGUCCUUGUAUUUUGAUGAUCUACUUGUAAUAAGAAGCAAUAAUUUCAUGCUUGAUAAUUUCAAAAGGAAAAUGGAAAAUAUGUUUGAGAUGUCAGACUUGGGACAAAUGUCCUACUUCCUUGGCAUGGAAGUGUCUCAAACUGAGCAAGGGAUCUUCCUAAGUCAAAAGGCUUUUUCCUUAAAGAUUUUGAACAAAUUCUCCAUGUUGAACUGCAAGCAAGAAGCACACCAGUUGCUAUUGGAAAAAAGCUAUCAUGUCAAGGUGAUUUUGAGAAGGUUUGUGAAUCAACCUAUAAGAGUUUGGUUGGAUGCUUGCUCUAUUUGACAGCUACUAGACCGGAUAUCAUGUUUGCUGUGAGUCUGCUAUCUAGAUUCAUGCAUUGUUGCAAUGGGAAGCAUUUACAAGCUGCCAAAAGAUUUCUCAGGUACAUCAAAGGCACACUGAGCUUUGGAGUAAAGUUCACCAAGGUUUAUGGCAUGAAACUGCUUGGUUAUGCUGAUAGUGAUUGGGUUGGAUUGAUAAAUGACAUGAAAAGCACCUCAGGGUAUCUAUUUACCCUUGGUUCAGCCAAAUUUUUUUGGAGUUCGAAGAAGAAAAAUGUUGUUGCUCAAUCAACUGCUGAAGCAUAAUAUGUGGCAGCUGCAAGAGCUGUCAACCAAGCCAUUUGGCUAAGAAAGAUAAUGACCGAUUUGAAUCUACACCAAAAAGUAGCAACAGAGAUUAAAUGUGACAACUAGUCUGCUAUUGCAAUGUAAAGAAUCUAGUGUUCCAUGGGAGAAUAAAGAACUUCAGGAUUAAGUUUCACUUUGUUAAGGAGAUGAAACAAGAUCAAAAGGUGAAGCUAAUUCAUUGCAGUUUUGAAGAACAACUUGGUGAUAUCUUAACAAAGCCCCUUAGUGUGUCGAGCUUCAUGCAUUUGAGAACUAAAAUGGGAGUAUGCUGCAUGCAAGCCAAUAAGGAGUUUUGAAGUUGGCCUGCAUGUAGCACAUGAUGUAGCCAAGGAGCAGAGAAGCUUCACGAACCAUGCAGUUGCUGCUGAAGUUGAUAUAGCUGUUUAAUUUCAAUUUAUUUUGUUACUUCAAUUGAUGUUUUGUAACUUAGUUAAACUAGAACUAAGUUGUUACUGCAAUUGAUGUAUUUUUGUUGACAUUUGAGAUGAUAAAUCAACUUUACCAAGUGUGCAAGUUUAGUUUAACAAGUUCCAAUGUAAUUAGUGGUAGUAGGUAGAUGUUUAGGUGAAAUUUUUUUGUUUUUUAUCAGCCGUGACAUAUGUAAUGGCAUUAUGCCUUAAUUGCAAGUUAAUGAAUAUACACAUUUUCUUCUUCAUUUUUUCUGGUUUUUUACUCAAGCAAAUUGCUCAAGCUUCAUAUCUGAUUUAUGUUGUUUGCUUAACAACCAUCGAGCCUUCAAGCUCAAGUUUCUAUCUUUGUCAUUCAUCUUCAUUCUUAGUUUUAACAGACAGAUUUGGGAAAUUGAAUUUCUCUUCAUUUCCAAAUCUUGUCCUUCUUGAUCUUAGUGAUCAUCAACUUGAUGGAAAUAUCCCGCACCAGAUAGGUGAUCUAUUCGCAUUGAAGUACCUUGACUUGUCCAAUUGUGGUUUAUCCGAUGAGUUACCUCCUGCUCUAGGAAACCUAACCCGAUUAAAGUACCUUGACAUUUCCUAUAAUGAUAAUAUUAACAGUUUCAUCCCUCCACAACUAGAAAAUCUAAUGAACCUUGUCAAUUUAAACUUGAGUGUCAACAGUCUUACAGGGAAGAUUCCUUUAGAAUUAGGAUUUUUUAUCAAAUUUGGUUUAUUUGGAUCUUUAUAGCAACAAGAUUUUUGGUCCAAUACCAUUUUCUUUGUACCAUUUGAUAGAUUUGGAACAUCUGUACAUUGAUAAUAACUACCUUGAAGGAUCAAUCUCUAAAAAUAUUGAAAAUUUCAAGAAAAUAAGCUUUUUAAACAUCACUAAUAAUAGAUUUACUGGUCAUAUUCCUCUAGCUUUUUGUCGUUUGCCCACUUUGGAAGAAAUCUUUCUUGACCAAAAUCAAAUAAGUGGUUUGGUCCCUUCUUGCAUUGGUAAUUUAUCCAACUUGACUUCAUUGUACCUCUCUCCCAAAACAAAUUGAGUGGUUUGAUCCCUUCUUGUAUUGGUAGUUUAUCAAAAAUGCAGUAUUUAAGACUUGGUUCUAAUCUAUUAGAAGGUCCUAUUCCCCAAGAAAUUUGUGAUUUGGGAAAUUUAACUUCAUUAGGCCUCUACCAAAACAAAUUGAAUGGUUCAGUCCCUUCUUGUCUUGGUAAGUUGUCCAAAUUGCAUACCUUAAGACUUGAUUCAAAUCUAUUAGAAGGUCCUAUUCUUGAAGAAAUUUGUGACUUAGCAAAUUUAACUUCAUUAAGCCUCUACCAAAACAAAUUGAAUGGUUCAAUCCCUUUUUGUCUUGGUACAUUGUCCAAAUUGGAUACCUUACAACUUCAUUCAAAUCUAUUAGAAGGUCCUAUUCCCCAAAAAUUUUGUAAUUUCGCAAAUUUAACUUCAUUGUACCUCUUCCAAAACAAAUUGAGUGGUUCAAUCCUUUCUUGUAUUGGUAGUUUAUCAAAGAUGCAGUACUUAAGCCUUGGUUCUAAUCUAUUAAAAGGUCCUAUUCCCCAAGAAAUUUGUAAUUCAGAAAAUUUAACUUUAUUGUACCUCUCCGAAAACAAAUUGAGUUGUUCAAUCCCAUCAUGUAUUGUCAAUUUAUCCAAUUUGUAUACCUUAGAACUUGAUUCAAAUCUAUUAAAAGUUCCGAUCCCUGAAGAAAUUGGUAGGCUUUUUCACAUAUCAAAUUUAAACCUCAGCUUCAACCAACUCUCAGGUAGUGUCCCUAUCUUGUCUGCCACUAAACUUCACAUUAUCGAUGCUGGAAAUAACUGUAACAAGAUUUCUUCCAAUCCCUUUGAAGGCAAUAGUGGUUUAUCACCCUAUAUGUGUCCUUCUCGAGAAACCGACAAAGUUAAUAGCAGUAGGUUUCCUUACUAUAUCAAAAUAUUCCUCCCUAUUACCAUCUUAUCCGCAUUCACCAUUUUGGGAUGUUUUCUAUUUUCACGAUUUAAGCUCAUGAAUAAUCGUGCUAGUAUACAACCAAUGAAAUGGGGAUUUGUGUUCCAUAUAGAACUAUGAUGGAAAGAUACAUACGAGGAUAUUGUCGCAGCAACAGAGGAUUUCGAAUUUCGAUACUGUAUUGGAGUUGAUGGCUAUAGAAGUGUUUAUAGAGCAAAAUUCCCUUGUGGUAAAGUAGUUUCUUUGAAGAAACUUCAUCACUUUGAAGUCGAGAAUCCAACCUUUGACAAGAGUUUCAGGAAUGAGAUCAAGUUUCUAACAAAAAUAUGACAUCGAAACAUAGUAAAGUUUCAUGGGUUUUGUCUACACCGAUGGUCUAUGUUUUUGAUCUACGAAUACAUGGAAAAAGGGAGUUUGUUCUGCAACUUAAGAGAUGAAGUGGAAGCUGUGGAAAUGGAUUGGACAAAAAGAGUGAAUAUCAUCAAAGGCAUAGCACAUGUUUUUUCUUACUUGCACUUUGAGGCCUUUGUAGCUGACUUUAGAACUGCUAAAAUGCUGGAUCUUGACUCAUCCAAUCAGACCAUUAUUGUGGGCACAUAUGGAUAUGUAGCUCCAGGUGAUUUUCUUUGAUUCAUUUACUGAUAUUUUCUUUUGAAUUUAUAAAAUUAAUUUAAUAUAUAAUUGGUUUUCUUUUUAUCUGGUUGACAUAGAUAGAACUUGCCUAUACAAUGGUUGUUAUCGAAAAAUGCGAUUUCUAUAGUUUUGGAAUGGUGGCCUUGGAAACAUUAAUGGAAAAGCAUCCUGAAGAAGUGUUACCAUGGUUGUCAUCAACUUAUUUGUUAAAUAUGAAGCUGAUUGAUGUGUUGACAACCGUUUACCACUUCCAACAAGCCAACUAGUUGCACAAAAUCUUGUUCACGUUGCUACACUAGCAUUCACUUGCUUAAGUCUGCAACCCAAGUCUCGACCAACAAUGAAAGAAGUGUGUGAAGAGUUUCUUUGUGACCAAAAAUCCUUGGGAAUUCCCCUUGGGAUGGUCUCUUUGUUACAACUUGUCAACCAUAAAAUCCACAUUAGAGGCAAAACUGAAAAUUGUAGUGUUCAAAGUCCAUGCGCUUGUUAGAUACUGUUUGUCAUGCUGUCAUGAUUUGUUUCUUCAGUAGCUCUUGUGUUAUGUAUGAUGUAAUGAAUUGUAAUGUUGAAUACACUUGUUUAUUUGGUGGCUAUGGAAGAAAUAAAUUCUGCAAUUUGAUUCAAAUCUUCAUACUUCGUCAAGUUUUUCCUUCUUCCAAACAACAUAAAGAUAAUAUAUAAAAUAAAAGUAACCAUAAAAAUAAAUUUUGGAGAAGAAGGAUAUUUGAUAUGAUUUUUUGUAAAUUUGAACUAGGAUAUUUGACCUAGAAAAGAAACCGUGAUUGUAAUUGUUUUGUGACCUCAGAUACAAUGUUAUUAUGAUCCAACACAUGCCUAGCUUUCAUAAUCCUCACUCUCUGCCUAGUUUCUUGAUUUUAUAUGUAUGGUUUCCGUAGUUGAAAUCUAAUUAUAGAUAAUUUUUUAUUGAUUUAUAAAAAGAUAAAAAGAUAAAAACACUCCCAUAAUUAUAUAAUAUAUCUUGCAAAUAAAAUGGUUUUUUGACAAUUCCCCUAAUUGGAAUCCAGUUUGAAUUAUACUCCAAUUUCUAAAUUGUUUUUAAAGGUGCUUUUUUAAAAAAAAAAGUGUUACAUAAAUUAUAAUUUUAUUAUUUUACUUAAAAACUAGUGUAAAUUAUUUAGUUGGUCACCUAAUUUUUAAAGUACUUUUCAUUUUAGUCACUCAAGCAUUAAAUUUUAAAAUUGUAAACAUGAUAUGACAUGCAUAGUUAACUACCGUUAGAGAUUUAAUGCUUAGGUAAAUAAAAUGAAAGCGGCCUAAAAGUUGAGUGACAAAAUUGCAAAGAUUUCAUUUUAAGUGAUCAACAUGAAAGCACCUUAAAAAUUAGAUGACCAAAGUAAUUUACCCUAAAAAGUAUGCAACAUCCAAUAAAAGUGCUUCAUGUGACAUGCUUUUAUUUGCUUACAUUGUUUUUUAGUAAACUAGAAUAAAAUUUAUAGUUUCCAUGUCGUUUCUAAUAAAAAAAAUUUAAAGAUUAAUCUAAAAAUUAAGGUAUAGUUGAAACACAUUUUUUAACAAAGCUUCAAAAUAUGAUCGAAAAGAUUAGCAUUAAAGGAAAACUACAAUGUUAAGUUAAAAAUAGUAAAAUGUUUGGCGCUAAAAGCAUCAAUUGAAAUUAUUAGAUGACUGGUAAGGCUUCAAUUCUAUUAUUUGUAUACAAUUCUUGUUAAAUUGCAACACUAGCUUAUAAUCACCAUUUAGUAUAGUAGAAAUUAUAUUUUAUUAGUGGUUUAUGUUGUAUAAAGUUUAACUUAGUUUAGAGUGUUUUCUUAGCAAGGAAUGAAUCUCAAGUUGCCUAGGAACAAAAGGUAAAAGAUUAUAAGUCUAUAUAAAACCCCUUUCUCAUAUGACAUAGAAAAACAAGGAUAGUGGACCUUGAGUUUAUAUAAAGACCUAUGUUGCAAAUAUUAUUUGCACCAAAUCAACUAUUAAAAUUUCUAUUUGAUUUCUUUUAAUUCCUCUUUUAUUUUCUUAUUUUGGAGUAUUUAGGAGGUGUAACUAAAUAUUAGUUUAGUGGUCUUGUAAGCACAAGUGUUCUACAAUUUUUAAUUUUUUUAAGUAGAAAAAAUUUAAGUUCAUAAAAGAAAAAAAGUUAUAUCAUCAUUUCUGCUAAAAAUUUAAAGAAGGGUUAUCAAACAAAAUUAAUUGAAAAUGUUGGUAAUAAAAUUGAAAAUUUUUGUAGUUCAACAACCACAACAAAAACUUACUAUUAGUUGAGUGGCUAAUAAUGUAGUUUAAUCUAAAAACUAAAGUUUUCAACUUUAAAUGAAUUGGCCAUAUUUUAAAUCCAUACAAACGUAAAAACAUUCUUUUUUCAACAAUUUUUUAAAAAUUAAACCUAAUAUCCUUAUUUGAAUCCAUAUAAAUGUAUAUUUUAUUUUAUUUUGCAUAUUUCUAUUAAAGAAAAAUAGACUAGUUUUAUCUUAUAUCUAAUAAUUACAAAAUAUUGAAUUUGUUUGUAAAAUUUGUUUAAAAAUUUGUACAAUUUCACAAAUAAUAUGAAAUAAUGUAUUCUAAAUAUUGGAUAUUGUAAACUAUUUAUAUACUAUAUGUUUAAUACUAUAAAAAUAUUUAUAUUAUACACUACAAAAAAUUUAAAAUUUUAUACAUAUUGUUUAAAUUAUAUAGAAUUAUUUAUACAAUUUAAAUUUUAAGAGUUCUUUAAUUGUUUUAAAAGUUAAUAUAAGUAAAUUUUAUAUGAAUUUUUAAAAUUUUAUUAGUCUAGGUAUAUAAUAUCUAUAUGAUGGAGAGUAAAGGUGUCCAUGGAUCGAGUCAGAUUCAGACCAAGCCUAUGCAAAUAUCUAGAUCAAUUUUUCAAGCCUGACCUAGCUUGAAAAAAUGACUUACUUUUUUCCCAAGCCCAACUCAAUCUAAGAAAGAUAAAUUGGGUCUGACUCGGCUCGCCCAUAUUUGAUUUUUUAGAUUAGUUUUUUUAAAGGUAAUUUAAAAAUUAUAUAUAAUACACUAAAUGAAAUAAAAAGUGAUAAAAUAAAAGUUUUCUAACAAAUUAAAAAAGAUUUAUAUUCAAAAAUACGACCAUAAAUAUAAUAAAUGUUUUAUUAUAUUAAAAAAACAAAUAAAUGUACUAAAGAUUUUAUUUUAUUAAAUAAUUUUCAAAUCUUAUAUUUUGGGUAGGGUUAGUUUGGUCUUUUUUUUAGGUUUUGGGUAAUGGGUAUAAUUUUUUUGGGUUGGUUAUUUAAUAUAACUCUCUAUCAUUAUUAUUUACCCUAUAUUUGGGGUGGGCCAAGCUUCGGGGGUUUAAGUUCGCGACGCUAACCUAACAAUUUUAAAAAUUUACAUUUUAGCUCUCAUUCAACCUCGAGUUAUCAAAAGCACUUUCAUAAGCUCAUUUAACCCUAAAAUUUAUUAUAAUCUUGGUGUUCCUGAUGUAAUGGCCUUGAUAUUCUGUAUAAAUUGUUUUAAUUAAAUUACAAUUACGGUCGUAGUUUUGCUCUGGCAACGAAUGUGUGAUGGUCACUAAACUAACUAUAACUAUGAUAAGCGACAAUAGUAUAGCUAUGGCGAGUAGGGAAUAUCAUAUCCAAAAGGACUAAAAAUACUAGUAAUUAUUGUUUUUCUAUUAUUUAGCCGAUAAAUUGGGAUGAUUGUUUUUAAUCUAAAAUUACUAAACUAUUACUAAAGAAGGCAAGCAGAGAAUGAAUUAAGAAAUAAUUGAAUAAAACCAUGAUAUAGACACUACCCAGGAAAGAAUCCACCUAGACUCCACCUAUUAUUCUGAAUCUGAAUUAAACGAUUUAUUCACUUAUGUCUUGAUCUGUAGAAAUCCCUAAAUUAUGUUAAUAUCUCUUUCGAGAGUAAAAACAAUUGACUCUAGAUUCAUUAAUUGAAAUCUCUUUCUAAUUAAAACCUCUAUUGUCGCAUUAGCUCAAUCUAUGGAUUCCCCUAUUAGAUUUGACUCUAAUCCGGUAGAUUUAUGCCGUCUUAUUUCUACGGUUGCAUGCAACUCCACUCAAUUAUGCUAGAUCUACUCUUAAACAGGGACUUUUGCUCCACUGAAAAGAACAUUAAACAUGAGUUAAUAUCCUGAAAAUAUUAAACACGAAAUAAGCAUACAUAAUUGAUGUAAUAGCCCAAAUUUGCCCGGGCCCGUGAAAUAGAAUAAAAAAAUAAAAAAUAAAAAAAUAAAUUUAAUGUCUGUAAUGUCCAGUUUACAAUAAACGAGCCUAAAGACUUGAUGACCCAAGACCCAAUUAGCCAAAGAACCCAAGUGCCCAUUACACCCUCAACCCAAAAAACAUACGGGGCCCAAGAGGCCCAAACCGUAAACUAAGGACAGAAGACCUAGGGUUUCAGAAACCCUAGGCGCCGCAAGCACUCCAACCGUCACCCUCUNNNNNNNNNNNNNNNNNNNNNNNNNNNNNNNNNNNNNNNNNNNNNNNNNNNNNNNNNNNNNNNNNNNNNNNNNNNNNNNNNNNNNNNNNNNNNNNNNNNNNNNNNNNNNNNNNNNNNNNNNNNNNNNNNNNNNNNNNNNNNNNNNNNNNNNNNNNNNNNNNNNNNNNNNNNNNNNNNNNNNNNNNNNNNNNNNNNNNNNNNNNNNNNNNNNNNNNNNNNNNNNNNNNNNNNNNNNNNNNNNNNNNNNNNNNNNNNNNNNNNNNNNNNNNNNNNNNNNNNNNNNNNNNNNNNNNNNNNNNNNNNNNNNNNNNNNNNNNNNNNNNNNNNNNNNNNNNNNNNNNNNNNNNNNNNNNNNNNNNNNNNNNNNNNNNNNNNNNNNNNNNNNNNNNNNNNNNNNNNNNNNNNNNNNNNNNNNNNNNNNNNNNNNNNNNNNNNNNNNNNNNNNNNNNNNNNNNNNNNNNNNNNNNNNNNNNNNNNNNNNNNNNNNNNNNNNNNNNNNNCAUUUUUAUUUUAAAUUGGCCCUAAUAUUUUACGAUUAAUUCAAUUUAGUCCCGAUGGCCCUUAUAAAGUUUACUCUGGGAACGACGUCGUUUUUGGGAUUAGGGCUAAUUGCCCAGUGAGUCCCUUGGUUUUAGUGCGUGUUUCAAUUGGGUCUAAAAUUCUUUUGAAAUUAACCCUAAAAGUUUUAUUCUUAUUUCAUUUUAAUCCUUUUUUAAAUUUUUUUAUAUAAUUUAUCUAUUUUAAAUAUUUUUAUAUUAUUUAUUUUCACUACAAACAUUAUUAUAUAAAAAUUAUUAUAUAUAUAUUUUUUAAUUAGACAUUUAUUUAUACGCUUUAUCAUAUAUAUUAUAUUAUUUUAAUAUAUAUUUUAUUCAUUAUAUCAUUUUCAUUAUAUAUUAUAUUUUUAUUUAUUUAUUACUAUGUACAAUUUUUUCUAAAAUUUUAACUAAUAUUAAAUAAUAUAUAUAUCAUUAUUAAAUAUUUAGUAUUUAAUAUUCUAAAACUUAUUAUAAAACUUUGUUCCUAUUCAACAUAUUAUUAUUUUUAUAAAUAUAUAUAUUAAACCGCUACAUUAUAUAGUAUUUUUUUAAAAAAAUUAUCCUUUAUUAUUUUUAUAUUGUUUUAAAUUUUUAUUUGUAUGUAAUCUUAUCUUUUUCUUUUCUUCUGACUUUUGUUAUAUAUUCCUAACUUAUUUAUUUUUAUACUAUUUUGUGUUUAUUUAGUAUUAUUUUAAUAUGUUAAUUGUAUCUUAUGAAUUACUUUUUAUUCUUAUUUCAUUUAUUAUUUUAUAUAUUUGCAUGGAAGUUUAUGUUGUUAUUUUAAGUUAUAUCCGCAUGAAAUAUUGUUGUAUAUUAUGUAAUUUGUAUUGUUCUAUUCAUUAUUCUUUAUGUUGUAUUUUGCAUGGAAUGAUAAUGUAUGUAUAUUUACGUUAUUUACGUUAUUUACAAUUAUAUAUGCAUGAAAUGUUAAUGUAUACUAUGUUAUUUACAUCAUUAUUUAUCAUUUUCCAUACUAUAUUUACAUGAAAUGUUAAAGUAUGAAUCAGGUAACUUAGUUUACUUAAUAUUGAUCCUUUGUAAUACGUUAAAUACAUCAUUACUUUUAAAAAAAUUAUAUCUCAUUUAAUCCAAAAGAAUUUUAAAAAGAGAGGCAAUGUCUUUGCUAUUUAGGAAUUCGGGAAGUAGUGCCUUAACAUGCUGGGUUGCGAUUUCUCGUCUGCCUAAAUGUCUAAAGUAUCCUUCUAAAUAGAUUUUGUAAAUCACGAGAUGAUUUCAAUUUUGAAAGAUUUAGAAUAUCGUGUCCAAUCAUGCUGGAUGUGAUGUUUGUACUCUUUUGGAGUGAAAGAACCUCGAUUUUCAGCAAAUUAUUAUAGCUUUAAAAAGGGAUCUUAUUUCUAAAUUCUUUCAAACUUUUGACAUCAAGACAGAAAAAUAAUUUGGUACCAGUUUUGGGCGUUGCAAGGGUGCUAAUCCUUCCUUGCAUGUAAUCGACUCUCGAACCCAUCUUCUCAUGUUUUCGUAGACCAAAAUGUUUUAUAAGGUGAUCUAAUCACACCUAAAAGGUUGGUGGCGACUCCCGUUUUUCAAAAAUCUCAUUUUUAAAAAGGAGGUUUCGACAGCUUGGCGACUCCACUGGGGACCAAUAAGAGAGUCAAGCCAAGAAAUUGAUUAUUUUCUAUCUUAAUGUUGGAAGUUUGGAAACUUUUACAUAUAUUGAUCUUUUUAUAUGUGUUUGCUGCAGAUGUUUGUUAUCUUGUUUUCGCACACAUUGCAUUUGUAUGACCGCUGUGGUCGCACCCUUAAGUGGGAGUGAGAAGCUACGCUUUCGUGAGGUUUUCACCUCCGUAUGGGCUAGUGGAUUACUUUCAGGAUACAUCUGUACCUAUGUCUUCGUGAGAUUUUCAUCUCCAUAUGGCCAUAGGGAAAUGUGUUCCCUUGAACCGAACUUGGUACAUAUGAGCCUAUAAUGGGUGAGGACCGAGGAAUCUACUGGUUCAGGUACCCUCGCUUUAGAACUGAAACGCAUAUAAUGAACUUUAAGUGCUUACCCUAGGGAGUAUAGUGAUAGCCUUUAGUAAGCUACCUUUAUAAGUGUUUGUUUAUUAUACGUUUAUAUAUGAUACUGACUUAUUUUAUUUUUUUAUCAUUGCAUGUCACUCAAUAUUUAAAAGUAUCGAUUCACGGUACGAUUUCUAGAUUAGAAAGUUUUGUAAUGAGGAACGAAUAUCUUGAUAAAGUGGAGGACAAAGUGGAGGACAAUGCUUCUGUCUGUGCAUGGUCAGAAAAAAGCCAAUUAAAGAAAGGAGAUAGUGUCACUGAGGGGUAUACAUCAGAGUUGUGGGACUUCACUCGUAUCAGUUCAACACAGAAUGAGUUUCAGGAGUUGAAGGACAUUUGGGUCCAAUAGAAUGACGAGGCUAAGCAGCUGUUCUACCAGAAUUAUGGAGAUCUUCCCUAUUUGCUAGACAUCAAGGUGGAUAAGCAUCUGUUUCUAGUUAUGGUACAAUUUUGGAACCCUGCUUAUAGUUGUUUUACAUUUGGAGAGGUAGACUCAGUACCUACUUUGGAGGAGUAUACGACCUUACUUCGCUGUCCAAAAAUUCAAGGUAACAAAGCUUAUGUUAGGGCUAUUAAUCCCCCAACUUUCGUGAAGAAAUUAAUGAUGAUUACAGGGGUGAGUGAACAGUGGGCCGCAGCUCGAGUCCAACAAAAUGGUGAUAGUAAAUGCAUUCCGUGGGCAAGUUUGAGGGAUUUGAUAUUGGCACACCCAGAUGUGAAGAAAAUGGUUGAUAUCUUGGCCUAAAGUAUGUAUGGUUUGGUGAUUUUCCCAAAAGCUAUGGGGAACAUAGAUGAGGCAGUUGCAGAUUUAUUCGAUCGACUUAGUAAACAGAAUACACCUGUACCUGCAAUCCUAGCUGAGACGUUUAGAUCCUUGAGCCCAUGUCGAAAAGCUGGUGAAGGUAGAUUCAUUGGAUGUGCACAGUUGUUGUUAGUAUAGUUCCACAAUCACUUUUGGAAAGUUGAUAAGGUUCCCUGCCGAAUGUUCUCUAAGGAUUAUUCUCCCUUAAGGAAAGUAGCAGUUACACUAGGGAGGGACGACAUUACAGAGGAAAGGUAGAUAGAAAUACUUCAGAAUCUCCGAGAGGAAGAUGUAAUGUGGAUAGCCUCUUGGAUGGCUCCUAAUGAAGUCCUUUAUCGUUGUGGAAAUUUUGAUUAGGUACUUCUUCCUGGAAUUUGGGAAGUUGUUGGUUAUGCACCAUUACUCGUCCUAAGGCAAUACAAAGCGGGGCAGUUUAUACCGGCAACACAAGGGUUAGCCCAGAGUGAUUUCUCAUAUAAUGGGGAUCAUUAUAAGAAGAAGAUGCGAGAGAUUUCUGAGGCCUGAAAGAAAAUUUAUUGUGUGAAGAUUCUGACUGAAGGUCUGACGGCGACCCUUGAGUACAAAGAGUGGUUUAGCAACAGAAUCAAUGAUAACAUCCCUAGACCGAGUUUGGGAGCUUCCCGAUCGAUGGAGGAGAGUUUACGAGUGAUUUCAUCAGAGUUAGAAGUUAUAAAACAAGAGUUUGGAAGGAAGAAUUUGGAGCUCAAGAGAAAGAUAGAGAAGCUUGAGGAGGAGAAGAUGUACCUGAGUUUAAACGUCGACGUUCAUAGAAUUGAGGUCGAAAAAGAGAGGAAAGAAAAGAGGAAGAUUGAGGAAGACCGAGAUGACUUGAAGACGCAAUAUAAGAGGAUACAGUUAUCAAUGAAAAGAGCUGGGUUGGGGAAGUCUUUAGAGCAGUGGCAACAAGAGGUUCAAGAAGAAAGAGCCAAAGCCGAAUAUUGGGAGAAGAAGUUUCAAGAGAUACAGUCGCGUAAUCAGGCCCUAGAGAAGGAGAAUCAAGGAUUAAAAACUAAGGUAACUGAGCUUGGAUGAUCUCUUCAUCAUCACCGAAGUUGUAACUCUGCGGUCGAGUUAAAGGCAAGCCUGGAUACGAUCGAGGAAAUGAAGCACAAUAUUGGAGGGUUGGAAGCAGCAUUACAGAACUGUGAGCUAUAGAUUGAGCAACUCAAGGCAAGAGAAGAACAUUGGAAGGGAGAGCUUCACCAUUUUCAAGAUCAAGUCAGAGAUAGGGACUAUAUCAUGGGAGAAGCUAUAGUACAGAUUUGAGAGGUUGCGGAUCAUUUGCAAGACCUAGCAGUGCAAGCUAAUGUAUUGAGUACAAAGUAUGAGUUAGUGCCAGAUAGAGGUCUAGAGUUAGCCUUGUUAUUGGAUAGAGUUAAAAGUAUGGGCCUAAAGGCAAAGACGUAUUUGUAAUCCGUUUUGUGUAAAGAUUUUUGUUUCUUAAAUAACGUUUUCUAAAAGAAACUGAAUCAGAAUCGAUAUCUUUUUACAUUCAUGCAUUUGCAUCUCAUCGCAUCAUAUGCAUUCAAAUUUAUAGAAAGACCCUAAUUAGUUAAAAUUAUUAAGGAGAAAGAGAGACUGAGAAAAAGAAAAUCUAAAAGCAACAUAUCCUUACGGUACAUGCACUAAGACAAAGAAUAUGGAUCAAAGACUUGAGUAGAUAUAGAAAGAAAUGCAAGAGCAAUUACAGGAACAAUUGGGGAAAAUCCACCAGGAGAUGAAGGAUCAAAUGGUAGAGGCUCAAAGGAAUAUGAUGGUUGAGAUGGCUCAGCUACUGAGGGGGGCAACGGAUAAAGGAAAGGCCCCUAUGACUACCACUGAAGAGGAUAACGAGGAUCAUCCUCCUCGUUUUACUCCACCUCAUGUGCAGACUCAACCUGAGGCAUAUCCCCGAAGGCCGUUCAUCACAAUAAGGCCUCAACAGGGGCAAGUCGAUGCUAGAAUGCCCAUGAACUUUCAAACUGGUUCGAGAUUCAACCCUGGAGAUUACCCUACCAAUCCAGUCAUCCCUGAUUUAGAUGUAGCUGAGAGAGAAGAUAUGAGGCUCAAAUCAUCAAGGCAAUUAAAGGAACGUUACAGAUGGUUAGAGGAGAAAUUUAAGGCAUUAGAAAAUGCUGAUAAUCAUCAAGGAAUUGAUGCCAAAGACUUGAGUUUGGUCCCAGAUUUGGUACUUCCUCAUAAGUUCAAGAUGCCAGAAUUUGAGAAGUACAAUGGGACUACUUGCCCUGAGGCUCGUAUCACCAUGUUCUGUAGACGGAUGACUGGCUAUGUAAACAAUGAUCAAUUAUUGAUCCAUUAUUUUCAAGAUAGUUUGGUUGGGGCAACGGCUAGAUGGUACAAUCAAUUGAGUCGCGCAAGGAUUGGUUCUUGGAGAGACUUAACGCAAGCCUUUAUGCAGUAAUAUAAUCAUGUGAUUGACAUGAUUCCUGAUAGAAUCACUUUGCAAAAUAUGGAAAAGAAGCCUAAUGAGCUUUAGGCAAUAUGCACAAAGGUGGAGGGAGGUUGCCAUGGAAGUUCAACCACCGCUCUUGGAGAAAGAAACUACCAUGUUUUUCAUUAACACUUUGAAGGCCCCAUUCAUUACUCACAUGAUUGGAAGUACCACCAAGAGUUUUACUGAUAUAGUUAUGGCGGGAGAAAUGAUUGAGAACGCCAUAAGGGGUGGUAAGAUAGAGGGGGAAACUGUUAAAAGAUCGGCCCCAAGAAGGAAAUAUAAUAAUGUGAACAAUGCGAGUAGUUAUAAUUCAAAAGCAAUUACUGUUAGUCAAUCAAGAGCAACUACGGUUGGGCAACAGGAUUCCCAAAAGUAGGAAUCUGGUUCGAGACAAAAUUCUGAAAAGGUCUCAUUUACACCUAUCCCGGUGACGUAUCGAGAGCUUUAUCAAAGUCUAUUUAAUGCGCAUGUAAUAGCUCUUUUUCAUUUGAAACCACUGCAAUCCCUAUAUCCCAAAUGGUACGAUGCAAAUGCCAAAUGUGAAUACCAUGCAGGGAUAUUAGGGCACUCAAUCGAAAAUUACACUGGCUUUAAAAAAGUAGUGGAAAGACUGGUCAAGAUGGAGGUCGUAAAAUUCGACGACACUCCUAGUACAGAGAACCCAUUGCCAAACCAUGGUGAUCAAGGGGUAAAUGCAAUUGGGGACACUAAUAUGGGAAGGAUCAAAGAGGAUGUGGCUGAGAUAAGAAUGCCGAUGAAAGUAAUCUGGGAAGAAAUGGUGAAAAGAGAAAUGAUAAUCUCUGAGGAGGGAAAUAGAGGAGUGAGGGAUUACUGCGAGAUCCAUGCAGAAAAGGGACAUGAGAUCCAGGAAUGUGACGAGUUUAAGGCCUUAAUACAAAGCCUUAUGGAUAAUAAAGAGCUAGAAUUUUAUGAAGCUGGCUCAGAUGAGGGUUAUGUAUGCACAUUGGAAGGGGAACCCAAGAAUCGAAGAAUCAACCGACCAAGGAUCAUUAUUUCCCUACCAAUGAGUAAUAAAAUUGAGACACAAACAGCGCCAAAAGUCAUUAUUCACAAACCCGUUUCCUUUCCUUAUAAGGAUAACAAAAGGGUACCCUGGAAUUAUGACUGUAAUGUGACAAUACCAGAGAGAGAAAAUAUAGCUAGUACUUCUAAGGAGGCUCAAGUUUAAGGAUUCUACACACGUAGUGGGAAGCAUUAUGAUGCAAAAGGCAUCAGAAUUAAGCCUAGGAAAGUGAAAGCCUUUGACGUUGAGAAGGAGAAUAAGGCUGAGGUACUUAUUAAUGAGCCAAUGAAGGAAGAAGAAGCUAGAGAGUUUCUAAAAUUCCUGAAACACAGUGAGUACAACGUAGUUGAGCAAUUGCGCAAACAACCAGCUCGUAUAUCAGUAUUGGCUUUGCUUCUGAGUUUAGAGGUACAUCAUGAGGUGUUAAUGAAGGUGCUCAACAAAACUUAUGUUAUUAAUGAUAUAUCCGUCAACAAGUUAGAUCGAUUGGUUAGUAACAUAAGUGCUGACAAUUUCAUUUAUUUCAAUGAUAAUGAAAUCCCACCUGGAGGUAUGGGAUCAGCUAAGGCUUUGCACAUUACCACUCCGUACAAAGGAUAUACAUUUCCGAGUGUGCUUAUUGAUAAUGAGUCAGCCUUAAAUGUCAUGCCAUUGUCCACAUUGAACAGAUUAUCCAUAGACAGUUCUCACAUGAAAACAUGCCAUAAUGUAGUGAGUGCAUUCGGUGGCACAAAGAGGAAGGUUAUGGGAAGAAUUGAUAUUCAUUUGAUUAUUGGGCCAAACACGUAUGAGGUGGACUUUUUAGUAAUGGACAUCAAACCCUCAUACAAUUGCCUGAUGGGGAGGCCUUGGAUACAUUCGGUAGGAGCGGUGCCCUCAUCUUUGCACCAGAAAUUGAAGUUAGUAGCGAACGGAUGGUUGGUCACCAUAAAUGCGGAGGAAGACAUCAAUUACCAGUGACACACCCUAUGUAGAGGCAAAUGAGGAGGCCAUUGAGUGCUCUUUUCGUUCCUUAUAAUUCAUUAAUGCAACAUUCAUUUCAGAGGGGAAUGAGAUGCCGGUGCCUAGAAUAUCUAGAACCACAAGAAUGGGUUUACAGCUAACAAUAGGGAGAGGAGCCUUGCCAGGAAAAGGAUUGGGAAGAUAUCUUCAAGGAGGGAUUCAAAUUCUAGAACUAAAGGAGAAGAGAGACCAUUUUGGCUUGGGUUUUAGGCCAGAUCACAAGCAGAGAAGGAAGGAAAUAGAAAAGCGUCAAGAAAGAAGAAGGGCGCGUUUAAGUGGAAGAGAAGUAGAGUGGGAAUGGUUGACGUUCCCUCAGAUAUCCCAAACCUUUAUAUCAGGAGGGAUAAUUUACCGUGAGAGAAGGUUGCUCGAAAAAGGAAGUUAUCACAUCAAUGUUGUACAUAAUGAAGAGUCUGAACGAAGAAACCUUGAGGGCACUCGCCCUUAUGAACCGGGAAGCUCUUUAAACAAUUGGAUUGCAAAAGAACUUCCUGUAAUUUUUAAAGACUUUUUAGAGUAAUUUUCAGAACACUCUUGUUGCUCUAGAGCCUAGGAGUAAUAAGAUUUCGUUUGUAAAAUAGGCUUAUGUUCGGAUAUUGGCAUUUCAAUAAAACACGACUUUUGUUAUCAAUCCAAGUGAAUAUUCUUUUAUACCGAUUAAUAUUCUUUUGACCUUUUAAAUUCUUUCAAUUUUUUUUUUCAUUUCAUAUGUAACACAUAAAUAAACAUUCUUAAAAUUCAUUCAUUCUUUGUACAUUCUUUCGUACCCCGCAGGUCCCUAGAUAUCAAUGACAUGAGCACUGAUACUACAAAUCCUGAAUUCUCUUUUGAGUAAGACAUAUGUUUAGAAGAGCCUCAGGAUUUCGAGGAUGACGAGAAUUGUGAUGUGUCUCCAAAUCUGUUGAGAAUGGUGAAACAAGAGGAGAAACAAAUCCUACCCCGUAAGAAAGAGGCAAUAGAGAAUGUAAUCUUGGAAGAAGGAAAAGAGGUGAAAAUAGGGACACAAAUUGCAAAGGGAACGAGACAAGGUCUUGUUGAGCUACUACGUGAAUUCAAAGAUAUCUUUUCAUGGUCAUAUGAGGAUAUGCCAGGUUUGAAUACUGAUAUCGCGGUACAUCGUCUUCCCAUAAGACAAGGUUGCAAGCCAGUCCAACAAAAAUUGCGAAGGAUGAGGCCUGAUAUUGUGCUGAAAAUAAAAGAUGAAGUCAAGAAGCAGUUUGAUGCUGGAUUCCUACAAGAGGUUAAGUAUUCAAAAUGUGUGGCUAACAUUGUACCUGUCCCUAAGAAGGAUGGAAAGGUACGAAUGUGUGUUGAUUACAGAUAUCUGAACAAAGCUAGCCCAAAGGAAAAUUUUCCUUUACCGCACAUCGACACUUUGGUGGACAAUACAGCGAGAUAUUCAUUGUUUUCUUUUAUGGAUGGCUUCUCAAGGUACAAUCAGAUAAAGAUGCAUCCUGAGGACAUGGAUAAAACUACCUUUAUAACAUUAUGGGGCACCUUUUGUUACAAGGUAAUGCCCUUCGGGCUAAAGAAUGCAGGAGCAACAUACCAAAGGGCUAUGGUAACUUUAUUUCAUGAUAUGAUGCACAAAGAGAUUAGGUGUAUGUUGAUUAUAUGAUUGCCAAAUAUUGAACAGAGAAGGAACAUAUUGAAGUCUUGAGGAAGUUGUUUCUGAGAUUAAGGAAGUUUCAGUUAAAGCUUAAUCCGGUAAAGUGCACCUUCAAAGCUAGGUGGGGGAAAUUAUUGGGCUUUGUGGUCAGCGAAAAGGGAAUAGAAGUUGACUCAAACAAAGUUAGAGUCAUACGAGAUUUGCCUUCACCACGUACUCAGAAGGAAGUUCGGGGUUUUCUUGGAAGGUUGAAUUAUAUUGCUCGUUUUAUUUCACAAUUAACAGAGAAAUGUGAUCCUAUAUUUCGCCUCCUUAGAAAACACAACCAAGGUACUUGGGAUGAGGAAUGCCAGAAUGCCUUUGAUAAAGUCAAACAAUACUUGUUAAAAGCUCCAGUAUUAUCUCCACCUAGUCCAGAUAGACCAUUAAUUCUGUACUUGUCGGUAUUUAGUAAUUCUAUGGAAUGUGUGCUUGGUCAACAUGAUGAGUCAGGAAGAAAAGAGAGAGCUAUAUAUUACCUUAGUAUGAAAUUCACAGUGUGAAAUGAGAUAUUCACCAAUUGAAAAGUUGUGUUGUACUUUGAUUUGGACAACUCGAAGAUUGAGACAAUAUAUGCUAUAUCAUACGACUUGGCUAAUUUCAAAACUUGAUCCAUUAAAGUACAUUAUGGAGUCAACAGCCCUAAAUGGAAGAAUGGCAAGGUAGCAAGUAUUGCUUUCAGAAUUUGAUAUAAUCUAUGUGAGUCAAAAAGCUAUAAAAAGAAGCACGAUAGUAGAAUUUCUAGCUGGCAGAGCGUUAGAAGAUUAUGAGCCAUUGAGCUUUGAUUUCCCUAAUGAGGAGUUGAUGUAUGUGGCAGCUAUUGAAGAAUAUCCAUGGAAGUUGAACUUCGACGGCGCAUCUAACACGGUAGAAAAUGGAAUUGGGGCAGUCUUGGUAUCCCCAAAUGGUGAUCAUCAUCCAUUUACAUGUAAAUUGGAUUUUGAUUGUACGAACAACAUGGUCGAAUAUGAAGCAUGCAUCAUGGGGAUCCGAGCAGCCAAAGAGCGAAAAAUUAGAACCUUGGAAGUAUAUGGAGACUCUGCGUUGGUAAUUUACCAGCUUAGGGGUGAAUGGAGACAAAGGAUCCCAAACUGAUUAAUUAUCGAAAGGUAGUUUCAGAGUUACUUAAAGAGUUCGAUAAUGUCACUUUCAGUUAUCUCUCACGGGACAAAAAUCAGAUGGCAGAUGCUUUGGCAACAUUGGCUUCCAUGAUCAAAGCAAAUAAACAAGAGGAUGUGAAACCAAUUCAGAUGAGCAUUUCUAAGGUUCCAGCUCAUUUUUGUAAUAUCGAAUAAGAGAAAAAGGAUGACUAUCCUUGGUAUCAGGAUAUAUUACGGUAUGUGAGAAAUCGUGAAUAUCCUGAGCAGGCAACUAAAAACGACAAAAGAACUUUGAGGAGGUUAGCCUGCGAAUAUGUGCUAGAUGGGGACAUCCUUUAUAAAAGAAAGAAAGAUCAGGUACUUUUGAGAUACGUUGAUGUUGUAGGAGCUAGACAAAUCCUGGAAGAAGUACAUGAAGGAGUUUGUGGUACACAUGCUAAUGGCUUUACGAUGGCAAGACAAAUCAUGAGGUUUAGAUUCUAUUGGUCUACUAUGGAAGGAGAUUGUAUCAGUUAUGCUAAGAAAUGUCACAAAUACCUGAUAUAUGGGGACAAGAUCCAUGUACCACCUUCACCCUUACAUGUUAUGACUUCUCCAUGGCCCUUUUCCAUGUGGGGCAUAGAUGUCAUUAGGCCAAUAUCACCAAAAGCUUCGAAUGGGCAUCGUUUCAUUUUCGUGGUUAUUGACUACGUCACAAAAUGGGUAGAGGCAGCUUCAUAUGCUAGUGUUACCAAGUCGACAGUGAGUCGAUUCUUGAAAAAGGAGAUUACUUGUCGGUAUGAAAUGCCUAAGAGGAUCAUAUUGGAUAAUGCAUUGAACUUGAAUAACAGCAUGAUUGCGAAAGUUUGCAGUCAAUUCAAGAUCAAACAUCAUAAUUCAUCUCCAUAUCACCCAAAAAUGAAUGGGGCAGUGGAAGCUGCCAACAAAAACAUCAAGAAGAUAGUGGGGAAAAUGACUGAAACUUACAGAGAUUGGCAUGAGAAAUUACCAUUUGCACUCUUUGCCUAUCGAACGUCCGUUGGAACCUCUACUGGGGCAACUCCUUUCUCGUUGGUUUAUGGGAUGGAGGCAGUGUUACCCAUUGAAGUAGAAAUACAUUCUCUUUGAAUUUUGUCAGGGAUAAAGCUGGAUGAAGCAGAAUGGAUUCAAUCGCGGUAUGACCAAUUGAACUUGAUUGAAGAAAAGAGGCUAAGAGCUAUUCGCUAUGGUCAGAUGUAUUAGAAGCGAAUGAUGCAAGCCUAUGACAAGAAAGUUCAUCCAAGAAAAUUCCACGAAGGAGACCUUGUAUUGAAAAAGAUUCUUCCCAUACAGAAGGACUUUAGAGGGAAAUGGAUGUCGAAUUGGGAAGGGCCGUAUGUUGUGAAAAAGGCUUUCUCUAGAGAUGCACUAAUUUUGACAGAAAUGGAUGGGAAAAGUUUGCCCAAUCUAGUGAAUUCAGACUCAGUCAAGAAAUACUUUGUCUAAAGGGAAGGGAAGACAAGGUGAAAACCCGCAAAGGGCGUUUUGAGGUUUCUAAAAAAAAUGGAGAGGCCAAGGUAAAAACCCGCAAAGGGCGCCUUGAGUCCAAAAGGGUUUUGAGUUGAAAACCCGAAAGGCUGCUCAAAUUUUGAGAAGUAUGUAGUGACCUUGCUAUACCAGAUUUAAGGAGAAGUGGAGUGUGUUACAUACUAGGGCAUCAACAAAGUACUUUGGAUAUUCUAAACACAUAUUAAACUCAAAACAGUUUUUAUGAAAUUUGUAUACAGAAGCCCAAGCUGCGAUAUGUUGGACAUCGAAUUUUUGUUCUCUUUACUAUCUUUGGAUUCUUUUUCUUCUCAAAGAUAUGUUUUCAGAUUAAUUUCCUAUUGAAUUCUGAUGAUUUAUUUAACUAUUCUCAAGAUUAAAUUAUUUGUCUUCCAUUAUUCAUAAAGUGCGUUGCAUUGAAAUAAUGAUUGAUGAACUAAAUAUUUUUACAAAUGAAGUUUUGCAUAUUACUCUGGAAAUCUCUAGAGAAUACAAGAAACUAAAAUAGAACAAUUGUUUGAAGAAUUCCCAUGAGUGAGGGUCGGAGGUAUUCAAGAAAAUUUCUUCAGUUCAAAGGAUAAUUGGGCAAUUCAAAUGAUUCAAUCUUAGGAGAGGAUCGUCUCCAGCAGGUCGUAACGUUCGGAGAAUGGUACAAUAGGACCAAUCUGAUUCAAAACACAUGAGCAGAGUAUGAUUGAUACUGUGAGUAAAAUAAAGGUGGAAUUUUGAUGGAUGAACGAGUAAAGACGUCCGAAAUAGGAAUCAUUCUCAUAACAUUUUGCAUUAUAAUAUGUCUAUUUAGGAGCAUUUGACUCAUUUCGAUCAUGUCACCUUAAUCAUCGGGCAUGAGCACAUAUGCAUUCUACAGGUUACGCCCUUUAAGGGACAAUAUAAAUUACCGAUAGCAGAUUUGGCGUCUUUGUAUUGUCAGAGAGCAGAUCGAAGAUAACAGGUUUGGUGUCUCUGUAUUGCUAAAGAGUAAAUCGAAGAUAACAGGUUUGGCGUCUCUGUAUUAUCAAGGAGCAGAUCGAAGAUAGUAGAUUUGACAUCUCUGUAUGGUCAGAAAGCAGAUCACCAAUAGCAGAUUUGGCGUCUCUAUAUUGGCAGAGAGCAGAUGAAAGAUAGUAGGUUUGGCGUCUCUGUAUUGUCAGAGAGCAGAUCGAAGAUAGCAGAUUUGGCAUUUCUGUAUUGUCAGAGAGCAGAUCGAAGAUAGUAGAUUUGGCAUCUCUAUAUUGUCAAAGAGCAGAUCGAAGAUAGUAGAUUUGGCGUCUCUGUUUGUCAGAGAGCAGAUCGAAGAUAGCAGAUUUGGCGUCUCUGUAUUGUCAGAGAGCAGAUCGAAGUUAGCAGGUUUGGCGUCUCUGUAUUGUCAGAGAGCAGAUCGAAGAUAGUAGAUUUGGCGUCUCUGUAUUGUCAAAGAGCAGAUCGAAGAAAGCACAUAUAGCAUUUCUGUAUUGACAGAAAGUAGAUCAAAGAAAGCACAUAUAGCAUUUCUGUAUUGACAGAAAGUAGAUCAAAGAUAGCUGAUUUGGUGUCUCUGUAUUAGGCGGGGUGCAAAUCAAAGACAUCAGCAUGGCGUCCCUGAGUUUGUGGAAAACAGAUUGAGGAUCAUGAGGUCAGGAUCCGAUAAGACCAGGGCAAAUUUGGUCCUUUUAUAAUCUUUGCUCUAUUCCUAUUACACAGUAAUAAGCAAAGAGGGGUAGCUGUAAUAGCCCAAAUUUUCCCGGGCCCUUGAAAUAGAAUAAAAUAAUAAAAAAUAAUAAAAUAAAUUUAAUUUUUGUAAUGUCCAGUUUACAGUAAAUGGGCCUAAAGACUUGAUGACCCAAGACCCAAUUAGCCUAAGAAUCCAAGUGCCCAUUACACCCUCAACCCAAAAAAAACAUACGGGGCCCAAGAGGCCCAAACCAUAAACUAAGGACAGAAGACCUAGGGUUUCAAAAACCCUAGGCACCGCAUGCACUCCAACCGUCACCUUCCAUCGACGCCUCCAUCAGUGCCGUGAUUCCAGGCUCCAUAUCACGCCGUGAUCAGCUCGUGAAUCAAUGCCAUUGUGCCAUCAUCAGUGCCCGAUCAUCGCUAGUCUCCUCGUUGUCACCUGCAAAAGGGGAAAGAAGAAAUAGCAGAAGCAAUACAAAAUAUGGCAAGAAAUAAAUAUUGUAAAUAUGGUUUUAUUUUCAGUGGCUAUAAAAGCCGAAUUGAGAACGAUGUAAAACUACGUUUUUUUUUUUUGGAUAUACACGCAUAUACAAUAAAAGACAAAACAGUUGAUUGAACAGAGGUGAUUAUUCUACUCUCUUUUAUUUCUUUUCUAUAAAUAUAUACAAAUAUUGAAAAAUAAAAGAAACAGAACCUACCUUUGUGAAAAACGAAGCUUUCCAGCUUCUGAUCGCCGUAAAGAGCGGUGUUGACGGUGGCGCGUCGGCGCGUGUAAGCCCCUGGACAGAGCCUCGACAAAGCUCCGAGGGUCGAUUCUCAACCCUCUUUCAGAGGAUUUUUUUUGUUUUUUUAGAAUCGGGUUUAAAAUGAAAUUUUAGGUUAAAAUUUGGCCUAUAUAGCCUUAUGAAAAUGGUGUCGUUUUUGCUUAAAACAAUAAGCUCCAAAACGGCGUCGUUUCAAAGCUUAAGAUCUGCGUGUAAUAUCCGCGUGUUUUAAUUUUAAGGGCAAAAUACAAUAUCGAUCCUUCCGCAUUUUUAAAAUUUACAAUUCCAUUUUAUUUUUAUUUUAAAUUAGCCCUAAUCUUUUACGAUUAAUUCAAUUUAGUCCCGAUAGCCCUUAUAAAGUUUACUAUGGAAACGACGUCGUUUUUGGGAUUAAGGCUAAUUGCCUAGUGAGUCCCUUGGUUUUAGCGCGUGUUUCAAUUGGGUUUAAAAUUCUUUUGAAAUUAACCCUAAAAGUUUUAUUCUUAUUUCAUUUUAAUCAUUUUUUAAAUUUUUUUAUAUAAUUUAUCUAUUUUAAAUAUUUUUAUAUUAUUUAUUUUCACUACAAACAUUAUUAUAUAAAAAUUAUUAUAUAUAUUUUUUAAUUAGACAUUUAUUUAUACGCUUUAUCAUAUAUAUAUAUUAUUUUAAUAUAUAUUUUAUUCAUUAUAUCAUUUUCAUUAUAUAUUAUAUUAUUAUUUAUUUAUUACUAUGUACAACUUUUUCUAAAAUUUUAACUAAUAUUAAAUAAUAUAUUUAUCAUUAUUAAAUAUUUAGUAUUUAAUAUUCUAAAACUUAUUAUAAAAUUUUAUUCCUAUUCAACAUAUUAUUAUUUUUAUAAAUAUAUAUUAAACCGCUACAUUAUAUAGUAUAUUUUUUAAAAAAAAUUAUCAUUUAUUAUUUUUAUAUUGUUUUAAAUUUUUAUUUGUAUUUAAUCUUAUCUUUUUCUUUUCUUCUGACUUUUGUUAUAUAUUCCUAACUUAUUUAUUUUUAUACUAUUUUGUGUAUAUUUAGUAUUAUUUUAAUAUGAUAAUUGUAUCUUAUGAAUUACUUGUUAUUCCUAUUUCAUUUAUUAUUUUGUAUAUUUGCAUGGAAGUUUAUGUUGUUAUUUUAAGUUAUAUUUGCAUGAAAUGUUGUUGUAUAUUAUGUAAUUUGUAUUGUUCUAUUCAUUAUUCUUUAUGUUGUAUUUUGCAUGAAAUGAUAAUGUAUGUAUAUUUACGUUAUUUACAGUUAUAUAUGCAUGAAAUGUUAAUGUAUACUAUGUGAUUUACGUCAUUAUUUAUCAUUUUCCACACUAUAUUUACAUGAAAUGUUAAAGUACGAAUCAGGUAACUUAGUUUACUUAAUAUUAAUCCUUUGUAAUACGUUAAAUACAUCAUUACUUUUAAAAAAAUUAUAUCUAAUUUAAUCCAAAAGAAUUUUAAAAAGAUAUGCAAUGUUUUUGCUAUUUAGGAAUUCGGGAAGUAGUGCCCUAACAUGCUGGGUUGCGAUUUCCCGUCUGCCUAAGUGUCUAAAGUAUCCUUCUAAAUAGAUUUUGUAAAUCACGAGAUGAUUUCAAUUUUAAAAGAUUUAGAAUAUCGUGUCCAAUCAUGCUUGAUGUGAUGUUUGUACUCUUUUGGAGCGACAGAACCUCGAUUUUCAGCAAAUUAUUAUAGCUUUAAAAAGGGAUCUUAUUUCUAAAUUCUUUCAAACUUUUGACAUCAAGACAGAAAAAUAAUUUGGUACCAAUUUUGGGCGUUGCAAGGGUGCACGUAAUCGACUCCUGAACCCAUCUUCUCAUGUUUUCGUAGACCAAAAUGUUUUUGUAGCACCCCAAACUCGACCCAAAAGUUAUAGCCGGAUCCGGCAUGCCACAUUAAAAACGUUAAAAAAAAUUUCCAUUCUAAGUCCAGAAAAUCGUACUUGAUGUUCAAAAGAUUAAUUCAUUAAGGGUUAAACUGAAUGGAAGCUGUGCACCAGGUAGGAAACCGGAAAAGAGGUGGUGAGUCCAUCGGACUACUUAAGUACCAAGCUCCCUUCAGAUCCAAUCCUAGACAUGCAUACCACCAUUGCCACACCUUAACGUCAUGGAUAUUUCUAGGAAACCAAUUUGAUUAAGUCAUUUUUAGGAAAAGUGAUUAAUUUUGGAAAAUACUUUCAUUGCGGAAGCUUUGCUUGUUGUCGUGUUAUUUUGAAAUCAACUGUUGUUUUUGAAAACGCGCCCUAAAGCUAUCCAAUUUCAACAGUUAAAAUAAGUAUUACCUAUCUUAGUAAUACAUAUUAAAAACCAUCAAAAAUAAAUAAGCGGCCUUAUUACAUUUAAAAGCCCAAAACCUCAAACGUAAUUAAAAGGAUGUCCAGUUCACCAGAAGAAAAUCAAACUUUCAGAACGGGUGGCCACCUUGAAUUCCCUCACAGCUCCAAGCCCACUAUGGUCGGGGAUUACCUGCGUGGAUGAAAAUAAAAGGGAUGAGUUUGGGGAAACUCAGUGUGUAAAAUAACCCAACCAUAGUCUAAAUCAGCUCAACCCACAGAAAUAGAAUAAGUUGGCCUUAGCCCAGAACAGAAUUCAGAAUAAAGCCCAUAGGCCCAUAACAGAACAUAACAGAUAUUACAUGUUUAUGCAGAAACCCAACCAUAUCCAACCGUAUACACCCCCAUACCAACCUUACACCGUGUGGUGAGACAACUCGACCCACCCAAACCGAUACACACCACAGAAAUUUGCAGCAUGGCUUGCCAGAACAGAUAAUGUGACAGAGUCACCAGAUACAGAUAAUCGUGGCAGAGCCACCAGAACAGAUAUAUGUGGCAGAGCACCAGAUCAGAUAUUUGUUGCAUAGCUACCAGAACAUAUUGUGGCAUAGCUACCAGAACAGAUAUAUGUGGCAGAGCCACCAGAUCAGAUAAUUGUGGCAUAGCCACCAGGACGCUUCCUCCAUAAUAUAACCCAUGUCCCCAUGCAACAGAUAUAUAUAAUCAUGGAAAACAUCAUACGGAAUCAAAUCGCCAUGCUUUUCAGUCAAAAUUAACCCUACGGGUAUAACAGUAAUUUUGCAACUAGGGGUAUAACAGUAAUUUUCCAUACAUAGGGGUAUUAUAGUAAUUUAGCUACUUUUAGGGUUUUCAUGCAUAUCCUAACUAUUUACGUAUUAUCAGAACACUUACUGCGCAUACUUACCGAAUUGGGCCCGUUGGCCCAUGAACCCGAUCUUUGGCCCAUUAAGCCCAAAUUAUCAAAAUGUACGAAAUCGCGCGUACUGCAGUUUAUUACUUUAGAUUAUCAAAUAUACAAACCCAACUAUCUUACGAGCAUUCGCACACUCGCAAAUUCCCAAAAUACCGACUUUUCGGUAUUUCAGCUUUUCGGCUUUUGCCAAUCUAGUCUAUGAGAGGGUGUCAGUUACACACCUGUUUGCGACGAUAUGCUGACGAGAUCCACACACGAACCGCCUACAAUUGGAUUACUAACACGUUAAUCUAACUAUUCAAAUACAAACUACGUAUUAACCCCUUACAAUAUUCGGCCAACCACACCUACAGAUCAUAGUAAGCUUAUAAGAAAUCAAUAAGCAACUCAUUAACAAUUUUUUGUCAAUGUUUACCACAUAAUCAUAAUUUCACUGCAAGUUGUCUUCCUGAGCAAUAGUCACUAAAUUAUUUAUAACUGGAGCUACGAAACUCCAAAUCAAGUUCCGUUAAUUUUCCCUGAAAAUUGACUCAUAUAUAUUUUAUCCAUAAAAUUUUCAGAAUUUUUGGUUUAGCCAAUCAAUACCAGAUUUUCUCAAAGUUUCCCAUGUUUCACUAUUUGACUAAUCUGACCACUCUUCAUUAUGAAUCAAAUUUCUCAUUGUACAGAAUUCAAAAUAUGUUCUUGUUUAUUUCAUUAGAAACUAGACUCAAUAAGCUUUAAUUACAUAAUUUAUUUAGCUUCUAAUUGUUCUCCCACAAUUUAUGGUGAUUUUCCAAAGUCACGUUACUGCUGCUGUCCCAAGCAGAUUUAUUACCAAAUCACUCUUUCACACAUACCUUGCAUGCAUGUUAUUUAAACAUGUAUAUCACCAAUCAAUCAUUACAUAUCUAUGAUUUUACUUAAGUAUAAUCUCCAUUUCAUCAUUUUAAAGCACAACAUGUUAGCUGAUUUUUCCCUUUAACAUCUAAGGCACAUGCAUGCUCAUUUGUUUGGCUCAACUUCACCUAUCUUCCAUUUUUCAUCAAAAGAACAUGAAACAACAACCAUUUCCUUCAUUUUAAUUCAUGACUAAAUGCUCACAACACAACUAAAAAUCAAAAUAUACUUCAAGAGUUAAGGUAGAAUCAAGAAGAACUCAUGAACCUUAAAAUAGAAGCAAGGUACCAAGAACUUACCUUCAAUUUUCCUCCUCCUAAUGACCAAAUACUCAAGAGCUUUCUCCUCUCCUUUCUCUUCUCUAACUUUCAGCUAUGAUGAACAAAGAUGGACAAAACUUUGUUCUUUUCACCCUUUUUUCUUUUAAUAAAACUUCAUAUUUCAUCCAUUUAAUUCUAUAAUAUAAAAGACAUGAAAUUCUUAUCAUGAAACAUUUACCUAACCCAUUAUCAUGAAACAUUUACCUAACCCAUUAUCAUGGAACAUUUACCUAACCUAUUAUCAUUGAACCUUUACCUAACCUAUUAUCAAUUUGUAUCAAUUUGUACCAUAAAUUAUGGAUAUCAAGUGUACAUUUUGUCUACAACAACAUGAUGGCUGGCCACUUCAUGUAAAAUGAGAGGUUUGUCAUGCAAAUCCUCCUAUUUUGCACUCCUAUUUAUUUGGCCACUUCAAUUUAGCCUAUAACAUUUUCAAACAUUUUCACAUAGGUCCUAUUUCAGAAUUUCACCCCCUUUUUCUUAUGGAACAAAAAUUAAGUAAAAUUGUCAGGUUCUAUCUUAAGCUUGGGCUUUCUAGAGGCCCACUAACAUAAUUAAACCUAUGCCAACAUUCACAGGAUUCCCGAAAAUUGGGGCGUUACAACUCUACCCUCCUUAAAGAAAUUUUGUCCUCGAAAUUUACCUAAUCCAAACAGAUGAGGGUAUUGCUGUUGCAUCGUCUCUUCUGGUUCCCAAACUCAGAAGUUUCCCCUUCCUUAACUUGUUGAAAAUGAGCGACCAAAGACUCAUCGUUCAACUUUUUUUCCUUAAUCUGAUCCACCCAGGUUGGCCUCACUUGCAACUCAGCCAACAGACUUCCAUCAUCAUACAGACUCAGACGAGCAAACAUUGCUCUCAGAUCAGAUACAGUUCUACGACUUAGAGCAUCGGCUACCACAUUAGCCUUGCUUGGGUGGUACUCGAUCGAACAGUCAUAAUCCUUAAGCAACUCAAUCCAUCUCCUUUGCCUAAGGUUCAGCUCCUUCUGAGUCAACAAAUACUUAAGUCUCUUAUGGUCAGUGUAUAUAAUACACCUUUCUCCGUACAAGUAAUGUCUCCAAAUCUUAAGUGAAAAUAUCACUGCUGCCAACUCUAAAUCAUGAGUCAAAUAGUUUCCUUCAUGAGGCUUAAGCUGUCGUGAUGCAUAUGCAACCACCUUACCCUCUUGCAUUAACACGCAGCCCAAACCCACGUGUGAUGCGUCACUGUACACAGUAAAAUCAUUCCCAGACUCCGGCUAAAUUAACACAAGUGCUUCAGUCAGAACUUUCUUCAACUUCUCAAAAGCUUCUUGCUGCUUCUUAGUCCAUACAAACGAUACUCCUUUCCUUAUGAGUUUUUCAGAGGUACUGCCAUCACAGAAAAACCUUCUACAAACCUUCUGUAGUAUCCUGCCAGUCCUAGGAAACUCCGUAUUUCUGACACUGACCUAGGCGGCUUCCAUUCCAAAAUCGCUUCAAUUUUUUGAGGGUCCACUUUAAUCCCCUCAGCAGAGACCACAUGUCCUAAGAAAGUUACCUCCCUCAACCAAAAUUUACACUUGCUGAACUUCACAAAGAGUUCUUUCUCUAUUAAUACUUACAGCACUAUACAGAGAUGCUCAUCAUGUUUCGUUUUAGUUUCAGAAUAUACCAGGAUAUCGUCAAUAAAGACAACUACGAAUUGAUCUAAAAAUGGUUGGAACACAUGAUUCAUCAGAUCCAUAAACGCUGCAGGAGCGUUCGUUAGUCCAAAUGGCAUAACCAGAAACUCGUAAUGACCAUACCGAGUCCUGAAUGUCGUCUUUUGGAUAUCUGCCUCCUUGACCCUUAACUGAUGAUAUCUAGAUCGAAGGUUGAUCUUGGAAAAUACAGAAGCUCCUCUAAGCUGGUCGAAUAGAUCGUCAAUCCUUGGCAGUGGAUAUUUAUUCUUAAUCGUCAGUUUGUUCAACUGGCGAUAAUCAAUACACAUCUGCAUCGUACCAUCCUUCUUUUUCACGAAUAGCACCGGUGCUCCCCAUGGAGACACGCUUGGCCUAAUGAAGUCCCUGUCCAACAACUCUUGAAUUUGAGCCUUUAACUCCACUAACUCCUUCGAGGCCAUCCUAUACGGUGCGAUGGACACAGGCGCCGUUUCAGGCAACAAAUCUAUUCCAAACUCAACUUCUCGGUUCAGAGGCAAUCCUGGAAGCUCCUCCGGAAAAACAUCUUGGAACUCCUUUAUAGUCCUAACCUUAUCCACUAUCAGUCCCUCCUCUUCUGACUGACUUACAAAUGCCAAAUAGGCCUCACAACCUUUUCGAAUCCACUUUUCGGCUCUUAAAGCCGACACCACAUUGGACAAAAAUCCCUUCGCUCACCUAUCACCAUAACCUCCUCAUCCUUUGUGGUCCUUAACACCAUUCAUUUAGCAGCACAAUCCAGAGUUGCCUUAUGCUUAACAAGCCAGUCCAUUCCUAAAAUGAGAUCAAACUCUCCGAACGGUAACUCCAUCAGAUCUCCAGGGAAAAUCCUACCUUGAGUUUCUAAGGGUACACCCCUAUACAGUUUGUUUACCCUAACCGAGUGACCCAAAGGACUUACUACAAAUACCCCACUCACAACCUCCUCAGAGCAGUCCAAGUUGUCCAUAAUCCGUUCUGUGGCCUCCAACCAAUAUUCUGCCACAUUCGGGGCUAUACCAGACACGCCCCUAAAGAUCUCCGCUCCGUUAGCCCGAAGUCAUUCAGAAAUCGAUCCUCGAAUUCUGUUGCUCGAACUUGUCCCGGCAACCCUUUCCAGAACACGAAGCAUUACCUGUGAUAGGGCAUCAUCCCCGGUACCACGGUCAUGAGACUCUACCUCUGUUGUUGGUGGUACCGGUGCAUCCACCACCGGUAUAUGUCUCGAAGACGAAAAUCUCGCUCGAGCACUUCCUUGGCUCCGUCCACGGCCUCUUGUACUCAUAUCGUAUUUUCUUGAUUCUGAAUUUUUAUGCAUCAAUUAAUAUUCCAGUGUUUAUUACAGAUGUUUUAUGAAUCAGACAGUAGUUCAGAGUUUGUUUUCGCAGAAUCGAAGUCUAGCUACAAUUUCAGUCUCUUAUCAGAUUUUCCUAUGGUUUCACUAUCAUCCUAUCUAGAGUAUUAUAGCAGGAUUUUAGUACAGACAGAUAAGUCAGAAAAAUAUUCAGAAGAGUUCAGAGUAAUACUUACAGGCUUGGGCCGGAGAUUCGGAAUGCCACCUUCUAAAGAUCAAAAUUUUGAAAAUCGAGUUUUUCGCAUUCUUUAUAAAAUUUUCGCUUUCGAAAAUCUUUGUUUUUGUAAACCCAUUCCACAGCCGAGUUGUUGCAACCUAGGCUCUGAUACCAUUAAAUGUAGCACCCCAAACCCAGCCCAGAAGUUAUAGCCGGAUCCGGCAUGCCACAUCAAAAACGUUAAAAAAAAUUUUCCAUUCUAAGUCCAGAAAAUCGUACUUGAUGUUCAAAAGAUUAAUUCAUUAAGGGUUAAAGUGAAUGGAAGCUGUGCACUAGGUAGGAAACCAGAAAAGAGGUGGUGAGUCCAUCGGACUGCUUAAGUACCAAGCUCCCUUCAGAUCCAAUCCUAGACAUGCAUACCACCAUUGCCACACCUUAACGUCAUGGAUAUUUCUAGGAAACCGAUUUGAUUAAGUCAUUUUUAGGAAAAGUGAUUAAUUUUGGAAACUACUUUCAUUGCGAAAGCUUUGCUUGUUGUCGUGUUAUUUUGAAAUCAACUGUUGUUUUUGAAAACGCGCCCUAAAGCUAUCCAAUUUCAACAGUUAAAAUAAGUAUUACCUAUCUUAGUAAUACAUAUUAAAAACCAUCAAAAAUAAAUAAGCGGCCUUAUUACAUUUAAAAGCCCAAAACCUCAAAAGUAAUUAAAAGGAUGUUUAGUUCACCAGAAGAAAAUCAAACUUUCAGAAAGGGUGGCCACUCCGAAUUCCCUCACAGCUCCAAGCCCACUAUGGUUGGGGAUUACCUGCGUGGAUGAAAAUAAAAGGGAUGAGUUUGGGGAAACUCAGUGUGUAAAAUAACCCAACCAUAGUCUAAAUCAGCUCAACCCACAGAAAUAGAAUAAGUUGGCCUUAGCCCAGAACAGAAUUCAAAAUAAAGCCCAUAGGCCCAUAACAGAACAGAACAGAUAUUACAUGUUUAUGCAGAAACCCAACCAUAUCCAACCGUAUACACCCCCAUACCAACCUUACACCGUGUGAGGAGACAACUUGACCCACCCAACCGCUACACACCACAGAAUUUGCAGCAUGGCUGCCAGAACAGAUAAUGUGACAGAGUCACCAGAUACAGAUAAUCGUGGCAGAGCCACCAGAACAGAUAUAUGUGGCAGAGCCACCAGAUCAGAUAUUUGUGGCAUAGCCACCAGAACAGAUAUAUGUGGUAGAGCCACCAGAUCAGAUAAUUGUGGCAUAGCCACCAGGACGCUUCCUCCAUAAUAUAACCCAUGUCCCCAUGCAACAGAUAUAUAUAAUCAUGGCAUACAUCAUACAGAAUCAAAUCGCCAUGCUUUUCAGUCAAAAUUAACCAUACGGGUAUAACAGUAAUUUUACACCUAGGGGUAUAACAGUAAUUUUCCAUACAUAGGGGUAUUAUAGUAAUUUAGCUACUUUUAGGGUUUUCAUGCAUAUCCUAACUAUUUACGUACUAUCAGAACACUUACCGCGCAUACUUACCGAAUUGGGCCCGUUGGCCCAUGAACCCGAUCUUUGGCCCAUUAAGCCCAAAUUAUCAAAAUUUACGAAAUCGCGUGUACUGCAGUUUAUUACUUUAGAUUACCAAAUAUACAAACCCAACUAUCUUACGAGCAUUCGCACACUCGAAAAUUCCCAAAAUACCGACUUUUCGGUAUUUCGGCUUUUCGGCUUUUGCCAAUCUAGUCUAUGAGAGGGUGUCAGUUACACACCUGUUUGCGACGAUAUGCUGACGAGAUCCACACACGAACCGCCUACAAUUGGAUUACUAACACGCUAAUCUAACUAUUCAAAUACAAACUACGUAUUAACCCCCUACAACAUUCGGCCACCCACACCUACAGAUCAUAGUAAGCUUAUAAGAAAUCAAUAAGCAACUCAUUAACAAUUUUUUGUCAAUGUUUACCACAUAAUCAUAAUUUCACUGCAAGUUGUCUUCCUGAGCAACAGUCACUAAAUUAUUUAUAACUGGAGCUACGAAAGUCCAAAUCAAGUUCCGUUAAUUUUCCCUGAAAAUAGACUCAUAUAUCUUUUAUCCAUAAAAUUUUCAGAAUUUUUGGUUUAGCCAAUCAAUACCAGAUUUUUCUCAAAGUUUCCCAUGUUUCACUAUUUGACUAAUCUGACCACUCUUCAUUACGAAUCAAAUUUCUCAUUGUACAGAAUUCAAAAUAUGUUCUUGUUUAUUUCAUUAGAAACUAGACUCAAUAAGCUUUAAUUACAUAAUUUAUUCAGCUUCUAAUUGUUCUCCCACAAUUUAUGGUGAUUUUCCAAAGUCACGUUACUGCUGCUGUCCCAAGCAGAUUUAUUACCAAAUCACUCUUUCACACAUACCUUGCAUGCAUGUUAUUUAAACAUGUAUAUCACCAAUCAAUCAUCACAUAUCUAUGAUUUUACUUAAGUAUAAUCUCCAUUUCAUCAUUUUAAAGCACAACAUGUUAGCUGAUUUUUCCCUUUAACAUCUAAGGCACAUGCAUGCUCAUUUGUUUGGCUCAACUUCACCUAUCUUCCAUUUUUCAUCAAAAGAACAUGAAACAACAACCAUUUCCUUCAUUUUAAUUCAUGACUAAAUGCUCACAACACAACUAAAAAUCAAAAUAUACUUCAAGAGUUAAGGUAGAAUCAAGAAGAACUCAUGAACCUUAAAAUAGAAGCAAGGUACCAAGAACUUACCUUCAAUUUUCCUCCUCCUAAUGACCAAAUACUCAAGAGCUUUCUCUUCUCCUUUCUCUUCUCUAACUUUCAGCUAUGAUGAACAAAGAUGGACAAAACUUUGUUCUUUUCACCCCUUUUUCUUUUAAUAAAACUUCAUAUUUCAUCCAUUUAAUUCUUUAAUACAAAAGACAUGAAAUUCUUAUCAUGAAACAUUUACCUAACCCAUUAUCAUGAAACAUUUACCUAACCCAUUAUCAUGAAACAUUUACCUAACCUAUUAUCAUUGAACAUUUACCUAACCUAUUAUCAAUUUGUAUCAAUUUGUACCAUAAAUUAUGGAUAUCAAGUGUACAUUUUGUCUACAACAACAUGAUGACUGGUCACUUCAUGUAAAAUGGGAGGUUUGUCAUGCAAAUCCUCCUAUUUUGCACUCCUAUUUAUUUGGCCACUUCAAUUUAGCCUAUAGCAUUUUCAAACAUUUUCACAUAGGUCCUAUUUCAGAAUUUCACCCCCUUUUUCUUAUGGAACAAAAAUUAACUAAAAUUGUCGGGUUCUAUCUUAAGCUUGGGCUUUCUAGAGGCCCACUAACAUAAUUAAAUAUAUGCCAACAUUCACAGGAUUCCCAAAAAUUGGGGCGUUACAGUUUUAUAAGGUGAUCCAAUCACACCUAAAAGGUUGGUGGCGACUCCCAUUUUUCAAAAAUCUUGUUUUUAAAAAGGAGGUUUCGACAAUUGAAAAUAAGAAUCAAGUAUUUAUCAUGUAAUUCAUAAAUCAAAUAAUAAGAUUUGUCAUAGGUUUCAUCUUCCCUAGGUAUCUAGGGAAUUUAGUUCAUGAUCUGGAAUGAAAACAUCUCAAAGUUAAGAUAACAACAAGAUAUAAAGAAGCUCAAUAAAACUUCUAAGGAGAUUGAAUGGAGAUCUUAAAUCUUGAAAGAAAUCCGCUUUCGAGUUGAAUCCAAUGGCAUUAUUCGAGCCUUUUCUUCAUUCUUCUUUACGUGCUCCCUUAAGUCCUCUUCUAAUUGUUAUUGAUAGACUUUAGAAUGCUCAGAAAGCCUAAAAUUUUGGUUUUUCUGUAUGUUUGGAAAACAGGGUGCUAAAUUGACAUGGGCUAGCACAUGGGCGUAUGGCCAGCCCGUGUGGAAAUGUUCAGGCCAUGUGGAUCCUGGAAACAGCUCAUUCGUCUAAUUUUGGCUCAUUUUUUUGCUUUUUUUGCUCCCAAAUGCUCACCUAAGUAUAGAAAUAGGAAUUUAAAGGAUUAGGAGCAUUAAAUUCACUAAUUUACAUAAUAAAUCAUCCAAAAAUGAAUCAAGAAUCGGAUUAAAAACAUGUUACUUUUAUGGUUUAUCAAUGUGGCAUCUCGUAGCUCUGAACCAACAACUGGAUUGGGUAUAGGGUAUUAUAUUUAGUGGUAUCAGAGAUACUUUUGGCAGAUUCUCGGACUAAAUCGAGCUCAAAAAUUGAGUUUAAAGGUACAUGCCAAGAUCAAGUCGAGUUUGAGUCAAAAUUUGAACUUGAUUAUGAAUUCUUCUGUUUUAUAAUUGAAAUGGCUUAAGGAUUAAAGAAAUGUUGUUGAAGAUAAAAUUAAUAGUAAUGAUCACUUUGUUGAGGGUGAGAAUCGAGUUGAGAUUGAGGCACUCAACUUUGAUCAGGCCGAAGCUCAACGAAAUAGACUUGAUAGACCUCAUCGGAAUGGUCAAAGUGACGAGAAUCUACUCUACAGUACAAAGCGAAAGUAAUUUAGAGAGUUGUAGGAGCUGCAUCAAUAGUUGUAGCCCGGAAAACCCCAAUAAAAGAGUUGGAAAAGUAUGAAGUGAGUUUUGGCAAGAGUCAAUUGAGUGAGUUCUACAGCAGUUAGAAUGCUCACCGCUUGAAUGUGUUACAUUUGUUGUAUCUCUUCUAAAAGAAGAAGCUUAUGAAUGGUGUAUUGGCAGAUUGGUAUUUGAAUGUGGUGAUCUGAACAGAGCCUUUACUAUAACAAGGAAUGCGUGUGUGUGAUAGGUUGUUUAAAGCCAUUGACAAGCUAAAUGGGAAGGUUUAUGUCAACAACUGAGGCUCAGUGCCUUCAGAGUUGUUCAAGAAUUUUAUACAAAUUGGGAAUCUGGUAUUCAUAAAAAUUUGGUCCGAAGGGUACUUGUACCUUUCAAUUCAAACAAUUUUAAUCAUAUUUACAUUAUUCCUGAACUCUCUGUUGAUGAAUAUUCAGAUGGGUGAUUAGCUUAGCUUGACUUCAAUGCUAUUAUUGAUUUUCUAAUAUGGGGAUGGGGUAUUUUGAAAAUUAGAAAGAGUGAAUGAUAUCUUUACUUUAAAUCGCUAUUCUUAAUUCUUAAUAAGCUUAAGAGUGUAAAACUUUCUCAAAUUUGUUCAGAAAAAGAAAUUAAGUCUCUGUCUUUUUUUUUAAUUCAACUGGGUACUUGAACUUUCAAAAUGUAUAAAAAUAACCCUCAAAUUUUUUUCAAAAAAAGCUAUAAGGCCUCCACUUUUUUUUGCGCUCAAUUGAGUACUUAAACUUUUAAAAUGUAUCAAAAAGGUCCUCAAUCUUUAAGGAAAAAAAACAAUUAAGCUACUACAGGUUAUUAUUUUUUGGCACACAAUUGGGUACUUGAACUGCCAAAAUGUAUCAAAAAAGCCAUUUGAUCAUUAACUUUAACAAUUAACCAUUAAAGUUAAUCAUCCCUAAUUUUUUCAGUUAAAGCCAUCACGUGUCACAAUCAUGAAGUGAUAUGUGGCAAAAAAAUGAUAACAAAUAAAAAUAAAUAAAGGUUAUAAAAACUAUUAAAUUUUAUUAAAAAUAUAAAAAAUAUUUAAAUUUUAGUAAAAAUUAGAAAAAAAUUAUAAAAAUCGUAAAAAAAUUAUAGAAUAUAUAGAAAUAUAUAUAUAUAAAUUAUAAGAAUUCAAGGCAGUUUGUACAUUGAGGACAAUGUACAUCUUAAGUGUGGGGAGAUUAUUUAUAUAUUUAUACGAUAAAAUCCCUAAUUUGUUUUUUGUACUUAAGUAAUUUUCGUACACCUACCAUUAGAGUUAAUUUUUUUACUUGGAGUUUUUAUUGAUUUUGUUUUGAAAUAAUUUGUGGACUUUUAUGCAUUGUUUUAUUUAUAUUUUAAGUCACGAGAGAGUCAAGGAUAAUAAGUUAUUUUUCAGAAAUUAUUGUUUUAGGUUGUCUCCCUGAACUGAAGCAUUAUAUUGAAAAUUUAAAUUUACAAGUUUAACAUCAAAAUCAUAAUCUUUUGUGAGCUUUUGAGCUUAUAGAGCAUAUAUUUAUUCAUGCUCAUUUUAUUUUUGGUUGAGAGUAUGUCAGCUUGAUUUGUUAUUCUAAAACUUGCUUCGGUUAUACAUGUCGAGACCACAUUAUUGAUUUGAUAUACUGAGAUGAUAAAGGCACUUAGGAUUUAACUCACCUAACAUUUAAUCAACUUACCUGUUGUAUUAAUCCUUAGUGAACCCCGUUGAUCCUAACACAUUUUUUUCUCUCACCCAUUUAUGUUAACCCAUAACCCAUAUCUAUGUUGUAAAAUUAUCCCUUUUGAUUGACUUCCUUUUUGUCAAGAUUUGAUUUGGUUAGUUGCCUAACUAUGUUUCAUCAUUUUUAUUGUUGAAUUUCUUUUGCAAAAAAGAAAUUGUGAUAAAAAAAAUAUUUUUUAAAAAUUGAGAAUUUUUUUUAUAAUUGAGCUUGAAUCGUUAGUUUUAUAUUGUGUUGAAAAGUUCAUUAUUAUUAUUUAUUUCUUGUUUAUGUGAAUUCUUUUAACUCAACAACUGAUUUUUUUCUAAUUUGGUAACUUAUCAACUCGAUUCUCAAUUUUAAUCAAUUUUUCUGGCUUUUUCCAUGCCCUUAACCUAGGCCCCAUUACAACCUUGUAAAUACCUCUAGAUUGGUGUGUCAUUUCAUACUAUAGUGGUGGAGAUUUGAUUUUCAAGCAAGUCUAUGGUAAUAACAUUUCUCGUUUGACUAUUGAGUACAUAUUACUUGAAUCUUAAACACUAUGAGUGAAUCUUUAGUGAGGAUUUUAUUUCUUGCUGAGUUUUAUUUCAAGUAAUUAUUGAGAUAGGAGAGAUGCCUAAUAUUUUUAAAGCUUGAAACUUUCUGCUUGGAUUGCUUUGUUAUGUUUAGUGUCAUUUUAGUGUAAAUUUCCAAUGUAUGAUUAUCUAUAAAUUAUCCUAAGACAUUAUCGGUGGAAAUAAUAAACUGAGAGACAUUAACUUGAAUGUGGGUUGAGAAUUUUGCUUGAUGACAAGUACGCUUAAGUGUGGGGAAUAUUUGAUAUGUGCUAAAUGUAACAUGUUUUAGUCUCAUUCUUAAUGUGUUUUUGGGUGAUUAUUCAAUGUUAAUGGUGAAUUCUAUACUUCUAAUCCUUUAAAUUCAUAUUUUUAUACUUAAAAGAGAAAUAGGGAGCAAAAGGAGAGAAAAUUGAAAAUUUGGAGCAAGGUACAGGGGCACACAGGCUGGACUAUUCCACACAACUUGAACACACGACUGUGUGAGCCACACGGGCUUCAAUACAACCAUGUGACAGGUCAUGUCAAUUUUACGAAUUGCAUUCUAAACAGUGGAAAAACGUAAAUUUUAGGGUUUCGGGCAUUCUGAAACCUAUAUAUGAAAAAAAAAUUAGAAGAUAUGAGUGAGUCGUCAUAGAAUACUCAAGAAAACAACUCGAAAAAUACCAUUGAAGCAGAUCCUAAAGCAGAUUUCCAUCAAGAUUGAAGAUUCCUUUUUUAUUUGUUUAGAGAUUAUUAUGAGCUUCUUUGUUUCUUGUGGUUAUACAGUGUUUUGGAUGUUUUUAUUUGUAAGCAUGAACUAAUUUUCUAAAUACCUAGGGAGAUGAACCCUAUGAUAGAUUAUGUCGUUUGAUUUUUUUUACGUAAUAAAUACUUAGAUUUUGUUCUCAAUUAUGUGUGAUUAAUUAUUGGUUUAAUAUUUCUAGACUAUUAAGCCAUGUUUCCUAUGCUUAAAUUAGAGGAGGAAUAUACCAUGUUUAAGAGUAGAUCUUACGUAAUUGAGUGGAGUUGCAUGCAAUCCUAGAAAAACGACAAAAUGAAUCUACUGAAUUAGAGUCAAAUCUAAUAGGAGAAUCCAUAAAUCAAGUUAAUGUGAUAAUAGAUGUUUUAAUUAGAAAGAAAUUUCAAUUAAUCCAUCUAGAGUCAGUUGCUCUUAUUCUUGAAAAGAGAUAUUACCAUAAUUUAGAGAUUCUACAGAUCAAGGUACUAAGUGAAGAAAUUACGUAAUUUAGAUUGAUAAUUGCAGAUGAAAACUAGGUGAAUUCUUUCACGGGUAAUGUUUCACUUAUUGGUUAUUAUUCGAUUAUUUUUCCUGAUUUAUUUUUUGUCUUAUUCGUAGUUAAUUAAUUUAGUUAGUUUUAGUUUUAGUCAAUCACUCGAAUUUAUCGGUUAAAUAAUAGAAAGACGGUAAUUACUAGUACUUUAAGUCUUCAUGGGAAUGAUAUCUUUGCUCACCGUAACUAUACUAUUAAUUGAUAGGUGCACUUGCCUUAGUCGAAUUUUUAGUUGGUUUUGUAGAUAUCAAUCGUGCUCAACGAAGGGGAGGAAGAAAUAUUAAAUUUUUAUGCAUAAAAACUCGAAGUAGUUUGAUGUAAAAGCAACAUAGAUGACUCCUGAAGCCUAACACAACCAUCCAAUUACACAAUUAAGCCAUUUAAUUGACAACAAUUCUCAAUUACACAAAGAAACUAUGUCGAAAGUUUCAACGCAAAAACCUUCAACAAUUCUAGGCUUACCAACAAAACCAACGAUGAUUUCUCGAAUUAUUGUGUUGAGGAUUGUUGCGUUCAAUAUUGUCGCCUAAAAAGAAACCAAACAAUCGCUUUAAAAAAAAGUUUAAACUAAACAAGUUGGAAACAACUCUGACAGAACUAACGAACUACCGCCUAACGAAAGUUCUACGAUUAACGUGAUUUAUACAAUCUAUACAACUGGCAGUCAGGACAUGCGCACUUACCCGAUGAUGUAGUAGACAACCUGUGACAACCAAGUAAGACUUGGCCUAUAAAGAAGGAAAAGAGUAAAAAAAGAAAGAAGAACAUGAAAAAAUGAAGAAGGAAGGAAGAUGGUACGUUUAAUUAAUUAACCACCAAUCAAAAUUCUGGCAUUAAUCAAAAACAUUACCCUACACAUGCGCCGAGACUCAAACACAGGACUAGAGAAUAGACAGACACUUAACCAAUGAACCAGCAGGCUCAUUCUUGACAUAGAUUUACACAAAAUUAAAUUUAAAUCAACGGCCCAAGAGUAGAGAUUGAUAAGAAUUAACUAGCAAAACUUCUAAAACGCGACUUGAACCCCUGACCUCAAACACAUAAGUAGAGCAUAUAACCACAGAUACAUGAUGUGCAUAAAUUAGAGGAGGAAUGUACCCUGUUUAAGAGUAGAUCUUGCGUAGUUGAGUAGAGUUGCAUGGAAUCCUAGAAAUAGAUGACAUGAAUCUACCAGAUUAGAGUAAAAUCUAAUAGGAAAAUCGAUAAAUCGAGUUAAUGUGAUAAUAGGGUCUUAAUUAGAAAGAAAUUUCAAUUAAUUAACUUAGAGUUAGUUGCUCUUAUUCUUGAAGAGAGAUAUUAGCAUAAUUUAGGGAUUUCUACGAAUCAAAAUACUAAGUGAAGAAAUUGUGUAGUUCAGAUUGAUAAUUGCAGAUGAAAUCUAGGUGAAUUCUUUCUUCAGUAAUGUUUCACUUAUUGGUUAUUAUUCGAUUAUUUUCCUGAGUUGUUAUUUAUUGCAUUCGUAGUUAAUUAAUUUAGUUAAUUUUAGUUUUAAUCAAUCACUCGAAUUUACCGGUUAAAUAAUAGAAAGGCGGUAAUUACUAGUACUUUUAAUCUUUAUAGGAAUGAUAUUUUUACUCACCAUAUCUAUACUAUUAAUUGAUAGGUACACUUGCCUUAAUCAAAUUUUUUGUUGAUUUCGUGAACAUCAUUAUACUCAACGAAGGGGAGGAAGAAAUAUUCAAUUUUUAUGCUCAGUUCAAAUAAGUUAAAUGACUUUAGAAGCAUGCUUGAACUUGGUUAUCUUUUUGAUAUUUUUUAAUAUUAGUAUACUUCACACAUUAUUUGGAGGAAUAGUUGCACAAACGAGCACGAAGGUUUAUUAUUUCUAAUUCUUGCUAAUUUCAUAAACUAUUGUUACCGCUAUGUUUAUGAGAUUUUGACUUUAUUCAUUGUAAUUUGCUUAUAAAAUUUAGUUGUAUAUAAUUAUGUUUCCAAUUGCUUAAGUUAAGUUAAAUAUUUUCUUGGAUGCGUGUUAGUUAGAAUCGUUGUUUUGCAUGAAGACAAAUAAAAGUUUAAGUGUAUUAUAUGAUGUGUACUCAUCAUAUAGAUGUAAUUGUAUUAUUUUCACGUAGAUUUAUGUUAGAUCUUAAGUAAAAUAUUGUAUUUAAUUGCAUAAUUAGAAUAAAUUUUAUCAUAUUUACAUUUUAUGUUACUGUAUUUGAAUUUGAGUUAUUUUAAGUAAUAUAUUAUUUUUAAUGACUGCUUUAACUUGAAUUAGACCUUAUUUGAUAUGAGGAGCGAGUUUGAAUGUGACAGAAAGCAUGAAGGAAAGGUCAAAAAAAAAAAAAAAAAAGGAGAAAAACGUAAAGUUGCCAGAGCAAUGAGUAACCGAAGCUUGAGGCUUGGUGGCAAGCAUUCAAGGAGGAGCUUAAAGGGGAGAUUAGGACCGAUAUUCACAGUUUGUUUGAGCAUGUUGAAGGUUGGUCAGCAUGUAGCACCAGGAGCAGCCAAGAAGCAGGCCAAGAAGGCCGAGCCAUGCAGGAGCUGCUGAAGCUAGUGCAGCUGUUUAUUUUUGUUCAUUUUGUAACCUUAGUUUGAUGUAAUGUAGUUAAGUUCAUUUUUGAACUAUGAUAGUUUGAUGUUUGAUGUAAUUUGAUAGUGAUUGAGCUGUUAACUCAGCUUUGUUCAUGUGUGCAAGCUUGUUUUACCAAGUGUCAAUGUAUUAGUGGUAGUAGGUAUUCUUUAGGUGACCAAAUACUGAUUUUGACAAACUGAAUGCUUGGUUUAUGUAUUGGCAUUAUGCCAUUAUUCAUUCUUAAUGAAAUAUCAGCUUUUCAUUCAAAAUACUCUCUUUUCUGUUCUUAAGCAAAUUCUGUUGUUUGCUCUACAAGCCUCGAGCCUUGUUGCUCAAGCUUCUGUCAAUCUUGCUACUUCAUCCGGAUUAAUUUUUCAUAACACCAACAAAGCAGUACCUUGGUAACCAAACUGCUUCAAGUAAUGUCUCUGCCUAGGUUAAAGGGAAAGAAAUAUUGGGAGGGCCACCUCUUAGGUUUCCUCGCAAGGAGUCUAUCGAUGUUCCUCAGCCUCUUUUGGUGACAAGUCAUACAAGUUCUCCUCGAUCUCACUCUGGGUGGUUCCAGGGUAGGUUUUACAAGCUAGACUGCCCUCGCUUUGAUGGAUCGGACUUCAGGGCUGGUGGUCAAAACUCGAGCAAUGCUUUGCUGCUGAGGGAAUACCUGACAGUGACAAGGUUCAAACGGUGAUGUUACAUUUAGAUGGGCGAGCUUUGGAUUGGCACUAUUUCCUUGCUCAAAAGCAUGGUGGGCUGCAGAUGUUGGUAUGGGCAGGGUACGCUAACAGCAUGAGGGAGAGGUUUGACCCAAGCAUGUUUAAGGACCCUAUGUCUGAAUUGGUCGCCAUGAAGUAGCAAGGGUCAGUCGAGCACUAUCAUGACUAGUUUGUAAGCCUCCUAAACCAAUUACGGUUGCCUGAAUCUUAUGCUCUAAAUGUUUUUAUCUGCAAUUUAAAGCAUGAGACUAGUCAGUACGCACGGUUGUUUAGGCCACAAAUUCUAGUUGAAGGUUUUCAUAAUGCCAAACAAGUGGAGUCCAUCCUAUCUAACUCUCCAAGGAAGGUUUUGUUCAAUGGAUUGAGUCCAUUGGCUCGUUUUCGGUUUGCAGCAACUCCACCUGCAGUUUCAAACAAGUUAGUGGCACCUUCUCAUAAUGGUGCACCUGUUCAACCUGUUACAACCUCCUCCAGUUGCUCUAAUGCUUCCAGGGUUCCUUCCAAGGGGAUAAGUCCAGCCUUGAUAGCUGAAAGGAAACAGAAGGGGCUGUGUUUUUGGUGUGGUGCAAAAUAUCAUAUCGGCCGUAAGUGUGUUAAGGCUCAACUCCACCAAAUGCUCCUUGAAUCUCAUUCUGAUGCUGAGGGUGAUGACUUCCAAGAGUGUUCAGACCAGUUGGAGGAUCCCCUUGUUGAGAGCGAACCUUCCCAGGAACCCAUUCUGUCUUUGCAUGCUAUUAAAGGUUCCUAUUGAAUUUUGGGUUGUCUUCUGGGUUUUUGUCUUGUUCAUAUUGAAUUUUUGUUGAUGAGAAUUUGGGCAAAAUUUGUGAAAUUUUCCAUUUUGAUUUUUAAUCUACAAAUGCAAAACAAGUAGAAAAAGAGGAAUUCUAGAAGAACACUGUGAAGAACAUAAAUUAUUAGUUUUUUAAAAAUUUUAGGUUAAAAGCAUUUAAUUAUUUCAUGAAGUUAAUAAUAUUAAUAUAUUUUUAUUAUAUUUUUUCUAAUUUAUUAUAUAUAUUUAUAAUUUUUUGAAACAUAUUUAAUAAAAUAUAUAUUUUUUAAUUUAAAAAUAUCACAUGGCAUAUUUUUAUUGGGCACUUAUAUUUUGUUUAAUUGCCUUUGAAAAUUGGACCAAAAUCUAGGAAUGAAAAUGAGAAAAUAAAUACACUUUAAGAGUAAUAAUAAUAAUAAUAAUAAUAAUGAAUAAAAUAAUAAUACUUGACAUGUACAUAAAAAAAUGAUAAUAUAUGAAAGAUUAAUUUUAUAAUUAUAAUUCCAAAAAUUAAUCUAAUUUAUUAAUCAAAUAAAAGUUAUAUAUAUAAUCAAUUUUAUAAUAAUUUAUAGAAAAUGAAUAUUUUUAGUAUUUUUUCACAUUUGUUUUAUUGUGUAUGUUUGAAGUAUAUGAUCACCAUUUUUAAUAGUAUAGUCUUUAAGAUUCAAAUAUACGUCCUCCUCUUGAAAUCGUGACUAUCUUAUGAAUAAAAUCGUGACUAUCUUAUGAAUAAUUUCAUCGCAACUGAGCUAAAGUUUUCUCACUCUGAAUCUUUUAUGAAAUUAUUGACACUAUACUAGUAAUGAGUCUUUUAUGUAUAUGGUGUUCCAUCUUACAUAUGAUAUUUGUCAAUGUUUCUCGAUAAGAAUUGAAUUUGUUCUUUCAAUAUAUCUAGAAUUAGUGAUAACCUCUUUCAAAUAUUUAAAUAGGUGGAUAAACAUACUUUUAAUAUUUGAACUUACAUUUUCCUGUACUGACAAUAAUACUAAUACCAAUCAAGCUUUUAAAAAUUUAACUUAAAUGAAAAAAUUGAAGCAAAAGGUAGUAGAUGGAAUACUCUCCCAUUUUUGCAACAUUGAAGAGUGAGAAGGUUUUAUGGCCGCGAAGAAUAAGAAAAAACCAAAUUCGUUCCCACAACAUUUAUGCUGGUGUUUUUUAAUAUAAAAACUUUUAAUGUAUUUUUAAUAUAUUAGAAAAUUUUUAUUUUAGCACUUUUUUAAUGUAUUAAGUGUAUUAUAUUUUUUAAAAUUAUUUUUAAAUAAAAAUUAAUCUAAAAAAAUCAAAUAUGAGUGAGUCGUGUCGAGUUUGAAUUUACCUUUCUUAAUUUAGGUUGGAAUUGGAUAAAAAAAUAAGCGUAUUUUUCGAACAGAACUUAACCCGAAUCUAGAAUUGUGGUUUAAAUUCUUUACAUGGGUCUAACCCGAACCCGACCUAACUCAUGAGCACCUUUACCCACUAUUGUGUUUUCUUUCUAUUAGAAGAACUAUAAUCAAUGCCCCAGAUUGCUUCCAUGAAUUUUCUGCUUCUUUAAAAAGGGUUUAAAUUUUACUAUUAGUCUCUGUACUAUGCAAAAGUUUUAUUUUUAGUCUCUAUAUUUUAAUUUGAUCAAUUUUAGUCUCUGUGCUUUCUAAAUUUUAAAAUUUUAGUCUUGACCCAAAUGGUAACAUUUAAAUCUAUUUGGUUAAAUUCAAUUUUUGGUCUUGGACUAAGCAUACAAUUAUAAAUUUGGUAAAUGAAAUUUUAGACUUGAAGUAAAUGAAUAUCGUUAACCCAUUAAUUUUAUUUUUAUUGAGUAAAAUAUGGACAUAAAAAAUUGACAUAACGUUACAUAUAUCAUAAUAUAUUUGGUGCAUCAAAUUUUAAAAAUAAAAGAACUCAACUUAAUUAAUUUAAUAAUUAUUAUUUGAUAAGGAUUGAAAAUUUAAAAUUUUAAAAAUACAAUAACUAAAAAUAAUCAAAUUAAAUUAGAAAAUUAAUCAUCAAUUUUUUACAAAGUACAGAAGCUACUAGCUGAACUUAAACCUUAAAAAUAUAGAAAGAAAGAAAGACAAAGACUUGACCUUUAAUCCUACAUUAAUGAACUUGUAAAAAAUUAUAACUUGAUACAACUAAACUUUUAGCAGAUAAUUAAGCUUAGCUAAUUAAACAUGUUCUCAUUGUUAACCAUUUAUUUAUAAUUUAUGGGUAAAUUGCAUUAAUAGCCAAUCAAUUAUGUUUGUUUUCGGUCACUUGACUAUAAAAAGAUACAAAAUGUUCACUCAAUUAUUAGUAAAUUUCUCUAUUUGGUCACCCAACUAUUUAAUUUUUUCUUUUUUGGCCACCCAUCUAUCUUGAUUUUUUUGGUAUUUCUAUUUUUACGUUAACCAGUUAGUGACUAAAAAGAUAAAAUUAAAUAAUUGGGUGACCAUUUUGUAACUUUUCAUAGCCGGAUGAUUAAAAAAGAAACUAAUAGUUGGGUGGCUAGCAAUGUAGUUUACCCAUAAUUUAUUUAUAAUUUUGUAUGUCUUUUUAUUGAAAAAAUUACUUUUAAAUAUUUUUUAAAAUUUUAUUUUUGAAUUUUUAAGAAUCAAGACUAAAUUGAUAAAAUUUGUAAAGUUGAGGGCUAAUUUGUUGAAUUGUUUAGGGUUAGGACCAAAUUGACUAAAUCUAUAAAUAUUAAAGGGCUAAAUUUAUUAUUAUAUCAAUAAAAAAUGUCACAUCAAUAUUUCAUUAGUGAUUUAACUGAGAAGUGGCUAAAAUAUUAAAUUUCAAUAGUAGUGGUGACUAAAAUAAAAAAUUUUAAAUAUAGAUGAUCAAAAAAGAAACACACCAAUAGUUGAGUAACUAUUUACCCAUUUUCUUUUAGUAUCUUUUGAACGUAAACAAACUCAUUCUUGAAUAAAAACAAAUUAAAAGAGAAAAAUAGGAGUGAAACACACUAAUAGCAGGGAAAUGGAUGUUUGAAGAGGAGGCGACUUUGAUUAAUGUUUAUGCUCCAAACAGCCUUGCAGAACAAAAAAUGCUGUGGGAAGAAAUAUCUGGAUUGAGAAAUCAAUUUGGUAAAGCAUGGAUUAUUGGGGGCGAUUUUAAUGUGGUGAGAAAUAGGAGUGAACGCAUAAAUUGCUUGAGUACUGAGAAAGGGUCUCAGGAGUUUGGUGAGUUCAUAGAUGUAAAUUGGUCGAUCUACCGUAAAUAGGGAAAAAUUCACUUGGUUUGGUCCGGAUAAUAAACGUAGCAGAUUGGACAGGUUUUUAAUUGAAGAAGAGUGGCUGGUUCAGUUUAAGGACUUACAACAGCAGGGUUUAAUUGAAGAAGAGUGGUUGGUUCAGUUGAAGUUUUCUUAGCUAUGAAGUGGAAGACUAACGAUUCGAUUUUUAUUGAAUUAGGUUCAUUGGUGGUGUUUUCUUGGUGUGUUAAUAAGGUGUUGAGACCUUGGUCACUUCAGGCAAUUUUUUCAGAAAUUGACACUGCUAAGAUUAAGGCUGGUUCUGUUGUCUUCUCUUCGGCGGACAGGUAUGGCAAUGAUAUGGCUCUCUCUUUGGCGAUGGCAUGUGUUUAUCGAUUGCAAGUUUUUAAAGCUUGGUAGUGAUUUACUGUUUUUUGUUUGCUGGUUUAUUGUUUUGUGGACUGUGUUGUCUUAAUUAUCUUGUGGACUGCUGUGUUGUUAAUUUUUGGCUGUUGCUCUGCUUUGUCUUUGACAACAGAGUGGUUCGAAUAAAGCAAAAAAAAGAAGAGAAAAAUAGAUUGAAAGAAAAAAGGUACUGUUUAGUGUUAAAAUGUAAGCUGGAAUGCACUUUAAAGUGUAAUAAGACUUAAAUUUAGGGUGUGUUUAGAUUGACGGUGCGUUUAUUUACGGUUAAUGUAAAAAUAGCGGUGACGAUAAAAUUAGAUACGAUAAUAACACUGUAGUGUGAUAGAAAAUGUAAGUUUUAUUUACAGUUAAUGUAAAAAUAGCGGUGACGAUGAAAUUAGAUACGAUAAUAACACUGUAGUGUGAUAGAAAAAGUAAAUUAAAUAUACCGCAGUGCAGCAACUGUCUAUCCAAAUCCAUCCUCAAUUAAAACCAACCUCAAUAUAACUUAAUUCUUUUUUGAAAAAAAUUUAGAAUUCAACUAAGUCUAGCCUAAUUAAAAAAAUGAAUUGCAAUUUUAAUAGAAAAUUUAAUUAAUUAAAAUUUAUUAAAAUAUUUUUUUUUACAUCAAUUAAAUUAGGGUUCGAAAAUAUGAUUAUGAAUGUAUUAACAUUAUUAUGAAAACGGUACUAAAUAAUUAUAUGUAGUAGGUUUUUGCUCUCCCUAAAAUAAAAUAUUUUUCAUUUAGAUUUUUUUAAAAUUUUAAAAUUUUAAAUUAAUAAAGAUAAAACUGCACUCUAACAUCCUUUAUUUUUAUUUUUUUUAUUUUCCCCCUGAUUGUAUGUUAUCCUAAAUUUUGUUUGAAAGACAUGAAUUAAAAAAAGCUUCAAAAUAUGAUUGAGGAGAUUAGCAUUAAACAAAAGCUACAAUGUCAACUUAAAAAUAGUAAAAUGUUUGGUGCUAAGAGUAACAAACUUGAAUCCAAUGAAAGAUUUUGAUAAAUUAAAGGCUUAGGAAUAAGGUUAUAGUAGGUGGAGUUAGAACAACUCAAAGUAGGAUGAUUUCUAGGUCUUCUUUUUGGGGACUCCCUUUGCUUAGCCACAAUGCUUAUGUUGACUCAUCCAAUCACACCAUUAUUGUGGGCACAUGUGGAUAUUUAGCUCCAGGUGAUUUUCUUUCUUUUAUUUUCUGAUAUUUUCUUCUGAAUUUAUAAAAUUAAUUGAAUAUAUAACUGGUUUUCUUUUUAUCUAGUUUUUCAUAUGAAGAAUUUACCUAUACGAUGGUUGUUACCGAAAAAUGUGGUGUCUCUAGUUUUUAAAUGGUGGCACUAGAAACAUUAAUGGGAAAACAUCCUAAAGAAGUAUUACCAUGGUUGUCAUCACCAAAUUAUUCGGUAAAUAUGAAGUUGAUUGAUGUGUUAGAUAAUCGUUUACCACUUCCGACAAGCUAACUAGUUGCACAAAAUCUUGUUCACAUUGCUAAACUGACAUUCGCUUGCUUAAAAUCCACGACCAAAGUCUUGACCAACAAUGAAAGAAGUAUGUGAAGAGUUUCUUUAUGGCCAAAAAUCCUUGGGAAUUCCCCUUCAGAUGAUCUCUUUGUUACAACUUGUGAACCAUAUGAAAUCCAUAUUGGAGGCGAAACAGAAAUUUGUGAUGUUCAAAGUCCAUACGCUUGUUAGGUAUUGUUUAGCUGGAUUUCAUGAUUUGUUUCUAAACUAGCUCUUGUGUAAUAUAUGAUUUUGCAAAUAGUUUUGUAAAAUUCUUGAAUAAAUUGAUUAUAAUUUUUAAUAUAAAAAUUUUUGAUAAAACCUUUGACUAGAACGAAGAAUUCAACAAUCCAUAUAUAAAGAGAAAAAUAGUAGCAGAAGAAAUUGUGAAAGUCUUCUCCAUUGUUUUUCAUGCCCCAAAGCCUCUUUAAAUACAUUCCAAGAUUUCCUAGAAAAGAGUUUAAAAUAAAGUUUUAAUUUAAAAUAUCCCAUAAAAUCCCAAUCAAUCCCAUAAAAUAAGACUUUGAAAAAUUCUUCCAAAAAGAUAGUGGUUUUUGCUUUUCUUUUUAAAAUCAAUAGUAAAAAAAAAUUUAAAUGAAAUGUUAUUUAAAGCGAACUAUUUGGUUGAAUUAAAAAUCAGUUGAAAUUUCGAUUCAGAGGAAGGUAAAAAAUCAGUUGACUAAUGAACUGAACUAAAAAAAGUUUAAUUGUUUUAAUCGUAUUUUAUAAUUUUUAAUAUUUUUAUUUUUAUUAAUUUAUAUGAUUUGCACUUAACAUACUAAAAAUGGACGAUGUAAUUGAUUCUAUCACUUAUCCAUUCCAAAAACAUUAUAUCAUAUUCAACUUGAAUUGGAAGCUUUUUGAAAUUAUGUAUUAAGAUAUUCAAACUUAAUUUGCAAGAUAAAUCGACAAGCUAAAGGCUAUCAAUCAAGAGAAAUUGUUUUAGGCGUGUUGGAAACUAGAAAGAUAAAUUUUGUAACGCCCCAAAAUUGAUAUUUUUUUGUUUUUGUGAAUUUGUGACACAACUGAGUAUCUGCUUCAAUGGUUAAGUGUUUUGAAUUUGUGUGUGAGGUCUCAAGUUCAAGCCUUUCAUUUGGAAAAUUUUGGUAUUUUUCUGAAUAAAGCCUUAACCUUGUUCGAUAGGCUUAUAUUUAAGUACUUAUAAAACUAUAUCAGAAUGGGCCUGCUGGUUUGGUGAUUAAAAUGCGUGUGGUAUGUUGGAGGUCUAGAGUUCAAAUCCCUGCAUGAGCGUGAGAGUUUAUUUUUGCUUAUUUGACCGAGAGAGUUUCGGUCAAACAGGAAUUCUGAGUAGUUGGUAGUUGCUGGAGAAAAAUAAGGGGAGUUGAGAUAUUGGAAUUUUCGGUUAUACUUUUGUUUUUCAAAAUUUUAUUUCCCUCUCCCAAAAGUUUUCUGACGUCUGUUUUUCCCCUUCCUGCCAAAAUUUUUCUUUUUCCUUCCUCUACUAUUCCGGUUUCUGUUUUGCUACCUUCUUGUUCAAACAUUGGAUUCGCUCGUUCGGUAUGUCCCGUUUUGUUUCUAUUUUAUUGUUCCAUAGAUGGUUUCUGAUAGAGGGCUGCUUUUAGUUCUUUCGAUUUAGGUGAAGAUCAAGGAACGACUAGUGCUUCUGCCGAGUUUUGAACGUUAGAGUGUCAGUUCGUUGUUGGUAAGCGACCGAGUCACUUUUUAACGUUCUAAGGUUUCGUUGGGAGAAAAUAUUCCCGGUUCAAUUUUUGUUGUGUUUCUGAAUUCGAGUUUUGGUAAUGUCGAUUAUAGGUUUUGGGGUGCUCGGAGAUCGUUUAAGCUUCAAUUGGAACCAAGUGUGCACCUGAAAAUGCAAAAAACGAGGUUUUGGUAAAAGCCAAAAACUGUUCUGUCGACACCACACGGCCGUGUGCCCUAACACGGGCGUGUGAUCAACGAGGCCAGGCUGUGUGUACUGGAAAUUACCGUGUGAUGGCCAGACAGGUCGUGUGCGAGACACGAGCUAGACUGUUUUGGGUCGUGUGGGCUACACGGGCGUGUAGGAUUCUUAGCCAGGCCGUGUGAGCCAUACGAACGUGUGGGCCCACACAGGCAGGCCACAUGGGUGUGUGAACCCAUUUUUUUGAAAAGUUCUGUAAGGUUGCACGGGUCGCCCAAGUCGACUGUGGACCUACUGUAAGGUCGGUAAGCCUUAUUUAGACCCCUAUUUAUGUGAUCUAAUUGUAUGAUGUCUAAGUGAAUUUGAAUACUGAACUAAUUGUAUGAUUUGAUAAAAUUGCAUAACCGCAUGACAUUCUAUUAUAUGUUGCAUUGCAUCGGGGCGGGUUGAUGAUUUAUUGGAGAAAGUGUCUGAAAGGCUCUUAAGCUUAUUAUCUGGCAAGUUUGCUAUAAUAUUCUGACUUUGUGCUGCAUUUCGGUGCAAAUAUCUGUUUAUGUGCUGUAUUUCGGUACAGCAUGAUGUGUAGGGAUGGAUGGGUUGAUUUAAUCCCCACAUGGUGUGUAGGGUUGGACGGAGAUGGUGUGUAGAGGUUGGUGGGUAAGAUUCUGAUAUUCUAUGUUGAUCUGCAUAUCAUAUUUGAGAUGGGCUAAGACCCUAAUUUAUAUCUGAUUCUAUAUCUGGGUGGGUUAAGGCCCACACUGAUUCUGUAAUUGGCUCAGGCCCAAACUGUAUAUACAUGAUUGAUUUCUGAUAUUAUGUUAUGUGCAUGUAUUCUGUGGGGAUUACACACUGAGUUUGUGAAAACUCACCCUUUUCUGUUUGAUCUGUUCAGGUAAUCCCCAGCAUUAGACGGAUCAGAGUAGAGGAGGACUCAGCGGUGACCACCACUAUUUCGUAUUGUUUUAAUUCAGUUUUUUAGUUAAUUAAUUUCUCGUUAAUAAUUUGGGUAUUUAUUUUUGUAAUUGGUACUUUUUGGACUGACUGUUGAAAUUUGGGAUUAUGCUUUGCUUUCCAUUUUUAUCACUACAAAAACACGACGUUUUCCUGAAAUUAAAGUUUUCCUAAAAACGAUCGGUUUUCUCAAACAAAAAGUGCACAAGCUUCCACUAAAAAGUCACGUUUUGAAGCAUAACAAUGAACAUGCGUUUUUCUAAAUUAAUUAAAGACUAAUAAACUGGAAGGGUUUUCACUCGAUGAAUUAGACUACAAAUUUCAUUACAUAUGACAUCGCCAGAUUCGACCAUAACGUCAAGGCCGGAUUUGGGGUGUUACAAAUUUCAUGGAAAAGUUGCACUGUUGGUUGUAAUUGUCCUAGACAUUGAACAACUUGGAUUGGCCUCCCAUGAAUGGAUUAUGUCAUCUAUUUCAGAUUCUUCAUCACCAUGGUCUUCAAUAACAUUUCCACCUGAAGCAUUAAUCAACUCUAGCUCCAUUGCUAAUGGUUGAUAUGCAAACUGGGCUAAAAACAGUUGAACUGAUUGAAUCGUAUUUUAUAAUUAUUAAUAGUUUUUAUGAUUUUUAAUAAUUUACUUUAUUUGAACCGAACAUACUGAAAAUCGAUGGCCUGAUUAGUUCAGUCAUUGAUCCGAUAACAAAAACAUUGAUAUAAUAUUCAACUUGAAUUAUAAACCUUUUGAAAUUACGUACUGAGAUGUUCAAAUUUAAUUUGCUCCAAUUUAAUUUGGAUUCUUCAACUUAAAGAUAGCCAACCUUAUUUAAGCUAAACCUGUGUAGUUUACAUCUCUAGUAUUUAAUAUUAUUAACUUCUAAUGUCACAAGUAUUACAUGUAAUUUUGGCAUUUAAUAUUUAAUUAAUUUUUUAAAAUAUUUUAUUUUUAAUUACAUUAUUUAACAUAAAAUAAUAUUUUUAUUUGAAUUAUUGGAUAUAAUUAAAAUAUAAUAACUUAUUAUAAAAAUAUAUAUUUCUUAAAUUAUUUUUUGUUAAUGACUUAAUGUUACAUAAUUCUAUAUAUAUAUAUACAUACAUAUAUGCAGGAAGUAAUAGAUGCUCAAUUAUCUGUCAAUAUGCAACCUUGAUUGGAUUUGUGUUUUUGUAUGUUUCAAAUAGUUUUUGUUGGCUUUGCUCUGUUUGAUGUUAUUUUCUUAUGGAAUUGGAUGUUUAAUGCUAGUUUGUUUACUUUCAGGGGAAACCUAAAGAAGCAUAUGAACAAUCAGAGGGGUUCCGAUAGGAGUUGAAAUUGAAGGUUCAAGAGUUGUUGAUAGAGUAGUAAUGGCGUCGGAGAAAAAUGGCGAUAAGUGUAUAUUGGAUACUGUUAAUAUCCCUUGCUUUAUUUACUUGUUCUCGCUCAAUGAAGGCUUACUAUUACUGUGAUGAGUUAAUCACCUCUUCUUAUUUCAUCUUCAGAUAUCAGAAGAAGAAGAAGAAGGUCAAUGAUGAAGAAGAGAAAAAAGAGAUGUGGAUGAUUAGGAUUACCUUUCUUUUGAUUUAUGGUAUCCUUGGAUUCUGUAUCCCUGUUUGGAGGUCUUUUUUAUUAAUGAAUUCAUCGACUUAGCAAAAGAAAAAGAAAACAUAUCCAGAACUUGCAUAAUAAAUACCUUAAAGAGGUCAAAUAACAUUGAGUGUAACAAGUAUGAAUUCUUGGGCAACCACAAGACUCCACCAAUGUGACAUAUAGAGAAGCUAAAAGCUAUCAAUCAAGAGAAAUUGUUUUAGGAGUAUUGGAAUCUAGAAAGAUGAAUUUAAUGGAAAAGUUACGCUGUUGGUUGUAAUUGUCCUGGACAUUGAACUACUAGGAUUGGUCUCCCAUGAUUGGAUCAUGUCAUCUAUUUCAGAUUCUUCAUCACCACAUUCUCCAAUAACAUUUCCACCAGAAGCUUUAAUAAACUCUAGCUCCAUUGCUACUUGUUUCAUGGUGGGUCUUUUCUUUCCAAUAAGAUUCAAGCAUCUUUUUGCUAGCAGAGCCACAACUAUAAUCUCCUGUUCUGGACCAUCCUUUACUACCACUGGAUCAAGAAUGUUAAACAAGGAAUUCUCCUGCAUUGAAUCCAAAAAAUAAGAUACCAAGCUUCUCACUGGCUCUGAUUGUUCCACGGAGAUAGGUUUUUGUCCUGUUAAAAGCUCAAUAAGAACAACUCCAAAGCUAUAAACAUCACUCUUCUCUGUAAAUUGACUUGAUCGAAAAUAUUCGGGAUCCAUGUAUCCAAAAGUUCCUUGGACCCGAGUGGUUAGAUGUGUUUGUUCAAGUGCAACUGAUCUUGAAGUUCCAAAAUCUGAAACUUUUGCCCUAUAUUUACCAUCCAAAAGUAUGUUACUAGAUUUGAUGUCUCGGUGAUAAAUAGGAGCAGAAGCAGCUGAAUGCAAAUAGAACAAGGCGUUGGCAAUUUCAAUCGCAAUUCGUAAACGCAUUUCCCAUGUCAAUGAUAAUUCUUCAUUUUGGUUAUGAAUGAGAUCGUAUAAUGUACCAUUUGGGAUGAACUCAUACACCAAUAGAGGAACUUCAGCUUCUAAACAACACCCUAAAAGCUUAACCACAUUCCUGUGAUUAAUUUGAGAUAAAAUUAUCACCUCAUUAAUGAACUGUUCAACCUUCUUUUCAUCAAAUUUCUUUCCUUCCACCAUUUUGGAUUUCUUAAUAGCCACAAUGCUUCCAUCUAUUAGCAUUCCUUUAUAAACAGUCCCUUGACCUCCUUGACCAAGAAUUCGGUUCUCAUUAUAAUAAUCCGUUGCCUUUUCCAUCUCUUUUGAGGUAAACAAUUUAAUUUUUUCAACAUUACCUUCAUUGCUAGACAAAUGUUGUUGCAGUAACAAACCUCCAUUCCUUUUGAAGUAUUUCUGCCUCAGCAUGAUUUUUUUGUUUUCUUUUGAGGGCUUUGUACAUACUCCAUGUUGCGAGUAAUAGAAAUAGUGUCCCAACACUAGUGCUGCAACCUAUAUAGAUAUAAGAAAAAUAGUUAAUGGCUAAAAUUGAAAAUUAAAAUACAUUUUAAAUAAAAAAUGAGAAAACCUUAUUACACCAUCCAUUGUUUUGAUAUUUAACUUUUACAAAUUUCAUGGUAAAUAACUGUUACUGCAUCCGCAUUCAAAAGUAAAUAAAUUACUACUUGAAUUAACAUAAUUCAAUAACCAUAUUGAUUCUACUUUAAAAACAAAAAGUGUAAACUCACCACGUACCUACAAUAAUGCUUUUCAAAUUACGAGUGUUUUGAGUUUUUAUUUUACGCUCGCAACGAAAUCCCGUACUAUUGUAUUCAUAAUGAGGAGGGCAAGAGUCUGACCAGCAAUAGUUGCUAGGGGUAUUCAAGCAAAGCAUGUUGCAGUACUUAUAAUUCUCACAUUUCCCAUCUGUCAUUUAUGAAUUGGAAAAAAGAGAGAGGCUAUAAUCAUAUAAUUCAGUUAAAGUAUUGAAUGAAAUUAAUUCCUCUAUUAUUAAAUGAAUCAACUUAGUCCCUAAAUUAUUAAAAAGAAUUAAAUAAAUUUAAAUUAUAACAACAUUAACAUUUACUAUAUAAAGCAUUUACAAAACCAUAAAAAAAUUUGAUUUUCUUUUAUUCAUUUGAUUCCUUUUUAUGACACAGGGAUUAAAUUAAUUCAUUUAACAGCUUUCUAAUUUCAUGUUCCUUUUGUUCCUUAAAAAAACGUUAACUCAUACCUUUGCAUGAUCUUGAAUAACUGAUAUCACCGAUAUCCCUCUUGCAUGAACAUAGAUGGUUAGCGCUCAACCUCGACCAACAAUAUUCACCAUCGAAUGUACAAGAAGUGUCCGAACUAUCGUUCAAAUAGCACUCUCCAGAUAUUAGUGUGCCCCAUUGCAGUUGCGUUGGGACAUGCGUCCUAUGACUUAGAUCAAAAUCAUCAGUUAAAUCAAAGUCAUAAGAAAUCAAGGAAGCAAAUCCGCAUGAUCUUUUCCUCCUAUAAUCACUUAAAUCAACCAUAUCACUCAUGUUUGCAAAGAAUGAACUGAGACCCUUAGGAAUAGUAAGAGGACAACCAACGAUAGAGGAAGUCUUCUUAUUAAUCUUACAACUUGGUUGCAAACAUCCGCCUAUAAGAUUAUUUGUUUCGUUGCCGAAAAUAGUAAUCAAAUUACCACAACCUAAAGACUUGAAGAAGUUGUCGGAAUCUGAGUAGUAAAAGCGGGUGCCUGUUAAGUUGAGACUCAUCCCAUUGUGAUGGUUCUUUCGACAGUUGGAGUAAGUUAUUGGAUGGUUGACCUUGACUGUGCCAUACAAAAAAUCGAACCCUAGUAUUUGUAGAUUCGUGCCAUUUAUAUUUAAUAAAGGCACUUCUUUCCCAUUGGCAGUUUUGUUGCAAAUUACUUUAAAGGAGUUAUUGGAAUCAUCUUGGGCCUUCAUGCUAAAAGGGUAGUGAAAAGUAACAUUCCCACAAGACUCUACCUUAUAGGUGUGGAAGUUCAUAGGUCCUAGUCCUGGUCUUCCGCAUCCUGCAGGCUUAGCAAAAAGGAAGUAAAUUGCAAAAUCAAUGUUUGUAGGAAAUAAAAGUAAUGUGUCAUUCAAAAAACAAAAAUAUACCAACAAAAGUAUUAUAUCGUAGAUAUAGGAGCUUAGGUUCCACAUCAAGUAACCUCUUUCUUUACCUCUAAUUAUCAAAAUAAAUAAAUAUUUAUAAAAAAAAGUCAUAUGAAAAUUGUUACUCUAAGUAAAAUUUUUAAUUAAAUUUGUGUGUUAUUUGUGACAUUAAAUUCAAUAAAGGGUUUCUUAUUAAUAUAGAUACCAGUAUAAAUCUUAUGGUUCAAUUUGAUGUCAUUCAAUAUUUUUAAUUAAAAAUAUUAAUAUUAAUAUUAAUAUACAAAAUGAAUCAUACUCAAUACUGAUUUUAAACAAUUAGCAAAAUCUAUACAUUAACUGAAUUAAAAGAAGAAAAAUGAAAGCCAAGCAAUUGAAGUGACAGCGCGUGACUGACCUCCGUCACCGCAAUAGGUGGAAUUCCAGCUGAGUACGGCGGGAACAUGCCUUGUUCCAAAAUUGAUGCCAUUGGGUAAUGGGUAAGCACUACUGAAUGAGUACACGCUAAAGAUGAAAGCAGAUGCGCAUCUGUUGCUGUCAGGAUACAUGGCUGUCAUGUUUACAGUAUAGGAAGUGAAAUUUCCAGCAAUUCCAGUAAAGCAGCCAGAUUCAGAAGCACCAUGGUCACACCUUGGUUGAACGCAGCCGCCAAGUGAAUCAGCUUCGUUACUUAAAACAGUUGCCAAAUUUCCGCAACCUACUGACCCGAAAAUAUUUUUGUCACUUGAGAAGAAAAAAGGGAGUGCCUGAGAGAUUCACACUCACACUAGCCUCGCUUAUACGUUCACAAUUAAUAUAAGUAACCGGAUUACUGAUGAGAAUGGCGUCUGAAUAUAUGGAAUCAAGCACCUCCAGAUCGAUGCCAUUUACGUUUAUGGAUGGCCUUUUCCCAUUACGGGUCGAAUUGCAAGUUACUCUAAACCAAGAAUGAGUAUAGCAGCUGCUAUCGAUUCCAAAAGGCGAUGGAAUUGUAAUAUUCCCACAUACUUCUUUACCACAGGCAGGUUCUUGAGAUUCUGCUGCUUGUAAAAUUGGGCAUAACAGGAACAGGAAGAGGAGUAGAAGGAUGAAGUAAUCCGCUGACUGAAAACCCAUUUGCGUUGUACGUUAUUUUCUUUGAGGGAAAUGAAUGAAGAUUUAGAUUGGGUUAAUGAAGAACUCAUUAAUAGAUUUUAAAGGAAAAGGCAGAGUUAGCACCACUAGUGUUCUUUUCUUUUUAAAAUUAGCACCACUAGAUGUGAAAAUAAAUUAUAAUUUUUAGAUGUAUAUUCAGUAAUAUGAUAGAAAAAAAGGUUUUUUUUUUUUAAGUUUGUGUUUUUACAUAUAUAUACGGUUUAUAUUUAUUUGGAGUUCGUUCUCAAGAAUAUAGUCAUCUUUAUCCCCUCACGUUAGUCCCACGAGUCUCUUAUCCAUUCUUAUUCAAUCAAGGCGAGGGCUAAGACAAAAUAAAAAAAUUUACAUUAAAUUUAAGGAUAAUCAAGUUCGAACUAAUGACUUUCACCAUGUCAAGAUGAUACAAAAAAUGAAGAGUUUAAAAGUAAAAGUUUAAAAAUUAAAUAAAUAAUUUCCAGCAUUUCUAUCAAAUUAUACAUUUUCAUUUUAAAAUAUUAUAUAAAUUACAAAAAUACUAUACUUUAUAAAUGAAUAAACAAAUGAAACUCCGAAUAUUAAAAUUUUAAUAAUAUACUGCACAUGUUACAAUGCAAUUUCAAAAAAAGAGAAAUAGAAAAAGGAAAAGGAAAAGAAAUGUGACCGUUAUAGAAUAAUAUAUAAUUUAUAUUACAGACAAAGGUACUCAUAAUUUAUAGUUCAUCAUUUUUAAUGUUUGAGCCGUUUUUUAUUGACUAUAGUCGGCUAGCACGAUUUGGUCGAUAACAAGUGAAUAUAUUAUGGAUAAAGUAUUGUAGAGUUCACUGAAUUGUGGUUUUUCUAGCUAUUUGAUUAUAAAAAGUUACAACAUACUUUUUUAAUUGUUAUUAAAUUUUUUUCGAUCACUUAAUUAUGAAAAAUUACAAAAUGAUUAUUUAAGUAUUUAAUUUUAUUUUCUUCUUUUUUGUCACCAAUUGGCUAACAUAAAAAUAGAAACACCCAAAAAUUUAAGAUAGUUAAGUGACCAAACAAAGACAAAAUUGAAUAGUUACGUGACCAUUUUGUAACUUUUCAAAAUUAGGUGAAUAGAAAAAGAAAAAAAAAUUCCAUAGUUGGGUGACAACUAAUUUACUUUACCCAUAUAUUUUAUUAUAUUUAUUAUAUUUCACAUGUAAAAGAAACUUAUCAGCUAGAGUCAGUUUUUACAUCCUUCUAAGUUCCUUCUAUUUGGGUAUAAAUAAGAUAUUGAUGCUUAUAAGAUUACUUGAAUUUGACUCGAAAAAAUUCAAAUUUGAUUCGAUAAUUAUUAAGCUGAGCUCGAGCUACCGAUUGAGCCAAAUUUGAGCUUUAGAAUACUUGACUUGAACAUUUCACGAGCCUUAACAAGCUUUUCAUAUUUUUAUAUUAUUAAGUUACGUUAAUCCCUUAAUUAUCUAGCUGAGCUUGAGUACAAAAAUUAGUAAACGAACUUAAUCAAGCUCGAGUUCAAGUAGCUCGAUUAUAUCUCAAAUGAGCUCAAACUUAAAAGUAAAUGUUCGAUUGAACUCAAACCGAAUAUCAAGUUCCAAAUUUUAAAUCAAGCUUAAUAAUAUUCAAGCUCGGCUUGAUGACACCCCUACCCUCUACAAGCUAAUCAGUAUAGCAGUAUCUGUCCCCAUAAAAUGUGCAAUGCACCUCAUUUGCUCUCAUGACAUUUUCUUUUCUAAUUCAACAUCCACUAGAAAUUUCCAAUGAAAUCUGAAGUUUAUUGACAAUUUCCUCACAAUCAAGCUGAAGUUUUCCAAAUCAGAAUCUUUUAUGAAAAAAUCAACACUCCUCAUCACAUACAAUAUUAUAUGUAAGUUGUUUUUCAACCAGCCAGCUAACCGAGUAUACAUCAUUAGCAAGAACAAUAAACAAUAUCAAAGUUGUUCCCACGAUAUUUGUGGACCUGCCGCUGUAAUUUCAUGUUAAACGUCCAAUAUUUCUUGGUUAAAGUAAUAAUUAAGAGUUGUGUAAAUGACUAACUUCACGUGUGGGGUUUUAUGAUGGGAAACAACUCAGAAACCUCCUUUCAACUUAGUUUUUUUUUUUUUUUAAAAAUAAUAAUGCACUUUAUAAUUAUCUGGAAGACAUCCAAGCAAAGCAAAACCUAUUCCAUGAUCAAUGCUUUUUCACUUGUUUGCCAACUUACCUUUUUAGCUUUUAGAGACAAAAAAACAUGAUUAAUUGUUUCUCAAACUCGUCUAAUUAAACACGGUUUUCGCGAUAUCAUAUAUGAUAACAAAGAAAUUCUCCAAUUUGAUACUUUUGUACUUCCUUUCUAUGUGAAAAACAAUAGUCAAUAUAUUAAAUUUCACAAAACUCAGAAAAAAUACCACAAAAGUUUAUCGAUAAUUAAAUUUUUUAUAGCGAAUUUUAUAUGGAAAAUUCUAAUUCAAGAGUUUGAGAAGUCAUCGUUGGGCUUUUGGUAGUUAAUAGGUUUUCAAUGAGCGAAAUUGAGUUAAUUGAGAUUUUUGGACUAAAUUGCAAAGGAGAUAUUCUCCAUGAUAGCCAAAAAGUUGCUUCAUCCACCAUGGAUUGAUAGCUAAAACUAGUGAGAUAUUAAGGGUUCUAUUCCCGGUACAUGGAAUAGUUGUUUCUUUUCUUUGGAUUAAGUAGUUGAAAAUUUUGUAUUUACCCUACAAGCAUCAUGGCUGCAACAAUGUUUACAUCUAUCAAAACAUUAAAUUCUAUACUUGAUGAGUAGUAAACAUUUGUAUCAAUUUUUAAGAAAAAAUGUUUUUUUUUUAAAUAAACAAUUUAUUCUAGGAGAGGUCCAAUGAAGUUAAAUUUACUAAAUUACAAAUUUGUUCAAGAAUAAGAUCUUUCAAUAGAUUUGAACCAAGGUUUAUGUACUGCACCUUUGAUAAACAACAAAUGCAAGAAGGGACUGCGCCACUUAAUUUGUUUUAGGAGUGUGAAAUGUACUCUAGUUUCAUCAAAUGACACAAAGCUAGAGGAAUAUGACCAUUAAAACUAGGGAUAAAAGGAUGAUGUUCUUCAAAUUUUCAAAACCUUGAGGGAUUGAACCUUGAAGUUGGUUAUAAUUAAGGUACAAAGUUUCCAAAUUGGUUAAUUGGUAAAAAGUAAUGGGGUAUUGAUUGACAAGUAUAUUCUUACAGAGUUUCAAGUAAGUCAAAUUUCUCAAAUAUCCAAUUUUUGAAAGGAUAGAUCUAUUUAUUUUGUUGCCCCAAAGAAUAUUGGAGAUUGGAUAAAUGACCCAAAGCAAAAGGGAUUGGACCUGUUAACUGUUAUGAUUUUUGAAGCUGCAAUUUGACUUACUCUUUUGGAAAAUAUCAUCCCUUUUUUUCAGGCAAAUAAAAUAAUUAAAAAAAACAGGAUUAUGAUUCAGUAGCAAAUUUUUCUGCAUUUUAAAUUCAUAAACUUGUUGUAUAAAAAGAUAGUUUGAAAAUUCAAUAAAAUACAAUGAUUUCAACAAGUUCUUUAAUACUUUUAGUUCUAGUUCACCUACAGAUUGGUAUCAAGAGCUAUUUUGUAACACCCCUUACCCGUAUUCGACGCCGGAACAGGCUACGAGGUAUUACUGGACUUAAACACAAACAUUUAUACAAAAUCGAGUAACAAAUUGGCUUCCAAAUUAAAACUUUUCAUAAAUACUCAUAAUGUCCCUAAUACGAGCCCUCGAGGCCCUAAACGUACAUUGGAGGUGGUUCGGGACUUAAUCGAGAACUUUGGAACAUUUGGAGAAUUUUUGCUCAAAACAGGGGUCACACGCCCAUGUGGCUUUGGACACGCCCAUGUGGGUAGGCCGUAUGGUCACACACGCCCAUGUCCUCAACCCGUGUAACUCUUUGUUUAUGACAUCAUGCACCAAAAGAAGUCACACGGCCAAAUCACACCCCCUUGUGCUAGGCUGUGUGGCAAAUUUAAUUUCUCAAAAAUAGGUGCAGACUUCACACACCCUAGACACACGCCCAUGUCCCGGGGCCGUGUCCUUCACACGGCUAAGACACACGGCUGUUUCUCUGCCCGUGUGGCCAAUUCGAAGGAUUCUAUUUUGCAAUAAUUAAGGUACAGGGGGCACACGGCCGGACUACACACCGAUGAGGCAGACUGUGUGUCACACACGGCCUAGACACACGCUAUCUGUCUACCUGUGUGGACAAAAAUAAGUCUAUUUACCAAGCCAUUUGAUACCCUAAAACCCAUGCACACUCAUACCAAUUCAAAGGCACAUAACAUAACAUAAUUAAUCUAACAAACAUCCAUAAUCAAGUCAUCCAUACAUCAUUUGCACACCAAAUCCAUCGUGCAUAUACAUCACAUACUUAGUAACUUAAACAUGCAAGUUACCUCAUUGAUGAAUAACAUCAUUAUAUGCGUACACCAAGAACCAAUAUUGGCCAACUUUUAAUGGUUUUAUACAAAAUGAACAUUCACCAAAUUAAGCUAACAUUUUUGGCCAAAUCAAUUAUGACAUACAGCAAAAUGACCAAGUCUCCUAUACAUGCCAUAACUCUAAAUGUUUAAAACCAUAAAUAUCCAAAAGAUGAUUUGAUAAUGUGAGAUGAUCCUCCGACGAAUCUCCCAAUCCGAGUAGCUUGGUGACACUAUAAAACAAGGGAAGAGAAAGGGGAGUAAGCUAAAUAGCUUAGUAAGUUCAUAUGCAAAGAAUGAGCAUUAUAAACACACAUUCACCAUACAAUUAAAAUUGUAACAAUUUCAUGGAUACUACCAAAAACCUUAUAUUCAUAACUUUACCAAUUGUCCAUCACAUAUCGAGCUCAUACCUCAAGGGUUUCACAUACAUACCUGUGCCAACUCACAACAUAAUCACAUGCAUUCACACUUGGCUAUUUCGCUGAACUACCCGUUGAACCACUUCGAAUACUAAAGGAUACUUGGAAGUCUUACACAUAAGUGCCAUACAUAUAUGUAACCGAAGCUACCACAUAUCUCAUAACACAUAGGAGCUUACUCUCAAGCUAUUCACGAGCCUGCUCACACAAGCUUACGGUUGGGAUGUAGCUACACAGUGCUGCUCACACAAGCUGACAGGUGUCCGCAACACAUGCCGGACUACUAGCCACUGGUAGAAUGUACUAGACCAGCACUCGGAUCACAUAAUCACUUAAACACAUGGUUUCCUAGUGACAUGUCACUCGUAUCCUAUUUGAUUCAAGGUUCAAUCGAGAUUUCACACUUGUCGAAACUUUGUCGAAACACAUAUCCAAAUAGUUAUUCACAAUUCAUAUAAUAUUAAAGUAUUUAAAACAUAAGUAUAACAAUCCAUUAUUUACUUACAAACUUACCUCGGUCCAAAAAUGACAAGUUAUUUGAUUUAGUCCACAACCUUGCCUUUUCCCUGGUCAAAGUUAAUUCCUCGUCUUUCUUGAUCUAUAAUACCAAAUUUAACUCAUUUAAUUAUUACAUUGCUCAAUUCAGUCCAAAAAAUACCCUAUGACAAAAAUUUCAUUUUUACCCCUAACCUUUCAACCUUUUACACUUUAGUCUCUAGGCCUGUAAAAUGAAAUGUAUCCAUUUUCUUUAAAACCCAAGCCUAGCCGACACAUACACAUGCUCAUAACAGCUCAUAUUUUUCAUUAAAUCACAUUUUUCUAUACAUGUUUUAUAACUUUUACAAUUAGGUCCUUCUAUGCAUUUCCAUAAAAAAUCACUUAGUAAAAGUUGUUUAUCACACAUCAAACUUUCAUUUUAUACCAUUAAACAUCAAAACACAUGUAUUUCAUACAUGGGUAAAUUUUUAAACAUGAACCCUACUUCAAAAUAAUGGUAGAAUUAGGUAAAUUAAGUUAUGAGGAUUUCAAAAAUGUAAAGAACAUUAAAAACGAGGCUAGGAUGUACUUACAAUCAAGCUUGAAAGUUUAAGAAACCCUAGCUAUGGAUCCCUUUAAAAUUCGGCUAUAGUAGGAGGAAGAGGAACAAAUUUUGACUUCAUUUUCCCUUUUUAUUUCUUUUGACCAAUUGACUAAAAUGCCCUUCACUUAAAAGUUUGAUAUUUUAUCCAUCCAUGUCCAUUUUUGUCCAAAUUAAUAGUAUAAUGGUCUAAUUACCACAUAAGGACUUCUAAUUUAAGAAUGUAUUACAAUCAAACACCUUUAUCAACUAGAACACACAUUUUUCACUUAUUGCAAUUUAGUCCUAUUAGUCAAAUUAAGCAUCCAAUCAAUAAAAUUUUCUAACGAAAUUUUCACACAAUCUUUCAGUCACGCAAUAGACCUUAAAACUUUAUAUGUAUUCAUUUUUCUACUUCAAAUUUGUGGUUUCAAAACCACUACUCCAUUUAGGCCCUAAAAUAGGCUGUUACAACUCUCUCCCCUUUAGGGAUUUUCGACCCUGAAAAUCUUACCAGGAAACAGGUUUGGGUAUUGUUUUCUCAUAGUUUCCUUAGGUUCCCACGUAUCCUCUUCCAUUCCAUGUCUUUGCCACAAUACUUCCACUAAAGCUAUAUUUUUAUUUCUCAACUGUUUUACCUCCUAAGCUAGGAUCUUGAUCAUUUUUCUCCAUAAGUCAUAUCUGGUCGAAUUUCAACCUCUGUUGGAGAAAUCAUAUGUGAAGGAUCAGAACGAUAACGUCGCAACAUUGACACAUGAAAUACAUUAUGAAUCCUUUCCAACUCUGCCAGUAAGGCUAACCGAUAUGUCACUGGCCCUAUUCUUUCAAUAACCUCAUACGGUCUAAUAAAAUGCGGACUUAACUUGCCUUUAUAGCCAAAUCUCAAAAUCUUCUUCCACGGAGACACUUUCAGAAAUACUUUAUCACCCACCUGAAAUUCGAUCUCUUUUCUUUUCAAAUCUGCAUACGAAUUUUGUUGAUCUAAAACGGCUUUCAAACAAUCUCAAAUUACCUUCACUUUUUCUUUGGUUUCUCUAACCAAAUCAACCCCAUGAAGCUGUUUCUUAUUGAGCUCGGUCCAUUACAAAGGAGUUUGAAAUUUACGACCAUACAAUGCCUCAUACAGUGCCAUCUUUAUCUCGACUGAAAGAUGUUGUUGUAAGCAAAUUCGACCAAAGGUAGAUGUUUCUCCCGAUUACCUUCGGAUUCUAGAACACAACAUCUGAGCAUAUCUUUGAGAAUCUGAAUUACUCUUUCGGACUGACCGUCAGUUUGCAGAUGAAACGCAGUGCUAAAGUUCAACUUUGUGCCCAAACCUUCUUGCAAAUUUUUCCAAAACCUAGAAGUAAACCUCGGAUCUCUAUCCAAAAUAAUAGAAAUAGGCACUCCGUGUAAUCUCACAAUCUCAGCAAUGUACAACUCAGCUAGCUUAUUAAGUGAGUAAUUGGUACGUACCGGAAUGAAAUGAGUCGAUUUCUUCAAUCAAUCAACAACGACCUAUACGACAUCUUUCUUUUUAGGAGUCAAAGGCAAACCCGAUACGAAAUCCAUCGUAAUCUUAUCCCAUUUCCACUCAGGAACCAUUACUGGCUGAAGUAAUCCUGAAAGCACUUGAUGCUCUGCUUUCACUUGAUGACAAAUUAAACAUUUGGACAAAAAUUUAGAAAUAUCUCGUUUCAUACUUGGCAGCCAAUACAAUUUCUUCAGAUCAUUAUACAUUUUCGGACUACCCGAAUUAACUGACAAAUAACCACUGUGUGCCUCAUGUAAAAUUUUUUUUAAUCAACUAAGCAUCUUUCGAUACACAUACUCUUUCACAGAACAUCAAACAAUCAUCCGAACCAACCCGAAAGUCUGAAUCACUAUCUACUUCACACUGAGCUUUUUUGGCUUGCAAUUUACUAUCAUUUUUCUGAGCUUCGCAAAUCUGCUGAAGAAAUAACGAUCUAGCUCUCAACUCAGCCAAAAUUGAACCAUGAUCACAUAAAGUCAAUCUUGUAUUCAUAGCUCUCAAAGAAAACAAGGACUUUCUGCUCAAAGCACUGACGACUACAUUUGCCUUUCUCGGGUGAUAAUCAAUCAUCAACUCAUAAUCUUUUAACAAUAUGAGCCAUCUUCGUUGUCACAAGUUCAAAUCCUUUUGAGUCAUCAAAUACUUCAAACUCUUAUUAUCGAUAAAGAUAUGACAUUUCUUACUGUACAAAUGAUGUCGCCAAAUCUUUAAAGCAAAGACAAUGACAGCCAAUUCUAAGUCAUGAGUCAGAUAAUUCUUCUCAUGCGGUUUCAACUGUCUCGAGGCAUAAGCUAUCACUUUGCCCUCUUGCAUCAAUACACAUCCAAGAACAUUCAAAGAUGCAUCACUAUAAAUCACAAAAUCUUUUCCAGACUCACGUUGCACUAAUAUCUGUGCCUCAGUCAAUAAUGCUUUCAAUUUCUCAAAACUUGUUGACACUUGUCGAUUCAUUCAAACUUAACAUCUUUUUGCAACAACUUGGUCAUAGGAGUAGCAAUUAUCGAAAAUCCCUUAACAAAGCGUCUAUAAUACCCAGCUAAGCCUAGAAAGCUUCUAACCUCGGAUAGUUCCUCGACGGUUUCCAAUCAACAAUUGCUGAGAUCUUACUCAGAUCAAACCGAAUACCAUCACUCGAAAUGAUGUGUCCCAAAAAUCCAACUUCUCGAAGCCAAAAUUCACUUUUAUUGAACUUAGUAAACAAUUUCCUCCCUCUCAAAAUUUGUAAUACUGUUCUUAAGUGUUCGGCAUGCUUGGACAAAUCUCGAGAAUAAAUUAAAAUAUCAUCAAUGAAGAUAACCACAAACUUAUCCAAAUACGGUUAAAAAAUCUGAUUCAUCAAGUCCAUAAAUACAGCCAGAGCUUUAGUUAAACCAAAAGACAUCACAAGGAAUUCAUAAUGUCUAUACCGUGUCCUGAAGGCGAUCUUCGAAACAUCUGACUCCUUAACUCUCAACUAAUAAUAGUCGAACCUCAUGUCUAUCUUCGAAAACACUGUUGUCCCUUUCAACUGGUCGAACAAAUCGUCUAUUCUUGGCAAAGGAUACUUGUUCUUUAUAGUCACGUUGUUGAGAUGUUGAUAAUCGAUACAAAGCCUCAUAAAUCCGUCUUUCUUCUUUACAAAUAAAAUUGGAACACCCCAAGGAGAAAAACUCGGCCUCGCAAAUCCCUUAUCUGUCAAUCUGAAUCAAGCAUGAAAAUUUAAUUUCUAGAAUUAAAAAUUUUUAGGUUGUUUCCCUUAAUUUAAGUAUUAUCUUGAAGUUUGAGAAUCGCAUGAUUGACAUCAAAAACCAUAAAUUUUUGUGAGAUUUUGAGCCUUUAGAGUAUAUAUUUUUCUUACUCACUUUUAUUAUUCGUUACGAGUGUGUCAAGAUGAUUCGUUGUUCUAGAACUUGCAUUGGUUAUACAUGUCAAGACCACACCUUUUGAUUUGAUAUACUGAGAUAAUAAAAGCACUUAGAUUGAACCCACUUAUCCCAUAAAAAGGCUACCUACAUAAUUAACCCUUAAUGAACCCCUUUAAGCUUAACACUGUAACACCCCUACCAGUAUCCGUUGUCAGAUUAGGGUCAUGAGGCAUUAUCGAUCUAAACACAGUUCAGUACAGUCAUUUAAUACAAAACAUGCUCAAAGUUAUAACAACUUCUUUUAAUAGUUUUCAAACUCAAAAAUCAACCUUCUACUCAAUUAUAAAAGUCAAAUUCUCAUAUAUUAAACACUUAAUCAAAUAAAGUCAAUCAUGAUUUACUGUUUAUAAUACAUAAACAAUCCAGGCUUCAAAAUUUAAACAUGUCAAUAUUAUUUAUUUAAUCAAAUUGUCAAAUAAACUAUCAUGCAUCAAGGUUAUACUACAUAUGCUUUAUAAAGCAUAAUUCAAACCUUAUAACCAUCAAAUUUCAUGGCAUUCAAAGAUGUAACUUAAAAUCAAGCAUACUUUAUUUCAUAUACUAAGCACAUAUUUCACAACAUUCAUUUGUGUGUAUAUAUAUAUUUUUUCUAUUAGAUAAUUAUCAAACAUGCCAUUUUUAACAACACAUUUCGAUACUAUUUAUGUCAUUCAAAUAAGCAGCUAAAACAAAUCCAAACUGUGCCCAAUUCGGACCAUAAUAAUGCAACCAUUUCGAAAUGCUUUUUGCCUAAACCAAAAAUACGAAAAUCGAACAGCAUAUAUAUACAAGGCAGCAACUAACACAUAAAUUCCAACCAAAAACAUACCAAUUCAUGCGUACUUCAUACUUUAAAAACAUCACCCAAUAUUAUACCAAUUUCCAUCAUCACAUGAUCAAUCACCUAACCAAAAAGACAACUAUAUUAAUUUGGUCAAAUACAUACGGCAUCACAAAACAUAUAUAAAUUCUAGCUAUCAUUAGCCGAAUGUAAAUACACAUUUUAUACCAUAUUUUAUCUCACAAAUGACCAAAGCCAUUUCAUUAUUAACAAAUUACCAAAUACAUAAUCAACCAAUUACCAAAAUUAUUCAUUCAAACAUUUCCAAAUCAUAAAACAUUAUAACCACAUCUUAAACCAUGUAACAUAUUCCCAAAAAUGAGUUAAGUGACAAGGUCGAAUACACACCAACCUAAACACCAUUUUUAAGCCAACUCACAAGGAAAAUUAUACAUCAACACAUAGGUCAUUAAUAAAUCAUACCAAAUAGCCAAAUCCAAAAGCAUAGCAUAGUCAUUCCAUGGCAAUUAUAAACACAUAUCAUAAGUCGAAGAUGCAUCCAUCAUUUACCUCAUUACUUAAGUCGAAUUAUAAGACCAUCCAUCACACAAGAUAUACCUUAAAACAUACUUUCAAAAUAAGCUAAAUACAUGGCCGAUUCACACCAAAAUUAACAUCAUCAUCAAGCCAUUUUCGCAUGGCUACUUAUACACAAUUCAAAAUGAAACAUAUCAAAACUAGCUUAUACAUGUCGUAUGUCAAAAGUACAAGCUUUUAAAGUACCAAAAUAGAGAUCGAUAGUGUGACGAUGUUCCUUGACUAUCCCCGAGGUCACGCUAGCUUUCAUUAUCUAUAAAACAACGAAUAAACACACAAAGUAAGCUUGGAAAGCUUAGUAAGUCAUAAGCAAAUAAUUCAUCACUAGAAAAAAUAUAAUUCAAUUCGAAAUAGGCCAAAUUUAGCUAAUCUCAUACACAUAUACAGUUACUUUUCUCAUAUAAUCCAAAUUACCACAUUAAGUAACUUCACUUACCUUAUUUUUCAAUGAACAAAUAAAUUUCAUACGUACCUGAAUCAUUUAGCUAAAAUUCACAUUCGGACUCGUUUUGACAUUGCUCGUUGAACCAUUCAGAAUCACAUAUAUCACAUACAAUGUCAUAUACCAGAUAUGGUCUUGCAUGUUAUCACACAUAUAUGCCUCUGUCCCAGACAGGGUCUUACACGAAUUAUAUACGAUGCCAUUGUCCCAAACAUGGUCUUACACGAAAUCACACCUUAGAAGUCCUAAUGUCAUGACAUACGUUUCCUAUACUAUUCCUAUGGUUCGUACGAGGCUUUCGGACUUCGUAAUUAAAUCAAUUCAAACUCGAACAGGUCCUCCAAUGCUCAAUUCAAUUCAGCACACACACACACACAUAUAUAUAUUUACAAAUCAAUUCGGCACAUAUAAUAUAUAUGCAUUUGAAUUUAAUAAUAUUUAUUUACUUAUGAACUUACCUCGUACGGAAACGAACAGAUCGGAAUGACUAUUCAACAACUUUCGGCUUCCCACGAUCCAAAUUUGAUUUCUUCCUUUCUUAAUCUAAAUAAAUUCAAAUUUAACUUAUUUAAUUAUAUAUCUUUUCAAAUUUCAUCCAAAACACAAAAAUGGGCAUUUUGCACUUUAGCACCUGACUUUUCACAUUUUCUCAAUUCAGUUCCUCUUUCAAAACAACUCAAAAUAUACAAAAUUUCAUUUAACCCAUGUUUGGCCGAAUUUUCCCUAGGUCCCUAGCAGCCCAUUAUUUUCAUUUAUUUCACAUUUCAACCCAUAAAUUUACAAAUUUCAUAAAUAAAUCCCUAAUUUGGGUUUUUAUCAAAAAUUACUUAACAAAAUUUAAUAAUCUAGCAACAAAUAUUUAUUUUUCAUCAUCAAACAACAAAAACAUCAAGCUAUCAUCAAUGGCAACUCACAAAUUCAUCAACCAAUUCAAAAAUUAGGACACGGGCUGUAACACCCCUAACCCGUAUCCGUCGCUGGAGAAGGCUUAAGAGGCAUUACUUAUUAUUGAACAACUUAAACAGACAUUCACCACUUUCUAUACUUUGUAAUUCAUCCAUACUAAAAACAUUUACUUCAAUUAGUAAUUUUGAACUUUAAUACAAUUUCAAAUUCUAUCAUUUAAUACAUACUCAACUUAAUUACCACUCAUAUAGGUGGCAUGAACAUUAGUUAAAAAUAAACAUGCUUUGUACAUUAAUGCAAGUUAAAAACAACCAGACGACAAUAGUCAUACUAUUUCAUAUACUUCAUUUAAAUACUUAUCAUUUAAAACUAACCAUACCUCUUAUCUAAUCACAAAACCAUGCGCAUAUUGAACCAAAUAAAACAUAAGUACCAUAGCAACAUUACAACAUGACCAAACAUACCAUAGUUGAUUAUACUACAUAAGCCUAUUUACUACUAUUAAUGAAACAUUUUUAAACAUAGUUACCAAAUGACCAAAAGUACCUAUACUAUUAUUAUAAUUUAUGCACAUGUGACCAAAACAAACUGAACCCUUUUGAACACAUAUAUCAACCAAAAUUACAACCAUUUUGCAUGUUUAUUACUAUGCCUAUAAUUACAUAUUCACUAUCAAACAAUUAGCCAACAUCUGGUCAUUCGAAAUAACACCAAUAUGAUUUUAUUUUUUAAAUUUUGUUCACUCAUAGCUACUCAUGACCUCAGAUGCUAUAAACACACAAAAUAAUAUAAAAAUAAUUUUACGAUCUCAGAUUUGUGGUUCCGAAACCACUGUUCCGAUUUAGCUAAAAUUGGGCUGUUAAAAACACACUGUUUCUUGAUUUACCCAUUAAUGUUAACCUAUAACUUAUUUCUUUUUAAUUCGUUGAGAAUUUUUCCCAUUUUAUUGACUCCUUUUUUUUGUCAAGAUUUGAUUUGGUUAGUUGCUUAACUAUGUUCUUUUGUUUCAGUUGCUGAAUUAUUUCUUAUUAUUUAUUGUUCUAAAAAAAGAAGAAAAAGAAAAUAAUAAUAUAUAUUUAUCUAUAUUAAUUUAAUUACAUAUUGUUUAUUAUUUAGUCAUAUAAGCUUAAAUAGUUAAAUUCAUAUCUUGAAAAGAAUCUCAUUUCAUUAGUAUUGAAUAGUUCAUAAUUUUGGCACUUGUUUUUAAUUCAGUAUUUGUUAUUCUUCUAGUUUGGUAACUUAUUAAGUCAAUCUAGAUUUUAACCAUCUUUUUAGCCUUUCUUUACACCUUUAACCUACACCCUAUUACAACCUUUUAAAGACCUUUUGAUUUGUGUAUCAUCUUAUUUUAUAGUGGUGGAGAUUUGAUUUUCAUACAAGCCUAUGGUAAUGACUUUUCAUGUUUGACUUUUGAGUGCUUAUUUUUGAACCUUAAACACUUUGAGUGAUUUGAGUGAAUCUUUAGUGAGGAUGUCGAUUCUUGUUAAUUUUGAAUUAGAGGUAAUUACUUACAUAAAGGGAAUUACCUAUGUUUUCAUGCUUUAAAAAUGUUUGACUUGGAUUGUUUGAAUCUUUAGUGCUCUUUUACUUGAAUUAUCAAUGAAUGAUUAUGUGUGAAUUAUUUUGAAACAUUAUUGGUGAGAAUUAUAAGUUGAGGAAGAUUAAUUGUAAUUGUGAGAUGAGGGUUUUGCUUGAGGACAAGCAAACGCUUAAGUGUGGGGAUAUUUGAUCAGCUAUAAAAGUAGCAUAUUUUAAUCUCAUUCUUACUGCAUUUUUGGAUGAUUUAUUAUGUAAAUUACUGAAUUUGAUGCUAAAUCCUUUAAAUUAAUGUUUCUAUACUUAGGUGAGCAUAGGGGAGCGAAAGGAGCGAAAAACUGGCCAAAAUCGGAUAAAAAAAGCUAUUUUAAGGAUCCACACGGCCUAAGCACUUCCACACAUGCUGGCCACAUGCCUAUGUGCCAGCUAGUGUUGAUUUCACUCCCUGUUUUCCAAACACGUGGAAAAACUCAAUUUUUAGGCUUUCUGAGCAUUUUAAAGUCUAUAGAUAUAAAUUAAAAGAAGACUAAGGGAGGACGCAGAGAAGAACGAAGAAUUUACUCGAAGAACACCAUCAGAAGCAACUCAGAAGCUGAUCUCCCUCAUGAUUGAAGAUCUCCAUUUAAUUUCUUUAGAAGUUUAUUUGGUUUUCUUUAUGUCUUGUUGUUAUCUUAACUUUGAGAUGUUUCUGUUUAGGAUGAUAAACUAAAUUCCCUAUAUACCUAAGGAAGAUGAAACCUAUAUGGAUCUUAUUAUUUGAUUUCUGAAUUACAUGAUAAAUAUUUGAUUCUUGUUCUCAAUUAUAUAUGCUUAUUUCGUGUUUUAAAAUUUUUAAGAUAUUAAUUCAUGCUUAAUGUGCUUAUUUCAGUGGAGUAAAAAGCCCUGUUUGAGAGUAGAUCUAGCAUAAUUGAGUGGAGUUGCAUGAAAUCAUAGAAAUAGGAUGACAUAAAUCUACCGGAUUAGAAUCAAAUCUAAUAGGGGAAUCUAUAGAUCGAGUUAGUGCGACGAUAGAGGUUAUAAUCAGAAAGAGAUUUCAAUUAAUCAACCUAGAUUCAGUUGUUCUUAUUCUCGAUAUUAACAUAAAUUAGGGAUUUCUACAUAUCAAUACAAGUGAAUAAAUAGUUUAAUUCAAAUUCAGAGUAAUUAGUGAAGUUUAAGUGGAUUCUUUCCUAGGUAUUGUCUAUCUCAUUGGUUUUAUUCGAAUAUUUUCCCAAUUCACUCUCUGUUGCAUUCUUUGUAAUUAGUUUAGUUAAUUUAGAAAGAUAAUAGAAAGAUAGUAAGUACUAGUACUUUUAGUCCUUGUGGAUACGAUAUUCUUGACUCACCAUAGCUAUACUAGUAUUCGAUAGGUACGCUUUCCUUUGUCAUAAUUUUAGUUAGUUUAGUGACCAUUAUAGGGUCAACACAUUCCUAUGUAGCUAACUUUGUUUCUAUAAACUUGGGAAUUUCUGUUGAGAGCACUUCAAGAGAGAUUCCUAUACCUAGUGCGUUGGGUCAAUUAGUCUGGGUUAAUAAAUUGUAGGAACAUACCGUUGGAGAUUCAAGGGGUUGUGUUUCCGGCUAAUCUGACGGAGCUAUCAUCUGGGAAUUCGAUCUUAUUCUGGGAAUGGACUAACUUGUGGAACAUUAGGUUAGUUUGGACUGUGCUACUAAGAGGGUAGUUCUGAGAUCAGAGAAUGAUGUAGAGGUGGUUAUGAUCAGAGAAUGUCGAGAUUACUUAUCCAAUAUGAUAUUCGCUCUUAUGGCCAAAAAGUUGGUUUAAAAAUGAGUGUAAAUCAUAUUUAGCUUUUAUGAGUGACUCAACUUUUGUGGGUUCAUCAAUUGGGGAUAUUCAAAUAGUUAAAUAGUUUUCAGAUGUUUUUCCCGGCGAGUUACAAGACUUGCCUUUAGAUAGGAGGUCAAGUUCGGUAUCUAGCUUCUACUGGGUACAGCUCUGGUGUCCAUCGCUUCUUACUGUAUGGCAUCAACAAAGCUUAUGGAGUUAAAAGCUCAGCUUCAAGAACUUUUUGAUCGAAGGUUUAUCCAUCUUAGUAUGCCUCUUUGGGAAGCACUAGUUUUACUUGUAAAUAAGAAGGAUGAUAUUAUGAUGAUAUGUAUCGACUACCGAUAGUGGAAUAGUUUUAUUUGCUCUCAUGACAUCUUCUUUCCUAAUUCAAUGUACUCUAGAAAUUUCCAAUGAAGAUUUACAAAAAAAGAUGAUAAUCUGAACUUUAUGACAAUUUCCUCACAAUCAAGCUAAAGUUUUCCUAUUCAGAAGCUUUUAUGGAAAAGUCAACUUUCCUCAUCACAUACAAUCUUUAUCAUAUGUAAGUUUUUUUUAAUAUAUUAUAUGUGAUUUAUGUUGAAUAUAUUCAAUAUAUUUUGAAAAACCAACAAGCUAAUCAUGUAUACAUCAUUAGCAAGAACAAUAAACAAUAUCAAAUUUGUACCCAUGAUAUUUGUGGACUUGCUGCUGUAUUUUCAUCUUAAAGUAAGAAUUAAGAUUUAUGUAAAAUGACUAACUUUAUGUGUAGGGUUUUAUGAUGGGAAACAACUCAGAAACCUUCUUUCAACUGAGUUUAAAAAACAAUAAUAAUGCAUUUUAGAAUUAUCUGGAAAAUAUCCAAGCAAAGCAAAACCUAUUCCAUGAUGAAUGCUUUUUCGCUUGUUUGCCAACUUACAUUUUUAGUUUUAAGAGACAAACAAAACAUGAUUAAUUGUUCCUUAGACUCGUCUAAUUAAACACGGUUUAUGCCAUAUAUUAUAUAUGAUAACAAAAGAAUUCUUUCUAUGUGAAAAAAUAAUAGUCAAUAUAUUAAAUAAACAUUGAGUAUUAAGCACGAAUUGCAGAUUUUAGUGAGAGCGAAGUGUACUCUAGUUUCAUCAAAUGACACAAAGCUAGAGGAAUAUGACCAGUAAAACUAUUAUUAGUGAGGGAUAGAAGGCUGAUCUUAAGGUAUUCAACUUGAGGUAUUCGAUUGUAACCUUCUUAACUCGGCCCAUAUGUAAUGGCCGAAUUUUGAAGAUUACAUUGAUCACCGAAAUGGCCUAAUAGAACCAAUUAGAUUUGAAAAUAUUUUUUUACUAACUUUAAGAAAAAUUAAUGUAACUACUUUGGGAUUAUCAAAAUGCUAGAUUAUUCAGUCUGGUUAACUUAAGAGUCCAAUUUAAGAAGUGUUGUGACAUUUUGAGAUAAAGUUAGUUGAUUUUUGUAUGAGGGAAUGUGAUUUUUAUGGUGAAAAGUACUAAGAUUAAGAAAUGAAUAUUUAAUCUACAAAUAAACAUAAGUGUCUAAAUUGUAUAAUUAAUCAAAAAUAUGGCAAUUAUGUGUGAACGAAUAAAAGAUAGUGCAAAAAACCACGGAAAAGAAAAUAUUUUAUUCAUUAAAAUAGUUUGGAUAGCAGCAUUGACUUAAUUUUGAAAAUUUACCAAAAAUUAUAGAAAUUUAGUUAGAGAUUGAAUUAAAUAUUUAAUUAAAUCUUAUUGAGUCUAGUUUCAUAUGGAAGAAACUGGGAAAGAAACGGAAAUUUAUAUUUUUAGAUAUAUUAACUUUUGUGAAACAAGGUCAAAGUGGAUUAGGGAUCAUGUAACACCCUGAAUUUUGGGCCUAGAAGUUCUGGGUUUUAAGUGUAGUGACAGUGAGGAGGUUGCACACAUAAGUUAAGUUGUGCAAUUUAGUGACAAGAAUAGGCCUGUUGGUCUGGUGGUUAAGUGGAGUGUUAGUUUGUGUUGUGGACUUGAGUUCGAGUUCUUGUGUGUGCACUUUUAGAGAGCCUUUUAUUUUGUUCUACUUUAGUUAAUAAUUAUAAAUGUUUAUUUGUUUUAUUAUAUUUUUAUUUGUUAUUUGUUUUAUUGUUAUUUUCUUUCAUUUUUGUUUUAUUUUUGUUCUCUUUUUACACUUUUUUUUCUUUUUAUUCUUUCUUUUUCUCUCUGUUCCUUUUCAUUAUCCUCUUGGCCUUCGAAAACAUUUUGUUGGUGAUCGCUGGAGUUACUCUCCUUCGACUUCGUCUCUAAACACAAACUGGUGUGGGAUUCGAAUUGAAACUACAUUUGUUUUAUUGCUUAAUUGAUUUUGCAACCUUAUUAAUCUGAUAUUUCUUGAUUGGAUGUCAAAACGAGGGAUUUGGGGUUUUUAAUCGAUGGAAAUAAUGAGAAAUCACCACUUUCUAAUAUAUUUUGAUAGGGCAAAGGUUAGGGACGAUUAUGGAGGCUAAAACAAUAUUUUUAGGGAUAUUUUGGAGGGUUUUCGUGACUUUUCAGGUAGCCACACGGGCGUGUACCGAGGUACACGGCUGUGUGGAUUUGGGAACUAAGGUUUUCUAAAACAUUUGGAUGCCACACGGCCUGGCCACACGGUCGUGUUGUCGAUUUAGGGAUCUUGUCAAUUUUCACAUGGCUGUAUCCCUUGGGCGGCAUAUGAGUUUGGAAAUUAGGGAUUUGAGAUUUGGAGCCACACGACCAUCUAGCUGAUUUGGGGAUUUAGGGAUCCCACACGGGCGUUUGAGACCUUCACACGGCUGUGUCUGCCCUGCACUCUAUUUUAGCGAAUUUGGACAGUAAGUUACACGGCCUGUCUACACGGCCGUGUCCCUUCACCACACGGGCGUAUGCCUCUGUCACACAGCCAUGUGCUACCCUUCACACGGGCAUUUGGACCCACACACGGCCGAAGCACAUGGAUGUGUGGCCCUAUCUCUCCAAAUAAUGCUUUUAGAUCAAAUUUAAGUGUAAUCGCAACACUGCGUACUCCAACCCUUGACUAAGCUUUACUGAGGGUAAUUAUGAGUUUGAUUUAGGCUUGAUAUGUGUGUUAUUUGUGAUUGAUUUUGUGAUAAGCUUGAUACUGGAUUCGAGUUAUGAGUGUGCACGUGCCUGAUUCUGUAACUGAAUGACUGGAUGUGAGUGACUAUUUCUGAAUGACUGACUAAAAAUAGUAUUCUGAUUUUGGUACAUCUGACUGGAUAAAUACAUACAUGUGAAUAAAGUGUUUUGGGUGAGGUUUUGAAUAGAAAGAAGAUUGACUGAACUGAACUGGCAUCUGAUCCGUUGGUUAUUAGCCCCUAAAACCCAGAGGGUCAUGGGCGGUCCCAAUACCCUGAGGGUUGUGGACAAUUUGAUUGUACUGCGAAUUACCACACUGCACUGUACAGUACAUACGUCAGCAUCACUGCGUAUCAUUGACUAAACUGGCAGUUUUACUACAACCUAACGGUAUAGCGAUUUACCGCAUUGCGCUAUACCGCAUGUACGUUAGCUAUGCUACGUACCAUUGACUGAACUGGUAGUUUUACUGCAAUCUAUUGGUAUAGCGAAUUUUCGCAUUGCACUGUACCGCAUAUACGUUAGCUACACUGCGUACUACUAUCUGAUCUAGCAGUUCAUAUUGCAUGUCUAUACUGCAGUUUAUCACAUUACACAGUAAAACUUAUACGCUAGCUUUGCUACGUAAUAUACGAGACUAGUAGUUUAUCUGCAUACUGUUAGCCCCAAUACCCAGCGGGACAUGGACAAUCCUAAUACCCAGAGGGUUGUGGAUAGUCUUGAUAGCCAUGAUUGCCAGGCUACUCGUGAUGACAUCAGUUGCAUAGUGCAGGGUUGGAUGGGCUUUACGAGGUCCUAAGUGGAGUGAUUGGCGGACGAGCUUGAAAGAUUUUAUGAGGAGUGAUGGGGGACGGAGAGGUGUGUGUUGGCUGGAUGGAUGGGUUUUUCUUAACUCAAUUGCAUUCAUAUGCAUCAUAUUGACUGUUCGACUAAAAUGUCUAAUUGACUGUUUGAUUGAAGUGUCUAAUUGACUGUUCAACUACAAUGUCUGAUUGACUGUUCUACUGAAAGGCACUUGUGCCUUAUGAGAACUUUGUAGACUUUGUCUGCGACUAUCUGACGAGAUAGUUACUGUGACUGUUUAAGAAUUACUACUACUGUGUCUGAAUGGUACGUGAGACUGUGUGUGUCUGAUUGACCCAUAUAAAUGAAAAGUACAUAUGAUGAGUUUGAUUUUAGGUGAAUUCGCUCUAGUGUCAUCUAUCUGUAAGUAUGUUCUGCUUCUAGUUCCUUGUUUCCAUUUUUGUAGUUUAACUGGUUUGAUCUCACACUAACCUCGAGUAGCUCACCCCCUCUUUUGUUUUCCCUUUUCAAAUACAGUUCUGGAUCCUGUUGAUGGACUUAGUACGGGGAGGUCUCAGACAAUCUUGGUGGAAAUAAAUUCUAAGUUCGUGUUUUCAAUUUAAACUACUAUUCGGUUUUAGAACUAUUGGGAUUUAUAAACACUAUGGUACUAGUUUCUACUUUGAUUUCUCUUAUUAAUGUAAUUCUAUUCGAGUUUUAAAUUUCAUUGCAAUGAUUCGAUUUUUACUUAAUAAUGAUUAAAUGUUCUUAACUUGUAAAGGGAUUGGUUUUGUAAAAUUUUUCUACGAUCACUUUGGUGGUCAAUGUAGACACCGGAUUUGGUCUAAACUACUAGGCUGGGUUUCGGGUGUUAUAGUUCCCCUGUUCUGACUUUGAAAAAUCAUAAAAAAAAUUGUAAAAAAAUGAUUAGGGUUUUAAAUUUAUAUUUUUAAAUUCUUAUAAGUCUAUUUUCAAGAGAAAUAAACAGAAACAUCAUCCAAACCCAGCACUAAGAGAAACUUAAUUUUUAGUAAAAAAAAGGUCGAAGCUGUCAAAUAGUAGAAGAGUAACAAAUUUGAAGAAUUUACUGUACUUAUUGGGUAAGUCAUAAAUUUUGAAACUUUUAUGGUAAAAAGAUAUUUGAGUAUAGUUUCGAAAACAUAAAGCGGAUCUUAAUUUCGAAUUUUUUAGCUCAAGAUAUAAAUAAUUUAGACACAUAAGUAAAUAAUGGAAUUAUAGAUAAUGUUACAUAUAAGCAUGUUAUAUACUAAAAGUUAAAGAUUGUAACAAAUAUAUACAUAAAUGAUGUGGAACGGAGAGGAGGAGGAGGAAAAAAAUAUGAAUAUAUAUAUGGUAGAUGAAUUUAAAAUGUUUCGAAAUGGUUGUAAGUGAUGGAAUGAUUAAUACAUGUGAGUAUGUUAAACGAAUUGAUAAAAUAAUAAGUGAAUAAUUGUUAAUUGAUGUAAUAUUGAAUUCUUUAUUAAAAUUUUAUGAAGAAUUAAAUUUUGUAAAAUAUGAAUAUUCCUUCCCAUAAAUAUAUUCAUCUUUAUCCCAUCAUAUCAAUCCUACGAGCUUCUUAUCAAUUCUUAUUCGAUCACGACAGAGACAAGACAAAAACAAAAAUACUCAUAUUAAAUUUAAAUAUAAUUAAAUUUAAACUGAUGACUUCCACCCUGUCAAAAUAACAUUCUACCGCUAAGUUAUAUCCUAUGCCUCAAUCAAGAAAUUUAACCAAUCCUAAGUGAAAGGAUGGACAAAUGUGUAGCGAAACAAAAAUUUCUUCCGUGAAUGUGCGUCUCAUUUUGUAACCCUCCAAUCAUUUCUUGGCAAGUGUAUUAAAAUUAUUUUUAAAAUUAAGUUUGAAAGUAAAGGUUCAAAAAUUAAAUAAAAUUUAAUAAUUUCCAACACUUGUAUCAAAUUAUAUAUAUUAUAUAAAUUACACUUUAUAUAAACAAAAAUAACACUUUAUAAAUGGAUAAAUAAAUGAAACUCCAAAUAUUAAAUAUUUAAUAAUAUACUGCAUAUUUCCUAAAAAAAAUAAUAUACUGCACAUGUUACAAUGCAUUUAAAUGUGACCAUUAAACAUUAAUCUGAUACUAUAAUAUAUAAUUUACAGUACAUUAAACAUUAAUCUGAUAGCUGUUUUUAUAGUAAAAACAAAGGUACUCGUACUUUAGUUCAUCAUUUUUAAUAUUUGAACUGUUUUUAUGGACUGUAGUUGGCCAACACCAUUUGAUCGGAAACAUGUGAAUAUAUUAUGAAUAAAGUACAGUAGAGGUGAUUAAAUUAUUGUAUUUUUCAGUGACUUAAUUAUAAAAAAUUAUAAAUUAUAAAUUUAAUUAUUAAUAAAUUUUUAUUAUUCAAUUAUAAAAAAUUAUAAAAGAGUUAUUUAAUUACUUUAUUUUAUUUUAUUUUAUUUAUCAUCAACUGGCUAACGGAAAAAUAAAAAUAUCUAAAAAUUUAAUAAAGUAAAGUGACUAAAUAAAAACAAAAUUAAAUAAUUGAGUAAUCAUUUAAUAAUAUUUCAUAUUAAGUAAAUAAAAAAAAUUCCAUAAAUGGAUGACAACAAAUCUACUUUCCAUAUAUUAUAUUAUAUUUCAUAUGUAAAAGAAUUUUAUUUGUUAAGAGUCAUUUUUUUAUCCUUCUCAAUUUUCUCUAAAAGUGUAAAUAUACUAAUACUCAUAAAUUAAAUAAUUAUUGAAUUGAUAUCUAACUAUCAAUCCAUCCAAAUUACAAAUAUCCCAUACAUUUAUCUGUCUUUAAAUAAACAAAUGAAACUCCGAAUAUUAAAUAUUUAAUAAUAUACUCCACAUCUUACAAUGCAUUUAAAAAAAAAUGUGAAUAUAUAAUUAAUAGUACAGACAAAGGUACUCCUACUUUUUAGUUCAUUAUUUUUAAUGUUUCAGCCGUUUUUAUGGACUACUCGGCCAACACGAUUUGAUCGCCAACAACUGAAUAUAAUAUGGAUAAAGUAUCAUAUUUACUUAUUCGAUUAUAAAAAAUUAUAAAAAAUUUAUUCUAUUGUUAUUAAUUUUUAUUUAUUAGUUAACUAUAAAAUAAUUAUUUAAUUAUAUUUUUUUGUCACUAACUAAUUAAUAUAAAAAUAGAAACACCAAAAAAUUUAAAAUAGUUAGGUGACCAAAUAAAAAUAAAAUUAAUUAGUUGAGAAAAAGUUUUGUCCAUCCUUGUUCAUGGUAGCCGAAAAUGGAAGAGAAAGGAGAGGAAAAGAGCUCUUGAAUGUUCGGUCACUUGGGGAAGAAAAUCUAAGGUAAGUUCAUGGUGCUUUGCUUCUAUUUUGAUGUUCAUGGGUUUUUCUUGUUUCUACCUUAACCCAUGAAGCAUAUUUUUGAUAUUUGGUUGUGUUGUGAGCAUUCGGUCAUGAAUGGAAAUGAGAGAAAUGGUUGUUGUUUCAUGUUCUUUUGAUGAAAAAUGGAGAAUAGAUGAAGUUGAGCCAAGCAAAUGAGCAUGCAUGUGUCUUAGAUGCUAAGGGGAAAAAUCGGCUAACAUGUUGUGUGUAUUAUGGCCGAAUGUGAACUUGGAUAAUAUUGAGUAAUGUUGUGCUUUAAAAUGAUGAAAGGAAGAUUAUGCUUAAGUGAAGUUAUAGGUAUGUGAUGAUUGAUUUGUGAUAUGCAUGUUUAAAUAACAUGUAUGCAAGGUAUGUGUGAAAGAGUGAAUUGGUAAUAAAUCUGCUUGAGCAGCAGCAGUAACAUGAUUUUGGAAAAUCACCAUAAAUUGUGGGAGAUGAGUUAGAAGCUGAAUAAAUUAUGUAAUUAAAGCUUAAUGAGUCUAGUUUCUUAUAAAAUAAACCAUGUAAGCAAAAUAAUUGCCGAUGAUGAGAUAUUUGAAGUGAUGUGGGACAGGGUCAGAAUGACUUCUAGAUCCUCUGUUCUGUUUUUAUAAAAUCAUUAUAAAUUGUAAAAAAAAAUGGUUAUAAGAUGAAGUUUAUAUGCUUAGACUCCUUAAUGAGUCUAGUUUCAAAUGAAAUAAAUGAGAACAUAUUUUGAAUUUUGUACAAUGAGAAAUUUGAUUCGUAUUGAAGAGUGGUCAGAUUAGUCAAACAGUGAAAUAAGGGAAACUUUAAGAAAAAUAUGGUAUUGAUUGGCCAAACCAAAAAUCCUGAAAAUUUUAUAGGUAAAAUAUAUAUGGGUCUAUUUUCAGAGAAAAUUAACGGAACUUGAUUUGGAGUUUCGUAGCUCCAGUUAUAAAUGAUUUAGUGACUGUUGCUCAGGAAGACAACUUGCAGUGAAAUUAUGAUUAUGUGGUAAACAUUGACAAAAAUUUGUUAAUGAGUUGCUUAUUGAUUUCUUAUAAGCUUACUAUGAUUAGUAGGUGUGAAAGUUGAAUAUAUAUAUAUAUAUUAUAUUUUGAAAGUGAUGCUUGAAUAGUCGAAUAAUGACUAGUUUAAAAUCUUUAAAUUUUAAGCUCAAAAGCAUAGAGGGGCAAAUUCAGAUAAGAGAAAAGAAAAAGUAAUCGAAUAGCCGUUGUAAUCAUUCGGCAACAUUCGAGGUAAGUUCUUAAGUGUUUAAGCUUGAUUCCUUUUUAUAUGCCCAAGAGUUAAAUUAAUAUGGUAAAGGGAAUGUAAAUUUUAUUUAGUUAAUGUGCCGAAUAUGUAAUGAUUUAAGGCUAUAAGCCGAUUAUGGCUAUUAUGCUUAAGUUGAAUUGGAUUUGGAAAUUUGAUGCACUAAAUGAGUGUUACAAUGAAUAAACUAUGCCGUAUAUGUGCCGGUGGAGAUAUCACGAUUUGUGAUUAUUAAAUACCUAAAGGAAACCAUGAUGUGUAUAAAAUUAUUAUUAUUAGUCAUUUGUGAUAGCGGAAUAUGGCUUGGCACUAAAGUGAUUAAAUGUGAACUUCGAUGAGGUAAACCAUUAAAAGUGUGGUGCUAUAAGACUAUGGGCUAAUACGAUAUGUGGAUUCAUUCCGUAAAGUAAAUUAUUCAGGUAUGCGAUAUGUACUUAGGCAUGUUAAAUCGAUUGGAAUUGAUCAUGAAUGUGAAUUGAGAAGCAUAGGUAAAAAUGCCUAUGACAUAUAUGUGAGAAAGAGUAAAACCAUGGUAAAUUAUCGAUAAGGAUGAGCUAUGUGCGGAACCAUCUUAUAAUUGCUAAUUUGAAAGGUUGUGUGCGAAUCAGUGAGCAAUAUGUAUAUAUUAGAUGAAUUGUGACCUUUUGGUUCUACUUGAACUAAGUUGCGCGAUAAAUAAUUUAUGCAUAUGACUUAUAGUCGAAUGGUCACUAUGGGUUAAGUUUGAAUGGUGAAAUGGAAAUGUGAUAUGUUGAAUGAGAUGUGUUAAUACAUAAUUAAAUAUGCAUGAUAUUUGAUGUGUAUCCGGGCUUAAAUAUAUUCAAUAUAUUUUGGAAAACCAGGAAGCAAACCAAGUAUACAACAAUAAACAAUAUCAAAUUUGUUCCCACGAUAUUUGAGGACCUGCUGCUGUAUUUUCAUCUUAAAGUAAGAAGUAAGAGUUGUGUAAAAUGACUAACUUUACGUGUGGGGUUUUAUGAUGGGAAACCACUCAGAAACCUUCUUUCAAUAAUAAUCAGAAAACAUCCAUGCUAAGUGAUGAAUGCUUUUUCACUUGUUUGCCAACUUAUUUUCUAGCUUUUAGAGACAAACAAAACAUGAUUGUGUCUUACACUCCUCUAAUUAAACACGGUUUACGACGAUAUAUCAUAUAUGAUAACAAAAAAAUUCUACAAUUUGAUUCAUUCUUGUGCUUUCCUUCUAUGUGAAAAACAAUAGUUAAUAUAUUAAAUUUCACGAAACUCUGACAAAAUACUGCAAAAGUUUAUCGAGAAUUAAUUUUUUAUGGCGAAUUUCAUAUGGAAAAUUCUAAUUCAAGAGUUUUAGAAGUAAUUGCUGGGGUUUUAGUAGUUAAUAGGUUUUGAAUGAGCUUGGAUUAAGUUGAAAGAGAGGAAAAUUUGAGUUAAUUGAGGUUUUUGGACUAAAUUGCAAAGUUGCUUCAUCUACCAUGGAUUAUUGGGCAAAACUAGUGAGAUAUUAAGGGUUCUAUUCCCAAUACAUGGAGAUAGUUCUUUCUUUUCUUUGGAUUAAGGGUUAAAUUACAAAUUUCUCUAAGAAUAGGAUCUUUCAAUAAACAACCAAUACAAGAAGGGAUUGAGCCACUUAAUUCGUUUUGGGAGAGCGAAAUGUACUCCAAUUUCAUCAAAUGACAUAAAGCUAGAGGAAUAUGACCAUUAAAACUAUUAUUAGUGAGGGAUAAAAGCCUGAUGUUGUUCAAAAUUUCAAAAUCUUCAAGGAUUUCAACUAUAACCUUCCUAAUUAAGUCAAAUGGACUAUAUUGACUAUCGAAAUAGCUUUAUAGAACUAAUCAAAUUUGACAACAUUCUUUUUGACAAACUUUUUGGAAAGCUUAAUGCAACUGCCUUGAGAUUAUCAAAACAUCAUAUUAUUAAAUUGAGUUAACUUAAAAAUCUAAUUUAAUAAGUGUUGUGACAUUUUGAGGUAAACUUAGUUCAUUUUUAUUUUGUUAAUUUGCCUUCUUCUAAAAUUUCAAUUCCAUUAGGUAGUGGAAAAAGUCAAACUAUCAAUUUUACCACUAUUGGACAAAUGUGUAGCGAAACAAAAUUUUCUUCCGUCCAUCGGCGUCUCAUUUGUAUCCAUCCAAUCAUUUAUUGGCAAGUGUAUAAAAAUUAUUUUUAAAUUAAAUAAAAUUUAAUAAUUUCCAACAGUUCUAUCAAGUUAUUAUAUAAGAUACUAUACUUUAUUAAACAAAUGAAACUCCGAAUAUUAAAUAUUUAAUAAUAUGCAGCACAUUUCCUUAAAAAAUAAUAUACUGAACAUGUUACAGUGCAUUUAAAUGUGACCACUGAACAUUAAUCUGAUAGUAAAAUAUAUAAUUUACAGUAAAAACAAAGAUACUCAUACUUUAUAGCUCAUCAUUUUUAAUGUUUGAGCCGUUUUUAUGGACUGUAGUUGGCCCACACACGGCUGUGUGUCGUACAUGGCCUAUCACGUGGCCGUGUAGAGUUGAAGACCACAAUUUUGGUUUUUGCUGUUCUUUUUUUUUUUAGGUUUUUCGUUGCACACUGUAACAUCCCUAACCCGUAUUCGCUACUGGAUUAGGAUUACGGAGCAUUACCGAAACAUAACAUCAUAUAAUGAACAAUUUAUUAUCAUAAAUAAAUCACAAAUUAAAACAUUACAACAUCAAUCAAAAACAUACGUAUAGUCCAUUAUACGAGCCUACCUUAUUUAUUUUUACUUUUUUAAAUUUCUAACAUAAUUGUGUAUCUGCUUCAGUGGGUAAAAGUUCUGGGUGUGUGUGAGAGGUCCCAAGUUUAAUCCCUACCUUUAGCCAAUUUUUGUAUAUUUUUGGCUCUAAACCCUAUCUUUAUUCAGUGGGCUUAUAUUAAAUAUUUGUAAAACCAUAUUAGAAUGACCCUGCUAGUUUGAGUGAUAAGGGUGUGAGUAUGUUGAAGAUCCUAUGUUCGAAUCUCUGUGUGAGCGAGGGUAUUUAUUUUUGCUCGAUUUUUGGUUAGAGUCUUGAUGGAGUUGGAUUUUGAGAAGUUGGUUGUUAGUAGGUUACUGUGGAGUAAUCUGGGGGAUUUGGGGAGUUAUCUAUUAUUUAUUUUCUUUUCUUUUUGCUAAAAAAAUUCUCCCACCUCCAAAGAAAAUUGACGUCUAGUUCCUGUUAUUUUCCCCAAAUUUCAUUUCUCUGACAUUUUUUCUUCUUUUCUUUGUCUUUCACCUCCAAUUUUUGUUGCCUUCCUCAGAUUUCUGUUGGAAUUUCUUGUUCAAUCUUUAUUACUGUGUUUUCUGGUUCUUUUUGGCUAGUAAGUAAAACCUUACUCCCCUCUUAACUGUUGGUUUGGGGAUUCUAGUGAUUAAUCAGUGGAACUUCGUGUUUAUGAACAAACAGUGGAGCAGAAUUUUGCACUCCAAUGGGUUAGUGCAUGUUAGACGUGUUUCUUCGUUAAUGGUAAGUCGGGUUCAUGUUGAUUAUAGCUGUCAAUUUCAUUGUUUUUUCCCGCUAAACCGAAGUUGGGUGCUCUAUUUUAGGUUUUAGAAGGCUCGGGAUUACUUUAGCAUCGAAUAGAUACCAGGUGUGUACCUGAAACGCAAAAAAUGAGGUUUCAGCAAAAGGCAAAAAUGGCCACUGUCGAUGCCAUACAGGCGUGUGGCCAGCCGUGUGGAUGGUCGUGUGCGAAGACAUAGCUGUGUGGUCGAUGAAUGCAUGGCUGUGCACAAGACAAGACAAUGUGGUGGCUUGAGUGUGGUUGUGUGGGCCACACGUGCAUGUGGGCCCACAUUGGUAUGCCACACUGGCAUGUGGGCCCAAAAUUUUGAAAUUUCCCUAGGGUUGCGCAGGUCAUUCCAAUCGACUGUGGACCUUCCAUAGGGCCGGUAAGGGUUAACCAAACCCUAGAACUAUGGAUUUGGUAGUUGAUAUUCUAUUCCGAGUAUGUGUAAAGAAUGCAUGUCUGAUUGUCCCGUUAUCUAUAUGUAAGCAUGUUGAACAUGUCUAAUCUGUAUUUCUGUAUCUGAUUUGGGUGGGAUUUGUUCAUGAGGAGGAAGUGUUUUGUUUGGCGUUAAUCGUUUAUAUUCUGGCAGCUUGGCUGCAUAUAUUUAUUCUGAUAUUUGUCUUAAUGGCACAAUGUGGCGUGUAGGGAUGGGUGAGUGUUUCUAACCCUAUAUGGUGUGAUGGGAUGGUCAAAGAUGGUGUGUAGAGGAUGGGGGUAGGAUUUAUGCAUAUCUGGAUCUGAAUUUGAAACUGUAUCUAUAUCUGACUAUGUUUGUAAUUUUUUAUGUUUGCAUGCUUAGUUCUAUUGGGUUACAUACUGAGUUUACGUAAACUCACAUCUGUUUUUUGUUUUGUCAGGUAAUCUACAGACUUAGCGGUGUAGAGGAUGGGUGUAGCAGAGACUCAGCGGUGACCACUCGACCGUAAAUUGUUAAAACUUAGUUAUUUAUCGUUUAUUUAUGAUUUUGGUUUACAUUUGAGAGUUUGUAAUUUCUGGGACUCUAUGGACUAUUUUUUUUUGUUUUAUAACUGUUGGUUUUGGUUUUAUAUAUUUGUUUACUUGCAUGCUUCGAUAAAAUGCUUUAUGAUAACGAAGGUUUUAUAAUAAUAAAGUUUUUCUAAAAAUACAAAUCGGGUUUCUGAAAGGUAUUGAUUUUAUUAGGCUUUCGCUGUAGAUAAGUUUUGGCAAAGAAAACAAUUAAUUAACGUUUCUGAUUUUGGUUAUAAGAUUUUGUGAUAAUAGACUAAGAAGAGUUAACGUAUCAACUCCAUUUUCAAAACUCAUUCUUUGUGACAUCUUCAGAUUCGGUCAUAACAUUUAGGCCGGGUUUGGGGUGUUACACUCGAGGCCCAAAAUAGACAUUGAAAAUGAUUUGGGACUAAAUUAGAAACAUGUGAAAUUUUUCAAAAAAAGUUAAAAUUUUUCAAACUGCAGGUGUCACAUGGCCUUGUGGCCAGGCCGUGUGACUUACAGCCCAAGAGACAUGCUCGUGUCUUAGGUCGUGUGGGCAUUCGAAAUAGCGACACAUGGCCGUGUCCCAUGCCGUGUUUGCACCUAUGUAACCCACUGACUUGGGCUACACUGCUAAGUUACUCGCCCAUGUUCCAAGCCGUGCACCUUUUGAAAUAACGUCCCACUCCCGUCUGCCAGGCCGUGUGCUAGGCCGUGUAACAGCCUGACUUGCAACCCUUUGAAAGCUACAGGGGACACAAGAUCGUGUCGCUUGGCCGUGUGUCACACACAGCUGAGACAGACGCUCGUAUCUCUGACUGUGUGGACAAAAAAUAGAUAAUUUUCAUGCCAUUUUUCUCACCCAAAAUCAUAACUCAUUCACAAACUAAUUGCAUCUAAAAUCAAGCAUUCAAAACUCACUUUGCAUAUGCAUAUCCAAGCUUGAACAACCUAGAAUCUAACCAUUCAACCAAUAUUCCAAAAUGGAACCUCAAUUUCAACAAAUCAAUUUUACUUAAACACCUAACCAUUUCAUUCCACAAUUAAACUACUAGUUGGAUCAUCCCAAUGCUAUAUUUGCCACAAUGUUCAUAAACCAAAUAUGCAUACAUAAUCAAUACAAAAUACCAUAUUCAUAACUAACCUAUACCAUACCAAAUUGACCAAAAGAUGAUCAUUUUCAAACUACCAAAUCAAGUCAUUAGCAACAUUAUGGACUAUCCCUUUUUACACCAUUCAACAACUCAUAUUAUAACAUUUCCAUAACACUUCCAUAUAAUCAUUUUAGCCAACACAAUAUUAAGUUACAAACCACACAAGAUACCACAUAAAUAUACAUCAUACCAAAUAGAUCAUCAACCAUAAUGUCAUUUAUAUACAAUCCACACUUAAUGACUAUAAUUCAUCAAACAAAAUAUCUAUAUAUGCCAUUAUAACCAUGACUCAAAAUCUUCAAAAUAUAUCGAUAUAACCGAUGGAUAGUGUGAUGAAAUCUUUGGCAAAUUCUAACCCUAAUGAGGUUCCAAUUAUCUAGAAACACAAAGGAAAAAUACCACGAAGUAAGCAUAUAAUGAUUAGUAAGUUCAUAAUUCAUAAAUAAAGCUUACCAUUCAUUUUAUAAGCAUAAAAAUAAACUUGAAACUAUCCAACAUGGCUUGGCAUUAGCCUAAGCAAUAACAACCUUUCGAGUUAGCAAAUGACAUAGCAUAACAAAUCAACUCAUAACAUCAUAGCUUUUAAACAUAUUACUUCAAAGCAUUCAUACUUUCAACAAAUUGCUGAGCAUAUUUCAUUCAUUAGCAACUCAUACCUUUUCGUACUUUCAUAAUAUCACUUAUUGGAGCAUUUGUUGAACCUUCUCUUUUUCAUACCUGUUGAACCACUAGAAUAAAAUCGGAUACACGGGAAUCUCACAAAGCAAGUACCCACAUGUGGUCGAAACCACUACUAACUCAUAUCUCAUAUCAAUGCUUUCUCUUGAGCCAUAAAUGGGUCUGCUCACACAAGCUGUCAGUCAAGACGUAGCUAAACAGUACUGCUCACACAACCUGUCAAGUAACCGCAACACAUGCUAGAAACUCAGCCAUUAGUAGGACGUGCGAGACCAGCACCCAAAACACUGUAACCCUUAAUGGCAUGUCAUUUGUAUCCUAUAUAUUUCUAAGGUUCAAACGGGAUCCAAAAGUUGCCAAAACUUCAUUGGAUAUUUCCGUAGUGUCGUAAUUUCAGUAUAUAUAAUGUAAAGGCAUUUAAACCAAACAUAACUCAAUGCUAAUUAAAUAUACGAACUUACUUCAAACAUAUACAGAGAAAAAUGAUUGAUUAAUCCAAUACUUUUUCUUUUCCCCAAUCUAAAUCCGUAUGUUGCUUUUCUUGAUCUAUAUAAUCAAAUUUAACUCAUUCAAAAUUCAUUGUAUUCAAUUUAAUCCAAAAAUCAUGUUUUGGAAAAAUUACACUUUUGCCCCUUAAAUUUUAAAUUCAAUACAAUUUAGUCCCUAACUCAUAAAAAUGAAAAUUCAUGCAAUUUAAUACCCAUUAUGGUCGAAUAUCACCUAGGCCCUUAGCAAGCCCUAUACUUCAUUUAUUUCACAAUUCCACCACGAAUAACUUUCUAUUUUUCAAUUUAAUCCCUAAUUGACAAAUUCAUCAAAAUUUCCUUUACAAAAGUUCUUCAACUAUCACCAAACUUUCAUUUUCAUCCAUCAAGCAUAAAAACAACUAACAUGCAUUCAUGGUAAAACCCUAAAGUUUUAACAGUUUUGCAAAUUAGUCCUUAGGCUAGCUAGAUUAAGUUACAACGACUCCAAAAACAUAGAAAUCAUUAAAAACCGAGCAAAAAUACACUUACAUGCAAGAGAAGUAGUUGGCCAAAUGCUUGAAUGCCCGAAAAUGGUGUUUUUCCUAUGUUAAAAAUUGGCUAAGAAAGAAAAAAAGAUGAUAGCCUUUGUUUUAAUUAUUUUACUAACUUUAUUUAUUAAAUUACUUAAAUAUCCUUUAAUUAAACCUUUAGAAAUCACUAAAAUAAUGUCCAUCUUUGUCCACUAAGUAAAUUAAUUGUCUAAUUACCAUAUAAGGCCACCCAUAUUCCAAUUUCAUAGCAAUUUGACACAUUUUACUUAUAAAACUCAAAUUUUGCACUUUAUACAAUUUAGUCAUUUUCAUCAAAUUAAACAUACAAAUGAUAAAAUUUCUUCACGAAAUUUUUAUACGAUGUUACUAUCAUGCUGCAGACAUUAAAAAAAUAAAUUUUUUGAUGUCAGAUUUUUGGUCCCGAAACCACUAUUCUGAUUUCACUAAAAAUAGGCUGUUACACAUAACUGGUAAUUUUUGGAAACGAACUUGAACACAAGCAAUUCCACACCUAAAUCGCCAAUUAACACAACUGAUUUCAAUAAUGAUUCGCACAACUCUAAUCUUUUGUUGAAACCAUUUUUUACAGGGUUUGAAAAAAACGGGGCUCAACUUUAAAAAAAUGAAAACUGGGAGUCGCCACCAAUCAGUUUAAGUGUGAUUGAACCACCUUCAAACUACUUUUUGUUUGAAAAUCAUUUGUUUUGGUCUACAAAAUCAAGAAAAUGGGUUUGGGAGUCGAUUACGUACGAGGAAGGGUUAGCACCCUCGUAACGCCCAAAAAAUUGGUACCAAAUUGAAUAAUUUUAUGUCUUUAAUGUCAAAAGAUUGAAAGAAUUUAGAAAUAAAAUCUCUUUUUUUUAAAACCAUAAUUAUUUGAAAAAGAAAUCAAGAUUCCUUCGCUUCAAAAGAGUAUAAACAUCACAUCCAGCAUGAUUGGACAUGAUAUCUUUAAACUUUCGCAACCGAAAUCAUCUUGUAAUUUGUGAAACUCGUUUAAAAAGAUAUUUUUAGACAUUUAGACAAACGGGAAAUCGCAACCCAGCAUGUUAGGGCACCACUUCCCGAAUUCCUAAAUACCAAAAGCAUUGCCUCACUUUUUAAAAUUCCUUUUGGAUUAAAUGAGAUAUGAUUUUUUUGAAAAUAAUGAUGUAUUUUACAUAUUAAAAGAAGUUAGUACUAAAUAAACCUAGCUACAUAAUACAUGCUUUAUCAUUUUAUGCGAAUAUGGUAUAGAAAAUGAUAAAUAAUAACAUAACUCAUAUAAUACAUUAGUAUUUCAUGCAUAUAUAAUCAUAAAAAAUGUGCAUACAUUAUCAUUCCAUGAAAGAUACAAUGUGACAAAUAAUAAAUAUAAUUAUAUAACUACAUAAUAUGUAUAUGUGCAACAAUAUUCCAUCCAAAUGUAUAAAAACGAUAAAUAAUAUAAUAAUAACAAACAAUUUACGAGAUAAUAUUAUUAUGGCAAUAAAUAGUAAAGAAAAUUUAGACAAUGGUUAAUAUAUAUAUAUAUAUAUAAAUGUAUUGUAUGAUUUAAUAUAUUUAGUAUAUAUUUAUAAAAAAUAUUAAUAUAUUACAUGAGAACAAAAUUUCACAUUAAAUUUAAAAAUAUUACAUAUUAGAUUUUAAAUAAUAAUAUAUAAAAGUGUAAUUUUCAACAAUAAUUUACAAAAUUUUAAAUUAUACAUAAUAAACAGUUAAUAAUAAAAUGAUAUAAAAUAAAAUAAUAAAUAAUAAAAAUGAUAUAAUAUAAAUAAUGAUUUACAUAUAUAAAUAUAAUAAAAUGAAUUAUAAAGUAAAAAAUAUAUAUAAUAAAAUUUAUAAGAAACGUAUAUAAUAAAAUAAAAUAAUAUAUGUUAUUUUUAUAUAACUAAUGUUUAUAAAAUAGAUAAUACAUUUAAUAUUUUAAAAAUAAAUUAUAUAUAUAAAGACUAAAAUUGAAUUAAAUUAAAAUUAGGGCUAAUUUCAAAUAAAUGAAAAUUUUGGGCUUAAUUGGAAUGCGUAUUAAAAAUGAGGGACUCACUGGGCAAUUUGUCCUAAUCCCAAAACGACGUUGUUCUUCAAAAUGAAUUUUAAGGGCCGUUAGGAUUAAAUUGAAACAACUAUAAAAGAUUAGGGCCGAAUUAAAAUAAAAAUAAAAUGAAAUUAUAAAGACUAAAAAUGCGAAAGGACCCAUUGGGAAAUUAGCCCAUUUUCCAAAAACACGCGGAUCCUCCCCGGGUCACAGGUCAACAUGCGGAUCCUCAGCAUUAAUACGACGCUGUUUUGAAGCUUAUUGUUUUAAGCAAAACGGCACCGUUUUGUUAAGGCUAUAUAAGCCAAAUUUCAGUUUUGAAAUCAUUUUAAAAUCUGAUUUUAAAAAAACAAAGAAAACCCUCUGAAGGAGGGCUGAGGAAGGGUUCCCGGAGUUCUUUUGAACCUCCGGCCAGAGGUUUGCACGCGCCCACGUGCCACCGUCAACAGUGCUAUGUACGGCGGCCAGAAGCUGGAAAGCUUCCUGUUUCACCGCAAAUUGAAACGGUACAUCCCUUUUGUUCUAUUUUUGUUUUUUGAAUAUGUAUUUAGAGAGAAAAAAGAAAUAUAGUAAUCACCUAUGUAUUCUUAGAUCGAUUGCUGAUUUCUUUUAGUGUAAAAUGCGUUCUGUUUUUAUUGAAUCUUCGUGAAAAAAACGUGCGCUUACAGAUUAAAAAAGAAAGGCUUUUAUAGCCCUUUGUAAAUCAUUACAAUUUGGGAAAGAAAUCUUUGAUUUCUUUCCAGAUUUUGCUCCUAUUUUCUGUUGUCGUUCUUUCCAUUUUGCAGAUACCAGCGAGAAUAUCACGGCAGUGAUUGCACUAUCGCUGAUUCGGGCACCGAUUGCGGCGUGGUACAAGGCUGGAGUCACGUCGUCGAUGGAGGAUGAUGAAAAGUCACUGGAAUGGCGCCUAAACGAAAGGUUGUGACUUUUGGUGUUCCUGCGGCGCCUAGGGUUUCAGAAACCCUAGGCCUUUCCAUGUUCUGUUAACAAUUUGGGCCAUUUGGGCCCUGUAUGUUUUGGGUUAAGGGUGUAUUGGGUUAAUAGAUUUUGGGCCAAGGGUUUAGGCUAAUCGGGUCUUGGGUGUAACCGGGCAUAGGGCUUUUGGGCUAACCGAGUUUUGAACUGUAAAUGGACUAUUUUUUUGUUUUAGUUUUGGCAAACUUUGUUUAUUUAUUUUAUGGGUCCGGGCAAAAAUGGGCUACUACAUCUUUAAUUACCCACAAUCAACUAAAUGGCCCUUCAAAAAAAUACAUCCACGCGCUUACCGACUGAACGAACGCCUACCACGCAAAUCUCAAGUCGCUGGAGAAUCAACACAAUACUCACUAGACCGAUUUAACGCAACCCAACAACCAACAUGAUUACAAAUAACACAUAGAAUAAAAAAUGAACUUAAACAUCUUACCCUUCGAUUUGUAGUUAAAGAAAAUUGAACCGUUAUCUCAAUAAUUAAAGCAGCUCCACGAUUAAAGGAAAAGAAGGACAAAAUUUAAAGGACAAAGAACUAACGAAAAGAAAAAGAAAGAAAUAGAGGCACAAAGCAAAAUCAAUUAAAAAAAGAAAAAUAACUUGGGAAUGGCGGCGUGGAUUUGAGGAGCAAUAGAUACAGACGUGGGAAGGACCAACCAAAUUUGGGAGUAGUCCAUUUUUCUUUUAAUAAAACAGAAGAAAUAAUAAUAAAAAAGAAAUAAUAAAAAUAACCAUAUCACCUUUUUUUUCUUUUCUAUAAUAAAACUCUUUAAUAUUAGUUCAAAUUCAAAUCCAACAACCUACAACCCCCAAAUCUCAUCCACAUCCAUAUUCAAAUUCAAAUUUUGGCUCGACUGGUCUGGACAUUUCGCGUCGCCAAUUUCGUGCGGCUGUACCCCAACUUCGUUAGGAUUGGAUCUGCACCUCCUGUAUGCGAGGCAGGGUUACAAGCUUAGUCAUUCAAUUACCCUUCAAAAGGGUUCACAUAUAUAAACACAUCUCACUUUGGUAUUUAACCAAUAUGGAAUCUAAGUCUUUACUUUUUCUCAAUAAUAUUUCAAGUAGCUUACUUUGAACAUCUAUUUCUCAUUCAUCACUCAACCAUUUUGAGCAUGUGAUAUACUGUUGUAAAGGUCUCAUGGAGUAGAAUAUGAAACCAUAAUUUUUUAAUUCAAGUCUCCACCUUUACCUAUUGAGAAUAUGCCUCAAAGCUCCCAUAAAAGAAUUUUUUCCAACUAUUCCCCAUAUGAAGAAAAUUAAUAGUUUUAUUAAAAAAAUAGUGACUCAAUGUGGUGAUAGAAUCUACGAUCGAUAGUUGCUUAGCAUAGGUAGGUAUACACCCUUGAACCUUCCCUUGCGAAAGUAUAUUUACUUUACUAUAUUACUAAUAGAUGUGAUGUCCUUAAAUUGUUUUGCCUUUUGUGUAAAUGGUAAUAUACCUCACACAACUACCUCCUUGGCAAGGUUUUAAAUCUCAUGGGUAUGUUCAUAUAGCCAUGAACAUCUCCUGGUUCUACAAGAGUUUAAGAGAACUAUGCCAUAAUAGUCUCUUUGAAGUAGACCUACAUCUCCUACAUAGGUGACUUGUAACGGCCCAAAAAUCCUUAAUAAUUUAUUUUCGUAUGUUUGUGACACAACUAUGUAUCUGCUUCAGUGGUUAAGUGUUCUGGGAGUGUUUGAGAGGCCCCAAGUUCAAGCCUUAGCUUGGGAAAAAAAUUAUUUUCAAUUGAAUAAACCCCUAUCUCUAAUCAGUAGGCUUAUAAAUAAUUGUUGGUAAAAUAUGUCAAAAUGGCCUUGCUGGUCUAGUAGUUAAGUGGAGUGUUAAGUGGCUGGAGAUCUGAGGUUUGAAUCUCUGCGCGUUCAAAGGGGAUUUAUUUUUACUACUUGGCCAUGGAAGAGUUGUGUUUGACCAAAAUUCUGCAGAGUUUGGGUGGGAUUUGAAUUCGGUGGUUGAGGGGAUUGUGUUGGAGUGAUAUAUGGAGAAAGAUGUGGAGGAAGGAGUUGUGAAAGAACCGAAAUUGGUAGUGGCAAUUUGGCCACUCUUCCUCAUUCUCCUAAAUUUUCAUUCCUGAUAGUUUUUCCUUUUUUGCCUAUAGUUUCAUUGCCGAAUUUUUUUGUUGCCACAAACUCUUCCCUUCGCUACUAAUUUUCUACUUUCUAUCACUACCUAUUCAUCUUUUUCUUUUUCUUAUUUUAUUCACUGCAGUUUUUUUCUUUUUUUUCUCCCCGUAAACCUCUGUCGAAUCUUCCCCAUUAUUUUUUGGUCUCCUUUUUAUGAUUGUUGCUGAAUUCUUGUUCUUCCCCACUCCAAAUUUUCUAUUUCUCUAAAAAGGGGAAAUCGUCAUUGGUUUCUUCUUUGUUCCCCUUGGUCGAAUUUCUUUAGAUCUUUUCCCUCUUUGCUGUACUUUUUCUUUUACUUGCUGCCCAAUUUGGUAUUUGACUUGUCAUCAAAUUCUUAGUCGUUGCAACUCGUUAUAUCGGUGCUUUUGUGCAUUUUAGGUAAAGUUGGUAAGAGUGGACAUUAUUUUAGAUUGAUGAAUCUUUUUCUAAUGGAGGCUUAAAUCGUGUUUAGGUAAUCGAUAAUUGACUGUGGAGGUUUGUUCGAUGCUGAAGAAGUGAGGAAUCACCAUCGUUCAUUCAAGGUAAUAUAUAUGUAAGUUUGGCAUUUAGUUAUCGUAUGCGACUUCGUUGAAGUUAUCGGCAAAUAACUUAAUUAAUGUGUUAAUGAUCAGUAAUAGGUGCUAGAGUACUCGUGGUUACGCUACCUUCGAACCAAUACUAGGAGUGUAAACACGACUCUGGGAAUGAAAAUUGGUGAAAAGCCAAAAAACGUAAAAGUAGACGCCACAUGGGCGGGCGGCCGCUCGUGUGAUAGGUCGUGUGAUCGGACACAGGUGUGUGAUCGAUGAGGGAGGCCAUGUGUGAUUCAUGGGCUGGGCUAAAUUGAGUCGUGUGGGAUUAUUAGGCCAGGCCAUGUGAUCCACACAGCUAAGGCCAUUUUGGGCCUUGUGGGCCACACAGGCAUAUGGGCCCACAUGGGCAAAUUACAUGGGCUUGUAGGCCCAUUUUCAUUGUUUGACUGCUAAGGUUGCACGGGUCGCCUAGUUGACUGUGGACCUACUGUAGGGUCGGUAAGAUUACCCAGAUCCCUAAUUGACUAAAUGACUAUUAUAUCCAUGUACUUUAUAUAUAUACAUGUAUGACUGUAUUUUGAGCACGCUGUUAAAACUGUACUGAAUACAUAUAUGAUACCAUGAUUUGGCAUGACAUGAUUGUAUGAUGCAUUGCAUGGGGAUGGGUUUAUAUGGAUCGGAAGAAGUGUACUGAAAGGCUUGGAGCCUAACUUACUGGCAGCUCAGCUGUAAACUACUGUUUAGUGCCGCAUUCGAUACUUUUUGGAGUGUAGGGAUGGGUGGGUUGAUUAUAUCCCCACAUGGAGUGUAGGGUUGGACGGAGAUGUAGUGUAGAGGCUGGCUGAGUAGGACUUAGAUACUGCAUAAUUUGAUACUGUAUUGAUUACUGGUACUGUAAUGGGCCAAGGCCCAAAUGCAUGAUUGCCUCUAUACUGAGAUGGGUUAAAGCCCAAACUGAUAUUGUCACUGAUUCUGAAAAGGGCUUAGGCCCAGACUUUGAUUGCCUUCUGUCUAUCUGUUUGUUCUAUAUGGGAUUACACACUGAGUUUUCGUAAACUCACCCUUCUGUUUUAACUGUACAGGCAAUCCCCAAACAUAGGCAGAUCGGUGCGGCGGAGGACUCAACGGUGGCUACACUACUCAUUUCAUUCUAUAUUAGUAAUUAAUUAUAAUUUUGAUUUUAUUUUGGGGUAUUUACUGUAAUAUGGCCUCUUUGGAUUUUCAUAGAUUAUUUUGGAUUUUUAUUGUUUUGAUUUAUAACUGCUAGUAGUAGGGACAAUCGAGUUUUCAAAAAUCAGACCUUUUUAACAAAUUACACAUAAAUACACAAACAUUUUAAAGCUUUCGCGAUAAGUGACGUUUUGAAAAUUAAUAACUUUUUGAAAGUAAAUAACUUUUUGAUAAUGAUUCACGUUUUGAAAAUGAACGACACAUCUUAGAAUCAAUGAAAGGUACUAAAAAGAGGACUAAUAGAAAAGAGGGUUUUUCUUUAAUAACAACUUGUUUUAUGAAAAACACUUUAAUGUGACAUCGCCAGAUUCGGCCAUAAUUUCCAUGCUAGGUUUGGGGUGUUACAUGACUUAUGUUGUUCGGCUCAUCAAGACACACAAUGGUCAUUAAAAGCAUUGUUUAAUCUAUCCCAUUUUUAGUCACUAUUUACAUCAGUGGAACUGAGUUGGGAUAAGUACCCCCAUAGUGACCUCUUAAGGUCUACUCAAUUAGGUUGUCCCUUUAAAUCUAGAUAUCAGGAUAUCGAGUCAACUAGGAAGGGUUUUCCUUCACAUAGCGCCUUUUAUUUUCAUAGGCUUUAGUCACAUUCCUUUCGAUGUUUUAUCAACAUGAUCUUAUUUUAAGCCUUUAGUUAGUAGAUUCACAAUGUUAUUUUUUGAUUUUCCAAAAUCAAUAGAGAUAACUUUGUUUGAGGUCAGUUAUUUUAACGGUAUUGUGUCGACAACGCAUAUGUCUCGACUUACCAUUAUAUGUUACGGUAACAAGACACCCCCACACUUUCAGGUGGUUAGAGGAUGGUUUCCUGCCUUUCAAUAGCUUGUGUGAUGUCUUGAUCCUUUUCUUAUGGGGUACCUUAUUUAAAAAGGUAAUUAACUCAUAAAAACGCUCCCCACACAUUUCAUGGGUGAACCAGAGCUCUUUAGUAGUGCGUUCAUCUUUUCCUUUAGUGUCUGAUUUUUGCUCGGCUACUCUAUUUGAGGAAAGUAUGGUGGUGUUAUUAAGUUGUGUACAUUAUUCAAAUGAUUCAACAUAUCCACCACCAUGAUCAGUUAAUCUUUUUAUUAAGUUGGUUUUCAACUUAUUACUUGUAUAGAAUAAAAUUCUCUUCGUUUUGGCUCUUAAACAAAUAUGUAUAGCAAUGAAGGUAAUAAACAUUUUUAUUCCUUCCUCUUGUUUAAACAAGCUUUACAAGCAUUGCUAUGUAUUAGAUCAAGUGGUUUUUGACAUUUGUUAAUUUUGCAUCAACACAUGUUUCACCUUUAUAAUUAUAAAUAUUGUGAAACAAAGGAAUGUUCUCUAAGUUAAUUUAUGUACGUAAAAUAUCAUAAUUAACAUGUCCGAGCCUACUAUGCCCUACAUUAAAUUACUUAAGCAUAUAAACAGAAAAGGAACAACAUUCUUAUUCAUAGUUUUGCUUUUACAAAGAUAGCAUUUAGUUUAAUACAUAUCCCCUUCCCACAAACAUUCCCCCUUUUAAAGAACAUUCUUAUUGAUAGUUCUUGCGUAUGUUAGGCACAUAAUUCCAUAUCUGACACUUCCUUGGAAAUUUCUUCCAUAGCAUUAGCCUCGUUAGCUCUAAUUUUCUUUAGGAUCAUAUAGUCGGAUGAUUUGUGACCCAUAUUGUUUCAAUUGAAGGAUUUUCCUUGAAAUUUUUGCUUCUUGGAAACACCACCUUUUAGUUCCAGUUUAGACCCAUUUUGCGGACAUUUUCCUUUCUUGAAGUCUUUCUUGACUUCUACGACGUUUACCCUAGAAACAAUUUCAUUUGCUGCUUUGUUGAGCCUCUUUUAUGUACCUCUAUUGUCUUCUUCAAUCCGAAAUUUGACAAUUAGGUCUUUCAUUGAUAGUUUCUUUCUCAUUUUUGGCAAUAAAAUCAAAAUGCAAUAAAUCCAUUGAACGGCGGGAAUCAAUCCCGGCACGGAUUCUAUUUUACUCAUUUUUGGAAAUAAAACAAAAUUUUGAAUAAAAUCAUUGAAUGGCAAGAAUCAAUCUCGAAACGGAUUUUAUUUUACUCAUUUUUGGAAAUAAAUAAAAUUUGGAAUAAAAUUGUUAAACGGCGGGAAUCAAUCCCGAAAAAGAUUUUAUUUACCUUUAAUUUCCCAUUUGGAAAUAAAAUCAAAUUAAUGGAAUAAAAUCCAUUGAACGACGGGAAUAAAUUCUGAAACGGAUUUUAUUUACUUUUAAUUUGGAAACAAAAUCGAAUAGAAUUUGUUAAACGGCAUGAAAAGAAUCCCGAAAUAGAUUUUAUUAAUUUUAAUAUUUAUUUGGAAAUAAAAAAAUAAUAGAGGAAAAAGAAAUUUGUUGAAUGAUGGGAAAAUCCCAAAACAGAUUUCUUUAAUUUAAAAAUAAAAAAAUUUAUUUUCGAAAAAUAUAUAUUUUUUAUAUUUUUCCCUUAGUGUCUUGUUCGUCUCGAAUUAUAGAAUUGUAAAAAUAACAAAUUUCGUCUAAAGAUUAUUGGACAAUACACACGUUAGUGAAACAAAAUAGAUAAAUAUAAAUAAAUAAAUAUUUAUAUAACUAAAAUGUAAAUGGAACAAUUUAUAAUUAAAUUGUGAAAUAUGAAAAUCAAACAAAACCGUAAUACAAAGUUGAAAAAAUAAGAAAGAAUAGGCAUUCAACGAAACGUUGAGGCUUGUAAAACACAGUCUUCUUAAGAUAGAUUCUCCCGCUCCUACAGUACUAGGAGUAGCGUUGGUCGAAUGUCUCCCAGGAUACAACAACGACAGUGAUCAAAGUAGUAGCACCUCUACAACGAUCAAUGAACGAACAAUGCCUUUUUCUAUCAUAGGAAUGUUUGAAAAUACGAAGAGGAAAAGGGAGACUUUUGAAAGUAGAAGAGUUUCGGUAAGAGGAAAAAAUUCAAAGAUUAUUUAGUGUGUAAAAACCCUUUAGAAAUCAUGGCCUUUUAGAGGCAUGGAGAUUGUUGGAAUUUUGGAAAAAUUAUCCACAAAAUCUACCAUUAAAUCAAUUUGAUUAAAAAAAUUAAUCAAAUUUAUUAGAAUCAAAUCAAUAAGAUAAGUAUCCUUAUAUAAGCAGAUUAUGUCAUAGGAAUGUUUGAAAAUACGAAGAGGAAAAGGGAGACUUUUGAAAGUAGCAGAGUUUCGGUAAGAGGAAAAAAUCAAAGAUUAUUUUGUGUGUAAAAACCCUUUAGAAAUUAUGGCCUUUUAUAGGCAUGGAGAUUGUUGGAAUUUUGGAAAACUUAUCUACAAAAUCUGCCAUUAAAUCAAUUUGAUUAAAAAAAAUUAAUUAAAUUUAUUAGAAUCAAAUCAAUAAGAUAAGUAUCCUUAUAUAAGCAGAUUAUGUCUGCAGAGGAAAAUAAAUUUAUUAGAAUCAAAUCAAUAAGAUAAGUAUCCUUAUAUAAGCAGAUUAUGUCUGCAGAGGAAAAUAAAUUCGUUUUGGGCUAAAAUAUUUGCAAGCCCAUUUGGACCCAAUCAAUCUAAACAUAUCGCGUUGCCCACAUUAUGCGAGUGCACCCCAAUCCUAUCGGGUUUGGACCCACACCCCUAUGCACAAGACAAAAUUACAAGCUUAAUCAUUCAAUUAUCUUUCAAGAUAAGGAUUCACAUAUAUAAACACAUCUGAUACUUUAGUAUUUACCCAAUGUGGGAUCUAAGCCCUUACUUUUCGUCAACAAUAUUUCCAAGUAGCUUACUUUGAGCAUCAAUUUCCCAUUCAUCACUCAACUAUUUUAAGCAUAUGAUAUACCGUUGUAAAGGUAUCAUGGAGUAGAAUAUGAAAUCAUAAUUUUAUGAUUCAACUCUUCACAUUUACCUAUUGAGAAUAUGCCUCAAAUUUCCCAUAAAAAUAAUUUUCCAACAUUAUCAACAGAAAAAUUAUGUCGAACAACGGCUAAUUUAAAAUUUUAUACUCAAAUUGGGGUUCGUGAUAUAACUUUUCUGAAUGUAAAUUUGAGUAUAAUAUUUAUGGGGUCAUUGAUACAUUGCUAUAUAUCACUCACUAUUUUUAAUAUUAGAAUUGUUUCAAUAUUACUGCAACGUUAUAAGAUUCUACUGAAUGAGACUCUCUAGCUGAAAUGAGUAGAGUCCAAGAUAAUUGGGUUUAUAUUCAACCUAUCAUAUGAGAAAUGUUCUUAGUAAUUUAUUUUGACAAGGUUAGUAAUUUAUUUUGACAAGGUUAAAUAAAUGUACUUUAAAUAUAUGGGCGUAUUGGACGCACAUAUAAAGAGGAGCCCAUUUAAAAUACUGUGAAUCACAUAGAUUUUAUUUGGUUUGAAAAUUAAUUUAGCAAAUUUAUUAAAUAAUAUUAUUUACUAAAUUUAAAUAAAGAAAAAAUUUGGGAUUUAACUUAUGUUACAUUUUUGGAAAGAUGAUUUGUUUUAGGAAUGUUUUGAAUAGAAAGGCAGCUCUCACGUUUCUCUCUUUCAUCAUACUUUUGACUAAAUUUAUAGUGGCUAGCAACCUAUGGUAAAAUUCGAAACUUUCUGAAAACUUCGUUUUUUUUUUAUCGUGAUCAACCGGGUGGAUUUCUUAAGACGUUAGAGCAAAACGCUAUGUUUGUGGUUCGAAUUUGCAUCAAAGCUCAUUAGCAGAAUCAGGUUUUCUUGUACUCAAAUCUGUUUCGAUAUAAUCUCGAAAUAUUUUUUCAACCCAAUUCGUUCCUCGUAUAUAGAUUCGUAGCUUGUGAUCGUCGAAAUUUAUAUUUUCACUGCGCCAUAGACUGUACCAGUGAUCCAACGAUUCUAACCCCUAUUGAGAUUAGGGUUUGUCGCUCAUUAUAUAUAAAUUUGGCUUUUAGGGAUCAUGUGUAUUAAGUACAAUUAUAUGCUAUUUGGAUCUAAAAUCAACUCAUAUAAUUUAACCAACCCAGAAACCAAUUUUCUAUUCCCAAGAUAUUAUUUAUUUAAUUAAAAUUAAUUAAUUUUUAAUUAAAUUAGUUUCUCAACGCGAUGCCAAUUCUGUUAAAGCCAUGAUAACUUUAUCGUACUAGAAUAUAUGAGUAAAAAAAAUUUAUUACCUUUUUCAACAAGACUAAGAUGACUACUUAAUUUAAAUUUCACUUCAAACUUCAAUUAUUUAAUUACAACUGUCGAAACUUUUUUUUUAAAAAUGGUCAACUUUAUAUUUAAAAAACUAAAAUGGGAGCCGCCACCAAUUCUUUUUGGAUGAGGUGUGAUCGGAUCACCUCGCAAAUUGAUCAUUUUAAUAAACAGUUUUGAUUUACUAAAACAACGAUUUUGGUCUACGAAAUUCAGAAAAAUAGGUUCGGGAGUCAGUUACGUACGAGGAAGGAUUAGCACACUCAUAAUGCCCAAAAUUGGUACCUAAUUGAUUAAUUAAUGUCUUAGUGUCGAAAGUUAAAAAAUUCGAAGAAAUUUUAAAAAUAAGAUUCUUUUGUUAAAACAUUACUAACACGAAAAUGACUUUAUUUUUGAGUUAAUCGAGAAAAAAGAUCACGUCCCGUAAAUUAGGACAUAAUCCGAAACAAGAAAUAUCAUUAAAAUAUUCAUUUAAAAAAAAGAUUCAAUUAUCUCGAUUUUUAGAAUAAUUAAAAUUUAUUAAAAUAAUUUUUUGUUUACAACAAUUAAUUUAGGGUUCGAAAAUAUGAUUAUGAAUGCAUUAACAUUAUUAUGAAAACAGUACUAAAUAAUUAUAUGCAGUAGGUUUUUUAUCUCCCUAAAAUGAAAUAUUUUUCAUUUAGACUUUUUAAAAAUUUUAAAAAUUUUAAAUUAAUAAAAAUAAAAUUACACUCUAAUCCACUUAAUUUUUUUUUAUUUUCCCCUUAAUUGUAUGUUAUCCUAAAUUUUGAAAUAAAUAAUAUAAUAAUAUUAAUAUUUAUAAACAAUUCUCAAAAUUCAAAUUAAAAAAUAUUUUGUUUAAUCUAUUGAAAGUAUUGUUUUGCGAUGAAUAAGUAUUGAGUAGUCUCUCCACAUCUCCAUCAAAAUCCAAUAAUUUUUUAUCACUUGAAAGUAUUGUCUUUGUUUAUCUUUAUAAAAAUAUAAAAAAAAUCCUAUUAGAUACUUCAAUAAUUUUUUCCAGAUAUUUAUUAAAAUUUUCUUAACUCAUUGCAAAUUCACGAUGAUAAUAUGUUAAUAAACAAUUGGAGUGUAUAUUGUGUAUUAUUAUUAUUAUUUAAAAUUUAUUAUUUAUUGUAUAUUAUUUAUAAAUGUAUGAUUUUCGUGUGUGUAUGAUAGAAUUUUUAAUUUGAAUUAUAAUACUGUACAAAUCAAAGAACAAAAAAGAAUAAGAAUAGAGAUUAUACCAAAGUAUUAACCUGUAUGAAGUAGUAGUUAAAACACUUAUUAAAUACCUGUUUGGUACAAAUUUAAAUCGUGAUACUCUACACUUAUCUAGUACUUCGAUAUUGUAUAAAAAAAAGUAAAGUACAUCAACAACCAUUCAACUUUAAUUGUAUUAUAUCGUAUCAUUAUAACUAUUAAAAAUUACAUGGUAUCUGUUUUAGGUUUUAUAUUAAACAAAAUUAAAAAUUACAACGAGGAGGAUGCUGGAUAUAUUAACAAAAUAUAUAAAAAUAUUUAUUCCAAUUAUGGUGCUACACUUUUAUAAGAAAAUUGUCUUGAAUUAAUUUUUUAAUAUAGUCAACAAUUAUACGUGGUAAAUUUUUAUCAUGACAAAUGAAAGUUUAUAAAUUAUACUAUAUAAAAUCUAUUUCCCUUUUUUGUAAUCUCAUAUUGCUAUAAUAAUAAUAAUAAUAAUAAUAAUAACUCUAUCAAUUAGAUAAAAGAUGAGUACUUAAUAACAUAGUAAUAAACAAUUUAAAUACAUGAGUAAAAAAUAUAGUAAUUGACAAUUAACAUACAAAAAUUUUUAAAAUAAAAGAUAUAAAUAAAAUUUAUAAUUAUAAUUGUAAAAAUUUAUAUAACUUAUUGUUAGGAUCGACCCGAUUAAGCAACAAGAAAAAAAUAGCGGAAUAAAUUGAGAAUUUGAACACACAAAUAUAACGUGGAAAAACUCCUCCAAAGAGGAUAAAAAACCACGGGCAAAUAUAAUUUUACUAUAAUGGCAAAAGAAUGAAGAGUACAAAUGAUGGAGAUAAAAACUAAACCCCGAAAACCCGAAAAUAAAGAACCCUCAAAACGUAAACACAAAAUUCUCUAAAUGUGUUAUGAGUUCUAAUAUCUAAUGGGUGUUUUUUCUAAGGUUGUAAAAGAGCCUAUUUAUAGGCUAAAUUCAUAGGUCAAAUAAUAAUAAAAUAGUCUAAACUAAUCAGUGUUUGAUUGAAACAAAUAAACAGAGUUUAACUAGAAGAUUAUUUCUCAAAUUUGACUAAAAUAGGAGUCAUACUUAACAAAUCUCCACCUUGACUCAUAUUUCCACAACGCCAUCUUUGCCAAAGCCCGCCACGAGCCUAUCUUGAACCAUGUAGGGAAUUAACUGAGUCGAAUCUGUGCUUAGAAACUGGAAGACUUCUAGCUUUUGACUUGUACACUGCCAAAUCAAACUAACCCGGGUUUGAUUUUCACGAACACAGUGCCCUAACUUUUCAAAACCUGCAUCCAAAAAUGAAACUCUCUUCAACGAAACGGUCAUAUAGUUUUCCCUCCUAUAACCAAGUUGCCUGUGCUCCAAACGAGUUGACUUCCACUCUGUAACGGACGAGUGACGUCCGAUUUCACCGGUCACUGUAGAACCUUCCAGAAUAUAAAGACUGUUAGUUCUUUUACCUUUUAACAAAACGAGAGCUCCACGAGAUAUUUUAAUGCCGCUCGACUCCAUGUUGAUUCUGCAUCCUUUCAAGUCUAAAAUACUUAAUGAGAUGAGAUACUUUCGUAAAUCAGGUACAUACCUAACAUUUGAGAGUGUCCUAAUCGUCCCAUCGUGUAUCCUAACUUUAACAGUACCAAUACCAAUUACCUUACUAGAUGAAUCGUUUCCCAUGCACACAACUCCACCUUCAAUCAAACUGAAUGUGGAGAACCAUUCUCUAUUGGGAUACAUGUGGAAAGAACAUCCCGAAUCUAGAAUCCACUCGGACGUGAGCUUGGAGUUAUCGCUUGUUGACACUAACAAGAAAUCAUCACCACUUUUACAUCAGCCAAAUUAGCACCAGUUACAUCUUCCUCGUUACUCUCAGCAGCUUUUAUUUCGCAAUUUAUAACAAUUUGCUUUAACGUGACCUAACUUUCUACAAUAGCGACACAUUUUUUCUCGUUUCUUUGAUACUACCAAAACGGAAGCUUACUUGUCUGCCUUGCUAUCCAAACCAAAAUCAUUGUCAAGUUUGUCUCUACUCAACAAAUGACCCUUCACAUCUUCGAACGAGAGUUUGUCUCUAUCAUAAAUCAAGGUCUCCCUUAAAUACUUAUAUGAAAGGGGUAAAGAGCACAAUAAUAGCAUAGCCUGAUCUUCAUCAUCAAUAUGAACCUCGACAUUCUUUAAAUCAUUUAAAAGAGUAAUCAAUUGACUGAUGUGAUCUCUAAGAAGCUUACCUUCGUUCAUGCGAAACGUAAAUAGACAUUGUUUCAACACUAAACGGUUAGCCAAAGACUUAGUCACAUAAAGAGUUUCUAACCUUUUCCACAAGGCGGAUGAGGUUUGCUCCAUCAAUACCUCCUGCAAUACUGUAUUCGCGAGGGACAACUGGAUUGCAGACAAGGCCUUUUCAUCAAGCUCUUCCCAUUUUGUUUGAUUUAGAUUCUCAAGCUUUUUCUCAGCAACAAUCUUUUUCAAGCCGGUUUGAACUAGAAUUGCCAUCAUCCGAACUUGCCACAGAUUCAAAUUUAUCUCACCAUCAAACUUCUCAAAUUCAAACCUUGUUGCUGUCAUAUCUGAAUAGGUUGAUCUAUGAAAAUUGAACUAGCUCUGAUAUCAGUUGUUAGGAUCAACCCAAUUAAGCAACAAGAAAAAAUAGUGGAAUAAAUUGAGAAUUUGAACACACAAAUUUAACAUGGAAAAACCUCUCCAAAAAGGAUAAAAAAACCAUGGGCAAAUAUAAUUUUACUAUAAUGGUAAAAAAAUGAAGAGUACAAAAGAUGAAGAUAAAAACUAAACCCCGAAAACCCAAAAACAAAGAACCCUCAAAAUGUAAACACAAAAUUCUCUAAAAGUGUUAUGAGUUCUAAUAUCUAAUGAAUGUCUUUUCUAAGGUUGUAAAAUAGCCUAUUUAUAGGCUAAAUUUAUAGGUCAAAUAAUAAUAAAAUAAUCUAAACUAAUCAUUGUUUGAUUGAAACAAAUAAACAGAGUUUAACUAGAAGAUUAUUUCUCAAAUUUGCCUAAAAUAGGAGUCAUAAUUAACACUUAUUAAUAAAAUAAAAAGUUAUAUAUUUUUUACAUAUGUAGUAAAUUUUAUAUUAACUUAUUGAAAAUAUGUAUUUUUAGUAUGUUUCAUGUCUAUAUUACUGUAACGCCCCAAAUUUUUUAUUUCUGUUUCUCCUAAACUGUGACACAAGUGUGUAUCUGCUUUAGUGGUUAAGUGUUAUCGGUGUGUGUGAGAGGUCCCAAGUUCAAGCCUUACUUAGGCAAAUUUUGGUAUUUUUCUGAACUAAGCCUUACCCUUGCUCAGUAGGCUUAUGUUUAAUUGUGGGUAAGUCCAUAUCAGAAUGAGCCUGCUGAUCUGGUGGUUAGGUGGAGUGUUGGUGUGUUGGAGGUCCUAUGUUCGGAUCCUUGCGCGAGCAAGGGAGUUUAUACUUUUGCUCGGUUAUCAGGCAGAAUUUCGGUUGAACUAUAACUCUGAGAAGUGGGUUAGUGGAUAAGUAAAUUAAGGGAUUUAGGGGUUAUUAGAUUUCUGAUAUCUUUUUUUUUUGCAAAAUUUUCUCUUCUGUUUUUUUCCUAAAAACCUUUCUGACGUUUUGUUCCCCUUCCCCUACCGAAAUUCUGCCUCCCUUCUCCAUAGUUUUAUUUCUUUUUGCAUCUCUUUUCUGAAUUCGUAUCGUUCCUCUUGUGUUACGUUGGGUUGCGUCGUUUGGUAAGUUACAUUUUUGUUAAGUUUCAAUGUCUUACAACUUUAUGAUUUAAGGAGGGUUGGGUUGUUAAUUUCGUUUUAGGCGAAGAGUGAGUUUUGGUUGGGGGUUCUUGCGAUGGUUUGAGGGUUCAGAGUCCUUUUUGGUAGUGGUAAGUUCUCACGCGUGGUGUUUAGUUUUUUAGGGUUUCGAUGGUGAAUUUAGUUCAGUUGGAUUUUUUAUGAACGUUGUUAAUCUAGGCUCUGAGAUGUUGGUUUUUAGGUAUUGGAGGGCUCGAGAGUGAUUAGGCACCAAAAACGAUACAUGUGUGUACCCGAAAAUGUAGAAAAUGAGGUUUUGACAAAAGCUGAAAACCAUUCUGUUGACGCCACAUGGCUGUGUGGUAGGACUGUGCCCUUACACGGGGGUGUUAUCGAUAAGGCCAAUUCGUGCGCACUGGACACGGUUGUGUGAUGGCUAGGCUGGCCGUGUGCGAGACAUAGGCUUGACUGUUUUGGGCCACGUGGGCCACACGGGCGUAUGGAAUUCUGGGCCAGGUCGUGUGAUCACAUGGCCAAGGCCAAUUUGGGCCGUGUGGGCCACAUGGGCAUGUAGGCCCACAUGGGUAGGCCACAUGGGUGUGUGAGCCCAUUUUUCUAAAAUAAUUUGUAAGGUUGCACGGGUCGCCCAAGUCGACUGUAACCUAGCGUAAGGUUGGUAAGCAUUACUUAACCCCUGAUUCUGUGAUCUGAUUAUGUGAUGUAUGUAUUAAGCACGUUACUCUUAGCAUGUGUAUUUGACCGAUUAUAUGAUCUGUUAAAUUGCGUUAUAGCAUGCCAUAUUUGUAUGAUACAUUGCAUCGGAGUGGGGUUGGUGUUAUGAUGCAUUGCAUCGGGGUGGGGUUGGUGUUAUGAUGCAGGACGUAUUUUGAAAGGCUUUUAAGCCUGUUAUCUGGCGGCUCAGCUAUAAUUAUCUGAUUAUGUGCCGCAUUUCGGUACAACAUAGUGUGUUGGGAUGGGUGGGUCGAUUUUAUCCCCACAUGGUGUGUUGGGUUGGAUGGAGUUGGUGUGUAGGGCUGGUGGGCAUGAUUAUGUUAUUCUGCUCUGUUAUGCAUGUUAUAUCUGAGAUGGGCUAAGGCCCAGUUCAUAUUUGAUUCUGUAUCUGAGUGGAUUAAGGGCCACACCGAUUCUGUAAAGGGCUCAGGCCCGAAUUAUUUAUUAUUUGGAUAUAUGACUGACUUCUGCUACUGUGUAUAUUUUCUAUGGGGAUUACACACUGAGUUUGCAAAAACCACUCUUUUCUGUUUAAUUUGUGUAGGUAAUCCCCAGACUUGAUGGAUCGGUGCAGCAGAGAGCUCAAUGGUGACCAUCACUACUGAACUACUUAUUUACGGUUUUUUUUUUUGCGGUUACAUUGCUUAUUUCUUGUUGGUAUUUUAUGUAUGAUGGGCUUUGGGACUAUUUGGUUUCAAUUUGGGAUUUUGAACUGUUGAUUAUGGAUUUAUACACUGCAAUGCAACAGAGUGCAAUUUUCCAUAAACUAAGGUUUUUCGUAAAUAAAAACGAUUUUUGAAAAUUAUUGGGUUUCAAAAGCUUCCGCAUAAUAGAAAUUUUUUAAGACAAAUCAAUUAGUCCACGUUUUCUCGAACUAAGUAAAAGAUAAUAACUGGAACGGUUUUAAGGUCAAUGCAUUUUCAAAAACACUCUCAUGUGACAUCACCAGAUUCGGCCAUAACGUCCAGGUCAGGUUUGGGGUGUUACAAUUACGAUCCAUGUUUGGAGUAUAUGACUAGCCUCUUCUAACAGUAUCGUCUCCAAAGAUUGAACGUGUGCUCUCUCUUUCUAAUUGCAAUAUGAUUUUAUCACUACGCUCAACACUUAUUAAUAGCUUGUCAAAAAAUUUAUAUAGUUGUAUGAUGAAAACUAAUUGAAAAUACAUAUUAUUGUUGUAUUUAUUUAUACUUUGAAUUUAAAUUUAAGAUUUUAUAUUAAUAUAACAUAAUGAAAAAGAUUUUUAUUAAAUUUAUUUAAAAAUAUUAUAAUUUUAUAAUAUGAGGUCCACGUAUGACUAGAACUAAUAUAUAUCCUCAAUAAAUUAAAUGUCGCAUGUGAAAGAAGACAAUAUUAUAAACAAUUGAGCCAAAGUUUUUGGUUUCAAAAUCUUUUGUGGAAAAAUCCACACUUCAAUGGUGAUGAGUAGUUGAUUACAUUCAAUCUUUAUGUAUAUGCUGUUCUAUGUUUACAUACACCUUUAAUUAAAGUUUCCGCGUAUUGAAUACUUUCCCAUUUGUUGCAACAUACUCUAUAUAUAGAAAACAAAACGUGAUCAAUGUUCAAUGCUUUUCCACUCUUUUUUGAACCUACGUUACUGGGUUCCCAUACUAUAUAUGUUAUAACAAACAAAUUUUCUACUUUGAUCCUAUUGUGUUUUCUUUCUAUGCGAAGAACAUUAGUCAACGUGCCCUGGUGUUUUCCAUCAACUUUCAGCUUAGAAAAAGAAAUGAAAUGAACUUGUAUAAAUUCAUUACCAGAAACUAUGACAAGAUACAACUGAACCCUUAGCAGAUAAUUAAGCUCAGCUAAUUAAACAUGGCCUCAUCCUUAACCUUUUCCAUUAUUUUAGGGAUACUGCAGGCUACCAUCUUUCUAAUUUCCAUUGCUAGAAUUGUGACAAAAGCAGAUCCAUAGCCUUUGGCGUCUGAAGCCAUAGCUAUGGUAGAAAGUGGGUGGUGGAGUAACUGUUGGUGCAAGAGGCAGCAACAAAAGAGAGAACAAGAGCACAGAACAUGAAGCAAGGUGCAAGAAGCAUUUUUACUUGCUCACAAAUGUGCAGCAAGGGAGCUAAUGGCUGAUAGCUCAUUCAGCUCAUUCAUUCAACUAGAAAAAACAUACAUUUAUAGAUAAAACACAUUACCAAAUACUACCUACUCCCACUUAGUAGCCUAGGGACUUGCUAAGCAUUACUUGUACACAUCAAUAAGCUGAAUUAUCAGCUCAAUCAUCACCUAAACCCAUCAAAACAUCAAUAACUAAGUUCAUUUUCAACCAAACUAAACUAAAUUGCAACUACAACAGUCAACAUGUUGCUGCAGCAUGCAGCAUGCAUACAAGCCGUAUGCACUCAACAAAAACAUAACAGUAGCAUGGAUGGCCAAUUUCCAACACUCCUCCUUGGACUCCAUGCUGCAAAUGUUAUUCAUUCAUCAAGUUUUUGAACUUGGCAGUCCUUAGAUGCUUUCUUUCAAGCUGACCCUGCACAAGCACUUCAUUUUCAACCUUGGCAAAUGGAGUCUUCUCCUCCUUCACAGCCUUGGUUGACAACACAUCUUGCCUUGUUCCCUAUUACAGUCCUGCUUCUUCUUGCAUAAACAACUUGCAAGUAUAGUUUGCUUGCCUUCAAUCUGCCAUUUUUGGCUUGCACCCACUCGGGCUUGCAUUUUGCUGCUCGCAACUAUACACCUUUGACAGGCUCACUUUUUUGCUUACUGUCUUCAACAGGUGUCUUCAACUUUGCUGCUUGCAACCAUACACCUUUGACAGGCUCGCACUUUGGCUUACUGUCUUCAGUUGGUGUCUUCAAUAGGCUCGCAACUAUCACUUCUUGCUAAGCUUGCACAUUUGGAAAGCUCACACCUUUCCUUGAAACUCCUCCUUUAGCUUAUUGAAGCUUGUUUGGAGGUCUCAUAAGUUUGAGCCGAUGUUGAGCAGGGGAAGCAAAAUCAAUGGUCCCUUAAGACUUAGGCUCAUGAUACCAUUUGUUGGAACAAUGACAGCAGCAAACAUCAAAGCAAAUUUGCAACUCAAUGUUUGCAAGACUGAAGCAAGAAGAAUUAAGGCAAGCAAAGCAUCAAAAAUCAAAAUACUCAGCAAUGUUUGUGACUGAACAUACAUCAUUUUUCAUUCAACUUGAAAUAUAUAAAAGAGUUACAAUUGUACAUUGACAGUUACCUAAUGUAUUUAACUGCCCCAACUAAUACAAACCUAAUCACUAGCCAAAAAUAAUCAAACAUAGCUGACCAAUCAGCCAUUACAUCAAAAGAUCAUGUCACUAACUUAAGUUUAACUAGCAUUACAAACAAACUAAAGUUGAACUGAAUCAAAUUACAUCAAAACAAAACAGCAAAGUUGGUUGCUUCAUUCAGUUCAAAAACCAUUCGUGCGCACCAAGCAAAACGAGCUGAGCUCGAUAGCUGCUGGUCUCGACAGUAGCAAGCUUUUGGCUCCAUGUUGCAUUGCAGUCCAGCUUUCAACACUCCUCCUUGGACUGUAUGCAACACAUUCCAAUUGCACUUCUCAAAGAUUCAAAUCGAGCAGCCCCUAAGGGCUUGGUCAUUAUGUCAGCCAAUUGUGCUCCUGAGCUGCAAUGCACAAGGCUGACUUCCUUUGCUUGUUCAGCCUCUCUAACAAAAUGCAAUUUGAUCUUAAAGUGCUUAGUCUUGCCAUGGAACACAGGGUUCUUGGCUAUUGCAACUGCAGACUGAUUGUCCACCCAGAUUUCAGUUGCUUCAUCUUGAGUUUCAUUAAGGUCAUAAAGCAGCUUUCUUAGCCAAAUGGCCUGAUUAACUGCUCCUGCUGCAGCAAUGUACUCUGCUUCAGCUGUGGACUGAGCAACAGUUUGUUGCUUCUUAGAACUCCAGCAAAACAUACCCGAUCCAAGUGUGAAGAAGUAUCCAGAGGUACUCUUCAUGUCAUCGAGAGAUCCUGCCCAGUCGCUGUCAGAGUAGCCUUCUAAUUUCAGUUGGUUCUGACUUUCAAACAUUACACCAAAACUAGCAGUGCCCUUGAUGUAUCUAAGGAUCCUCUUUGCUGCCUUCAAAUGUGCCUCAUUGCAACAAUGCAUAAAUCUUGAUAACAGGCUGACACCAAACAUGAUAUCUGGCCUGGUUGCUGUUAGAUACAACAGACAACCAACCAGGCUUCGAUAGUGCCUCUCAUCAACCCUCUGCUGAUCACCACUGCUAGUCAGCUUUUCUCCUUGAGCCACAGGUGUGCUGACUGCUUUACAGUUAUGCAUGCAAAAUUUGUCUAGAAUCUUCAAAGCAAAUGAGUGUUGGCUGAUGAAGAUACCUCGAUCAGAUUGGUGCACUUCCAUGCCAAGGAAGUAAGUCAUGAUCCCCAAAUCUGUCAUCUCAAACACUUGCUGCAUUUGGACCUUGAACUGAUCAAUGAGCUCGAUUUUGCUCCCUGUCACAAGCAAAUCAUCCACAUACAAGGAGACUAUCAGCAAGGUUUCAUGUUCUGACUUUUUAACAUAUAGAGUAGGCUCACUAAGGCUCUUUGCAAAUCCAAGUUUGGUCAGGUAGGCAUCAACUCUGUCAUACCAGGCCCUUGGUGCCUGUUUCAGGCCAUAGAGGGCCUUUCUCAACUUAUACACUUUGUCUUCAUGUCCAACAACUUCAAAACCUUCAGGUUGCUCGAUAAAGAUCUCCUCCUUGAGAAAACCAUUCAGGAAUGCUGAUUUGACAUCCAAUUGGUGAACUCUCCACUGCUUCUGAGCUGCUAAUUGUUGGUGCAAGAGGCAGCAACAAAAGAGAGAACAAGAGCACAGAACAUGAAGCAAGGUGCAAGAAGCAUUUUUACUUGCUCACAAAUGUGCAGCAAGGGAGCUAAUGGCUGAUAGCUCAUUCAGCUCAUUCAUUCAACUAGAAAAAACAUACAUUUAUAGAUAAAACACAUUACCAAAUACUACCUACUCCCACUUAGUAGCCUAGGGACUUGCUAAGCAUUACUUGUACACAUCAAUAAGCUGAAUUAUCAGCUCAAUCAUCACCUAAACCCAUCAAAACAUCAAUAACUAAGUUCAUUUUCAACCAAACUAAACUAAAUUGCAACUACAACAGUCAACAUGUUGCUGCAGCAUGCAGCAUGCAUACAAGCCGUAUGCACUCAACAAAAACAUAACAGUAGCAUGGAUGGCCAAUUUCCAACAGUAACUAUAGCAACAAUGCUUCAGAACGUUGCCAGUGGCCAGGUAUAUGAUGCAAUACUGCUGGAACCAUCACCAAAAUUAACAUUUCUGAUGUGCCCAAUAUUGAGGUUGGAAAUAGAUUUGGGAAAUUGAAUUUCACUUCAUUUCCAAAUCUUGUCCUUCUUGAUCUCAGUGAUCAUCAACUUGGUGGAAAAAUCCCACAUCAGAUAGGUGAUCUAUCCGCAUUGAAGUACCUUGACUUGUCCUAUUGUGGUUUAUCCGGUAAGUUACCUCCUCCUCUAGGAAACCUAACCCAACUAGAGUACCUUGACAUUCCCUAUAACGAUAAUAUUAACGGUUCCAUCCCUCCACAACUAGGAAAUCUAGUGAACCUUGUCAGUUUAAACUUGAGUGCCAACAGUCUUACUGGGAACAUUCCUUCAGAAUUAGGAUUUUUAUAAAAUUUGGUUUAUUUGGAUCUUCAUAGCAACAAGCUUUUUGGUAAAAUACCAUUUACUCUGUACCAUAUGACAGAUUUGGAACAUCUGUACAUUGAUGAUAACUACCUUGAAGGAUCGAUCUCUAAAAAUAUUGAAAAUUUCAAGAAAAUAAGCUUUUUAAGCAUCACUAAUAAUAGAUUUACUGGUCCUAUUCCUCUAGCUUUGUGUCGUUUGCCCACUUUGGAAGAAAUUUAUCUUGACCAAAAUCAAAUAUGUGGUUCAGUCCCUUCUUGCAUUGGUAACUUAUCCAACUUGGAAAUCUUGGAGUUAGAUUUGGAAUCUAUUAACUGGUUCAAUUCCUUCUUGUCUUGGUAAGUUGUCUAAAUUGCAUACCUUAAGACUUGAUUCAAAUCUAUUAGAAGGUCCUAUUCCUGAAGAAAUUUGUGACUUAGCAAAUUUAACUUCAUUAAGCCUCUACCAAAACAAAUUGAAUGGUUCAAUCCCUUCUUGUCUUGGUACAUUGUCCAAAUUGGAUACCUUACAACUUCAUUCAAAUCUAUUAGAAGGUCCUAUUCCCCAAAAAUUUUGUAAUUUCGCAAAUUUAACUUCAUUGUACCUCUUCCAAAACAAAUUGAGUGGUUCAAUCCCUUCUUGUAUUGGUAGUUUAUCAAAGAUGCAGUACUCCUUGGUUCUAAUCUAUUAAAAGGUCCUAUUCCCCAAGAAAUUUGUAAUUUAGAAAAUUUAACCGUAUUGAAUCUCUCCCAAAACAAAUUGAAUGGUUUAAUCCCUUCUUGUAUUGGUCGUUUAUCAAAGAUGUGGUACUUAAGCCUUGGUUCUAAUCUAUUAAAAGGUCCUAUCCCAAAAGAAAUUGGCAAGCUUUUUGAUCUAUCAUAUGUAAACCUUAGCUUCAACCAACUCUCAAGUCUUGUCCCUAUCUUGUCUGCUACUGAUCUCUACAUUGUCGAUGCUGGAAAUAAUUGUAACAAGAUUUUUCCCGAUCCAUUUGAAGGCAAUAGCGGUUUAUCACCCUAUAUGUGUCCUUCUCCAGUAACAAAGCCAACAGCAGUAAAAUUCCUUACUAUAUCAAAAUAUUCCUCCCUAUUGCCAUCUUAUCCACAUUAUCCAUUUUGGGAUGUUUUCUAUUUUCACGGUUUAAGCUCAAGAAUAACCGUGCCGGUGUACAACCAACGAAGAAUGGGGAUUUGUGUUCCAUAUGGAACUAUGAUGGAAAGAUAGCAUACGAGGAUAUUGUUGCAGCAACGGAGGAUUUCGACUUCCGAUAUUGUAUCGGAGUUGGUGGUUAUGGAAGUGUUUACAGAGCAAAACUCCCUUGUGGAAAAGUAGUUGCUUUGAAGAAACUUCAUCAUUUAGAAUCCGAGAAUCCAACUUUUGACAAGAGUUUCAGGAAUGAGAUCAAGUUUCUAACAGAAAUACGACAUCGAAACAUAGUGAAGCUUCAUGGGUUUUGUCUACACCGACGGUCUAUGUUUUUGAUCUACAAAUACAUGGAAAAAGGGAGUUUGUUCUGCAACUUAAGAGAUGAAGCGGAAGCUGUGGAAAUGGAUUGGACAAAAAGAGUGAAGAUCAUCAAAGGCAUAGCACAUGCUUUGACUUACUUGCACUACGAUUGCAACCCUCCAAUAGUUCAUCGUUCAUCGAGACAUAUCAAGUAACAAUGUUCUUUUAAACUCAAGCUUUGAGGCCUUUGUAGCUGACUUUGGAACUGCUAAAAUGUUGGAUCUUGACUCAUCCAAUCAGACCAUUGUUGAGGGCACAUGUGGUUAUGUAGCUCCAGGUGAUUUUCUUUGCUUCAUUUACUGAUAUUUUCGUUUGAAUUUAUAAAAUUAAUUGAGUAUAUAAUUGGUUUUCUUUUUAUCUGGUUUGUCAUAUGCAGACUUGCCUAUACAAUAAUUGUUACCAAAAAAUGCGAUGUCUAUAGUUUUGGAAUGGUGACAUUGAAAAUAUUAAUGGGAAAGCAUCCUGAAGAAGUGUUACCAUGGUUGUCAUCACCAGCUUAUUUGGUAAAUAUGAAGCUGAUUGAUGUGUUAGACAACCGUUUACCACUUCCAACAAGCCGACUAGUUGCACAAAAUCUUGUUCAUGUUGUUACAUUGGCAUUCGCUUGCUUAAAUCCGCAACCAAAGUCUAGACCAACAAUGAAAGAAGUGUGUGAAGAGUUUCUUUGUGGCCAAAUAUUCUUGAAAAUUCCCUUCGGAUGAUCUCUUUGUUACAACUUGUGAACAGUGAAAUUCAUAUUGGAGGCAAAACAGAAAAUUGUGAUGUUCAAAGUCCAUCCGCUUGUUAGAUACUAUUUACCGUGUUGUCAUGAUUUGUUUCUAGACUAGCUCUUGUGUUACAUAUGAUGUAAUGUAUGUCAUGGCUAUGGAAGAAAUAAAUUCUGCAAUUUGAUUCAAAUCUUCAUACAUCAUCAAGUUUUUCCUUAUUUCAAACAACAUAAAGAUAAUAUAUAAAAUAAAAAUAACAAUAAAAAUAAAUUCUGGAGAAAAAGGAUAUUUGAUAUGAUUUUUUGCAAAUUUGUACUAGGAUAUUUGACCCUGAAAAGAAACCAUGACCUCAGAAACAAUGUUAUAUGAUCCAAGACACGCCUAGCUUUCAUGAUCCUCACUCUCUGCCUAGUUUCUUGAUUAUAAAUGCCAUAUUAUCAUGGAUCAUUUUUAUUGAUUUUAAAAAUAUAAAAACUUUUAUUGAUUUUUAGAUAAAAAUAUUCACGUAAUCAUAUAACAUACUUUACAAAUAAAAUUUUUUUUAAUAAUUCCCUAGUUGGGAUCUAGUUGAUGAUUAACACCAACUUAGUAAAAAGACUUAGGCUCCAUUUGUUUCACUGAAAAUGACUUCUAGAAAAUGAUUUUUAGAAAAUGAUUUACUUUUCUGGAAAAGCUAAUAUUUUCUGAUGUUUGGAUGAAUCUGUAUAAAAUAUUUUAAGUUAAUUUUUAUAUAAAAAUUAAAUUAUCUAUAGAUAGCCCUUUUCCGGAAAAUGACUUAUGCUUUUCAAAAGGGUAAGUCAAUUUACAGGAAAAAUGACUUAUUUUACUUUGACCUGUAAGUCAUUUUUCGUUGACUAAACUAUUUUCUGUAAAACAAUCACAGGAAAAUCCAGAAAAUAUUUUCCGUAAAACCUUUUACAUGUAAACAAACGGACUCUUAAUAAAUAGUAUUGUAAGGAUUUCAUUUUAGGUGACCAAAAUAAAAAUGUCUUAAAAGUUAAGACUAAGAAAUUUACUCUAUAAAAUAUGUAACAUAAAAAUUUGUCAUGUGACAUGUUUUUAUUGGUUAAUUACAUUGUUUCUUAGUAAACUAUGAUAAAAUUUAUAGUUUCCGUAUCAUUUCUAAUUAAAAAAACUUUACAAAUUAAUCUAAAAAUUAAGGUAUAAUUGAAAGACAUUAAUUAAAAAAAGCUUUAAAAUAUGAUUGAGGAGAUUAGCAUUAAACAAAAGCUACAAUGUUAACUUAAAAAUAGUAAAAUGUUUGGUGCUAAGAGUAACAAACUUGAAUCUAAUGAAAGAUUUUGAUAAAUUAAAGACUUAGGAAUAAGGUUAAAGCAGUAGGUGGAGUUAGAACAACUCAAAGUAGGAUGAUUUCUAGGUCUUCUUUUUGGGGACUCCCACAAUGCUUAUCUUGACUCAUCCAAUCACACUAUUAUUGUGGGCACAUGUGGAUAUUUAGCUCCAGGCGAUUUUCUUUGUUUCAUUUUCUGAUAUUUUCUUUUGAAUUUAUAAAAUUAAUUGAAUGUAUAAUUAGUUUUCUUUUUAUCUAAUUUUUCAUAUGCAGAAUUUGAUUAUACGAUGGUUGUUAUCGAAAAAUGUGGUGUCUCUAGUUUUUAAAUGGUGGCAUUGGAAAAAUUAAUGGGAAAAAUAUCCUGAAGAAGUGUUACCAUGGUUGUCAUCACCAACUUAUUUGGUAAAUAUGAAGUUGAUUGAUGUGUUAGAUAUUCGUUUACCACUUCCAACAAGCUAACUAGUUGCACAAAAUCUUGUUCACAUUGCUACACCGACAUUCGCUUGCUUAAAUCUGCGACCAAAGUCUUGACCAACAAUGAAAGAAGUGUGUGAAGAGUUUCUUUGUGGUCAAUAAUCCUUGGGAAUUCCCAUUCGGAUAAUCUCUUUGUUACAACUUGUGAACCAUGAAAUCCAUAUUGGAGGUAAAACAGAAAUUUGUGAUGUUCAAAGUCUAUGCGCUUGUUAGGUAUUGUUUAUCAUGCUUUCAUGAUUUGUUUCUAAAUUAGCUCUUGUAUUAUAUAUGAUUUUACAAAUAGUUUUCUAAACUUCUUGAUUAAAUUGAUUAUAAUUUAAUGAAUCAAAAAUUUUAAUAAAACCCUUGACCAGAACAAAGAAUUCAACAAUCCAUAAAUAGAAAAAUAAUAACAGAAGAAAUUGUGAAAGUCUUCUUCAUUAUUUUUCAUGCCCCAAAGUCUCUUUAAAUACCUUCCAAGAUUUCUUAUAAAAGAGUUUAAAAUAAAGUUUUAAUUUAAAAUAUCCCAUAAAAUCCCAAUCAAUCCCAUAAAAUAAGACUUUAAAAAAUUCUUCCAAAAAGAUAGUGGGUUUUGCUUUUCUUUUUAAAAUCAGUAGUAAAAAUAAAAUAAAAUGCAAUGUUAUUUAAAUUGAACUAUUUGGUUGAAUUAAAAAUCAGUUGAAAUUUCGAUUCAGAGGAAGGUAAAAAAUUAGUUGACUAAUGAACUGAACUAAAAAAAGUUUAAUUGUUUUAAUCGUAUUUUAUAAUUUUUAAUAUUUUUAUUUUUAAUAAUUUACUUGAUUUGCACUUAACAUACUAAAAAUGGACGAUGUAAUUGAUUCUAUCACUUAUCCAUUCCAAAAACAUUAUAUCAUAUUCAACUUGAAUUGGAAGCUUUUUGAAAUUAUGUAUUAAGAUAUUCAAACUUAAUUUGCUCCAGUUUGAUUUGAUUGGUUCGAGAAUUGUUGACAGAGCAGUAAUGGCGUCGAGGAAAAUGGCGAUAAAGGAUAUGUUGGAUUCUGUUAAUAUCCCUUGCUUUCUUUAGUUGUUCUCGCUCAAUAAAGGCUUAAUAUUACUAUGAUGAGUUACUCACCUCUUCUUAUUUAUGUCUGAAGAAGAGGAAGAAAAAGAAGGUCAAGGAUGAAGAAGAGCAAAAUGAGCUGGUCCUUUUUUAUUAACGAUUUCGAGCUGUCUAAUUACCUUUUGCCUAACAUUUCCUUUCUAUUACAAUGUGAAAAGCCUGAUCUUACAGCCUAACCACAAUCAUGCGUUUUAAUUUGCCUUGCAUUAAAGCAACGCGACAAAUGAUAUUGUAUUGAAUUAUCAUUUUUGGUAAAAAGCUUUUUUUCCCCCUAAAUAUUCCCUUCCUUUUUACAUCUUCACUUUAACCAAUUAUUCAUAAAUUUAUCUUUAUUUUACCGUUCAUAUUUAAAGUUUGUAUCUAUCCCACAAUAUCGUCUCUAAAAUUCAAAUCUACAUCUUUUCUAAAAAUUACAAUGUACCAUUACACCAAAUACUUAUUGAUUAUUGUAUUUUUUUUUUACUUACGACUAAUUAAAAUAAAUUUAAAAAAAACUCAUAUAUAAAUUAAAUACAGUAAAUUUUGAAUUUAACCGGUUUAAAUUAAAAUUUUUUGGAGUACGUAAUUGUUUUUUUAUAAUAUUAUUCUUAGGGUUUAGAUUUGAAUUUUUCCUCUAAAAAUACAAUAUAUAUUUUGCCACCAUACUUAAUACUCACAAAUUAAAAUAAAAGUACCCUUAAAAUUAAAAAUAAUUACAUAAAUAACAUUGAAUGAAACAAGUAUGAAUUCUUGGGCAACCACAAGACUCCACCAGUGUGACAAAUAGAGAAGUUAAAGGCUAUCAAUCAAGAGAAAUUGUUUAAGGAGUGUUGGAAACUAGAAAGAUGAAUUUAAUGGAAAAGUUACACUGUUGGUUGUAAUUGUCCUAGACAUUGAACAACUUGGAUUGGUCUCCCAUGAAUGGAUCAUGUCAUCUAUUUCAGAUUCUUCAUCACCAUGGUCUUCAAUAACAUUUCCACCUGAAGCGUUAAUCGACUCCAGCUCCAUUGCUACUUGUUUCAUGGUGGGUCUUUUCUUUCCAUUAAGAUUCAAGCAUCUUUUUGCUAGUAGAGCCACAACUAUAAUCUCCUGUUCUGGACCAUCCUUUUCUAACAUUGGAUCGAGAAUGUUAAAUAAGGAAUUCUCCUGCAUUGAAUGCAAAAAAUAAGAUACCAAGCUUCUCACUGGCUCUGAUUGUUCUGCGGAGAUGGGUUUCUGCCCUGUUAAAAGCUCAAUAAGAACAACUCCAAAGCUAUAAACAUCACUCUUCUCUGUAAAUUGACUUGAUCGAAAAUAUUCGGGAUCCAUGUAUCCGAAAGUUCCUUGCACCCGAGUGGUUAGAUGUGUUUGUUCAAGUGCAACUGAUCUUGAAGUUCCAAAAUCUGAUACUUUUGCC
rnacentral:lncRNA from 1 species